rnacentral:lncRNA from 1 species
CUUUGUGCCUCUAUUUACCAUACAUAGGGAGAACGUAUAGUAUGCACAAAAGAAAUUGUUGGCAUCUCUUGGAUGAAGAUAGAAACUGAAGGUUUUGCAUGGUACUGAAAUUAUGAACAUAUCCAUUUUAUUGUGAUUGCUGCACAAACCAAUGUACCACAGACCAGCGACUUUCAGCUGUCUCCAUAACACCCAAAAUUAAUCUCAUGCAUACCGAAGGAAAAUAUGGCAAUAGGCUCGUCCAAAUUACAUACCAAAUAAAUAUACAACCUACUGGUCUGAAGAGAACACUGUGAUUAUUGAUGCAACCACAAGACUGGAUAGAAAAGGAUGAACAAUGUUUCUUCUUAUGAAGCAACAGGCAAGCAUCAUCGAUGGUGCUAAAAAUGUGAACGGAAACAUUAAUUGUGCCAAAUUAAAAGCAAGUACAGCACAAGAAAGCACAAAAUUGAUGCCCAAAAACUCAAAGAAAUAGGAGAGGCAAAAGUGACCGUACACAACCAAAGUGUAUGGCAAUGUAAUCCUCGGAAAUAGGGCAUGUGCUCAGAAAUGAUAGUAUAUAAUUUGGCGUCACAUGUAAUGAUCAUAGAUAAUGAACACGCAAAGGGCAAAUCAUUAUAGGUAAUUGCAUGAAAACCACGGAUCUCAUAAGUAAGAGUGAAUCCAGCCGCAUAGUAUGUGACUAAAUACACAAUAAGCUGUAGCUCUCAUUGGUGCAUUAAAACUGCACAAAAUAGAACAGCCAGGAAUGAAUACAAGGAAACAGAAUCAUCCAAUUGACCAUUGCCUAAUGUAUUAUGGGACAAGCACAAGAAACAAAAACAUAAUUUCAGGUCCAAUCAUCAUAGCAGUAGCCCAUUCCCUUAAUUUUGAACGCAACAACAAUACGAAACUGUACUCAUCACUACACAUGACUGGAAUGCAAACAAUAAACAUAAGAACACCAGCGCUACAGUGGUGUCACACAAAUGUCACUGAUACGCUCAUGUGCUCAGAUCUUGGUCGUAAUACCUCUCUGCUCUCAUAUCCAACGAAAUUGAGCAGCUCACGACCUACAGAACAAGAAUCUGCAAUAACCAUGUAGAUCGACAAGAGAAAAGGAGAACACCAUAUCUACGACAAAAUGGAGCCCUCGUUCAUGCAUAUGGCACAUCUGGAGAGAGGGGAGGGAAAGAGAGGGGAGGGAAGGAGAGGGGAGGGGAGUAAACCAGUGAGCGGACAGAUCGAGGGAGAGCAAAGCCGCGCCGACUGUCUCCAAAGAGCUCACAUAGAGGGGGUAGGCGGCCAUGGCGCCGGCCAUGGCUGCCCGUGCCACGCCGCCGCGCAGGGCCGUGCGUGUCGGUCGCGCCACACCGUGCCGCGGGGCUCGCCCGCGCAGUGGUGGGGGAAAGGGAGGGACGCUGUCGCCUCGUGCACGUCGCCGCGACUGCCUGCAAGGAGCUCGCACAGAGGGGGAGGGCAGCCGUGCCCGCCAGCAAUGGCCGCCCAUGAAAGGUCCUUGUUUGGUUUUGGUAAUUGAGUGACAACUUAGGUGGACUAAUAGUGUUUAUGUGAGAUACACAGGAGAUUAGUCCACAGGUGAAGAUGUGAUGAUGGAGGAGCUCAUUGCAUAUGAGACAUGACAUGGAGUCAUGUGACCAAGGUGGAGAAGAUCAAGAUGAGGCUUGGCUCGAUGGACCGGUUGCAAGAGUGAAGGGCCAGUCAGAGGCUUUGAAGCGAGGGACCGCGUGUGACGGUGAAGCUUGAGCAAGACUUGACGCCGAUGGACCGAGGCAAUGGUGAAGAGCAAGUGAGGUCAAGAUCGAUGAAACAAUACGGUCACGUGAUGAUAUGAAGUGGAUCAUAUCUUUUGGUGAUUGGUUGGUGCAUGUGUUGCAUCAACAUUGGAGGAGAUGGAAUGGAAAGCGCAAGGCAAAGGUAUAACCUAGGGCAUUUCCAUUUCACCGGUCAUAGGUGUGUAGAGAAGUUUACGACCGGAUUUAGGAUAGAUGGCCGUACUAUCAAGAGGGGCAAACUUGUUUGCAUAUGGGUCAUCUAGUGCCACUUGAGCGAUCUAACUUUGCAUACGUGUUAGGAUCGAGUGGCGUGGUAAGUUUGAGAGGCUAACUCAUUUGGGAAAAUAUUUGUGAAAAUGCUAACACACAUGCACAUGGUGGUGUACACUUGGUGGUAUUUGGCGCUUUUGAGAAAAUUAAGUGCAUAUUUUCUAUUGCGCCGGUGGGAAUUUUGGAGAAGUCGCGGGAGUGUUUCUCAGUAGGAAACACUCACGGACGCUCUGCGCGGAGGCACCGGACGCUGGCCUUUAGCGUCCGGUGUGCAGUCGGGUGCAGCAAAGUGCACCGGACGCACCGGAGAGAGUCCGGUGCUCAGCGUCCGGUGUGUGAGCUGUUUGGCGACCCUAUCUGCGCAUGAGUCCGGUGAGCUUGCGAGUUUGCGAAGCUCUCUGCGCACGGGUCCGGUGUGCAUCGGACGCGUCCGGUGUGGACUAGUUGAGUGUCCGGUGGUGCUGUGUCAGGCGCGGGCGCGUGGAAGCCGUUGGCGGUAACGGUCGAGUUCAAACGGCUAGUGACACGUGGCCGACGCCUGAGCACCGGACGCUGGGGUCGAGCGUCCGGUGGCUCCCUGUGAGCGUCCGGUGCCCACGUGUUUUGCCCAGUGAAGGGGCAACGGCUAGUUUAGCCCUUGGGGCUAUAAAUAGAAGUGGUGGCCAGCCUUGGCUGGUGCUGAGCACCCUUGGGACUUAGUGUCCACGCUUGGGGAGUGCUAGGAAAGCCUCUAACACACUUGUUCUUGCAAGAGUGCGAAUCAAUAGCGAGUGAGUGAUUCCAGUGCGUUGCAUUGAGAGAUUGCAUCGAGUGGCACUAGGUGUUCGUGUUGCAAGCCAGGGGUGCUUGUUACUCUUGGAGGUUGCCACCUCCUAGAUGGCUUGGUGGCUUGUGACUCCGUCGAAGCACGCAAGGAGAUUGUGUGGUGCUCCGGAGAAGAGAUUGUGAGGGGUACGGUGCUCACCCCGUGGGGAUCGUGAAGAGCAACUCUAGUUGAGCGAGACGUGAAGAGCAACAAGUGGUCCGGCCGGGUCAAGUGCUAGAGCUUGUGGUAAGCACUCCACAUGGGAGAGUGUGACUUGCGGGUCACCACUAGCAAGAGGACCGGCGACAACCUUGGAGCUUGUCUCAACGGGGACGUAGCUUGGUGGCAACCAAGUGAACCUUGGGAGAAAAUCAUCGUGUCAACAUUGUUCUUCCCGUUGGUUUGCAAGUCCCUAACACAAGCUUGUUCUUACUUUCAUAUAUUUGUGCUUGUGUAGUUGCUCUUGUAAUUAGUUAGCUUGUGUAGCUUGCUAGUUACCUUCUUGCUUGUGUAGCUAGAAGUAGUUCCCUUGCGUGACUAAUUUGGUUUGUGUAAUCUUGUUAGUCACAUUGCUUAGUUUUUGUAGCUAAGUAAGUUGUGCUCUCUAAUUUGGCAUUAGUUGCCUUGUUAUUGAGCUUGCUAGUGAGAUUAGGCUUUGUGCGCUUUGCCUCACUAGUUUGAGUAGGAGCUCCCCCGGUUUGCAAAGUACUAGUUGCAUAGGUUUGUGUGACCUUGCUCCUAGAAUUGGUUAGGUGAGCUCUUGCUAAGGUAGCACCUUGCUUGCUUGUUUAGGAUCUUUUCAAGGUGCUAGAGAACAUAGAUAGAGGGGUGUAGUCUUGGCUAGACCGAUAGUUUUAAUUCCACAUUUGUUUCGGUUAGCCGGCGUAAUAAUUUUUAGAAAGGACUAUUCACCCCCCCUCUAGUCCGCCAUCUCGACCCUUCAAGUGGUAUCGGAGCUAGGUCUCUCAUUUGUGGUCUUCACCGACCCGAGAGGAUGGCGGCUUAUGGGCUAGAUGAUUGUGAGACACACAUUUUUGAUGGUACAAACUUUGCACUUUGGAAAAAUCACAUGCUUGAUCAUUUUCGUGCAAAGGGACCUAAAUUUUGGUGGAUUGUCACUAAUGGUCUCACACACAACUUGGACCAUAAGAAUUUCACCAAAGCUCAAAAGGUUCUCUUUGAACUUGAUUGUGAAGCUUAUUGUUAUCUAAUGAAAUCUUUGAGCUUUGAGUUGUUUGAUAGGAUAAACUCGAAAGGAACCGCAUAUGAAAUGUGGGAGUCUAUCAAACACACCUUCGGUGAUUCCUCCACAUGGGAUGAUGACAAGUUCAAAAAGGAGGUGUUGGUGCAAAAGCUGGUCUGCAAACACAAAGGGCUAAUACCCGAUUUCAAACGUUAAGGCGUGCCAGCCGAUUUGACCUUACUAUCGGCAAAGGUGAUAACUCGAAUACUUUAGUCCUGACAACAGCGAUGCGCCCGGAUGUCACGGCUAAGAGGUACUCACGCGGAACUUGAGAACACACCGAGCUUGAGUCGACGAAUUCCUAAGAACUCGUAAUGAAAAGGGAAAAAAGUAUGACGAAGUCGUCGAAAAAGUAGAUGCUGGAAUAUGAGUAAAAACGUGUGUUUGAUUGAUUGAUAGAUAGAUCAUUAUAAGGUCCUAGGGUCUAUAUUUAUACCCUGCUCAAAGAGCUACAACCAUUCACGAUUAGAAUUCGAAUUUCAAAUUACACGGAAUCCGUAUACAAAAUGAUGUAAAUAAUUAAGGAAAUAACAAAACUAUCUCCCGUGACAAACUGAACUCCUCAACAAACCGAUCGGCAGCUUAGUCACUGUCUGUAGACUUAGUCACGUUCAAUUUCUCCCCCAUCGGCAACCAUCCUCAUCGGAACUCAUCUUGUAAACAAAACACUGCCAUUUCAUCCUGCCAUCCUGGACACGUGCCCAAAAACGAUGUCAACACAUGCCCCCCAAUUUUGGAGUAUGAAAUCAUUAAUGCUCCGAAAUUCUCUGCAGUAAUGAUGCCUUUUCCCGCAAUUAAUGCUCCCAAUCUGGUAACCGACAACCUCAAUCUGAACAACUCUGAUCCUAUUCUUCUGCGGAUUCCUCGAAACCCUCAACUUCCUAAACGGGCAUUUCCUUCUCAACCGUACAUCGGCAAUAUUACCGUUACGAAGAUCUGCCGAUGUACUGAUCAGGACGUUUGUACAAACGGCUACCUUCACUUCAUUCGCCCACCGGCAAUAUGACCGUUACAGAGCAUUGCCGAUGGACCGACCAGGAAAUCUCGCACAGUAAAAUAUCUUCAGAUAAUGACCGCUUCCCGUCAAAUCACCUGCACAAUCCCUUGAUUACCGUGCAAACAGUUACCAUAUCUACCUGAGCACCCUCGGAUUUCUCGGAUGCGGCAAAGUGAUAAGUCAGAUUUGCCCUUGCCCAUUUUGUCUGAUAAAUAGUUCCUUCUCGGGUACUCCUUCCCCAUCACAUCAUUCCACCAUCCCAACUUUACUUUUCCAGCGGCGGCGCCAUUCAACGUCUCCAAGACCUCCGGCAAAAACUCUUCCUCACCAACCCGAAGCCCCCAGGCAUCCUCCUCGUCGCAAGAUGGCUAUUAGCUUCAUCGUCCCUGAGGUCAAUUCUUCAUUCCAUCCCCUGUUCUUUUCUUCGCAUCCCUGUUCAUCCGCAAUCCAUUUUACUGAACAUUUUCUUUUCUUUUCUUUGUGUUCUUUUUCUUUAUUUCAAAAACCACCAGGAAUUGUCUAACAAAAUCGUCAUCCCCACCGAUCAACCACACCUCCAAUGCCUCGGCCCUCUAGGGGAUCCAGAUCCAACCGAUCUCAUUAACGCAGAAACCAAUAGGAUCCCUUUCAGAGCCGAAAAUUUUUCUUUAGAUCUGUGAAAAGACACCUUCCACUCUUGGCCCAGUCCUACCGUAGGGUGGAAAGACUGGUUCUUGAGAGUCAGCAACUCCAAUGAAGUCCAGUGGGGUGAGAGAAAACUAGAUCAAUGCAUUAGGUUGUCCAUUGCCGAUAUGCACAGGAAUGAGUCACUGUUGAUAGCUGCAUCUUACUUUUGGUCAGACACCCUCAAUGCUUUUGUCUUUGGCCACGGCCCUGCUUCUCCUACUCUUGCCGAUGUAGCCAUGCUCACCGGUCUAGAUGUAUCUUCUGCCGAUAGCACCCACCUUUUUGACACAGCUCCUAGUGCCAAAGUAGAGACUCGCGCUAUCGGCGGCUGGUCAGGGUACAUUCAGAAGUAUCAUGGGAAGGGACCUGUCAGCAUAAAGGAACAAACCACCUUUCUGAAUAUGUGGCUCGACAAGUUUGUGUUCUGUUGUCGAUCGGCAGGACCGACUUCCGUCUAUCUAUCGGCAGCAGAGAGACUGGCUAACGGUGGUCGAUUCCCUCCCGGCCGAUACUUGCUUGGUGCCGUUUACCAUCUUCUCCAUCAGGUGGCCAAGAAACUCCUGCUCGGCCAGUCUACUGGCAACUUAGGUGGCCCUUGGUGGUUCAUUAACAUGUGGCUUAAUCUGCAUCUGCACAAGCGCCUCAACUUCAACCUGUUCACACAGCGUUUCCCAAGAGAUAUAACUGAAAAUCAUGUGCUGGGUGAAGAGGAAUCGGCAACACGCGCUCCCUUGAACUUUGACGAAGCUGUCAUAGUUCUACCUGGUUCAGGGGGUAAUCCAGAUCAGAUCGGCCGAUUCUUCCAGACUCUGUAUGAGGGCUUGGCCAGAGAUGAACGACCGUGGUUGGCCUAUGAUGACCCAGACAGUAUGCUCCCCCUGGUUUUCAAUCCAUUUGAUGACGCUCUUGACAGGGAUAAUGAGGUGAUGAUGGCAAUUGUGACUCCUAGAGCCAUACCAGUGAAUUUCUUUGGUAGCACAAAAACCUCUCCCCAGACUUAUGAAUUUUACAACCCAUCGGCAUUAGCUCGUCAAUUAGCUUUCGGCCAGUUGCCGAUUGCGCUCUGUUAUGCCGAUGUGAUAAAACCCAGAGAGCCCGUCAGCAACUUUCUUAAGUGGAUUCGAGUAGCCCAACUACCACCGAAUGCCGAUACAGAUGCAGAUUUGUCAGAGUGGGUUCCAGCCGCUUUCAUCACUCAGGCGUACAAACUAUGGUGGGCAGAAUGGAAGGAGCAUCUAUUCUGCAAAUCAGCCCUUUCGUAUCGCGGCAUGAUUGAUCCCGAGUACAAAGUCCCUGACGACGCUGUAAGUAUUCCAAACCGAUGUUCCAAUUCCUUUGUAUACCUUUUGCAGGUUGACAACAUCCCCCCAUCGGAUAGCAGAAGUGGUAAGCCGAUUGACCUGUUUCCAUCAGGCCCGAUCUCCUCAUUCGGCCACAAUGCUCCCACUCUGGCUACCAUCGUGCAUCGGGGUGUGCGCCUUAAGAAAGUCACCACCAGGAGAACUCAGACAUUACCAACGGUAGCUGCUUCCACUCUGGCGCAGGCUUUCAAGGCAAUUUCCCAAACCUUUUUUAUUCACACUGAUCACCUUUAUAUCGGCUACAUUUGUACUCAUAAACUCCUUUUUGUUGUUGUAGCAAACCGGUGCAUCGGCAAAAGCCAAACGCCAAGGUGCCGAUGCCCCCCAGUCUAGUCAGCCAAAGAGGAAGGGCGCCAAGGGUACCAAGGCUGGAACAAAGCGCCAGAAAGUGGCAACUCCCCCUCCUCCUCCGGUAUCUCCAAUUCCGGUGGAGUCUUCCCCUUCUUCUCAAGAAGCCUAGACGCAGCAAGCACCAUCUCCCCAACCAAUGCAGGAAGCACCACAGAUGGAAGAACUCCAGCAAGAAGAACCUCAGUUAGAAGCACCCCAACCAGAAGACACGCCGGCCGAUGUAGGCGAUCAAACUACCGAUCCAGCAGGUUCAAUCAUACUAUCGGUAGUUUCUUCAGUUCAGACAAGUAUCAUCCCUCCUCAGGGUAACGUACUCCCUACAAUAUUACUGCCGACGAGCUUCUCCUUUUCGAUCUUAUAACCCCUCCUGUUAACUUUUAGUUGACGUAGUUCCAUCGGCAACUCUGGCCGACCAACCUGUGGUCCCAUCGGCAUCUUUCAGCCAAAGGCGAGAGAUUGCCUUGAAGCAAGUAAGUCAUCCAAUCUUCCACUUGUAUCAUUUGCCGAUGCUUUGACCAUAAAAAUGACUCAUUUUAUCUUCUCUCUCAGGAACAAGACUCUCCCGACAGCUUAUUCUCCUUCGCCAUUGAUAUCUCCGAAGAGGAAGGUGAGGAAGCAAGUUCCUCCCGGGCAGCUGGGAUUGUAUCGGCAGAGACCAGGGCUAAGCUGGAAGAACUAUCGGCUAUCCUUCAUCAAGACACAGCUCAACUGGUUAAUGAUUCCGACCCGGCCAAGGUUCUGUUCAAGACCCUCAGAGGCCAGAUCCCUAUCGAUGCUGAAGAAACCCUCUUCCAAGCCACACAUCUAGAAAGUCGCCAGCUGCAAUACCAGAGAGCCACUCGGCGCCUUGCCGAUAGAGCUGCUCAGACCCAGCUCUCUGAGGAGAUGAUGAAAGAGAAACUCUUAGCCGAUGAGAAGCACAAGAACAUUGACACCUUGAAGUCCUCAGGCGAUGCAUUGAAGCAGAAGAUAUCUGACCUAUCGGCAAAAAGGGAAUCCCUGUUGGCAGAACUCAAGCAAGUGGAGGAUGCCUUAUCCCGAGCCCAGCAAGAAGAAAGUCAACUACCGGAGACCAUCAAGCACCUCGAGCAAGAGCGAAAUGCCCACGGUCGCAAAGCGCUGCAGUUGAAGAUGAUGAUGCCAAAGAGAUAGAACAAGCCAACCAAAUCCGGCUGCGCGCCAUAUCGGCGAUCCAGGCGCUGCUGAACAUCUGAAGCUUUCAUCGGCAACACGUCUUCGCUCUUCUGCAUUUCAGCUUUCUUAAUGUCUUAGUCUAGCCGAUAGGACUGUUAUCGGCAUCUUUUGAAAUGUUAAGUCUGGCCCCAGAUACAUUUUAAUCCAGCCGAUAGGAGUGUUAUCAGCGCUUAAACUUCUAUGCAUCGAUCCAUAUGCUGGGGUAGUACUUCUUUAAAUAUUUGCCAUUUAAUGCUCUGGGAAAUUCAACUCCUUCGAGAGUUUCUAAAAUAUAGGCAUUUCCAGGAGCCGAUCGACUUAUCCGAUAAGGACCUUCCCAAUUAGGAGACCACUUUCCAAACUUCGAACUUUUGGUCCCGAUCGGUAAAAUUAAUUUCCAUACCAAGUCUCCAUCGGCAAACUCCUUAGCCUUUACUUUCUUGUCAUACCAUCUAGCAACUCUCUUCUUAUUUUCUUCUAUACUCAUUAAAACCUUUAACCGAUGUCCUGCUAGAUCGUCUAACUCAUCGGUCAUCAAAGUGGCAUAAUUAUCGGCAGCCAAUUGAUCUUGAAAAGAUAAUCGCCUAGAUCCAGCCUUAAUUUCCCAAGGCAACACUACAUGAUGUCCAUACACCAAUUGAUAGGGUGACACCUUGGUUGAUCCAUGACAAGUCAUCCGAUAGGACCACAAUGCUUCAUUUAAUAAUGUAUGCCACCGCUUAGGAUUUUCUUCAAUCUUUCGUUUGAUAAGCUUGAUAAUUCCUUUGUUAGACGCCUCGGCCUGCCCAUUGGCUUGAGCAUAAUAAGGAGAAGAAUUCAACACUUUAAUCCCCAUACCGACUACAAAUUCAUCAAACUCCCCCGAUGUAAACAUAGUGCCCUGAUCGGUAGUAAUUGUUUGAGGAAUCCCAAAUCGGUAAAUGAUAUGCUCCUUCACAAAAUCAAUCAUGUUGGCUGAUGUGACUCUCUUCAAAGGAAUAGCUUCGACCCACUUAGUGAAAUAAUCAGUGGCAACCAGAAUAAACUUAUGCCCUUUGCUAGAUGGUGGAUAAAUCUGGCCGAUCAGAUCAAUAGCCCAUCCUCGGAACGGCCAAGGCUUUAUGAUAGGAUUCAUAGCCGAUGCAGGUGCCCUUUGAAUAUUACCAAACUUUUGACACCCUUGACACCCUUUGAAAUACUUAAAGCAAUCCUCAAGUAUAGUCGGCCAAUAAUAUCCAUUCCUUAUAAUCAUCCACUUCACCUUAAAAGCCGACUGAUGUGCUCCACACACUCCUUCAUGAAUUUCUCCCAUCAAACUCCUAGCUUCAUCAUCACCUAAGCAUCGGAGAAGAAUUCCAUCAAGAGUUCGAUAGUACAAUUCAUCUUCGAGGAGCACAUACUUGGUUGCUUGAAAUCGAACUCGUCUUUCAACUUUCUUGGAUGGAUCUUUCAAAUAAUCAAUAAUUUCUUUCCUCCAAUCAUCGGCACCGAUUGCCGAUAUUGCAUUAAUCAUAGGCUGAUAUCCCGAGGCAUGCUGAGCUAACCGAUUGGCCUCUUCAUUAUGCAAUCGAGGAACAUGCUCUAAUCGGAAAUCUUUGAAUUCCUUUAACAGUUGCAUGCUCUUCUCGAAAUAAGUUAUGAGAACUUCACUUCGGCAUUCAUAGCUCCCGGCCAAUUGAUUUAUAACCAACAUAGAAUCCCCGAAGACUUCAACAGCGUCAGCACGAACUUCCCUUAACAACUCUAUUCCUUUUAUCAAAGCCUGAUAUUCAGCCUGAUUAUUUGUUGACGUAGCAACAAUUGGCAAGGAAAAUUCAUACUUCCUUCCCAUAGGAGAAACUAACACUAUGCCGAUUCCUGCCCCCCGGUCACAUGUAGAUCCAUCAAAGAAGAGUGUCCAAGGCACAAUUUCCACAGCCUCCAACGUGCCACAAUGUUGGGUCACAAAAUCGGCCAUAACCUGCCCUUUAACUGCCUUAGUCGAUUCAUAACGCAGAUCGAACUCCGACAACGCCAAAAUCCAUUUACCGAUCCUGCCACUCAUAAUCGGCAUAGAUAGCAUGUACCGGACCACAUCAUCUUUGCAAACAACAGUGCAUUCGGCCGAUAACAAGUAGUGCCUUAACUUGAUACACGAAAAAUAUAAGCAUAGGCAAAGUUUCUCAAUGGCCGAAUACCUGGUCUCAGCAUCAAUCAACCUCCUGCUUAAGUAAUAAAUUAUGCGCUCUUUCCCUUCAAAUUCUUGAAUCAAAGCUGAACCGAUAACCACCCCAUCGGUAGACAAAUACAAUCUGAAGGGCUUUCCUUGCUGAGGUGGAACUAGAACUGGAGGAUUCACUAGAUACUUCUUAAUUUCAUCCGGAGCCAACUGUUGCUCUUUCCCCCAAAUAAAUUCUUGAUCGGCUUUUAGCUUAAGAAGAGGACUGAAAGCACGAAUUUUACCAGACAAAUUAGAUAUAAAUCUCCUGAUAAAAUUUACCUUGCCGAUCAAGGACUGGAGCUCAGUUUUGUUGGUAGGGGCCACUAUCUUAUUGAUGGCGUCAAUAGAUCUUCGACUGAUUUCAAUCCCCCUUCGAUGUACCAUGAAACCAAGAAACUGCCCUGCCGAUACACCAAAUGCGCACUUAUUGGGAUUCAUUUUCAAUCCAUGCUUCCUUGUGCACUCUAACACCUUUCGUAGAUCGCCAAGAUGCUUUGUGAAAUCCCCACACUUAACCACCACAUCAUCAAUAUAAAUCUCCACCAGCUUGCCGAUGAACUCAUGAAAUAUAAAAUUCAUAGCCCUUUGAUAAGUAGCACCAGCAUUCUUGAGGACAAAAGUCAUGACUAUCCAUUCAAAUAACCCAACAUGACAAGGACACCUAAAUGCGGUUUUUGGAAUAUCUUCCUCUGCCAUGAAUAUUUGAUUGUAUCCCGCAUUGCCAUCCAUAAAGCUAAUGAUCCGAUGACCAGCCGCGGCGUCAACCAGCAGAUCGGCAACAAGCAUCGGGUAUCCAUCCAUCGGCGUAGCUUUAUUGAGAUUCCUGAAAUCAAUGCACACCCGAAGCUUCCCGUUUUUCUUGUAAACCGGAACGACAUUGGAAAUCCAUUCGGCAUACCGACACUGCCGAAUAAACUUAGCUUCAAUAAGUUUAGUGAUUUCGGCCUUAAUAUCAGGUAGAAUAUUAUGAUUACAUCGGCGAGCUGGCUGCUGAUGUGGCCGAAAUCCAAACUUGAUGGGUAACCGAUGUUCAACAAUUGAUCGGUCUAAACCAGGCAUCUCGGUAUAAUCCCAGGCAAAGCAAUCUUUAUAUUCCUUUAACAAAUCGGUUAAUUGUUGCUUACACUCAGGAUUUAACUUAGCACUAAUAAAAGUAGGUCUAGGCUUAUCACCACUACCUAUAUCUACUUCUACCAAAUCAUCGGCCGAUGUGAAUCCCUGGCCUAAUUUUCCAUCAUCAGCGAACCUAUCCAUCAAAAACAGUCGUCAGAACCGACUGCUUGGAUCGGUGGAAUCUCGUAAUCGGCAACCUUGAGAAAAUCUUUCUCCCAAACUUCUCCUGAAAUGCACCUGGUCCUCUCAUAGGUAUCCGCCUCUGCCGACGCAAUGACAUAAGAAGAAUCUCCUGGGACAAUCUCAAUUUUGUCACCUACCCACUGAACCAAGCAUUGGUGCAUUGUAGACGGGAUGCAACAAUUGGCAUGAAUCCAAUCACUUCCCAAUAACAAGUUGUACGCACCCUUUCCACUGAUCACGAAGAAAGUUGUUGGCAAAGUUUUGCUGCCGAUGGUCAACUCCACACAUAUUGCCCCCUUGACUGGAGACACGUUCCCUUCAAAGUCUUUAAGCAUCAUAUCGGUCUUGGUCAAAUCCUGAUCCCCUUUCCCAAGCUUCCGAUAUACUGUAUACGGCAUAAUAUUAAUAGCAGCUCCACCAUCAACUAGGAUCUUGGUCAUUGGCUGCCCAUCAACCCUUCCUUUGACGAACAGAGCUUUGAGAUGCUGUCUUUCGUCAUCGGCAGGUUUCUCAAAGAUAGCUGUCAUCGGAUCUAGAGCCAGCUGAGCUAUUUGAUCGGAAAACUCCACCUCGUCAUCACUGGAUGCUACUUGGCUAAAUCAAAUUGAACAAACAUUGACGAUGUUGCUUAUCUCCUUGCAGUGACAAGAAAGAGGGGACAAAGGGGAAGCAAAAACAAACCUUAGAGGAACUCAUAGCGGUGCUUAUCUCGUCCUAGGGUUUAUUCUUUUGAGUUUUAAGGUGUCUGCAACAUAAUUUAAGGAAAGGUCCAAUAUCAUUAGUUUGUUUCCAAUCAGAGAAUUGGGAACAUAAAUUGAAGAUGAUGAAAUCAAGUUUGACAGAUCUUCAAGAAUAUCUUGUAUUGUGUGCUGCCUUAAAUUUUGUUUUAUAGGAAAAAGAAAGUUGUUCAUGUACCUCAAGAGCACUAAAGUUUGCAUACAUAGGUACUGAAAGGGAAUAAAGAAUUAAAGAAAACCCAGAUUACCUUGGUCCAGUAGUGGUUACACAAGAGGAAUCUGCAAAUCACCAAACCACAUCUAGAAAAAUAUAAGGAUACACUGACAUAGUUCAAUUUGAAGCAUAGAUCAUUGCAAAGAUCUAACAAAUAAAAUGAAGAUCUUUUGUAGACAAUAGAAGCAUAAUAGCUGCAAAGUUAGACUGUAAACCUACAGUAAAUGAAAAAUAAAUAUAAUCUCCAAUUAAAACUAUUGGCAAGCCGGUAGCAUGGAAAAGUUAACCCUCAAGACCCCACAACAUUAGCAAGGCAAAUUGAUAUUCAGAGCAAGUUGAAUGGUUGAAGCUACAACAAUUAGGUAUAAGUAUAAAUUGCUUUGUGCCUCUAUUUACCAUACAUAGGGAGAACGUAUAGUAUACACAAAAGAAAUUGUUGGCAUCUCUUGGAUGAAGAUAGAAACUGAAGGUUUUGCAUGGUACUGAAAUUAUGAACAUAUCCAUUUUAUUGUGAUUGCUGCACAAACCAAUGUACCACAGACCAGCGACUUUCAGCUGUCUCCAUAACACCCAAAAUUAAUCUCAUGCAUACCGAAGGAAAAUAUGGCAAUAGGCUCGUCCAAAUUACAUACCAAAUAAAUAUACAGCCUACUGGUCUGAAGAGAACACUGUGAUUAUUGAUGCAACCACAAGACUGGAUAGAAAAGGAUGAACAUUGUUUCUUCUUAUGAAGCAACAGGCAAGCAUCAUCGAUGGUGCUAAAAAUGUGAACGGAAACAUUAAUUGUGCCAAAUUAAAAGCAAGUACAGCACAAGAAAGCACAAAAUUGAUGCCCAAAAACUCAAAGAAAUAGGAGAGGCAAAAGUGACCGUACACCACCAAAGUGUAUGGCAAUGUAAUCCUUGGAAAUAGGGCAUGUGCUCAGAAAUGAUAGUAUAUAAUUUGGCGUCACAUGUAAUGAUCAUAGAUAAUGAACACGCAAAGGGCAAAUCAUUAUAGGUAAUUGCAUGAAAACCACGGAUCUCAUAAGUAAGAGUGAAUCCAGCCGCAUAGUAUGUGACUAAAUACACAAUAAGCUGUAGCUCUCAUUGGUGCAUUAAAACUGCACAAAAUAGAACAGCCAGGAAUGAAUACAAGGAAACAGAAUCAUCCAAUUGACCAUUGCCUAAUGUAUUAUGGGACAAGCACAAGAAACAAAAACAUAAUUUCAGGUCCAAUCAUCAUAGCAGUAGCCCAUUCCCUUAAUUUUGAACGCAACAACAAUACGAAACUGUACUCAUCACUACACAUGACUGGAAUGCAAACAAUAAACAUAAGAACACCAGCGCUACAGUGGUGUCACACAAAUGUCACUGAUACGCUCAUGUGCUCAGAUCUUGGUCGUAAUACCUCUCUGCUCUCAUAUCCAACGAAAUUGAGCAGCUCACGACCUACAGAACAAGAAUCUGCAAUAACCAUGUAGAUCGACAAGAGAAAAGGAGAACACCAUAUCUACGACAAAAUGGAGCCCUCGUUCAUGCAUAUGGCACAUCUGGAGAGAGGGGAGGGAAAGAGAGGGGAGGGAAGGAGAGGGGAGGGGAGUAAACCAGUGAGCGGACAGAUCGAGGGAGAGCAGAGCCACGUCGACUGUCUCCAAAGAGCUCACAUAGAGGGGGUAGGCGGCCAUGGCGCCGGCCAUGGCUGCCCGUGCCACGCCGCCGCGCAGGGCCGUGCGUGUCGGUCGCGCCACACCGUGCCGCGGGGCUCGCCCGCGCAGUGGUGGGGGGAAGGGAGGGACGCUGUCGCCUCGUUCACGUCGCCGCGACUGCCUGCAAGGAGCUCGCACAGAGGGGGAGGGCAGCCGCGCCCGCCAGCAAUGGCCGCCCAUGAAAGGUCCUUGUUUGGUUUUGGUAAUUGAGUGACAACUUAGGUGGACUAAUAGUGUUUAUGUGAGAUACACAGGAGAUUAGUCCACAGGUGAAGAUGUGAUGAUGGAGGAGCUCAUUGCAUAUGAGACAUGACAUGGAGUCAUGUGACCAAGGUGGAGAAGAUCAAGAUGAGGCUUGGCUCGAUGGACCGGUUGCAAGAGUGAAGGGCAAGUCAGAGGCUUUGAAGCGAGGGACCGCGUGUGACGGUGAAGCUUGAGCAAGACUUGACGCCGAUGGACCGAGGCAAUGGUGAAGAGCAAGUGAGGUCAAGAUCGAUGAAACAAUACGGUCACGUGAUGAUAUGAAGUGGAUCAUAUCUUUUGGUGAUUGGUUGGUGCAUGUGUUGCAUCAACAUUGGAGGAGAUGGAAUGGAAAGCGCAAGGCAAAGGUAUAACCUAGGGCAUUUCCAUUUCACCGGUCAUAGGUGUGUAGAGAAGUUUAUGACCGGAUUUAGGAUAGAUGGCCGUACUAUCAAGAGGGGCAAACUUGUUUGCAUAUGGGUCAUCUAGUGCCACUUGAGCGAUCUAACUUUGCAUACGUGUUAGGAUCGAGUGGCGUGGUAAGUUUGAGAGGCUAACUCAUUUGGGAAAAUGUUUGUGAAAAUGCUAACACACAUGCACAUGGUGGUGUACACUUGGUGGUAUUUGGCGCUUUUGAGAAAAUUAAGUGCAUAUUUUCUAUUGCGCCGGUGGGAAUUUUGGAGAAGUCGCGGGAGUGUUUCUCAGUAGGAAACACUCACGGACGCUCUGCGCGGAGGCACCGGACGCUGGCCUUUAGCGUCCGGUGUGCUGUCGGGUGCAGCAAAGUGCACCGGACGCACCGGAGAGAGUCCGGUGCUCAGCGUCCGGUGUGUGAGCUGUUUGGCGACCCUAUCUGCGCAUGAGUCCGGUGAGCAUCGGACGCUCAGGGUGCGUCCGGUGACCUUGCGAGUUUGCGAAGCUCUCUGCGCACGGGUCCGGUGUGCAUCGGACGCGUCCGGUGUGGACUAGUUGAGCGUCCGGUGGUGCUGUGUCAGGCGCGGGCGCGUGGAAGCCGUUGGCGGUAACGGUCGAGUUCAAACGGCUAGUGACACGUGGCCGACGCCUGAGCACCGGACGCUGGGGUCGAGCGUCCGGUGACUCCCUGUGAGCGUCCGGUGCCCACGUGUUUUGCACAGUGAAGGGGCAACGGCUAGUUUAGCCCUUGGGGCUAUAAAUAGAAGUGGUGGCCAGCCUUGGCUGGUGCUGAGCACCCUUGGGACUUAGUGUCCACGCUUGGGGAGUGCUAGGAAAGCCUCUAACUCACUUGUUCUUGCAAGAGUGCGAAUCAAUAGCGAGUGAGUGAUUCUAGUGCGUUGCAUUGAGAGAUUGCAUCGAGUGGCACUAGGUGUUCGUGUUGCAAGCCAGGGGUGCUUGUUACUCUUGGAGGUUGCCACCUCCUAGACGGCUUGGUGGCUUGUGACUCCGUCGAAGCACGCAAGGAGAUUGUGUGGUGCUCCGGAGAAGAGAUUGUGAGGGGUACGGUGCUCACCCCGCGGGGAUCGUGAAGAGCAACUCUAGUUGAGCGAGACGUGAAGAGCAACAAGUGGUCCGGCCGGGUCAAGUGCUAGAGCUUGUGGUAAGCACUCCACAUGGGAGAGUGUGACUUGCGGGUCACCACUAGCAAGAGGACCGGCGACAACCUUGGAGCUUGUCUCAACGGGGACGUAGCUUGGUGGCAACCAAGUGAACCUUGGGAGAAAAUCAUCGUGUCAACAUUGUUCUUCCCGUUGGUUUGCAAGUCCCUAACACAAGCUUGUUCUUACUUUCAUAUAUUUGUGCUUGUGUAGUUGCUCUUGUAAUUAGUUAGCUUGUGUAGCUUGCUAGUUACCUUCUUGCUUGUGUAGCUAGAAGUAGUUCCCUUGCGUGACUAAUUUGGUUUGUGUAACCUUGUUAGUCACAUUGCUUAGUUUGUGUAGCUAAGUUAGUUGUGCUCUCUAAUUUGGCAUUAGUUGCCUUGUUAUUGAGCUUGCUAGUGAGAUUAGGCUUUGUGCGCUUUGCCUCACUAGUUUGAGUAGGAGCUCCCCCGGUUUGCAAAGUACUAGUUGCAUAGGUUUGUGUGACCUUGCUCCUAGAAUUGGUUAGGUGAGCUCUUGCUAAGGUAGCACCUUGCUUGCUUGUUUAGGAUCUUUUCAAGGUGCUAGAGAACAUAGAUAGAGGGGUGUAGUCUUGGCUAGACCGAUAGUUUUAAUUCCACAUUUGUUUCGGUUAGCCGGCGUAAUAAUUUUUAGAAAGGACUAUUCACCCCCCCUCUAGUCCGCCAUCUCGACCCUUCAAGUGGUAUCGGAGCUAGGUCUCUCAUUUGUGGUCUUCACCAACCCGAGAGGAUGGCGGCUUAUGGGCUAGAUGAUUGUGAGACACACAUUUUUGAUGGUACAAACUUUGCAGUUUGGAAAAAUCACAUGCUUGAUCAUUUUCGUGCAAAGGGACCUAAAUUUUGGUGGAUUGUCACUAAUGGUCUCACACACAACUUGGACCAUAAGAAUCUCACCAAAGCUCAAAAGGUUCUCUUUGAACUUGAUUGUGAAGCUUAUUGUUAUCUAAUGAAAUCUUUGAGCUUUGAGUUGUUUGAUAGGAUAAACUCGAAAGGAACCGCAUAUGAAAUGUGGGAGUCUAUCAAACACACCUUCGGUGAUUCCUCCACAUGGGAUGAUGACAAGUUCAAAAAGGAGGUGUUGGUGCAAAAGCUGGUCUGCAAACACAAAGGGCUAAUACCCGAUUUCAAACGUUAAGGCGUGCCAGCCGAUUUGACCUUACUAUCGGCAAAGGUGAUAACUCGAAUACUUUAGUCCUGACAACAGCGAUGCGCCCGGAUGUCACGGCUAAGAGGUACUCACGCGGAACUUGAGAACACACCGAGCUUGAGUCGACGAAUUCCUAAGAACUCGUAAUGAAAAGGGAAAAAAGUAUGACGAAGUCGUCGAAAAAGUAGAUGCUGGAAUAUGAGUAAAAACGUGUGUUUGAUUGAUUGAUAGAUAGAUCAUUACAAGGUCCUAGGGUCUAUAUUUAUACCCUGCUCAAAGAGCUACAACCAGACACGAUUAGAAUUCGAAUUUCAAAUUACACGGAAUCCGUAUACAAAACGAUGUAAAUAAUUAAGGAAAUAACAAAACUAUCUCCCGUGACAAACUGAAACUCCUCAACAAACCGAUCGGCAGCUUAGUCACUGUCUGUAGACUUAGUCACGUUCAAUUUCUCCCCCAUCGGCAACCAUCCUCAUCGGCAACUCAUCUUGUAAACAAAACACUGCCAUUUCAUCCUGCCAUCCUGGACACGUGCCCAAAAACGAUGUCAACACAUGCCCCCCAAUUUUGGAGUAUGAAAUCAUUAAUGCUCCGAAAUUCUCUGCAGUAAUGAUGCCUUUUCCCGCAAUUAAUGCUCCCAAUCUGGUAACCGACAACCUCAAUCUGAACAACUCUGAUCCUAUUCUUCUGCGGAUUCCUCGAAACCCUCAACUUCCUAAACAGGCAUUUCCUUCUCAACCGUACAUCGGCAAUAUUACCGUUACGAAGAUCUGCCGAUGUACUGAUCAGGACGUUUGUACAAACGGCUACCUUCACUUCAUUCGCCCACCGGCAAUAUGACCGUUACAGAGCAUUGCCGAUGGACCGACCAGGAAAUCUCGCACAGUAAAAUAUCUUCAGAUAAUGACCGCUUCCCGUCAAAUCACCUGCACAAUCCCUUGAUUACCGUGCAAACAGUUACCAUAUCUACCUGAGCACCCUCGGAUUUCUCGGAUGCGGCAAAGUGAUAAGUCAGAUUUGCCCUUGCCCAUUUUGUCUGAUAAAUAGUUCCUUCUCGGGUACUCCUUCCCCAUCACAUCAUUCCACCAUCCCAACUUUACUUUUCCAGCGGCGGCGCCAUUCAACGUCUCCAAGACCUCCGGCAAAAACUCUUCCUCACCAACCCGAAGCCCCCAGGCAUCCUCCUCGUCGCAAGAUGGCUAUUAGCUUCAUCGUCCCUGAGGUCAAUUCUUCAUUCCAUCCCCUGUUCUUUUCUUCGCAUCCCUGUUCAUCCGCAAUCCAUUUUACUGAACAUUUUCUUUUCUUUUCUUUGUGUUCUUUUUCUUUAUUUCAAAAACCACCAGGAAUUGUCUAACAAAAUCGUCAUCCCCACCGAUCAACCACACCUCCAAUGCCUCGGCCCUCUAGGGGAUCCAGAUCCAACCGAUCUCAUUAACACAGAAACCAAUAGGAUCCCUUUCAGAGCCGAAAAUUUUUCUUUAGAUCUGUGAAAAGACACCUUCCGCUCUUGGCCCAGUCCUACCGUAGGGUGGAAAGACUGGUUCUUGAGAGUCAGCAACUCCAAUGAAGUCCAGUGGGGUGAGAGAAAACUAGAUCAAUGCAUUAGGUUGUCCAUUGCCGAUAUGCACAGGAAUGAGUCACUGUUGAUAGCUGCAUCUUACUUUUGGUCAGACACCCUCAAUGCUUUUGUCUUUGGCCACGGCCCUGCUUCUCCUACUCUUGCCGAUGUAGCCAUGCUCACCGGUCUAGAUGUAUCUUCUGCCGAUAGCACCCACCUUUUUGACACAGCUCCUAGUGCCAAAGUAGAGACUCGCGCUAUCGGCGGCUGGUCAGGGUACAUUCAGAAGUAUCAUGGGAAGGGACCUGUCAGCAUAAAGGAACAAACCACCUUUCUGAAUAUGUGGCUCGACAAGUUUGUGUUCUGUGGUCGAUCGGCAGGACCGACUUCCAUCUAUCUAUCGGCAGCAGAGAGACUGGCUAACGGUGGCCGAUUCCCUCCCGGCCAAUACUUGCUUGGUGCCGUUUACCAUCUUCUCCAUCAGGUGGCCAAGAAACUCCUGCUCGGCCAGUCUACUGGCAACUUAGGUGGCCCAUGGUGGUUCAUUAACAUGUGGCUUAAUAUGCAUCUGCACAAGCGCCUCAACUUCAACCUGUUCACACAGCGUUUCCCAAGAGAUAUAACUGAAAAUCAUGUGCUGGGUGAAGAGGAAUCGGCAACACGCGCUCCCUUGAACUUUGACGAAGUUGUCAUAGUUCUACCUGGUUCAGGGGGUAAUCCAGAUCAGAUCGGCCGAUUCUUCCAGACUCUGUAUGAGGGCUUGGCCAGAGAUGAACGACCGUGGUUGGCCUAUGAUGACCCAGACAGUAUGCUCCCCCUGGUUUUCAAUCCAUUUGAUGACGCUCUUGACAGGGAUAAUGAGGUGAUGAUGGCAAUUGUGACUCCUAGAGCCAUACCAGUGAAUUUCUUUGGUAGCACAAAAACCUCUCCCCAGACUUAUGAAUUUUACAACCCAUCGGCAUUAGCUCGUCAAUUAGCUUUCGGCCAGUUGCCGAUUGCGCUCUGUUAUGCCGAUGUGAUAAAACUCAGAGAGCCCAUCAGCAACUUUCUUAAGUGGAUUCGAGUAGCCCAACUACCACCGAAUGCCGAUACAGAUGCAGAUUUGUCAUAGUGGGUUCCAGCCGCUUUCAUCACUCAGGCGUACAAACUAUGGUGGGCAGAAUGGAAGGAGCAUCUAUUCUGCAAAUCAGCCCUUUCGUAUCGCGGCAUGAUUGAUCCCGAGUACAAAGUCCCUGACGACGCUGUAAGUAUUCCAAAACGAUGUUCCAAUUCCUUUGUAUACCUUUUGCAGGUUGACAACAUCCCCCCAUCGGUUAGCAGAAGUGGUAAGCCGAUUGACCUGUUUCCAUCAGGCCCGAUCUCCUCAAUCGGCCACAAUGCUCCCACUCUGGCUACCAUCGUGCAUCGGGGUGUGCGCCUUAAAAAAGUCACCACCAGGAGAACUCAGACAUUACCAACGGUAGCUGCUUCCACUCUGGCGCAGGCUUUCAAGGCAAUUUGCCAAACCUUUUUUAUUCACACUGAUCACCUUUAUAUCGGCUACAUUUGUACUCAUAAACUCCUUUUUGUUGUUGCAGCAAACCGGUGCAUCGGCAAAAGCCAAAUGCCAAGGUGCCGAUGCCCCCCAGUCUAGUCAGCCAAAGAGGAAGGGCGCCAAGGGUACCAAGGCUGGAACAAAGCGCCAGAAAGUGGCAACUCCCCCUCCUCCUCCGGUAUCUCCAAUUCCGGUGGAGUCUUCCCCUUCUUCUCAAGAAGCCUAGACGCAGCAAGCACCAUCUCCCGGGCAGCUGGGAUUGUAUCGGCAGAGACCAGGGCUAAGCUGGAAGAACUAUUGGCUAUCCUUCAUCAAGACACAGCUCAACUGGUUAAUGAUUCCGACCCGGCCAAGGUUCUGUUCAAGACCCUCAGAGGCCAGAUCCCUAUCGAUGCUGAAGAAACCCUCUUCCAAGCCGCACAUCUAGAAAGUCGCCAGCUGCAAUACCAGAGAGCCACUCGGCGCCUUGCCGAUAUAGCUGCUCAGACCCAGCUCUCUGAGGAGAUGAUGAAAGAGAAACUCUUAGCCGAUGAGAAGCACAAGAACAUUGGCACCUUGAAGUCCUCAGGCGAUGCAUUGAAGCAGAAAAUCAAUGAUUUAUCGGCAAAAAGAGAAGCCCUGCUGGCAGAACUCAAGCAAGUGGAGGAUGCCUUAUCUCGAGCCCAGCAAGAAGAAAGUCAACUACCGGAGACCAUCAAGCACCUCGAGCAAGAGCGAAAUGCCCACGGUCGCAAAGCGCUGCAGUUGAAGAAGAAGCUGAAGCCGAUAGAAGGUUCUGUCGAUGAUGAUGCCAAAGAGAUAGAACAAGCCAACCAAAUCCGGCUGCGCGCCAUAUCGGCGAUCCAGGCGCUGCUGAACAUCUGAAGCUUUCAUCGGCAACACGUCUUCGCUCCUCUGCAUUUCAGCUUUCUUAAUGUCUUUGUCUAGCCGAUAGGACUGUUAUCGGCAUCUUUUGAAAUGUUAAGUCUGGCCCCAGAUACAUUUUAAUCCAGCCGAUAGGAGUGUUAUCGGCGCUUAAACUUCUAUGCAUCGAUCCAUAUGCUGGGUAGUACUUCUUUAAAUAUUUGCCAUUUAAUGCUGUGAGAAAUUCAACUCCUUCGAGAGUUUCUAAAAUAUAGGCAUUUCCAGGAGCCGAUCGACUUAUCCGAUAAGGACCUUCCCAAUUAGGAGACCACUUUCCAAACUUCGAACUUUUGGUCCCGAUCGGUAAAAUUAAUUUCCAUACCAAGUCUCCAUCGGCAAACUCCUUAGCCUUUACUUUCUUGUCAUACCAUCUAGCAACUCUCUUCUUAUUUUCUUCUAUACUCAUUAAAGCCUUUAACCGAUGUCCUGCUAGAUCGUCUAACUCAUCGGUCAUCAAAGUGGCAUAAUUAUCGGCAGCCAAUUGAUCUUGAAAAGAUAAUCGCCUAGAUCCAGCCUUAAUUUCCCAAGGCAAGACUGCAUGAUGUCCAUACACCAAUUGAUAGGGUGACACCUUGGUUGAUCCAUGACAAGUCAUCCGAUAGGACCACAAUGCUUCAUUUAAUAAUGUAUGCCACCGCUUAGGAUUUUCUUCAAUCUUUCGUUUGAUAAGCUUGAUAAUUCCUUUGUUAGACGCCUCGGCCUGCCCAUUGGCUUGAGCAUAAUAAGGAGAAGAAUUCAACACUUUAAUCCCCAUACCGACUGCAAAUUCAUCAAACUCCCCCGAUGUAAACAUAGUGCCCUGAUCGGUAGUAAUUGUUUGAGGAAUCCCAAAUCGGUAAAUGAUAUGCUCCUUCACAAAAUCAAUCAUGUUGGCUGAUGUGACUUUCUUCAAAGGAAUAGCUUCGACCCACUUAGUGAAAUAAUCAGUGGCAACCAGAAUAAACUUAUGCCCUUUGCUAGAUGGUGGAUAAAUCUGGCCGAUCAGAUCAAUAGCCCAUCCUCGGAACGGCCAAGGCUUUAUGAUAGGAUUCAUAGCCGAUGCAGGUGCCCUUUGAAUAUUACCAAACUUUUGACACCCUUGACACCCUUUGAAAUACUUAAAGCAAUCCUCAAGUAUAGUCGGCCAAUAAUAUCUAUUCCUUAUAAUCAUUCACUUCACCUUAAAAGCCGACUGAUGUGCUCCACACACUCCUUCAUGAAUUUCUCCCAUCAAACUCCUAGCUUCAUCAUCACCUAAGCAUCGGAGAAGAAUUCCAUCAAUAGUUCGAUAGUACAAUUCAUCUUCGAGGAGCACAUACUUGGUUGCUUGAAAUCGAACUCGUCUUUCAACUUUCUUGGAUGGAUCUUUCAAAUAAUCAAUAAUUUCUUUCCUCCAAUCAUCGGCAUUGCAUUAAUCAUAGGCUGAUAUCCCGAGGCAUGCUGAGCUAACCGAUUGGCCUCUUCAUUAUGCAAUCGAGGAACAUGCUCUAAUCGGAAAUCUUUGAAUUCCUUUAACAGUUGCAUGCUCUUCUCGAAAUAAGUUAUGAGAACUUCACUUCGGCAUUCAUAGCUCCCGGCCAAUUGAUUUAUAACCAACAUAGAAUCACCGAAGACUUCAACAGCGUCAGCACGAACUUCUCUUAACAACUCUAAUCCUUUUAUCAAAGCCUGAUAUUCAGCCUGAUUAUUUGUUGACGUAGCAACAAUUGGCAAGGAAAAUUCAUACUUCCUUCCCAUAGGAGAAACUAACACUAUGCCGAUUCCUGCCCCCCGGUCACAUGUAGAUCCAUCAAAGAAGAGUGUCCAAAGCACAAUUUCCACAGCCUCCACCGUGCCACAAUGUUGGGUCACAAAAUCGGCCAUAACCUGCCCUUUAACUGCCUUAGUCGAUUCAUAACGCAGAUCGAACUCCGACAGCGCCAAAAUCCAUUUACCGAUCCUGCCACUCAUAAUCGGCAUACAUAGCAUGUACCGGACCACAUCAUCUUUGCAAACAACAGUGCAUUCGGCCGAUAACAAGUAGUGCCUUAACUUGAUACACGAAAAAUAUAAGCAUAGGCAAAGUUUCUCAAUGGCCGAAUACCUGGUCUCAGCAUCAAUCAACCUCCUGCUUAAGUAAUAAAUUACGCGCUCUUUCCCUUCAAAUUCUUGAAUCAAAGCUAAACCGAUAACCACCCCAUCGGUAGACAAAUACAAUCUGAAGGGCUUUCCUUGCUGAGGUGGAACUAGAACUGGAGGAUUCACUAGAUACUUCUUAAUUUCAUCCGGAGCCAACUGUUGCUCUUUCCCCCAAAUAAAUUCUUGAUCGGCUUUUAGCUUAAGAAGAGGACUGAAAGCACGAAUUUUACCAGACAAAUUAGAUAUAAAUCUCCUGAUAAAAUUUACCUUGCCGAUCAAGGACUGGAGCUCAGUUUUGUUGGUAGGGGCCACUAUCUUAUUGAUGGCGUCAAUAGAUCUUCGACUGAUUUCAAUCCCCCUUCGAUGUACCAUGAAACCAAGAAACUGCCCUGCCGAUACACCAAAUGCGCACUUAUUGGGAUUCAUUUUCAAUCCAUGCUUCCUUGUGCACUCUAACACCUUUCGUAGAUCGCCAAGAUGCUUUGUGAAAUCCCCACACUUAACCACCACAUCAUCAAUAUAAAUCUCCACCAGCUUGCCGAUGAACUCAUGAAAUAUAAAAUUCAUAGCCCUUUGAUAAGUAGCACCAGCAUUCUUGAGGACAAAAGUCAUGACUAUCCAUUCAAAUAACCCAACAUGACAAGGACACCUAAAUGCGGUUUUUGGAAUAUCUUCCUCUGCCAUGAAUAUUUGAUUGUAUCCCGCAUUGCCAUCCAUAAAGCUAAUGAUCCGAUGACCAGCCGCGGCGUCAACCAGCAGAUCGGCAACAGGCAUCGGGUAUCCAUCCAUCGGCGUAGCUUUAUUGAGAUUCCUGAAAUCAAUGCACACCCGAAGCUUCCCGUUUUUCUUGUAAACCGGAACGACAUUGGAAAUCCAUUCGGCAUACCGACACUGCCGAAUAAACUUAGCUUCAAUAAGUUUAGUGAUUUCGGCCUUAAUAUCAGGUAGAAUAUUAAGAUUACAUCGGCAAGCUGGCUGCUGAUGUGGCCGAAAUCCAGACUUGAUGGGUAACCGAUGUUCAACAAUUGAUCGGUCUAAACCAGGCAUCUCGGUAUAAUCCCAAGCAAAGCAAUCUUUAUAUUCCUUUAACAAAUCGGUUAAUUGUUGCUACACUAAGGAUUUAACUUAGCACUAAUAAAAGUAGGUCUAGGCUUAUCACCACUACCUAUAUCUACUUCUACCAAAUCAUCGGCCGAUGUGAAUCCCUGGCCUAAUUUUCCAUCAUCAGCGAACCUAUCCAUCAAAAACAGUCGUCAGAACCGACUGCUUGGAUCGGUGGAAUCUCGUAAUCGGCAACCUUGAGAAAAUCUUUCUCCCAAACUUCUCCUGAAAUGCACCUGGUCCUCUCAUAGGUAUCCGCCUCUGCCGACGCAAUGACAUAAGAAGAAUCUCCUGGGACAAUCUCAAUUUUGUCACCUACCCACUGAACCAAGCAUUGGUGCAUUGUAGACGGGAUGCAACAAUUGGCAUGAAUCCAAUCUCUUCCCAGUAACAAGUUGUACGCACCCUUUCCACUGAUCACGAAGAAAGUUGUUGGCAAAGUUUUGCUGCCGAUGGUCAACUCCACACAUAUUGCCCCCUUGACUGGAGACACGUUCCCUUCAAAGUCUUUAAGCAUCAUAUCGGUCUUGGUCAAAUCCUGAUCCCCUUUCCCAAGCUUCCGAUAUACUGUAUACGGCAUAAUAUUAAUAGCAGCUCCACCAUCAACUAGGAUCUUGGUCAUUGGCUGCCCAUCAACCCUUCCUUUGACGAACAGAGCUUUGAGAUGCUGUCUUUCGUCAUCGGCAGGUUUCUCAAAGAUAGCUGUCAUCGGAUCUAGAGCCAGCUGAGCUAUUUGAUCGGAAAACUCCACCUCGUCAUCACUGGAUGGCGCAAGGAAUUCCAUCGGCAACAUAAAGACCAUGUUGACACCUGCCGAUGGACCUUCCCCCUUAGGACCUGGUUGUUGUCGAUCCUCAGGUUUUCCAGAGCUUUCGCCCUUGCUUAGAUCCUCUUGCCUUUCACGUUGCAAUCUCCUUUUCUGUGUCUUGGUCAACCCUUCCGGACACCAUGGAGGAAGUGGCUUCUGCCUUGCUACUGGGCGUCGAUUCUCUCUUGACUCCAUCCGAUGCGUGUUAGCAUCCCUGCAAAAUAUGAACUCAUCGGGAACUCGUGCAUUAGCCAUCUCUUCGAGCUCUUCCUGGUUCCUGGGAAAAUAUUGGACACGAUCACCAAGCCUAUCGUGCACGCUGAGCUUGCCCCCCAGCCGAUCAUGAACUGAUGCUCUUCCUCUGAUCGGACCAUCAAAUCGUCGAUUGUCAUCAUGAUAACGCCAAUCGGUCCUAUCAUACCGAUCAUAACCAUUGCACUCAGGGAAGUCUCUGACAGUGGGAAGUUUAAUAUUCUCCUCCCAACAAUGGAUGAAGAACGGACAGUUCCAAUGAUCUCUAUGCCGAUUCCACUCCUGUCGGCGUCUCUCUUCUUCCCGACGAUAAUCUUCUUGCUGGCGCCGAUACCGAUCUUCCCGUUGCUGCCAGUUCUCUCGAGGCCUUCUAUGAGUUAUAACGAUGCCAGACCGAGGAGGCCUACCUGAGCUGGUUCCUUCCUGAACCAAGCCCCUACCUCUUGCAUCGGUAGUAGUAACUUGAUGCUGAGGAUCUACCGAUGCACUUCUCUCGGCUGCUUCUGAUGUUAAGACUUUAGCCUUUCUCUUAGCAUCCAACAUGUUUGUUGGGAAAGGAUGUUGGUCUAUCUUCAUCGGCUUCUAAGUCUUGGAACUGUCAAACUUGAUUCUCCCAGACUCUAUAGCCGAUUGCAGCUGCUGCCUGAAAACCUUGCACUCAUUGGUGUCAUGAGAAGUUGCAUUAUGCCACUUGCAAUAUUUCAUCCUCUUUAACUCCUCAGCCGAUGGGAUCACGUGAUUAGGAGACAGUUUGAUCUGACCUUCCUGAAGUAGAAAAUCAAAUAUCCUAUCGGCCUUAGCGGUGUCAAAAGCGAACUUUUCUGGUUCCUUCUGCCCAAAAGGGCAAGAUAUCGGCUUUUUGUUCUUUACCCACUCUGCCAAGCCGAUGACUCGUUCCUCAUCAGAAUCCGAGCUUGUUGCUUCAUCAACAAAUGAUACCUUCUUGUUCCAUGCUCUUUUGGGCUCGAAAGGCUUGAUGUCUUGAUCAGAAAUCCUCUGCACCAAAUGACUUAAGCUUUCAAACUCCUGAGAGGCAUACUUAUCCCUGAUAUGUGGCAACAAACCCUGGAAAGCCAAAUCGGCUAGCUGCCGAUCAUCCAGAACCAGGCUAUAGCAUUUAUUCUUGACCUCCCGUAUCCUCUGCACAAAACCCUCAACCGACUCAUCAUUACGUUGCCUCAACUUGACCAAGUCGGUGAUCUUCUUCUCAUGAACCCCGGAAAAGAAGUAUUUGUGGAAUUGUUUCUCCAGAUCGGCCCAAGUAAUCACUGAGUUGGGUGGUAGUGAUAUGAAGCAGGUAAAGGCCGAUCCAGACAAUGAUGAUGAAAAUAAACGAACCCUUAAUUCGUCCCUGUUACCAGCUCGCAUUGAAUAAUGAACCUAUUGACAUGCUCCAUGGUUGACGUGUCAUCCUGUCUAGAAAACUUAGUAAAGUCUGGUACCUUGUACCGAUGCGGAAGCGGGAUCAAAUCAUAUGCGGGAGGAUACGGUGUCCGAUAAGAGUAAGUGUUGACUUUGGGUUUUAUCCCAAAUUGAUCCCUCAUUACUUCAGCGAUCUUAUCGGCCCAAUAUGCAUCGGCAUCCUGCCGAUGAGGCGGCUGCGGGUCCGGCACCUGGUGGCGAGCCUCCACGUGUCUGUUUGGGGCAUGAUCUGCACGGAACGUUGGGUUGAUCAUCUGGCCCCCAAUUUGCGGACCACCAAACAGCUAUCCACCGAUUUGCUGCCCCCCGAGCUGCCGUCCGAGAUUCAUUGGCUGGUUGGGAACCCCCUGACUUUGGAAUCUGGGAUAGAUCUGUCCUUGCUGGAAUCCUGUAGCCUGGUAACUCUGUUGGGGUGUUUGGGGAAAGACUUGCUGUCCAAGCCACCCAUUAUUAGCGUUCAUCGGCAUAGGCGCUGCCGAUGUUUGGUAAUUGGGCAUCAUCAUUGAAUUGACAUACCCCGACUGGGUCAUAGACCUCUGUUGCAUCAGCAUUGAAUCUGCCGAUGCAUUAGGCAUCUGGAACAUUGAAUCUUGAGGAUUCCUAGUGUGAGGCCUCGCAGUAGUAGUUGUAGUAUACUGAGGACUCUAGUUCAAUGGCGCAUUGGGAAGCGCCGAUGUCAUAGGAGUCUUGCCCCUCAUGUCGGUUAUCUGUGAUGUACCCGGCGUCAACUCUGGAGGCAUACCAUAACCCCACCAGUUGGGAGGAAGAGUCAGCCCUGACAUUGCCGAUGCCAACAUAUCUGUAGUCAGUUUAUUCUGCCCACCUGAAGUCUGCGGGUUAGUUGUCAUCGGCACAGAUUGGGCAUUAGUAGUUCCCAACGUACUUGGAGGGACGGCAGACUGUGCACUCGCAGUGGCCGUAGCAGCCGAUGGAGCCGUGACCUCUUGUGACGUUGGCUGAUGAUGAGAGGGGCCCACAUAAUCUGGUGGGAUUUGUCCUUCCUUGAAAGUUCUUGCCACGGCAUUGAAAAAUGUAUUAGACAGUACGCCAGCUUGGUUGAUCAAAGCUCGGUUGAUAGCACUGUCAACCAUAUCUUGAAGCUUGCCAGGAUUGGCUUCGAAAGUAACCUGCCGUGGUGCCGGCAGUGCAUCUUUCUGGAUUACUUCGCCGCUCCUGUUCAUGCUGAAGGACUUUAGGCAUUGCAACUUGUAUUCCUCCAUGGCUUGAGCAAUAGCUUGCUUCUGCUCAUCCUUGAGAUUGGCUUCCGUCACGGGGAUGACGUUCUCUUGAUCAAAGUCAGAGAUCGACAUGUUGAACAUGAUCUUGAAUCUGUCCCACUGGGCGUGCCAAAAGAUGUGUUGGUGCAAAAGCUGGUCUGCAAACACAAAGGGCUAAUACCCGAUUUCAAACGUUAAGGCGUGCCAGCCGAUUUGACCUUACUAUCGGCAAAGGUGAUAACUCGAAUACUUUAGUCCUGACAACAGCGAUGCGCCCGGAUGUCACGGCUAAGAGGUACUCACGCGGAACUUAAGAACACGCCGAGCUUGAGUCGACGAAUUUCUAAGAACUCGUAAUGAAAAGGGAAAAAAGUAUGACGAAGUCGUCGAAAAAGUAGAUGCUGGAAUAUGAGUAAAAACGUGUGUUUGAUUGAUUGAUAGAUAGAUCAUUACAAGGUCCUAGGGUCUAUAUUUAUACCCUGCUCAAAGAGCUACAACCAGACACGAUUAGAAUUCGAAUUCCAAAUUACACGGAAUCCGUAUACAAAACGAUGUAAAUAAUUAAGGAAAUAACAAAACUAUCUCCCGUGACAAACUGAAACUCCUCAACAAACCGAUCGGCAGCUUCCGGACUCUCCCUUCGUAUUAUCAACAGAUUCCCUUGACAUAGUCAUCGGCAGAUUUCCUCAUCAUAGCCAUCGGCACAGACACAUCACCGUUUGUAGACUUAGUCACGUUCAAUUUCUCCCCCAUCGGCAACCAUCCUCAUCGGCAACUCAUCCUGUAAACAAAACACUGCCAUUUCAUCCUGCCAUCCUGGACACCUGCCCAAAAACGGUGUCAACAGGAGGAACCAAAGGUGGAGAUACAUGAGGAUGUUGAGCAUGACCACAACAAGGUGGUUGUGGAGGAUUGCUCCACCUCAUGGUCAAGUGAAGAUGAAGAUGAUGGCUAUCAGAGUGAUGCUUCUACAAGCUCAUCCACUUCAUCACAUUCCUCCAUGUCUCACGGCGACGGCAAGGUAUCUAUUGGAGGUGUGAUUGUUGAUUGUGAUGAUCCAAAUUUUGAGCUUGUAUGUAGACUCACCAAAGCUUUAAGAAAUGAGAUGGCUAAAACAAGUAAAUUGAAAAAUGAAAACUCAUUUCUAAAGACCACAUGUGAACAACAAAAGCAUAUACUUUAUGUUACUACUUGUUCACAUGAGGAGCUAAAAUUGGUUCAUGAGGAACUUUGUGUUACUCAUGAUAACUUGGUAAAAGAUCAUGCUUUUCUCACUAAGAAGAUUUCUAAUGAAGAAAUUAAAACUAGUGAGAGCUCAUCACUUGGGUCAAAUAAUCAAUCACAUAUCGCUACUAACCCUUGUGAUGUAGGCAAGAAGCAUGUAUCCACCUCUUGUGAUGUUUUAUUAUCUAUGCCAUGUUAUUGACAAAUAGAUGCUUGUUCUACUUCUAUGUCUUGUGAGACUAACCUUUUGAAGGAGAACAAUAAGCUCAAUGAACAAGUGAAGAAUUUGAGCAACAAGCUAGAGAGGUGCUAUAAUUCAAAAGUCACCUUUGAGCAUAUAUUGAGGACUCAAAGAAUCUAUGGUGACAAGUGUGGCCUUGGCUUCAAGGAGAAGAUGACAAAGGGCAAAAGAAAGCAAGAAAAGAGAAAGCUUUCUCAUUUCAUGUGCUAUCGGUGCCAUGAAAUGGGACAUCUUGCAAAUGGUUGCCCAAACAUUGAGAAGCUCAAGAAGAUAAAGGAAGAAGAGAGGCUAAAGCAUGUCAAGUGCUUCAAGUGCCGCACUUGGUGUCAUCUCACCUCAAUGUGCCCAACCAAGCAAUUGGUGAAGCAUCAAGCAAAGCCUCAACAAAAGCCACAAGUUGAGCAAGAAAAGAAGCCCCAAGCUCAAGUCAAGAUCUACCAUGAAGAUGGUAGUGACAUGGGGAUGAUGAAGAAGAAGACAAGAAGGGGAGGUAGACAAUCAAGAUCAUCAAAAGACCUCUCCCACAUCAAGUGCUUUGAGUGCAAGGAUGAUGGACACUUUGCCUCGAGGUGUCCUACCAAGCUUGAGAAGAAGGCUCGAGCAACUCUCAAGAGGCAAGGCAAUGAGAAGCAACACAUGAACAAGGAAGAAAAGGCUCAAUCUAAAAGAAGUUGCUACUUAUGCCGGGAAAGGGGACACAUGGCUCAUUCAUGUCCCCUAGGUACUAAUUCUAAGCCCAUUUCAAUUGAUGAUAAUACUAUGCUUAGAAAGGAUGGUAAUGGUACCUCUAUGGUUGCUUUUGCAAAACAUCCCGCUACUCAUACUAAGGCUAUGCCUAAGUAUGUUGCACCUAACUUGAGAGGACCCAAACUAGUUUGGGUACCAUCAAAAAGUGGAUGAUUGUGUGUAGGUACCAUCGGCAUUGGAGGCUUGAUUCAAUUGAUCUUAUAUUAUUCAUCAUAUGAUUGAGUCAAGUAUUGAAGUUUAGUGCACAUCCAAACCCAAUGCCAUGACAAGAUAGUGAAGUCCAAGUGCGACAACAUACAAGUGCAAAUAUUCAAGUUGUGGUGAUUUAUUGUAUCAUUUGAUGGCUUGCAAAUACAUGCGUUGAAGCUUGCAAAUUAGAUGAUCAUGAGCUAACCAAGGUAUAUCUUUAUUGAUCACAUUCAUUUGGGUGCAUAUAAGUUGAUUGAAUUGGAUAUAUAUGCAAUAUUGCUUGCUAUAAGAUGUUUGAAUGGAUAAAAUGAUUAGUAAUCAAGUUUGGAUUGAUUUGAGUUGAAUAAGUUCAUGAGAUGACUUUUAGUAAGUGGAUUGAAUUGAUAUAUGUCUUGUGAAUGCAUUCAAUCAAGUUGAUUUCAAGUUUGAUUCAAUUUGAACAAGUAUAGCUCAAUUGCUUGAAAUCUGUCCUAUAUUGAAAACCAGAGCAAGCUGAGAUCAAGUCUGAGUUUGAGUGAUCAAAUCUAUUUGGAGUGGCUUCAAAUUUGGUAUGCAUGCUGUACAAUUAUCAGAGAAGAUGCUGUAGAAAUUUCCUGAGAAUUGGAUAAGGGAUACUUCGGUUUUGGAGUAGAUCUUAUCAGCUAUAGUGCAGCAGUUUUCAGCAUGUAGCAGUGGUGGAAGAAUUGAAAUCUGGUAGCAAUCCAGAAGUCAAAUGAAGCUCAAAUUUUUACAGAUGCUAUAUGACUUAGUGAAUUACAUCUCCACCAAAUUUCGUGGCAUUUCGAUCUGUACAUUGUGAGAUAUGGAUAUUUCCUUAAAGGGUUCAGAAUCUGCUAGAAAAGUGACAAAUAUCGGAUUGAUCUAGAGUCACUUAAAUUGAAAGGUCCUCAAGUUGGAAUUAUGAUUAUAAGUGUUUGAGGCACAUAAGUUUGGUUUUGAAUUAAUCUAGAAGCAUGACAAGUAAUGUGUACAAGGUCAUUUGAUUGUGGAAUGUACUUGGUGUACACAUUUAGUACUCAAAUUGAAGAUCAAGAUCAAACUCAAGAAGAAGAUGAAGUUUAAGUUCUAGUGACUAUUGGAGAUCAUUUAGUAGAAAGAAAAGGACUUAAACAAGUAGAAAGAAAAGGACAUAAAGAAUGAUUCAUGGAUAUUCAUCAUAUUAAGUCCAUCACUUGAAUCAAUCAAUCAAAGCAAUUCAAGUGAGUAUCAAGAAUGGUUCUUUGGAGAGAGGUCACUUCUCCCUAUGUGAGGGGCUUGCCGCCCGAGGAGUGGGUAAACCAAGUGUGGUGCUUGGAGGGCUAACAUGGAAGUGGUGAUCUAAAGGACAUUUGAGAUGCUUAGUUGAAGCAAUCAAAAGGAUUGAUCAAGGGAGCAAGCAACACCCAAAGAGAGCUAGUCAUGAUGUUCAAGUAUUCUUAUUAGUUCUCUCAUGCAAGUAAUGGUAAAAAGAAGAAGCAAGCCAACCACAACAAGAUAGUGCACUUGAUCAUAAAGUGGUUCUAAAUUCAUAUGGGUGAAGAUUUGAUCUAUCAAUUGGCAUUCAUGAUUGGUCUUCACCAAGCUUAUAGUUGGACUUCACAUUGCUAUUUGGAGCUAAAUUGGAAUCUUAUUGACUAUCCUCUACUCCAAGAUAGCAAAGGUAUCAUUGUAAUGUGCAUGAUCAUUUCAUCCUUUACUAGUAUGCGGUUAGUGCAUAUAGUACAUGCUUCAUAGGAUCAUGCAUGGCAAAUGAAAAGUUUUAAAUUCAUAACCUACCACUAUUGCUUGAUUGAUUAGUUGAUCUAGUGGUUGUAUAUGAGUUUGUUCAUGAGCUAGUGAACCCAAGUACUUGAUCUAUUUUGGAUUGUUAACAAGUGACAAGUACAACAUUGGCAAGAUAACCCUUAAUGUGAGGUGUGAAAAAGCUUGUCAUUGGUUCAAACCGGACUUGGAAGCUUUAGCAAAUCAACUUAGUUUAAGUCAACAAUUAGAAGCUCAUAGUGAUUAGAGUACAAGAACAAGACAACAAUGCAAGUGUAUAUCUAGACUUAAAAGUUUCUUCAAUUGGUAUCCUACAAUUGGUACUCAUGAUAGCAAAUGUUCAAGAAAGCAAACAAGUGGUUCCAUACUAGAAGACCUUCAAUUGGAAGAAGAUUUCCAUAUGGUAUCAGACAAGAUCUUUCAAAUGAUAUGACAUUUAUACAUAUGAUAUCUAUCAUACAAGAAGGUGGUUCCACAAGUGAUCCUCAACUUUAAGUGAUCAUCAAGCAAAGAAAGUUCCCUCACCAACAAGAUUGACAAGUGAAUGACCCAUGCUAUGACAUAGGGGGAGUGCCCCACCAAAUGGUAUCAAGGUCAAAGAUCCUAUGUGGUAUCUCCAGAGUAAUUCAAGUAAUGUCAUUCCAACACAUGGUGAAGUCCAUCAAAAAUGCAGGAUUCAAGCUUCAACCAUCUAUCCCAAUGCAAUCCUUUGUCACAAUGAGAUUCACAUUUUUACAAUUGGUAUCAAGUGAUUUAAUUGGUAUCACAUACCUUUUAUGGAAAUUGAUGACAAAGGGGGAGAAGUUGGAACAAAGAUAUGAUCAUGGGAUAAGUUGGACAACAAAAGAUAUAUUUCAAGGGGGAGAGAUGAAAGAUGGACAUGGACAAGGGAGCAACAUUAAAAGAUAUAAGAUGAUGGAUCAAAAUUCUUGGACAAAAGAGAAGCACACAAGUAGGUGGAGCAAGCUCAUGAACAUUGAUUGUUUGCAUUUGAUAUGUGCAUACUCAUGUGCUUGCUUGCAUUGCAUAAGUUUUUAAAUUCAAUAUGCAUGCUUGUGUGGUGUAUGCUAGUUAUAGAACUUGAUUGAUGAUAUGAUAACUAGCAUGCAUAGGUUGGUAGCUAGACUUGUGUUCUUCAAGUAAAGACUAGACCCUUGCUUAUAAUGUUGAUCUCAUGGGGUUUCUAGUGUUUUUGUUGUCUAGCUACUCAUGGUGCUAAGGAUGGUGUACAAUUGAAUGCCUCAAAUGCUAUUGAAUUUGGUAUCAAGCUACAAAGGUUUACUCUAUACACCUUAGCACUUAGUAGGGUUUUUUGGUGCUUAUCCAAAUCCUGACAUAGAGCUUAAAUGUUGGAUAAGUAGCAUAAAAUCCAAAUCAAGUUAGCAAUUUACACUUGUGUGAAGUGAUAGCUUGAAAAAGCUUAAUUUCCAUAUCUUUAUAUAGUUGUCAUCAAUUACCAAAAAGGGGGAGAUUGAUAGGUCCUUGUUUGGUUUUGGUAAUUGAGUGACAACUUAGGUGGACUAAUAGUGUUUAUGUGAGAUACACAGGAGAAUAGUCCACAGGUGAAGAUGUGAUGAUGGAGGAGCUCAUUGCAUAUGAGACAUGACAUGGAGUCAUGUGACCAAGGUGGAGAAGAUCAAGAUGAGGCUUGGCUCAAUGGACCGGUUGCAAGAGUGAAGGGCAAGUCAGAGGCUUUGAAGCAAGGGACCGCGUGUGACGGUGAAGCUUGAGCAAGACUUGACGCCGAUGGACUGAGGCAAUGGUGAAGAGCAAGUGAGGUCAAGAUCGAUGAACCAAUACGGUCAUGUUAUGAUAUGAAGUGGAUCAUAUCUUUUGGUGAUUGGUUGGUGCAUGUGUUGCAUCAACAUUGGAGGAGAUGGAAUGGAAAGCGCAAGGCAAAGGUAUAACCUAGGGCAUUUCCAUUUCACCGGUCAUAGGUGUGUAGAGAAGUUUAUGAUCGGAUUUAGGAUAGAUGGUCGUACUAUCAAGAGGGGCAAACUUGUUUGCAUAUCGGUCAUUUAGUGCCAGUUGAGCGAUCUAACUUUGCAUACAUCUUAGGAUCGAGUGGCGUGGCAAGUUUGAGAGGCUAACUCCUUUGGGAAAAUGUUUGUGAAAAUGCUAACACACAUGCACAUGGUGGUGUACACUUGGUGGUAUUCGGCGCUUUUGAGAAAAUUAAGUGCAUAUUUUCCAUUGCGCCGGAGGGAAUUUUGGAGAAGUCGCGGCAGUGUUUCUCAGUAGGAAACACUCACCGGACGCUCUGCGCGGAGGCACCGGACGCACCGGAGAGAGUCCGGUGCUCAGCGUCCGGUGUGUGAGCUGUUUGGCGACCCUCUCUGCGCAUGAGUCCGGUGAGCACCGGAAGCUCAGGGUGCGUCCGGUGACCUUGCGAGUUUGCAAAGCUCUCUGCGCACGGGUCCGGUGUGCAUCGGACACGUCCGGUGUGGACUAGUUGAGCGUCCGGUGGUGCUGUGUCUGGCGCGGGCGCGUGGUAGCCAUUGGCGGUAACGGUCGAGUUCAAACGGCUAGUGACACGUGGCCGACGCCUGAGCACCGGACGCUGGGGUUGAGCGUCCGGUGGCUCCCUGUGAGCGUCCGGUGCCCACGUGUUUUGCCCAGUGAAGGGGCAACGGCUAGUUUAGCCCUUGGGGCUAUAAAUAGAAGUGGUGGCCAGCCUUGGCUGGUGCUGAGCACCCUUGGGACUUAGUGUCCAUGCUUGGGGAGUGCUAGAAAAGCCUCUAACUCACUUGUUCUUGCAAGAGUGUGAAUCAAUAGCGAGUGAGUGAUUCUAGUGCGUUGCAUUGAGAGAUUGCAUCGAGUGGCACUAGGUGUUCGUGUUGCAAGCGGGUGGUGCUUGUUACUCUUGGAGGUUGCCACCUCCUAGACGGCUUGGUGGCUUGUGACUCCGUCGAAGCACACAAGGAGAUUGUGCGGUGCUCCGGAGAAGAGAUUGUGAGGGGUACGGUGCUCACCCCGUGGGGAUCGCGAAGAGCAACUCUAGUCGAGCGAGACGUGAAGAGCAACAAGUGGUCCGGCCGGGUCAAGUGCUAGAGCUUGUGGUAAGCACUCCACGUGGGAGAGUGUGACUUGCGGGUCACCACUAGCAAGAGGACCGGCGGCAACCUUGGAGCUUGUCUCAACGGGGACGUAGCUUGGUGGCAACCAAGUGAACCUCGGGAGAAAAUCAUCGUGUCAACAUUGUUCUUCCCGUUGGUUUGCAAGUCCCUAACACAAGCUUGUUCUUACUUUCAUAUAUUUGUGCUUGUGUAGUUGCUCUUGUAAUUAGUUAGCUUGUGUAGCUUGCUAGUUACCUUCUUGCUUGUGUAGCUAGAAGUAGUUCCCUUGCGUGACUAAUUUGGUUUGUGUAACCAUGUUAGUCACAUUGCUUAGUUUGUGUAGCUAAGUAAGUUGUGCUCUCUAAUUUGGCAUUAGUUGCCUUGUUAUUGAGCUUGCUAGUGAGCUUAGGCUUUGUGCGCUUUGCCUCACUAGUUUGAGUAGGAGCUCCCCCGGUUUGCAAAGUACUAGUUGCAUAGGUUUGUGUGACGUUGCUCCUAGAAUUGGUUAGGUGAGCUCUUGCUAAGGUAGCACCUUGCUUGCGUGUUUAGGAUCUUUUCAAGGUGCUAGAGAACUUAGAUAGAGGGGUGUAGUCUUGGCUAGACUGAUAGUUUUAAUUCCGCAUUUGUUUCGGUUAGCCGGCGUAAUAAUUUUUAGAAAGGACUAUUCACCCCCCUCUAGUCCGCCAUCUCGACCCUUCAGUCCGCGCCACGCCGCCGCAUAGGGCCACGUGCGUUGGCCACGACAAGCCGUGCCACGGGGCCCGUCCGUGCGUGAGUAGGGGAAGGGAGGGACACCGCCGGCCUCCUCCUACGCCGUCACAUCGCGCACGUCGCAGCGGCAGCCUAUAAGGAGCUCGCAUGGAGGGGUAGGGCGGCCGCGGCCACCGGCGACGGCCGCUCGCGCCACGGCACCGCGCAGGGCCACAUGCGUCGGCCGCGCGACGCCAUGCCGCGGGGCCCACCCGUGCGGGAGUGGAGGCAGGGGAGGGAGGCCGCCGAGCUUCGCCUACGUCACCGCCUCGCGCACGUCGCCGCCUCGGGAGGGAACGAGAGAUGGAGAGGGAGAGAGAGAGGAAGGAGAAAGAGGAUAAGAUGGGAGGGCAGGGGAGGAGAUAUUUCUCUAUUGAAUCAUGGAUGCGGCGUGGACUGCUACAGUGAACUACUUUUUUCCUCAUGUGAAGCCGUACAGGGCACGAGGCUAGGCCGAUUUCCUGCCUAGCUUAGCCGGCUUAAUAAGAGUAAAUACGAAGGAUAAGCAUCGAAGUGAAAUGGACCACGCCAAGCCGACAGCGCUUCUCCUGCAGAACCGGUGUCCCUCUCCCAGGCGCACUCCAGUAGACCCCUCCACUAAGCAAAACCAUAAGGAAAAUGUGAGUACGAAGAACAGAAAAGGAGCAAGCAAGAACAAAAUUAGUAAGUAAAAAUAAAUUCUCCAACAGGUAACAAAUCCCAGCCGCUCCGACGUCACCCACUGUUGCGAUAGAUGAACACCCGAGAAAAGCCCCAAUGUGGCAACCAAAUCCCAAUGCACCCUGUGGCCGAGGCAGUCGGCCGUCCACGGCGCCCCAGCGCCGCGUCCGCUUGCUGGCCCAGCCCCAAAGCACGCGCGCCCAUCCAAUAAAGCGCAUGGAGAAGAAGACAGCCCGUGCCCACCCAAACAAGCGCAGGGGAGAAGAACAUAGAGCCCUUGCACCCGGUACGUACGCGACACGGAAUGAAAAAGCUACCGGGCUGGGCCGGGGCAUGGAAGCUGGAAGCGGUACCUGAGCUCGAUGUGGCGCGGAGAUGGAGCUGGCGGAGGGAUGAGGCCGGCCGCCGGCGAGACGAUGGAGGCACCCGCAACGGUGGAAGGCGGGCAGCAGCUGCGGCGAGGCAGCGCGCGGCCGACCGAUUGAUUGGGGUAAUCGGGGUUUUGCCGCAGUGACGACAGGAGGCAGUGAGCAGCGAGGUAGGCAGUAGGCACGCGUGUCGCGUAAGCAGUGGGCUAAUGGGUGUACAGUAAAUGUCAUUUUUGCCCUUUGUGUUGGUUGCUCUUUGGUACGUUACCGCACCCGCAACGGGGGAAGGCGGACAGCAGCUGCGGCGAGGCAGCGCGCGGCCGAUCGAUCGAUUGGGGUAAUCGGGGUUUUGCUACAGUGACGACAGGAGGCAGUGAGUAGCGAGGUAGGCAGUAGGCACACGUGUCGCGUAAGCAGUGGGCUAAUAGGUGUACAGUAAAUGUCAUUUUUGCCCUUUGUUGGUUGCUUUUUGGUUCGGUACCGUGAUCAUCAACGGUGGGAUACAUAUUUUUUAUAGCAUCGUGUCCGUACGUUGUUAUAGUUUUAUUUAGAUAUAGGGCCUGUUUUUGGUUCCCUUGCUAAAGUAACUAAAAUUAUUUUAGCUAUUCUUGGGUGACUAAUGAAACUAAAUUAUGUUAACUCUUUUUAGUCAAUGUGUUUGGAACUUUAGCUACUAAAAUGACUAAAGUUUAGCUAGCUAUAACUUAGCAAGAGAAACCAAACAGGGCCAUACUUAGGCCUUGUUUACUUCUAAAAAUUUUGCAAAAUAUGAAUAGUAGCGUUUUCGUUUGUAUUUGAUAAAUAUUGUCCAAUUAUGGACUAAUUAGACUCAAAAGAUCAUCUCGCAAAUUAUAGAUAAACUGUGUAAUUAGUUAUUUCUUUUAUCUAUAUUUAGUGCUCCAUGCAUGUGCCGUAAAAUUCGAUGUAAUAGAGAAUUUGAAAAAUUUUGCAAAAUAUUUUUGGAACUAAACAAGGCCUUAAUAAAAACAACUAUUUUAAACAAAAUAACAAUAUAUUUUUUCUUAGUUUAUAGUCUCAGAUAAUUACAUAUGAUAAUUAAUAUAAUCAUGAUGAUGAAAAAGAACAAUAAAGACAUGUCUCAUAUAUUUAUACUAUAAAUAAUUUCUUAAUUGCUUAGUAGAUCUCAAAGCACUUCAGGGAUAAUGUUUGCACGUUCAUUUUGAUUACUUUGUAGAAUGUCCACCAAGCAUUCCGUCCUCAACGAACGUCCACUCUGUGAAUGCCAGAUAGUAAGUUAACUUAUUAAUUUGCUAUACACUAUACAAAAUUUACAUAGAGGAUAUAUACUUUAUAUGCUUACAGGGUGGAUAGACAAUCUUUUUCCAUCCUACUAUUUUAAAUAACUAUAUACAAAGAAGCGUGACAUUUCCCUGGAGAAGAGCAAGUGUUUAUUUGUGUUAGCUAAAUGACAUAGAAUAAUAUUACUAUAUAAUUUAAUUAAUAAUUGAGAACAUAAAUUAAGAAGAUAUUACUACUACAUAUUAUUUGGCCAAGUAAAAUAUUUGUAUCAUGGUGUCUAAUUUAACCCAUUCCGAUGGACAAACAAAGAAGAUAUUGCUUCAUUAUUACCUUAAUCAAGUGUCUUUGAUAUUGCUCUAGCUUUUUUCAUUGCACAAUAUUCACGUUGCUUCCUAUUUCUUUCAUUUCUUUGUUCAGUGGUUUCCUCGGCCCUUUUACGAGCGCGGUAUUCCCUCUUUAUUCUCUCUUCAUCUGCCAGUGAAAUAUAGUCUGUGUUAUUAGUUUCAGAUUUUGUUUGGGAAACUAACCAGUAUAGAUGGUCGCGAACAUACCAUGUCCGAUAGUGUUUGAUAUAUCGUAAAGUGUAGGGUGGGUUUGUCGCCGAUCCCCCAUUAUAGACCUGUAGCAAGCCCAUCGAUGAUGGCGUUCAUGUUAAUCUACAAUAGAAAACACAAAGCAAGUAUACUUACUGCUUUCAUCAUGGCGUUCGUCGUCUGGCCUAGUGCGUCAGUGUUUCCCCCUACGUGGCGCCCCUGUCUGCGUUUGACGUCGCGCCCUGGCCACGCUCCGGUGUCGCGUCCUGGCCGCGCGCCCGUUUGCGAGCCCCUGGCCGCGCGUGGAGUCAGGUGGCCAAGGCGCGGAGUCUUGGCGGUGCCCCAGCGACCCUCUGGCCGAAAGCCCCUGGUCGCGCGCCCCGUCUGCCCCGGCAAGCCCUAGCCGCGAGCCCUCGUCGUGGACAGGAGAAUGCGAACAGAGGGAAGAUACACGGUCGUGCGUGAGAGGGAGGUGGGGGCGGACUGAGGGAUGAAUGAGGUGAGUGAUGAGUUUGAUCCAAGCGUUUAUGACCGUUGGAUGUGAUUGAGUUAGGAGAAUGAGAGAUUAGAGUUAAUAUUGUCCCUUAAUUUUAGGAGAUAGAUCUUCCUUUGUGGAAUUUUUCGUGUGUACUUGGUGUAGCUUAUAACUGUAGUAGUAGUUUAUAGGGUGCAUAACUGAUGGAUUUAUGGUAAAUCUCAGUAACUACACCUGUGCUUUUUUACCUUAUACAAAUUAGAACUGAGGCUUGAUCCCUAUGAUUUCGUGCUAAAUUAUGUUUUUAUGAUUUUUUGUAUACAUAUAUGAUGGCAAUCCAACUUGAGUACCUAUCAUCCAAUUUGGUAUAUGUUGUUGACAACAACGAUCCCAUGUGGUCAGGAUGUUCGAAAACAAGAAAUCAUGUUCUUAGUUUUCUAGAAAGAGAACAACUGAACUUGGACAAUGGAUUGGAAUUGGGCGGAAAUGGUGAUAUUUAAUAGUAAAAAAACCCUCUCCAAUCAUAAAUACAUACAUCUCACUUUGGGCCUUGUUUAGUUCCGAAAACUUUAACACUUUCGUUUUAAUUUGACAAAUAUUGUUCAAUUAUGGACUAACUAGAUUCAACAGAUUCAUCUCACGAUUUACAGAUAAACUGUGCAAUUAAUUUUUGUUUCAUUUAUAUUUAGUGCUUCAUACACAUGCUGUAAGAUUUGGUGUGACAGGAAAUCUUAAAAAGUUUUUGGUUUUUAGAAUGAACUAAACAAGGCCUUGGUCAGUGGGGCGAAAUGCCUACUUGUAGUGACGCAAUUAUAGAAUGACUAGUAGGAAGCGCGCCGCCUGGGCGCGAGUUGUCGUGUAUUUCUAAGAUUAUACAGGAAAGCUACACAUGUUGCAUACAAUGGCCAUGUAUAUGAUUCAGGUCUAUUGAUGCAUAAAAAGUUAUUAGAGGAUUAAUACAGUGGCCAUCGAGGGCAGAAAUAAUAGACAAAUUCUGGGGCAAAAGAUGCAUAUUUAGUUUUAGCACGGUAAUAGGAAUAUAGGAUCAGAGAACGGAAACGAACACGGUCAUAUUGCCUAUGGUGUUAUAUGUACCAUACAGAGCCAUUACACAAGCUUAUCGGUAUUUUAUACAUUACUUCGUCAGUGGCAAUUUACAAAAGUUUAAGGGCAUUGAAGGUCCACUUUCUAAUGACAUGGACAUAUAUAGCUGGCUUUCUUGUUGGCUGCGCUGCCAAUUGUGACAAGAAAUUGCUGCAUCUACAUCCUGAGUACCUGCACAGGGAGCAAAUAGACUGUUUAGUCUCAUAAAGAAACAGUUAUUGUCUGGAAUACCUGUAAGUAGGGGAGUAUAUUUUUUUGGUCUACUAUGUAUACACAAUACGCACAACAGUGAUGCCUCACCAGACACAAUAGAAGCAAAUACUUCUUUAUAGACGACCCUUUUUUCAUUUAUACAACGGCCAUCCUCGGCUUCUAUGAAAUGGCUGUCACUACGUGAAACAUCCAAGUAUCAAUGAGAAAGAUGUAGUUGGUAGACUCGGUAAUCACCGGCCUAACUUGCCAGCCAAUGAAUGUAGAGACAAGAACAUCUUGAUGCAAAAAAAAUUAUAAUUUAACAAUGAAUGGACAUACGUAUCAGAAAUAUCUCUGUAAAUUCUUUUUUUUCACACAUGCAUACAAGAUUGAACAUAGAUAUAUAACAUAGACUGUAUUGGAAAGAUUAACUAGAUAUAUCUAAAAUAUAUUCAAUUUUGCUCAUGCUCUAUGCACCAGACAUCUUGGUAUGGACAAAUGGAUCUGCUGCGUGAGCAGGACUCUGAAAUCCAAAGGAAGGUAUGCAAGGCUGAAAACUAACAAAGGAAGCUGAACUAAACACAACAGGAGAAGGUAAUCUUUAUGUGGCAACUACUGAGCAUCCGGACCAUCAAGUUCUAUUUUUCAAAGCAUCAAGUCCUAUAUUUAAGGGAAAGUUGUCAAACAAAAAUGUGCCCUGCACGAAUAUUAUCACCUGCAAGGGAGGCAUGAAGCCUAUCCCAUCUCAUAAUUGAAGUGCAUGAGUCCACCCAAUUUCCCCAGUGAUCGUGGAUACGAAGAAUAAGUUGUGAUGCUAAACCAAAACAUAGAUGACUUUCCAAGUGUGCAGCCUGUAUAGUAAAAUAAGAAAGAAAAAUCAUAUUUUUGACAUGAAUGCAAGUAGUACCAAGUUGCUGGAUUGUUGACCAGUUGUCCAUUUUAUUUUGUAUUUUGAAACAUCUUUUCUUUUGAAUAACUUACUGAUAUAUCACGGUAAAUUAGAGAUAUCAUUCCGUAAAAAUCAAUUAAAAGAACUGUAAGCUGAGGAGAAAAGAACUGCACUUCCAGUGUCAUAGCUCGUGCUGCUUGUCCACUGCAUUCACAUCCCUUACCUGAUGAGUAUGGACGCACGAACGAAUUCGAACGAACCAACCUGCGGGGUAAACAAGGUAAUUAAACAAAAAGAAACACAGGAAUAUAAAUACAGAAGCAAAUGGGAAGGAGAGCUCUUUGAAUUUUAUAAUAUAUUCUACAAUAGGAAGGAACCAUCUACGAAAGAAAUUCAGAACAAGUCAUUCUCAUGCAUGAAGACUUUAUAUUUUAAUUAAAUGAAGUAAAUUUGCACUAUUCAUUUCAGACUUAGUCGACAAUUCAGGCUCCUGCUCAGUAGUUACACACCUGAGAACAAUCCACCAGCCGAACAAGCUGAAACCAUAGCAACUCAGCCAAGAAUAUUUUAGAUGAAAUUAAAUAUUUUUAGUCAAUAAGAAUACAUAUAUCAGACACAAGAGGUAGUCAUAUCCCCUUAUGAUUCCUUGUGCUUUGGCACCAUCCUGAUUCUCCCAAGAGGACUUGGCUUGUUCAAAUUUAGUCAUAUCCCCUUAUGAUUCCUUGUGCUUUGGCACCAUCCUGAUUCUCCCAAGAGGACUUGGCUUGUUCAAAUUCCUCAAACUGCAUUUCUCUGAGCUUCGUAUGUAGGCCUUCUUUAUCCAUGUCAAAUAAUUUGAUUUCUCCAGUUCGAACAGCUUUAAUAAAUCUAACUUUGUUCUGUGCCAUUUUCAAGUCGCAGCCAGCCAUUUCCACUAGCUUUUGCUGCAUAUUGACAAUUACUAAAUGUGAUAUCAAAUAGUCCAAAAAAUAUGUGCCAUUCAAUUAUUAAAUGGAAACGUACCUUUCUUUUCUCAUAAAAAGCAAGCCUGAAGUCAUAGAAUUCCUUAAGUACUGAAAUAAAUGACACAAUUUAGUUACAAUACGACAAAAGAAAUAAAAAAUGGAGGUCUUGUAGCAUAGAGGUAGUACAUACUUUGCUCUGGACUGUCAUACUUUUUAAUUAUGCCAUCUGAAUCCAACAAAUGCAUAUUUUAUGUUCCUAUUGAUGUUCUCAGUUCAAACUUUCACUGAAAAUCUACUUCAUUGGCUUGCGCCAAAUUCUCAGAAUUCUCGUGCAAGUGUAUCAUAAUUUCAACAUCAUUGCCGCCUCUCUUUUUUUCAUAACUCUAUAAAAUUAUUAUGAUUAAAAUCUAGUGGACAACAAUCAUUUCAUGAUUAAAACAUACUAUGUAAUCAAUUACCUUGAUGAAUUUGUCUUCUCCGACCAUAAAAGUUUUAAGCUACUUUUCAUAAUUCUCCAUCGAGAUCUUCACUGGGAGCUCACAUAUUUUUAGUGUAGUUUUCUCAACAACCUUUAUGAUACCACUAGCGGUAUAGGUAACACCUGAUUUCUUGGUCUUGGUAGUUUCGUUUUUGACACUCACUUCUCCCUGUUGGUUCAUGUACAGAAAAUAAAACACCAACAUUAGAUUUUUUAAGACAAAAAUAAAAACAGAAUUGUAAAAAAAAGCAUGUAUUACCAACGUGGAAAUGUGUGAACCACGGUUUCAUUUCUUCCAACGUCUCUGAUCCCUGUAUCAUUAGUUUCAAAUUGUGUACACUAGUACAGGGAAGGGCUUUAGCCCCGGGCCGUAAGCGCCUUUAGUCCCGGCUACGGAACCGGGGCUAAGGUUUCGGGACUAAAUGUCCCACCUUUAGUCCCGGUUCUGUGGACCGGGACUAAAGGUCCACCUUUAGUCCCGGUUGGUAACAGCAACCGGGACUAAAAGGUGCGCCAGGGUGUGCCACCUGGCCUCCACUUUUAGUCCCGGUUGUUGCUACCAACCGGGACUAAAGACUUUUUUCUUUUUUCUUUUUUCUUUUUUCUUUUUCUUUUCAUUUGGUUUUCCAUUUAGGGUUUACAAUUAUGUUAUGGUUUUCCAUGACUGUACGUACAAUAUCUUUGGGAUUGUAACAAGGAAUCUUUGUUCUCCAUCCGGUACCAAUUCCUUCAGCUCCAUUGACUAAAUCAUUGGAAGGAUUGGCAAAUACCUAAAAAGUGACAACCAGGCCUUAGCUACUUAUUAUAAAGGUCAAAUUGCCGAGGAUGGAUGGAGCAAGUGGUGCCUAGUUAUUACCAUGAAGGUUCAAUUGAUUGCCCAUCUUCAUGCAAAUAAUCGAGUAGAAUAUCAUCAUUUUCAUUAAAUAUCCUGCGAGUGAUACUUGAUAACUCUGUGAAGAUAUAUCUAGCACUAGCAGCAUCUUUGCCUCCCUAAAAUGAAAAACAAGCAUGAAUAAAAUGUUUAACAACUAGUUUUCUCAUAGUGGCUUGUUAACUCACCUCUAAUUUUGUACCAAAUUGCCCAUUGGGACGCAAAAGAUUGAUAUUGUUGCUUCCAACAAAAUCUUGAGCCAUUCUUACUAUUGUGUUUGAUAGAUUUUCUUCACCGUGAUGAUAAGCAGAACAUUCUGCCACAGACGCGGUGAACUUUGCCACCUGUGAUCAAGUAGUAAAUUAGCAAUAUUAUAAGGCUAAUUUAGAGAGAACAUGACACAUAAAUCAUAAUAUGGCAGCCCAACCAGAGGCUCAACCCAUUUCUACUUAUAAGCUAGGACUAAAGCUUUGGAGUGGAUAUGAUUCUCAUCAUCAUAGACUAUAUGGAACAAGCUUGAGAUUGACAACCCACAAGACAAGAGUUUCAAGCAAGCUAGUCUACCUUUAUAUAUUCAGGUGCCAGUAUACAUAAGGAAACUAAAACUAAAUAUAUAAUGGCGAUCCAAUCUAAAGAAACUAUGGAAUACAAAAGAUCGAAGCCUACCAUAUUCUCGGCCAUAGCGCCGUCUGAUAUCAAAAUAUGUGGAAAAGAUUCAUAUUAGAAAAAACAAAUGAUAGUUGGGAUGCCAUACCUUUGUUUCCUUGUUCAAUUUUUUCUUAAAUGUGCUGAACAUUAUCUUUCUCUGCCCUUUUUUUAAAUCCAUCUACCAUUGAUGGUAUAGACCGAUGCAUGUCUAAUACCAUGUAUAAUGUGAGCCCUUUCUUAAUGAAGUCAAGGAUUCUUAUCGUUUUCCCAGUUUGAAGAAGUACACUUUCUUCAGGAUGAAAUUUUUGUUAUCACAUUAAUGUUGGUCCUUAAAUUAACCUAAAUGAAUCUUUAAAAAUAAUAUCAAGACCGACCUUGCAGUUAUGAAGAAAGUUAUAAAUCCAUUUCUUCCUUUCCUCCACUUUAUGUUUACUGAAUGCUGUCUUGAUAGCCUUAUCAUCUUGUUCAUUCAGCCACACAAAAUAUUUCUGAUGGAUGUCAAUAUCUUUGAAAUAUUGCGUCCCUUCCUUAAGUGUGCUCGUGCCUAACCCCUGUAUAUAUGAAAAAUGUCCAAGUUGAAGACCACAUAGAAAAAUUUAAAUGAUUAAAAUUUGAGCAAAAAACACACCUUAUAGUACUUUAUAGACCAUUUACUUAAUUCUGUCCCAUGUUUACUUUUCUCCCAUGCCGUAUACUCGUUUAGUGUAUAGAAAACCUGACUUGGACAUUCCCCUGUAUAAUCUGUAACCCAAACAAGUUUUAAUCCGUGACAUGGUAAGUUUUAUGAGUCUUAAUAACUAAAACCUUAAAAAAAAUGUUAAAGCAAGCAACAAGUGGCAUACCUUUACAAGUGGGGUAACUAAUUCACACAAAAAGGAUUUGGACUUAAUCUUCAGAAGGGAAGGCCAGAAACAUGAAAUAAGUUAAUGAUCAAUCCUUUAAUAUGAAAUCCACCUAGAUCCUGGUCGGUCAUGACCAUAACUUUACCAUAUCUCAAAUCCUUAAAAUCCUUUUCAUCAUUAUAGUGGUUUUUGUAGUCUAAACCAAUAAUCUUUCUCAUAUUGUUAAUUUCCUCAUUGUCCAAGAUCUUUUUCAAAGACGCAUCUCUCACAUUCAGUAGCUUACCCUUCAAUGCAAGAACUCCAAAGUAGUCCCUAUGAACAGAACCUAGCUGCAGAGGAGAACAAAACUUACUCAAUACUCUUGUAAAUAUAAAAGGAACAUUUGUGCAAUGAAAUGUGCAAUCAACAGUUACUAAUUGUAGGGGAACUUCAAUAUAAGAAUAAGAACUACGUGGAAAAUAAUUUUUCUAACAUCUUCAUCUAAUCAUUAACACAUAUGUGCACAUAUGAAACUUGGGAUUCCCAAAUACAAGUCCGAUUAUAACCUUUUAUCCUAAAGACUCAAGUCCGAUCAUAACGUUUAAUCCUAAAGACUCAGCUGACUAAAAAAAUCUGAAUCAAAACCUUUUUGCCUCGAUUAAACUCUUGGCUGAAAUUUGAGUUUUUCAUAAAAAUCAAGGAAACUUGGGACAGACCACACUAAAUCACUAAAUCUGCCAUUGAUACUUGGUGUAUCAAAAUGGACUUAAUUAAUAAAGGGUUGGAGUCAAAGUCUAAAAGAUCAUACUAGAAAAUACAAUAAUUUGCUAAAAACGAGUUGGAGGAGUUAGAAAAAUAGGAGGAGCUUGAUGUGCUCAAGCUAGAUAUAAAGUCUUCCAUUUAAUCUAAGUUUCAUGGAAGAGAAGGAUAUGGCAUAAGGGAUCUAAUUCUACGUGGUUGUUGAAAGAUCAUAACAACUCUGAGUACUUUCAUAGAAUAGCUCAUGGUAGAAAGACAAAGAACACCAUUUCUUUGCCUAAACCAUAUUCAGAUAAUUAUUGAGGGGGAUGCUGCCAUCGUGGAGCAUGCUUCUUAAUAUUAUAAUUUCUGCUAGAAUGUCUUGGGCACAAGGGGUUUGACAAGAGAUAGUGUGAACGGACUACUUCUGGCACUAAUAAGAUUGAUGUGGCUAAAAAGAGAUUCUUUUGCCAAGGUCAUUUGAAGCGGAAAUACCACUUGAUCAAAUGGAAUGAGAUCACUAAGCCCAAAAACAAAGGAGGGUUGGGGGGUCACAGACCUAAGGAAAAUGAACAUCAGUCUCCUAUGUAAAUGGUGGUGGAUGGUGGUGGCUGAGAAUGGAUGUGGAAUAUGAAAAGAUAAUAUUAGGAAGAAAUAAUAAUACCAGUUUCGGACAUGAUAAGUGGUGUGACCAAGUCUCCUUAAAAGACAAGUUCCAGAAUUAUAUGAUAUCAAUGUUGAGCAAAACGUUCUGUUUCUUUUAUGAAACAAAGAAGUUAGCAUCUCUCUUAUAGAAGAUGGCUCAAUUGAGAAGGUUACUGUUAGAAUAUAAUUGUAACAGCCCAUAUUGGGCUUACAGCUCAUUGGCCUUGUACUCCUAGCCUGACUUGUAUUAAUACUACAUUGUAACUUGUAGAUGUACUGCAAGCCUUCUAGGCUUUAUAGUGAAGGUCACCCCCUGGUUAGGGUGUGCGGUGUUUCUACAUGGUAUCAGCCUAAUUAUGAUUUUUUCCUUCGGCUCGCACCCCCCCACCCCCUACCCAUGCGACCUCUCUGAGGCCGUGCGCCACCGCACCAGGCCGCGCCGGCCCCAGGCCACGCUCAGGUCGCACCGCCGCCAGGCCGCGCUGCCCAGCCACGUCGCCUCCCUCAGGCUGCGCCACUGCCAGGCCACGCCGCCUUUUGUGGCCGCGUCGCCGAUCCAGAUCGUGCUACCGUCGAUCCAGAUCGCGCUAACGCCGAUCCAGCCACGCGAUCAUCUUCUUCACGCUGCAUCGUCAUGACGACUCCGGCCAUCGACUCUAGCACGUCCAGCUCGACCUCCUCGGCGACCUCUGGUGACGCCAUGGCAGACGCCCUCGCUCCUCCGUUCUUCGCCGCGUACGCCGUCAACGUCAAGCAGCACGUGCCGAUCGUCCUCAGCCUCGAGCGCCCCAACUUCAACAAGUGGAGGGCGUUCUUCACCGCCCUCUGUGCCAAGUACGGGCUCCUUGGCCACACCGACGGCACGCUGCCCGCACGUCCGGCAAAUCCUACAUGGUCUCAGCCCAAUGCCUGCAUUUGUGGCUGGAUGUAUGGCUCUGUCGAUGAUCCAAUCCUUGACUUUGCCAUUGACGACGCCGACCACGACGCCCACGCCCUCUACGUCUCCAUCGAGGCCUUGUUCCAAGCUAACAAGGAACCCCACACCGUCGUCCUCAGCCAGGAAUUCCACACCAUGUUCCAGGGCGACCUCUCUGUCGACACCUACACCCAGAAGCUGAGCGCAUGCUGCGCACCUUGAACAACACCGUUCGCACACUUCUGGUUCAUGCAGCCUUGCCCCCAUCUUAUUGGGUGGAGGCUCUCUCCGCCGCUGUGUUCCUGCUCAACCGGCGGCCAUCCUCGUCCAUCAACAACGGUAUACCAUAUCAUCUUCUCCAUCACAAGAUGCCCGACUACUCCAUCCUUCGAGUUUUUGGUUGCUUGUGCUAUCCAAACCUUAGUGCCAUGACUCCCCAAUAAUUAUCUCCUCGCUCUAUGGCGUGUGUCUUUCUCGGUUACACUCCUUCCCAUAAGGUCUAUCGGUGUCUUGACCUUUCCACUCGCAAGAUCAUAAUCUCGCGACACGUCAUUUUUUAUGAGACUCACUUUCCGUUUGCGGCUUCCAAGGCCCACUCGGACUCUUUUGACUUUUUGUUACAAGACAUACUGCCCGUGCCUCCUCCGUCCACCUCGGACAAUGAGGCCAUGAUGCCCCAGGAGGAUGCCACUAAUGCCGGUGACCCCGUUGGACUGGACCUGGCCAUUCUGUGGCAUGGCUCUGCCCUUGGGUGCCCUUGGGUGCCUCGCCCCCACCGCCAGCCCCCUCCGCAGGCAGCGUGGCUGCUCCUGUAGCCGCUGCAUCACGGACAGCAGCACCGCCUCCUCUCCGCGUCUACACUCGGCGUCCUCGUCCGACUCCACCAGCGGCCACCGCUCCUACAGCUGCAGCGGCAGCACCGGUGGCGGCACCGCCAGUCCCAGCUCCUCCCUCCCGGGAGACGCGAUCCCAGACGGGAUCGUUACCACCACCCAUCCAGCAAUACAGUUUCACUACAGGUUCCAUGACGCUGGCUUCCCCGCUGCCCACCAACUCACGUGCUGCUAUGGCGGAUCCUAAUUGGCGGGUGGCCAUGACCGACGAGUACAAGGCGCUCAUCGACAAUGGCACCUGGCAUCUUGUACCUCGACCACCACGUGCUAAUGUGAUCACUAGCAAGUGGGUCUUCAAGCACAAGUACCAUGUUGAUGGCUCUCUCACCCAUCACAAAGCACGGUGGGUCGUUCGUGGUUUUUUGCAAUAGUACGACAUCGAUUAUGACGAGACGUUCAGCCCGGUUGUCAAACCGGCCACCAUCCGCGUCGUCCUCAGCAUCACUGCUUCUUCAUCCAGGCCGAUUCAUCAGCUGGAUGUGAAGAACGCAUUUCUCCACGAUCAUCUGGAUGAGACUACCUACUGCCAACAGCCACCUGGCUUCGCCGACCCGGCCACCCCCGACCGCGUCUGCCUCCUGCAAAAGUCCCUGUACGGACUUAAGCAGGUGCCCAGGGCUUGGUACCUGUGGUUUGCCGACUUCGUUCAGCGCUCCGGCUUCACUGCUUCGGUCUCCGACACGUCCCUCUUUGUUUACAAGGACGGCGCCGACGUCGCCUACGUGCUGCUCUAUGUCGACGACAUCAUUUUGACUGCUUCGUCGCCUGUUCUACUUCAGCACAUCAUCUGACUUCUUCACUCUGAGUUUGCCAUGACAGAUCUCGGAGAGCUCCAUCACUUCCUCGGGAUCUCUAUCACGCGGACCUCCGACGGCCUCUUCCUCUUCCAGCGACAGUAUGCCAUGGACCUGCUCUAGCAUGCCGGCAUGGCCGAGUGUCACUCUACAGCAACUCCUGUGGACACUAAGGCCAAUCUCUCAGCUACGGAUGGUGCUCCGGUGGCGGAUGCUACCCAGUACCGCAGUCUGGCUGGCGCUCUAUAGUACCUCACGCUAACUCGUCCAGACCUUGCCUAUGCCAUCCAGCAGGUGUGCCUCUUCAUGCAUGACCCGCGUGAGCCUCAUCUGGCGUUGCUCAAGCGUGUCCUCCGGUAUGUGAAGGGCACUCUGUCCACCGGGCUUCACCUUGGUGUUGGUGGCAUCGACAGUUUGAUCGCUUACUCCGAUGCUGAUUGGGCUUAAUGUCUAGACUCUCGGUGCUCCACUUCAGGCUACUGUGUCUUCCUCGGUGACAACUUAGUCCCUUGGUUCUCUAAACGACAAACUAUGGUUUCUCAUUCGAGUGCGGAGGCUGAGUAUCGUGUCUUUGCUCACGCUGUGGCUGAGACUUGUUGGCUCCGACAGCUGCUUCAGGAGCUCCAUGCGCUCAUUGCUUCAGCAACGAUCGUCUACUGUGACAACGUCAGUGCCGUCUAUAUGACUGCCAACCCAGUACAUCAUCGUCGCACGAAGCACAUUGAGAUAGACAUCCACUUUGUUUGUGACAAAGUGACCUUGGGACAGGUUCGGGUGCUCCAUGUAACAUCGUCUCAUCAGUUCGCAGACAUCAUGACUAAAGGGUUACCUGUACAGUUGUUUCCUGAUUUUAGGUCUAGCCUUUGUGUUCGUGACACUCCCGCUUAGACUGAGGGAGGGUGUAAGAAUAUAAUUAUAACAGCCCGUAUUGGGCUUACGGCCCAUUGGCCUUGUACUCCUUGCCUGAAUUGUAUUAGUACCACAUUGUAACUUAUAGACGUACUGCAAGCCUUCUAGGCUAUAUAAUGAAGAUCACCCCCGUGGUUAGGGUGUGCGGUGUUUCUAUAGUUACAUGAUAUCUUAUACCACAAUACUAAUGAUGAUUGUGAUAGAGCAAGAUGCAAGUUCCCUCAAUUAUAUGAUAUCAAUGUGGAACAAAACUGUUCUAUUUCUUUUAUGAAACAAAGAAGUGAGCAUCUCUCUUUUAGAACAUGGCUCAAUUGAGAAGGUUACAUGUUAUCUUAUACCACAAUACUAAUGAUGAUUGUGAUAGAGCAAGAUGGGAGUGGGAAAAAUCUGGGAACUUCUCUAUCAAAUCUACUUAUAAGAAGCUAUGUAGGCAUGACUGUGGGCCUAACUUCAAACAAGUUUAGAAGGCUAAGAUACCUCUGAAAUAUAAACUUUAAAACAAAAAUGGAAAGGUGAUGAAUCAGGAACGGAGAAGGAAACUGCAAGUUUGGUGCUAAUUGUAGACCCAGCAGUUUGGAGCAAUUCUGGAAUUAGUUUCAUUGGAUUAAGUUUGGUGCUAAUUGUAGACCUAGCAGUUUCGACCAAUUAUGGACUUGAAUUCAUUUGAUUAUACCAAAGGGUAAAUCUGUCUACAUUUUGGGCUUAGGCAACUGUUUGCUGGGUGCUGUGGUUAACUCCAAAUGCCACAUGUUUUGAUAACAAGAGGACUAGACCUCCUAGUCAGAUCAUGUCUUAUGUGUUUUGUCAACCAGAUGUUGGAUUGCUUGGCACGCUUGGACAGGUGUUUUUGCUAGUUCUACUGGUUGGUGAUCCCUUAGUGAUUAGCCUAGUGGCCAGGAUUAACUUUUUUUAUGUUUCAUAUCGCACUAAUAAAAUUUGGUUUUUAAACUUAUGUUACUCACAUGUUGUCAAUAAAAAAAAGAACAUAUGUGCAAUCAAAUGUGCAACCAACAAUACUCUUGUUAAUAAAAAAGGAAUAUAUGUGCAAUAAAAUAUGCAAUUGACAAACUUAUAAUUGUAAUACUCACAGCUAGAGCUUUUGCUGAGUCUCCUUCGGUAAUAAUCAAAGUGCAUUUGUGAGAGUCCACUCCACCAGCACGAGUUGCAUCCUCAAACUUCGUUGGAUUUGCUUCAGUGUUUUCAUCCUCUUCUUUAAGUGCCCAUGCAAGUGUCUCCUUUAAAGCACAUCUAAAUAUUUCUUUAAAGAUAAAAGAAUGUGCCACUGAAAUUUUUUUACUUCAUAUUAGCAAUACACGGGCAUCAAAGUAACAUACAACCUACAUUAUUAAGAAAACAAAACCACAUACCUUGAGUGAGAAACUCCUCGAACUUAGCAUUUCUAAGAGCAGAUCAAUGUAAAUUUCUGCAUUAUCUGUUUACUUUAUAUUAGCAAUAUGGAGGCUUAUAAGCAACACAACUUACAUUUUAAAAAAAAACACACACACAAUCACAUACCAUAAAAAAAGGGAUAGUCCGCAUUUAUGAAGACCCAUAAGUGGCACUUCACGUCACCUGUCUGUAUCUCAAUGUUCUGAACAUUCUUCAUUUUCCUUUUUAUUGAACUUUUCAGAUGUUCUUCAACAUGUCUUGUGAUAGUAUCAAAUUGAACUCCUCCCUCUAUUACAACACCAUUAACAAAGUUGAACUGAAAAAAUACAAAGAUAGUGAGUUGCAAAACAAACGCAGCCGAUAGAGAAUAUAGCCUACAUAACUUUGGCUGGGAACACAAACCUGUUGGUAUUGGCCAUUUCUGCUUAAAGUAAUACACACCUCCCCAGCAAAGGCUAACUUUUGUUAUACACUGAAAUAAAAUACAAGAGUAAAUAAUUAAAAAACAAACAUAUGGUUUCGUUUAUCCUAAAUAAAACUUAUGUUUUUAUGAAAAUUUUAAACCUUUUUGAUGUCUUCUUGGAAGGAGUUCGCAGGUACAAAUCCACAUAACUUGAAAAAAUAUUAGUGAGCAAAUGGCCAUCUAGAUGAACCUUUAGUUUCUAGUUGUUUCUUCUUUUGUAAAGUGCAGCCAGAUCUACCACCCUUUUUCUCAUAAGGGCUGCCAUAUCAUCUUGAAGCUCAUUACAGUAAAAACUGAAUGUGGUCCAAUGACACCCAUUAGAGCAUUUUGUGAUUUGAGAAUUUCUUUUCUUCCCAGGUUUGCCAUAAAAAACCUAAAUUUGUGUUGAAUAAGAUAUGAAAUUAGUGUUUAGUUAAGUUACACCUUUUAUGCUACUACUAAUUUCUAAACUAAGUAGAGGUUAAAAUAAACAAUACACAUUAGGUGACAACAAAAGUAGUAAACACAGGACAUCAUAAAUCAAACAUUAUGACACAAAUAAAAAUUUAUACUUGUAUUUAAGUACUCCCUCCGUAUCGGAUUUAGAAGUCGCUUUCGACAAGGUUCGAGUCAAAUAUUGGGAUUAUAAAUCAUCAAUAACUUUUAAAUUGUUGAGUUUGCAAAUGUGAAAAUUAUAUGAAUAGAUUUGUAUUGAAAAAUACUUUCAUAAAAGUAUAUCUAUAUCAUUUUUCCUAAAUAUUUAUAAAAAUAAGAGGUCAAAGUUGUGUUUUGGAGACCAUGUCACUAUUCUAAACAACUUCUAAAUUCGAUACGAAAAGAGUAAAGAUUUAUCUACCUUUUAUCUAAAAAACACUCUAGAAUAGACCCUAACAACAAAAUCAUACUCAAUCCAUCCAUCCCAAAAUAUAGCAACCUAGGAGGGGAUUGGACACAACCUAGUAUUUUGGGAGUAAUUAACAUGGUCAUUUAAUGCAAAAUAUAAUUUGAAUAAGCCUUUAGUACGAAGCACUAUACCUUCUUGCAUUUCUGGUCACUUGCAUUAAAUGUUGUGAUCACAAAUCGUGAAAAGAUGGAUGAGCCUUGAGGAUCCAUAUACUUUCUAAUGGAGGAGUUUCUGAGCAAGAGAUUAUCCCAGGGGUCGAAGUUAUCAUUUUCAAUCGGAAAGAAAACUCCAAAGCAAUGUAUGGAGAUAUAGCUUGUCCACUUUAAUGUUAACAUCCAGGUCAAUCUUGUCGUUUGUAAGGAUCUCUGUAUGGAGUUCUUGUUCAAGUUCAAAAGACAUUAAUAUCUCAUCAAAUAUAGUUUGUAGAAUUGGGAUGUAGUUGACAUUUCGAUGCACCAUGGCAUGGCCAUUGUAAACCCAUUGCAUUUUUGUUUGCAUCUUUAAUAAAUAGUGCUUGUCAAGCACCUGGCAAUGAGAAAUUUUACUACAUUUGUGAGGGCUACGGAAAAGAAAAAACGAUAUGUGCCAAUGAGUAAUAUUACUACAUUUGUGAGGGCUACAGAAAAGAAAAAAAAUGAUAUGUGCCAAUGAGAAAUAUUACUACAUUUAUCUAGAGGGGGGAGCUAACGGCUCGUUGAUUGCUUGGAGAGGGGGUGCCAGCUCAUUGAUGGCUUUCCGCUGGCUCUGGGUUGCAUCGCCGCUCGCUAGGGGACGCUUGCGAGGGUGCAAGCCACUAGCGGCUGCGUCGCCGCUCGCCAUGGUACGCUUCAUCUUGUCAGCUUGGACAAAUGCACCGAGAGGGAAAAUUUUCCAAAAUAGUAAGUGAGCAUUGUGUGGUCUAAUAUAACUUAAGGAAUCUACAAAAAAACAACAAAACCACUUGAAAACGGGUAAGUAUGGCCACGUGCUUGUAACAACGUUGAAAAUAUCUCAUGGUAGACAAUGUUCGUUUCAUGUGUGCAGUCAACAUUCAUAUGCUCUAUCAAUAUCUCUAGAUCUCUUUGAGGUGACAUGUAAAACAGCAACAUACAAGCAUCGGUAAAUACAGGCUUUUUUGGGUAGUUACCAGCAUUGGACAAUGUCUACCCUUGGCUCCUAUUGAUAGUCAUUGCAUAGCAUACCUUAACUUUAAAUUGGUGCCUCUCUAGAACAAAGGGCAGCUUUGUAUUUGUAAGUGUUAGACAAAUCCUUGGAAUCAGAACAACAUGCCCCAUGUGUGUGACGGUCAUUGUCUAUAUAUGCUUCUAUUAAAAUAUUGAAGGGCUAUGAAUGCAGGUGCAAAGAAGAAAUAUGCUGUAACUGUCCACAUUGGUUCGUAUGUCACGCUCUCUCAACUAUCCCGCUCUACUUCACCCCCCCCGAACUAUAAAACAGGAUAUUCUAUCCUAUGAAUUUUUCAAAACCGGUCAAAUAACACCCUUGAGCAGUUUUGAAGGGUGUUUUUGUCUUUUUAUUUUUAAUUUAUUUCCGCCGAAUCUUUGAAAAUCAUAAUAAAUAAAAAAAUUAUAAAAUAAAAAGUCUAAUUUUGUUGAACUUUUGAUGAGUAGAUCUACACAGUGCAUAUAUAAUAUGGUAUACUUUAGUACAAAGUGUUUGCUGUGGUACACAGUGAAUAUAUGCAGUUUCUAUGGUCUAGUUAUGGUAAACUUUUUAUGGUGGGCUCAUUAUUAUAUGCUUGAACUAUGGUAAAAAUUUUAUACUCAUUCAAUCACGUAUAACUUAGUUAUAGAUAAAGCAUAGAUAACAAAAAUAAGGCUAAAUAAAUCUAUAACUAAGUUAUACAUAAUCUAAUGUGUACGAAAUAAUUACUAUACAUCAACCAGGCAAUAAUUAGCUCAUCAAACAAAUUCACCAUAAUUUGAUGAUAAAAACUGCAUAUAUAAAUUAUAUAUUCUAAUUAAUUAUAGAAAAACAUAGAUCUAAUUGUAUAGCAAAAACUUUAUACUAAGCAUACCAUAUUAUAUAUUCACUGUAUAGAUCUACUUAUGUGGAGUCCAACAAGAUUAGAUUUUAUAUUUUAUGAUUUUUCUUUAAUUUAUUAUGAUUUUUCAAAGAUUCAACAAAAAUAAAUUAAAAAGAAAAAGACAAAAGCACCCUACUUGAGGGGGUUAUUUGACCGGUUUUAAAAAGUUCAAAGCGUAGAAUAUUUUUAUGAAUAAUUUAUGAAUAUGACCGGUUUUAUAGUUUAGGAGGUAAAGUAGUCCACUCUAGAUAAUUUAUGAAUAUGUAAACUUUUUCUAAAGAGAAAUCACGGCCAGCAGAAGAAAAUAGUUCCCUUAGAAGGCACAGUCGCAGCAAAGGGCACAACAAUCUCAAGCAAACAAGCAUCUAAGGCAAGCCACACCUAGUUGCCGCCCCCCCUCUCUCUAGGGCAAUCAUAAAAGCAACUAGUACAAACUACGCGCCCUUGCGCGCGAGGAAAAGUGAGCAUCCAGUGAUGUAUAGUAAUUAGAGUACAUUGAUCAAUACACACUUGCUGUAUGUAUAUAUUACAUAUGGCUGCAUAGAGUACAUUGUUAUAUAAGUAUCUAAGUACAUAUUACAUAUUACACAUAUUAGCAUGCAUCAGCUGAUAAAAGGGUAGAUAUAUAAGUAUUUUUGAGAUGUAUAUUUCACAUAUUGGAUAGAGUAAUCUUAAGUAGAGCUAGUGCCGAACAUUCUAUGAUUGGUCUGGAUGUUACAUUUCCGUGUCAUGCUCCCAGAUUAACAUUCUAUAAAUCUCCUUGCCCUCUUGAUGAAACACUGCUCCUAAAUCUAUCUGAUGACACACUCCAGCCAUUAACUGCUGUAACAUCCCUGAUGUUACGGUUACAAAAAAACGGAUCAUGUCAUCAUAAGCAUUGCAAAGCAUAAUUGUUAAAGCACAUUAGUAUGCAUCAACCUAAAAUAAGUUUACUUUGGUUGCUUGAGCUUAGGGAAGUAGAGUGGGCUUCUGUGAUGUGUUUUUGCUUGUGUGGUUGCUAAAACCCUAGGGUGGAAGUUUUCCGAAAAGCUAAGGGGGGAAAACCCUGAUUUCUGGAUCCUAGAAUUGCCCCUUUUUGUUUAAUUCAAAAACUAAGCAAAAUUUGAGGUUGAGUUCAAAAGCAAAGUUGUAGAUCUUGGCAAGAUGUACAACUUUGGUGUUUUGAGUUUUUGAAGUUUCAAUGCAAGAUUCAAAGUAAUUUUGAAAAUACAGAUUUCUAGAAAGUGUCCCCUUUUCCAACUUAAAUUCCCAAUUUAAAAUCCAUUUGGAAUUUUGAAAAGUGGUCAACAUUAAAGUUGUAGAGCAUAAAAAGUUGAGCAACUUUCAUGUUGGGAGUUUUUCAAGUUGUUAUACAAAAUCAAAAGUAAUUUUGGAAAUUCUGUUUUGCCCCAAUUCAAAAAUUUGGAAUUUCUUUGAUUUGAGUUUGAUUUUCAAACUGUUUGGCCAAAUACACCCUGUUACACUCAAAAUCAGCUCUGGUCACCAAAACAUAUUUUGUAGCUUAUAAAAUUUGGAACAACUUUUGUUUUGACACAAAUUUGACUCCAGUUCAAAUUUCGGCUGAAUUUCACAAAAUCCAGAAGAGAGGGGAUAAGGGUUGCUACAGUGACCCGAUAGGGAUCACCGGCUCCCUGUCCAGCGCGGCCGCCGUGCGCGCAGCGCCGCGUGCGCGCGCGCAGGCACGCAGCUGCUUGCUGCCAGGGUCGCCAGGCGACGUGGACGCCUCGGGCUCGCCUUCCCCUCCACUUGAGCACCGACGUGGACGACGCCGUCCGUUUCCACUGUCCACGGCCGGAGAAAACUCGACGUCCCUCUCCCUGAAAUUCACCGUACCCAGUUCCCCUCGCGCCAAAUUGAGUAACCCAGCGUCUUCGUCACCUUCGUGCGGACCCAGUGCACCCCCAAGCUCCCUCUCUAACCCACCCAGUCGCCAGAACCUCUCUGCUCUUCUCCAACUCCGGCCGAGACCGCCGCCGCGGAGCUCUUCCCGUGGCCACGGUGUUCCAGUGAGUAUCACACCCCGCUGGCGACUGUUUCAAGUCCCUUCCGUGCCCCGGUUGCUCAUGCUCUCGCUCCUUCUCCUUGAAUGUGAGCAGGAUCGCCGGAACAAGCUUGCCGGAGCCAGAGCUCCCGCCCGACGACACUGCUUCCGUCGCCAGCGGCUUCAGCUGCUUCUCCGAGCCUUGCAGCGUGAGCACCACCCUCCCCAACCCCUAUGGAAGCUCGCUCGGCCGUUGGCUUACACUCUAUCGGGCCCUAGCGGCCGGCCGAGGGUCGGCCAUGGCGGCUGCCCGCCCUUCUCGUGACCGAGGUAGAAAGAGUAGGGUAGAGCGUGGGUAGGGGGUGUCCACAGGGUCGCGGAGUUGAAGCGAAGCUGAUGCGCACGCGCACUCCGGCCGAGACCCUCGCCAACGGCGGCCGGAGCCGUGGCCGAACCGCCGUGCGCGGGGAGGACGCAGCUGACGGGUGGGGUCGCCCCGUCAGCGUCCCGCAGAGAGAGGGCCUGACGAGCGGGACCCGCUCGUCAGUGACCGCUCAGAGAGAAGGGGCGGCGCGCGCAGCGCGGGUGCGGGCCGAGCGCGUGUGGGCCGGCCUGCGGCCCAGUUCCCAGACAGCCCACUGCACAGUGUUGCUUUUCUUUUUCCUUUUUGAUUAAAAUUGCUUGAUGUUUGAAAUUGUGUAAUAAAUCCGGUGCUAAUCCAAAAAUGAUGAAAGUUUUUGUAUAGGUUCCAUAAGGUGGGUAGAACACAAGAAAAAUAGUGGAUUCUGUUUUCUGGUAGUUUGCAUGUUUGUAAAAAUUUGCUCUUUUAAUUAAUGAAUAAAACUUCUAGGAAUUUUAAUAAUUUAUUUGUAUGUCCAAAAAUCACCAAAAAUUGUGGGGAGCCUCUGAAUAUUAUUCCCUGGCUCCACACAAAAUUUGAUGACAUUUGGAUAAUGUUUGAUUAGAAUACUAAUAAACCCUUAUUUAGUACUUAAGUAAUAAUUCCAAAACCAUUAAAUAAUAAUUAAUUAAAUUCUCAUGAUUAGGGUUGAGUGAUUUUGGGAUUGUGUGAUGACCUGAGGUCAUUAACCCUAAUGACCCUUGGCAUUUAAUUAUUAUUUAGCCUUAAUGCUUAAUUACUGUCAUUAGUAAUUAAUUAAGAAUUAAUUAAGGUAAAUAGGUUUAAUAAUUACUUAAUGUAAGAUAAUUAUGAAUUAAGUAAAGUCUUAGUUUACAGAUGAAACCUCUUGGGUAAAAAUAUUAAGUUAUUAAACAACUUUAUUUAGUGACAAUUCUGUAUUGCAUUAAAUAGGCAAAUCGUACUUAAUUCGGUCCAUCUUGCAUAAUUGCCAUACGCAUAUCAUAAGCAUUCAUCAUUUUGCGUAUAGUGUCCGUGACCGAAGGAGCGCCCGUUGAACCGAACCCCGAGGUCGGUGCUCCGUUCGAGGAAGUCGGAUCCGAGACUUGGGAAGUCUCCGAGGGUCCCUCUCUGCCCUGCAACCAAGGCAAGCCCCGGAUGCAUUAACCCCUCCUUGGAUGUUUUAAAUCUUUUAUCACUUAUGAAUUGAAAAUGCUGCAUUAAGUAGAUGAGAAUUGGGUUAACCUACUUGCUGCAUUUACUACCUUAACAUCUGUAUCCUGUCCUUGACACCUGUUUUAUUUUAAAACCGCGUAGCGAUGCUUAGCCCUGCUACUAGAUAGGUUUUCAAACAAGAAAGUUUGAAGGGUUGUUGUGGGAUACACUUAUGGCCAAUGAUGUUUCAACUUGAGACCGGUCGGUGGACUUGCUUUAAGAAUGGAGUCUUAAAGUAGUGUCUCCAACUGUGUCGGUUAAGGACCGUUCCGUUGAUGGCCUGCUGGGUUGAGAAUUUAUAGUACUAGCCACUUGCCUACGGUAAGCCCAGUCUUGUGAUCCCUCGACGCGAACAGCUACUCGCGCACUGGGAGUGGAAAGAUGGCGAGAGUAGUGUGUACCCACCUUACGGAUCUGAGAUGACCGGAAAACAUCUAGAUCGGCUGUAGGAUGGUGGAGUACUGUGCUCUCGGGUGCCGCGAACCUGGUCAAAUUUGGGGAGAGCUUGAUUUGGGUUGAUAUAUGCAAGAUUUGGUUCUACAUAUGUCGGGUGGUUAGGAACUCCAGCUGGAUUGCUAAGCGAUUCGAAUCGUCGUUGCUCCCCGAUUGGGAGACUCAAUUCCUUCGACCCUCAUCGUAGUUAAAUAUGCAACUGAAUGAUAACAUGAGAAAAGGGAAAAUGUCUCAUGAGGUUCGGAUCCCAAUUCCCGGACUCAUAGCGACAUGAAGCUAUGGCCAUCAAUAAAUAAUACUUAAUGAUAGGGUUAGGAACUCACGGAUUCGUCUGUGGGGAACAACUAGUUAGACUAUCCUCGAAUUCUUCUGCCUCCGCGAGGGAGGAAUUCAGGGUAAAACUUGAAAAUAAGGAUGCACUACUAGUAAGCUUUUCCGCAAAACACUUUGGCUCCUUGCUCAGCCACCCCUUGUCUACCUUAAGCCUGCAUCCCUAAAUUCUCCUCUUUUCCCGUCGGAUAAGUCUUGUUGAGUACUCCCGUACUCAGGGUUUCAAUACCCCUGUUGCAGGUGAAGCUCAGGAGCCGACCUGUUUCGGACCCUGUUGUGUGACCGUCGUCGAGGUUGACGACGAAGAAGAGUGAGCGUGACCCAUGGGCAGGGGCUGUAAAUUUGUUUUGUCUCUACUAAAGUUUAAGUUGCUCCGCUGGACCAGGCUUGUAAUAACACUCUACUAUUUGGAAGAACUCCUUUUGUAAAUUAUGUUAUGUAAUACUUCCGCUGUUUCACUCUGAAAUACUAUUUUGGUCUUGUGUCGUUGAGUUACUGCUUUAUCUUCGCAACGAAUGAUCCUGGUGUUAAGGUGGCCACUUGCUAUCCUGUAAGGGCGAGAAGAAACAGAUCUCGUUGUUUGACCAUUAUCAGUGGUCAGGACGAGUCAGCUUGGUACGCCACAGGUAGCAGUGGAAUGAGCGCACAGUAAGGCUCAUCGGACUUCUAAAGUGGGAGGACUCCCGGCAUCACCGUCAGAGGUCCUUAGGACAAUGGCAGGUGCCGGUGGGCCCAAACACUUAGGGGGUUCUGCCACAGCUGGUAUCAGAGCAUUCGUUGCUAAGAUGACUGCUGAAACUUUGAAAAACUUCAAAAAUUCGUUUGGAACUAAUAUUAUGAACUUGCCUAUUUUGAGUCCAAGUGCUUAGUCCUAAUCUACCCCUGUCUAUAGGCUUUCUUAGAAUUUUUGAAGUGGUUUGGAGGAGCAACCUAAAGUAUUGCCCUAUGUUGUAAAAGUUUAAAGUAAUAUCGUUACGAAUUGUUAGUAGGAAUCAUAAGUUCGUGCAUGCAUCAUAAUGUAUUAACUGGUUAAGUUCCUUCCUCCUUGUUGGGUUGGGCGAAUAGAAUCAAUCCUAUUCUUGCUAACCUUUAAGGUCUCUCUUACUAAUCUAAACUUACCCUCUACAGGAUGGCUCGUCAGAAGCAGACCCCGCGUAAGCGGACCGGUCCAAAAGGAGUUCCCCGACAUCAGCUAGCUCCACGCAGUGAUCAAGCCAGUAGUAGCCGUACCCCGCCUCAGCAGGAGGUGGACAGGCUGUCCGCCGAGUUGACUGAGGUGAUGAGAGAGAGAAUGUACAAUGUUAUGGAGAUUGGCAAACUCAAAGCUCAACUGGCCAAAGAAAAACAAGCUACGGAAAACUGUGAAGCUAUGUUGUCCCGGAUGGUGGAGGAGCGGAAUGCAGCCAUUGCCCGAGAGGAAGAAGCUAGGAGCACCCAUAGGCAUGAGCUAACUAGGAUGAACGCAAAGUUGGGCAAGGCAAAGUAUCUUAAGGAUUUGUAUGUGAAGAUGGCGGCCACGGUCACCGCACAACGGGAUGUUGCGUGGCAACGAGAGGACCAGCUCCAGCUGGAGAAACUGGAGCUGGCAUAUCACUUAGAUACAGUCAAUGAUCUGGCUAUGCAAUAUCGUGAUAUUGCAUUUGAUCUGUAUCAUCAACUUCACCCACCUCCCGGCGAAGGAGAAAUGGAUACGGAUGGCGAGUUGGCAGACGAUGGAGAACCCGAUCCCGGCCUCAGUGGUGGAGAGGAGUCCGACCCCGAUGAUCACAACCCAGGGGGUAAUCAAGAUGAUGGCAACGACGACCCGGGCUACAGCUCUGGCCACACCGAUUAGUUCGGUGAAACCGAGGGCAACGUCGUUGUAGGGGUCUUAGCUUGCCGUAGUGGGGUUCGGGUUUGUAAUAUAAGUUUUCUUUCGGUUUGAGAAGUUGAACUUGUUUACUCUUGGUGUGUAUCUAACUAAUGUUUAAUAAGUGAAUGUAAGAUAUGUUCUGUGUUAUGAAUUCUACGUGGUAACAGGUAUCUACGAUUCUUGUAACAGAUGCCGAUGCGUACUCGCGGAUCCGAUGGAGCUGGGACAUCCCAGGGAGGGGAUGAUAUCCCCAACCCUCCACCUGCUCCACCUUCUUUGGCUGACGCCAUUGCUGUCCUGCUAAGUGCCACUACUGACAAUGCUCGCUUGCUGCGCGAGCUAGCCCAGCGUCAAACACACCCUGCUUCAAACUUCAGGGCACCGCGCAACGGGGACGGAGAGGCUCGGUAUGUAGAUUUUACCGAGACCAGGCCCCCGGUGUUCACUAAGGCCGAUGAGCCUUUAGAAGCGGAUGACUGGCUCCGAACUAUGGAGCAUAAGUUCAGUUUAAUUCAGUGUUCAGAAACUCAGAAACCCUUAUUUGCAGCCCAGCAGCUUCGGGGAGCUGCAGGUGCCUGGUGGGAGAACUUCUUAGCUAUUCAAGCUCCCGGACACCAAGUUACCUGGACCGAGUUUAGGGACGCGUUCCGCGCCCACUACAUCCCCGAAGGGCUCAUGGCCAUGAAGGCCGAAGAGUUCCUCGCCUUGCAGCAAGGCGACAAAAGUGUUAUGGAAUACGUGGCAAGGUUCAAUCAUCUUUCUCAAUAUGCCACGGAUCAUGUGAACACUGACAGAAAGAGGAAAGCCUGUUUCAUGCGUGGCCUAAAUACUAAACUUCAGACCAUGAUGACCACAUGCCAAAAUGCUACUUUCUAUGAGGCGGUAAAUAUUGCUAUCGCCUCAGAGGAAAAGAAUAGGAAACAUAAGGAAGCCAAGAAGAAGGCUGCUUCCUCUUCUUUCUCUGGUCGCGGUCAAAAGCGCCAGAGGGUCAUUUAUCAUCCACAGGGCCACGGACGUUUCCAAACGCCGAUACCUUCUCGUGGUCCUUUCUCCCCUCCACAGUACAGACCUGGGCAGCAGGUAUAUUCUCGACCUACUGCCAUCGCUUUUGCACCACGCCAGCCGAACGCCCCGGGUGUUCGCCCUACUGCUCCGCCCAGCCACAAUUACCCUUGCUUCAAUUGUGGUAAACCUGGGCAUUUCUCUAAAGAGUGCCCUUUUCCUCGUCAAACCAACCCUACCUUUCCCAGGCCACCUAUGGGCCAACCCCAGUCGGGCCAGUUUAGAACUGGGGUUCAAAAAGGGCAACAGGUACAGAGAGGUAGACCGGUAAAGAAGACAGGGCAAGUCUUCCAUACUGAAGUGGAGACAAUUCCAGAGGGUGAACCAGUGAUGAUGGGUACGUUUCCUGUCGCGAAGCAUCCUGCUUUAAUGCUUUUUGAUUCUGGUGCAUCCCAUACAUUUAUCAAUCGCACCUUUGUAUUAAAGCAUGGUAUACCCAUUGGGGAAACACAAGAUCAUUUUUAUAUACAGUCGCCAGGAGGACGGCUGAUGUCUAAAGAAAUGGUUCACCAAGUACCCAUCGAAUUUGGUGGGCACAAUUUUCCUACUAGCAUGAUUGUUCUUAAGGACCAAGAAAUUGAUGUCAUCUUAGGCAUGAACUGGAUGGCGCAACGAGGAGUUGUGCUAGACACUUUGCACCGAACCAUUAAAAUCCCAUUGCCCAAUGAGAGUUCUUACUUGCUAAUCCAAUUAGUUACUCCCAAACGGACAAUUGGGCAAGUUCAUGCCGCUAAUGUGUCUGAAGUUAAAGAUAUCCCGGUAGUUCGAGAUUUCCCGGAUGUAUUUCCUGAAGACUUACCAGGUCUGCCUCCGGACCGGGAUGUACAAUUCAGUAUAGAAUUGAAACCGGGAACGGCCCCAAUAUCUCGAAGGGCCUACAGAAUGGCACCGAAAGAGCUGGCCGAAUUAAAAACCCAAUUACAAGAAUUGUUACAGAAGGGUUUUAUUCAGCCCAGUUCUUCUCCAUGGGGUUGCCCAGCCUUGUUUGUGAAGAAGAAAGAUCAGACAUUAAGGCUGUGCGUCGACUAUCGUCCUCUAAAUGAGGUGACGAUUAAGAACAAGUACCCAUUGCCCCGUAUUGACUUAUUGUUUGACCAGUUAGCUGGGGCCAAGGUGUUCUCAAAGAUUGAUUUGAGAUCAGGGUACCACCAAAUUAAAAUUAGGCCGGAAGAUGUGCCCAAGACUGCUUUCACAACCCGUUACGGGUUGUAUGAAUACUUGGUGAUGUCUUUUGGGUUGACUAACGCACCGGCCCAUUUUAUGUACCUGAUGAACUCUGUCUUCAUGCCAGAACUAGACAAAUUUGUGGUCGUCUUUAUCGAUGACAUCUUGAUUUACUCCAAAACUAAGAAGGAGCAUGCUGAACACUUGAGAAUCGUGCUGACCCGUCUUAGGGAGCACCAGCUAUAUGCCAAGUUCAGCAAAUGUGAGUUCUGGCUGGACAAAGUUCAUUUCCUGGGUCAUGUAUUAUCAGCGGAAGGAGUCGCUGUAGACCCAGGCAAGGUAGAAGAUGUGUUGAAUUGGAAACCCCCGACUAUGGUACAUGAGGUCCGUAGUUUUCUGGGCAUGGCGGGAUAUUACCGUCGUUUUAUCCCAGACUUUUCCAGAGUCGCCAAACCAAUCACAACCUUGCUCAAAAGUCAAACAAAAUUUGUUUGGUCACCCCAAUGUGAGCAGGCUUUUCAGACUCUGAAAAAGUUGUUGACAACUGCACCUGUCUUAGCCCAGCCAGAUAUUGAAAAACCCUUUGAUGUAUAUUGUGACGCAUCAGGAAUCGGGUUAGGCUGUGUGCUGAUGCAGGAGGGUCGUGUAAUUGCAUAUGCUUCCAGACAACUCAAACCUCAUGAAGAGAAUUACCCGACCCAUGAUCUCGAACUAGCCGCCGUGGUACAUGCAUUGAAGAUCUGGCGUCAUUAUUUGUUGGGAAACACGUGUCAUCUAUAUACAGAUCACAAAAGCUUGAAGUAUAUCUUUACUCAAGCUGAGCUUAAUAUGCGCCAGCGAAGGUGGCUAGAACUAAUUAAAGAUUACGACCUUGAGGUGCAUUAUCACCCUGGCAAGGCAAAUGUAGUAGCGGAUGCCCUCAGUCGUAAGGCUCACUGUAAUUGCUUAACAGUGAAGCCUAGGGAUAUAACUUUGUGCCAAGAGCUAGAGAACUUGGGAAUAGAAAUGAUUUCCCAAGGAAGCCUUUCCAAUUUAAAGAUUGAUUUCAAUCUCGAGGCUCAAAUCAUAAAGGCACAAAAAGAAAACAAAGGCAUGAGACAUCUUAAAGAGAAGAUUUCUAAUAGAGCACUCACAGACUUUAAGGUGGAUGAGGCGGGAGUAAUCUGGUUCAAGAACCGGUUAGUGGUUCCCAAGGUACCUGAGCUACGUCAGCAAAUCCUGGAAGAAGCUCAUACCACGAGGUAUUCUAUUCAUCCGGGAAGCAAUAAGAUGUAUCAGGACCUGAAGCAAAGGUUUUGGUGGACAAAAAUGAAGAUAGAAAUAGCUCGCUAUGUGGCCCAGUGUGACACCUGUCGAAAAGUCAAAGCCAUUCAUCUCAAAUCCGCUGGGGAGUUGCAACCUUUGCCUAUCCCCGCAUGGAAAUGGGAUGACAUAAGUAUGGAUUUCAUAGUAGGAUUGCCCAAAACGGCCAAGGGCUUUGAUUCCAUUUGGGUCAUAGUAGAUCGUCUCACCAAAACAGCACAUUUUCUGCCGGUAAAGCUAUUGUAUCCUGCCUCCACCUAUGCUAAGAUUUAUUUCGACCGUAUCCUAAGUCUGCAUGGAGUGCCAAAGACAAUAGUGUCAGAUAGAGGCACACAAUUUGUCUCCCAAUUCUGGAAAUGUUUACAUGAGUCCUUGGGCACUAAGCUUUUAUACAGCACAGCCUACCACCCUCAAACUGGUGGGCAAACGGAAAGGGUAAAUCAAACCCUAGAAGAUCUAUUAAGAUCUUGUGCCCUGAAUUUUCCAGAUAAGUGGGAUGACUGCUUGCCUCUAGCAGAAUUUUCCUACAAUAAUAACUAUCAAGAGAGUAUCAAAAUGGCUCCCUUUGAGGCACUGUAUGGUCGCCGAUGUCGAACUCCGUUACACUGGUCAGAACCUGGAGAAAGAUGGUUCUUCGGAGUUGACUUAGUGAAAGAGACUGAGAACAAAGUGAAACAAAUUCAAAAUAAUUUGAAAGUUGCUCAGUCCCGACAGAAAAGUUACGCUGAUAAAAGACGUCGACCAUUGAAGUUCGCCAAAGGUGAUCAUGUGUAUUUGAAAGUAUCCCCAAUGAAAGGAGUAAAUCGUUUUGGUGUUAAAGGCAAGUUAGCGCCUCGUUACAUUGGUCCAUUUCCAAUUAUUGACCGAUGUGGACAAGUCGCUUACCGCCUUAAACUGCCCGAACGAUUAUCCGGGGUACAUAAUGUGUUCCAUGUGUCUCAACUGAAAAAGUGUCUUCGGGUACCGGAUCGAGUUCAAGAUAUCGAAGAUGUAAAGCUUGAACCAGAUCUAACUUAUUCGGAAUAUCCUAUCCUAGUACUGGAUCAAAAAGCUAGAGUUACUCGAAGGACAACCACUAAAUGGUAUAAAGUACAAUGGAGCCAACACUCUGAGGAGGAAGCCACCUGGGAAUCUGAAGAUUACUUGCUAGAGAAUUUUCCUGAAUUCCAUGCUUCUCUUCAGGACAAUAUAUGAUAACCCGAGAAUGUACUCCAGUAAGGAAAAAGAGUCACCAAAGCCAUGUACUUAAUGUACAUAUAUGCAUAUAAUGAAGUUUUUUUCCCCAACUCCUUGCCUUAUGGAAAAGUUGAAGAUGAAAGAGUUUUGACAAAUUUCCUUUUCCAUUACUUACCCUAAGGUUUUAAAUCUCGGGGACGAGAUUUCUUUAAGGGGGAAGGGCUGUAACAUCCCUGAUGUUACGGUUACUAAAAACGGAUCAUGUCAUCAUAAGCAUUGCAAAGCAUAAUUGUUAAAGCACAUUAGUAUGCAUCAACCUAAAAUAAGUUUACUUUGGUUGCUUGAGCUUAGGGAAGUAGAGUGGGCUUCUGUGAUGUGUUGUUGCUUGUGUGGUUGCUAAAACCCUAGGGUGGAAGUUUUCCGAAAAACUAAGGGGGGAAAACCCUGAUUUCUGGAUCCUAGAAUUGCCCCUUUUUGUUUAAUUCAAAAACUAAGCAAAAUUUGAGGUUGAGUUCAAAAGCAAAGUUGUAGAUCUUGGCAAGAUGUACAACUUUGGUGUUUUGAGUUUUUGAAGUUUCAAUGCAAAAUUCAAAGUAAUUUUGAAAAUACAGAUUUCCAGAAAGUGUCCCCUUUUCCAACUUAAAUUCCCAAUUUAAAAUCCAUUUGGAAUUUUGAAAAGUGGUCAACAUGAAAGUUGUAGAGCAUAAAAAGUUGAGCAACUUUCAUGUUGGGAGUUUUUCAAGUUGUUAUACAAAAUCAAAAGUAAUUUUGGAAAUUCUGUUUUGCCCCAAUUCAAAAAUUUGGAAUUUCUUUGAUUUGAGUUUGAUUUUCAAACUGUUUGGCCAAAUACACCCUGUUACACUCAAAAUCAGCUCUGGUCACCAAAACAUAUUUUGUAGCUUAUAAAAUUUGGAACAACUUUUGUUUUGACACAAAUUUGACUCCAGUUCAAAUUUCGGCUGAAUUUCACAAAAUCCAGAAGAGAGGGGAUAAGGGUUGCUACAGUGACCCGAUAGGGAUCACCGGCUCCCUGUCCAGCGCGGCCGCCGUGCGCGCAGCGCCGCGUGCGCGCGCGCAGGCACGCAGCUGCUUGCUGCCAGGGUCGCCAGGCGACGUGGACGCCUCGGGCUCGCCUUCCCCUCCACUUGAGCACCGACGUGGACGACGCCGUCCGUUUCCACUGUCCACGGCCGGAGAAAACUCGACGUCCCUCUCCCUGAAAUUCACCGUACCCAGUUCCCCUCGCGCCAAAUUGAGUAACCCAGCGUCUUCGUCACCUUCGUGCGGACCCAGUGCACCCCCAAGCUCCCUCUCUAACCCACCCAGUCGCCAGAACCUCUCUGCUCUUCUCCAACUCCGGCCGAGACCGCCGCCGCGGAGCUCUUCCCGUGGCCACGGUGUUCCAGUGAGUAUCACACCCCGCUGGCGACUGUUUCAAGUCCCUUCCGUGCCCCGGUUGCUCAUGCUCUCGCUCCUUCUCCUUGAAUGUGAGCAGGAUCGCCGGAACAAGCUUGCCGGAGCCAGAGCUCCCGCCCGACGACACUGCUUCCGUCGCCAGCGGCUUCAGCUGCUUCUCCGAGCCUUGCAGCGUGAGCACCACCCUCCCCAACCCCUAUGGAAGCUCGCUCGGCCGUUGGCUUACACUCUAUCGGGCCCUAGCGGCCGGCCGAGGGUCGGCCAUGGUGGCUGCCCGCCCUUCUCGUGACCGAGGUAGAAAGAGUCGGGUAGAGCGUGGGUAGGGGGUGUCCACAGGGUCGCGGAGUUGAAGCGAAGCUGAUGCGCACGCGCACUCCGGCCGAGACCCUCGCCAACGGCGGCCAGAGCCGUGGCCGAACCGCCGUGCGCGGGGAGGACGCAGCUGACGGGUGGGUCGCCCCGUCAGCGUCCCGCAGAGAGAGGGCCUAGUCACAACGCCANNNNNNNNNNNNNNNNNNNNNNNNNNNNNNNNNNNNNNNNNNNNNNNNNNNNNNNNNNNNNNNNNNNNNNNNNNNNNNNNNNNNNNNNNNNNNNNNNNNNNNNNNNNNNNNNNNNNNNNNNNNNNNNNNNNNNNNNNNNNNNNNNNNNNNNNNNNNNNNNNNNNNNNNNNNNNNNNNNNNNNNNNNNNNNNNNNNNNNNNNNNNNNNNNNNNNNNNNNNNNNNNNNNNNNNNNNNNNNNNNNNNNNNNNNNNNNNNNNNNNNNNNNNNNNNNNNNNNNNNNNNNNNNNNNNNNNNNNNNNNNNNNNNNNNNNNNNNNNNNNNNNNNNNNNNNNNNNNNNNNNNNNNNNNNNNNNNNNNNNNNNNNNNNNNNNNNNNNNNNNNNNNNNNNNNNNNNNNNNNNNNNNNNNNNNNNNNNNNNNNNNNNNNNNNNNNNNNNNNNNNNNNNNNNNNNNNNNNNNNNNNNNNNNNNNNNNNNNNNNNNNNNNNNNNNNNNNNNNNNNNNNNNNNNNNNNNNNNNNNNNNNNNNNNNNNNNNNNNNNNNNNNNNNNNNNNNNNNNNNNNNNNNNNNNNNNNNNNNNNNNNNNNNNNNNNNNNNNNNNNNNNNNNNNNNNNNNNNNNNNNNNNNNNNNNNNNNNNNNNNNNNNNNNNNNNNNNNNNNNNNNNNNNNNNNNNNNNNNNNNNNNNNNNNNNNNNNNNNNNNNNNNNNNNNNNNNNNNNCGGUGCUCCGUUCGAGGAAGUCGGAUCCGAGACUUGGGAAGUCUCCGAGGGUCCCUCUCUGCCCUGCAACCAAGGCAAGCCCCGGAUGCAUUAACCCCUCCUUGGAUGUUUUAAAUCUUUUAUCACUUAUGAAUUGAAAAUGCUGCAUUAAGUAGUUGAGAAUUGGGUUAACCUACUUGCUGCAUUUACUACCUUGAUAUCUGUUAUCCUGUCCUUGACACCUGUUUUAUUUUAAAAUUGCGUAGCGAUGCUUAGCCCUGCUACUAGAUAGGUUUUCAAACAAGAAAGUUUGAAGGGUUGUUGUGGGAUACACUUAUGGCCAAUGAUGUUUCAACUUGAGACCGGUCGGUGGACUUGCUUUAAGAAUGGAGUCUUAAAGUAGUGUCUCCAACUGUGUCGGUUAAGGACCGGUCCGUUGAUGGCCUGCUGGGUUGAGAAUUUAUAGUACUAGCCACUUGCCUACGGUAAGCCCGGUCUUGUGAUCCCUCGACGCGAACAGCUACUCGCGCACUGGGAGUGGAAAGAUGGCGAGAGUAGUGUGUACCCACCUUACGGAUCUGAGAUGACCGGAAAACAUCUAGAUCGGCUGUAGGAUGGUGGAGUACUGUGCUCUCGGGUGCCGCGAACCUGGUCAAAUUUGGGGAGAGCUGGAUUUGGGUUGAUAUAUGCAAGAUUUGGUUCUACAUAUGUCGGGUGGUUAGGAACUCCAGCUGGAUUGCUAAGCGAUUCGAAUCGUCGUUGCUCCCCGAUUGGGAGACUCAAUUCCUUCGACCCUCAUCGUAGUUAAAUAUGCAACUAAGUGAUAAAAUGAGAAAAGGAAAAAUGUCUCAUGAGGUUCGGAUCCCAAUUCCCGGACUCAUAGCGACAUGAAGCUAUGACCAUCAAUAAAUAAUACUUAAUGAUAGGGUUAGGAACUCACGGAUUUGUCUGUGGGGAACAACUAGUUAGACUAUCCUCGAAUUCUUCUGCCUCCGCGAGGGAGGAAUUCAGGGUAAAACUUGAAAAUAAGGAUGCACUACUAGUAAGCUUUUCCGCAAAACACUUUGGCUCCUUGCUCAGCCACCCCUUGUCUACCCUAAGCCUGCAUCCCUAAAUUCUCCUCUUUUCCCGUCGGAUAAGUCUUGUUGAGUACUCCCGUACUCAGGGUUUCAAUACCCCUGUUGCAGGUGAAGCUCAGGAGCCGACCUGUUUCGGACCCUGUUGUGUGACCGUCGUCGAGGUUGACGACGAAGAAGAGUGAGCGUGACCCAUGGGCAGGGUCUGUAAAUUUGUUUUGUCUCUACUAAAGUUUAAGUUGCUCCGCUGGACCAGGCUUGUAAUAACACUCUACUAUUUGGAAGAACUCCUUUUGUAAAUUAUGUUAUGUAAUACUUCCGCUGUUUCACUCUGAAAUACUAUUUUGGUCUUGUGUCGUUGAGUUACUGCUUUAUCUUCGCAACGAAUGAUCCUGGUGUUAAGGUGGCCACUUGCUAUCCUGUAAGGGCGAGAAGAAACAGAUCUCGUUGUUUGACCAUUAUCAGUGGUCAGGACGAGUCAGCUUGGUACGCCACAGGUAGCAGUGGAAUGAGCGCACAGUAAGGCUCAUCGGACUUCUAAAGUGGGAGGACUCCCGGCAUCACCGUCAGAGGUCCUUAGGACAAUGGCAGGUGCCGGUGGGCCCAAACACUUAGGGGGUUCUGCCACAACUGUAGAUGAGCAAAUCUGGAUGACAAAGAUGGAACAAUAUCCAAAACAGCUGAAUUUCUAAUUCAUGAACAAUUUCUAUUUAGACUGAGGUAAUGUAAGCCAUAGCAAGAAUAAGAUAAAGCAGAUAAAUAAUAGCAUCAUGUGUACUUUGCGGGGCACAAGGAUAUGAAUUUGUGUGCAGUCAUACCUUCACGGCUACAUCACCACACAACAAGGUGGCAGGUUGAACAUAGCGUCGAUUUUCGGGAGUAACAACGUGUCCAUGAACAACCAAGUAGUUAUGAUAAAUUCAUCAAUUAUGGGAAAACAAAGGAUUAGAAAGAAGUUGCUUCUGGCCUAAAAUCAACUGUUGUAUAUUAUGCUCUAUUGAACGAAGACACAGGCAUGACCUAGUCUACCAAAUCCUUGUACAUUUACCUCCAAUAAAUGGAAGAGGAUUAUAGCUUCUAUGUAAGCCUGUGGAAACAAAUAAAGUGGUUCUCAUUGGAUGUAUAAAGGCAUGUCUUAAGUUGCACAAAUGAAGGACAUCAGGAAAAUUUUGAAAAAUUUAUAUACCAACCCAAUCUUAUGUUGUAAUGCAACACAUUUUCUUCUUCUGAAAGGAAACAACAAAGCAAAGUGGCAAGUAACAAUACUCAGGACAUAAGGCAUCCCAAUAUACUGAGGUUGUGAUAUCCAACUUCACCAUCCUGAAAAGAGCACACAUGAAGGGAGCAAAGGGAACCAGGUUGGCUGGAUGGCGUGAACCUUUGGUUUGUAGGGGUAAAUUUGAAAUACAUAUAAGAGAAAUGUAAAGGGCCAAAGCACAAAACAGCGUCCUGUUUAUUUUAAGUGUCUUUAAUACUAUGAUUUUGCCUACAUGAAUGCAACAGACGAGGCAUGAGAGCAACCUCAAAAGCAUUGGAAUGUCAAUAUAAAUGCUCAAGGUGGAAAAUAAUUUCAUUUUUUAAAUGGAGAAGUCGGUGUUAUUUUUGUCAACAAAAUGAAUAGGUAAGAAGUAAUUAAUCCUCAGAUUUGUUUAUGCAAAUGGUACUUUAUGAGCAUCAGAUGUAUCAAUCAGAACCAAUACUGGGACACAUCAGGUGAGCUCACUGAGACAACAACAAGCAACUUUGUUCAUAAUAGAUGGAAAACUGCAUUUUUUGAUAUAGCGUGAUGUGUUAUUGUGAUCAAAACUACGCUUUUCAAAAUUAAAAAAGCAUUAUGCAGCACUCACAUGGAGCACCAAACAAGAACUCAACAACUCGGUGUUAUAAGAGAACAUUCUACACUUAACCAUGCGCCUAAUCCUGAAAGGCCAGAAUACAAAUACUGUUGCAUGGAGUUUUAAAAUACCAACUACUAUUACUUUAAAGUGGCACUACAGUAAUUGUAUUUGCAACAUGAGAUGCAAGUACUAACACCUGUAGCAGAAAACUAAAGUGAAACUUAUUAGAAAUUACCACCUAUAAUUCAGUGGACAAGGGUACCUGACCUAUUGAAACAUUGGGGGUUCAGUCGAGCUUCUCAGGUAAUCUUGUUAGUGUCAUUUUAAGUUCUGCUUAACCUGCACCAAGCAGCAAAAGUGCUUUGAGUAGAAAAAAGGCAAAAACUUUAGUAAGUUGACCGGCCACCUCCAUGUUUGUUUCACUGCAGCUCUUUCUUUUUCCAUGCACCAAAGGACUAAAUGCUCUAAAUAUAUGUUUCAUGGAAACAUUGCAAGGACAGCAUAUAGAUGUGUAGCUAUCACUAAUCAUCAGUUAUCCAUGAAGGCUAGAAUACAUCUGACUAUAUGACAUAAGUAUUUGAGGGGCAGGGGUAUUCACUAAGAUAAUUCUGUAGUACUGAUAUGAAGUAAUUAAGUAUGGAAAAAAUUAAGAACUAAGAAUGGACCUUUGGUUUUAAUAAACCUAAAUGCUUAUACCAAAAUAUGGGUUGAAUAUAAUAGUCAAGUGGUCGUAAACCAAGCAAAUAUUUAACUUAGAAGCCUAUAUCUAUUGCACUGUUGUCACCACAUCCAGAUGGAUUUUUUUCUUAGCACUAUAAGUUGCUAGAACCUUGGGCACGAAAAGAUUUUUCACUCACCUAUGCAGGGAAGGCUUGUUUUCAUUGUUCUCUAGGAUGAUGUGCUCGAGUAUAUUGCUAUGAAUGUCCAUGACAUGUGGAACUUAGAAGAGGAGGAACCAUUCCAGUUGUCAUGUUGCCAAUGUUGUAGAGUCUUCUCAAAUCAAGAGCACCAGUCAUACUGAACAACGCCAACCAACAGGCCAGCUAUAUUCACCUAAAAAUUUAUUAUGAAUUGCAUACGAGGCAAAGAAAACUAACCUAACAUUCAUAACAGAAUACCAAACGAGGAAAGGAUCCUUACUCAGAAUUCAGAAAAACAAGAAAAUGGGACAACCUCUGGUUGUUGAAUGGCCAGAUAGACCUGUUUUUAAUUCGAGUGUUUCAUCCUGGCUCUCAUUGCCAUAACCAUAUAUAUAGUAUCCAUUGCGGCACCUAGGUCUGUCCCUGUUAUCUAAAAAUCAUAACCGUUACUCCGAAAGGGAAGAUCAAUUUUUAUCGAAUUCCUAUACUUAGUAUAUGAUUAGUAGGUCAGAUUAGAUCCUACUGGAUAAGUAGGAGCUGCUGACAUAUUUGUAGGUCCUCUGUUGUGCAUACCCUGCUUCAAGGCAACAAAGGGGAAAAACAUGAGUGAGCCUAGCAGUAGACAUAAUACAUAUUCAGAAUAAGAAAGCACUUCACAUGUGAAAAAAGGAAAGAUAGAAAAAGGGUCAUGUGGAUGCCUAUGGAUAAUAUGUAUUGAUUACUUAUUAUUUAUGGGACCAAACAGAUUUAUAAUCAAUUGAAAUUUAUUUUGCACAAUAAGCUAAUGCUAUCCUGAUCCACACCAUUCUGUGCAUCUAGAAAAGACAUGAAAGAAACACACAACCGCCAAAAGGAAAGAAACUCACCAACACACCUUCCAAUCUUAUUAGUCCACGCAGAUCCUCUUGGUUGAGGUCCUACAUCACAUAGCAUAGAGGAAAGGAGCAUCAGCAAGCAUGAAGCAGAAGGAAGAUGUGCUCCAAAUCCCCAAGAACACAAUAUUGAAGAAUAGACAGAAAGAAGUGUGUGGGUAAGAUCAUGUAACCCUGUUGUUUCCAUCAUGUAGAAAUAGUGUACAUAGUAUUUUAAAGUUGGAAAUGCAGAUGUUUAAUUAUUGUACUGUGAAAUAUGUAAAUUUAAGAGUAAGGAAAAGCUGAAGUUUAUUACCUGACUGAAGAUGUGUAAGCAUGUCUAGAUACAUGUGUUGGUUGUCUAACACUGAAAAAUAGAAAUAAUCUAGGAAAUAAAAUACGAUAAUGCUUUUAGAUUUGCAGCUGUUUAAUGAAGAUGUGUAAACAUGUGUACAUACAUGUGUUGGUUGGCUGACACUGACAAAUAGAAAUAAUCUAAGAAGUAAAAUACGAUAAUGCAUUUAGAUUUGCAACUGUUUAAGCAGCAUUAGACUGCAAAUAUUACCCAGGUGAGAAAUUCUGCAUGAGUCAUGUUUAGACUAUUUGAGCAGAACCUCUAAAGAACCCUACAUCCUCAAGCACAAGCAUCGUGUAUCAGUGAAAGGAAAUUCCAAAACAUCAUGACGGUACAAAUGAAGCCAAAAAUGUUACAGGGCAGCAUCGCCUAGAGAGCACGGACCUAGUAGAGGGGCAUGGAAGGCAAGCAAACCACAAUGCACUGUGUUACAUCGGGCUGGACUAUGGGCAACCACCCGUGCUGGCGUGUCGGCCCAUUCGGAGCUGAGGUCGGAACUAUGCCGGUAUGUUACCCACACCAGGGUCACUGCCACCUACGGCUGGGCAAAACCCUAGGUCACCUCAUCGCCACCGCCACCACCGCCACGUUGGGGGCUCGCUGUCGCUCCGUACGUCACGUGUGGAGGUGUGGAGGAGAACAAGGGCCGCGGUCAUCGUGCUGAGUGGCAGCCAAUGUGGAGGUCCACUUGUGCCACCGCCCUAUCCGCAUCGGAAGGGAUGGGGAGAGAGAGAGAGAGAGAGAGAACGAAAGGGAAGAGACUGUCGAGACUUAUACGCACGAUGGACGGAGAAGGAGGGGGCUAGCGCUGCGCAGGCUUGGGGCGCCAUCGUGCCGUCGCCCUGCCUCGGCCGCACUGCCCGUGGGGCGCUGUCGUCUCGUCGCCUCCAUGUAACACCCUAUAAUUUACUCCUUUCAAAAUAGAGUUAAAAUAAUUUGAUUAUAUAUUUUUGUGCCCAUGAAAAUAUAGAAAACAUAAUAUUUUUCAUUAAAUUAAGAUUUAUCAUAAGGCUUAGCAACAUUGUUGUGCAUACAUGCUGUUGCAUAAGAUUUGAUGUAAUGUUUGAUUGUUGCUCCUUUGUGUGUUGAGAGUAAGCAAAGUUUUUAAAAUUUGCGUUUAGUAGAACGAUCUUCCUUGGUCGGUAUAUCUUUAUUUUUAUCUACAACCAAAUUCUUUAUUUCUCAGCUCAAGUUUUUAUUAGGAGCUUCCUAAAAUCUUUUCUUUAUCAUCCAACUCACUCAUUUCUGUUCCUCGUUCAUCAAACAAUAUCUACAAUCUUAAUGGGAAUUUUUCUAGGUUUUUUUGAAAUUUGUUUCAACUUUUCUGUGAGCAUGAUCUCAUUUUUAGAUGCUCCAAACAAUCUUAUCAUGAGCUCAAAAAAACUUUAUUCGGGUUCCCCAUGUUCUAUAAUAUCUCUGAGAAUUUUUCCUGAAUUUCUGGAGCUUUCGGAGUAUUUUUCGUGGCUUAACUACUAAUUCUGGACUUUUCUUGAAUUAUUUUAUCCAUGAAAAUAAUUAAUUCCGAAAAUAAUAAAUAUCUUACUAUUUUUCCAGCGGCAAAGCCCAUUUGCAAUAAUCAUAAUAAAUCCCAAAGACCAUGUAUUUAUUUACUAAUGGACUUUAAUAAUUAAUUAGGCCUACUAGUAAACAUGAAUGUUGCAAAUCAAUUAGUCCCAUAUCUCUAGUUGAUGUUAAUGUGGUGAGUUAUCCUUCUAUAUGUAUGUACCAAUCUCUUAGACAAAUUAUACCAAAACUAUCUCAAGGGAAGCUCCUAGUUUGAGAAUCCCUGAUGAUGUGAAUUAAAAUUUUCUCCACUCCUUCUCAUGUCUUUCCAUUGCCACGUUAGGAGAGACUCGGCUGUUGCUUAUCCUAUCGUGCGCUGCCUUCUACAACUCUCCAUGUUCCGUUGCCUAGGGUUGCCGGCCGCUGCGGAACCCGAACUGCACGCAUGGAAUUUCUGAUGCUGCCUAGUUCACGUUCACGCCCGAUCAUGCCGCAGGACCAUCAAUCCUGAUCGUUCAUAGUUAUUUGUUGGUGAGCAUCCCCUUGUUUUCCAUCUUCUCUGUUAAUUACACCAUGCACGCACGUUGUAUGUUUCCCUUAUUUCUUUGCUUCUUAUCCAUAUGCAGCCAUUGAUCGUAUGUAGGCUUCUGUCAAUGUGCCGCGGUUGCGUUUUUCCUGAUCGCCAUGGCUGGCGGUGGUGCUUUCCCUGUGCCCGAGCAGAUGGGAAGCCAAGCGUUUGCUGCCUGUUGAGCCCGAAGGUCUGAGUUCCAAUUAGCUAGCAAGCUGCCAUGCACUUGUCUCGCAAAUCUUUUCAGGCCACCGCUAAUCAUCUGCUCCAAUUCAGUACUGAAAGUUCCAUCCAUGUACGUACUUACAUCGAAGGCUUCCAGCAAUAGCCAUCGACAAUUGAAGUUAAGUUCCAGACUUUGUGCUAAUCUAUUCUUUAUUCAUUGAGUCUAUAUAUGGAUCUCAUCGAGGUGCUGAGCUCGCUCGCCGCUGUGGUGACAGCUGUUGGAAACCUCUCCGCUGACUUGAGCAAGCCGUCAAGUGUCUUCACGUGGAGACCAUCGAGCCACCCCCAUCAAGCUGCACGCAUUCACUGAGACCGCCCCAUUCGCUACAAGCCUCUGCGUGAGUUCGCCAUAUCCCAAUAUAUCUACCGGUGCUUUUACCUUUGUAAUCAAAAGCCUCCAUGUUGUUCUCACCAAGCUUCGACGAACUCCAUGGCCAACCACUGUGCUAGAGAUCCUGUGCCGUGCGUGCUUUGCCUUGCUCCGAUUACAUACAGUUUCCAUAGCUAACAUGAUGACAUCAUGUUGAUGUCACCAUGAUGUCAAACAAGUAUUAUUACAGUUUUCCUUUACAAAAAUACAUCAAAAAAUACAAUAAAAAUACAUUAGCUUGUUUAGGUCAUAUUUUCUCUGUUUUAACUCCGAUUUGACACAUUCAAAUUGCGUUAAGUCUGUAUUUGAAAGAUCUACAUGUUAGUAAUACUGUUCUCUCAGUUUGAAACUUUUUUUAAAUUUCGUAACACCAUUUAAUUAAUUAUUUUUCUAUAGAAAAUCUUAGAAAAUUCAAUUUUUUUUUUGUUUUAGCUCCGAUUUUCAUGAUCUUUAUGUCUGUGUGAUCAUAGUGCAAUGUAGAUUCAUUUUAUAAACUUUUAUCUUUAUUUUCUACUGUUGGUGUAUUGUUCUAAUUAUAGGUUUGUUUGCUUUGUAUGAUUGCCUCUGGAUGAUUGUUGAUGAUGUGAUGACUGAGUUUAGUCGGUGAGCUUUUACGUGGUGAUCAAGAAGCAGUUUGUGGAAGGUUUGGAACUAAAAGAAGGAUCUAAGUUUCAAGACAAGUAUAGCAUGGGAUCAUCCUUGUUUCCUAAUAACUUUAAUCACAGAAUUCAUAUUGCAUGUGUCUUUUUGUUAAGAAUUUCCUAGUAUUGAUCUUAUACCUUGUCACCUAUGGAUUUGCAUUGGGUGGCUUAUGCUAGUGCUCCACUAAACCAUGAUCUUGUAAUUUGAGUAAUGGAAUAUGCAAUAAACAUUAAAAGAGGACUUUUUAGCAACUUUGGUAAAGAGGGCUGGAGCAUUGGGCUAUCCUAUGGUGCUCUAGUUUCUCUCCCUAAGGACUUAUCUGUAUAUGACCAUCCGGGACAUACAGUACAACUGUGAGGGCUACAUGGCUCUGGCUUUAGCUCAGUAUGAUGACCUUUUCUAGCUUGUUAGUGGUUACCCUUGUGGCGCAAAUGGUGAAUAGCAGAUCGUGGAUUCCUACGGGUGAAUCACAUGGACUGACUAAUAAAACCAAACGACCCUAACUUGUUAGACGAACCUUUGAACAACUUCAUAGUGAACCCUUCCGGCCUCCAUAGGAAGGGGGUUAAGAGAUUAGCUACCUCGGGCGAAAGGGUAAAUCAUGACUCACAGCGAAAUUGUACAACCUCUGGAGAGUGUAAAACUAAUAUAUCAGCCGUGCUCACGGUCACAAGCGGCCUUGGACCAAUACAGAAAAAAUAAUUAAUAAUGGCAAAUUAUUAAAGUUAUUAUUACUAAAUAUGUGGUUUAUGCUAUUCUUUAUUCACUUUACAUGAUCAUGAGUUAACUUUGGGACUUGACAACUUGAUGCUACUCAUAUGCUAGAAUUGUGACAACUAAAAGCUACAUGCAGUUAAACCAGUGUCUAGCCUUUGAGCCUCAUGAACCCUAUGUUAUUCUUGCUGAGUACGAGAUGUAUUUAUGCUUGCCUUUACAUUUUAUUUGGAUAAAAAUCCCAGAUGGGUACAAGAUUGCUAGUUUGGAGAAGAGUUUAGGCUUGUGCUCAACCAGUCAGUUGUCCCUGUGGAUUUGGAGCUUUCGCCUAAAGAACGGAGUGUCUUUCCACUGUUUUCUAUCCAAGGUUAUAUCUUUUAUAUUAAGUUCGUUAUAUAUUAAGCAUUGUCUAUUGAUAUUACCCGUAUUUGUGGCUAUAUGUGAGAUUUGACUUCCUGGGCUCACAUAUGGUGUGUAUCUGGUUUUGUUCUUAGUAUCGGGUGCUACAAAGUGGUAUCAAAGCAAUGCUGACUGUAGGACGCAAGCCUAGUUAGAAAUUGGUCAUCUUAAGGUUUUGAAAUUGUUAUAAUACCCUUGCUCUAUAAACCUUGGUAUUUUCCUCUAUACUAUAUCUCUACCCUUGCUAUUCCUUCCUACCUUGUUGCUUAUUUUAAAAAUCUUUGUUCUCAUCUUUACUCCUUGAUUUGGUAUGCUUUUAGAACCUUCUCUUACCUCUUCUUGUGUCUUCGAAACAGAAGUUUUAGGAUCCCAACCCUUAAGAUGAAGAGAACGAUAGUAUCGCAAGUUGACUUGUUUGACGUAUGAAACUAUAAUGCUUAAUUGGUUUGUCAUUAUGCUUAUGCUUGAUUUGGAUCUUUGUAGUGGGUUCAGUGAUCUUGUGGGAUUUCUGCACAACUUCAUUUAGUGUAUUGGUCUAAGGUAUAAGGAUUAAUGACAUAAUUAGUUGGGUUUUGGUUUUUCUCUUGUUAUCUUAUCCUGCCUUUUUGGAGUAUCCUCUCUUUAUCAGAUUAUAUCUCUGAUCUCGAAUGAACAAAAAUCAUGAGGAAAUUUUGGAUGACAGUGGACGUCAAGAUCUUUCUCUGACUCAAGCAUCACCCUCAUAGCUAUUAUGGUUUGGAAGUUACAAAAAUCACAAGAUGGUAUAGUUGAGCUGUCAGGAAUCGGAACCAGUUUCAGUUGCCUACUGUUUUAGACAAAUGUAACUCCAUAAUUUUGUAAAAGGUACUAUAAUAAAGUUGUAGGUCAUUUGAUAAGCUUUCCAACGAUGCAAACUGCAGCUUUAUCAGAUUAAUAGGACUUGAGUUAUGACAUCUACAAGUUGAUGUUUCUGCACAGUUUCAAAAUCUAGACAAUUCUAGUUAGUUCCUAUUUUUUUCCGCGACAUUAACUUCAGAAUCUGGGAAGUGCUAUAUACAGAAGUUGUGGAGGACUUCAUAAGAUUUUCAGCCAUGUAAGACUCGCACCCACAUGAUUUUCAUAGCUCGAGAUAUGACUGUUGCAAGUUGCCACGACUGUGCUGACAUAUUUUCUGGAUAGAUAUUGUUCUUGGCUGUUUUAUCCAAAGUUAAUGUCAGAGCCUGAGACAGUAUUCUAUACGAAAGUCAUAGAGGAUUUUGUCAGGUUCCCAACGGUGUAGGACAUAAGUAUAUUAGACUGAUGGAGUAUGAGUUAUAGCUGCUUUACUAUGCUGCAUAUUUUUAUUCCAUGGGGAAUUUCAGAUUUCUUGUACGUGUCAGUGCACAUGAGUUUCUCUUGGGUAUUAGAAGAUCUUAUGAUAUGAUAAUUCACUUAGAAUAUGGAACAAGCUACCCAUUUGUGCCCCUAGUUUACUCUUCUUAAGGGGGGUAGCCAAGCUAAUGAAGUUACAAGAUGAAUGUUUCAUACAUUCUAGCACUUGACAUGGAAGUGUUGAUCAUUCCUAUGGUUGAGAAACCACUAUCAAGUAUCCUUGCUAAGAAGUUCUUAACAUGUUGGUUCCAUCUACAAGGAGAGUGCAUAUUAAUCAAGGUUUGAUCUUGAAUGAAAGUAUCAUCAAAUGGGAGUCCAAUCUUCAAUAUACCUAAGGCGAGAUGGCAUUGACGACAUAGGAAGUGGAUAUGGUACAUCUAAUGUUGAUGCUACAGAGACUCAAAAUACUUCAUUGCUAAACAAAGCAUGAAAAGUAAGUUUUGGUUGAUGAAAGUUCUCACAUAGGAGAUGUCAUCCUUAUGGUGAACAUGAGAAAGUGAAGAGUGCAUUGAGUUUGGGACCCACCAAAGGAAGUGAACGAGACUUAGAGUUCCAUGGGAACGACAAGAUGCUAUGAUAUGUUUGUUGGAGGCAUUGUAAUCUUGACAUAAGAGUGACUAAGAGAUUGAUUUGGAAUAAUAAGAUUCUAUCAAUGGUUCAUUGAAGGUGUUGUGAAGAUUGACAAAUAGAGUUGUUCUACCCCCUGUAGACUUUAGAUGUGCUCUAAACAAUAAAAGUUAGGGCUUAUGCAAAAGUCAACUAAGUGAGUUAGACCACUUGGCACAUGAUGUGGAGGUAUCCAUAUUGGAGCAUGGAGAUACUAUCUUCUUGGAUAUAAGAGUUAUAUCUAUGUAGAAUGUAAGAAUCUAAAGGGCAUCUUUAGGAAGUUGGAUUUGAGCUGGUCACAUCAUUGAUGGAUUUGAGUGAAUAAAGAGUUAUGACUAGGAAAAGUGCUAUCACUUGAAGGUGAAAAGGCCAUUGCAAAUGCCUAAAGCAUAAAGAGUGUGCUAGAGGAGUUUGAAUAACACUAAGGUUUGAGGAGUUGAGUGUCAAACUGGAGCGAUACUGCCAAGUGAGCCCUAUUAAUUACACUUAGGAACAAGAGGAACAACAAAGAUUAAUUAGAAGUUAUGUUGGAAGACUCAAGAGUUGUGUGUAAGAGUGGAGCAACUUAACCUGAUUAUGUUGCUUUACGAGAUACAUGCAGAGAGUUAAAGUAGAGCACCAGAGACCUGCCGGAUUAUUGCAACCAAUGAAAUCCCUGAGUGGAAGUGGGAAGAAGUUGGUAUGGACUUCAUAAUGGGAUUGCCAUUGUUGACGGUCCUUAAGUACUAAAAUUAAUAAUCAAAGAAACAUGAAAAAGGAUCAAUAUGAAACAAACAUCUAGAAUUAGGGUUUUAUCUGACAGAAUUCCACGAGCUUUGGUGUUUAUCUAUUUCUGCAGGGGUUUAUCAGAAAAUAGGGAGAGAAGGCCCACAUGUCAUGUUUACAACGAGAUAAUUACGUGCCACGCAAUUUUCCUUGAUCUAGAAGGAUCCAGAAGCCACGGGAACGAACGGGACACGAUUCGGGCUCGGGAGCUGGGCGGCCGCCCACCCCCCUUGGGCGCCCGCCCUGGCCAGGAAGCCAAUCAGGACUCUCUCUCGGGACAACUCUCCACCGACCUAAAGGAUCAAUCUAAACCAUAAAAUCUAUGUCGGUUUGAUCCAAUGGCUCACGUUCACUUGAGGGGACUAUAAAACCAGACCCCCUGGCCCCUGGAGGAGAGAGGAGAAAUCAUUAUUCAGAGGUAGCCAUCAAAGUUAGGGUUUAGAUCUCUCUCCCACGGAGAAUUAGAAUUAGCUACUCCCUAAUCCUUCAAGUUUAGAGGUUGAUUAGAUAGCAAUUAGAGAAGUAGAGCACUACGCUUUGGAUUCGGAUCUUCGGUAAUAAAGAUUGGUAUUAUUCAUAUCUUUCUCUAAUUCUAUUGUUCUAAUUGCAUUAUGUCUCUAAUUAUUAUGUUCUUAGUUUGUUCUAGUUCUAUAUUUGAUAUAGUUCUAAUUGAUAAUGAGUUUAUGUAUAAGUUUGCAAAGCGCUUAGCUCUUGACGCGAGGGAGUUAGGUGAUAGAUCACAUGUGAGCGUGGUGCUUAGAUGUUAUUUAUCUGCAAAUGUAUCCUAUUGGCCGAGUCGUGUGGUAGUUCGCGAUAGUGACAGCUUCAUUGAUUCUUAUAUAGUCCACCCUCCGUUGAUAGGACAGGCAGAACCGGUAUUGUGGAGUAAGUCAUGCGAUGUUCUGAUUUACUUUAUCAAUGUUCCUUAUACAUGAAUGAAGAGUCUUUUAUGCUAUAUAUGAUCUUGUAGAUAACUAGAGUAGAUUAUGACUUAGUAGUUAGUAGAUAACUUAGAAUCCAUUCUCUAGCUAAUCCGACAUCACCUACAUAUAUGAGGAGUAGUCUAUUUUCUAAUCGCUGUGCUCUUUAUCCCAUGAACUUAUACUUUAUUAUCAUUAUCUUUAUGGUUUACCCCCUGCAAAAGUAAGUGACUGUGUGACGAGUUUCUCAUUAGUAAUCAUGUUCUUGCAAGUUUAUCGCUAGUCUAUGCCUUGAUAGAUUUUGCCCCUUUGAUUUAAUUCCAUCUCCUUAGAUCCCUUGAGCAAAAUUAUAAAUAACGAUACCUGGAAUACUUAUCCUGGUGAAAUGCUACAAUGAGGUGUUUUAUCUGUGCGCUUGCGGAUAGAAUAGAUUAUUUUCUAGAGAGCCUUUACAUUUAUAAAUACCUUUGUACACUCUGGCGCCAUGCUAGGGAUGACAACCUAGUAUCUAAGUGGUGUUAGCUAGUGUCAACAAGCAUUUCUGGCGCCGUUGCCGGGGAACAUUAUAGAAGUCAUACGAGUCUCAGGAAUAAGUCAUAAAAAGGGAACAAAAGGGUAAUAUUUAGGAAAGCCAGAAAAUCAAUCAAGGUUAUUCAUAUAAAAUUUUAGACUAGACUAUAGAGAAAUAAUUGCAUAAAACAGCUACUAAGUGAGAAAUCAUAACAAGGCACCUCUGCUUUGGCAGGUUCACCCUGUUGUUUUUCUAUGUUUAUAUUUUUAUACAGGGUAUAACAGGAUUGACUUUGGGUACAUUCAACUCUUCAUCAUCAGAACCAAAGCAAUCAAGAGAAGAAGAAGCUAGCUACCAAUUGCUGAAGCUAUGGCACAAAAGACCUUGCAAGAAUUCUCUGCUCCAAGUCUUGACAACAUUCCAACCGGUCCAAGAUUUGUAGUAGAAGAAGGAAUACCCGAGUUUGAGCUCAAGUCAAGCCUCAUCAAUUUGGUGCAAGCUACACAAUUCAGUGGAAAGGCACAUGAAGAUGCCAGUGCACACUUGCAGAAUUUCUUAGAGAUUGGAAGCACAAUCCACAUCAACGGAGUUGACAAAGACGUCAUACUGCUUCGCCUUUUUCCAUUCUCACUAGAAGGGAAAGCGAGGAAGUGGUUCUACACUCAUCAAGAUAAUAUCAACAACUGGACGAACUUGUCAGAUGCCUUUCUAUCAAAGUUUUUCCCUAUAGGCAAAACAACUGCCUUAAGAGGAAAUAUUGUCAGUUUCCAACAGCAGAAGACAGAAGCCAUUUCACAAGCAUGGGAGCGUUUUCAAGGAUACGUAUCAGAUUGUCCUCACCAUAGAAUGGCCACAUGGUUACUUAUGCAGACCUUCUACCAUGGAUUAACCCAGAAGGCUCGUGAGUGCCUAGAUGCAUCUGCUAAAGGAUCAUUCUUGGAGCUUACAACUGGAAAAGCAGAGAUACUUUUGGAUAAGAUAGCAGAAAACCAAAGCUGGUUCCAAGAUAAAGCUCAACAAUGUCAUCAAACUGAAGAAAUACCAGAAGAAGUAAAAGCAUUAUCAACUAAGAUGGAAAAUUUGCUCCAUUGGAUUGACCAGAGGGCCAAGUUCAAAGAAGAUCAAAGGGCCAUUGAGACAGCAUACAAAUAUCAACCAACUUCGAGUCAACCCAAUAGCAAAGGUAUGAAUUCAGGUAAUACUUUCAAGCAACUUUCACUAAAAGAGAUAAUUGCUCAACAAACUAAAAUUAAUGAUGAAGUUAAACAAAGGCUAGAUACAAAUGAAUCAUCUCUUAAAAAAUAUACACAAUAAAAUGGAUUUUCUACUAACUGCCUUUGAUGAGCAAAACACUCUUAAUAAAAUUGUAGAGCUUAAAUUAAUAAAAUUAGCUGCUGCACUGCCUGUUGCUACUAACCUUGAGCAGGUAAAGAAUAUAACUACUAGAGGAGGUAAAGCUACCAGAGAUCCACCAUACCCAAAAGAGAAACAAAGAACAUCAGCACCAGUGCAACCAGCAGUGAUAGAAGAAGAAAGCCCAGUUGAAGCAGAAGAUCUGCUACAACCACCAAGAACUGGAGAAAUGAGGAAAGAUUUUUACGACACCAACUAUUUGCCAUUUCCCAGAAGAAACAGAGGACUACAGUCGGAUGAGCAGUUUGAUAAGUUUGUAGAGGUCAUUCAGAAAUUAUAUGUCAACAUACCUCUGCUCGAUGCCAUACAGGUACCUACAUAUGCAAAGUACAUCAGAGAUAUUCUUAACAAGAAGAGACCACUGCCCACCACUGAGGUUAUCAAGCUGACAGAAGAAUGUAGUGCGGCCAUCCUCAACAAACCACCAAAGAAGAAGGAAGAUCCAAGAUGCCCCACUAUUGAUUGCUCGAUCGGAAACCAACACUUCAACAAUGCACUUUGUGAUCUCAGAGCAAGUGUCAGUGUGAUGCCAGCAUCAGUCUACAAAAAGCUUGAGCAUGCAACCUUAGAACCAACAUCAAUGUGCCUACAACUAGCGGAUCAAUCGGUUCGACACCCGCUGGGCAUCGCCGAGAACAUUCCAGUCAAGAUCAGAGAUUUCCUGGUGCCAGUAGACUUCGUAGUACUGGACAUGAGUCCUGACUCAAAAGUGUCCAUCAUCCUUGGAAGGCCAUUUCUGAGCACUGCCAAUGCCCACAUUGAUGUCGGGAAAGGAGAAAUCAAGUUCAACAUAAACGGUCAAGAAGAACACUUCACAUUCAAACUCAGACCAGAGAGAGACUCUACAGUGAAGGAAGUUCAUGAAGAACCACUGGAGACACCAUCUCCGGAGGAAGGAAACUUAGAAGAUUAAAAGAAUUGGAGGUCCAGCUUGGGGGACCUAAAAAUCCCAAACCCUCACCGGGAGGUAAAUCGGUAUUUACCCGCAUUAUUAAUUUUCUCAUAUUAAAUUCUUGCAUAAUUAAUUAGUCAUGGCAUUAUUAUAAUAAUCAAAAAGCCCCAUAUAAAUAAUAUUCGUGGUGUGUAACAACCCAUAUUUAUUAAUUAUUGUGGAGGCACAAAAAUAUUUUCCAUUAUCAUUAAGUUUCAAUUCUCAUAGAUUUUCCUGCAUUAUAUUUAUUUAUAUUGAUCUUCUAGAAGCAUGACCCACACUCUUUGGGUCCCACAUGUCAUACACUUCAUCUCACAUACAUCCCAUCACAUAAUUUCAUCCACCAAUAUGUUUCCACUCACCUGACAUCUUUCCACCGUCCAACCAAUACCAACACAACAUUAUUUUGCGUGAGAUCAAAGCAAGGAAGCAAGUGGAGGAGGCACACCCAGGAUGGACACCAGGGGUGGGCGCCCGCCCACCUACCUUGGGCGCCCGCCCUAUCCCCUGCUCAGCCUAUAAAAGGUCACCUCCAGUUUCCCUUCUCUUCACACAAACACUUGAGAAAACCGCACAAAUCUCAGUUUCCCGAGGAGGAACUUUUGUAGUAAAGAGAAUAGGGUAGAGAGAAAUUGGAGAGUGGAAGGGAAGGUUGGAGUUCUUUUGAGAGAGUGAUUGUCACCUAGCAAAUAGUGAUCCCGUUGUCCAAGAGGAAGUAAAAGUUGUUUAGGGGGAGGCUCUACCAAAAUAGAAACUUGUCUUGAACGAUUAACCCCUGGACUACUGACACUCCGGACGGUUGACUACUAACAUUUUAUCUCACAUUUUCUACCAGUUGUAUUUUUGCCAACUUUUGUGUGCAGGAUGUUUAAGAAGGUGAAGAAUGUAGGGAAGGCUCUCAAGAACAUUGGUACAAGGAGUUCAACCCGACACUCCUCACAGCCAUCAGAGAUGAGCGUCGAUCCGACACCCACACAAGUUCCAUCAUCUUCAUCAGGUCAGCAAGUCAAGGUCCUUCUCAAGAUACGAGACCUAGGACUGAAGACCUGAAGAGAGAAGGAAGUUUAUCAGCAACUGAAGAACAAGGAUUUCAUUCACACCCCUACUAUCGAUCCAAUCCUACUACGAGAAACAGGUAUGGACACUGAAUUUGACUUAAUUUUUCAGAUGAUGGGUUGGACAAAUUUUUGGAAUAUAACUGAGCUGGGUUCUCGUCUUCUCACCCUCGAAUUUCUUUGCACCUUACAAUAUUAUGAGGGGGGAAUUGUUUUUUGGAUGUUCAAACAGGAAAUUAUGUUGUCUUGGAGAGAGCUAAGCGACCAUCUUGGUUUCUCUUCAAGAUGCAUCCUGAACAUUGACUCCGAUUUACCCAAUUUUGAGAGACACCAGUUUUGGAGAGAAAUAUCUAGAGAUAAUUUUUAUAGUCAAGCCCGAACCAGUGACAUGGAACACCCCACUCUUAGGAUGUUUCACAAAUGGCUUGGGUACAAUCUUUACUAUCGCGAUGAUAUUAGGAAAGUAAGAGUAGGAGAUUUACAACUUUUAUAUCCUGCUAUUAGUAAAGUACCCACUUCACCUGUUACACUAUUAGUUUCACAUUGGCUUAGUAUACCUAGUCUUCAGGGACCAGUAGGCUGUACUUCACUUAUCACUCGUCUAGCCACUAAUCUUCACUUACUAGAAAACUCAUCGUUGGACUUCAUAGAAGAAUUAAGAAUUUAUCAUGGCUAUGACACAUUUAGACAAGCUCGGAUGUUAAAGAAAGAGGGGAAUAUAAUGUAUAUGCUAUAUGAUGAUAAAGGCAAGAUUCAGUUACCUAACCCGAACCUUGGCCUCUACUCUGUGCAAAACUUUUUGAUUGAGAUUGCAGCAACACUAGUGAACCAGAGAACUCCACAGCGAGUAGCAUCUGAAAGGAUAACCACUCACCGAGAACGCACUUGGUAUGGAGCUGACCCUGGACCAGAAGAAGCAGCGCACCUGCAUUAUUGCGAUUACAAUCCACGAGUCCUUCGAGACCCAUGGGCUCGUCAUGCGCAACCACAAGAGCCAACAGAGGAGACAUGGCCGGAGAGCCAAGAUCACUAGUGGACAAACCCGCCUUUUCAUACGGGCAGGUACUCCACUGAUCCAUAUGGAGCUUCAGGAUCCAGACCUCCACCCUAAUUUGAUGCAGGACGAUACUCCGACGUCUCCUACGCCUUCACGAAUGACUACUAUCAAGAGGCCGGUGCUUUCUUCACUCGUACCGACAACACCCUCCUCGACAUCCAGAACACGCAAGCAGAACAUGGAAGACUCCUGGAAGAGCAACAAAAAUGGAACCAGGACCAUGCUGCUGCAGUGCAAGAGCUGAGACAAGAUACAACAACAAUGAACGACAACAUCACAACCAUGAUGCGGUUCUGGAACAUCGGGUAAGACCGACAGCAACAUCCAGCUUGGGGGAGUUCCUCCCUAAAUUUAUCAAGUAAGUUUCUAUUUGCUCUUCUUAUUUAUUCUAUUCUGUCUUAGUAUUUAAUUUAUCUUAAAAGGAAAAACUUAGAAAACCAAAUAAAUAUUUUCUUGUUUUAAUUUACUGCAUUCUAUAAACAUGAAAACAAAAUAAAAAGAGUAGAUAAGUGUGCUUUAUUUUCCUGCUAAGUUUAAUCUCUAAAAAAAUCAAAAAAGAUGCAUGAUGGAAAUGAUGAACAGUUGCUCUGUUUGCUUACUUACAAGUACCAAGCUUUUAUAUUAAAAUUCUUCUAGGAAUUACUAAAACUGAUAUUACUAUCUUUGGGAAGCAUAAAACUAAAGUCUAGGUAAGAGAAAGGCAUGAUAUAAAGUUGAGCUACUGUUUAUCUUGUUCCUACUACACUAAGUUCUAGAGAUUUAUUUUGAAAACUUACAAAUCACAUGAUGAGUUCCUAGCAUAACAAACUACCUACUACAGCCAUACUUGCUAUAACAUCUUUUACUAUAUUCACAUUGAGUUUGAUCGAGCUGUGUAGACCCUUAGGAGCUUUUCAUGUGGUUAAAUUAAGAUAUUCACUUGCACACAUCUACCACAACAUCCAUUACCAUUCAUUAAAAUUGCUAAAAAUAUUAUCACUCACUGUCCCGAAUAUUGUUAUUCUCUCUCUCUAAAAAGAUUCAAUGCAGAAGAGGCAUGGGUUAUGCAAAAAUAUGCGAGGAAAUAAAAAGGGGCAAGUGCCCGGAACCUCGGAAAAGAAAGAAAAAGAGUGAGACGAGAGGUAAAAAUGGACAAGUGUCCGAAGUAGAAUUAGGGGUACAAAGAUGCCCACUUGAGCGGGAAAAAUGGACAAGUGUCCGACAGUAGAAUUAGGGGUAUCUACUACCCACCUGAAAAAAAAAAGAAAAGAAAAAUAUAGCCUAUGUUCUCCCAAAGCAAAGAUCAAAGAGGAGGAGAGAUAGCAGUAUGAGGAGCAAUGAGAACUAAGUUUUAUUAUCACUUAUGCAUUUUCACCAUCACUAUCAUUUACUCCAUCACACAUGCACAUCUUGAAUUAAUUAUAUGCUGAGUUCCUUUGGAUCCAUGGCUCGAUUAGACAACAUAUGUAUGAGCUGUUUUCCACUCCUAUGAGCUCCACUUAAAUAUUCCAUUAGCUAUAGGAAAGUGACAUUAUGGUAAGGAUCCACAAAUACCACAUAUAGAUAGACUUGAGAGAAUCAUUGCUGGGAACUCUGAGUUUUAUUUUGAAAACUUAUGAAAAACUCUAGAACAAAGGUGAAGAAUAAACAGGAGGAAUAGUGCUUGACUUAACUAUUUUGUCUUUCGAUUACUUAAGAUUUAAGUGCAGGUACUAAACUCCAUAACACUUCACUAUAAUCUGGAAGAAUUUUUAUGUAAAAGCAUGUGUGCCUGUCAGGAAAGAAAACAUCGAAGCAACUCCUGAUCCGUCUGAGUUUAGCUGUUUGCUCAGGGACGAGCAAAGAGUAAGCUUGGGGGAGUUUGUUGACGGUCCUUAAGUACUAAAAUUAAUAAUCAAAUAAACAUGAAAAGGAUCAAUAUGAAACAAACAUCUAGAAUUAGGGUUUUAUCUGACAGAAUUCCGCGAGCUUUGGUGUUUAUCUAUUUCUGCAGCGGUUUAUCAGAAAAUAGGGAGAGAAGGCCCACAUGUCAUGUUUACAACGAGAUAAUUACGUGCCGCGCAAUUUUCCUUGAUCUAGAAGGAUCCAGAAGCCACGGGAACGAACGGGACGCGAUUCGGGCUCGGGAGCUGGGCGGCCGCCCACCCCCCUUGGGCGCCCGCCCUGGCCAGGAAGCCAAUCAGGACUCUCUCUCGGGACAACUCUCCACCGACCUAAAGAAUCAAUCUAAACCAUACAAUCUAUGUCGGUUUGAUCCAAUGGCUCACGUUCACUUGAGGGGACUAUAAAACCAGACCCCCUGGCCCCUGGAGGAGAGAGGAGAAAUCAUUAUUCAGAGGUAGCCAUCAAAGUUAGGGUUUAGAUCUCUCUCCCACAGAGAAUUAGAAUUAGCUACUCCCAAAUCCUUCAAGUUUAGAGGUUGAUUAGAUAGCAAUUAGAGAAGUAGAGCACUACGCUCUGGAUUCGGAUCUUCGGUAAUAAAGAUUCGUAUUAUUCAUAUCUUUCUCUAAUUCUAUUGUUCUAACUGCAUUAUGUCUCUAAUUAUUAUGUUCUUAGUUUGUUCUAGUUCUAUAUUUGAUAUAGUUCUAAUUGAUAAUGAGUUUAUGUAUAAGUUUGCAAAGCGCUUAGCUCUUGACGCGAGGGAGUUAGGUGAUAGAUCACAUGUGAGCGUGGUGCUUAGAUGUUAUUUAUCUGCAAAUGUAUCCUAUUGGCCGAGUCAUGUGGUAGUUCGCGAUAGUGACAGCUUCGUUGAUUCUUAUAUAGUCCACCCUCCGUUGAUAGGACAGGCAGAACCGGUAUUGUGGAGUAAGUCAUGCGAUGUUGUGAUUUACUUUAUCAAUGUUCCUUAUACAUGAAUGAAGAGUCUUUUAUGCUAUAUAUGAUCUUGUAGAUAACUAGAGUAGAUUAUGACUUAGUAGUUAGUAGAUAACUUAGAAUCCAUUCUCUAGCUAAUCCGACAUCACCUACAUAUAUGAGGACUAGUCUAUUUUCUAAUCGUUGUGCUCUUUAUCCCAUGAACUUAUACUUUAUUAUCAUUAUCUUUAUGGUUUACCCCUGCAAAAGUAAGUGACUGUGUGACGAGUUUCUCAUUAGUAAUCAUGUUCUUGCAAGUCUAUCUCUAGUCUAUGCCUUGAUAGAUUUUGCCCCUUUGAUUUAAUUCCAUCUCCUUAGAUCCCUUGAGCAAAAUUAUAAAUAACGAUACCUGGAAUACUUAUCCUGGUGAAAUGCUACAAUGAGGUGUUUUAUCUGUGUGCUUGCGGAUAGAAUAGAUUAUUUUCUAGAGAGCCUUUACAUUUAUAAAUACCUUUGUACACUCUGGCGCCAUGCUAGGGAUGACAACCUAGUAUCUAAGUGGUGUUAGCUAGUGUCAACAGCCAUGUAUUCAUAAAGGUUAUGAUUUCAUAUGGGCAAUAGUAGAUCGGUUGACUAAAGUUGCUCAUCUUAUUCCGGUUAAGACCAAUUAUAAUGGACUAAGGUUGGCUUAAUGGUAUAUGGAAAAGAUAGUGUGUUUGCAAGGGGUCCCUAAGAAGAUAGUUUCUGAUUGAGGUACCAAGUUUAUGUCUCAAUUUUGGCAACAAGUGCAUACAUCUUAAGGAACCAAGCUGAAUUUCAGUACCGUAUAUCACCCUCAGACUAAUGGGCAGACCAAAAGAAUUAAUCAGGUUUUGGAAGAUAUGUUGGGAUCUUGUGCAUUAUAGUAUGGUACAAGUUGGGAUAAGAGUUUACCGAAUGUGGAGUUUUCUUAGGACAACGGAUUAUCAUUAGAGCCUUCAGAUGGUAUGUCUUUAAGCUUUGUAUGGACGGAAGUGUAGAACCCCAUUGUUUUGAAAUCAAAUAGGUAAAACACAAGUGUUUGGGCCAGAUGUUCUAGAGAUGCAAAACAACAAGUGAGAGUGUUCAUGGAUAACUUAUGGGUGGCACAGUCUCAACAGAAGAGAUAUGCUGACAACCGGAGAAAAGAAUAAGCUUUUGAAGUAGAAGACUAUAUGUAUUUGAAGGUGUCACCUAUGAGAAGUGUGAGAAGAUUUAAUAUGAAGGAAUGGUUAGCACCAAGGUAUACUGGGCCUUUCAAAGUGUUAGAAGAUGUGGUGAAGUGGCUAAUUAGAGCAUCUGAAAGUUUGGGAGGAAUGCAUGAUGUUUUCCAUGUGUCUUAACUCAAGAAAUGUUUGUGUGUGCCAUAGGAGCAGAACACAUUAGAGGAAUUGGCUGUUAAAGAGGAUCCUACAUACAAAGAGUACUAGUAAGAAUUUUGGAAACAACAGAAAGGGUUACCAAGAGUUGCAUUAUCAGGAUGUGCAAACUUCACUGGAACCAGUACACCGUAGAGGAGGCUAUUUGGAAAAGAGAAAGAAUAUUCAAUGUUAAGAGUAUCCACAUCUUUUUGGUAACCAUCUUCCGAAUCUCGAGGACGAGAUUCAUCUUAAGGGGGUAGAAUUGUAACACCCUAAAAUUUACUCCUUUCGAAAUAGAGUUAAAAUAAUUUGAUUAUAUACUCUUGUGCCUAUGAAAAUAUAGGAAACAUAAUAUUUUUCAUUAAAUUAAGAUUUAUCAUAAGGCUAAGCAACAUUGUUGUGCAUACAUGCUGUUGCAUAAGAUUUGAUGUAAUGUUUGAAUGUUGCUCCUUUGUGUGUUGAGAGUAAACAAAGUUUUUAAAACUUGCAUUUAGUAGAACGAUCUUCCUUGGUCGGUACAUCUUUAUCUUUAUCUACAACCAAAUUCUUUAUUUCUCAGCUCAUGUUUUUAUUAGAAGCUUCCUAAAAUCUUGUCUUUAUCAUCCAACUCACUCAUUUCAAUUCAUCGUUCAUCAAACAAUAUCUACAAUCUUAUUGGGAAUUUUUCUAGGUUUUUUUGAAAUUUGUUUCCACUUUUCUGUGAGCAUGAUCUAAUUUUUAGAUGCUCCAAACAAUCUUGUCAUGAGCUCCAAAAAAACUUUAUUCGGGUUCCCCAUGUUCUAUAAUAUCUCUGAGAAUUUUUCCCGAAUUUUCGGAGCUUUCGGAGUAUUUUUUGUGGCUUAACUACUAAUUAUGGACUUUUCUUUAAUUAUUUUAUCCAUGAAAAUAAUUAAUUCCGAAAAUAAUAAAUAUCUUACUAUUUUUCCAACGGCAAAGCCCAUUUGCAAUAAUCAUAAUAAAUCCCAAAGACCAUGUAUUUAUUUACUAAUGGGCUUUAAUAAUUAAUUAGGCCUACUAGUAAACAUGAAUGUUGUAAAUCAAUUAGUCCCAUAUCUCUAGUUGAUGUUAAUGUGGGGAGUUAUCCUUCUAUAUGUAUGUACCAACCUGUUAGACAAAUUAUACCAAAACUAUCUCAAGGGAAGCUCCUAGUUUGAGAAUCCCUGAUGAUGUGAAUUAAAAUUUUCUCCACUCCUUCUCAUGUCUUUCGAUUGCCACGUUAGGAGAGACUCGGCUGUUGCUUAUCCUGUCGUGCGCUGCCUUCUACAAGUCACCAAGUCUGUCGCCUGGUGUUGCCGGCCGCUGCAGAACCCGAACUGCACGCAUGGAAUUUCUGAUGCUGCCUAGUUCACGUUCACGCCCGAACAUGCCGCAGGACCAUCAAUGCUGAUCGUUCAUAGUUAUUUGUUGGUGAGCAUCCCCUUGUUUUCCAUCUUCUCUGUUAAUUACACCAUGCAGGCACGUUGUAUGUUUCCCUUAUUUCUUUGCUUCUUAUCCAUAUGCAGCCAUUGAUUGUAUGUAGCCUUCUGUCAAUGUGCCGCGGUUGCGUUUUUCCUGGUCGCCAUGGUUGUAACACCCCAAAAUUUGCAAUUUUCCAAAAUAGGGUAAAUUGUUAAACUGUGUAUUUUUGUGCCCACGAAAUAUAGGACAAAUAAUAUUUUUCUUUAAAUUAAAAUUUACCCUAGGAGCUAGCCACUUGUUUGAGCAUGCAUGUCUUUCCAUUUGAUUUUUGGUGAUGAGUGGUUUUGGCUAAAGCCCAAAAAUAUAUUUCAAGCAGAUUUUAAAAUAAAUUUGAAAUUGGCUUUGAAGAAAAACAAAAGAAAAAGAUUUAUCUUUUCCCCUCCCUCUUCAUGGAAAUCGGCCCGAAGGCCCAGAACCUUUCCCCCAAUCCUUCCCCUCGGCCCAGCGCGCGCAGGAGCCGCGGCCCAGCUUUAUUUCCUUCCCCCACUGCCUGCUUCCUUCUUCCCCCUCUCUUCUUUCCUUCCUACGCGGCCCAGAGUCUCGGCCCACGCUGGAUCGGCCCGUGAGCCGCGCUCUCCACCUCGCUGCUGCCGCUGACGAGCGGGUCCCGCGCCCAGUUUCGCUGCCAGGUGGGACCCAGAGGUCAGGACCGUCCCCUACCUCAGUCCGUUUAGGACACGAGCUCGAGUCGCACCCACCGCGCGCGAUUCUCGAGAGCAAUCCUUGCUCCGCACGUUCGCCCCCUUUAAAUAGCGGCCACCGCUUCCCCCGCAACCCCCUCAUCAAAUCCCAGCGCCAGCCGCCGCGUAGUUCUCGCCGAAAAGCGCCGACGAGAUCCGGGCCGAAGCCAAUCCGCCGCUGCAUCACGUUUUUGUCACCGUGAGCAGUUUGACGGUCUUCUCGCUACUCUUGCGAAGUCGCCGAACCUCUUCUUUCGCGAUUUCGUGUUUCCUAUGCGUAGCUAACCUCCGCCGAACCUUUUGCAGAGCCGCCGUCCGCCUCUCGCCGUCGCGAGCCCGAGUCGGCCUCACUCGGUCCUAAUCUCGGCACCAGGUUAGUUCGCGUUGAGCUUCUGUUGACACCGUUUUUGGGCACGUGUCCAGGCCGGCAGGAUAAGACGACAGUGUUUUGUUUACAGGAUGAGUUGCCGAUGAGGAUGGUUGCCGAUGAAGGAGAGGUUGAACGUGACUAUGUCUACAGGCGGUGAUGUGUCUAUGCCGAUGGCUAUGAUGAGGAAGUCUGCCGAUGACUAUGGCAAGGGAGUCUGCCGAUGAUACGAAGGGAGAGUUCGGGAGCCGCCGAUGGUUUGUGGAAGAGUUUCAGUUUGUCACGGGAGAUAGUUUUGUUAUUUCCUUAAUUAUUUAAAUCGUUUUGUAUACGGAUUCCGUGUAAUUUGAAAUUCGAAUUCUAAUCGUGUCUGGCUGUAGCUCUUUGAGCAGGGUAUAAAUAUAGACCCUAGGACCUUGUAAUGAGACAUCUAUCAAUCAAGCAAACACACGUUUUUACUCAUAUUCCAGCAUCUACUUUCUCGACGACUUCGUCAUACUUUUUUUCCUUUUCAUUACGAGUUCUUAGGAAUUCGUCGACUCAAGCUCGGCGUGUUCUCAAGUUCCGCGUGAGUACCUCUUAGCCGUGACAUCCGGGCGCAUCGCUGUUGUCAGGACUAAAGUAUUCGAGUUAUCACCUUUGCCGAUAGUAAGGUCAAAUCGGCUGGCACGCCUUAACAUUUGAAUUGGGUAUUAGCCCUUUGUGUUUGCAGACCAGCUUUUGCACGAACAAAUCUUUUGGCACGCCCAGUGGGACAGAUCCAAGAUCAAGAUCAACAUGUCAACUUCUGAGUUUGAUCAAGAGAACGUCAUCCCCGUGACAGAAGCCAAUCUUAAGGAUGAGCAGAAGCAAGCUAUUGCUAAAGCCAUGGAGGAUUACAAGCAGCAAUGCCUGAGGUCCUUCUGCAUGAACAGGAGCGGUGAGGUAAUUCAGAAGGAUGCACUACCGGCUCCUCAGCAGGUUACUUUUGAGUCCAAUCCUGGCAAGCUUCAAGAGAUGGUUGACAGUGCGAUCAACCGCGCUUUGAUCAAUCAAGCUGGUGUACUGUCUAAUACGGUUUUCAAUGCCGUGGCGAGAACUUUCAAGGAGGGACAACUGCCACCAGAUUAUGUGGGCCCCACUUAUCACCAGCCAAAGUCACCAGUGGUCACAGCUCCAUCGGCUGCUACGGCCGCUGCGGGUAUGGAGAUUCCUGUUCCACCAAGCACGUUAGGAAUCACCAAUGGACAGUCUAUGCCGAUGACAACUAAUCCACAAACUUCGGAUGGGCAGAUUAAACUUGCCACAGAUCUGUUAGCAUCGGCAAUGACAGGGUUAACCCCUCCUCCCAACUGGUGGGGUUAUGGCAUGCCUCCAGAGUUAACGCCGGGUACAUCACAGACGACUAAUAUGAGAGGCGAGACUCCUAUGGCAUCGGCACCUCCCAAUAUGCCGAUGAACCAGAGUCCCCAGUAUACUACAACUACUACUGCAAGACCUCACACUGGGAAUUCUCAAGCUCCAAUGUUCCAGAUGCCUAACGCAUCGGCAGACUCGAUACUGAUGCAACAGAGGUCUAUGGCUCAAUCAGGGUAUGUCAAUUCAACGAUGAUGCCCAAUUACCAGUCAUCGGCAGGGCCUAUGCCGAUGAACGCUAAUAUUGGAUGGCUUGGGCAGCAAGUCUUUCCGCAAACACCCCAACAGAGUCACCAGGCUACAGGGUUCCAGCAAGGACAGAUCUAUCCCGGGUUUCUGAAUCAGGGGAUCCCUAACCAGCCAGUGAAUCCCGGGCAGCAGUUCGUCGGACAGCAGAUUGGCGGGCAACAGCUUGGUGGCCCACAGGUGGGAGGCCAGAUAAUCAAUCCAAUGUUCCGUGCAGAUCGUGCACCGAACAGACACGUGGAGGCUUACCAGCAGGUGCCGGAUCCACAACCACCAAAUCGGCAAGAUGCCGAUGCGUACUGGGCCGAUAAGAUUGCUGAAGUAAUGAGGGAUCAAUUCGGGAUAAAACCCAAAGUCAAUACUUACUCUUAUCGGACACCGUAUCCUCCUGCAUACGACUUGAUCCCGCUUCCACACCGGUACAAGGUACCAGAUUUCACUAAGUUUUCUGGGCAGGAUGAUACGUCAACCAUGGAGCACGUCAACAGAUUCAUUAUUCAGUGCGGUGAAGCUGGUAACAGGGACGAAUUGAGGGUUCGUUUAUUUUCAUCAUCAUUGUCUCGGUCGGCUUUUACCUGGUUCAUAUCACUACCUCCCAACUCAGUGAUUACUUGGGCCGGUCUGGAAAAACAAUUCCACAAAUACUUCUUUUCUGGGGUCCAUGAGAAGAAGAUCACCGAUUUGGUCAAAUUAAGGCAGCGUAAUGAUGAAUCGGUUGAGGGUUUUGUGCAGAGGAUACGGGAAGUCAAAAAUAAAUGUUAUAGUCUGGUCCUAGAUGAUCGGCAGCUAGCAGAUUUGGCUUUCUAGGGUUUAUUGCCACACAUCAGGGAUAAGUAUGCUUCUCAGGAGUUUGAAAGCUUAAGUCAUUUGGUGCAGAGGAUUUCUGAUCAAGACAUCAAACCUUUCGAGCUCAAAAGAGCAUGGAACAAGAAGGUAUCAUUUGUUGAUGAGGCAACGAGCUUAGAUUCUGAUGAGGAACCAGUCAUUGGCUUGGUAGAGUGGGUAAAGAACAAGAAGCCGAUGUCUUGCCCUUUUGGGCAGAAGGAACUAGAGAAGUUCGCUUUUGACACCGCUAAUGCCGAUAGGAUAUUUGAUUUUCUACUUCAGGAAGGUCAGAUCAAACUGUCUCCUAAUCAUGUGAUCCCAUCGGCUGAGGAGUUAAAGAAGAUGAAAUAUUGCAAGUGGCAUAAUGCAACUUCUCAUGACACCAAUGAGUGCAAGGUUUUCACACAGCAGCUGCAAUCGGCUAUAGAGUCUGGGAGAAUCAAGUUUUACAGUUCCAAGACUCAGAAGCCGAUGAAGAUAGACCAACAUCCUUUCCCAACAAAUAUGUUGGAUGCUAAGGGAAAGGCUAAGGUCUUAACAUCAGAAGCAGCCGAGAGGAGUGCAUCGGUAGAUCCUCAACAUCAAGUUACUACUGCCGAUGCAAGAGGUAGGGGCCUGGUUCAGGAAGGAACCAGCUCAGGUAGGCCUCCCCGGUCUGGCAUCGUUAUAACUCAUAGAAGGCCUCGAGAUAACUGGCAGCAACGGGAAGAUCGGUAUCGGCGCCAGCAAGAAGAUUAUCGUCGGGAGGAAGAGAGACGCCGACAGGAGUGGGAUCGGCAUAGAGAUCACUGGAACUGUCCGUUCUUCAUCCAUUGUUGGGAGGAAAAUAUUAAGCUUCCCACUGUCAGAGACUGCCCUGAGUGCAAUGGUUAUGAUCAGUAUGAUAGGACUGAUCGGCGUUAUCAUGAUGACAAUCGGCGAUUUAAUGGGCCGAUCAGAGGAAGAGCAUCAGUUCAUGAUCGGCUGGGGGGCAGGCUCAAUGUGCACGAUAGGCUCGGUGAUCGUAUCCAAUAUUUUCCCAGGAACCGGCAAGAGUUCGAGGAGAUGGCUAAUGCACGAGUUCCCGAUGAGUUCAUAUUUUGCAGGGAUGCUAAUACGCAUCGGAUGGAGUCGAGAGAAAAUCGACGCCCAGCAGCAGGCAGAAGCCACUUCCUCCAUGGUGUCCAGAAGGGCUGACGAAGACACAUAAGAGGAGGUUGCAGCGUGAAAGGCAAGAAGGGCUAAGCAAGGGCGAAAGCUCUGGAAAAUCUGAGGAUCGACAACAACCAGAUCCUAAAGGGGAAGGUCCAUCGGCAGGUGUCAACAUGGUCUUUAUGUUGCCGAUGGAAUUCCUUGUGCCAUCCAGUGAUGAUGAGGUGGAGUUUUCCGAUCAAAUAGCUCAGUUGGCUCUAGAUCCGAUGACGGCUAUCUUCGAGAAGCCUGCCGAUGAUGAAAGACAGCAUCUCAAGGCUCUGUUUGUCAAAGGAAGGGUUGAUGGGCAGCUGAUGACUAAGAUCUUAAUUGAUGGAGGAGCUGCUAUCAAUAUCAUGCCAUAUACGGUGUAUCGGAAGCUUGGAAAAGGAGAUCAAGAUUUAAUCAAGACCGAUAUGAUGCUCAAAGACUUUGAAGGGAAUGUGUCUCCGGUCAAGGGGGCAAUAUGCGUAGAGUUAACUAUCGGCAGUAAAACAUUGCCGACAACCUUCUUCGUGAUCAGUGGAAAGGGUGCUUACAACUUGCUAUUGGGAAGAGAUUGGAUUCAUGCUAAUUGUUGCAUCCCAUCUACAAUGCACCAAUGUUUGGUUCAGUGGGUAGGUGACAAAAUUGAGAUUGUUCCGGGAGAUUCUUCUUAUGUCAUUGCGUCGGCCGAGGCAGACACCUAUGAGAGGACCAGGUGCAUUUCAGGAGAAGUUUGGGAGAAAGAUUUUCUGAAGGUUGCCGAUUACGAGAUUCCACCGAUCCAAGCAGUCGGUUCUGACGACGGUUUUUAAUGGAUAGGUUCGCCGAUGAUGGAAAGUUAGGCCAGGGAUUCACAUCGGCCGAUGAUUUGGUAGAAGUAGAUAUCGGUAGUGGUGAUAAGCCUAGACCUACUUUUAUUAGUGCUAAGUUAAAUCCUGAGUGUAAGCAGCAAUUAACCAAUUUGUUAAAGGAAUAUAAAGAUUGCUUUGCUUAGCAUUAUACCGAGAUGCCUGGUUUAGACCGAUCAAUUGUUGAACAUCGGUUGCCUAUCAAGUCUGGAUUUCGGCCACAUUAGCAACUAGCUCGCCGAUGUAAUCCUAAUAUUCUUCCUGACAUCAAAGCCGAAAUAACCAAACUUAUUGAAGCUAAAUUUAUUCGGCAGUGUCGGUAUGCCGAAUGGAUUUCCAAUGUUCUUCCGGUCUACAAGAAGAACGGGAAACUUCGGGUCUGCAUUGAUUUCAGGAACCUUAACAAAGCUACGCCGAUGGAUGGAUACCCAAUGCCAGUUGCCGAUCUGUUGGAUGACGCUGCGGCUGGGCAUCGACUUAUUAGGUUUAUGGAUGGUAAUGCAGGGUACAAUCAAAUAUUCAUGGCUGAAGAAGAUAUUCCAAAGACUGCGUUCAGAUGCCCUGGUCAUGUUGGAUUGUUCGAGUGGAUAGUUAUGACUUUUGGCCUCAAGAAUGCUGGUGCUACUUAUUAGAGGGCCAUGAAUUUUAUAUUUCAUGAGUUCAUCGGCAAACUGGUAGAAAUUUAUAUUGAUGAUGUGGUGGUCAAGUCCGGGGACUUCACAGAGCAUCUUGCCGAUCUACGAAAGGUAUUGGAGUGCACAAGGAAGCACAGAUUGAACAUGAAUCCCAAUAAGUGUGCAUUUGGUGUAUCGGCAGGGCAGUUUCUCGGUUUCAUGGUGCAUCAAAGGGGGAUUGAAAUUAGUCGAAGAUCUAUUGAUGCCAUCAAUAAAAUAGUAGCCCCUACCAACAAGACUGAGCUCCAGUCCUUGAUCGGCAAGGUAAAUUUUAUCAGGAGAUUUAUAUCUAAUUUGUCUGGUAAAAUUCGUGCUUUCAGUCCUCUUCUUAAGCUAAAAUCCAAUCAAGAAUUUAUUUGGGGGAAAGAACAGCAGUUAUCUCUGGAUGAAAUCAAGGAGUAUCUAGUAAAUCCUCCAGUUCUAAUUCCACCUCAGCAAGGAAAGCCCUUCAGAUUGUAUUUGUCUACCGAUGGGAUGGUUAUCGGUUCAGCUUUGAUUCAAGAAUUUGAAGGGAAAGAGCGUGUAAUUUAUUACUUAAGCAGGACGUUGAUUGAUGCUGAGACCAGGUAUUCGGCCAUUGAAAAACUAUGCCUAUGCUUAUAUUUUUCGUGUAUCAAGUUAAGGCACUACUUGUUAUCGGCCGAAUGCACUAUUGUUUGCAAAGAUGAUGUGAUCCGGUACAUGCUAUCUAUGCCGAUUAUGAGUGACAGGAUCGGUAAAUGGAUUUUGGCGCUGUCGGAAUUCGAUCUGCGUUAUGAAUCGGCAAAGGCAGUUAAAGGGCAGAUUAUGGCCGAUUUUGUGACUCAACUUUGCGGUGCAGUGGAGGCUUUGGAAAUGGUGCCCUAGACGCUUUUCUUUGAUGGAUCUACAUGUGACCGGGGGGCAGGGAUCGGCGUAGUAUUAGUUUCCCCUAAGGGGAGGAAGUAUGAAUUUUCCUUGCCGAUUGUUGCUACAUCAACAAAUAAUCAGGCUGAGUAUCAGGCUUUGAUAAAAGGAUUGGAGUUGUUAAGGGAAGUGCGUGCUGACGCUGUCGAAGUCUUCGGGGAUUCUAUGUUGGUUAUAAAUCAAUUGGCCGGGAACUAUGAAUGCCGAAGUGAAGUUCUCAUAACUUAUUACGAAAGGAGUAUGCAACUGUUAAAGGAAUUCAAAGAUUUCCGUUUAGAGCAUGUUCCCCGAUUGCAUAAUGAAGAGGCCAAUCGGUUAGCUCAGCAUGCCUCAGGAUAUCAGCCUAUAAUUAAUACAGUAUCGGCAAUCGAUGCCGAUGAUUGGAGGAAAGAAAUUAUUGAUUAUUUGAAAGUUCCAUCUAAGAAAGUUGAAAGACGAGUUCGAUUUCAAGCGACCAAGUAUGUGCUCCUCGACAAUGAAUUAUACUAUCGAACUAUUGAUGGAAUUCUUCUCCAAUGCUUAGGUGAUGAUGAAGCUAGGAGUUUGGUGGGAGAAAUUCAUGAAGGGGUGUGUGGAGCGCAUCAGUCAGCUUUUAAGAUGAAGUGGAUGAUUAGGAGGAAUGGAUAUUAUUGGCCGACUAUACUUGAGGAUUGCUUUAAGUAUUUCAAAGGGUGUCAAGGGUGUCAGAAGUUUGGUAACAUUCAAAGGGCACCUGCAUCGGCUAUGAAUCCUAUCAUAAAGCCUUGGCCGUUCUGAGGGUGGGCUAUUAAUCUGAUCGGCCAGAUUUAUCCACCAUCUAGCAAAGGGCAUAAGUUUAUUCUACUUGCCACUGAUUAUUUCACUAAGUGGAUCGAGGCUAUUCCUUUAAAGAAAGUCACAUCGGCCAAUAUGAUUGAUUUUGUGAAGGAGCAUAUCAUUUACCGAUUUGGAAUUCCUCAAACAAUUACUACCGAUCAGGGCACUAUGUUUACAUCAGGGGAGUUUGAUGAAUUUGCAAUUGGUAUGGGGAUUAAAGUGUUGAAUUCUUCUCCUUAUUAUGCUCAAGCCAAUGGGCAGGCCGAGGCGUCUAACAAAGGAAUUAUCAAGCUUAUCAAACGAAAGAUUGAAGAAAAUCCUAGACGGUGGCAUACAUUAUUAAAUGAAGCGUUGUGGUCCUAUCGGAUGGCUUGUCAUGGAUCAACCAAAGUGUCACCCUAUCAAUUGGUAUAUGGACAUGAUGCAGUGUUACCUUGGGAGAUUAAGGCUGGAUCUAGGUGAUUAUCUUUUCAAGAUCAAUUAGCUGCCGAUGAUUAUGCAACUUUGAUGACCGAUGAGUUAGAUGAUCUAGCGGGACAUCGGUUAAAGGCUUUAAUGAGUAUAGAAGAAAAUAAGAAGAGAGUUGCUAGAUGGUAUGACAAGAAAGUAAAGGCUAAGGAGUUUGCCGAUGGGGACUUGGUAUGGAAAUUAAUUUUACCAAUCGGGACUAAAAGUUCGAAGUUUGAAAAGUGGUCUCCUAAUUGGGAAGGUCCUUAUCGGAUAAGUCGAUCAGCUCCUGGAAAUGCCUAUAUUCUGGAAACUCUCGAAGGAGUUGAAUUUCCUAGAGCAUUAAAUGGCAAAUAUUUAAAGAAGUACUACCCCAGCAUAUGGGUCGAUGCAUAAAAGUUUAAGUGCCGAUAACACUCCUAUCGGCUGGAUUUAAAUGUUUGGGGGCAGGACUUAAUGUUUCAAAAGAUGCCGAUAACAGUCCUAUCGGCUAGACUAAAGGCUAAAAGAGCAGGAAAACACAAAUGUGUCGCUGAUGAGAGCUUCAUGUGUUCAGCAGCGCCUGGAUCGCUAAUAUGGCGCGUAGCCGGAUUUGGUUGGUUGCUUCUAUCUCCUUGAUAUCGUCAUCGGCAGAGCCUUCUAUCGGCUUCAGCUUCUUCUUCAAUUGUAGUGCCUUGCGACCGUGGACGUUCCGCUCAUGCUCAAGAAGCUUGAUGGUCUUUGGUAGUUGACUCUCUUCCUGUUGGGCUUGGGACAAGGCGUCCUCCACUUGUUUGAGUUCUGCCAACAGGGAUUCCCUUUUUGCCGAUAAGUCAGAUAUCUUCUGCUUCAGCAUGUCUCCUGAAGAUCUCAAGAUGCCGAUGUUCUUGUGCUUCUCAUCGGUCAGGAUCUUCUCUUUCCUCAUCUCUUCAGAAAGCUGAGUCUCAGCAGCUCUAUCGGCAAGACGCCGAGAAGCCCUCUGGUACUGCAGCUGACGACUCUCCAAAUGUGCGGCUUGGAAAAGGAUUUCUUCGACAUCGGCUGGGAUCUGGCCUCUGAGAGUCUUGAACAGAAUCUUGGCUGGGUCGGAGUCAUCGACCAAUUGCGCCGUGUCCUGGUGAAGGAGGGCCGACAGUUCUUCCAUCCUGGCCCUGAUCUCUGCCGAUGUAAUGCCAACUGUCUGGGAAGAGCUUGCUUCUUCACCUUCUUCUUCAGAGAGGUCGAUGGCGAAGGAGAAUAGGCUGUCGGGGGAAUCUUGUUCCUGGGAGGAAGAGCAAAGUUAGUUCAUAUUCGGAGAAUCGGCAAGUAAUGCUGAUAAAGAUUAGGUGACUUGCUUGUUUCAAGGCUAUUUCCUGCCUUUGACUGGAAGAUGCCGAUGGAGCCGUAGGUUGAUCGGCCAGAGUUGCCGAUGGAACGACAUCAACUGAAAGAAGACAGGAAGAGUUAUGAGGCUGAGUGAGAAUAAGUUCAUUGGUGGCAGUAUUAUUAAAAUAUGUUACCCGGAGGAGGAACGAUGAUUGUUUGAGUCGGGGGAACUGCCGAUGAUGUAAUUGGACCUGCCGGGCCAGUUGUUUGUCCACCCACGUCAGCUGAAGUACCUUCUGCUUGGGGUUCUUCCUGCUGGGGUUCGUCUGCUUCUGGUGCUUCCUGCGGAUGAGGGGGAGAUGGUGCUUGCUGGAUCUCUACAUUUGGAGGGGAGGGAGAAGAUUCCACCGGAAUAGGAGAUACCGAAGGAGGAGGAGGAGGAGGAGGAGUCGCCACUUUCUGGCGCUUUGUUCCAGCCCUGGUACCCUUGGCGCCCUUCCUCUUUGGCUGGCUGGACUGGGGGGCAUCGGCACCUUGACGUUUGGCUUUUCCCGAUGCACCGGUUUGCUGCAGCAACAAAAAGGAGUUUAUAAAUACAAUUGUAGCCGAUGUAAAGGUAAUCGGUAUAAGUAAAAGGGGUUUGACGAAUUACCUUGAAAGCCUGGGCCAGAGUGGAAGCAGCUACCGUUGGUGAUGUCUGAGUUCUCUUGGUGGUGACUUUCUUAAGGCGCGCACCUCGAUGAACAAUGGUGGCCAGAGUGGGAGCAUUGUGGCCGAUUGAAGAAAUUGGGCCUGGUGGAAACAGGUCAAUCGGCUUACCACUUCUGCUAACCGAUGGAGGGAUGUUGUCAACCUGCAAAAGGGAUACAAAGGUGAGUUACCGAUGGAAAUAAGAUUGAAAAAUUGGAACACCGGUUUGAAAUACUUACAGCGUCAUCGGAGACUUUGUACUCGGGGUCGAUCAUGCCGCGGUACGAAAGGGCUGAUUUGCAGAAUAGAUGCUCCUUCCAUUCUGCCCGCCAUAGCUUGUAUGCCUGAGUAAUGAAAGCGGCUGGAACCCACUCUGACAAAUCUGCAUCUGUAUCGGCAUUCGGAGGUAGUUGAGCUACUCGAAUCCACUCAAGAAAGUUGGUGAUGGGUUCCCUAGGUUUUAUCACAUCGGCAUAACAGAGUGCAAUCGGCAGCUGGCCAAAAGCUAAUUGACGAACUAAUUGUUGAUAUUUGGGAACGCAAUAAGGAAUUGAUCCGCAAGCGCACGGAUAUCGGUGAGCACUUCACCCGGGAGGUUAUCCAGAGUAUCGUAUUUAUUUUUUUACCACUAGGAGAAAGAGUGCAUCUGACUAACCGGUCUAUUACUACUAACCUUUAGGCACAAAGAAUGUCUUUCGAUGUGAGUGAUAAAUAGAGAAGACUGCAACCGUAGUCUCCUUCUAACCUUGGUAAGGAUGAUCUACUGUUCUAAUGGGGAGGCUAACGGAAUCUAGACACCACAAAGGAUGUUCAACCCGCACCUAUAAACCCUAUCCUUCCUGCUAACGAGAUGUGAUCUACAAAGGUAGCUCGGAAUUGUCACGUUCCUCACUACUACCACGGUCCAGCUAGUCAGGGAAUAUCUAUGAGUACCCCAGCCUAAACACCACGUUUACGCUAGCAAUGAUUACUCUAAACUCUACGCGAAGAGAUUAAAGUAAACUCAUAAACCAUAAGAACAAUAAAACAAGAACUUACUAGAAUUUAGAAGUCGAAUUACUGAAGAAUCCUAGGAGCAAGCUUCGGGUUAGGAGAACUUGAUCCCGCAGGUACAAGCUUGGAGUAGACACCGACAGGCCGGGCUUCCUCCACUCUUCACCUCCACUCUAUCUCUCUCAAUCUAGUAGAAACUAGAAGAUCUAUUUCUACCUUACAUUGAUUGCUAAGCCUAAAAAGAAAUAUUAAUUAGAGAAGAGGUUUUCCUUCGAGGGCACCCCUCAGUCUCUAUGAUAAUUUCUUCAUGUCUUCUCCAGGGGCCAGGGGGCCUUGCUUAUAUAGUCCUCCCCUUCUAUGCGUUUUUGGGUCGAUAGCCGAGGUGGUACUAUGUUUUUCUUGAUCCAAUAGGUCGGUGGAAUAUCCCGAGCGAAAGAGUCCUGAUUUGGCUCCAGCAGGGGGGCGGGCGCCCAGGCUCCAGGGCGGGCGCCCUGGGCCUGGCCCAGUUUUGCCUCCGCUUCGGUCUCGUGGCUUCUGGAGUCUUCUAGAUGAAGUAAAAUUGCGCGGUGCGUUGAUAUCUCUAUGUAAUCCCGACAUGUGGGCCUUUCUUCCUUAUUUCCUGAUAACCCCCUGUAGAAAUAGAUAAACCACAAAACUCGUAGAAUUCUGUCAGAUCAAACCCUAAUUCUAGGUGAUGGUUGCAUAUUGGUCCAUUCUCUUAUUUAUUUGAUAAUUAAAAUUGAUGUCACUUGGAGUUUUUGUAUAUUGUUGAAAGAAAGUUAGCAUACCUUUUGAUCCUCAUAGGUUCUCUCAGAUCACUCAUUAUCUUUUAUAUAUAUCUCACUGAGGCUGUUUUAUUUUGCAAAAAUUCUCAAGCAUACUUACUUUGCAUUUAUUGCCUGAUCGAAACGGGAUCCGAGGAGGGGAAUGUCAUACUCUUAGAUCAAAGACUUUGAAAAUUAAAAACUUUGUCAACUCUUGCUGGCAUAUUGCUUAUUAGAGGGACCAUGGGCUAUCAUAUUUUUUUAAGUGGAUACCGAGGUACCCCUAAUUCUACUGCCGGACACUUGCCCAUUUUUUUUCUGCGAGGUUGUCGAGCACUUGCUCCUUUUUAUUUCCUCAAAAUAUUUUUAUUUUUGCAUAGCCCAUGCCUCUAAUGCAUUAAUACUGAAAUAGUGUCUUGAUCUUGGGAGCAUGAUAAAUCUCUCAACAAGGGUCUAACUCAUUUUGAACAAACUCAAUACAGAGCAGAUAGCUUUUAUAAUCAUAAUUAAUAUUUUUAUUUUUAUCAGGCAUAUAAAACACUGAGGAUGGUAGCUAGAAUUUUGAAUAUUUUGAAAUAAAUUCUCCAAGCAACAAUGAUAUCAAGAAUAAGAAACUCAUACUCUACCAUCACAUAUUCCAUAUUGACUUAAGUAACACAGGGUUUUAAAAUGAUUUUAUAAUAAUUGUAAGUUUUCGGGGAAUAUCACAGAUUGAGAUUAAUCAUGAUUAGAAAUAUUUUAAUCUUUUUAUUUUAUCAUGUCAGAAACAGUAAUCUGCAUAAUCCAAAAUAAAUGUAUGUAUGAAGUAAAGUGUGCAGAGUGUGUACCUGAAUCGUGGAGUGGUGUAGUCGGAGUGUGUUUGGCAUGUUGAGGGAUCUCCCCCAUACUUGUUUUCUGCUUUCUUGCACAAAAAUAAAGUAGAGACACACAAGACAUAAUAAUAAUAAUAGUAGUACUCUUUAUUGAUCUUGAGGCAUUUAGUACAAAAGACUGAUAACAAACUGAUAGCAAACUAAUAAUAAUAGCAAACUUAAACCGAAUUUAAAGAUAGAUGACUAAGAUGCAUUGCCUCAAGGUCUAAUCUAGAUAACUUAGCGGCGCUCUAAUUCCUUGAUCUUCUUGUUGGCACUGGCAAGAUCCUGCCUAAGGCCUAGUAUAAUGGUGUUCUAGUUAGAGAGCUGCCUAGUGAGGGAAUUAACUGAGGACUGGAGGUCUAUGAUAAUUCUAUCUAGCCUGCGAACUUCCUCAUCAAUAUCCAUUAUAGUCUUGCGACGCUUGGGAGGUGUCUCAAAAGCAUUGAGAGAAUGCUUCGGGGCUGCCUUUGGAGGGAUGAAACGGACUUUGGCUGCUCUAAUCCCUUUAAAGUAAGGCCUUUCCUCCUCUGAAGUGUAGCGUACGCUGCUGAUCUCGCCGCUCCGGUUGGUCUUGACUCCAACGACCCUCUCAUUGGGUCUAGGUGGAAGGAUCCUUGUGCCGAUUGGCACCUUGAUAGUGGUCUUCGUCUUGGAUGAUGGUCCUUUGAGGAGUAGGGGUUGUGGUGGUGUGGUGAGAACUGGUUGAGCAUGGUAAGAUUGGGCGGAGCUACGUUGGCGUAAUGGCAUGGCUUCUAGCUGACGCUCUGUUUUGGCCGGGACGAGAGCACGGGCAUCGGGGUCUUCCACUGGCUCCAUGUACGUUGAGGUUGAAGGGGACGACUUCCCAAUCGUCGUGGUACUUGUCGGCCAUUGGAGUAGCAAGGAACUAAUAAAAUUUUAAUUGAAGUAGAGCUAAUUAAGCUCUAAUUAAAGGAGAGCUAAUCAAGCUCUAGUUGAAGGAGAGAAAGCUUGGUGGCUUGGUGUUUGAAAACUGAGGUCAGGGGUCUGUUUAUAUAGGGGUCAAAAGGAUACCUCUAUGGGUUGUUCGGGUUGCUCCCGUCGAUGUGCGUGCGAAACUUUCCAUCCGAGGGAUUAUUCGGAUCACCCUAAGUGCAUUUUCCAUAACAGAGAAAGUCGGGACCGAGGGGGAACAGGGGCUGGGCGCCCGCCCACUUGACCUGGGCGCCCGCCCUCUCUCUGGCUCCUCUGUGGGCCCACUUCUCCGAGCGCAUUUCUAGAUGCGAAAUUAUUUAGAAAAAUAUAUAUAUGACCCAAAACCAUCAGACCAAAAGUGUCGGGCUCUAAUUCUCCAUGGGAAGGUAAAAAUGGACUACGUCUAUUUCUUCAAAUUCCUCAUUGGGCUCUAAAAAUAAUUUAAGACAUUGACCAUUUACCUUGAAUAACGUACCUUCGCUGUUUUGAAGUGUGAUAGCUCCGUGGGAUGAUGAAUUGAUUACCUUGACUGGUCCUUCCCAUUUUCUCCGGAGUUUUCCAUGCCCAAAAAGCUUCACCCUGGAAUUAAAAAGGAAUACCUUAUCUCCGGGUGUGAACUCCUUCUUCUUGAUUCUCUUGUCAUGCCACCUCUUGACUCUUUCUUUGUAGAUCUUUGAAUUGUGAUAUGCCUUCUCUCGCCAUUCUUCCAAUUCUGAUAAUUGCAUUCUUCUAUAAUCUCCAGCAACAUCUAGGUCCAUAUUCCAUCUCUUUAUGGCCCAGUGUGCUUUGAAUUCUAGUUCAACAGGUAGAUGGCAAGUCUUCCCGUACACCAAUUGGUAUGGAGACAUUCCAAUUGGGGUCUUGUAUGCUGUCCGGUAUGCCCACAGUGCAUCGGGUAACUUGUCUUUCCACGCCGUUCCCAUUUCAUUUACUGUCUUCUGAAGAAUAUUCUUGAUUUGUUUGUUGGAAGUCUCUGCUUGGCCACUUGUCUGAGGAUGAUAAGGGGUAGCGACGUUGUGACGGAUUCCAUGUCUUGAUAGAUAUUGCUUGAAGCGUUUGUCGAUGAAGUGUGCUCCUCCAUCACUUAUCACUACUCUGGGGACUCCAAAUCUUGGAAAUAUAAUUUCUUCAAACAUCCUCUUUGAACUGACAUUGUCGGCAUGCUUGCAAGGUAAUGCUUCUACCCACUUGGAGACAUAGUCAACCGCCACCAAGAUGUACUCACACUUCUUUGAUGGAGGAAAUGGACCCAUGUAGUCUAUUCCCCAGACAUCAAAGAGCACAAUCUGAAGGUUGUUGGUGAGUGGCAUUGCAUCCCUUGUAUUUGUGUUUCCGUGCCUUUGACAUGGCCCACAUCUUCUGAUAUACUGUUUCGUGUCUUCAUACAUUGUAGGCCAAUAGAAUCCACACUGCCAGAUCUUUGAAUGUGUACGGAAUGCUCCAUAGUGACCUCCAUAUGGUGAUGAAUGACAUCUGUCGAUGAUCUUCCAUCCUUCCUCAGUGGUCACACAUCUCCUGAGUAAGCCAUCAGAGCAUACUCGGAAGAGGUAUGGCUCGUCCCAUAUAUGUGAACGACUUUCUUGAAUAAGCUUCUUCUUGUUUGCUCCUGGUGGUACAUACCCUGAAACCAUAAAAUUAACAAUAUCUGCAUACCAGGGGUCAGACCUGUUAAUCCCGUAGAGCAUGUCGUCCCGGGAUGAAUCAUUGAUGGGGGUUUCCUGUGGACUCUUAAAAUACAUUCUAGACAAGUGAUCAGCAACAGAAUUUUCUACUCCUUUUUUAUCUUUUAUUUCUAAGUCAAAUUCUUAGAGUAAUAAAAUCCAUGUAAUCAGGCGAGGUUUAGCAUCUUUUUUAUUGAGCAAAUAUUUUAGUGUAGCAUGAUCAGUGUAAACAAUUAUUUUAGCUCCAACUAAAUAAGAUCUAAAUUUAUCAAUGGCAAAGACAAUAGCCAGAAGCUCUUUUUCAGUGGUUGCAUAAUUAAGUUGAGCUCCUAUCAAAGUUUUACUGGCAUAAGCAAUUGCAUGAUGUUUCUUAUCUUUAGUUUGUCCCAAUACUGCCCCCACAGCAUAAUCACUAGCAUCACACAUAAUUUCAAAAGGCAACGACCAAUCAGGGGGUUGAAUGAUUGGUGCAGAGAUGAGUGCUUUCUUUAAUAAAUUGAAAGAUGUUAAACAUGCAUCAUCAAAUUCGAAAGGAGCAUCCUUGGCUAGCAAAAGAGUAAGUGGUCUAGCAAUAAAUGAAAAAUCUUUUAUGAAUCUACGAUAAAAACCAGCAUGGCCAAGAAAGCUCCGAAUUCCUUUUAUAUUCACAGGUGGAGGUAGUUGUUCAAUUACUUCAAUUUUAGCUUUGUCUACCUCAAUCCCUCUUUCAGACACUAAGUGUCCUAGCACUAUUCCUUCUCUAACCAUAAAAUGACAUUUUUCCCAAUUAAGGAUUAAGUGCUUUUCUUCACAUCUUUGCAAAACCUUAUCUAAGUUUUCAAGACAACUAUCAAAAGUUUUUCCAUAAACAGAGAAAUCAUCCAUGAAAACUUCCAUAAUCUCUUCAAUCAUAUCAAAAAAUAUAGACAUCAUGCAUCUUUGAAAAGAAGCUGGUGCAUUACAUAACCCAAAAGACAUUCUACGGUAAGCAUAAGUUCCAUAAGGGCAUGUAAAAGUGGUUUUGCUUUGAUCAUCAGGAUGGAUCGGGAUUUGAUGAUACCCUGAAUAUCCAUCUAAGAAACAGAAGAAUGAAUGGUUUGCUAACCGCUCUAGCAUCUCAUCUAUAAAAGGUAAAGGAAAGUGAUCUUUUCUCGUGGCUUUGUUUAGUUUUCUAUAGUCUAUGCACAUCCGCCAUCCUGUGACGGUGCGUUGCGGAAUUAGCUCAUUCUUUUCAUUCAUAAUAACUGUCAUGCCUCCCUUUUUGGGCACAACUUGGACUGGGCUCACCCACUCACUGUGCGGCACAGGAUAUAUAAUCCCUGCAUGCAGCAACUUUAUAACUUCCUUUUUAACUACCUCUCUCAUAGUGUUGUUAAGUCUACGUUGGGGUUCUCGAGAGGGUGUAACAGAAGGAUCUGUUGGAAUACGAUGGGUACAAAUCAUAGGACUGAUUCCUGUAAGAUCUUGAAGUGAGUAGCCGAAUACUGAGUGAUGUUUCUCAAGAAUGGUCAUUAAUCGCAGAGUUUGAUCCUGAGUGAGUUUAUCGCUAAUGAUCAUAGGGAACUCUGGAUUAUUGUUUAGGAAAGCAUAGGUAAGACCGGGUGGUAAAGUUUUAAGUUCUAUGGGGGGUCUAGGUGUUUCUGCAAACUCGUCUAAGGGUUCAGGCUCAGAAGGUUCGUCUUCUUCUUCUGUGAAGAAAGGAGUUUCGUCUUCUAAGUCUGAUUCAUCUAAAAGCUCUAGAGAUGCAGCCUUUACUUCCUCCAUAGGAUCAGGCAAAAGAUAUGACUCGGCCUUAUUAUUUAAGGAGUGUGAAAUUAUCAUUGGGAAUUGAAAAGUUUUUCCAAAAGAAAUGUGUAGCUUUCCAGUAUGACCUUCAUAAAGGAGUCUUCUAAAAGGUUGUCCUAUUAACAGGUCGAAGUCCCAUGUAUCAAAGAUAUAGAAGUUCAAAUGAACCAUGGAGCCUUCUACCGUAAGAGGUAGGACAUUAAUAAUUCCAAGACUGGGGAUUAAUCUUCCCGAAGAUUCCUUUAUGAUCUUUGUUGUGGGGGUUAAGACAAGAUUUUUAAAUAGUUCAAGUGCAAAAGAUUCAGACAUGAUGUUGAUCCCCACAACAGGAUUAUAAAGAGCAUUAAAUCGAUCAGAAUUAUAAGCACAACGUAUAGUUAUAGAGGGUGUGUCCAAACGGAUCACAUCAGAGGAAAGCUCUGAUUCCUCCAACCAUUCGCUACUCAUUACUGAGAUAAGCUCUCUCAAUUGAUAUUCACUUGGUAAAUAAAUGCUAAACUGGCCGUUUUGGGGUUUGUCAAUAGAAUGGUAGUUUGAAAUAUUUCCAAAAUCGGCAAAAAGAUCGGAUUCUAUAUCCAGCAUGAAGUCCGGUGGUGGAAUUUCUUCCUCUUGUGGCUCAGAACUUGGGAUAGCUAAAGUAGAUGAAGAAUUUGGCAGAGUGUCUACUUCGGCUUCGUAGGUUUCAUCAUGAAGGGUAUUAUCCAUCUUAGCUUCUAGGAUUCUAUCUAGGAUCACUCUUGCUUUAUCAGCAGGGAUGCGAAAGAAAGAACCUCUAGACAUUGUGUGCAGCAUUUGUUUGUGAUUUUUAUGAAGACCUCGAAAAAAGUGAAAUAAAAGAACGGGGUCUUCAAGAUUAAGGUUUGGACCAGAUUCUAAAAGAUCAGAAAAACGUUUCCAGGAUUUUCCCAAAGUUUCAUUAUCUUUUUGUUUAAAAGAUAGGACUUCGAGUCUAAGGUCGGCUAUACGGUCAAGGGAAUAGAAAUCUAGACAAAAGUUGGCUCUUAAAACUCCCCAUUCACCUUGUUGUUGACUUACCUUCUGACUGUACCAUUGUCUAGCUUCUCCCCUUAAGGAAAAAGCUUCCAACGUAAAGUCUUAUCAAAAAUGCCUUCAAUGCGAAGACAAUCACAUGUUUGCUCAAAAUCUCUAAUAUGAAGGUAAGGGUUUUCGUCUUCCUUUCCCGAAAAAGAUAGGUUUUGAAUCAUAGCAAUCAACCUAGAACUUAACUUAUACUGGGAUGUUUGGAUAGGCUGUGAUGAUUCCCAUGGUAAAAGGUCAGUUGCUAAAGGGAUUGCAGACUCAUGGAUCGAUUUAGAAUUUUGGUUUUCCAUAGGGUAAGAGUAAAGAAAAUAAAUAAAGGAUAUAAAAGAUAAGAAAAGAUAAAAGUAUAGAUACAAGCUAAUAGCAAGACACAGGUUAUCUCAGCAACCGUCUUUCUCCCCGGCAACGGCGCCAGAAAUGCUUGUUGAUAUUUGGGAACGCAAUAAGGAAUUGAUCCGCAAGCGCACGGAUAUCGGUGAGCACUUCACCCGGGAGGUUAUCGAGAGUAUCGUAUUUAUUUUUUUACCGCUAGGAGAAAGAGUGCAUCUGACUAACCGGUCUAUUACUACUAACCUUUAGGCACAAAGAAUGUCUUUCGAUGUGAGUGAUAAAUAGAGAAGACUGCAACCGUAGUCUCCUUCUAACCUUGGUAAGGAUGAUCUACUGUUCUAAUGGGGAGGCUAACGGAAUCUAGACACCACAAAGGAUGUUCAACCCGCACCUAUAAAUCCUAUCCUUCCUGCUAACGAGAUGUGAUCUACAAAGGUAGCUCGGAAUUGUCACGUUCCUCACUACUACCACGGUCCAGCUAGUCAGGGAAUAUCUAUGAGUACCCCAGCCUAAACACCACGUUUACGCCAGCAAUGAUUACUCUAAACUCUACGCGAAGAGAUUAAAGUAAACUCAUAAACCAUAAGAACAAUAAAACAAGAACUUACUAGAAUUUAGAAGUCGAAUUACUGAAGAAUCCUAGGAGCAAGCUUCGGGUUAGGAGAACUUGAUCCCGCAGGUACAAGCUUGGAGUAGACACCGACAGGCCGGGCUUCCUCCACUCUUCUCCUCCAUUCUAUCUCUCUCAAUCUAGUAGAAACUAGAAGAUCUAUUUCUACCUUACAUUGAUUGCUAAGCCUAAAAAGAAAUAUUAAUUAGAGAAGAGGUUUUCCUUCGAGGGCACCCCUCAGUCUCUUUGAUAAUUUCUUCAUGUCUUCUCCAGGGGCCAGGGGGCCUUGCUUAUAUAGUCCUCCCCUUCUAUGCGUUUUUGGGUCGAUAGGCGAGGUGGUACUAUGUUUUUCUUGAUCCAAUAGGUCGGUGGAAUAUCCCGAGCGAAAGAGUCCUGAUUUGGCUCCAGCAGGGGGGCGGGCGCCCAGGCUUCCAGGGCGGGCGCCCUGGGCCUGGCCCAGUUUUGCCUCCACUUCGGUCUUGUGGCUUCUGGAGUCUUCUAGAUGAAGUAAAAUUGCGUGGUGUGUUGAUAUCUCUAUGUAAUCCCGACAUGUGGGCCUUUCUUCCUUAUUUCCUGAUAACCCCCUGCAGAAAUAGAUAAACCACAAAACUCGUGGAAUUCUGUCAGAUCAAACCCUAAUUCUAGGUGAUGGUUGCAUAUUGGUCCAUUCUCUUGUUUAUUUGAUAAUUAAAAUUGAUACUUAAGAAUCGUCAACACUAAUGCCGAUGGGUUGUAGAAUUCAUAAGUCUGGGGAGAGGUUUUUGUGCUACCAAAGAAAUUCAGUGGUAUGGCUCUAGGAGUCAAAAUUGCCAUCAUCACCUCAUUAUCCCUGUCAAGAGCUUCAUCAAAUGGAUUGAAAACCAGAGGGAUCAUACUGUCUGGGUCAUCAUAGGCCAACCAUGGUCGUUCAUCUCUGGCCAAGCCCUCAUACAAAGUCUGGAAGAAUCGGCCGAUCUGAUCUGGAUUACCCCCUGAACCAGGCAAGACUAUGACGGCUUCGCCAAAGUUUAGGGGAGCGCGUGUUGCCGAUUCUUCUUCACCCAACACAUGAUUUUCAGUUAUAUCUCUUGGGAAACGCUAUGUAAAUAAGUUAAAGUUGAGGCGCUUGUACAGAUGCAGAUUAAGCCACAUAUUGAUAAACCACCAGGGGCCGCCUAAGUUGACAGUAGACUGGCCGAGCAGGAGUUUCUUGGCCACCUGAUGGAGGAGAUGGUAAGCAGCGCCAAGCAAGUAUCGGCCGAGAGGGAAUCGGCCACCGUUAGCCAGUCUCUCUGCUGCCGAUAGAUAGACGGAAGUCGGUCCUACCGAUCGACCACAGAACACAAACUUGUCCAGCCACAUGUUCAGAAAAGUGGUUUGUUCCUUUAUGCUGACAGGCCCCGUCCCACGAUACUUCUGAAUGUACCCUGACCAGCCGCCGAUGGAGCGAGUUUCCACUUUGGCACUAGGAGCGGUGUCAAAAAAGUGGGUGCUAUUGGUAGAAGAUAUAUCUAGACCGGUGAGCAUGGCUACAUCGGCAAGAGUAGGAGAAGCAGGGCUGUGGCCAAAGACAAAAGCGUUGAGGGUGUCUGACCAAAAGUAAGAUGCAGCUAUCAACAGUGACUCAUUCCUGUGCAUAUCGGCAAUGGACAAUCUAAUGCAUUGAUCUAGCUUUCUCUCGCCCCACUGGACUUCAUUGGAGUUGCUGACCCUCAAGAACCAGUCUUUCCACCCUACAGUAGGGCUGGGCCAAGAACGGAAGGUGUCUUUCCACAGAUCUAAAGAAAAAUUUUCGGUUCUGAAAGAGAUCCUGUUGGUUUUUGCGUUAAUAAGAUCGGUUGGAUCUGGAUCCCCUAGAGGGCCGAGGCAUUGGAGGUGUGGUUGAUCGGUAGGGAUGACAAUUUUGUUGGACAAUUCCUGGUGGUUUUGGAAAUAAAGAAAAGGAACACAAAGAAAAGAAAAAAAUAUUCAGUAAAAUGGAUUGCGGAUGAACGGGGAUGUGAGGAAAAAUACAGGAAAUGGAAUGAAGAACUGACCUCAGGGACGAUGAAGCUAAUGGCCAUCUUGCGACGAGGAGGUUCUCUGAGGGCUCCAGGGUUGGUGAGGAAGAGUCUUUGUCAGAGGUCUUGGAGAUUUUGAAUGGCGCCGCCGCUAGGAAAGUAAAGUUGGGAUGGUGGAAUGAUGUGAUGGAGAAGGAGUACCCGAGAAGGAACUAUUUAUAGGACAAAAUGGGCAAGGGCAAAUCUGACUUAUCUCCUUGCCGCAUCCGAGAAAUCCGAGGGUGCUCAGGUAGAUAUGGUAACUGUUCACACGAUAAUCAAGGGAUUGUGCAGGUGAUUUGACGGGAAGCGGUCAUUAUCUGGAGAUAUUUUACUGUGCGGGAUCUCCUGGUCGGUCCAUCGGCAGCGUCCUGUAACGGUCAUAUUGCCGAUGGGCGAGUAAAGUGAAGAUAGUCGUUUGUACGAACGUCCUGAUCAGUUCAUCGGCAGAUCUUUGUAACAGUAAUAUUGCCGAUGUGCGGUUGAGAAGGAAAUGCCCGUUUAGGAAGUUGAGGAUUUCGAGGAAUAUGCAGAAGAAUAGGAUCAGAGUUGUUCAGAUUGAGGUUGUCGGUUACCAGAUUAGGAGCAUUAAUUGCGGGAAAAGGCAUCAUUACUGCAGAGAAUUUCGGAGCAUUGAUGAUUUCGUACUCUGAAAUUGGGGGGCAUGUGUUGACACCGUUUUUGGGCACGUGUCCAGGCUGCCAGGAUAAGACGGCAGUGUUUUGUUUACAGGAUGAGUUGCCGAUGAGGAUGGUUGCCGAUGAAGGAGAGGUUGAACGUGACUAAGUCUACAGGCGGUGAUGUGUCUGUGCCGAUGGCUAUGAUGAGGAAGUCUGUCGAUGACUAUGGCAAGGGAGUCUGCCGAUGAUACGAAGGGAGAUUUCGGGAGCCGCCGAUGGUUUGUGGAAGAGUUUCAGUUUGUCACGGGGGAUAGUUUUGUUAUUUCCUUAAUUAUUUAAAUCGUUUUGUAUACGGAUUCCGUGUAAUUUGGAAUUCGAAUUCUAAUCGUGUCUGGCUGUAGCUCUUUGAGCAGGGUAUAAAUAUAGACCCUAGGACCUUGUAAUGAGACAUCUAUCAAUCAAGCAAACACACGUUUUUACUCAUAUUCUAGCAUCUACUUUCUCGAUGACUUCGUCUUACUUUUUUUCUUUUCAUUACGAGUUCUUAGGAAUUCGUCGACUCAAGCUCGGUGUGUUCUCAAGUUCCGCGUGAGUACCUCUUAGCCGUGACAUCCGGGCGCAUCGCUGUUGUCAGGACUAAAGUAUUCGAGUUAUCACCCUUGCCGAUAGUAAGGUCAAAUCGGCUGGCACGCCUUAACAUUUGAAUCGGGUAUUAGCCCUUUGUGUUUGCAGACCAGCUUUUGCACCAACACAUCUUUUGCCACGCCCAGUGGGACAGAUCCAAGAUCAAGAUCAACAUGUCGACUUCUGAGUUUGAUCAAGAGAACGUCAUCCUCGUGACAGAAGCCAAUCUCAAGGAUGAGCAGAAGCAAGCUAUUGCUAAAGCCAUGGAGGAUUACAAGCAGCAAUGCCUCAGGUCCUUCAGCAUGAACAGGAGCGGUGAGGUAAUUCAGAAGGAUGCACUACCGGCUCCUCGGCAGGUUACUUUUGAGUCCAAUCCAGGCAAGCUUCAAGAGAUGGUUUGGAACUAAAAGAAGGAUCUGAGUUUCGAGGCAAGCAUAGCAUGGGAUCAUCCUUGUUUCCUAAUAACUUUAAUCACACAAUUCAUAUUGCAUGUGUCUCCUUGAUAAGGAUUUCCUAGUAUUGAUCUUAUACCUUGUCACCUAUGGUUUUGCAUUGGGUAGCUUAUGCUAGUGCUCCACUAAACCAUGAUCUUGUAAUUUGAUUAAUGGAAUAUGCAAUAAACAUUAAAAGAGGACUUUUUAGCAACUUUGGUAUAGAGGGCUGGAGCAUUGGGCUAUCCUAUGGUGCUCUAGUUUCUCUCCAUAAGGACUUAUCUGUAUCUCACCAUCCGGGACAUACAGUACAACUGUGAGGGCUACAUGGCUCUGGCUUUAGCUCAGUAUGAGGACCUUUUCUAGCUUGUUAGUGGUUACCAUUGUGGCGCAAAUGGGGAAUAGCAGACCGUGGAUUCAUGCGGGUGAAUCACAUGGACUGACUAAUGAAACCAAGCGGCCCUAACUUGUUAGACGAACCUUUGAAAGGCUUCAUAGUGAACCCUGCCGGUCUUCCAUGGUAGUGGGCUAAGAGGUCGACGGGCCUCGGGCGAAAGGGUAAAUCAUGACUCACAGUGAAAGUGUACAACCUCUACAGAGUGUAAAACAGAUAUAUCAGUCGUGCUCACGGUCACGAGCGGCCUUGGACCAAUACAGAAUAAAUAAUCACUAAUGGCAAGUUAUUAAUGUUAUUAUUGUUAAUAUGUUGUUUAUGCUAUUCUUUAUUCACUUUACUUGAUCAUGAGUUUAUUUUGGGACUUGACAACUUGAUGCUACUCAUAUGCUGAAAUUAUGACAACUAAAAGCUACAUGCAGUUCAACUAGUGUCUAGCCUUUGAGCCUCAUGAACACUAUAUUAUUCUUGUUGAGUACAAGAUGUACUUACGCUUGCCUUUACAUUUUAUUUGGAUAAAAAUCCCGAAUGAGUACCAGAUUGCUAGUUUGGAGAAGAGUUUAGGCUUGUGCUCAACCAGUCAGUUGUCCCUGUGGAUUUGGAGCUUUCGCCUGAAGAACGGAGUGUCUUUCCACUGUUUGCUAUCUAAGGUUAUAUCUUUUAUACUAAGUUCGUUAUAUAAUAAGCAUUGACUAUUGAUAUUACCCUUAUUUGUGGCUAUAUGUGAGAUUUGACUUCCUGGGCUCACAUAUGGUGUGUAUCUGGUUUUGUUCUUAAAACCGGGUGCUACAAAGUCGUAUCAAAGCAAUGCUGUCUGUAGGACGCAAGCCUAGAUAGUAAUGGUCGUUUUAGUCAUCUUUGCUUCACUACAUUCAUGCUUACUAUCUCACCCUUGCUAUUUGCUAAAAUUCUUAUGCUUCUAUCAUCUAAUUCUAUUCUAAAAGUAUUGCUUCUAUUCUAACUUACUCUUGGUCUAAAUCCAUACAUGGUUCGUAACGAAAAAAUUGCUCGCAACAACUCUGGAAGACCAUGUUUGACUCGGGGAAUCUAUGGAUUAACGGAACCGGAAUAUGAGGAAGCUCGCCCUGUCCCAUCAAGACAUACUUGUUGGCGGAAUGAGUACUUUACCACAUCCUUUAGUGGCGAAGAUUUCUUUCACCCUCGGCUUGUGCGUAUACUACUAGACCACUAUCCUGAACAGCAAGCCAAGGAGGAAUAUAAGUGCACUAAGUGGACUCAUCCUAAGUAUGAGAGCCACUGGAGCACAGAAGCGCACAUCACAAGGUGGAAUGAGUUUACUGGUUCACACGUGGUGGAAUCCAUUCAUUCGUCUCUCAGUGACUGUUUCAGUAAGCAUGCUAGCAUAUCUGAUGCUGCCCAUCAAGCUCUUCUGGCAUAUCGUGGAAAGCACUACGAAGAGAGGAAGAAUGUCAAACAAAAGUAUCUUCCUUGUCGUCCACCAGGCACUUUGCAAUGUGUGAUGGCUGACCCCUACUUGGAGCAGAAUGAACAACUAAAGGAGAUGGCUUUGACUAUCCAAGUCAUGAAUCAAAAGCUAGAAGACAGUCAACUGGAAUAGGCGGAAGUAAGGCAACACUAUGAGGAAGCCCUUGAUGAGAUUGAUGAGUGGAGAAGUCGUGGUGGAUUACCUAAGAUCAAUGAGGUGAAGGACAUACAUCGCUUAACUCCACGCAAGAGAUGCUACCCUUGAUGCCGCUGCAGUCACACCGUGUUUAAGAAGUAGGAAGUCCCCCUUUGUAAUAAACGUUAGUAGCAAAAGCUGAGUCAAAUAUGUGCGCUUUGUGAAUCUUUAAUGUCUGGUUGGUUUGUCUUAGUGCUUAUGUUUGAGUUGGAAUUUUGUAAUGAGUGCAAUGAUCUUGUGGGUUUCUCCACAAUUUCAUUUAGUUUAUAGGUCUAAGAUACAAGGACUAGUGAAUAAAUAGAUGGGUUUUAGUUUCCCUUGUUUUCUCUGUCCUGUCUUUUGGGAGCAACUUAUCUUCAUCAGUUCAAAUCUCUAUUCUCAGGGGACCAUAAAAUCAUGUGAAAAUUCUGGGUGAGAGUAGACUUCAAGGUCCUUCUCUGACCACAAGAAUCACCCUCAUAGCUGUUAUGGUUUGGGAAUUACGAAAAUCACAAGAUGGAAUAGUUGAGCUGUCAGGAAUCAGGACCAGUUUCAGUUGCCUACUGUUUUGGACAAAAGUAACUCCGGAAUUUGGGAAAAGGUUCUAUAAUAAAGUUGUAGAUCAUUUGAUAAGCUUUCCAACGAUGCAAGCUGCAACUUUACCUGAUCAAUAGAACUUGAGUUAUGGCCUCUACAAGUUAAUGCUUCCGCACAGUUUCAAAAUCUGGACAGUUCUAGUUAAUUCCUACUUUUCAGCCAACUUAACAUCAGAAUCUGGAAAAGGGGGAUAUACAGAAGUUGUGGAGGACUUCAUAAGAUUUUCAACCAUGUAAGACUCGUCCCCGUAUGAUCUAAGUAGCUCGAGAUAUGACUUCUGUAAGUGGCUGUAUCGAUGCUGAGACAUUGUUAGGAUGGAUAUCAUGUUGGGCUGUUUUACCUAGGUUUAAAGACAGAAACUAAGGAAGCCUUCUAUAUGAAAGUUGUAGGGAAUUUGAUAAGGUUUCUAACGGUAUAAGCUAAGAUCUUAUUGGAUUGACAGAAAAGGAGGUAUGCCUAUUUUGCUGCGCUGGUGUCUUCGUAUCGUGAGGAAUUUCAGAUUUCUUGUACAUAUCAGUCCACAUGAGGUUCUCUUCGGUAUUAGAAGAUCUGAUGAUAAGAAACCCACUUGAAAGAUGGACUAAACUACCCAUUUAAGCACUAGUUUACCUUUUUUAAGGGGGGGUAGUCUUAUCAAAGGACUUACAAGGAGAAGUGUUGGAUCAUUGAUAAGGACCUCAAGUGUUUGGUAAAUUUAGGUUUUGACGCAAGAAAUAAGUUCCAUUGAAGUGUGCUAAUGGAGAUGUAGGUCAUUGCUGGUACUCAUAGCUUAGAAGUGGUGCUUAUGAGAAUCAGGUGACACCAAAGUCUAUGAAGUUAUACAUGGGAUGUGAGAGCGAAGCAAUUCAACUAAGAUAGAGGUACCAAUAGUUGGAACUUAGUGAUGAAACCAACUCCAGACCAUGAGACUUGGUACAGUGAAUUCGAAAGACUAUAUGAUGUGUAACAUCUAAACUGAAUAUGAGAGCUAGUCCGUACUGUCCCCCGACCUAUCUCAUCUUAAGGGGGGUAGUACCUUGUUAUGAUAGAUUAAUGCCCUUUCAAUUCACCAUGAAGUAAGAAGUGUUUCUGGAGAUAUCACAUGAUCAUAAUCAUCUAUCCUGGCUCAAGUUAGCGAAAUUAGUCACUUGACAAAUUAGGAAGAGGAUAAGCUACAUCUACUGUUGAUUCUACGGAGACUAAAAAGUCUUCAUUACUAAACGGAGCAUGACCAGUAUGUUCUAGUUGAUGGAAGUUCUCAUUUAGGAGAUGUCAUCUUUAAUUAUGGACAUGAGAAAGUUAAAGAUGCAAGAGUUGGAAACCACCAAAGGAAAGUGAAUGAGACUUAGAGUUUUAUAGAUAUGGCAAGAGUUAUCAUAGGUUUGCUGGGGCCAAUGUGAUCUUGACAUAAGAGUGAAUAAGAGUUUAGGCUUGUGCUCAACCAGUCAGUUGUCCCUGUGGAUUUGGAGCUUUCGCCUGAAGAACGUAGUGUCUUUCCGCUGUUUGUUAUCUAAGGUUAUAUAUUUUAUACUAAGUUCGUUAUAUAAUAAGCAUUGACUAUUGAUAUUACCCUUAUUUGUGGCUAUAUGUGAGAUUUGACUUCCUAGGCUCACAUAUGGUGUGUAUCUGGUUUUGUUCUUAAAACCGGGUGCUACAAUGGCUGGCGGUGGUGCUUUCCCUGUGCCCGAGCAGAUGGGGAAGCCAAGCGUUUGCUGCCUGUUGAGCCCUAAGGUCUGAGUUCCAAUUAGCUAGCAAGCUGCCAUGCACAUGUCUUGCAAAUCUUUUCAGGCCACCGCUAAUCAUCUGCUGCAAUUCAGUACUGAAAGUUCCAUCCAUGUACGUACUUACAUUGAAGGCUGCCAGCAAUAGCCAUCGACAAUUGAAGUUAAGUUCCAGACUUUGUGCUAAUCUUUUCUUUAUUCAUUGAGUCUAUAUAUGGAUCUCAUCGAGGUGCUGAGCUCGCUCGCCGCUGUGGUGACAGCUGUUGGAAACCUCUCCGCUGACUUGAGCAAGCCGUCAAGUUUCUUCACGUGGAGACCAUCGAGCCACCCCCAUCAAGCCGCACGCAUUCACUGAGACCGCCCCAUUCGCUACAAGCCUCUGCGUGAGUUCGCCAUAUCCCAAUAUAUCUACCGGUGCUUUUACCUUUGUAAUCAAAAGCCUCCAUGUUGUUCUCACCAAGCUUCGGCGAACUCCAUGGCCAACCACUGUGUUAGAGAUCCUGUGCCGUGCGUGCUUUGCCUUGCUCCGAUUACAUACAGUUUCCAUAGCGAACAUGAUGAGAUCAUGUUGAUGUCACCAUGACAUCAAACAAGUAUUAUUACCGUUUUCCUUUACAAAAAUAAAUCCAAAAAUACAAUAAAAAUACAUUAGCUUGUUUAGGUCAUAUUUUCUCUGUUUUAACUCCGAUUUGACCCAUUCAAAUUGCGUUAAGUCUGUAUUUGAAAGAUCUACAUGUUAGUAAUAUUGUUUUCUCAGUUUGAAACUUUUUUUAAAUUUCGUGACACUAUUGAAUUAAUUAUUUUUCUAUAGAAAAUCUUAGAAAAUUCAUAUUUUUUUUUGUUUUAGCUCCGAUUUUUAUGAUCUUUAUGUCUGUGUGAUCAUAGUGCGACGUAGAUUCAUUUUAUAACUUUAUAUCUUUAUUUUCUACUGUUGGUGUAUUGUUCUAAUUAUAGGUUUGUUUGUUUUGUAUGAUUGUCUCUGGAUGAUUGUUGAUGAUGUGAUGACUGAGUUUAGUCGGUGAGCUUUUAUGUCGUGAUCAAGAAGCAGUUUGUGGAAGGUUUGAAACUAAAAGAAGGAUCUGAGUUUCAAGGCAAGUAUAGCAUGGGAUCAUCCUUGUUUCCUAAUAACUUUAAUCACACAAUUCAUAUUGCAUGUGUCUUUUUGUUAAGGAUUUCCUAGUAUUGAUCUUAUACCUUGUCACCUAUGGAUUUGCAUUAGGUAGCUUAUGCUAGUGCUCCACUAAACCAUGAUCUUGUAAUUUGAGUAAUGGAAUAUGCAAUAAACAUUAAAAGAGGACUUUUUAGCAACUCUGGUAAAGAGGGCUGGAGCAUUGGGCUAUCCUAUGGUGCUCUAGUUUCUCUCUAAGGACUUAUCUGUAUAUGACCAUCCGGGACAUAUAGUACAACUGUGAGGGCUACAUGGCUCUGGCUUUAGCUCAGUAUGAGGACCUUUUCUAGCUUGUUAGUGGUUACCCUUGUGGCGCAAAUGGGGAAUAGCAGAUCGUGGAUUCCUACGGGUGAAUCACAUAGACUGACUAAUGAAACCAAGCGGCCCUAACUUGUUAGACGAACCUUUGAAAGGCUUCAUAGUGAACCCUGCCGGCCUCCCUAGGAAGAGGGUUUAAGAGAUUAGCUACCUCGGGCGAAAGGGUAAAUUAUGACUCACAGUGAAAGUGUACAACCUCUGCAGAGUGUAAAACUGAUAUAUCAGCCGUGCUCACGGUCAUGAGCGGCCUUGGACCAAUACAGAAUAAAUAAUUAAUAAUGGCAAAUUAUUAAAGUUAUUAUUACUAAAUAUGUGGUUUAUGCUAUUCUUUAUAAACUUCACAUGAUCAUGAGUUAACUUUGGGACUUGAUAACUUGAUGCAACUCAUAUGCUAGAAUUGUGACAACUAAAAGCUACAUGCAGUUAAACCAGUGUCUAGCCUUUGAGCCUCAUGAAUCCUAUGUUAUUCUUGCUGAGUACGAGAUGUACUUACGCUUGCCUUUACAUUUUAUUUGGAUAAAAAUCCCGGAUGGGUACCAGAUUGCUAGUUUAGAGAAGAGUUUAGGCUUGUGCUCAACUAGUCAGUUGUCUUGUGGAUUUGGAGCUUUCGCCUGAAGAACGAAGUGUCUUUCCGCUGUUUUCUAUCCAAGGUUAUAUCUUUUAUAUUAAGUUCGUUAUAUAUUAAGCAUUGUCUAUUGAUAUUACCCCUAUUUGUGGCUAUAUGUGAGAUUUGACUUCCUGGGCUCGCAUAUGGUGUGUAUCUAGUUUUGUUCUUAAAAUCGGGUGCUACACUCCACCUCGGGCUCGAGAGAGAGGAUGGGGAGGUCGUCCUAUUUUUUUAUGAGGAGUGGGGAGAGCGCUAGAUGUUUUUGUGGAGGCCGACGUGGGCAGCUCCUGGCCACACAAAGGGAAUCAGCCAAUCAGGCUAAGAUGGACCAAUAGGAGGGGGAGGAGGUGAGGUGGCAUUGAGGUGCGCCAAUGGCAGAUUUGAGGAGACGUGGCUGGGGUGGCGACACGGGGAGCAACUUAGAAUUGUUAGGGUAAAUUAGUCCAAAGAUUUUAGAUAUAAAAAUAAGAAAUUCGCAAGAUAAUAGAAGUGUAGUAGUUUCGAAAUUUAUACUAUACAAUCUGUAGUAAUUGAAAACUAUCUGGAAUUAUUUGCAAGCUAGUCGCAUGGAAAAACUAACCCUUUCAUGAAGUCCACAAUAUUAGCAAGGCAAAAUUGUAUCCAAAUCAAGUUGGAUGGUCAAUGUUGCAGAACAAGAUCCAGGGCCAAAUGAACACCCUCAGAAUUUGCAACAUCUGAGUUGUGUGCUACUUGGCUAAAUCAAAUUGAACAAACAUUGAGGAUGUUGCUUAUCUCCAUGCUGUGACAAGAAAGAGGGGACAAAGGGGAAGCAAAAACAAACCUCAGAGGAACUCAUAGCGGUGCUUAUCUCGUCCUAGGGUUUAUUCUUUUGAGUUUUAAAGUGUUUGCAACAUAAUUUAAGGAAAGGUCCAAUAGCAUUAGUUUGUUUCCAAUCAGAGAAUUGGGAACAUAAAUUGAAGAUGAUGCAAUCAAGUUCGACAGAUUUUUAAGAAUAUCUUCUAUUGUGUGUUGCCUUAAAUUUUGUUUUAUAGGAAAAAGAAAGUUGUUCAUGUACCUCAAGAGCACUAAAAUUUGCAUACAUAGGUAUUGAAAGGGAAUAAAGAAUUAAAGAAAACCCAGAUUACCUUGGUCCAGUAGUGGUUACACAAGAGGAAUCUGCAAGUCACCAAACCACAUCUAGAAAAAGAUAAGGAUACACUGACAUAGUUCAAUUUGAAGCAUAGAUCAUUGCAAAGAUCUAACAAAUAAAAUUAAGAUCUUUUGUAGACAAUAGAAGCAUAAUAGCUGGCAAAGUUAGACUGUAAACCUACAGUAAAUGAAAAAUAAAUAUAAUCUCCAAUUAAAACUAUUGGCAAGCCGGUAGCAUGGAAAAGUUAACCCUCAUGAUCCCACAACAUUAGCAAGGGAAAUUGAUAUUCAGAGCAAGUUCAAUGGUUAAAGCUACAACAAUUAGGUACAAGUAUAAAUUACUUUGUGUCUCUAUUUACCUUACAUAGGGAGAACGUAUAGUAUGCACAAAAGAAAUUGUUGGCAUCUCUUGGAUGAAGAUAGAAACUGAAGUUUUACAUGGUACUGAAAUUAUGAACAUAUCCAUUUUGUUGUGAUUGCUGCACAAACCAAUGUAGCACAGACCAGCGACUUUCAGCUGUCUCCAUAGCACCCAAAAUUAAUCUCAUGCAUACCGAAGGAAAAUAUGGCAAAUGUAAUAUAUAUACCGAAUAAAUAUACUGCCUACUGGUCUGAAGAGAACACUGUGAUUACCGUUGCAACCACAAGACUCGAUAGAAAAGGAUAAACAAUGUUUCUUCUUAUGAAGCAACAGGCAAGCAUCAUCAAGCACAAAAUUGAUGCCCAAAAACUCAAAGAAAUAGGAGAGGCAAAAGUGACCGUACACAACCAAAGUGUAUGGCAAUGUAAUCCUUGGAAAUAGGGCAUGUGCUCAGAAAUGAUAGUAUAUAAUUUGGCGUCACACGCAAUGAUCAUAGAUAAUGAACACGCAAAGGGGCAAAUCAUUAUAGGUAAUUGCAUGAAAACCACGGAUCUCAUAAGUAAGAGUGAAUCCAGCCGCAUAGUAUGUGACUAAACACACAAUAAGCAGUAGCUCUCAUUGGUGCAUUAAAACUGCACAAAAUAGAACAGCCAGGAAUGAAUACAAGGAAACAUAAUCAUACAAUUGACCAUUGCCUCUUGUAUUAUGGGACAAGCACAUAAAACAAAAACAUAAUUUCAGGUGCACACAUCAUAGCAGUAGCCCAUUCCCUUAAUUUUUAACGCAACAACAAUACGAAACCGUACUCAUCACUGCACAUGACUGGAAUGCAAAAAAUAAACAAAAGAACACCAGCGCUACAGUGGUGUCACAGAAAUGUCAAUGAUACGCUCAUGUGCUCAGAUCUUGGUCAUAAUACCUCUCUGCUCUCAUAUCUAGAAAACUGAGCAGAUCACGACCUACAGAACAAGAAUCUGCAGUAACCAUGUAGAUCGACAAGAGAAAAAGAGAACACCAUAUCUACGACAAAAUGGAGCCCUCGUUCAUGCAUAUGGCACAUCAGGAGAAAGGGGAGGGAAAGAGAGGGGAGGGGAGUAAACCAGUGAGCGGACAGAUCGAGGGAGAGCAGAGCCGCGCCGACUGUCUGCAAAGAGCUCGCACGGAGGCGGUAGGCGGCCGUGGCGCCGGCCAUGGCCGCCCGUGCCGUGCCGCUGCGCAGGGCCGUGCGUGUCUGUCGCGCCACACCGUGCCGUGGGACUCGCCCGCGUAGGGGUGGGGGGAAGGGAGGGACGCUGUCGCCUCGUGCACGUUGCCGCGACUGCCUGCAAGGAGCACGCUCAGAGGGGUAGGGCAGACGCGCCCGCCAGCAAUGGCCGCGCGCACCACGCCGCCGCAUAGGGCCGCGCGCGUUGGCCACGGCACGCCGUGCCACAGGGCCCGCCCGUGCGGGAGUAUGGGAUGGGAGGGACACCGCCGGCCUCCUCCUAUGCCGUCACGUCGCGCACGUCACCGCGGCAGCCUGUAAGGAGCUCACACGGUACCGCGCAAGGCCACGUGCGUCGGCCGCGCGAUGCCAUGCCGCAGGGCCUGCCCGUGUGGGAGUGGAGGCACGGGAGGGAGGCCGCCGAGCUCUGCCUAUGUCGCCGCCUCACGCACAUCGCUGCCUCGGGAGGGAACGAGAGAAGGAGAGGGAGAGAGAGAGGAAGGAGAAAGAGGAUAAGAUGGGAGGGCAUGGGAGGAGAUAUUUUUCUAUUGAAUUAGGGAUGCGGCAUGGACUGCUACAGUGAACCGUUUUUUUCCUCGUGAGAAGCCGUACAGGACACAUGGCUGGGCCGAUUUCCUGCCUAGCUUAGCCGGCUUAAUAGGAGCAAAUACGAAGGAUAAGCAUCAGAGUGAAAUGUACCACGCCAAGUUGACAACGCUUCUCCUGCAGAACCGGUGUCCCUCUCCGUGGCGCACUCCAGCAGACCCCUCCACUAAGCAAAACCAUAAGGCAAAUGUGAGUACGAAGAACAAAAAAGGAGCAAGCAAGAACAAAAUUAGUAAGUAAAAAUAAAUUCUCCAACAUAGGUUGCAAACCCCAACUGCUCCGACGUCACCUACUGUUGCGAUAGAUGAACACCCGAGAAAAGCCCCAAUGUGGCAACCAAAUCCCAAUGCACCCCGUGGGCGAGGCAGUCGGCCGUCCAUGGGGCCCCAGCGCCGCGUCCGCUUGCUGACCCAGCCCCAAAGCCCGCACGCCCACCCAAUAAAGCGCAGGGAGAAGAAGACAGCCCGCGCCCACCCAAACAAGCGUAGGGGAGAAGAACAUAGAGCCCUUGCACCCGGUACGUACGCGACACGGAAUGAAAAAGGUGCCGGGCUGGGCCGGGGCAUGGAAGCCGGAAGCGGUACCUGAGCUCGAUGUGGCGCGGAGAUGGAGCUGGCGGAGGGUUGAGGCCGGCCGCCGGCGAGACGACGGAGGCACCUGCAACGGCGGAAGGCGGGCAGCAGCUGCGGCGAGGCAGCGCGCGGCCGAUCGAUCGAUUGGGGUAAUCGGGGUUUUGCCGCAGUGACGACGGGAGGCAGUGAGCAGCGAGGUAGGCAGUAGGCACGCGUGUCGCAUAAGCAGUGGGCUAAUGGGUGUACAGUAAAUAUCAUUUUUGCCCUUUGUGUUAGUUGCUCUUUGGUACGGUACCGCACCCGCAACGGGGGAAGGCGGGCAGCAGCUGCGGCGAGGCAGCGUGCGGCCGAUCGAUCGAUUGGGGUAAUCGGGGUUUUGCCGCAGUGACGACAGGAGGCAGUGAGCAGCGAGGUAGGCAGUAGGCACGCGUGUCGCGUAAGCAGUGGGCUAAUGGGUGUACAAUAAAUGUCAUUUUUGCCCUUUGUUGGUUGCUUUUUGGUACGGUACCGUGAUCAUCAGCGGUGGGAUACAGAUUUUUCAAAGCAUAAUGUCCGUACGUUGUUAUAGUUUUAUUUAGAUAUAGGCCUAUUUUUGGUUCCCCUUGCUAAAGUUUAGCCAGCUAAAAUUAUUUUAGCUAUUCUUGGGUGACUAAUGGAACUAAAUUUUGUUAACUCUUUUUAGUCAAUGUGUUUGGAACUUUAGCUACAAAAAUGACUAAAGUUUAGCUAGCUAUAAUUUAGCAAGAGAAACCAAAUAGGGCCUACUUAAUAAAAUAACAAUAUAUUUUUUAUAGUUUAUAGUCUCAGAUAAUUACAUAUGAUAAUUAAUAUAAUAAUGACUAAGAAAAAGAACAAUAAAGACAUGUCUCAUAUAUUUAUACUAUAAAUAAGUUCUUAAUUGCUUAGUAGAUCUCAAAGCUCUUCAGGGAUAAUGUUUGCAUGUUCAUUUUGAUAACUUUGUAGAAUGUCCACCAAGCAUUCCGUCCUUAGCAAACGUCCACUCUGUGAAUGCCAGAUAGUAAGUUAACUUAUUAAUUUUCUAUGCACUCUACAAAAUUUACAUAGAGGAUAUAUAGUUUAUAUGCUUACAGGGUGGAUAGACAAUCUUUUUCCAUCCUACUAUUUUAAAUAACUAUAUACAAAGAAGCAUGGCAUUUCCCCGGAGAAGAGCAAGUGUUUAUUUGUGUUAGCUAAAUGACAUAGAAUAAUAUUACUAUAUAAUUUAAUUAAUAAUUGAGAACAUAAAUUAAGAAGAUAUUACUACUACAUAUUAUUUGGCCAAGUAAAAUAUUUGUAUCAUGGUGUCUAAUUUAACCCAUACCGAUGCACAAACAAAGAAGAUAUUGCUCCAUUAUUACCUUAAUCAAGUGUCUUUGAUAUUGCUCUAGCUUUUUUCAUUGCACAAUAUUCACGUUGCUUCCUAUUUCUUUCAUCUCUUUGUUCAGUGUUUUUCUCGGCCCUUUUACGAGCGCGGUAUUCACAUUGUUUUCUAUUCCUCCCUUCCCUCUUUAUUCUCUCUUCAUCUACCGAUGUUCUAUCAGUGGCUGUGAAAUAUAGUGUGUGUUAUUAGUUUCAGAUUUUGUUUGGGAAACUAACCAAUAUAGAUGGUCGCGAACAUACCAUGUCCGAUAGUGUUUGAUAUGUCGUAAAGUGUAGGGUGGGUUUGUCGCCGGACCUGUAGCAGGCCCAUCGAUGAUGGCAUUCAUGUUAAUCUACAAUAGAAAACACGAAGCAAGUAUACUUACUGUGUUCAUCAUGGCGUUCGUUGUCUGACCUAGUGCGUCAGCGUUUCCCCCUACGGGGCGCCCCUGUCCGCGUUUGACGUCACGCCCUGGCCGCGCUCCGGUGUCGCGUCCUGGCCGCGCGCCUGUUUGCGAGCCCCUGGCCGCACGUGGAGUCAGGCGGCCAGGGCGUGAAGUCUUGGCGGUGCCCCAACGAUCCUCUGGCCGCAAGCCCCUGGUCGCGCGCCCCGUCUGGCCCGGCAAGCCCAGGCCGCGGGCCCUCGUCGUGGACAGGAGAAUGCGAACAGAGGGAAGAUACACGGUCGUGCGUGAGAGGGAGGUGGGGGCGGACUGAGGGAUGAAUGAGGUGAGUGAUGAGUUUGAUCCAAGCCUUUAUGACCGUUGGAUGUGAUUGAGUUAGGGGAAUGAUAGAUUAGAGUUAAUAUUGUCCCUUAAUUUUGGGAGAUAGAUCUUCCUUGGUGGAAUUUUUCGUGUGUACUUAGUGUAGCUUAUAACUGUAGUAGUAGAUUAUAGGAUGCAUUUAGUUAAGUUCAUAACUGAUGGAUAAUAUAGUAGUGGAGAUUUGUGGUAUAUCUCAGUAACUACACCCGUGCCUUUUUACCUUAUACAAAUUAGAACUGAGGCUUGAUCACUAUGAUUUCGUGUUAAAUUAUGUUUUUAUGAUUUUUUUGUAUACAUAUAUGAUGGCAAUCCAACUUGAAUACCUCUCAUCCAAUUUGGUAUAUGUUGUUGACAACAACGAUCCCAUGUGGUCAGGAUGUUCGAAAACGAGAAAUCAGGUUCUUAGUUUUCUAGGAAGAGAAGAACUGAUCGGAGCCGCGUCUCCGACGGGGGAUGCUUGGGUGAGUGAUAGGAAUAACCCUCCAGCUGGAUAGGAAUCAAUUCGAAUCGCCGUCUCUCCUGGAUAGUGAGAACUUGACAGAGCAGCGGCAAACGUAGCAUCCACUAAGUACAAUGGUUCUUGAUAAUGAUAAUGAUGAUAGCAAAAAAGAUCAUAUGAUGAAUUUGAUAUGGUUAUUAUUGUUUAUAAUAAUCAAGUGAAGUGCUUAGUCUAGGUGCUAAUCUAGUGGUAGGCAAAAGAUGAUUAAUAUGAUGCCUUUACAAAUGGUGUAGUAUCUACUUAAGCUUUGGGCAAAUAUUGAGUCGAGCCAGCUACACUUUAUACUCAGCCUUGCAUGAUUCUUGGUGUCUUUUAUAUUUUACUAGACGGGUAAGUCUAGCUGAGUACAUCAUCGUACUCAGGGUUUAUUCCCACCUAUUGCAGAUGAUGUCUUUUAUGAUGGAUUCUGCAAGACCUGUCUCCAUCCCACUGGGGAUGAGGACUAAACCGUUGGGCACGGUUCUCUAACGACUUCAUACCCCGUUGCUUUUGGAUGGACGUGAUGAGACUAUGGCAAUAACAAGAACUUUGGAAUAUGUGUUGUAAACUAUUUUGCUUCCGCUACUGUGAACUUGUGUUGUAACAACUAAGUACUCCGAUGUGGUGCCGCUUCGUCGGCACUGAAUGACUAUGUAACAUUCGCUGUAUUAUGUUGAACUAUUACGAUAUUGUUUUGUUGCAAGUUGGUUUGAAAUCCUUCGUAAUUUCAGUUGACUACCAGGAUUAUAUGGGCUCAAGUCUAGAAACUUGAUUGCUAGUCGAUCGUUUCUACACUUGAACUCUUAUAAUUUGGUCGGUUCUGUGACAUGUGAUGGGGGUUGUAUUCUUGUGACAACGACCUUUUCUCCAAUCUACACAUGGUUAGAAUAAAUAAUAUAUAUGUAUACACAAACCUGUGAGAUGGCAGGGUUCCAGAAUGAUGGAUCUUGAAUGUUCAAGCACCCUGGGUUCUAAAAUCUUGUGGAAUCAUGUCGCAAGGUCGAAGUGGCAUCUGAUGUCAUGUCUAUUCCAUACUCAACAGAACAAAGGGGUAAUCCUACUAAAGCUAGUCAUACACAAUAGCAGACAUCAACAUCAUUAUUAGAAUCUUUACGCCAAUUGCUUUCCCGGCAACGGUGCCAAAAAUGCUUGUUGGCAUUUCUUAACACAAUCACCAAAGAUAGACAAAAAAUCCUAAUCCCCAGCAAUAGUGCUAGAAAUGCUUAAUGACAUUCGUUAGUGCAAAAAAAUAUAUAAAAUAUUCUGCAAGCGCAUAGAACAUCAUCGUAGCAUUUUACCGGGAGUAUUCCACGUAUCGUUAUUUGUAAUUUACCAUAGGGAAGCGGGGUUAAGAAUUUUGAUAAUUCACUUUCCUACAUCUACUAACUUAGAGUAUCAAAUAAACUAAAGGAUGGAUAAAUGACAUACUAUAAUAUAAAUGAAUAUGACUUUGUUCUACUUCAAUAUUAUGAACUAAAGGAGGAUUCUUGGUAAUUCUCUAAUUAUGCUUCUAAUUGUUCUUCUAAUUAUCUUUGUUCUUCAAUAUUAUGAAUAUGACUUUGUUCUACUUCAAUAUAUUGCUUAUGACUUUGCUCUACUUGCUUAUAUUCAAGAUUAUAUUGUUCUUAGUUUAUCAUAGUUAUGUACUUGGCUUAGUUAGAUUGGAUCUAUAUACAUGCUUACGAUCGUAUAGCGUUUAUCCAUCGGAUCCAUGGGUAAAUGAAAGAUAUUGUGUAGGCGUGGUGCUUAUACCGUAUUUAUCCGCGAUUGUACCCAAUAUGCCAGAUCGUGGGGUAGUUCGUGAUAGUGACAGCUUCAUUGAUUCUUAUAUAGUCCCCCUCUCGUGUAUUGGGCUGGCAGAGCAAUAUUAUUACAGGGGAGUGAUUGCUAUGUUUCUCAUUUACGUUGCUAAUAUCACUAUGGAUGGGCGUAGUCUUGUCUCGCAAUGAUUGCUAAGUAUGCUUGCACUAAUUAUGAUAAUGCUAGACUAUAUAGUUGAGGAUAACUUAGGAAAUAUUCUUGUAGUUCGUUCUAAUACCAUGCUAAUGACUUUCUAGAGUAUCUAAUUGAGGUGCUUAUCAUAUUUAUAUGUGGCUAAUCAGAUUAAUUAUCUUUGUCACUAUUCAUUAUUUUAUAUAUCCUUUAUGUGACACUUAUCCCUGUAUGAAAGAGUUAGAUACAAUGUUCGCAAUUAUACAUGCAAUGAUAGAUACUCAAUCUCAUAUUCUAUUCUGUAGUCAAUAUUGAUGAUUGUUAAUCCCUUCCCAGUGGUAAAAAUAUAAAUAACGAUACCUGGAAUACUUCCCGGUUAUAAUGCUACAUCGGUAUUAAUCUGUGCGCUUGCAGAUCCCAUUCAUUAUUUAUUUAGAAGAGCAAUUGCAUAUUUCAAUACCGCGUCUCUCAUGUCAUGCUGGGGAUGACAACUUGGCUUAAGUGGUGUGAGGGAUAGGUUUGGCAUUUUUGGCACCGUUACUAGAAUUAGAGAACUAAGUCUACUUUUGGUAAUGAUGUUAAGAAUACCCAACAAGCAUUUUUGGCGCCGUUGCCGGACAAGGUUGAUUACUAAUCAAGAAUGGAAUAAAGGAUUUUGAGUUAUCAUUCGCAUCACUAAUAUGAUUGAGCUUAUUAGUUCUCUCAUACAGUUUUACCCCGAUAUUUUUCAAUUUUAUCUUAUGCAGGGGAAUGUAUGAAUAGAAGACAUCUUUCAGGAAAUUUUGUUGACAAUCCCGAAGCCUUGUUCAAGAAGACAAGAGCCAAGCUCAAGAAGAGAUCAUCAAUGUAACACCCAAAAUUUGAUUUUCAAAUAAUAGGAUUUAAUUUAAUUUAUUUAAGUAUUGUUGUGGGCAUUUAAUCUAGUAAAUAAAUAAUUUUUGUCAAAUUAAAAACUCAUCAUAAGUUUAGAAACUUCAAUCUUGCAUUCAUGCUGGAGCAUAGUAUUUUUUUGUGUGUUGUUCCUAUUUUUAUUUUAUUUGUUUGUGCUUUCAAAAUGCUAUUUGGAAAAGGUUUUGGAAAAGAAAACAGAAAAGAAAUUGGAAAAAAAAGAGAAAGGGGGAAGCCCUCCCAGUCGGCCUGGCGGCCCAGCCAGCGCCUGGCCCAACGCGCUCUCAGCCCAGUGGCCAGGCCCGCACGCGCAGCGCUCCCUCCCCCUCCUCUCCGCUCGCUGACAUCCUGGGGCCGCAUGUCAGCGCUUCCAUCUCCCUCUGUUAGUAACCAAGCCGGACACGGCCGGGAGCCAAUCGAACCCGAUUUCUCGGGAUUACUUGCCAAACGCGUUAGCCGAGCCCCUAUAUAAUCCCUAGCAUCGCCCCCGCGCGUGUUUCCCAUCUUCGCCACGCGAAAUCCGUGCCCCUAUAUAAUCCCUAGCAUCGCCCCCGCGCGUGUUUCCCAUCUUCGCCACGCGAAAUCCGUGCCCUAGCUACAGCAGACGGGAUCUCGCCGCAAGCCGAGCGCCUUGCCACGCGCCGCGAGCUCCUCCCGUCGUUCUUCGGCCCCAGCAAAGCACCUCCUCGAGUUCGCGGUGAGCUCCUCGUUCCGAUGGUGUUUUUCUUUCUUGAAACGGUGAGCACCGGCCGGAUGAUGGCUCUGCGUGACCAGGGAGCCGCCCAGGAAGCCUGCCAACCGUUCAACCGAAGAUCAACGGCCAAGAUUAAAACAUACCCCUUCGCUGCGCAUUUUCGUUAAGAGUCCCUGGAGAUUUCGCUAUUCAACCCGCAGUCCCUAGCGCCCUGAGUAAAAUACGUUUUCUAAUGCCAAAGGCGUAUUCGUGACCGGUUAAUGGAAAAAUGCGCUUUCUGCUAUUUACAAGUUUGCCACUGAUAUUGUUUUGCUCAUAAAAUAUUCAUUAUAACUCCGUUUUUGUCCAUUCAAAUUUCGUUAGAUUCGUAUUUCCGAGCUCUACAUGUUAGAAUUAUUUAUUCUCUGUGUUGAAACUUUUAAUUUCCUGGUAUUAUUUAGUUAAUCAUUUCUCUAUAGGAAAUCUUAGAAAAUUCAUAUCUUUCUCGUUUUAAUUCCGAUUUUCGUGAAAUUUACGUUCGUGUGAUCGUAGCGCUGCGUAGAAUAUUUUGAUAAACUUUUAUAUUUGUUUUACCACUGUUUGGUGUAUUGUUCUAAUUAUAUCUUGUUUGCUUCGUGUAUAAUUGUCUACAUUGGAUUGCGUGUUGUUGAUUGAUGAUUGGGAUUAGACGGUGAGCCGUACGUUGGUGCUCAAGAUCAUGCAUUUGAAGACCAGCAGGCUCAGGAGAGCUUUGAUCAAGGCAAGUAUAACUUGGGAUCAUCCUUGUUACCUACACACAAUUAAUAUAACAUUUAUCAUAUGCAUGCUAUCACCUUGAUGACCUUAGCAAAAUCAUAGAUGAUUGUUACCCUGAAUUCCUUGUUACCUAUUUGGAUAUGCAUUUGGGUAGUUCUUGCUAGUGCUUGAUUAUUAAUCCAUGAUCUUGUAACAUGAAUAUUGAAUAUACAAUAAACAAUAAAAUAAGCUUUCCAGCAACUUGAAUAUAAAGGGUGGAAAGAACUCUAGCUUUUGCUAGAUUGAUCUUGACCCUCCAUAAGGACUUAUCCCUUGGCAAAAGCUGGGACAACUCAUACAAUCAUGAGGGCUAUAUGGCUCUGGCUUUAGCUCAGUAUGAAGAACUUUUCUAGCUUGUUAGAGGUUCCCCGAAAGGGUGGAGGGGCUGAACCGACACGGGUAUAGUGCGAGCCCCUGUCCCUAUGUGUAUAGGCUGCGCGUCAUUGUGCCAUUCGGAAGGGGGGUAUCUAUAUCUGCUCGCAAAGGAAACCUUGCGGCCCUAACAUGUUAGAUGAACUUUUGAAAGGCUUCAUAGUGAUCCCUGCCGACCUCCCUAGGAAGGGGGUUAAGAGACUAGCUACCUCGGGCGUAAGGGUAAAUCAUGACUCAUGGGUAAAGAUGUACAACCUCUGCAGAGUGUUAAAUCUGGUAUACUAGCUGUGCCCACGGAUACGGGCGGCCCGGAAAACUGAUGGAAUAGAUGGACACUGAUGAACAUGAUUAAUGAUAAUAAAGGAUGGUUUAUUAUGUUGUUUAUAUGUUUUAUUCUUAAUUCUUGUAUACAUUGAUCAUGUGGUUAUGGAAUUUAUUAUGCUACUUUGACAUUUGCUAUUCAAUGAUUAAAUAUGCUAUUCACAUAUAAAAGCUAAAUGAAGUCAAACCAGUGUCAGCUUAUUGAGCCUCAUGAACCCCUGGUUAUACUUGUUGAGUACGAUAUGUGCUCACUCUUGCAAUUUCCCAACACCUCAGGAUAUGAUAAUGAAGAUGACUGGAAUGAGGACUAUCGCUAUGAGUACUAGGUUUGGAGUCAACCAGUCAACAGUGUCCCUGUGUGGAGCUUCCGUUGAGAGCGUUGUUUAUUUCGUGCUAUCAUUUUUGUAUGAGACUAUGUGAUAUAUUAUAUUCCGCUAUGUAAUAAACACUGCAAUGGUACAUUUGAGAUUUGUCUACUUAUGUGUGCGACUAUUCCUGGGGCACAUAUGAGUCUUUUAUGCAUCCUGUUUUGUUCUUAAAAUAUGGGUGUGACAAAUUGGUAUCAGAGCUUUGUUGACUGUCGGACGCAAGCCUAGUUAUAAAUUGGCUGUCUUAAGGUUUUGAAAUUGCUAUAAAAUCCUUGCCCUAUAAACCUUGAUAUUUUCUUCUACACUAUAUCCUAUUCAUCCUCACCUUGUUGCUAAUUUUAAAGACUUGUUCUCAUCCCCACUUCUUGCUUUGAAUAUGCUUUUAGAACCUUCUCAUACCACCUUCUGGCAUCGUUGAAAUAGGAGUUAUAGGAUCUUUACCCUUAAUAGGAAGAGAACGUUAGUACCGCAAGUUGAGUCAAUGCUUGAAGUGUGAAACCUUUGAUGCUUGGUUUGGUUUGUUAUUAUGCUUAUGCUCGAUUUGGAUCUUUGUAAUGAGUGUAAUGAUCUUGUGGAUUUUCCCUACAAUUUCAUUUAGUCUAUAGGCCUAAGGCAUAAGGAUUAAUGGACUAAAUAGUCGGGUUUGGAUAAAAUUCUGUUUUUGUCCUUGCUGUGUUUCUGGAGCAGUCUGCAAUGAUUCUGGUGUAAAUCAAAUUCUGAUCGUGCAAUGUUCAUCAAAAUUUUCUCGGAACAAGUAGACUUUCAUAUCUUUCCAGUGCCUUAAGAAUGACCAUAUUAUCUAUUAUGAGCUGUGAGUUAUGACUGUUUAAAGUUGAGGUUUCUGCGCAGUCUGGAAUUCUAGAAUAGUUUCGGUUGUACCCAGUUUUUGAUUAACCUAACUUUGGAAUCUGGUAAUAUGAUCUAAAUGAAAGUUGUAGAAAAUUUCUUUAUCUUCCCAACGGUGUACAGCAAGUAUCCUUUUGAAUUCUGCAACUCGAGAUAUGACUGAUUUACUGCUCUGCUGAUGUCGGAUGAUACCCAGAAAAUUUUAGAUUCCGUUAACUCUUGUAAUUGUCAUGCUGGACAUUACUAAGACAUGAUUCUAUACCUUGGAAUGCAGAUGGCAGCAAGGGGAAGAGGCAGAGGCAGAGGCCGUGGCAAUGGUGACAAUGCCCCAAUUACUGUGGAGGAACUCAUGCAAACCCAAAAUGAGAUGAUGCACGUCUUCAUGCAGCACUUACAGCAGCAACCUCCACCAACACCACCACCUGUCCAUGUGAGAGAUAAGCGUGGUGAAUUUAUGAAGGGAAGACCUCCAGUGUUUACACACUCAGCUGAUCCUAUGGAGGCAGAUGAUUGGCUUCGUGCUGUAGAGAGGCAACUGAACAUAGCCCAGUGCAAUGAUAUGGAAAAAGUGUUGUAUGCUUCUGGACAAAUUCAGGGGGCAGCUCAGACAUGGUGGGAGUCAUAUCAAGCUGCUCAUCCUAACAAUGCUCCUCCUGUCACUUGGUUGGAAUUUUGCAGAGACUUUAGAGCGCGGCAUAUCAAUGAAGGAAUGAUGGAGCUCAAGCAGGAAGAAUUCAGAUCUCUUAGGAUGGGUUCUAUGUCUGUGGCGGAGUAUCAUGACAUGUUUGAGCAGUUGGCCCGCUGUGCCCCAAACGAAGCUAGAGAAGAUGCUGACAAACAACGUCUCUUCAUGAAAGGUCUUUACUAUGAACUCAGAUUGCAACUGGCUGGAAAUACCUACCCUACCUUCCAGGCUCUGGUGAACCGUGCCAUUGUGUUGGAUAACAUGCGCAAAGGUCAGGACAAGAAGAGAAGGAUGCUAGCCCAAGGUUCUGGAGGCAACAACCGCCAACGUUUCAAUUCUCAGCAGGGCGAUCAACAGAGGUACCAUGGACCAGUUAGUCAAGGGGAUCGCAACCAACAAUCUCAGCGUAAUCCUAAUCAACAACAGAGUGGACAACAGACUUCUCGCUCGGGAAAUUCAAAUGCCACCUCUAUGAAGAGAAGUGCUUCCAAUACCCCUACUAGGUGUUUUCGCUGUGGGAAAGAAGGUCAUUUGUCAUAUGAUUGCCCAGAGAGAUUCAACCAGCAGAACAACAAUCAAAAGUCUAAUUCUCAUGGAGCAAAGGUGAACCAUGUGGCUGCAGAGACAGUACAAGAGGGACUGGAGAUUAUGAUUGCUACGUUCAGUAUCAACUCUAUUCCCGCAACAGUUUUAUUUGAUUCUGGAGCUUCGCAUACAUUCAUAUCACAAGCAUUUGUUAGGGUUCAUAGCAUACCACUAGUUGCCCUGAAAACCCAUAUGCUAGUAAUCUCACCAGGAGGGACUAUACCAAUUUCAUAUUGUUGCCCCUCGGCAAGUCUUUCUUUAAGGGGGGUAGAUUUCCCUGUUAGUCCCAUGGUUAUGAGAACCUCAGGCAUAGAUGUGAUAUUGGGUUUGGAUUGGAUGAAGAAAUAUGCUACGGAAAUUAAGUGCAAAGCGAAAGUAGUAGUGGUGACAACACCCAAGGGGGAGAGAAUCAGUGUGGAUGUAGCAGUGCAGGCUCCACCCACAGCUAUAGUGAAUCAGCUGGAUGAUGGUGUUGAUCUUCAGGACUGGGUAGGGAAUAAAUUUUCAGAUAAGUUACCAGGUAUGUUACUUGACUAGAGACAUGAUUUUGCUAGUGCAAUGGAAUUGGUAUUUAGAGACACAAGCAACUUAGGAAAGAGAGAGUCAUUGGAGAGAGUCACAACCACAGUGGUUUGUUUAUGCACGGCUCAAUCUCGAGGACGAGAUUCUUUUAAGGGGGUAGAGUUUGUAACACCCAAAAUUUGAUUUUCAAAUAAUAGGAUUUAAUUUAAUUUAUUUAAGUAUUGUUGUGGGCAUUUAAUCUAGUAAAUAAAUAAUUUUUGUCAAAUUAAAAACUCAUCAUAAGUUUAGAAACUUGAAUCUUGCAUUCAUGCUGGAGCAUAGUAUUUUUUGUGUGUUGUUCCUGUUUUUAUUUUAUUUGUUUGUGCUUUCAAAAUGCUAUUUGGAAAAGGUUUUGGAAAAGAAAACAGAAAAGAAAUUGGAACAAAAAGAGAAAGGGGAAAGCCCUCCCUGUCGGCCUGGCGGCCCAGCCAGCGCCUGGCCGAGCGUGCUCUCGGCCCAGUGGCCAGGCCCGCGCGCGCAGCGCUCCCUCCCCCUCCUCUCUGCUCGCUGACAUUCUGGGGCCGCAUGUCAGCGCUUCCAUCUCCCUCUGUUCGUAACCAAGCCGGACACGGCCGGGAGCCAAUCGAACCCGAUUUCUCGGGAUUACUUGCCAAACGCGUUAGCCGAGCCCCUAUAUAAUCCCUAGCAUCGCCCCCGUGCGUGUUUCCCAUCUUCGCCGCACGAAAUCCGUGCCCUAGCUACAGCAGACGGGAUCUCGCCGCAAGCCGAGCGCCUUGCCACGCACCGCGAGCUCCUCCCGUCGUUCUUCGGCCCCAGCAAAGCACCUCCUCGAGUUCGCGGUGAGCUCCUCGUUCCGAUGGUGUUUUUCUUUAUUGAAACGGUGCUCGGAAACGAGAAACCAGCGGAUGCCGACGAGCUUCCGGGCGGUGGCCAUGGCGCCACUGAACCGGUGCCGAGCUCCGGCCGCAUGAUGGCUCUGCGUGACCAGGGAGCCGCCCAGGAAGCCUGCCAACCGUUCAACCGAAGAUCAACGGCCAGGAUUAAAACAUACCCCUUCGCUGCGCAUUUUCGCCCUGAGUAAAAUACGUUUUCUAAUGCCAAAGGCGUAUUCCUGACCGGUUAAUGGAAAAAUGCGCUUUCUGCUAUUUACAAGUUUGCCAUUGAUUUUGUUUUGCUCAUAAAAUAUUCAUUAUAACUCUGUUUUUGUCCAUUUAAAUUUCGUUAGAUUCGUAUUUCCAAGCUCUACAUGAUAGAAUUAUUUAUUCUCUGUUUUGAAACUUUUAAUUUCCUGGUAUUAUUUAGUUAAUCAUUUCUCUAUAGGAAAUCUUAGAAAAUUCAUAUCUUUCUCGUUUUAAUUCCGAUUUUCGUGAAAUUUACGUUCGUGUGAUCGUAGCGCUGCGUAGAAUAUUUUGAUAAACUUUUAUAUUUGUUUUACCACUGUUUGGUGUAUUGUUCUAAUUAUAUCUUGUUUGCUUCGUGUAUGAUUGUCUACAUUGGAUUGCGUGUUGUUGAUUGAUGAUUGGGAUUAGACGGUGAGCCGUACGUGCUCAAGAUCAAGCAUUUGAAGACCAGCAGGCUCAGGAGAGCAUUGAUCAAGGCAAGUACAACUUGGGAUCAUCCUUGUUACCUACACACAAUUAAUAUAACAUUUAUCAUAUGCAUGCUAUCACCUUGAUGACCUUAGCAAAAUCAUAGAUGAUUGUUAUCCUGAAUUCCUUGUUACCUAUUUGGAUAUGCAUUUGGGUAGUUCUUGCGAGUGCUUGAUUAUUAAUCCAUGAUCUUGUAACAUGAAUAUUUGAAUAUACAAUAAACAAUAAAAUAAGCUUUUCAGCAACUUGAAUAUAAAGGGUGGAAAGAACUCUAGCUUUUGCUAGAUUGAUCUUGACCCUCCAUAAGGACUUAUCCCUUGGCAAAAGCUGGGACAACUCGUACAACCAUGAGGGCUAUAUGGCUCUGGCUUUAGCUCAGUAUGAAGAACUUUUCUAGCUUGUUAGAGGUUCCCCGAAAGGGCGGAGGGGCUGAACCGACACAGGUAUAGUGCGAGCCCCUGUCCCUAUGUGUAUAGGCUGCGCGUCAUUGUGCCAUUCGGAAGGGGGGUAUCUAUAUCUGCUCGCAAAGGAAACCUUGCGGCCCUAACAUGUUAGACGAACUUUUGAAAGGCUUCAUAGUGAUCCCUGCCGACCUCCCUAGGAACGGGGUUAAGAGACUAGCUAGCUCGGGCGUAAGGGUAAAUCAUGACUCAUGGGUAAAGAUGUACAACCUCUGCAGAGUGUUAAAUCUGGUAUACUAGCCGUGCCCACGGAUAUGGGCGGCCCAGAAAACUGACGGAAUAGAUGGACACUGAUGAACAUGAUUAAUGAUAAUAAAGGAUGGUUUAUUAUGUUGUUUAUAUGUGUUAUUCUUAAUUCUUGUACACAUUGAUCAUGUGGUUAUGGAAUUUAUUAUGCUACCUUGACAUUUGCUAUUCAAUGAUUAAAUAUGCUAUUCACAUAUAAAAGCUAAAUGCAGUCAAACCAGUGUCAGCUUAUUGAGCCUCAUGAACCCCUGGUAAUACUUGUUGAGUACGAUAUGUGCUCACUCUUGCAAUUUCCCAACACCUCAGGAUAUGAUAAUGAAGAUGACUGGAAUGAGGACUAUCGCUAUGAGUACUAGGUUUGGAGUCAACCAGUCAACAGUGUCCCUGUGUGGGGCUUCCGUCGAGAGCGUUGUUUAUUUCAUGCUAUCAUUUUUGUAUGAGACUAUGUGAUAUAUUAUAUUCCGCUAUGUAAUAAACACUGCAAUGGUACAUUUGAGAUUUGUCUACUUAUGUGUGCGACUAUUCCUGGGGCACACAUGAGUCUUUUAUGCAUUCUAUUUUGUUUUUAAAAUUUGGGUGUGACAAUCAACACUUCAGCAAGAUGCUUCAUCCAAUCAAGAAGAUCACCGGAACUUGUCUUCAGAGUUCGAAGCCAUGGCGAACAAAUCGAUCCGUGAGUUCUCAGCUCCCACUACGGACAACAUCCGCACUGGACCUGCUGCACAGAUCGAUGGCAACUUUGAGCUCCAGCAUGGACUUAUCAACAUGGUGCAGUCCAAUUAGUUCUGUGGGAAGGCACACGAAGAUGCUAGUGCUCAUCUACAACACUUCCUGGAGAUUUGUAACACAUUCACCAUAUCAGUAGUUUCCAGAGAUGCUAUACUACUUCGCCUCUUCCCAUUCUCACCGUUAGGAAGAGCGAAGCAGUGGUUCUAUUCUACAAAGGAGAAGAAUACUACGUGGGCACUCUGCUCAACAAACUUCCUGGCUAAGUUCUUUCCCAUGGGCAAGACCAAUGCUCUCCGUGGGAAGAUUACAAGUUUUCAACAACAAAAUGAUGAAUUUGUUCCAGAAGCAUGGGAGCGCUUUCAAGACUACAUCCUAGAAUGUCCCCAUCAUGGAAUGGAGAGUUGGCUACUAAUGCAGACCUUUUAUCAUGGACUCGGCAAUAGUGCCCAAGAAACCAUGGAUGCUGCAGCUGGAGGAGCAUUUUUAUCACUUACUAUAUCACCAGCCAUAGCUCUUGUGGAGAAGAUGGUGUCCAACCAAGGCUGGAAUGAAGAGAGGACCCAGACACGCAAGAGAGGUGGAGGUAUGCAUCAGCUCAAGGAGGUAGACAUGCUGUCUGCAAAGCUAGACCUGCUCAUGAAGAAGCUCGAUGAUAAAGCAAGAGAUAAGAAGGAAGUUAUGCACAUCUACGACUCUCACAUGACUUGUGAGGAGUGUGGAGAUACUGGACACUCAGGCAAUCACUGCCCUGAGAUGCUUGAGGAUGUGAACUACAUCAACAACAACAACUACUACUACAACCGUCCUCAACAAAAUCAAGGAUAGGAAUCAACAGAGGCCUAACUACUCAGGUAAUUAUCAAGGUAACAAUUCUUACAACAAUAAUAAUUAUUUUCCACCUCUGAGAGAGUUAGUGUCUAAUCAAGGAAAGCUAAUGGAUAACCUAUCUAAGAAAUUGGCAUCUAAUGAUAAAAUGCUAGAAAAUAUAAAUAAUAGAAUGGAUAAUUUCUCUACUGCCAUCAAGAAUCAAAUUAGCUUUAAUAAAAUGAUUGAAUCUCAGUUAAAUCAAAUAGCUGCUGCUGUUCCUACUACUAACCCCGGUAUACCAUCACAACCGGAAGGAUUAGAAUCUGCAAAUCUCGUAGACAUGUUUGAUGCAGGUAAUUGGAGUAACCCCGUCACUGAAUUCACUACUGACCUUCUGCCGAUCAAGAGAGGCGAUCCAGGAUGCCCCGUCAUCCUGAUCUCCAUCGGCAUGGUGGACGUCCUAGAAGCACUCUGCGACUUUGGCUCUAGUGUCAACAUUAUACCCAGGAUACUCUAUGAAAAAUUCUUUAUAUAUCCUUUAUUAGUAACAACCAGGUGUUUGCAGUUUGCAGAUCAGAUAAUAAAUUUUCCAAAAGGAAUAUUGAAGAUCCUUUGUGUCCGAGUUGGUACCUUGUACGCCCCAGCAGACUCCGUGGUGAUAGAGACCGGUAAUGAUGAGAGAGCACCCAUCAUCUUAGGGAGGCCAUUCUUAAACACCUCGGGAGCUGUCAUCUACGCUAGUGCUGCCAAGAUCAGUUUCUACAUCAAAGGGAGUAAGGAGAUGUUUUUCUUCAAGAACAAGACUACACAAAUCCCAGAUCAAUCCAGACGUGAAUCAAGGAAGAGGACCAACAGGAGGAACAGGAACAAGCAAGUGUGGAUCGAGUCAGCUAAGAUGGUCGCUGCAGUUCAAGGAGGUCAAGAUCAUCAACUUAAGUCACUAUCUUUGACCAAGAAGGACGACCCAGGAAUGCCAAGCAUCUAUUGCUCCAUUAAUGGAUACAGCUUCUACAAGACGUUUUGCGACACUGGAUCGGGCGUCAACAUAAUGGCCGCAGUCACCUAUCGGCUCUUGUUCGGAACCAUGCCCCUAAAACCAACAUACAUUCAGCUCCAGAUGGCAGAUCAGACGUUUCGAGAAGUUGAAGGAACAGUAACUGAUGUCCCUGUCAAAAUAGACGAUCAUUUUGUCUACACAGACUUUCAGGUUAUUGACAUGGGAGAAGAUGAAUACGAUCCACCCAUCAUCCUUGGAAGACCGUUCCUCAGCACCGUUAAAGCAAUUAUCUACAUUGGAACCGGAGAAGUCCAUAUGCACUUCCCCUCGGAGAAGGUACGCCGUUAUUUUAUUGACCCUAACUAUAUCGUUGAAGAAUCUAAGCAGGUAAGAAAACGACGCAACCGCAACCAGAGGAGGCAAAUCAUCAAGGACGGAUGGGCAGACUACGUAGCAGUUUAAACAGAACUAUCCUGUGGAGACCGAAGCGAAGAGGAGGCACCGCCGAAAUACCGACUACGCGACCCAACGAAUCCCAGGACAAUUGAGAAAACGGAGAGUCCCGUUCGGAGGACUUAAAAACACCGAACGCCUUGCCAAGAGGUACACUUGGUAGUUAUACUUUCCCUUUCAAUUAUUUUGAAUAGUUUGCUUAGUUAAUCAUGUUCGUACUAUCUUAAAAAGAAAAUAAAAAUGUGAAAAACAGUAAGCCCCAUGUGAGUAUACGAGUGGCAUAAAACCCAUAAGUACAUUCACUGUGGUGGCAUAAAAAUAAAAAUAUUUCUUUUCUGCUUUAUAAAAUGAAAAUAUAAAAUAGGGAGUAAUAUUUAUUAAGGAGUCUCAACAUGAUAAAGGCUAGAUAUUUAUGCUAACACUUAAUCAGUUCCACAAGCUUUGUUGUCUAUUUGAGCUCCACAGAAUUUAAAAAUCAAGAAGACUAGCAGACGGAGGACAUUCUAAUCGCUGUCAGAAUGCUGUUGACUUUCAAAUACACCUCUGCCACCUGCUAGCUACAUCAAGAGAAAUUACGUCAAAAUUCAGCUUGGGGGAGAGCACCCCCAUUUAUCCGGAUAAGUAUUUCUAUCUAUCUUUAUACUUAUAUUAUAUUAGAAUAUAAAUAUAUAUAAUUAUGGAAAAACAAAUAAAGAUUUUUUGCUUAUAUAUAUAUCUUUUGCUUAGUGUGUUUAACAAAUAAAUAAAGUGGCUAUGCUAAACUGAAUCUUAAUGAUAAAACUCUAGCAUAGAUAUGAUGAAUAGUUGCUCUGCCUAAUUUUAAAAUUUUGAAGUUCACUCUCAAGUUUAGAUAUAACUGUUAUAAUUUAAAGCUUGCUCUAAAUCUAAACUUGUGGGAUGAAAACUUGAUCUGAAGUCUAAGUUGUUAAGGGAUAUGAUAUGGGAAGGUUGAGCUGCUAUUUAUCUGUUCUUAGAGAUGCUAGAAUUCUGGAGAAUUUCAUCUUUGAAAAUCUUUAAAAUAUUGCAUGAUGAGUUCCUGUAUGAUGAGAGUUUAAAUUCGUAACACAGCCAUAUAUACAUGCUUGCUAGACCUUGAGCCACACAUUUAUUAUUUACGGCUUAUGAGUAUUGAGUGUGGUCACGCUGUGUAGACCCUUAGGAGCUUGUCAUGUGGUUAAAUCAAGAUUUCACUUGCACGUUCACUCAUAUAUGCUACUUCUACUCUGGAAGUACGAUCCACAUAUAUCCACCCAUUCCAUCUCCAGAAUCAUCCAAAAAUAUUCUACUCCUAAUCCGGGAGAGAAUAACCAAAAAUAUUUCUGUUUUUCCUUUGUGAAAUAAAUGCUCAAGUUAUCUUGUUACUACCACUUGCUAUAUUAUCUCAAGAGACGAGUGCUCUGAAAAAAAGAUACGAGGAAAUAAAAAGGUGCAAGUGCCUGGAACCUCGAAAGAAAAGAAAAAGUGAGACGAGAGGUAACAAUGGACAAGUGUCCAACAGUAGAAUUAGGGGUACAAGAUACCCACCUGAGAGGAAAGAAAAAGAAGAGCAUCUCAUUCUCUUCAUAAAGUUUCAAAAAGCAAGAAAGGUAUAUAUCCUCUCAAAAGAGCAAAAGUAGAAUUAGACUUUCACCAUUGCUAUCACCAUCAUCACCGUACACCAUUCAUUCGCCACACAUGCACAUCUUGAUUUGACUUAAUGAUUUGUUUCGUUGGAUCCAUGGUUUGACUAUACAAUACAUGUCUUGUAAGUACGUAUACUUUAUCUCCCACCAAUGAGCUCCAGAUAUUAAAGCCUUAUUAGAGUAGGGUGAGAGAGAAGGCAAUGUCACUAUGCCUUAUACCACAAAUACCAUAUAUACAUUGAGAGAAGGCAUAUACAAUUACUGCCUUGUUAAGGAUCCAGAAAUACCACAAAAGAGAGAUUUGAGAGAAUCAUACAAGGAAUCUCUGAGUUUUAUUUGAAAAUCUGCAAAAACUUCAGAGCUAUAGCUGAUCAAGAAUAAGAGACAUGGCACUUGACUAGACUGUUCUAUCUUUUAAUACUCAAGACAGAAGUGACGGUUACAAGUCCCAUGGUGAAAGGUAAAAUGAAUAAGUUUUAAGUUUUGACAGUUUACUCUAACUCAGAGAUGAGAUCUUAUUUAAAAAGCAUGUGUACCGUCAAUUUUUAAAGAUAUUGCAACAAUUUCUAAUCCAUCGCUGAGUCUAUCGUUGCUCAGGGACGAGCAAGAGGUAAGCUUUGGGAGUUUGUUGACGGUCCUUAAGUAUCAAAUUUAAUUAUCCAAUAAACAAAGAAAAGGAUCCAAAUGAAAUCAACAUCUAGACUUAGGGUUUUAUCUGACAGAAUUCCACGAGUUUUGGUGUUUGUCUAUUUCUGCAGGGGGUUAUCAGGAAAUACGGAAGAAAGGCCCACACGUCGGGAUUACAUAGAGAUAUUAACGUGACGCGCAAUUAUCUUACAUCUAGAAGACUCCAGAAGCCACGGGAAGAAAGCGGAGGCCGAACGGGGCCAGAGGCAGGGCGCCCGCCCUGUUUCCCUGGCGCCCGCCCUCUGUUGGAGUCCAAACAGGACUCUAUUUCGUGGGAGAUCUCCACCGACCUAAAGGAUCAAGGAUAACCGUUCAAUCAAUGUUGGUUUGAUCCAACGGCCCAUAUUAACUUGAAGAGACUAUAAAACCAGACCCCCUGGCCCUUGGAGGAGGGAGCAUCUCAACCCUAAUUCAUUAUUCUCAAGGGAGAAGAAUCCUCUGAUCAAGAUUAGAGCCACCACAUCAAUUAGAUAUCUAGAUUAGCAUAGCUACAUAGGAUUAGAGUUAGAAGGAGUCAAUCUUCGAUUGGUUUCCGGAUCUGUCAAGAGGAUUCUUGGUAAUUCUCUAACUGUGCUUUUAAUUGUUCUUCUAAUUAUCUUUGUUCAUCAAUAUUAUGAAUAUGACUUUAUUCUACUUCAAUAUAUUGCUUAUGACUUUGCUCUACUUGCUUAUAUUUAAGAUUAUAUUGUUCUUAGUUUAUCAUAGUUAUGUACUUGGCUUAGUUAGAUUGGAUCUAUAUACAUGCUUAGGAUCGUAUAGCGUUUAUCCAUCGGAUCUAUGGGUAAAUGAUAGAUAUUGUGUAGGCGUGGUGCUUAUACCGUAUUUAUCUGCGAUUGUACCCAAUAUGCCUGAUCGUGGGGUAGUUCGUGAUAGUGACAUCUUCAUUGAUUCUUAUAUAGUCUCCCUCUCGUGUAUUGGGCUGGCAGAGCAAUAUUAUUACAGGGGAGUGAUUGCUAUGUUUCUCAUUUACCUUGCUAAUAUCACUAUGCAUGGGCGUAGUCUUGUCUCGCAAUGAUUGCUAAGUAUGCUUGCACUAAUUAUGAUAAUGAUAGACUAUAUAGUUGAGGAUAACUUAGGAAAUAUUCUUGUAGUUCGUUCUAAUACCAUGCUAAUGACUUUCUAGAGUAUCUAAUUGAGGUGCUUAUCAUAUCUAUAUGUGGCUGAUCAGAUUAAUUAUCUUUGUCACUAUUCAUUAUUUCAUAUAUCCUUUAUGUGACACUUAUCUCUGUUUGAAAGAGUUAGAUACAAUGUUCUCAAUUAUACAUGCAAUGAUAGAUACUCAAUCUCAUAUUCUAUUCUGUAAUCAAUAUUGAUGAUUGUUAAUCCCUUUCCAGUGGUAAAAAUAUAAAUAACGAUACCUGGAAUACUUUCCGGUUAAAAUGCUACAUCGGUAUUAAUCUGUGCGCUUGCAGAUCUCAUUCAUUAUUUAUUUAGAAGAGCAAUUGCAUAUUUCAAUACCGUGUCUCUUAUGUCAUGCUGGGGAUGACAACUUGGCUUAAGUGGUGUGAGGGAUAGAUUUGACAUUUUUGACACUGUUACUAGAAUUAGAGAACUAAGUCUACUUUUUAGUAAUGAUGUUAAGAAUACCUGCAUCCUCGUUUCUUCUUCUCCGCCGCUGCUAGCCCUAGCUUCGCCUUGUGCAGCCAUGUUUGGACGUCCUGGAGUAGAGUACGUCCGCCGCCGCUACUGCUGACGCUGUCCUUUUUAGCACUGUUCGUGACCCAUUGCUGAGUUCCACGUAGAGGUGAAGAAGCUGCACAAUCUUUUUUUUCUUUUUCUUUUCUCUGUUGUUUUCCAUUGUUCAGUCGCCGCAACUUUUGCCGUUGUUUGCUCCUCCGAUCCGCCGGUGCCUUUAGCCUCUGCCGGUCUCCCAAGCAAGGGAAGCCGUCAUCCGUGCCCAGAAGCACCAUGCCGUGGACGAGCUCUCCUAUAGUCUCCGGUAAACAUCUAGGUGAGUUCAUCAAGAGUUUCUCUAUGUUUCCAAAACCUUUCCAUCCAAACCCGAAUCAUAUAAGCCGUUCUCAUCAAACGCCGAUGAGCUCCUGGUCACCAGACAAUGGAGUCUGUCCAUACGUGUGCUCUGCUCAUUGCUAGCUUGAUGAUGUCAUGGUGACCAAAAGAUGACAUCACAAGAUUUUGUGGCCGUUUUUCUUUAUUACAAAAAUAAAUAUAGAAAUACAUAGAAAAUACACUAGUUUGUAUAGUCAAUAUUUUCUCCGUUUUAACUCCGAUUUGACCCAUUCAAAUUGCGUUGGAUUCGUAAUAAUAAGCUCUACAUGACAGUCUCACUUUUUCACUAAUUUGAAACUUUUUAUUUUCGUGACCCUAAUUAAUUAAUUACUUUUCUAUAUAAAAUCUUGGAAAAUUCAUAUCUUCUACGUUUUAGCUCCGAUUUUCGUGAACUUUACGUCUGUGAGAUCGUAGCACUGCGUAGAAUCUUUUUAUAAACUUUUCAUAUUGUUUUUGUAUGAUUGGUGUAUAGUUCUAAUUGUAGCUUUGUUUGCUUCGUGUAUGUUUUCUCCGAUUGUUUGUGUGAUCGAUGAUCAAGAUUAGACAAUGAGCAAUCCAUGGUGAACCAGAGUGCCUUGGACAAUUAGUAAGACCAGCAAGAUCAGCAAAAGCAUUUGGAUCAAGGCAAUUAUGGUAAUUUGGAUUUUAUUUCUGUGACCAUGAUCCAGUGGCUAGAUUAAUGUUAAGUAAUAAAUGAUAAAAAUGACUUUUUAGCAACUUAAUGAUUUGUCCGUACGUGAUCACCCGGGACAACAGUGCAACCAUGAGGGCUAUAAUGGCUCUGGCUUUAGUUAAGUUUGAGUAACUUUUCUAGCUCGUUAGCGGUUACCCGUUGUGGCGCAAUUGGGGAAUAGCAGACUGUGGAUUCCUGCAGGUGAAUCACACGGACUUAUUAGACUAACCUUUGAAAGACUUCAUAGUGAUCCCUGCCGACCUCCCUUGAGGGGGUUAAGAGAUUAGCUACCUCGGGCGAAAGGGUAAAUCAUGACUCAUGGGUAAAGAUGUGCAACCUCUGCAGAGGGUUAAAAACUAGUAUACUAGCCGAGCUCACGGUCAGGAGCGGCCUUGGGGACAUCUACAUUAAGGGUGAUGAUUCUUGUGUGUUAAAUAUGCUCAUUGUUUAUUGUUUAGUGCUUUACAUUAUUUAUGUCACAUUGAUCAUGAGAUUGUGGGAGCUAUACAAUCUAGUAGCUAUACUUGUGGAGUUCGACAUGGACUCACCCUUGCUAUUUCCCUCAAACCUCAGGAGAAGUUUAGGCUUGUGAUCAACCAGUCAGUUAGAUCCUGUAGAGUGAAGUUAAUACCUGAAGUUGGAGUCAUCUUCCGUUGUUUGCUGCCUAAGGUUAUCUCUUUUAUACUAAGUACGUUAUAUAUUUUUGCAUUGUCUUUUGAUAUUACCCCUUAUUUGUAGCUAUAUGUGAGAUUUGAUUUCUAAAACUCACAUAUGGUGCAUAUCUGGUUUUGUCCUUAAAAUCGGGUAUUACAAAGUGGUAUCAAAGCAAUGCUGGCUGUAGGACGCAAGCCUAGAUAGAAAUUGGUCGUCUUAAGGUUUUGGAAUUGUCAUGAAAUCCUUGCUCUAUAAACCUUGGUAUUUUCAUCCAUACUAUAUCUCUAUCCUUGCUAUUUGUCUCUACCUUGUUGCUUAUUUUAAAAAUCCUUGUUCUCACCUUCACUCUUUGCUUGAUAUGCUUUUGGAAUCUUGUCUUACCACCUGCUUACAUAGUUGAAAGAGAAUCUUAGGAUCCUUACCCUUAAUAUGAAGAGAACGAUAGUAUCGCAAGUUGAGUGAAGUGUGCUUAUUUGGUUUGUCAUUAUGCUUAUGCUUGAUUUGGAUCUUUGUAAUGAUUGCAAUGAUCUUGUGGGAUUUCCUCACAAUUUCAUAAGUUCAUAGGCCUAAGGCAUAAGGAUUAAUGACAUAAGUAGUUGGGUUUGGUUAUAUCCUGUUUCUAUCCCUUGCUGAGUUCUGGAGCAGUCUACAAUAAUUCUGGUGUAUCUCAAGUUCUGAUUGUGCAACGUUUAUCAAAGUUUUCUGGGAACAAAUAGACUUCAAUAUCUUUCUCAGACCGUAAGAAUAACCCUCAUAGCUAUUAUGGUUUGGAAGUUACAACAAUCACAAGAUGAUACAACUGUGCUGUCAAAAACCUGGACAGUUCUGGUUGCAUACUGUUUGAGACAAAUAUAGCUACAGAAUUUGGGAAAGUGUUCUAUAGAAAAGUUGUAGACAAUUUUCUAAGCUUUCCAACAGUAUAAGCUGGAACUUAUUUGUAUAAGUAUAGCCUGAGAUAUAACAUUUACACUUGGAUGUUUCUGUUGUGUUUCAAAAUCUGGACAGAUCUGGCAUUUCCUAUUUUCAGCCAAGUUAAAGACAUAAUCUGGGAAAAAGUUGUAUACCAAAGUUGUAUAGGAUUUUCUAAGCUUUUCAAAUAAGUAAUGAUCAUCUCCAUAUGAGUUAAGUAGCUUGAGACAUAACUUCUGGAAGCUACUGCACCUUUGCUGAUACAUUUUCAGGAUGGAUAUUACGUUUGGCUGUUUUACCUAAGCUUAAAGACAGAACCUAAGGAGGUCUUCUACAUAAAAGUGGUAGAGAAUUUCAUAAGUUCCUUUAACUGUAUAAGCUACAACUCUAUUGGAUUCACAGAAUAAGAGUUAUGUCUAUUUUACUACGCUGAUGUUUUUCAUAUCACGAGAAAAUUUCAGGAAUCCAUUUGUUCUCUUGCACAAAAGUUCUUUGGGAUGUCAGAUGUACUCAAUGUUAGUUAACUUGUCUGGAAAACAUGCAAGCUACCUUUCAUGGUCCCCUAGUUGGCUUUUCUUAAGGGGGGUAGCCCAAUUAAAGAGGUUACAAGAAGAAGAAGUGGUUAAGGACUGGAACAUUUAUAAGUACAUCAUGUGCUUGGUAUUUUGGUUCGUUUCAAUAUAUCAUUCUAUUUGGAGUGUGCUAGUACCAAUGGUGGUUUAUGUCAUUACUGAUACUCAUGGACUAAGGGUUGCGUACGAGGAUCAGAUGACACCAAAGUUUACAAAGCUAUAUGUACAAUGUGAGAGUGAAGCAACUUAACCGUGAUAAAGGUACCGCUAAUUGGAACUUAGUGAUGAAACUAACCUUGGAUCAAGAGACUCGGUACAGCGAAUUUAAAAGACUAUAUGAUGUGUAGCAUCUAAAAAGGGUAGGAGAAGUAGUCCCUAGUAUUCCCCAAUCAAUCUCGUCUUAAGGGGGUAGUACCCUGAUAUCAGUGGGUGAUGCAUUUUAAAACUAGCUUGAAGUGAUAAUUGUCUUCUGAGAUAUUCUAUGGUUAUGAUCAUCUAUCCUUACCGUGUUACUGACGUUGGUCACUUGAUGACAGGGAGUGUAGUGUCCCAUGAAUCCGGAGCACAAUAUGAUACCUCUCAUGGAUAGGUGGGAAGAUUAUGAUCAUCUUGCCUUUGAAGAAAGAUGCUAUGAGUAUGUCAAAGUUGAGUGUUAUCAAAAUAAUAAUAUGGAAGAGCAAGUUGACAAUGAAACAAACCAAAAUCCACAACGACGGAAGCGUAAAAGGAAAGCUUGUAAGAAGCCUGCUCUCGGAAAUAAAGUACAGCGAAAUUAUAUCAAUGGAAGACUGAACAAUGUGGAUAGGCAUAACAUUCAAGGAGCCACCAAAGUGGUGGGAGGCUAUACUCAAGUGGACUCAGUGCUAGUUUUUGCUCCGUUUGACCGAAGUGCUUCACAUUCUUUCAUAUCCGCCAACCUGGUAAAGACAAUCGAACGGGUGAAGUGUCCGACGAGAAAGCCUUUGUUAGUUCAAACCCCAAUGGGAGAAAUACAGGCAGAUCAGGUUUGCUCAAAUAUCAAUCUUGUCAUAGAGAAGGAAAACUUCACUGUAAACCGCAUUGUGCUAGAGUCACUCAAAAUUCCUUUGGUUCUUGGCAAUGGAUGGUUAUGUGCACUCAAGGCAGUGAUCUAUGCUACCCAGUGGAAAAUUUUCUUAACCGCACCAUCAGGGAAAAGAAUUGAGUAUCAAGGUGGUCCACUUUUACCUGAGGAGGCAUAUCCAUGCUAAGCUACCAUGUCCUUGAGUUGUAUAAGUCAAAAAGUUGGUAGUCAAGAUGGAUUUUAAUCAGCUAUGAAUAAUAGACAUUUUAUGGAAGUUUUGUUCACAAGUUGUAAUCCCGAGACAUAAGUGUUUACAUUGGAAUACAAGUUGUGAAGUUGAAAUAGGUAUCAAGAUCUUGUUCUUGUUUUCUCUUUUGGAAUCCGUGUCUCAUCCGAAUCUCGAGGACGAGAUUCAUUUAGGGGGGUAGAUUUGUAACACCCAAAAAAAUUUGCUCUUUUUAAAAUAGGAGAAUUUGAUUUAAUUGUGUAUUUUUGUGCUCAUGAAAAUAUAGGAAAAAUAAUAUUUAAAAAAAAAAUUAUAUAAGGCUUAACAACAUUGUUGGUGCAUUCAUGGUGUUGCAAUUGUUUUAUUAUUGUGUGUUGUUUUGAACUAAAACUAAACCGAUUUAAAAAUUCAAUUUAAAAUUGACUUUAAAAAAAAAAUAGAAUUUCUUCCUCUCUCUUGUGGCCAGGAGGAAAGCCCAGCAAGCCCACGCAGGUGCCCCUUCGUUUCUCACGCCUUGGAGCACGAUUUGGUCAUUGGAAAUCCAACGCGUCCAAUUCCGAUUCUUUCGGAUCGUAUGCUGAGCCGCCCUAUAAGAAUCCGGAGACCCUGUGCAUUCUCGUUUCUUCUUCUCCGCCGCUGCUAGCCUUAGCUUCGCCUUGUGCAGCCAUGUUUGGACGUCCUGGAGUAGAGUACGUCUGCCGCCGCCACUGCUGACGCUGUCCUUUUUAGCACUGUUCGUGACCCAUUGCUGAGUUCCACGUAGAGGUGAAGAAGCUGCACAAUCGUUUUUUUCUUUUCCUUUUCUCUGUUGUUUUCCAUUGUUCAGUCGCCGCAACUUUUGCCGUUGUUUGCUCCUCCGAUCCGCCGGUGCCUUUAGCCUCUGCCGGUCUGCCAAGCAAGGGAAGCCGUCAUCCAUGCCAAGAAGCACCAUGCCGUGGACGAGCUCUCCUAUAGUUUCCAUAAACUUUCCAUCCAAACCCGAGUCAUAUAAGCCGUUCUCAUCAAACGCCGAUGAGCUCUUGGUCACCAGGCAAUGGAGUCUCUCCAUACGUGUGCUCUGCUCAUUGCUAGCUUGAUGAUGUCAUGGUGACCAAAAGAUGACAUCACAAGAUUUUGUGGCCGUUUUUCUUUAUUAAAAAAUAAAUCUAGAAAUACAUAGAAAAUACACUAGUUUGUAUAGGCCAUAUUUUAUCCGUUUUAACUCCGAUUUGACCCAUUCAAAUUGCGUUGGAUUCGUAAUAAUAAGCUCUACAUGACAGUCUCACUUUUUCACUAAUUUGAAACUUUUUAUUUUCGUGACCCUAAUUAAUUAAUUACUUUUCUAUAUAAAAUCUUGAAAAAUUCAUAUCUUCUACGUUUUAGCUCCGAUUUUCGUGAACUUUACGUCUGUGAGAUCGUAGCACUGCGUAGAAUCUUUUUAUAAACUUUUCAUAUUGUUUUUGUAUGAUUGGUGUACUGUUCUAAUUGUAGCUUUGUUUGCUUUGUGUAUGUUUUCUUCAAUUGUUUGUGUGAUCGAUGAUCAAGAUUAGACGAUGAGCAAUCCUUGGUGAACCAGAGUGCUUCAGUGACUAAGAUCAGAGCCUUGGACAAUUAGUAAGACCAGCAAGAUCAGCAAGAGCAUUUGGAUCAAGGCAAGUAUAGUAAUUUGGAUUUUAUUUCUGUGACCAUGAUCCUGUGACUAGAUUAAUGUUAAGUAAUAAAUGAUAAAAAUGACUUUUUAGCAACUUGAUGAUUUGUCUGUACGUGAUCACCCGGGACAACAAUGCAACCAUGAGGACUAUAAUGGCUCUGGCUUUAGUUAAGUAUGAGUAACUUUUCUAGCUCGUUAGCGGUUACCAGUUGUGGCGCAAUUGGGGAAUAGCAGACCGUGGAUUACUACAGCUGAAUCACACGGAUUGACUAAUGAAACCAAGCGGCCCUAACUUGUUAGACAAACCUUUGAAAGACUUCAUAGUGAUCCCUGCCGACCUCCCUUGGAAGGGGGUUAAGAGAUUAGCUACCUCGGGCGAAAGGGUAAAUCAUGACUCAUGGGUAAAGAUGUGCAACCUCUGCAGAGGGUUAAAAACUAGUAUACUAGCCGAGCUCACGGUCAGGAGCGGCCUUGGGGACAUCUACAUUAAGGGUGAUGAUUCUUGUGUGUUAAAUAUGCUCAUUGUUUAUUCUUUAGUGCUUUACAUUAUUUAUGUCACAUUGAUCAUGAGAUUGUGGGAGCUAUACAAUCUAGUUGCUAUACUUGUGGAGUUCGACAUGGACUCACCCUUGCUAUUUCCCUCAAACCUCAGGAGAAGUUUAGGCUUGUGAUCAACCAGUCAGUUGGAUCCUGUAGAGUGAAGUUAAUACACAAAGUUGGAGUUAUCUUCCGUUGUUUGCUGCCUAAGGUUAUCUCUUUUAUACUAAGUACGUUAUAUACUUUUGCAUUGUCUUUUGAUAUUACCCCUUAUUUGUAGCUAUAUGUGAGAUUUGAUUUCUAAAACUCACAUAUGGUGCAUAUCUGGUUUUGUCCUUAAAAUCGGGUAUUACACUUAUUUUCCCUACUAAGGCCCUUAAAAAAGUGAAAUAGAAGAACUUGUUCUGGAAUACAAAGUUUUGGGCCAGUGAGAGUAAGGUCAAUAAAGUGGUCCCAUGAUUCGCCAAGAGAUUCUUCUUCUAGCUGUCUAAAAGAAAUAAUCUCACACCAAAGUUCCGCCACUCUAGAGAUUGGAAAAUAUUUUAAAAUAAAACUAUUAUGUAACUCCUUCCAAUCUCCAUGAACACUCCCUACUUUGAGUUUAUACCAAUGUCUAGCUUUUCAUAUUAAAGAGAAUGGAAAGAACUUCCAUUUAAGGGUCUCAUCGGACAUGCCUUCUAUGUGAAGGAGGUCACAGACUCGAUAAAACUCUCUUAGGUGUGUGUAUGGGUUUUCCUCACCUUCUCCUGAGAAAGGUUGUUUUUGAACAAAUUCUAUGUAUUCGGGGUCUAUCUCAAAACUAGAUGCUAUGAUAGGUUUUGAAGAUUUUGGUGGUUCGAGAUGUGUGCCCGUAGGUCUAUGAAAUUGAUAGAUAGACAUGUUUGCAUUCAUGAUAGACUAGAAAUCAAGGAUUAGAUAAGAAGAAAGAAUAGCAGAGAUGAGGAAAAGGAUAAAAGGAAAAAUAUAUUUUUUUAUUAUUUUUUUAGAAAAUGAUUAAGCUAGUUCGUAGUCAACUCAGCAACCGUCUUCCUGGCAACGGCGCCAAAAAUGCUUGUUGACACUUGCGAACACCACUUGAAUACUAGGUUGUCAUCCCCAGCAUGGCACUAGAGUGUACUAUGGUAUUUAUACGCACACAGAUAAAUCCGCAAGCGCACGGAUACCGUUAUAGCUUUUACCCAGUUAAAGGUUUUAUCGUAUCCACAGGGAAACGGGAGAACCAACUACGCUCUAACUUAACCAAGAUAAAUAGAUAAGUGUAAAUAGGAAAGAUGGUAGAAUUGAAUAAGAACAAUAUUAAAGGUAAGAUAACAAUGGGUGAUAAUAUGGGAAUAGAGAGUAGAGCAAUCUAGUAUAUGGGUGAUGGUAGCAGAAUAGAGAGGAUAACUAUGGUUUCUCUACUUCAAAGGGGUAUGUCUAUGUCUGGGACGAACCAUGCGAUAAGAAUAUACCACAAAGGAUGCUUAUCCAUAGGCCGAUAAACCCUACCCGUCCUGCUAACAGGAGGUGGACUACAGGGGACCAACGUAACUGUCACCUACGUGGCUUACCACACGAUCUAGCUAGACAGGGGAUAUCCACAAGUAAUCUAGGUCUAAGCACCUCGCUUACACCUAUACUACAACUCUAACCUAUAAGGUCCUAUAGAUUAGAAGUACUCAAAAGAGUUGUGAACCAGAACAUACAUGAUUAGUAAUUGCAUAAUGAAUUAGAAGUAGAUUACCAGAGUCAUCCCAUGAGCAAGCUUGAUUAGAGCUUGAUCAUGGGGAAGUACAACUGGAGGAAGAACCGACAGGCCGGCCUCUCCUCCAAUCCUCCCCCGCUCUCCAUCUCGCUACUAUCUAGAUCUACUCUAGUUUAGAGAUGAGAGGAGAGCUCUCAUCUCCAAAUCCUAGCUUUUGCUCUGUCUAAUAAUAAUGAAUAGGGAUCAAGGGGUGCCUUCUCCAAGGGCCAGAGGGUCUGCUUAUAUAGUCCUCUCAAGUGAAUCUGGCCAUCGGAUCAAACCGACAUUGAUUGAACGGUUAUUCUUGAUCCUUUAGGUCGGUGGAGCAUAAUCCCCGAAGAGAGUCCUGAUUGGACUUUGUAGCUGGGUGGGCGCCCAAGGGGGGAGGGCGGGCGCCCUAACCCCGAGCCCGCUCGGCUUCCCGUUCGUUCCCAUGGGUUCUGGAGUCUUCUAGAUGAUAGAAAAUUGCGCGGCAUGUUAAUAUCUCUAUGUAAACCCGACGUGUGGGCCUUUCCUCCAUAUUUCCUGAUAACCCCCUACAGAAAUAGACAAACACCAAAACUCGUGGAAUUUUGUCACAUAAAACCCUAAGUCUGGGUGCUGGUUGCAUUUGGAUCCUGUUCUUUAUUUAUUUGAUAGUUAAAUUUGACACUUAAGGACCGUCAACAGUGACCUCUUGACCUCUUUUGCUUAGGCUUUUAAAAAGUGCUUCACAAAAUGUUUGCAUGUCAAAAUUCUCUAAACCAAAGUUGUAGCAAAUUUUGUAAGGAACUAAAAUUGUUUUAGGGCCAUCUCAUGAAAAAAUGAUCACAACAUGCUCAAAAAGGGCUCACAAGUCGAUUUGGGUGUUGUUUGGACACUUAGAAAAUUUUCUAAGUCUUCUACUCGACAUAGUUUGCUCGAAGGAACUUUGGAGCUUUGCAUCUUUUCAUCUAGGCUGAUUUGGCUCUUGCUCCAAUUGACAAAGUUAUAGAUCUCGUUUAGUUACUCAAGUUUGUCAACUGCACCAUCUCCUAAUUCGCAAUGAUUUCGGAGUCAAUCAUCGUUGAAAUAGCUAUGUGAGUCGGUGUUCGAAGCCCUGAUGGCAUUCUUUAGGCACGCGUGUUGGCCGACCGUAGCAGACUCCGGCUGCCAUCUGGCCACCGUACGCUGUCAUUGGCCCCACCGGUCAUGUCGUUUGUGCCUUCAUGGCUACCACGCCACCCCACACUCGCCCAGCACCUCUCCCAGUCGCUCUGCUCUCUCUCUCUCUCACGCGCUCCCUGACGGUAGCGACGCCAUCGCCAUUGACGCCGAGCGUCUCAUGAGCUCCACGCGCCCUCAUCUUCACGCCGUGCCUCCUCUCCGAGCGUUAGCGAGUCCGCCACGAGCUCCUUCAUCUUCUCCAUCUCUCGGUUGCUCAAGAUCGACCCAAGGUAACCUACAUUUCUCGAGUUCGCCGUUGUCAAAUUCACGGCCGCCGCGACCCCUACUCCGGCAAACCUCGGCGCUCCCCUAUCCUUACCCUCUUCCUUCUUUCCAAGUCGCAUUAGGGCUUACUUAGGUCCGCGUCUUACCCUACGUCACAUCCUAUAGCUAAUGGUGACGCCACCGAGCGGAAACACGACCACCGUGCCACCGCGCUCACCGCCGGCGACCACCCCGCACGUCGGUAGGCUCACCGGAGCCCAUAGAGUUAGGCCUUUCCACCUAGGAAGCUCCGCGCUAACUCGCUAAUGUUGUAGCUGCCUCAUUCUGAUGCUCUACCAACCAGAGACGGUCGGUGUAAGCCGGGAUAGCCCCGCUGUGCUGCCAUGACCGAUGGUGACCUUGCUCUGUUACUCCAGCUCUCGCACCACCUGCUUCUAUCGACGCGGAAGGACUCAGGGAACACCCUGGUGCCCUUGGAUCCACCGGAAAAGCUCACCGUCAGCGAUCGUUUGCCGGCGAGCGUGUCCUCUGGCUUCUGUGUCACUGACACGCGGACCCCGCUGUCAGCGACCCCGUUUCCCUCCUUCCCAUUUAUUCAAAUUUCUAGAUUUUGCUCAAUCUUGCAAAAUUCAUAUCUCCUGUUUCUGAGCUCCAAAAUGUGUGAAACUAAUUUUGUGAUCUUCUCUGAGACGGAUAGUUUUUAUUAAAAUUAUAAAAUGUGCCAUGUUUUCUGUGAAAAAUAAUUAUUAUGAAUUAAUCUUGAUUAGUCAAAGUAAAUUCAUACCUUUCUGUGUAAGGCUCCAAAUGUGAUGAAAAUUUUAUGGAAGGCUUUGUAUGUUAGUAGUAUGCUCUGGUAAUUAUUUUAUAAUUUUUGGAUGUUGUAUGACUGGUAUGUAAUUUAUACUUGCUUGAUUGCUUAAAUCCUUGUAUAAAUCACUAUAAAUAAUGCAUGCUUGUGCUGGUGUUCUACUUUGGCAUGGUUGGUGUUCAUGAUAGUAGAAUCAUAAAGAUAAUCUGAAAUCUGUUGUUUGACACUGUUUAACCUAAGUUUCCAAAUUUAUGGUUAAAAGCACCUUGUCAAAUGAUAAUUAUAUAUCUAAAGUUCAGCAUAUGCAAUUGCCCUGAAACUUUUAUGGUGAUGAGUAGGUGCCAUGCAUAUGCUUCUGUAAUUGUUGUUGAGUUUUCUGAGUACUUAUGCAUAUGUUCCUUAAUUAUCCUCUUUUAUGGAAAUAUAUUAAUAAAUGCUAUAUAAAUAAUGGUUUGGUAAGUAACAUAUGGUUUUCUGUUAAUCUUGUAUCAUAUGUCUUCUGGUGAGUCACUUGGUUGACUCUAAAUAUACUUUUCCAUGUUAGUAAAUAAUUAAUUUAAGGUUAAUUAACCUUUCUGGACAUCAAAGGAGUAAUCUGGUAAUUGCUUGAUGCUAAGCAUGUUUUCUGGGGAACAUGUCUAUACAAAAGUUGUUGUAAACUUUAUGCUCUAUCUGUGGUUAAAUUUUGGUAGCAUUUGGCCAAGUGGCUUAAAAGUUAUAGCUGUUCUAAGUCAGGUUCCAGAAGAGGGUGUUCUCUGUUUGUCUCGAACAGAACCUGGAACUUUUUUUAUUUGACCUGUUUAACUUGUGAAUCAUGCUUACGUGUCUAAAGAUGAAAUGUAGAUAAUUUUAUAAGCUUUUCAUAAUGUCUUAAUUCAUGUUUGUAGGAUCUGUACAUCUCUAGUUAUGGUCUGUUCUCUGUGCUGCCUUACUGAGUAUAAAGUGAUGUUGGUUGGUGUAGCUAGUGUUUAUCUUUGUUAAGUCUUGUGGUGUUCUUAGGUAACCUUGUUGAGGAGUUUACUCUGUAAAUGAGUGUCUAGUGAGGGUCUAUGAUAGUAAUCAUGUGAUGCAUCCAUCAUUCCCUUGUAUGUACACAUCCUUUACUCAGUGCACGUACAUGCAAUAGGUGCAUCGAAAGUCGGAGCUUAGUACGAGAUCGAGAGGGUGAACCCGGAAGACCAGGAGAACACCCAGGACCCGGAGGCCCAGCCAGUAGGACCCAAGGAGCAUGAAGAAGAAGUCAAGUGUCCGAGUCACGAGCCCACAUCGUUCGUGAUAGGCAAGCCCCGGAGCAUUAUAAGUCUCCUAUUUAUUUUACCAAGCAUGAGUAAAUAUGUUAAUAUCUAUUGCUGCAUUACGUAUAGAAGUUGUAUUAAACCCUUGCUGCAUUAUAUCUUUCCUUGUCUAGAUAUCUUAACUUACCCUGGUAUAGAGUCAGGAUCGAGUAGUAGCUAAGGCAUGCUUAAACCGGUAGAAGCUGGGUGAUGUCCUGACACCUACGAGCUAUAGGGUCUGAUAAUACAUCACGAUUGGCUAUAUUUGCUAUCAUGGAAAAGAACCUAGCUAAAAUGACUUAGGCCAGGCGGAGUUUUGCAAGGUGGUAGUAACUCCAUCUAUGGCAGCUAAGGACCGAUCGUUGUAUGUCCUCUUGUCAUGUUGAACGCAUGCCUGACACUUAGUUGGCCGGAUAACUCGUUCCGACCAUGAAGCCUAGUAGUAUGACUCAGGCUGAGGCCGGAAGACCGGCAAGUAUAAAGUGCGCACUACCGGAGGAAGUGUGAUGUGCGGCGGGGCAUUGGCGUAAGACCAAGGGUGUAACACUCCUAGUGUUAGCUUGCAUGUUAACCAUGAGCAUUGCAUUAGCAUAAGCAUCAUCAUGAUCACUCAUGAGCAUCAUACCAUGAUCACAUGCCAUUUGCUUUAUGCACUACAUGAUUAAAUUGCAUGUGUGACUUGAAUUGGGUGACUAUAAGGGGUAGCCAAUGCAAACAAUUGUACAUUGUCUUCCAAAAUACCUCAAUCAUGUUUAGAAUAUCAUUUGGAACAAUGUUCAUGUUGAAGGUUUUGGCCAAAAAUGCCCCUAAGUCAUGGUUAACCCUAGAAUGACCUUUUUGACCCUCCUAGACCUCUUUUCAAAGUUGUUUUAUGAAACUGGUGUUAGAAUCUUGCAUGUCUUUGACACCUGAAACAAAGUUGUAGAGCAUUUCAUAAGCUACAAAAGUUAUGUAGAUGACUUUUUAUGAAAAAGCUUAGAACACAUCCAAAAAUUGCUCACAAGCCAAAAAUCAGGGCUGAUUUCACACUUAGCCGAAUUUGGCUAAGUGUUGGAUCACGCAGUUUCGACCAAGGGUGAUUGGGAUUCUUGUAGUUUGAAAUUCAGACUGAGUUAGACCUUGAUCUUGUAAUCAAAGUUGUAGAACUCGUGUAGCUCUGUCCAGAGGAUCAAAUCCCAGCCAAAACCAUCGAUUGAGCUGAGAGUAAAACGUUGACAAAGUUCGAGUUUCAGUCACUGUUGGCGACGACUGAAUCGCGUGAUUCAGUUUCGUCAGAAACCGUCCGCCACCGCGUGUCCGGCCAGGUGUCGGCCGUACGCCAUCGACGACCCCGCCUGUCAGCUCCCACGGCGUCCCUAAGUUGACACGCACCGAGUGGACGCCUCAGACACGCUCUCCACUCGCUCAGCGCUGCACAUUUCGCUUCGUCGUCGCCUCAGGAAGCUCCGCCGCGCUUCGGCGAGCUCCUCCGGUCGUUCCACCGCGUCUCCGGCCAAGCCACUCCGCCCAGAGCUCCGCCUUGACGUCCUCUACCUCGACGUCCACUCCAUUCCCUUAGCCGAGCACCGGUGAGGUCACAUUGUCAUCUCCGUCGCGAGCUCCACCUCGCCGGAGUUCACAGAGAUCACCGGCAACGUGGCCAGACCUCUCUGGUUCACAUCUGGCCGUGAUUCUUCUUCCUAUAGCUUCGCCUUGAGCCGCUCUUGCUCGUCCGCAACCUCUACUGCGUCGCCAUUGCCUGGAUCCGCCGGCGUAUCGCCGCGCAGUGCCGCCGCUUCGCCAUUCCCGUCGGCGAGCACCCUAGAGUCCAGUAGAGCGCGCGUAAAGUAGGUCAACAGAGUCGCCUUGAGGAGAGGAACACGUAGGUGCCCUUGGAUCCGGCCGAGACCUCGUCGUCGUUGAGCUUCGCCGGCGACGAGCAUCUCCCCUGCCUCUGUCUCACUGACACGCGGGUCCCGGAUGUCAGCCUCUCUGUGUCACCCUCUCUGGUUCACUAUUGUGCAGAGCUAAAGCUGUUUUUGUAAAAUUCAUAUAUGGCGUUUUAGAGAUCCAAAUGUGGUGCUUCCAAUUUUGCUAGGUUCCAGCUUAAUCCUAGUUUUUAAUAAAAUAUGAAACAUGCUAUGUUUUUGCAGAAAUAAAUAGAUAUAAAUUAAUCUUGGAUUUUUAGUGGGUAAUUUUAUCUUGAGAUCUAUUGAUCUGCUGGCCAUGCAAAUUUAGGGAGUUGUUACUUAUGUUAUGAAUAGGCUCUGAUAAUUGUUUCAUGAUUUUUGGAAGCCUAGUUAAGAAGUUAAAAAUAAAUAUUGCUUAAAUAGGAGUUUCUUGUGAUAUUUUUAGUAAUUAAGUUAUAACUCCUUUUGUGAUGAAACUUGCUGAGUGUUGCACUUAUGUGUGGGCAAAGAUAGGAAAAAUCUGAAAUCUGUUGUUUGACACUUUUUGAUAGGGUUUCACAUUUAUGCCUUGCAUGCCUUUACUAGCUUGUUAUUUUUAUACCUCACAAUGUGUAUGUGCAAAUGAUCUGAAAAUUUUACAGUGAUCUUAUGUUAGCAUAAUUAGCUUGCUGUAAUUUUCUUAGGAUUUUUGGAACACUUGAAGUAUAUGUUCAUUAAAUCAUCUUAAUAAUUAAAUAAAUAGAAAAGGUGAUGAUAGAAAUAGUUUUAGACCUUGCCAUGGUGUUUUCUGGUGUUCCUUAGAUAUGUUAUAUCUGUUGGUGCAAUUGGUUUAUCCCUGUGGUACAUUCUCAAUAUAUGCAAAAUAUUAUUUUAGCUAUUAUUGCCUUUCCUAGAGCAUUUCUGUACAGCUGAUAGCAAAUGAUUAAGAACUACUUGAAGAUUGUGUUUUCUGGGAAACUUGUCUACAACAAACUUGUAGCUAACUUACUGAUCCUUUUCGUGUCCAAAUUUCAUGACAAUUGGUUGAGUAAUUUAAAAGUUAUGCAUAUUUCAAGUAGCUGCUGCAAAGUGCUUGCUCUCUGGAAUUUCCAGAGCAGCCAGCCAACUUUGUAUGUUUUAGCAUAUUUCGGUUGGGAAUCAUACUGAGAUGUCUAAAAGUAAAUUGUAGACAAUUUGUUAAGGUUUCCAGAAAGUGCUUACUUGCUUAAUUUUGUUAAGUGAUACUCGAGUUAUAGCUGAAACUUGUGACUGGUUGGUUUGCCUACUAAACCAGUGACUGGGUAAGAGUAGCUAGGACUUGUUUAACUUGUCUAUUUAGUCUCUCUACCACAAAAGAAGUAUGCAUUUACUUGUUAUUCCAUGACUCACUUAUUCUUAGAAGUUUAUGCUCAUGUUAUACCUUGUUUAUGUCCCUUUGGCUCUUCAUCAUGACAUCAUGCAUCAUAUGUGCAUUCUCUAUAUUCAUCUCCUUGUCAUGCAUACAUAGGUGUACCCAAGGGAGUAACGGUGCUGGAGUUCGAGCUGCUGGAGCCGGAAGGACAGCAAGGGGAACUACCUCAAGGAGUUGAGGAGGAGGAGGACUUGCCGGAGUGCCCCGACCAUCGUCCCUCUACUUACGUCGAAGGCAAGCCCCGGAGCAUUAUAAGCCUCCUACUAUUUUAUUAUCACAAUCAGCUAUCAAAUGACUAUGGUUAUAUAUUAUUGCAUUAAGUGGUAGGCGUUGAUAUGACACCCUUGCUGCAUAAUGACUACCUUGUCCACCUUAAACAUUACCGAAGUAGGUCCAGGAUCGAAGUGAUGCUUAGCCAUGCUUAGCUCGGUAGAAGCCGGGUGAUUUCCUGUCACCUGCAAGAGUUAGGUGGAUGAUGAUCACGGUUGGCUAUAAUUGCUAUCGUGGAGAUAACCAGGUGUUAAAAAUGAACUUGAGACUGGGCGGGAUGACGAUAGUGCAGCAACAAGGCAUGGAGGUCUUGGGUGUGAAUCUAUCCCCGUCUGGGUCGUUUAAGGACCGAAUCGCUGUACGUCCCCGUGUCAUGUUGAACGCAUGCCUAUCACUUAGUUGGCCGGAUAAGUCAUUCCGACCGCGAAGCCUACGAGUGCAACUCAGGCCGGAUACCCCGUUCUGUAUGAGUGCGCAUCCCGGUUGGUAGCAAGGAUGUGCGGGGAGUCAAUGGCGUAAGACCGAGGUGUCAGGUUAGAGUCCUGACCCUGGCAGAUUGGCGGUCCCUAGGGGUGCGGCGCUGGACGGACCCGCGAAUUGGUCCGGAGUUGUGCUAAAGGUGAUCCGAGCUGCCGUCAUGAAGUAUGCUUGGGUGUGUGUUAGGAAUACCCCUCCAGCUGGAUAGGAAUCGAUUCGAAUCGCCGUCUCUCUCGGAUAGUGAGAACUUGACUUGGGCAGCGGCAACGUAGAACUCACUAAGCAAACAUAGUGGUUAUGAUGAGAAUGUUGAUAGCAAAGUGAUAAUCCUGAUAUGGUUAUUAUUGAAUUGAUUAAUUACUCAAGUGUAUGCUUAGCACAGGUGCUAAUCUAGUGGAUAGCUGCUAAGUAAUGAACUUGCUGCUGAAAUAUGAAUAAAUGAAUUACUUAUAACAAAGGCUUUUAUGCAAAAAGUGAGUCAAACCAGUCCACUAAGAUCAGCCUUGCAUACUCCUUGGUGUCACUUUAUUUCUGGUUUAUGACGGGUAAGUCUAGCUGAGUACAUUCUCGUACUCAGGGUUUUUAUUUACCCCUGUUGCAGAUGAUGUCGUCUAUCACGGCUAUUGUGCUAACUGUCAUCACCCAGCUGCGGAUGAUGAAUAGAUCAUGGCCGUGAUCACUCUUCUACCUUCAGUUAUGCUUUUGUGGGGAUUGACCAUGGAACUGGCAUGUAUUAAGAACUGAGUUGGAGUUGUUUCAAAACUACUUUGUCUUCCGCUACUGCUAUGGUUUGUAAUAACCUUUUCAAACUCUGAUGUGAUGUAAAACUGUGUUCUGUGUUGAAUGUUGUAAUCUGUGAUGGUGAUGCUUGAUCAUGUACGAUCUUGGUUGUAUGUUGGUUGGAUCGAGGUCUGUUGAGAUUUCGUCGGACUACCGGGUUUAUAUGGGUUCAAGUCCAUUGGCUUGACUGCCUCAGUGGUCGCUAAUUCACUUGAAUUCUUAUAAAUUGGACGGUUCUGUUACAGCUAGUAUCAGAGCAAGGAUUAAGUAUAACCAUCAUAGAUGUAUUUGAAAACAAAUGAAUUUGGUUUUCUCAAACUAAUUUGGCAAAUUAGGUUAUAAAUAGGGUUGUUUUAAAAAGGUUUUGAUAACUUAUACCAUGCCAGUGGUCAUGCCCUUUAUGCCCACAUAAGGACUUCUAGGUGGCUUAUUAUUACUAACAUGGGGGUUUUCCUUUCGUCCUCCAUAUGGCGUGCAAUUAUAUGGAUACCGCUUACGUAAGUGGUAAUGAAUGGAUCACAUACCGCUACGCCAUGGUAAGCAUUGUUUGUUUUCUUUCGUCGUCCAUACGGUGUGAAAUUGUAUGGAUGCCACUUGCUUGAGUGGUAAUGUAUGGAUCUGUAUGCCUCUACGCUACGGUAAGUGUGAGCUGUGAGGGCAUGACCGUCCAACCGUCGGUCUAGGGGAGUGUUAGCUGUGGUUACUAGAAUAUUUACAUGUUUCACACAUGUAUAUAUGAAGGUACUUAAUUGUGGGUAGUAAGUGCAGCCAUGUGUACAUAUUUGAUGUAUAUGUGGGUGUACCCCAAAUGGGUAGUGUGCUACGGUAUAUGUUCGGGAAUAUAUACCGGAGUACCUAGCUUGAUUGAUUGUUGUUUGGAUCUACAUUUUUGCACUUAUACUACUGUGGGGCUGGGCUGAAAUGAAAUCUUCUACAGGUACACUAACAACGAAACGUGUAGACCGAGUAGUUGCGUAUAAAGAGUGCACAUAUGUAUGCCACCGACUAUACCGUUAGAAGUUUCUUCUAAGUUUGGAAAGGACGUAUGGAACGUGCAUGCAUCAUGAAUCAUUCAUACAUUCUUCAUGCAAUACUUGGGUAUUAAAUUCUGAAAAUACGAUUCUUUAUCUCUCCUUGUAAUUAAUCUCCCUUACUCAAAUGUGGUCUUUCUACAGAUGGCAGCCCCACACGCGAGUGAGACUUUCCUGGACAUGUUUGGCACUCCUACUUUGUUGUAGAGGGUGCUAAGUUCAGUUGGAUAUGAGGAACCACCUAAGUACACUUGGACCGAGGCUGAGCAUGCAGGGGCCUUACCUUGGGUAGAUGUCCAAAUUACAGUUCCCCCUUGUCCAAAUAACCCACAGUGGCUAGGUUGGUUAGUUGACUGUGAUGGCCAAACUCCUUGGGAGGGUGCCCAAGUAGCAGCCCUGGAGGUUUUGCUAGAGAUUUGCCAAGAGCAUGGUGAUGAGCUUGUGAAUGGCCCAGCGGGAUCCGUUCCCAGAGUGAGUGUGACUGACACAUUUGUGUCCCAGGUUGGGAAUGAGUCUUUAGAGAUGAGAGAAACCUUGCUAGGAUAUAGUUCUAGCCCUGCCAUGAGUGCCAUGCUAGCGGUACUUAAGCUGUACUAUGUACGCCAGGACACCAACAUAGAUGCCAUGCUAGCGCUUCAACAAGCACAAGUUGCGCAGCGCAAACUGCGCAAGCGUGUGCGCAAGCACCGCAAGGCUUUUAUGGACGCACAAGCUGAAAUCCAAAACUAUCACACCGCCUUGCAAGCCCGCCGCAACCAAGUUGAGAAUGCAGUUAGAGAGCGCAAUGAGGCACAAGCCCGCAUGAUGCAAAUGACUAGAGAGAGAGAUGAGGCUAUGCGCUUGGCUGAAAAUAGAGAAGCUGCUAGAGUUAGAGCCUUGUUCCAUGCUGAAAUGAGAGAGGAAGAACUGAUUACUAGGAUUGCUGAGCUGCAGUUGGAUGUCCAUCGUUUAAAUAACAUUAUAAAUCCUAUCCCACAACCAGCCCCUUUUAAUAAUGAAGAAGCUCCUAGUGAGGAAGAUCAGCACGAUGGCAUCAUUUAUAAUGGAGAGUCUGAUGAAGAUAUGUAGCCUAGCAAUAAUUCUAUGAUCAUGUGUCAAUUUCCAUCUCUUUAUGUAAUGGACAUGUAAUCUGAAUUUUAGUUGAAGACUCUAUGUAUUUGGCCAUGGUGCCCCUCCUGUAAAACUUAAGUGUGGCAAUGACUCUAUGUAACCUUAUGCACAAUGUCGUUAAUCCUUGAGAAAUUGUGGUUGUGAAUGAACGCGAGAAUAACCAAGUAUCAUGGAAGAUAUUCUCUUAUUGUACAUGGAUUAUUGUGCCUUAAUUUCUGUGAAUUUACUUCAUUAAAUUCCGUAUGGCAGCAAUUGAAGUUCAUGACAAUUAUAUCCAUUGCCUGAAACAAUCGCUUGGUAUGCCUUGUGCAGAUGGCUCGCAAUACUCGCUCCGGUCACAACGAGGUGCCGCCACCACCACCUCCUCCCCCGCCUACGCCUACUGAGCUAUUGGCAGCUCUUGUUGAGGACCAGCGUAUGCUCAAUGAGGCCAUGCAAACUAUGGCGCAACAGAACCGGGGUGGUCGCCAUGCUCGCCAAGGCGGAGAGGCAAAUCAGUAUAGCAGUUUCAAGGAUUUCUAGGACACCAAGCCGCCGCUGUUCAAGGAGGCUAUUGAACCUCUAGAAGCUGAUGAGUGGCUUAACACUCUUGAACAGAAAUUCCGUUUGCUAAGGUUAACCGAAGAGCUAAAGGCGGAAUAUGCAGCCCACCAGUUGGAGGGCAAAGCAGGUGUUUGGUGGAGUCAUUACAGGACUAGCUUGCCCGCCAAUGCUGUUGUAACCUGGGACCAGUUCCAAACUGCUUUCAGGAACACUUAUAUCCCACAAGGCUUAAUGACUAUCAAGCACACUGAGUUCAUGAAUCUGACGCAAGGCACUAAAAGCUUGACUGAGUAUCUUCAUGCUUUUAACAAUUUGUCUCGCUAUGCUCCUGAGAUGGUUGACACCGAAGUCAAGAAGCUCGCUAGUUUCAAGAGAGGGUUGGGACCCAAGUUGUCCAAGAACAUGGCUGGUAACAAGAGUACCACCUUUAAUGAGUUUGUGAGUGACGCAUUGACUCAAGAGAACUCCAAUGCUGUGUAUGCCGCGUCCAAAAACCGCAAGAGGGCCUAUGAGGCAGGUGCUUCACAAUCCAAGGCUCCAGUGACAAGUAAACCGGCCUAUCGCCCACCCAAUGCUAUGACAAGGUACAGGCCGCCGCAGAAAAAGUCAAAUGUGAAGACGGGAGUGCGCAAGUCCUUCACCGUUGCUCUCCCAAGAGGUGCCACAGGUCAAGGAAGUCCCAAGACUCCUCCUGAUAACCGUCCCUGUUUCAAUUGCAAGCAAGUUGGUCACUGGGCGAGGGAUUUCCCUUAUCCUAAGAGGAAUGCUGCAGCUGGAGGCAAUAACCGUAUGGGCCGAGUAUACUAUACCACCAUAGAAGAAAUUCCUGAAGGUGAAGUAGUCACGGCUGGUAUGUUCCUUGUAAAUCAACACCCUGCAGUUGUCUUGUUUGAUUCUGGAGCUUCACAUUCAUUUAUGAGUCAAGCAUUCGCAUCUAAGCAUGGGCAACAUGUCAUCAACCUUGAUAGUGGCAAGUUUUGGAUUAGUGCUGCUGGUAAUCAAAUUGCUACAAACCAAGUAGUGAGGGAUGUACAAAUUACCAUAGAAGGGCGUAAUUAUUCAGCAAAUCUUGUGAUUUUACCGGGCUUGGGAAUAGAUGUUAUCCUAGGAAUGAAAUGGAUGAGUGAUCAUGGAGUGUUAAUAGACACUUCAACUAGGGUCAUCAUGUUGAGGGAGCCUGAUAGUAAGAAAGCUUUCUUAGUUCAACUCCCUAGAAGCAAUGACAUCCGUCACGCGGCCAAUGCUAUUCGACCACUCACUAUAGCAGAAAUUCCGGUAGUGUGUGAGUUUCCGGAUGUUUUUCCAGAGGACCUGCCCGGGUUGCCGCCGGACAGAGACAUUGAAUUUAAAAUUGAUCUAAUUCCGGGUACCGCACCUAUCUCUAGAAGGCCAUAUCGAAUGCCACCCAACGAGUUGGCAGAGUUGAAAAAGCAAUUGCAAGAACUGCUUGAGAAAGGUCUUAUUCGGCCUAGUUCUUCUCCAUGGGGUUGUCCGGCUCUCUUUGUCAAGAAGAAGGACAAGUCUCUGCGUAUGUGUGUAGACUAUCGUCCGCUCAACGGUGUGACUAUUAAAAACAAGUACCCAUUGCCUCGCAUUGAUAUCCUGUUUGAUCAAUUAGCCAAGGCUAAAGUAUUCUCCAAGAUUGAUCUGAGAUCUGGGUAUCAUCAAAUCAAGAUCUGACCUGAAGACAUUCCUAAAACAGCUUUCUCUACCAGGUAUGGGUUGUAUGAGUAUUUAGUCAUGUCCUUUGGUCUGACUAAUGCCCCUGCUCAUUUCAUGUACCUGAUGAAUUCGGUGUUCAUGCCCGAACUGGAUAAGUUUGUGGUGGUGUUCAUCGAUGAUAUAUUGGUAUACUCUGAAAAUGCACAAGAACAUGAGGAGCACCAUCGGAUUGUACUCACUAGAUUGCGAGAACACCAGCUUUAUGCCAAGUUCAGCAAAUGUGAGUUUUGGCUGACGAAGGUGCCUUUCCUAGGCCAUAUUUUAUCCGAAGAGGGUAUUUCUGUUGACCCGUCAAAGGUGUAGGAGGUUCUAGACUGGAAGGCCCCGACUUCAGUGCACGAAGUCUGGAGUUUUCUCGGUCUAGCGGGUGAUUAUCGGCGCUUCAUUCCAGACUUUUCCAAGAUAGCUAAACCUAUGACCAAGCUACUACAAAAAGAUGUGAAGUUUGUGUGGUCCGAAGAGUGUGAAAUUGCUUUCACCACUUUACGCCAUUUGCUGACCCCCGCUCCCGUUCUGGUACAGCCUGACAUUGAAAAGCCAUUUGAUGUCUUUUGUGAUGCAUCUGGCACUGGCCUAGGUUGUGUGCUUAUGCAAGAAGGCCGAGUUAUUGCCUAUGCUUCUCGGCAACUGUGGAAACACGAAGCCAACUACCCUACUCAUGAUCUAGAGUUAGCAGCAGUUGUACAUGCAUUGAAACUCUGGAGACACUAUCUGUUGGGUAAUCUUUGUCACAUUUACACUGACCAUAAGAGCCUCAAAUAUAUAUUCCCUCAGCCCGAAUUGAACAUGAGACAGAGGAGAUGGUUGGAGUUGAUAAAAGACUACAAUCUAGAAGUACACUAUCAUCCCGGCAAGGCCAAUGUUGUAGCUGAUGCUCUCAGUCGGAAACAACAUGUUAGACCUCUCUUAGAGGAAGGCUUCAAUUUAUUGCAUCCUGCGGUCCUGCACAACAUUAUAGUCAGUUGCUCAUUAGAGAGUCAAAUCAUAGAGCUCCAAAAGUCUGAUCCUGGUAUUUUUCAUAUCAAGAGAAAGAUGCAAGAGCAAGACACCAAGCAUUUCAGGGUAGAUGAGAAAGGUGUACUGUGGUUUGACGAUCGACUAGUUGUACCUAAAGACCGUGACCUACGAAACAAAAUCCUAGACGAAGCUCACUCUUCCAAAUUGUCCAUUCAUCCGGGGAGUAGCAAAAUGUACCAAGACUUGAGACCUCGUUUCUGGUGGACCAAAAUGAAGAAGGAGAUAGCAGCUUAUGUUGCUAGGUGUGAUACUUGCUGCAGGGUAAAGGCAGUUCACCUCAAACCUGCAAGUUUAUUGCAACCUUUGUCGAUUCCAGGUUGGAAGUGGGAAGAAAUCAGCAUGAAUUUCAUUGUGGGACUCCCCCUUACUCAAAAAGGACACAACUCUAUAUGGGUGAUUGUUGACCGUUUGACCAAGUCAGCUCAUUUUAUUCCUGUACACUCUACAUACCGGCCAUCCGACUAUGCUGAGUUGUACUUCUCUCAGAUAAUUAAACUGCACGGAGUGCCUCGCACUAUUAUCUCUGAUAGAGGUCAUCAGUUCACCGCUCGCUUUUGGGAGCAUCUGCAUUCACUCCUUGGCACAAAAUUGGUUCGCAGUUCAGCCUAUCAUCCUCAAACCUCCGGUCAAACUGAGCGUGUGAAUCAAAUUUUAGAGGAUAUGUUGAGGGCUUGUGUUAUAUCUUCCAAGGGUGCAUGGGAGAAAUGGCUACCGUUAGCUGAAUUCUCUUACAAUAAUAGUUAUCAAGAAAGCAUCCAAAUGGCCCCUUUCGAAGCUUUGUAUGGCCGCAAAUGUAGAACUCCUCUAAACUGGGUCGAACCAGGUGAAAGGAGGUACUACGGGAUUGACUUUGUCAAGGAAGCCGAGAAACAAGUUCUCACUAUUCAGCAACAUAUGAGAGCCGCCCAGGCUAGGCAGAAAAGCUAUGCUGACCGAAGAAGAAAGCCAAUUGAAUUCGAAAUAGGUGACUUUGUGUACAUAAAAGUAUCGCCCAUGAAAGGAGUAAAUCGCUUCGGCGUUAAAAGAAAGCUUGCCCCUAGGUAUGUGGGUCCCUACCGAAUCAUUGAGAAGAGCGGCAAGGUAGCUUACAAAGUACAACUACCUCCCGAAAUGAGAGCUAUUUUCCCUGUAUUCCACGUGUCUCAACUCAAGAAGUGUCUUCGUGUGCCCGAAGAGAGAGUUGAAACAAGAGAUAUCAAGUUGCAGUCAGACCUAUCUUAUGAGGAAUAGCCUGUACAAGUUCUUGAUGUUAAAGAACGGGUUACUCGUGGGAAGGUAAUCAAACUUUUUAGAGUAUUGUGGAACCGUCAAAAUGAGAGAGAUGCCACUUGGGAAAGGGAAGACUAUUUACAAGUAACUUAUCCCACAUUCUACGAAAAAUGGUACGUCUUUCAAAUCUCGGGACGAGAUUUUUGUAAGGGGGGAGGGCUGUAACACUCCUAGUGUUAGCUUGCAUGUUAACCAUAAGCAUUGCAUUAGCAUAAGCAUCAUCAUGAUCACUCAUGAGCAUCAUACCAUGAUCACAUGCCACUUGCUUUAUGCACUACAUGAUUAAAUUGCUUGUGUGACUUGAAUUGGGUGACUAUAAGGGGUAGCCAAUGCAAAAAAUUGUACAUUGUCUUCCAAAAUACCUCAAUCAUGUUUAGAAUAUCAUUUGGAACAAUGUUCAUGUUGAAGGUUUUGGCCAAAAAUGCCCCUAAGUCAUGGUUAACCCUAGAAUGACCUUUUUGACCCUCCUAGACCUCUUUUCAAAGAUGUUUUAUGAAACUGGUGUUAGAUAUCUUGCAUGUCUUUGACACCUGAAACAAAGUUGUAGAGAAUUUCAUAAGCUACAAAAGUUAUGUAGAUGACUUUUUAUGAAAAAGCAUAGAACACAUCCAAAAAUUGCUUAAAAGCCAAAAAUUAGGGCUGAUUUCACACUUAGCCGAAUUUGGCUAAGUGUUGGUUCACGCAGUUUCGACCAAGGGUGAUUGGGAGCCUUGUAGUUUGAAAUCCAGACCGAGUUAGACCUUGAUCUUGUAACAAAAGUUGUAGAACUCGUGUAGCUCUGUCCAGAGGAUCAAAUCCCAGCCAAAACCAUCGAUUGAGCUGAGAGUAAAACGUUGACAAAGUUCGAGUUUCAGUCACUGUUGGCGACGACUGAAUCGCGUGAUUCAGUUUCGUCAGAAACCGUCCGCCGCCGCGUGUCUGGCCAGGUGUCGGCCGUACGCCGUCGACGACCCCGCCUGUCAGCUUCCACGGCAUCCCUAAGUCACCACGCACCGAGUGGACGCCUCAGACGCGCUCUCCACUCGCUCAGCGCUGCACAUUUCGCUCCGCCAUCGCCUCAGGAAGCUCCGCCGCGCUUCGGCGAGCUCCUCCGGUCGUUCCACCGCGUCUCCGGCCAAGCCACUCCGCCCAGAGCUCCGCCUUGACGUCCUCUACCUCGACGUCCACUCCAUUCCCUUAGCCGAGCACCGGUGAGGUCACAUUGUCAUCUCCGUCGCGAGCUCCACCUCGCCGGAGUUCACAGAGAUCACCGGCAACGUGGCCAGACCUCUCUGGUUCACCUCUGGCCGUGAUUCUUCUUCCUAUAGCUUCGCCUUGAGCCGCUCUUGCUCGUCCGCAACCUCUACUGCGUCGCCAUUGCCUGGAUCCGCCGGCGUAUCGCCGCGCAGCGCCGCCGCUCUGCCAUUCCCGUCGGCGAGCACCCUAGAGUCCAGUAGAGCGCGCGUAAAGUAGGUCAACAGAGUCGCCUUGAGGAGAGGAACACGUAGGUGCCCUUGGAUCCGGCCGAUCUCCCCUGCCUCUGUCUCACUGACACGCGGGUCCCGGAUGUCAGCCUCUCUGUGUCAGCCUCUCUGGUUCACUAUUGUGCAGAGCCAAAGCUGUUUUUGUAAAAUUCAUAUCUAGAGUUUUAGAGAUCCAAAUGUGGUGCUUCCAAUUUUGCUAGGUUCCAGCUUAAGCCUAGUUUUUAAUAAAAAUAUGAAACUUGCUAUGUUUUUGCAGAAAUAAAUAGAUAUAAAUUAAUCUUGGAUUUUCAGUGGGUAAUUUUAUCUUGAGAUCUAUUGAUCUGCUGGCCAUGCAAAUUUAGGGAGUUGUUACUUAUGUUAUGAAUAGGCUCUGAUAAUUGUUUCAUGAUUUUUGGAAGCCUAGUUAAGAAGUUAAAAAUAAAUCUUGCUUAAAUAGGAGUUUCUUGUGAUAUUUUUAGUAAUUAAGUUAUAACUCCUUUUGUGAUGAAACUUGCUGAGUGUUGCACUUAUCUGUGGGCAAAGCUAGGAAAAAUCUGAAAUCUGUUGUUUGACACUUUUUGAUAGGGUUUCACAUUUAUGCCUUGCAUGCCUUUACUAGCUUGUUAUUUUUAUACCUCACAAUGUGUAUGUGCAAAUGUUCUGAAAAUUUUACAGUGAUCUUAUGUUAGCAUAAGUAGCUUGCUGUAAUUGUCUUAGGAUUUUUGGAACACAUGAAGUAUAUGUUCAUUAAAUCACCUUAAUAAUUAAAUAAAUAGAAAAGGUGAUGAUAGAAAUAGUUUUAGACCUUUCCAUGGUGUUUUCUGGUGUUCCUUAGAUAUGUUAUAUCUGUUGGUGCAAUUGGUUUAUCCCUGUGGUACAUUCUCAAUAUAUGCAAAAUAUUAUUUUAGCUAUUAUUGCCUUUCCUAGAGCAUUUCUGUACAGCUGAUAGCAAAUGAUUAAGAACUACUUGAAGAUUGUGUUUUCUGGGAAACUUGUCUACAACAAACUUGUAGCUAACUUACUGAUCCUUUUCGUGUCCAAAUUUCAUGACAAUUGGUUGAGUAAUUUAAAAGUUAUGCAUAUUUCAAGUAGCUGCUGCAAAGUGCUUGCUCUCUGGAAUUUCCAGAGCAGCCAGCCAACUUUGUAUGUUUUAGCAUAUUUCGGUUGGAAAUCAUACUGAGAUGUCUAAAAGUAAAUUGUAGACAAUUUGUUAAGGUUUCCAGAAAGUGCUUACUUGCUUAAUUUGGUUAAGUGAUACUCGAGAUAUAGCUGAAACUUGUGACUGGUUGGUUUGCCUACUAAACCAGUGACUGGGUAAGACUAGCUAGGACUUGUUUAACUUGUCUAUUUAGUCUCUCUACCAGAAAAGAAGUAUGCAUUUACUUGUUAUUCCAUGACUCACUUAUUCUUAGAAGUUUAUGCUCAUGUUAUACCUUGUUUAUGUCCCUUUGGCUCUUCAUCAUGACAUCAUGCAUCAUAUGUGCAUUCUCUAUAUUCAUCUCCUUGUCAUGCAUACAUAGGUGUACCCAAGGGAGUAACGGUGCUGGAGUUCGAGCUGCUGGAGCCGGAAGGACAGCAAGGGGAACUACCUCAAGGAGUUGAGGAGGAGGAGGAGGACUUGCCGGAGUGCCCCGACCAUCGUCCCUCUACUUACGUCGAAGGCAAGCCCCGGAGCAUUAUAAGCCUCCUACUAUUUUAUUAUCACAAUCAGCUAUCAAAUGACUAUGCUUAUAUAUUGUUGCAUUAAGUGCCAGGCGUUGAUAUGACACCCUUGCUGCAUAAUGACUACCUUGUCCACCUUAAACAUUACCGAAGUAGGUCCAGGAUCGAAGUGAUGCUUAGCCAUGCUUAGCUCGGUAGAAGCCGGGUGAUUUCCUGUCACCUGCGAGAGUUAGGUGGAUGAUGAUCACGGUUGGCUAUAAUUGCUAUCGUGUAGAUAACCAGUUGUUAAAAAUGAACUUGAGACCAGGCGGGAUGACGAUAGUGCAGCAACAAGGCAUGGAGGUCUUGGGUGUGAAUCUAUCCCCGUCUGCGUCGUUUAAGGACCGAAUCGCUGUACGUCCCCGUGUCAUGUUGAACGCAUGCCUAUCACUUAGUUGGCCGGAUAAGUCGUUCUGACCGCGAAGCCUACGAGUGCAAUUCAGGCCGGAUACCCCAUUCUGUAUGAGUGCGCACCCCGGUUGGUAGCAAGGAUGUGCGGAGAGUCAAUGGCGUAAGACCGAGGUGUCAGGUUAGAGUCCUAACCCUGGCAGAUUGGCGGUCCCUGGGGGUGCGGCGCUGGACGGACCCGCGAAUUGGUCCGGAGUUGUGCUAAAGGUGAUCCGAGCUGCCGUCAUGAAGUAUGCUUGGGUGAGUGUUAGGAAUACCCCUCCAGCUGGAUAGGAAUCGAUUCGAAUCGCCGUCUCUCCUGGAUAGUGAGAACUUGACUUGGGCAGCGGCAACGUAGAACUCACUAAGCAAACAUAAUGGUUAUGAUGAGAAUGUUGAUAGCAAAGUGAUAAUCCUAAUAUGGUUAUUAUUGAAUUGAUUAAUUACUCAAGUGUAUGCUUAGCACAGGUGCUAAUCUAGUGGAUAGCUGCUAAGUAAUGAACUUGCUGCUGAAAUAUGAAUAAAUGAAUUACUUAUAACAAAGGCUUUUAUGCAAAAAGUGAGUCAAACCAGUCCACUAAGAUCAGCCUUGCAUACUCCUUGGUGUCACUUUAUUUCUGGUUUAUGACGGGUAAGUCUAGCUGAGUACAUUCUCGUACUCAGGGUUUUAUUUACCCCUGUUGCAGAUGAUGUCGUCUAUCACGGCUAUUGUGCUAACUGUCAUCACCCAGCUGCGGAUGAUGAAUAGAUCUUGGGCGUGAUCACUCUUCUACCUUCAGUUAUGCUUUUGUGGGGAUUGACCAUGGAACUGGCAUGUAUUAAGAACUGAGUUGGAGUUGUUUCAAAACUACUUUGUCUUCCGCUACUGCUAUGGUUUGUAAUAACCUUUUCAAACUCUGAUGUGAUGUAAAACUGUGUUGUGUGUUGAAUGUUGUAAUCUGUGAUGGUGAUGCUUGAUCAUGUACGAUCUUGGUUGUACGUUGGUUGAAUCGAGGUCUGUUGAGAUUUCGUCGGACUACCGGGUUUAUAUGGGUUCAAGUCCAUUGGCUUGACUGCCUCAGUGGUCGCUAAUUCACUUGAAUUCUUAUAAAUUGGACGAUUUUGUUACAAAAGGUAGGUCAUUUAAAAGUCCUAAUUGUCAUGGCAGAGUGGCAGCCCUGGGAGUGCGGCGUUGAUCGGAGCCGCAAUUCCUGAGUCAUACCAAAGGUGACCUGCUUGCUCUCCAACGGGAGAUGCAUGGGUGAGUGCUAGGAAUAACCCUCCAGCUGGAUAGGAAUCGAUUCGAAUCGCCGUCUCUCUCGGAUAGUGAGAACUUGACAGAGCAGCGGCAAACGUAGCAUUCACUAUGUACUCAAUGGUUCUAAGACGAUGAUAAUGAUGGCAAUAAUGAACAAUUUGAUAAAACCUGAUAUGGUUUUUAUUGUGUGAUGUUAAUCAAGUGAGUGCUUUAGUAUAGGUGCUAAUCUAGUGCCAGGUUAAUGAUAAUUAACUUGAGGCUAAUAAGAAUGGUUUAUUUAUCCAACUUAAGCUUUUUAUGCAAAAACAUGUCAAGCCAGCUCCACUAUUUAAAGUAAGCCUUGCAUGACUCUUGGUGUCCUUGUAUUGGUUAGAUGAGUAAGUCUAGCUGAGUACAACCUUGUACUCAGGGUUUAUUCCCACUUAUUGCAAAUGACAUCUUCUAUGACAGUUUCUACAAGACCUAUCUUCACCCUGCUAGGGAUGAUGACUAACCGUUGGGCGUGGUUCUCUAAGACUUCGUACCUAACUUGCUUUUGGUGGAUGUGAUGAGACACUGGCUGCAACAAUAAACUUGUGAUGUUGGAUUGAAAACUAUGUUGCUUCCGCUACUAGGAACUUGUUUUGUAAUAACUUAAGUGAACUCUGAUGUGCGUCGCUUCCUCGACCUUGUAUGAAAUGCUAUAACAAUCGAUGUAUUAUGCUGAACUCAUUACAAUCUUGGUUUGUUGCCAAGUUGGUUAGAAAUCCUUCAAGAUUUCGGUUGACUAUCAGGAUUAUAUGGGCUCAAGUUUGGAAACUUGAUUGCUCUGGUGAUCAUUUCUACACUUGAGCUCUUAUAAUUUGGUCAGUUCUAUGACACCCUAUGGGUUCAUGUACAUGUAGACAUGGGCCAAGUACUCCUACUCGCCCAACAGUUGACAGCGGCCUCUAGCAAGGUGUGACAACUCCUAUACGCAUGCAAGGAUCAUAUCAAACAAACCACUACAUACAUAUACAUUUUAUUCCCUUGCCACAUGAUAUUUGGUCCAACUCGUGGGUUAACACUUAACCCAAGCAUGGCCAUGCAUUUAUUGAUCCAAUCACUUGAGUGAUCUAGUGAUAUCUCUCUCACAUAGAGAGGGGCAAGUUUCAUCUUGAUCAUCUAUGUCUCACAGCAUGUUCCCCGACAAACCCGAAGACAACCUUUGUAACUACCCUAUUACAGAGCAGCGUUUAAUAGUCCCUAAGUAGGUCGUUUCACAUUUGAUAACAUACGACAAUCUCAGGUCUAAUGACAUAAUGUACAUGAUGUAUAAAGAGAUAAUAAGAACAUCUCAUGUUGGGUCAGUCCAGCCCCAUGUCAUACAUGUGCCCACAUUAUUAGUUUGACAUCUCUAUGUCUAUGACUUGUGAAACAUAGUCAUCAACUAAUACAUGUGCUAAUCUAAUAUUCAUGUAUGUCCUCACACGAACUCUGAUUAGGGACAACUUUAGAAUAAUCAUAUAAGUAAAAGAGUUUCACAAAUAAUUAACAUAAUUAUCAAUCAAUACAAGUUUUUCUAUAAUAGAUAUUCAUCGAACUCAUAAUAGAUUUCAUGGAUACAACCGUAAUAUCAUAAUCUCUAUGAUUACCUCUAGGGCUUAUUCCCAACAGUGUGUUAAUCCCAAAUUUUGGUGAGACAAGGAACUGCCUGUGGGCCCGCUUCAUGGGAAGGAGGAACGGCCAGAUAGUGGAUUGACUAAAUAGAAGUGUGGAGGAAAGUAGUCGAUCAAGGGAUGUCAAACCAAGGCAAGAUAGAAGAAGACGUGUCAGGUUUUAUUACAAAGAAGGAAUUGGAGUCCGAAUUACCUUUUUGAAUAGUCGUGUAAUAUUAGGACAUAUGACUAGGUUCUAGGGCUAUAAAUAUUAGAACUCGAUCCUUGUAAUGAUAUAAUCAACCAAAAAAUACAAACACUUUUCAGCUCCGGCCACCAACCUUAGGAGUAGGAGUAAGAGUAGAUCUCGACAAGAUCUUCGAUAAAUCGAGUUGCAUCAGUUGAUUUUGACCAUCGGUUUGCUUGUGAGUAUUGUCAUGGUUCAUGUUUAGUUUAUCACGACUGCAUCUUUCAAACUCGUGUUAAGCUCAAUUUGAACUAGUUAUCGACUUAGAUCUUAUUUGUAAGGCUGCAUUAUUUUAAUCUCUUACAAAGACCGAUUUAAGUUAAUUUUUGGCUCUAUUGAAUUGACAAUUUAAUAGAUUCAGUAAGUUAUCAAUAUUGUUUAACGUUUAACGUUUUGUUCAUUAUAGCAAUAUUCUGCCCAAUCAAGAUUCAGCAGAUUAGUUCAAGCUUUAAACAUAAACACUUGUUGCAAAGUUUAAAUAAAUAAUGAUUAUCAAGUAAAUUUAAGAUAACUAAUAUGUUGUUCUUGAUUGUUGAAUGUUAUGUGUUUGGGAUAUUUAUUUAAUCAUGAUUAAUUUGGUAACAAAACCAAAUUUACUUAUGGCGAAGUAAAUAGAUCUCGUUCGUGUUUCAUGGAUCCUAUAUCGACUAAAUAGCCGAUCUAGUUAAGCUUGAACGAAUAGCGCAUAUGUGUAAACCCGACUAUAGAAUUAAAUAAAUUAGUAAAUUGUGUUAAAUUUAUUGUAGCCUGCUGGACUUUCGAGCAGGUGAAUAUAAAUUUAAUAUGUUUAUGAAAGUAACUUAUUAAGACCUUAGUCCUUCAGACCAGUGUUGACGGUCGAUAACGUCAACUUUUAUUAGAACUUUAAACCCGAAGGACAACAUGAUUACACACUAUUAUAGGGUUUAAACUAACAUUUUGCAUGAGUUUUGCAUAUUCUAUGUUUUCUAGGGUUGAUUUCACACUGAAAAGAGGGAUUCUAGUGCAUAUUUACCACGAAACUCAUCCGCGGCAGAAAAUAUCAUCAUCAGGCUCAAAAAGGGUCUAGAAAACACCCGAAGAAACGAGAGCCGUGGAAGAGGAAAGGUGGAGCCAGCAGGCCCCACCCUAGGACUAGUCGGCGCCCUGUUUUGCUCGUUGCCCGCCGCCUUCUGGAGUCUUCCUCCUAUGCAUCCUUGGAAGCCAAGCAAAGUAUCCAUCCAUCAAUUUUAAGACAGUUUGAUCCGACGGUGCACACAAGACGAAGACGCGGAUCGCUGACGUGGUGGUUCUUUGCCCCCUACUCCACCUCGACCUAUAUAAUGACGCCCAAAGCUCCCCUCAAGAGGCAUUCUACACCCCGACGCUUCAUAUUCUCUACAUAAUUAGGGUUAGGGUCCCUCUAGUUGUUCUAGUUCUAGUUCAUCUAGAUCUAGUUCAUCUACAUGUAGCAAUUAGUUGAGACUAGUUCUUCUAGAUCUAGUCUUGUUUAGAGAUUAGAGAGAUUUAGUAGAGUAGAGAUUCUAGAGGAGUUCUGGCCUAUCGGUGCUUCUUCAUGGUUGUAUUCUUCUGGAUCCAGUUUCUCUCGCCCGGAGCUGCGUUCUUAGGUACUUUUGUACUUACCCUUCUGGUAUAAGUAAGCAUCUUGUUCUUAUUUAUUCUUUGGUUCACAACUCAUAUUGAGUGCUUUGACAUUGAUCGUAACUUGGUUGAAGUAGUGUUUUAUAGUGUACGCGUGGUGCCUAGGCUAGGUUUACUUGUGAAUAUCCCCUAAUCAGCCGGAUAGUGGUAGUUCGCGUAGGUGACUUUAUAGCUACGUUGAUUCCUCUAUAGUCCACUUCCCGUUGAUAAGAUUGAUAGGCUUAUAGAUGCCUGAUAUGGGGUUACACUGAUUCUCCCCCUAUUCGUGUUACUUGCCCUAUAAGACGGUAUUAUACAAAGUUUACCGGAGUCGGAACCAGAGUGCAUUGAUAUUUACUUUUUCUUGAUAUGAUCUAGCCUAAUUGUAGGGUUAAGUCUAUAUACUUUGUCAUCAUCACAACUGUUCCUUGUGGAUUCGAUAUUUAAAACCUCUAGGUAAAAUGUGAUGCUGGUAUGAUAUAUUUGCGCUUGCGGAUAAUCCUAUUUAAAUCUAUUUAAAUGGAGUGUAGUUAAUUUAUACCAACAAGUAUUUUUGGCGUCAUUGCCAGGGAACAAUUUGUUGGUUUUGAUUUAGUCUAGCUUACUCUUGUAUUAUACUUUUAUAUUUUCCUGUUUUUAUCCUAGUCUCUUCAUUAUUUUUGUGUUCAUCCUUAUAGAUGUUUUUAAUUAUAUUGCUAUUUAUCUUUAUGGCAUGUGCAAAAGCUUAAAGCAUAAACCUUAUCAUAAUAUCUAUAAGCUAUGCCCAUAUCUACAUAAUAUAAUAAACCCUUCUCAAUUAUAUCAUGGGAUCAUUAAUCCUCACCUUGGUUUGCUGGGCCCCAUGUUUAUUCAACAUUUAGGAUCCUACCAAGAGUUACAUGAAAUCCCUUGAUUUAUCUUCUCGAGAGUUCUUUCUUAUCUUUUAAAAAGCAAGAUAUUAUGCUCAAAAGAGUUGCUCUAUCUAUUUCUGAACUCCCCAAAAGAAGAAAAGAAUUUAUUAUCUAAACUAAAAAUAGAAGUCUUGAUAACUAAAAUACAAUCAUAUCUUUCUUAAGAUUUAGCUAUCAAUCCUAAAUCUUCAAAAUUCCACUUUAAUGAUUUAGAUUUACAAUUAGCUAAGAUGCUCAUAAAUUAAUGCAUAUCAGAUCUUCUUAGAAGAGUAUCUUGGAAAAAGCAUCAUCAAUUUCCUUUCCUUCCUAAAAAGACAUUGGGACAAAUUCAAGGAUGGCAUGCCAAGUGAUGCCAUAGAAGGAGAGCCAAGCCACUUAGAAAUAGAUUCUAUCUUCUCCCCUUCUAUGGCCAUAAACCCAUCUCUAAACCCAUCCUUGACCCCAAUGAAUCUUUUUAUGCUCCUUCUACUAAUCUUCAUAAUGACCAUAGAAAUCCAUCCAGACAUCCUAAGAAUAGGAGUCAUGAAAAUUAUAGGAAUACCCAAGAAGAGCAACAGCAAUAGUAGGAACACAUAGAACAUAUUAGAAAUACCUAUGCUAUUGUCAAAGAAUGGAAGAAGAUGAAGUUUUAACACUAGCAUCUAAACUUGGUCUAAAUUCAAAUGUUAAUCUUAAAUUAAUUUCUUUGAUAAAUAAAACUCACCCCAGUUUAGAGAAAGCUUUAGAUGAGACCAACCUUAUGGACAUCAAUUCAUGGGAAAUCCUAGAAAAUAAAAUAUCUAAUAAAUGUCAUAGGCAUGAAAUAAUAGAGACAAACUUAUUGCCUGUAGACAACCAUGAAGAGACACCCUUGGAGUUUGAAAAGGGAGAUCAUAUUGUCGAGCAUAUGAAUUAUUUCAUUAAACACCCUAUCAGACCCAUGCUCAUAUGAGAGAUCUCCUGGAUCAAUUAGUAUCUAAUAUUAAGCUCCAUCAUUCCUUCAUUGAUAUGUCAUGCUCUGAAAUCUCUGCAAAAUUCUUGUCAGGUGACAGGAGGAGCAUUGUUGGGACGAGAAACUUGAUAUGACUCCCAUCAGGUCUGAGCUGCUCCCUGAAGUUAUCCAUAAGCAUAUAACACCUUUUCCAUAUCAUUGCAUUGUGAUAUAUUCAGUUGUCUCUGCAUAGCACAUAGCCAACCAUCUACCUCCAUAGGAUCAACUGAGUGAGUAAAUACCAAAGGUCUUCCCUUCAUAAAUUUCUCAUGCUUAUCUCUCACAUAAACAGGUAGUGGGGUGGUGGUGGUUGUUGACACUAGCUAACACCACUUAGAUACUGGGUUGUCAUCCCUAGCAUGGCGCUAGAGUGUACAAAGGUAUUUAUAAAUGUAAAGGCUUUUUAGAAAAUAAUCUAUUCUAUCCGCAAGCGCACAGAUAAAACACCUCAUUGUAGCAUUUCACCAGGAUAAGUAUUCCAGGUAUCGUUAUUUAUAAUUUUGCUCUAGGGAUCUAAAGAAGAUGGAAUUAAAUCAAGGGACAAAAUCUAUCAAGGCAUAGACUAGAAAUAAACUUGCAAGAACAUGAUUACUAAUGAGAAACUCGUCACACAGUCACUUACUUUAGCAGGGGGUAAACCAUAAAGAUAAUGAUAAUAAAGUAUAAGUUCAUGGGUAGAUAACACAGCGAUUAGAAAAUAGACUACUCCUCAUAUAUGUAGGUGAUGUCGGAUUAGCUAGAGAAUGGAUUCUAAGUUAUCUACUAACUACUAAGUCAUAAUCUACUCUAGUUAUCUACAAGAUCAUAUAUAGCAUAAAAGACUCUUCAUUCAUGUAUAAGGAACAUUGAUCAAGUAAAUCAGAGCAUCGCAUGACUUACUCCACAAUACCGGUUCUGCCUGUCCUAUCAACGGAGGGUGGACUAUAUAAGAAUCAACGAAGCUGUCACUAUCGCGAACUACCACAUGACCCGGCCAAUAGGAUACAUUUGCAGAUAAAUAACAUCUAAGCACCACGCUCACAUGUGAUCUAUCACCUAACUCCCUCGCGACAAGAGCUAAGCGCGUUGCAAACUUAUACAUAAAAUCAUUAUCAAUUAGAACUAUAUCAAAUAUAGAACUAGAGCAAACUAAGAACAUAAUAAUUAAAGACAUAAUGCAAUUAGAACAAAGAAUUAGAGAAAGAUAUGAAUAAUACCAAUCUUUAUUACCGAAGAUCCGAAUCCAGAGCGUAGUGCUCUACUUCUCUAAUUGCUAUCUAAUCAACCUCUAAACUUGAAGGAUUAGGGAGUAGCUAAUUCUAAUUCUCUAUGGGAGAGAGAUCUAAACCCUAACUUUGAUGGCUACCUCUGAAUAAUGAUUUCUCCUCUCUCCUCCAGGGGCCAGGGGGUCUGGUUUUAUAGUCCCCUCAAGUGAACGUGAGCCAUUGGAUCAAACCGACAUAGAUUGUAUGGUUUAGAUUGAUCCUUUAGGUCAGUGGAGAGUUGUCCCGAAGCAGAGUCCUGAUUGGCUUCCUGGCCAGGGCGGGCGCCCAAGGGGGGUGGGCGGCCGCCCAGCUCCCGAGCCCGAAUCGCGUCCCGUUCGUUCCCGUGGCUUCUGGAUCCUUCUAGAUCAAGGAAAAUUGCGCGGCACGUAAUUAUCUCGUUGUAAACAUGACAUGUGGGCCUUCUCUCCCUAUUUUCUGAUAAACCCCUGCAGAAAUAGAUAAACACCAAAGCUCGUGGAAUUCUGUCAGAUAAAACCCUAAUUCUAGAUGUUUGUUUCAUAUUGAUCCUUUUUCAUGUUUAUUUGAUUAUUAAUUUUAGUACUUAAGGACCGUCAACAAACUCCCCCAAGCUUACCCUUUGCUCGUCCCUGAGCAAACAGCUAAACUCAGACGGAUCAGGAGUUGCUUCGAUGUUUUCUUUCCUGACAGGCACACAUGCUUUUACAUAAAAAUUCUUCCAGAUUAUAGUGAAGUGUUAUGGAGUUUAGUACCUGCACUUAAAUCUUAAGUAAUCAAAAGACAAAAUAUUUAAGUCAAGCACUAUUCCUCCUGUUUAUUCUUCACCUUUGUUCUAGAGUUUUUCAUAAGUUUUCAAAAUAAAACUCAGAGUUCCCAGCAAUGAUUCUCUCAAGUCUCUCUAUAUGUGGUAUUUGUGGAUCCUUACCAUAAUGUCACUUUCCUAUAGCUAAUAGAAUAUUUAAGUGGAGCUCAUAGGAGUGGAAAACAGCUCAUACAUAUGUUGUCUAAUCGAGCCAUGGAUCCAAAGGAACUCAGCAUAUAAUUAAAUCAAGAUGUGCAUGUGUGAUGGAGUAAAUGAUAGUGAUGGUGAAAAUGCAUAAGUGAUAAUAAAACUUAGUUCUCAUUGCUCCUCAUAUUGCUAUCUCUCCUCUUCUUUUUGAUCUUUGCUUUGGGAGAACAUGGGCUAUCUUUUUUUUUCUUUUUUCUCUUUUUUUUCAGGUGGGUAAUAGAUACCCCUAAUUCUACCGUCGGACACUUGUCCAUUUUUUCCGCUCAAGUGGGCAUCUUUGUACCCCUAAUUCUACUUCGGACACUUGUCCAUUUUUACCUCUCGUCUUACUCUUUUUCCUUCUUUUUUUUUGAGGUUCCGGGCACUUGCCCCUUUUUAUUUCCUCGUAUAUAUUUUUGCAUAACCCAUGCCUCUUCUGCAUUGAAUCUUUUUAGAGAGAGAGAAUAACAAUAUUCGGGACAGUGAGUGAUAAUAUUUUUAGCAAUUUUAAUGAUUGGUGAUGAAUGCUGUGGUAGAUGUGUGCAAGUGAAUAUCUUAAUUUAACCACAUGAAAAGCUCCUAAGGGUCAACAAAGCUCGAUCAAACUCAAUGUAAAUAUAGUAAAAGAUGUUAUAGCAAGUAUGGCUGUGGUAGGUAGUUUGUUAUGCUAGGAACUCAUCAUGUGAUUUGUGAGUUUUCAAAAUAAAUCUCCAGAACUUAGUGUAGUAGGAACAAGAUAAACAGUAGCUCAACUUUAUAUCAUGUCUUUCUCUUACCUAGACUUUAGUUUUAUGCUUCCCAAAGAUAGUAAUUUUAGUUUUAGUCAUUCCUGGAAGAAAUAUAAAAGCUAGGUACUUGUAAGUAAGCAAACAGAGCAACUAUUCAUUAUUUCCAUCAUGUAUAUUUUUGGUCUUUUUGUUUUUCUAGAGAUUAAACUUAGCAGGAAAAUAAAGCACACUUAUCUACACACUCUUUUUAUUUUGUUUUCAUGUUUAUAAAGUGCAGUGAAUUAAAGCAAGAAAAUAUUUAUAUGGUUUUCUAAGUUUUCUUUUAAGGUAAAUUAAAUACUAGAAUAGAAAAUAAUAAAUAAGAAGAGCAAAUAAAAACUUACUUGAUAAAUUAGGGAGGAACUCCCCCAAGCUGGAUGUUGACGUGGGUCUUACCCGAUGUUCCAGAACCGCAUCAUGGUUGUGAUGUUGUCGUUCAUUGUUGUUGUAUCUUGUCUCAGCUCUUCUACUACAGCGGCAUGGUCCUAGUUCCAUUUUUGUUGUUCUUUCAGGAGUCUUCCAUGUUCUGCUUGCGUGUUCUGGAUGUCGAGGAGGGUGUUGUCGGUACGAGUGAAGAAAGCACCGGCCUCUUGAUAGUAGUCAUUCGUGAAAGCGUAGGAGGCGUCGGAGUAUCGUCCUGUAUCAAAUUGGGGCGAAGGUCUGGAUCCUGAAGAUCCAUAUGGAUCAGAGGAGUACCUGCCCGUAUGAAAAGGCGGGUUUGUCCACUGGUGAUCUUGGCUCUCCGGCCAUGUCUCCUCUGUUGGCUCUUGUGGUUGCGCAUGUCGAGCCCAUGGGUCUCGAAGGACUUGUGGAUUGUAAUCGCAAUAAUGCAGGUGUGCUGCUUCUUCUGGUCCAGGGUCAGCUCCAUACCAAGUGCGUUCUCGGUUGUCACACCCAUAUUUUAAGAGCAAAAUAGGAUGCAUAAAAGACUCAUAUGUGCCCCAGAAACAGUCGCACACAUAAGUAGACAAAUCUCAAAUGUACCAUCGCAGUGUUUAUUACAUAGCGGAAUAUAAAAUAUCACAUAGUCUCAUACAAAAAUGAUAACAUAAAGUAAACAACGCUCUCAACGGAAGCUCCACACAGGGACACUGUUGACUGGUUGACUCCAAACCUAGUACUCAUAACGGUAGUCCUCAUUCCAGUCAUCUUCAUUAUCAUAUCCUGAGGUGUUGGGAAAUUGCAAGAGUGAGCACAUAUCGUACUCAACAAGUAUAACCAGGGGUUCAUGAGGCUCAAAUAGCUGACACUGGUUUGACUGCAUUUAGCUUUUAAUAGUGGAUAGCAUGUUCAUAAUUAAAUAGCAAUUCUCAAGGUAGCAUAAAUAAUCAAUUAAUCCCAUGAUCAAUGUAAGCAUAAUUAACUCAUAGCAUAAACAAUAAUCAAAUGAACAUAAUAACAUAACAAGCUCAUCAUCUUAAUGUAGAUGUCCCCAAGGCCGCUCCUGACCGUGAGCUCGGCUAGUAUACCAGUUUUACACUCUGCAGAGGUUGUACAUCUUUACCCAUGAGUCAUGAUUUACCCUUUCGCCCGAGGCCCGUCGACCUCUUAACCCACUACCAAGGAAGGUCGGCAGGGAUCACUAUGAAGCCUUUCAAAAGUUCGUCUAACAUGUUAGGGCCGCAAGGUUUCCUUUGCGAGCAGAUAUAGAUACCCCCCUUCCGAAUGGCACAAUGACGCGCAGCCUAUACACAUAGGGACAGGGGCUCGCACUAUACCCGUGUCGGUUCAGCCCCUCUAGCGCCCUUUCGGGUAACCUCUAACAAGCUAGAAAAGGUCUUCAUACUGAGCUAAAGCCAGAGCCAUAAUAGCCCUCAUGGUUGCACUGUUAUCCCGGGUGAUCACGUACAGACAAGAUCUCAUGUCGUUAUUUGUCAUUCUUUUAUGUUCAUUGCAUAGCUAUUAAUCAUCUUACAAGAUCAUGGAUUAUAUCAAGCACUAGCACAUCUACUCCAAAUGCAUAUCAAGUAGGUAGCAAGGAAUCCAGGUAACAAUCAUCUAUGAUUUUGCUAAGGUCGACAAGGUGAUAGCAUGCAUAUGACAUAUAUGUGUAGUUAUAAGUGAAUAGGUAACAAGGAUAAUCCCAAGUUAUACUUGCCUUGCUCAAAGCUCUCCUGAGCUUGCUGGUCCUCAAAAGCUUGGGCUUGGUCACCAACGUACGGCUCACCGUCUAAUCCCAAUCAUCAAUCAACAACACGCAUUCCAAUGGAGACAAUCAUACACAAAGCAAACAAGGUAUAAUUAGAACAUUACACCAAACAGUGGUAAAACAAAUAUAAAAGUUUAUCAAAAUAUUCUACGCAGCGCUACGAUCACACAAACGUAAAGUUCACGAAAAUCGGAAUUAAAACGUGAGAGAUAUGAAUUUUCUAAGAUUUCCUAUAAAGAAAUAAUUAAUUAAAUACUACUGCAGAAUUAAAAAGUUUCAAAACAGUAAACUAAUAUUUCUAACAUGUAGAGAUCGUAAAUACGAAUCCAACGGAAUUUGAAUGGAUAAAAACGGAGUUAAAACGAAUAUUUUAUGAGCAAAACAAAAUCAGUGGCAAACUUGUAAAUAGCAGAAAAAGCAUUUUUUUUUUAAGCGACCGUCACCAGCUCCGGUGCGGUGGCCACCAUGGCCGGAGAGCCGAAGCUCGCCGGAGCUCCUCGACUUCUCCUUUCCGAGCACCGUUUUUUGAAAGGAAAAUACCGGGAUGAAGAGGAGCUCACCACGAUCUCGUCUAAGCGCUUGGUUGGGUCCGAGAGAGAACGGAGAGGGCUUGCCACGGAGAGGAACAAGAUCGGCCACGCCGAGAUCCGAACUCCAGAGAAUACGGCGACUAGGGCUCGGUUUCACAACUUGGAUGCAAAGAGGGAGCCGCGGGGUUUACCUAGGGCUUUAUAGGGGCUUGAUUUGCACAAAAGGCAAGAGAAUCCCGCUGUUCCCGGGAUUGAGUCGGCCGGUUCGUGAGUCCGGGUCGACUACGAACAGAGGUAGGGGACGAGCGUUUUUUUUUUUUUUUUUUCUCAAAUCUUUUUUUCAAAAAGGAUUUUGGGGACAAUUAAAUACAAACCAAAUACAAUCAACACAAAAUAAACUAUGUCUCAGCAUGAAUGCACAUAAUCAUGUUACUAAGCUUAUGAUAAUUUUUAAUUUUCACAAAAAUUGUUUAUUUGCUACAUUAAAUGCUCACUAAAAUUCUUAAAUAACUCAAAUUAAAUCCUAUUAAUUCCAAAUCAAAUUUUGGGUGUUACAAACUCUACCCCCCUUAAAAGAAUCUCGUCCUCGAGAUUGAACGGUGCUUACUCGAACAGAUAUGAGUAUGACUUCCUCAGAUCAUCCUCUCUUUCCCAAGUUGCCUCCGCUUCCGAAUGCCGAUUCCACUGUACUUUGCACAUUCUGAUGACCCGACUUCUGGUGACUCUCUCUGCUGUCUCCAAUAUUUUGACCGGAUGCUCUUCAUAAGUGAGGUCACCUUUAACGGAAAGUUCUUCCAAUGGUAACUGCCCCUCAGGUACACGCAGACACUUCUUGAGUUGUGACACAUGGAACACAUCGUGCACACCAGAUAAACUUUCCGGCAAUUCUAACCGAUAUGCUACUUCUCCACGCCUUUCUAAAACUUUAAACGGACCAACAUACCUUGGAGCUAGCUUUCCCUUCAUAUUAAACCUCUUCACACUCCGCAUAGGUGACACUUUCAGAUAGACAUAAUCACCCACUUCAAAAGCCAGCUCUCUCCUACGCGUAUCUGCAUAGCUUUUCUGACGAGAUUGAGCAAUUCUCAAGUUAUCCCGAAUAGUCCGCACUUGUUGUUCUGCAUGUCUAAGCACAUCUGUCCCAAACACCUGAGUUUCUCCCGUCUGAUUCCAAAACAAAGGUGUCCUGCACUUCCGACCAUAUAGGGCCUCGAACGGUGCCAUCUUCAGACUUUGCUGAUAGCUGUUGUUGUAGGAGAAUUCUGCAUAUGGCAAACUCUUGUCCCAACUAGCCCCAUACUGCAAAGCACAAGCUCUCAACAUAUCCUCCAAUAUCUGAUUGAUCCUCUCAGUCUGUCCAUCUGUCUGUGGAUGAUAUGCUGUGCUGAAAUUCAACUUGGUUCCCAAUGAAUCAUGCACUGCUUUCCAAAAGUGAGAUGUGAAUUGAGUACCCCUAUCUGACACAAUCUUCUUAGGUACCCCAUGCAAACAAACAAUUCUCUCCAUAUACAGCUCAGCUAGGCGUUCUCCAGUGUACUUAGUUUUAACGGGUAUGAAGUGAGCAACUUUGGUCAAACGAUCUACUAUCACCCAUAUUGAGUCAUACCCUCUCUGUGUACGUGGUAAACCCACUAUAAAAUCCAUACCCACUUCUUCCCACUUCCAUUCCGGAAUCUUCAUUGGUGCAACAGUCCAGNNNNNNNNNNNNNNNNNNNNNNNNNNNNNNNNNNNNNNNNNNNNNNNNNNNNNNNNNNNNNNNNNNNNNNNNNNNNNNNNNNNNNNNNNNNNNNNNNNNNNNNNNNNNNNNNNNNNNNNNNNNNNNNNNNNNNNNNNNNNNNNNNNNNNNNNNNNNNNNNNNNNNNNNNNNNNNNNNNNNNNNNNNNNNNNNNNNNNNNNNNNNNNNNNNNNNNNNNNNNNNNNNNNNNNNNNNNNNNNNNNNNNNNNNNNNNNNNNNNNNNNNNNNNNNNNNNNNNNNNNNNNNNNNNNNNNNNNNNNNNNNNNNNNNNNNNNNNNNNNNNNNNNNNNNNNNNNNNNNNNNNNNNNNNNNNNNNNNNNNNNNNNNNNNNNNNNNNNNNNNNNNNNNNNNNNNNNNNNNNNNNNNNNNNNNNNNNNNNNNNNNNNNNNNNNNNNNNNNNNNNNNNNNNNNNNNNNNNNNNNNNNNNNNNNNNNNNNNNNNNNNNNNNNNNNNNNNNNNNNNNNNNNNNNNNNNNNNNNNNNNNNNNNNNNNNNNNNNNNNNNNNNNNNNNNNNNNNNNNNNNNNNNNNNNNNNNNNNNNNNNNNNNNNNNNNNNNNNNNNNNNNNNNNNNNNNNNNNNNNNNNNNNNNNNNNNNNNNNNNNNNNNNNNNNNNNNNNNNNNNNNNNNNNNNNNNNNNNNNNNNNNNNNNNNNNNNNNNNNNNNNNNNNNNNNNNNNNNNNNNNNNNNNNNNNNNNNNNNNNNNNNNNNNNNNNNNNNNNNNNNNNNNNNNNNNNNNNNNNNNNNNNNNNNNNNNNNNNNNNNNNNNNNNNNNNNNNNNNNNNNNNNNNNNNNNNNNNNNNNNNNNNNNNNNNNNNNNNNNNNNNNNNNNNNNNNNNNNNNNNNNNNNNNNNNNNNNNNNNNNNNNNNNNNNNNNNNNNNNNNNNNNNNNNNNNNNNNNNNNNNNNNNNNNNNNNNNNNNNNNNNNNNNNNNNNNNNNNNNNNNNNNNNNNNNNNNNNNNNNNNNNNNNNNNNNNNNNNNNNNNNNNNNNNNNNNNNNNNNNNNNNNNNNNNNNNNNNNNNNNNNNNNNNNNNNNNNNNNNNNNNNNNNNNNNNNNNNNNNNNNNNNNNNNNNNNNNNNNNNNNNNNNNNNNNNNNNNNNAUCAAUAGUGUCUCCAAAUCUUCAAUGCAUGAACCACAGCUGCUAACUCCAAAUCAUGAGUAGGAUAAUUCAGUUCAUGUUUCCUCAAUUGUCUAGAUGCAUAAGCAACAACUCUACCUUCUUGCAUGAGAACACAACCCAAACCCAGACGAGAAGCAUCACAAUAGAUAGAGAAACUCUUACUCAGAUCUGGCAAAACCAACACAGGUGCAGUAGUCAAUCUCUUCUUGAACUCCUCAAAACUAGCUUGACACUUAUCAGACCAUACAAACUUAGCAUUCUUCUCUAACAGAGCUGUCAUAGGCUUUGCAAGUUUUGAGAACCCUUCAAUGAAUCUACGAUAAUAACCAGCCAAACCAAGAAAACUGCGUAUUUCACUUACAUCAGUAGGUGGUUUCCAAUUCAACACAUCUCUCACCUUACUAGGAUCCACUGCAAUACCACCAUUAGAGACAACAUGACCAAGAAAAGAAACUUCCUCCAACCAAAACUCACAUUUACUACGCUUAGCAUACAACUUAUGUUCUCUAAGUUUCUGUAAGACCAAUCUCAGAUGUUCAGCAUGUUCUUCCUUGGUUUUAGAGAAUACCAGAAUAUCAUCAAUAAAGACCACCACAAACUUAUCAAGAUACUCCAUAAAUACUUUAUUCAUCAUGUACAUAAAGUAAGCUGGUGCGUUGGUCAAACCAAAGGACAUAACUGUAUACUCAUAUAACCCAUACCUUGUUGUGAAAGCUGUCUUUGGUAUAUCUGAAUUCCGAAUCUUCAAUUGAUGAUAACCGGAACGCAAAUCAAUCUUAGAGAACACACAAGCACCUCUUAACUGAUCAAAUAAGUCAUCGAUCCUAGGCAAGGGAUAUUUAUUCUUGAUAGUGACCUCAUUAAGUGACCGAUAGUCAACACACAUCCUCUGACUACCAUCCUUCUUAUCAACAAAGAUAACUGGUGCACCCCAUGGUGAUGAACUAGGACGAAUGAACCCUUUAUCUUGCAAUUCCUUAAUUUGUUUCUUAAGUUCUUCUAGUUCAUUAACCCCCAUUCUAUAUGGUCUUUUAGCUAUGGGUGCAGUACCAGGUAGUAAUUCAAUAAUAAAUUCAAUGUCUCGGUCAGGUGGCAUACCUGGCAAUUCAUCUGGAAAGACAUCCGGAAACUCAUCCACUACCAAAUUCUGAGGAUCAACAUCUUCAUUCAGUUGGUUCACCUUGGCUGUGAGUGGUGCUUGCACUGUUACAUUAACACUGAUUCGUUCUCCCUUUGGUGUUGUCAGAGCCACUACUCUCUCUUUGCAAUUAAUAUUUGUUUCAUGUUGCUUCAUCCAAUCCAAACCCAAGAUCACAUCUAUGCCUGAAGUUCUCAUAACCAUGGGACUGAUAGGAAAAUCUACCCCCCUUAACGAAAGACUUGCCGAGGGGCAACAUAAAGAAACUGGUAUAGUCCCACCCGGUGAAUUAACUAGCAUAGGAGUUUUCAUUGCAACUAGUGGAAGGCUAUGAACUCUAACAAAUGCUUGUGAUAUGAAUGUAUGCGAAGCUCCAGAAUCAAAUAAAACUGUAGCAGGGAUAGAGUUGAUGCUGAACGUACCCAUCAUGAUUUCGGGUCCCUCCUGAACAGUUUCUGCUGCCACGUUGUUCACCUUUGCUGAAUUAGGAGUGGAUCUCCGGUCGUUGUACUGCGGAUUAAACUUCUCUGGGCAAUCAUAGGACAUAUGUCCUUCUUUCCCACAACGGAAACACCUGGUAGGAGUGUUAGAGGCACUUCUUUUUGUGGAGUUGGCAUUUGGGUUCCCUGGGCGAGGUGCCUGCUGGCCAUGCUGCUGUUGAUUAUGGUUACGUUGUUGGAAUGGAGGACGUUGGUUCCCACUCUGUGACUGAUUCUGGAAACGCUGGGGUUGUUGGUUGCGGUUCCACUGACUAACUAGUCCCUGGAACCUCUGCUGAUGACCUUGAUGAGAACUGAAACGCUGACGGUUGUUGCUCCCAGAACCUUGUGCCAGCAUCCUUCUCUUCUUAUCCUUACGUGCAUCACAGUUAGAAGCGCGCCGCACACGAUUCACAAGAGCCUGGAAGGUAGGAUAGGUGUUUCCAGCCAACUGCAACCUGAGUUCAUAGUACAAGCCCUUCAUGAAUAGACGCUGCUUAUCAGCAUCUUCCCUGACAUCAUUCGGAGCAUAGCGAGCCAACUGUUCAAAUGUGUCAUGAUAUUCUGCCACAGUCAUGGAGCCCAUCCUGAGUGAUCUGAAUUCUUCUUGUUUGAGCUCCAUCACUCCUUCAUUUAUAUGUCGAGCUCUGAAGUCCCUACAGAAUUCCAGCCAUGUGACAGGAGAAGCAUUGUUGGGGCGAGCAGCUUGAUACGACUCCCACCAUGUCUGAGCUGCACCUUGAAGCUGUCCAGAAGCAUACAACACCUUCUCCAAGUCGUUGCACUGUGCUAUGUUUAGCUGCCUCUCCACAGCACGUAACCAAUCAUCUGCCUCCAUGGGAUCAGCUGAGUGUGUAAAUACCGGAGGUCUUCCCUUCAUAAACUCUCCACGCUUGUCCCUCACAUGAAUAGGUGGUGGUGUCGGUGGAGGUUGUUGCUGCAGGUGCUGCAUGAAAACGUGCAUCAUCUGAUUUUGGGUUUGCAUGAGUUCCUCCACGGUGAUUGGGGCAUUGCCACCAUUACCAUUGUCAUUGCCAUUGCCACGGCCUCUGCCUCUGCCUCUUCCUCUUGCUGCCAUCUGCAUUCCAAGGUAUAUAAACACAUCUUAGUAAUGCCCAACAUGACAAUUACAAGAGUUAACCGAAUCUGAAAUUUUCUGGGUAACAUCCAACGUCAGCAGGUCAGAAAAUCAGUAAUAUCUCGAGUUCCAGAAUUCAAAAGGAUACAUACUGUACACCGUUGGAAAGAUAAAGAAAUUGUCUACAACUUUCAUUUAGAUCAUAUCACCAGAUUCCAACGUGAGAUUAACCAAAAACUGGGUACAACCGAAACUGUUCCAGAAUUCCAGACUGCGCAGAAACCUCAACUUUAAACAGUCAUAACUCACAGCUCAUAAUAGAUAAUAUGGUCAUUCUUGCGGCAUUGGAAAUAUAUGAAAGUCUACUUUUUCCCAGAAAAAUUUGAUGAACAUUGCACGAGCAUAAUUUGAUUUAUUCCAGAAUCAUUGCAGACUGGUCCAGAAAACAGCAAAAGACAGAAACAGGAUAUGACCCCAAACUACUAUUUAUUCAUGUUCUUACUUAAGGUUCUUAAUUAGAGAACUUGUGGACAUGCCCACAAAUUCCCAGCACUCAUUACAAAAAUCCAAAUCACACAUAUUCAUAAUAACAAAUCAGCAAGCACACCAAGUUCACACCACACUAGCAAAAGACUCUAAAUAACUCGCAACUACUAACGUUACUAUUACAUAUGGGUUCUUUUCUAUUCUUCGGGUGCAGCAUCCUUCAAGAUGGGUUCAACAUGCAGCCUCUUAUGAAGUUUGGGGCGGCCUAACUCCGCUCGAAGGUCAUCCGCUUCCCUUUGCUCUUUCUCCAGCAGCUUCCUCUCACGGUGUAGUUCAUUCUCCAACUCUAUCACCUUGAGUGUCAGCUCAUAAGUCAACUCCACUUGUGCUUGAAGCUUUGGUUGUGAAGCAUCUGCAACUUCUAUGGCCCAAGUCAUCUUCUCUGGUACAAAGCGAGGAUAGUGGUAUGUUGCAUUGUACUGAACAUCCUCAAAGCGUCUACCACGGUAAAAGAUCAAUGCCUGGUAAGCUGCAUCUGCCAUGCUCUCUCUCAUCGUGUCCCGGCUGAUUCGAGCGAGGUGUUUUGAUUCCACCUUUCGAAUCCCCUUGGUGGCAUCCAGUGUCUUGACUAUCAGCUCUGCAACCCAAAGUGAUCUCUUCAGCGGGUGUUUGUGCUCAGUGCAGUUAUACUCCAGUGUGGCCUGCAAAUCCGGGUAAUGGUGUUUCAAUGUCAACACCAAAUUCUCAUGGANNNNNNNNNNNNNNNNNNNNNNNNNNNNNNNNNNNNNNNNNNNNNNNNNNNNNNNNNNNNNNNNNNNNNNNNNNNNNNNNNNNNNNNNNNNNNNNNNNNNNNNNNNNNNNNNNNNNNNNNNNNNNNNNNNNNNNNNNNNNNNNNNNNNNNNNNNNNNNNNNNNNNNNNNNNNNNNNNNNNNNNNNNNNNNNNNNNNNNNNNNNNNNNNNNNNNNNNNNNNNNNNNNNNNNNNNNNNNNNNNNNNNNNNNNNNNNNNNNNNNNNNNNNNNNNNNNNNNNNNNNNNNNNNNNNNNNNNNNNNNNNNNNNNNNNNNNNNNNNNNNNNNNNNNNNNNNNNNNNNNNNNNNNNNNNNNNNNNNNNNNNNNNNNNNNNNNNNNNNNNNNNNNNNNNNNNNNNNNNNNNNNNNNNNNNNNNNNNNNNNNNNNNNNNNNNNNNNNNNNNNNNCACAUUAGUUAGCUCAACAGUCACAAAGCAAACAAGGUAUAAUUAGAACAUUACACCAAACAGUGGUAAAACAAAUAUAAAAGUUUAUCAAAAUAUUCUACGCAGCGCUACGAUCACACAAACGUAAAGUUCACGAAAAUCGGAAUUAAAACGUGAGAGAUAUGAAUUUUCUAAGAUUUCCUAUAAAGAAAUAAUUAAUUAAAUACUACUGCAGAAUUAAAAAGUUUCAAAACAGUAAACUAAUAUUUCUAACAUGUAGAGAUCGUAAAUACGAAUCCAACGGAAUUUGAAUGGAUAAAAACGGAGUUAAAACGAAUAUUUUAUGAGCAAAACAAAAUCAGUGGCAAACUUGUAAAUAGCAGAAAAAGCAUUUUUUUUUUUAAGCGACCGUCACCAGCUCCGGUGCGGUGGCCACCAUGGCCGGAGAGCCGAAGCUCGCCGGAGCUCCUCGACUUCUCCUUUCCGAGCACCGUUUUUUGAAAGGAAAAUACCGGGAUGAAGAGGAGCUCACCACGAUCUCGUCUAAGCGCUUGGUUGGGUCCGAGAGAGAACGGAGAGGGCUUGCCACGGAGAGGAACAAGAUCGGCCACGCCGAGAUCCGAACUCCAGAGAAUACGGCGACUAGGGCUCGGUUUCACAACUUGGAUGCAAAGAGGGAGCCGCGGGGUUUACCUAGGGCUUUAUAGGGGCUUGAUUUGCACAAAAGGCAAGAGAAUCCCGCUGUUCCCGGGAUUGAGUCGGCCGGUUCGUGAGUCCGGGUCGACUACGAACAGAGGUAGGGGACGAGCGUUUUUUUUUUUUUUUUUUUUCUCAAAUCUUUUUUUCAAAAAGGAUUUUGGGGACAAUUAAAUACAAACCAAAUACAAUCAACACAAAAUAAACUAUGUCUCAGCAUGAAUGCACAUAAUCAUGUUACUAAGCUUAUGAUAAUUUUUAAUUUUCACAAAAAUUGUUUAUUUGCUACAUUAAAUGCUCACUAAAAUUCUUAAAUAACUCAAAUUAAAUCCUAUUAAUUCCAAAUCAAAUUUUGGGUGUUACAUCGGUGAGUGGUUAUCCUUUCAGAUGCCACUCGCUGUGGAGUUCUCUGGUUCACUGGUGUUGCUGCAAUCUCAAUCAAAAAUUUUUGCACAGAGUAGAGGCUAAGGUUCGGGUUAGGUAACCGAAUCUUGCCUUUAUCAUCAUACAACAUGUACAUUAUAUUUCCCUCUUUCUUUAACAUCCGAGCUUGUCUAAAUGUGUCAUAGCCAUGAUAAAUUCUUAAUUCUUCUAUGAAGUCCAAUGAUGAGUUUUCUAGUAAGUGAAGAUUAGUGGCUAGACGAGUGAUAAGUGAAGUACACCCUACUGGUCCCUGCAGACUAGGUAUACUAAGCCAAUGUGAAACUAAUAGUGUAACAGGUGAAGUGGGUACUUUACUAAUAGCAGCAUAUAAAAGUUGUAAAUCUCCUACUCUUAAUUUCCUAAUAUCGUCACGAUAGAAAAGAUUGUACCCAAGCCAUUUGUGAAACAUCGUGAGAGUGGGGUGUUCCAUGUCACUGGUUCGGGCUUGACUGUAAAAAUUAUCUCUAGAUAUUUCUCUCCAAAACUGGUGUCUCUCAAAGUUGGGUAAAUCGGAGUCAAUGUUCAGGAUGCAUCUUGAAGAGAAACCAAAAUGGUCACUCAGCUCUCUCCAAGACAACAUAAUUUCCUGUUUGAACAUCCGAAAAACAAUUCCCCCCUCAUAGUAUUGUAAGGUGCAAAGAAAUUCGAGGGUGAGAAGACGAGAACCUAGCUCAGUUAUAUUCCAAAAAUUUGUCCAACCCAUCAUUUGAAAAAUUAAGUCAAAUUCAGUGUCCAUACCUGUUUCUCGUAGUAGGAUUGGAUCGAUAGUAGGGGUGUGAAUGAAAUCCUUGUUCUUCAGUUGCUGAUAGACUUCCUUCUCUCUUCGGGUCUUCAGUCCUAGGUCUCCUAUCUUGAGAAGGACCUUAACUUGCUGACCUGAUGAAGAUGAUGGAGCUUGUGUGGGUGUCGGGUCGACGUUCAUCUCUGAUGGCUGUGAGGAGUGUCGGGAUGAACUCCUUGUACCAAGGUUCUUGAUAGCCUUCCCUGCAUUCUUCACCUUCUUAAACAUCCUGCAAAAUUUGGCAAAAACACAACUGGUGGAAAAUGUAAGAUAAAAUGUUAGUGGUUAGCUGUCCGGAGUGUCAGUAGUCCAGGGGUUAAUCGUUCAAGACAAGUUUCUAUUUUGGUAUAGCCUCCCCCUAAACAACUUUUACUUCCGCUUAGACAGCGGGAUCACUACUUGCUAGGUGACAAUCACUCUCUCAAAAGAACUCCAACCUUCCCUUCCACUCUCCUCUUUCUCUCUACCCUAUUCUCUUUACUACAAAAGUUCCUCCUCAGGAAACUGAGAUUUGUGUGGUUUUCUGAAGUGUUUGUGUGAAGAGAAGGGAAACUGGAGGUGACCUUUUAUAGGCUAAGCAGGGGACAGGGCGGGCGCCCAAGGUAGGUGGGCGGGCGCCCACCCCUGGUGUCCAUCCUGGGUGUGCCUCCUCCAUAUGCUUCCUUGCUUUGAUCUCACGCAGAAUAAUGUUGUGUUGGUGGUGGUUGGACGGUGGAAAGAUGUCAGGUGAGUGGAAACAUAUUGGUGGAUGAAAUUAUGUGAUGGGAUAUAUGUGAGAUGAAGUGUAUGACAUGUUGGACCCAAAGAGUGUGGGUCAUGCUUCUAGAAGAUCAAUAUAAAUAAAUAUAAUGCAGGAAAAUCUAUGAGAAUUGAAACUUAAUGAUAAUGGAAAAUAUUUUUGUGCCUCCACAAUAAUUAAUAAAUAUGGGUUGUUACACACCACGAAUAUUAUUUAUAUGGGGCUUUUUGAUUAUUAUAAUUAUGCUAUGACUAAUGCAAGAAUUAAUUAUGCAAGAAUUUAAAUAUGAGAAAAUUAAUAAUGCGGGUAAAUACCGAUUUACCUCCCGGUGAGGGUUUGGGAUUUUUAGGUCCCCCAAGGUGGACCUCCAAAUCUUUUAAUCUUCUGAGUUUCCUUCCUCCGGAGAUGGUGUCUCCAGUGGUUCUUCAUGAACUUCCUUCACUGUAGAGUCUCUCUCUGGUCUGGGUUUGAAUGUGAAGUGUUCUUCUUGACCGUUUAUGUUGAACUUGAUUUCUCCUUUCCCGACAUCAAUGUGGGCAUUGGCAGUGCUUAGAAAUGGCCUUCCAAGGAUGAUGGACACUUUUGAGUCAGGACUCAUGUCCAGUACUACGAAGUCUACUGGCACCAGGAAAUCUCUGAUCUUGACUGAAAUGUUCUCGGCGAUGCCCAGCGGGUGUCGAACCGAUUGAUCCGCUAGUUGUAGGCACAUUGAUGUUGGUUCUAAGGUUGCAUGCUCAAGCUUUUUGUAGUCUGAUGCUGGCAUCACACUGACACUUGCUCCGAGAUCACAAAGUGCAUUGUUGAAGUGUUGGUUUCCGAUCGAGCAAUCAAUAGUGGGGCAUCCUGGAUCUUCCUUCUUUUUUGGUAGUUUGUUGAGGAUGGCCGCACUACAUUCUUCUGUCAGCUUGAUAACCUCAGUGGCGGGCAGUGGCCUCUUCUUGUUAAGAAUAUCCCUGAUGUACUUUGCAUAUGUAGGUACCUGUAUGGCAUCGAGCAGAGGUAUGUUGACAUAUAAUUUCUGAAUGACCUCUACAAACUUACCAAACUGCUCAUCCGACUGCAGUCCUCUGUUUCUUCUAGGAAAUGGCAAAUAGUUGGUGUCGUAAAAAUCUUUCCUCAUUUCUCCAGUUCUUGGUGGUUGUAGCAGAUCUUCUGCUUCAACUGGGCUUUCUUCUUCUAUCACUGCUGGUUGCACUGGUGCUGAUGUUCUUUGUUUCUCUUUUGGGUAUGGUGGAUCUCUGGUAGCUUUACCUCCUCUAGUAGUUAUAUUCUUUACCUGCUCAAGGUUAGUAGCAACAGGCAGUGCAACAGCUAAUUUUAUCAAUUUAAGCUCUACCCUUUUAUUAAGAGUGUUUUGCUCAUCAAAGGCAGUUAGUAGAAAAUCCAUUUUAUUGUGUAUAUUUUUUAGAGAUGAUUCAUUUGUAUCUAGCCUUUGUUUAACUUCAUCAUUAAUUUUAGUUUGUUGAGCAAUUAUCUCUUUUAGUGAAAGUUGCUUGAAAGUAUUACCUGAAUUCAUACCUUUGCUAUUGGGUUCACUCGAAGUUGGUUGAUAUUUGUAUGCUGUCUCAAUGGCCCUUUGAUCUUCUUUGAACUUGGCCCUCUGGUCAAUCCAAUGGAGCAAAUUUUCCAUCUUAGUUGAUAAUGCUUUUACUUCUUCUGGUAUUUCUUCAGUUUGAUGACAUUGUUGAGCUUUAUCUUGGAACCAGCUUUGGUUUUCUGCUAUCUUAUCCAAAAGUAUCUCUGCUUUUCCAGUUGUAAGCUCCAAGAAUGAUCCUUUAGCAGAUGCAUCUAGGCACUCACGAGCCUUCUGGGUUAAUCCAUGGUAGAAGGUCUGCAUAAGUAACCAUGUGGCCAUUCCAUGGUGAGGACAAUCUGAUACGUAUCCUUGAAAACGCUCCCAUGCUUCUGAAAUGGCUUCUGUCUUCUGCUGUUGGAAACUGACAAUAUUUCCUCUUAAGGCAGUUGUUUUGCCUAUAGGGAAAAACUUUGAUAGAAAGGCAUCUGACAAGUUCGUCCAGUUGUUGAUAUUAUCUUGAUGAGUGUAGAACCACAUCCUCGCUUUCCCUUCUAGUGAGAAUGGAAAAAGACGAAGCAGUAUGACGUCUUUGUCAACUCCGUUGAUGUGGAUUGUGCUUCCAAUCUCUAAGAAAUUCUGCAAGUGUGCACUGGCAUCUUCAUGUGCCUUUCCACUGAAUUGUGUAGCUUGCACCAAAUUGAUGAGGCUUGACUUGAGCUCAACCUCGGGUAUUCCUUCUUCUACUACAAAUCUUGGACCGGUUGGAAUGUUGUCAAGACUUGGAGCAGAGAAUUCUUGCAAGGUCUUUUGUGCCAUAGCUUCAGCAAUUGGUAUCUAGCUUCUUCUUCUCUAGAUUGCUUUGGUUCUGAUGAUGAAGAGUUGAAUGUACCCAAAGUCAAUCCUGUUAUACCCUGUAUAAAAAUAUAAACAUAGAAAAACAACAGGGUGAACCUGCCAAAGCAGCGGUGCCUUGUUAUGAUUUCUCACUUAGUAGUUGUUGUAUGCAAUUAUUUCUCUAUAGUUUAGUCUAAAAUUUUAUAUGAAUAACCUUGAUUGAUUUUCUGGAUUUCCUUAAUAAUACCCUUCUGUUCCCUUUUAUGACUUAUUCCUGAGGCUCAUAUAAUUCCUAUAAUGUUCUAUAAUUCCCCGGCAACGGCGCCAGAAUUGCUUGUUGACACUAGCUAACACCACUUAGAUACUAGGUUGUCAUCCCUAGCAUGGAGCCAGAGUGUACAAAGGUAUUUAUAAAUGUAAAGGCUCUUUAGAAAAUAAUCUAUUCUAUCCGCAAGCGCACAGAUAAAACACCUCAUUGUAGCAUUUCACCAGGAUAAGUAUUCCAGGUAUCGUUAUUUAUAAUUUUGCUCUAGGGAUCUAAAGAAGAUGGAAUUAAAUCAAGGGACAAAAUCUAUCAAGGCAUAGACUAGAGAUAAACUUGCAAGAACAUGAUUACUAAUGAGAAACUCGUCACAUAGUCACUUACUUUAGCAGGGGGUAAACCAUAAAGAUAAUGAUAAUAAAGUAUAAGUUCAUGGGUAGAUAACACAGCGAUUAGAAAAUAGACUACUCCUCAUAUAUGUAGGUGAUGUCGGAUUAGCUAGAGAAUGGAUUCUAAGUUAUCUACUAACUACUAAGUCAUAAUCUACUCUAGUUAUCUACAAGAUCAUAUAUAGCAUAAAAGACUCUUCAUUCAUGUAUAAGGAACAUUGAUAAAGUAAAUCAGAGCAUCGCAUGACUUACUCCACAAUACCGGUUCUGCCUGUCCUAUCAACGGAGGGUGGACUAUAUAAGAAUCAACGAAGCUGUCACUAUCGCGAACUACCACUCGACCCGGCCAAUAGGAUACAUUUGCAGAUAAAUAACAUCUAAGCACCACGCUCACAUGUGAUCUAUCACCUAACUCCCUCGUGACAAGAGCUAAGCGCUUUGCAAACUUAUACAUAAACUCAUUAUCAAUUAGAACUAUAUCAAAUAUAGAACUAGAGCAAACUAAGAACAUAAUAAUUAAAGACAUAAUGCAAUUAGAACAAAGAAUUAGAGAAAGAUAUGAAUAAUACCAAUCUUUAUUACCGAAGAUCCGAAUCCAGAGCGUAGUGCUCUACUUCUCUAAUUGCUAUCUAAUCAACCUCUAAACUUGAAGGAUUAGGGAGUAGCUAAUUCUAAUUCUCUGUGGGAGAGAGAUCUAAACCCUAACUUUGAUGGCUACCUCUGAAUAAUGAUUUCUCCUCUCUCCUCCAGGGGCCAGGGGGUCUGGUUUUAUAGUCCCCUCAAGUGAACGUGAGCCAUUGGAUCAAACCGACAUAGAUUGUAUGGUUUAGAUUGAUCCUUUAGGUCGGUGGAGAGUUGUCCCGAAGCAGAGUCCUGAUUGGCUUCCUGGCCAGGGCGGGCGCCUAAGAGGGGUGGGCGGCCGCCCAGCUCCCGAGCCCGAAUCGCGUCCCGUUCGUUCCCGUGGCUUCUGGAUCCUUCUAGAUCAAGGAAAAUUGCGCGGCACGUAAUUAUCUCGUUGUAAACAUGACAUGUGGGCCUUCUGUCCCUAUUUUCUGAUAAACCCCUGCAGAAAUAGAUAAACACCAAAGCUCGUGGAAUUCUAUCAGAUAAAACCCUAAUUCUAGAUGUUUGUUUCAUAUUGAUCCGUUUUCAUGUUUAUUUGAUUAUUAAUUUUAGUACUUAAGGACCGUCAACAGUGGUGCAGGUUGAUGCUGAAGGUGCUGCAUAAAAGCAUGCAUCAUCUCAUUCUGAGUCUGCUUGAGCUCUUCCACAGAAAUUGGGGCAUUGGCAGCCCUACCACGGCCUCUGCCUCUGCCUCUUCCCCUUGCUGCCAUCUGAAUUCCAAGGUACAGAAACAUAUCUCAAUAAUAUCCAACAUGUUGAAUCUGAAUUUUUGUAGGCGAUAUCCAACAUUAGCAGUUCAGAAAAUCAGUCAUAUGUCGAGUUCCACGACUCAAAAGGAGACGUUCUUUACACCGUUGGAAAGAUAAAGAAAUUAUCUACAACUUUCAUUUAGGUCAUAUUAACACAUUCUGUGGUUAAAUUAGCCAAAAUAGGGUAUAUCCGAAACUGUUCCAGAAUUCCAGACUGUGCAGAAACCUCAACUUUGAACAGUUAUAUCUCACAGCUCUUAAUAUGUAAUAAUUUCAUUCUUGCGGCAUUGGAAAGAUAAUGAAGUCUAGUUGUUCCAAGAAAAUUGUGAUGAACUUUGCAUGAACAGAAUUUGAGGUAUAUCAGAAUUAUUGCAGACUGCUUCAGAAAUCAGCAAGACACAGAAACAGAAUUUUGACCAAACCCAACUAUUUAGUUCAUUAAUCCUUAUGCCUUAGGCCUGUAAACUAUAUGAUUGUGGAGAAAAUCCACAAGAUCAUUACACUCGUCACAAAGAACCAAAUCAAGCAUAAGCAUAAUAACAACCAAACCAAGCAUUAAAGGUUUACACUUCAAGCAUUGACUCAACUUGCGGUACUAUCGUUCUCUUCCUAUUAAGGGUAAAGAUCCUAAAACUCCUAUUUUAAUGACGCGAAAAAGUGGUAAGAGAAUGUUCUAAAAGCAUAUCAAGGCAAGGAGUGAAGGUAAGAACAAGUCUUUUAAAAUAAGCAACAAGGUAAAGAUGAAUAGUAGGGAAAAGAUAUAGUGUAGGAUAAAAUUUAAAGGUUUAUAGAACUAGGAUUUUAUAGCAAUUUUGAAAACUUAAGAUGGCCAAUUUUUAACUAGGCUUGCGUUCAAUAGUCAAUAAAGCUUUGAUACCAAUUUGUCACACCCAAAUUUCAAGAACGAAAUAGAGUGCAUAAAAGAUUCAUGUGCGCCCCAGAAACAGUCGCAGAAGUUGACAAACCUCAAAUAGUACCAUCACAAUGUUUAUUACAUAGCGGAAUAAUAAUUAUUACAUAGUCUCAAACAAAUAAAGAUACUCUCAAUGGAAGCACCACACAGGGACACUGUCAACUGGUUGACUCCAAGCCUAAUACUCAUAACGGUAAUCCUCAUUCCAGUCAUCUUCUUUAACAUAUCCUGAGGUGUUAUGAAAUAGCAAGAGUGAGCACAUAUCGUACUCAACAAGUAUAACCAGGGGUUCAUGAGGCUCAAUAAGCUUAUACUAGUCUAAUUGCAUUUAGCUUUUAUAUGUAGAUGGCAAGUUUAUAUUUAGAUAGCAAAUGAAAAUGUAGCAUAAUUAAAUCCCAUAACCACAUGAUCAAUGUAUACAAGAAUUAAGAAUAACACAUAUAAAAAACAUAAUAAACCAUCAUUUAUCAUCAUUAAUCAUGUUUAUCAGUGUCUGUGGGGGUAUAAACCCCUACACCCUCACGGCUAGACUUGGGCCAGGAGGCUUGGCCCAUUACGAGACAAGUUCGAGGCUUGAUCCAACCAUUUGGAGUUUUGCGCAAGGAAACAAGACGUGGAGAUCAAGCAGGAUUCUAUUCGGUUAGAAUAGGAAUUGAUAUCAAACUAUCUAUGGCAAUUGUAACCGACUAGGAUUAGUUUCCAGAUCUGUAACCCUGCCCUCCAGACUAUAUAAGGAGGGGCAAAGGACCCCCCUAGAAUAUACUAUUAUCUCAACACAAAUCAAUACAACAAGACGCAGGACGUAGGUAUUACGCGCACACGGCGGCCGAACCUAGAUAAAAAGCUUGUCCGUGUCUUGCGUCACCAUCAAGUUCGUAGCUUGCGCACCGUCUACCGAUAAACUACUGCCGUGGGUAUACCCCAAGGCACACUGCCGACUAGCUUUCGUCGACAGUGGCGCGCCAGGUAGGGGGUGUGCGUACAGCUUUUCCGGCGAACAAGAUGGUCAUCGUUCCAGCUUCCGCGGCCGUGCCUGAAGGCCUCACGUUCACUGUCGGCCAGAUUACGUGGACGAGUCACGGCGGCGGUCUCACGACCACGGCUUCGGAAGAAACCCAGAUCCGAUAUGGGACCACGACGACAUCGGCUCCGACCACACUGACACCGAGCACUCGACCACCGCUUCCUCGUUACAAGGGAAAGAAGGUCGACGGCUCGGAUCUCUUCCGGGCCCUUGAUCGCGCCGAUCUCAAGCUUCUCGAAGCUUCCCAACUAGUGGAAGGGAUCUCGCGCCAGUCUGAUCAAGCCGCGCUAAUGGACUUUUUCAACUCCUACCGGCCAACUCGUGUCGUCACACACGAAUCGCUGGGAACGUCUCUAACGAUAACUUCCACCCCCUCAGGACGGUCCGUCGAACUCAAGGCUUAUCCAGAUCAAGGUUCCCCUUACGGGCUAAACAACUCAGUCGUUCACUAUUCAUGGCACAUCCAAUCCCUUUUCAACGAGGCAGGUUGGUUGCCAAAAUGGAGCGGUCGACCAGCUCGUCACUACGUCAACAUGGUGACGAUCCGAGAACUACGGGACGGCUAGGCUUCCAGCACAAAUUCCCACAAUAGAUCCGUUCCCACCGAAGUUAUAAACUCUGAGGACGAAGACUACGACCUGGAUUUACCACCGUAUCCUCUGGGUUUCUCUCGCUUCCCGGUCUUCCCACCUCGGCGAGGAGACCUCGUCUUCAAUGUCAGCGGCGAUGAACCAGUCGUCGAUGGAGAGACAGAUGAGCAGAGGUAGCUCCGCGAGCACCGCAAUGCCGACCGCGCCCGACGACGCGUGGACGAGGAAUGACAACUCCUGCCGCAUAACCUCAGCGACGCUUUUGACAUGGUCGGGGAUCAGCAAGUCUACAAAACGUUAAAGGGACCAUGCCAACUGCAUCCAAAGUUCAACCACACCAUGGAGGUAUGUCGCGUCCUCAAAAGCAUCUACACGCGGCGGGCUGCUCAAGACGACCCCGCCAAGAAAAACAGGAAACAGGACGGGCGCGACCACGAAGAUGAGGACGAGGACCAGGAUAGGGACCCACGACACCAGUAUGUCAGUCCCACCGACGUGGUCCACUCCAUCUUCAGGGGCAAGGUUUCCAUCGAGUCCAACCGAGAAAGAAAGCUCCUAAAGAGAGCCUGCCUCAACAUAGACCGCACAGAUGGUCUGAUCGCCGAUCCGAAAUUUCCUCCCUGGUCGCACAGGGAGAGCUCCUUCAGCAGGAAGGAUCAGUGGGCUGCCAUCCCGGAGCCAGGACGUUUCCCUCUAAUCCUGGAUCCUUGCAUCAACAGCAUCAGAUUCGAGCGUGUGCUCGUCGACAGGGGAAGCUCCAUUGACAUCCUCUUUCGUAAUAGCUUGCCUGCUCUCAAGAUAACUCCGGCACAGCUAAAGCCCUACGAUGCUCAAUUCUAGGGAGUUUCGCCAGGUCAAAGCUCAGUACCCCUCGGACAGAUAACAAUGCCUGUCCAGUUCGGAACGUCUGACCACUUUCGAACAUAGUUCGUCAACUUUGUGGUCGCCGACUUUGAUGGAACUUACCAUGCAAUACUUGGCCGACCAUCGCUGACAAAGUUCAUGGCAGUUCCACACUACUCAUACUUGGUCCUUAAAAUGCCUACAGAAAAGGGCGUUCUAAUUGGCAGGGGCAAUGUCUACACCGCAUACACUUGCGAGGAGGAAAGCUUCAAGAUCACUGAAGCAAUUGAUCUUUCAAUCCGCAUGGCAGAAACAGCAGCCCAAGCUGCACAGAUCCACCCCGACCAGCUCCGAGUACCCGAGCAGGAGACUGUAAGGAAGAAUUCAAAGUCCAAAGAACACAAGGAAGUACAACUGGUCGAUGGUAGCCCUGAGAAGACAGCCCUCAUCGGGGCCAACCUAGACCCUAAAUAGGAAGACGCGCUCGUUAGGUUUCUAUGAGACAACGUGAGCGUUUUCGCAUGGAAACCAGCAGACAUGCCCGGCGUCCCACGAAACCCAAUCGAGCACUCCUUAAACGUCUCGAAGACCGCAAGACCCAUUAAGCAAAAGCUACGAUGGUUCGCUCGUGACAAAAAGGAGGCUAUUAGGACAGAAAUAACACAGCUUCUAGCAGCCGGAUUUAUCAAAGAAGUGUAUCAUCCCGAUUGGCUCGCCAAUCCGGUUCUUGUACGCAAAAGAAUAAUGAAUGGAGAAUGUGCGUUGAUUACACUGAUCUCAAUAAACACUGUCCUAAAGAUCCUUUUGGUCUCCCUCGCAUCGACGAGGUGGUCAACUCAACGGCCGGAUGCGAACUCCUCUCUUUUCUAGACUGCUACUCUGGUUAUCACCAGAUCUCGCUAAAGGAAGAUGAUGAGAUCAAAACAUCUUUUAUUACUCCUUUCUGCGCAUAUUGCUACACGACCAUGUCCUUUGGACUCAAAAAUGCCAGAGCCACCUAUCAACGGGCCAUCCAACAAUGCCUCCACGACGAGAUUCGCGAUGACCUCGUCGAGGCUUAUGUAGACGACGUCGUCGUCAAAACAAGGGAUGCAGGCAGUCUAGUCGACAACCUAGACCGAACCAUUAAGGACCUAAAUAAAUACAAGUGGAAGCUUAACCCCAAAAGCUGCAUCUUUGGGGUCCCCUCUGGUCUACUACUCAGCAACAUCGUCAGCCGCGACGACAUACGACCGAAUCCUUCAAAAGUAAAAGCAGUGCUCGACAUGCGACCACCUAAGAAAGUCAAGGAUAUUCAGAAACUCACCGGAUGUAUGGCCGCUCUCAGUUGCUUCAUCUCAAGACUGGGAGAAAAAGGCCUCCCUUUCUUCAAACUCUUGAAGGCAUCGGAAAAAUUCUCCUGGACAGAGGAAGCUGACGCCGCCUUCACCCAGCUCAAGACUUCCCUCACCUCACCGCCUGUUCUCACAGCACCUCAGCCCAAUGAAGACCUACUCCUCUACAUUGCAGCGACCGACAGGGUUGUCUCCACGACAAUAGUGGUCGAGCAAGACGAGCCAGGUCACGUCUACAAGGUCCAGAGACCCGUUUAUUUCAUAAGCGAAGUCUUAAACGAGUCCAAGACUAGGUACCCACAGAUACAGAAGCUCAUAUACGCCAUCCUGAUAACGUCCAGGAAGCUUAAACACUACUUCGACGGCCACCGGGUCUUGGUAACCACCAGUUUCCCUCUGAGGGACAUUCUGCGCGACAAGGACGCCAACGGCAGAAUUGUAAAAUGGCCAAUGGAAUUAUGCCCAUUCUCCCUAGAUUUCCAGAGCCGCACUACCGUCAAGUCUCAGGCCCUGGUCGAUUUCAUCGCAGAGUGGACGGACCUCAAUGAACCUUCUGUCUCCGACAUCUCCGACCACUGGUCAAUGUUCUUCGACGGGUCCUUGAACAUCAACGGUUCCGGCGCCGGGAUACUCUUUGUGUCGCCUAACAAGGACAAACUACGCUACGUCCUUAGAAUCCUCUUUCUAGCGUCAAACAAUGUUGCUGAGUAUGAAGCAUGCCUACACGGCAUACGACUAGCCGUCGAACUGGGAGUCAAACGCCUCUACGUCCACGGCGACUCUGUCUUAGUUAUCAACCAGCUCAACAAGGAAUGGGACACAACCCACGAGAAGAUGGACCUCUACUGCAAAGAAAUCCGCAAAUGGGAAUCCAACUUCUACGGCAUAGAAUACAUCCACGUGGUCCAGGAUAAGAACCAGGCAGCGGAUGCGCUGUCAAAGUUAGGGUCAUCUCGGGCCCAGAUCCCGCAAGGCGUUUUCGUUCAGGACAUCCACGCGCCAAGUGUGGGCACAGACCUGGUCGAAAGGCAACCUAAUGAGGCAAUGCUCAUAGACGACGCUACUCCGACAACCAGCAACAGUGACUGGCGCACCCCUUUCAUCAGGUAUAUAUCAGUUGGGUCGGGCUUUCAGGAUAAAACGGAGAACGAGCGCCUCAUUCGACAAUCCAAGAAUUCCAUACUGGUGGAUGGCAAACUUAUGCGAAAGAACGCAAGUUCUGAAGUGCUGCUCAAAUGCAUAUCCCAAGAUGGCGGCAUCAAGCUCUUGGAUGACAUACACGCCGGAUCCUGCGGCAACCACGCGGCCUCCAGAACACUGGUCGGGAAGGCCUUCCGAGUAGGUUUUUACUGGCCAACCGCGGUCGCCGACGCCGAGAAACUGGUCCGACAUUGUGAAGGAUGCCAGUUCUUUGCCAAGAGGACCCACGUACCUACUCACGAGAUUCAAACUAUUCCGUCUUCCUAGCCUUUCGCCUGCUGGGGCCUCGACAUGAUCGGGCCAUUUAAACCGGCUCCCGGCAACUUCAAGUUUGUCUUUGUGCUAAUCGACAAAUUCUCGAAGUGGAUCGAAUACAUGCCACUGGUCAAAGCAACCUCCGAGAAAGCUAUGGAGUUCCUUAAUCAAAUCAUACACAGAUUCGGGAUCCCCAACAGUAUAAUCACUGACCUGGGCACUCAGUUCACUAGCACUACGUUCUGGGACUUAUGCGAUGACAGGGGCAUAGUGAUAAAGUACGUGUCAGUAGCUCACCCACGGGCAAACGGUCAAGUAGAGCGCACGAACGGAAUGAUUAUUGAUGCCCUAAAGAAAAGGUUGUACACCGAGAAUGACAGAGCACCUGGUCGAUGGAUGAAAGAGUUACCGGCCAUGGUCUGGGGUCUCCGAACACAGGCUAGUCAUAAUAUAGGCGUGUCACCCUACUUUAUGGUUUAUGGCUCCGAGGCAGUGCUCCCAUCUGAUGUAACCUUCGGAUCUCCAAGAGUUGAAAACUUCGACCAGUCAACGGCUGACAACACCAGGGAGCUCGAAAUCUACUGCAUGGAGGAAAAGCGUCUAAUUUCAUGUCUUCGAACAGCAAAGUAUCUUGAAGCCAUCAGGCGGUACCACAAUAGGAACGUCAAAGACCGUUCCUUCGUGGUCGGUGAUCUGGUACUCAAGUGGAAAACAAGCCAGGAAGGAACGCACAAGUUAUCCACACCUUGGGAAGGACCCUUUUUGGUCGCCGAAGUCACACGCCCUACAUCCUACAGACUGGCGUAUCCAGACGGAACACGCCUGCCUAAUUCAUGGCACAUAGACAAACUGCGUCAUUUCUAUCUAUAAAUUCCAGCACCUUCUGCUUGUAAGUUUCUUAUAAUUAGCAAUAAUAAAAGUUCUCUUUUUUGCUAUAUAUUUUUUAUACGCAGAGCUUUCGACGAACACAACAAUCUUCCUCUGGGGCGAAGAUCCUUAACGAUUAUUAAUCAAACACAGUGAUACAUCACUCAGAUAACAUUGCAGCGCUCAAAAUCAUGGUCAUGAUAAAAUCAAACUUUAUUACAAAACUUUACAUACAGAGUUUACAAUAAACACCCUGUUGGGCGGUUCCUAGUCUACUCCUACAGACUAUACUACAGGCCUACUGCUCGGGCUGAUCACCCGCUUGGCAUUGCUGCCCAGACGGAGGGGUUGGGGCCACAGGCGCAUGGCUGGUAGAGACCGCAGGCGUCGACCGCCCAUCUCCGGCAAUGGACACUCCCGACAACUCUCUAGCCGAUCUGUCUGACCCCGGCUGGUCGGGGGGAGUGGCUGUCCCACAGAGGUUGAUAUCGUCGAUCACCGUCGACGACAAGUCAAGCAGGCCAACACGAAGGUCGUCUGCCUCCUGCGGACCAACCUCCUUGGGGUACCCCCUCUCCAGUCUGGACAGGUCGACCAGAGGAUAGUGGGCGCGCACCAUGCUGAGGACGUGCGCACCGGCGAAUUCCCCGGCGUCCUUGACAAACUGCUGGAGCCAGUCCCACGCCCGUUGUGCCUUCUCGACUGGCGUUAGUCUCGACGCACGAGGUUGGUCAUCAGGGAGCUCAGGGCUGAUCAAGUCAAGAACCGGGGCCACUCCUUUCCAAAGCUUGAUGCAAUUGGUCUUCCAGGAGUCCCGGUCCUUGAUCAGCUCGUCUAAAUGCUUCUUGGUAUUCACCUUGAGCACUACAAACCAAGCAGGAGGUCAGUUCGCAAAUAAGAAAAGGAACGCUGAGCAACCAAAGAAAAAAGGGGUAGCACGAUUAUCACUAGACAACUCCCGAUUCCUGUUGCUUAGCUCCUCGCCAGCUCGGCGCUCGGUCUCCAGCGCCCCGGCAAGCUCUUGGCUGAGCUACUCCUUCUCUUGCCAGAGGCGUGCAACCUCCUCCUCUAAGUCAGCAGGAACAAUCCCUGGUCAACAAAACUGACCACGUGGCUACAUACAGCUGCUCGGAAUACGCGACUGACCUCUCCUUUGCCGAUCCUGGUCGGCUAACCGCCGAUUGAGGUCGAGAAGGUGCUCUUCCUGCGCACUCAUCUCGACCGUCUUCUCCCCGGCUUCCGACCGAAACCGAUCCACCUCCGCGGACAGGGCCUUGUUCUCGGCCACAAUGCCCUCAAUUUGGUCGAAGCACCUUUUCCGGUACUUCACCGUUUUCAUUGCGCCCUGCAAGAAGAAUACAUGCUGAACCCAGGAACAUCGCACAUAAGCGUUGAGCAGUGCAAAGGACUACCUUAACUUCGUCCACAAGACGCUUUGCCGCGCGCUCCACCCUCGCGGCCUCCUCCGUCUCCGCGAGCUCCUCAUGUCCGAUGAUGUGUUCCCCGCGUUGGUGCCACACGUAGACAUGCUGGCGGCCAUCACGGGGACGACCUUGGAUCUCCUCUACGUCAUCGUUGGGGCCGUCCGGGACUCCUCGUUCGCCGCACUGCCACCGGCCGUGGUCGCAGGCAUCACUGGACCCUGGUCCAGGCCAGGGGAGCCUACGGGCGAAGAGGCCCCUGCUCGGGGCGGGAUUGGGACUCCCCUUUCUUCGGCUGGUGGAGGAGUCAGGGAUCUGCUUUCCUCCUCCACAACGUUACUCGGGGGAGGCGUCCUUGUAGCCUCCUCAUUCCUCGUCGGGGUGCUCGCCGCGGCCCUUGCCGGGGCCGGAUGCUCCUCGGCACUCUCAGCCGCGGUUGUCACCGUGGGCUGAUCUGUGGUCUGCGGCAUGGCGUCCCCAACGACAGCGACGGGCUCGGCUGCCUUCUGGCCAGCAACGCGGUCCGGGUCGACGUCCGACGCCGCGCUAACAACAAAGCGACAUUUUACCAACAUCAAAAGCAGUAGCAAAAACACAAAUUGAAGUACGAGAGUAAGAUUGAACAACUUACAGGUUGGAGCGCCUGUGCGUCACGGUGAAGAACCUCCUCCUUGUCCUACCGGUCGGCGCCUGCACCCCCGUCUCUACGACGCGCGUCGGCUCGACGUGCGGGGCAGGAGGGUCACUGGUCAUCCGACCAGCGGUGGCCGGCGCAACGUCCGGGCGACUACGCGGCCUCCGAACCAGAGAAGGCGCGGCCUCCUCCUCGUCGUCGUCGUCGUCGGUGAUCCGGACGAGCCGACGGCGCUUUGGUGCCUUGCUGCUCUCCGCCGGCAGCGUCUCCGCAGGAGAUGGAUCCGCCACCAGCGGCCUUUUCCCCCCACUCUGUCUUCGGUGGUCGGGGCGGGGCGGUUCUGCUCCUCCUCGCUGCUGGUGUAUCGGGGACACUCAGCAGCGUCGUCCUCUGGCGGGUCUAUUCCCGCGGGACUCUCCAUGCCAGGUGCCGGUGAUAUGUACACCGCGCACCGGUCAACGUCUCCAAUCUACAGCAACAUCAAAGAUAAGUCAAUAGCUGGGAGAACAAGUACUCAGGAAGUAAAUUCAGUCAGAAAUAUUACCUUAGGAGCUGGUCGUCCAAGCUUGAAGGCCUGCAUCCGAUCACCACUCCGGACAAAGCUGUCAUCUGCAAAGUUGAACAGCUCGUUCAGCAGCUGUUGCACUUCUGCCUUCUCCAAAACUUCAGGACUCAUCCUGGUCGGGUCCUGGCUCCCAGCGUAUUCGUACGCCGAGUGAACCCUCUUCUGGCAGGGCAUCACCCGACAACAGAUGAAGUUGACGACCACUCCUGGCCCGUCUAAACGGGACCAGUCAAUCAGCUUCAUCAGGUCUUCCACCUGACCAGUGAACUGCGGGUGGUCCGUCCAGCUGACCGUCUUCUCGGGAAUGUAGCCCACGUCGCAGAACGUGGAGCUGCCUGGCUCUUCCCUGACGUAGAACCACUUCUUGUACCAUUCGGUGAGAGAAGUAUUCCACGGGCAGUUGAAAUACUGGUUCUUCAUCCCGUUACGCAGAUUGAGGUAUACUCCACCUGCAAUCUUGGAGCCUCCAACUACUCCUCUUUUCCUCAAACUGGAAAAGGUAGCGAUAAAGAUCGAAGUGCGGCUCUAUCCCAACAUAGGCCUCACACAGAUGGAUGAAGGUAGAAAUGAGAAGGAUGGAGUUCGGGUGCAGAUUGCAGAUCCCGAUCUCAUAGUAAAGAAGAUCCUGGAGAAAAGGAUGGACAGGAAUCCCAAAGCCCCUCUUGAAAAAAAUCUUCGAAAACCACGAUCUCACCGGCACGAGGGUCUGGGUAGCUCUCCCCUUCUGGCGCCCUCCAGCCGUCGAGCUCUUGGCUGUGCAGCAGCCCCAUGCCGACGAGGUCGUUGAGGGACCUCGCAUUGCUCCGGGACUUCUUCCACUCUUUCGCCAUCAGCUCGGCCCUUUUCUUGGAGUCACUCUUCGCCAUUGAUGCUGAGGGAACGAAUGCGAGAUGGGAGAGGUGGUGGUGAUUGCAAAAGGCAGGAAUGGCAAUAAUGGAAAGCUAGAAGGCAAUGGAAGGGUAAAGAAUACUGGGGCAAUGUCAAGCCUUUAUAAGCAACAGCUCCACCCUUCUCACUUCCCGCAUUCUUGGGAAGUGGGCGGGCCCAGCGGCGGAUGCGGCGUUUCGGUUUUCAACAAUUACCGGCAAUUAAUACGGCGGCUUUUUUUUGUAUAAUUGAUGGUUUCCUUUUCUGGAACCGCGCUAAGAGCGGCUGCACAGUUACCAGGCGCACCUUUUCACGCAGCCAUCUGACAACACGUCAGGAUGUCUCGUCACAUCACACAUUAAUGUGGUAAGAUGCUUUUUUUCAAAAUAACAGACAAAAAUUGGUGGAGGCUCAAUGUUCCUGGGGACUGCACCGACCACCGAGCAUUGUGUGCUCGGGGACUGGUUGACCAGUCUGCCAGUUCGGAGAUCUGGGGACUGCACCGACCACUAAGCAUUGUGUGCUCGGGGACUGGUCGACCAGUCAGCCAGUUUGGAAAUCUGUGGACUGCACCAACCACCGAGCACUAUACGCUCAGAGACUGGUCGACCAGUUUGCUAGUUUGAAGAACUAGGGACUGUACCGACCACUAAGCGUUAUAUGCUCGGGGACUGGUUGAUAAGUCCAUACGAUGGCAAAUGGGCAUGAUAUGCUCGGGGACUGGAUAAUUCUAAUUUUUUAGACCUUGCUACAAGGCUCAUACUUCGCCUUCCAGCAAGCUCGGGGACUACAUCGGUACGAUGCAUCUGGCGAUGCAUCUCAGUUUCCGAAUUAUUUUGAAAGCUUUUCUUUUGACCCUGGCACCACGUGCCUACAUCGCCUACUACCAGGCUCGGGGACUAAGUGGGCUCACUUCACCUAGCGGUGAAUAUGCUUGUUUUUUGGAAAAUUAUACUUUUCAUAAAAGUAAAGUGGGCACACUUCACCAGGAAAGAAUUUUUUUUUAUUAAGAGCACCAUGCAUUCUUCGAACAACCUGCUUCUUCGAUGUCAAUGAUGAUCAAUAGUCUUUUGAGUUGGUCAAAAUACCGUUGCAACUGUUUGGGCGACUUUGCUGCUUAUUGAAGACGUCAAGCCUCACUGAUCGAAGAAGCUCAAGACGGCGUGUUACAUCACAAUACAUGGUGCUCGGGGACUAGCUGUGGGGGUAUAAACCCCUAUAUCCUCAUGGGCCUAUAUGGGCCGCACCAUCAGAGGUGGCUCAGCCCACAGGAUGAAGACGUGCGGCGCACGACUGGUCGGCGUGCACCGCAAGGCUACAAGAUAUUGUACCAAAUAGGAUACUUUGCUUGUAACUCUGUCCCUUCAGGAUAUAUAAGGAGGGGCAGGGGUCCCCUAGAGGACAAGUCAUACAUCAUUAUUCUCUCAACACAAAUCAAUACACCAGACGCAGGACCUAGGUAUUACGCCAACUCGGCGGCCGAACGUGGAUAAAAAGCUUGUCCGUGUCUUGCGUCACCAUCGAGUUCGUAGUUUGCGCACCGUCUACCGAUAAACUACUACCGUGGGUAUACCCUAAGGUAGACUGCCGACUAGCUUUCGUCGACAGUGUCCAUACAUUGUUAUAGUUUUAUUUAGAUAUAGGGCCUAUUUUUGGUUCCCCUUGCUAAAGUUUAGCUAACUAAAAUUAUUUUAGCUAUUCUUGGGUGACUAAUGGAACUAAAUUAUGUUAACUCUUUUUAGUCAAUGUGUUUGGAACUUUUGCUACUAAAAUGACUAAAGUUUAGCUAGCUAUAAUUUAGCAAGAGAAACCAAACAGGGCCAUACUUAGGCCUUGUUUACUUCUAAAUUUUUUUGCAAAAUAUGAAUAGUAGCAUUUUCGUUUGUAUUUGAUAAAUAUUGUCCAAUUAUGGACUAACUAGACUCAAAAGAUUCAUCUCGCAAAUUAUAGAUAAAUUGUGUAAUUAGUUAUUUCUUUUAUCUAUAUUUAGUGCUCCAUGCAUGUGCCGUAAAAUUCGAUGUGAUGGAGAAUGUGAAAAAUUUUGCAAAAUAUUUUAGGAACUAAACAAGGCCUUAAUAAAAACAACUAUUUUAAACAAAAUAACAAUAUAUUUUUCUUAGAUUAUAGUCUCAGAUAAUUACAUAUGAUAAUUAAUAUAAUCAUGACUAAGAAAAAGAACAAUAAAGACAUGUCUCAUAUAUUUAUACUAUAAAUAAGUUCUUAAUUGCUUAGUAGAUCGCAAAGCUCCUCAGGGAUAAUGUUUGCACGUUCAUUUUGAUUACUUUGUAGAAUGUCCACCAAGCAUUCCGUCCUCAGCAAACGUCCACUCUGUGAAUGCCAGAUAGUAAGUUAACUUAUUAAUUUGCUAUACACUAUACAAAAUUUACAGGAUAUAUAGUUUAUAUGCUUACAGGGUGGAUAGACAAUCUUUUUCCAUCCUAUUAUUUUAAAUAACUAUAUAUAAAGAAGCGUGGCAUUUCCCUGGAGAAGAGCAAGUGUUUAUUUGUGUUAGCUAAAUGACAUAGAAUAAUAUUACUAUAUAAUUUAAUUAAUAAUGGAGAACAUAAAUUAAGAAGAUAUUACUACUACAUAUUAUUUGGCCAAGUAAAACAUUUGUAUCAUGGUGUCUAAUUUAACCCAUUCCAAUGCACAAACAAAGAAGAUAUUGCUCCAUUAUUACCUUAAUCAAGUUAGGGGAAUGAGAGAUUAGAGUUAAUAUUGUCCCUUAAUUUUGGGAGAUAGAUCUUCCUUGGUGGAAUUUUUCGUGUGUACUUAGUGUAGCUUAUAACUAUAGUAGUAGUUUAUAGGGUGCAUUUAGUUAAGUUCGUAACUGAUGGAUUAUAUAGUAGUGGAGAUUUGUGGUAAAUCUCAGUAACUACACCCGUGCUUUUUUACCUUAUACAAAUUAGAACUAAGGCUUGAUCCCUAUGAUUUCGUGCUAAAUUAUGUUUUUAUGAUUUUUUGUAUACAUAUAUGAUGGCAAUCCAACUUGAAUACCUCUCAUCCAAUUUGGUAUAUGCUGUUGACAACAACGAUCCCAUGUGGUCAGGAUGUUCGAAAACGAGAAAUCAAGUUCUUAGUUUUCUAGGAAGAGAAGAACUGAACUUGGACAAUGGAUUGGAAUUGGGCAGAAAUGGUGAUAUUUAAUAGUUAAAAACCCAACUCCAAUCAUAAAUACAUACAUGUCACUUUGGGCCUUGUUUAGUUCCGAAAACUUUAACACUUUCGUUUUUAUUUGACAAAUAUUGUUAAAUUAUGGACUAACUAGAUUCAAAAGAUUCAUCUCACGAUUUACAGAUAAACUGUGCAAUUAAUAUUUGUUUUCAUUUAUAUUAAGUGCUUCAUACACAUGCUGCAAGAUUUGGUGUGACAGGAAAUCUUAAAAAGUUUUUCGUUUUUAGAAUGAACUAAACAAGGCCUUGGUCAGUGGGGCGAAAUGCCUACUUGUAGUGACGCAAUUGUAGAAUGACUAGUAGGAAGCGCGCCCCCUGGGCGCGAGUUGUCAUGUAUUUCUAAGAUUAUACAGGUAAGCUACACAUGUUGCAUACAAUGGCCAUGUAUAUGAUUGAGGUCUAUUGAUGCAUACAAAGUUAUUAGAGGAUGAAUACAGUGGCCAUCGAGGGCAGAAAUAAUAGACAAAUUCUGGGGCAAAAGAUGCAUGUUUAGUUUUAGCAUGGUAAUAGGAAUAUAGGAUCAGAGAACGGAAACGAACACGGUCAUAUUGCCUAUGGUGUUAUAUGUACCAUACAAAGGCAUUACACAAGCUUAUCAGUAUUUUAUACAUUGCUUCGUCAGUGGCAAUUUACAAAAGUUUAGGGGCAUUGAAGGUUCACUUUCUAAUGACAUGGACAUAUAUAGCUGGCUUUCUUGUUGGCUGCGCUGCCAAUUGUGACAAGAAAUUGCUGCAUCUACAUCCUGAGUACCUGCACGGGGAGCAAAUAGACUGUUUAGUCUCAUAAAGAAACAAUUAUUGUCUGGAAUACCUGUAAGUAGGGGAGUAUAUUUUUUUGGUCUACUAUGUAUACACAAUACACACAACAGUGAUGCAUCACCAGACACAAUAGAAGCAAAUACUUCUUUAUAGACGACCUUUUUUUCAUUUAUACAACGGCCAUCCUCGGCUUCUAUGAAAUGGCUGUCACUACCUGAAACAUCCAAGUAUCAAUGAGAAAGAUGUAGUUGGUAGACUCGGUAAUCACCGGCCUAACUUGCCAGCCAAUGAAUGUAGAGAAAAGAACAUCUUGAUGCAAAAAAAAUUAUAAUUUAACAAUGAAUGGACAUACAUAUCAGAAAUAUCUCUGUAAAUUCUUUUUUUUUCACACAUGCAUACAAGAUUGAACUUAGAUAUAUAACAUAGACUGUAUUGGAAAGAUUAACUAGAUAUAUCUAAAAUAUAUUCAAUUUUGCUCAUGCUCUAUGCACCAGACAUCUUGGUAUGGACAAAUAGAUCUGCUGCGUGAGCAGGACUCUGAAAUCCAAAAGAAGGUAUGCAAGGCUGAAAACUAACAAAGGAAGCUGAACUAAACACGACAGGAGAAGGUAAUAUUUAUGUGGCAACUACUGAGCAUUCAGACCAUCAAGUUCUAUUUUUCAAAGCAUCAAGUCCUAUAUUUAAGGGAAAGUUGUCAAACAAAAAUGUGGCCUGCACGAAUAUUAUCACCUGCAAGGGAGGCAUGAAGCCUAUCCCAUCUCAUAAUUGAAGAGCAUGAGUCCACCCAAUUUCCCCAGUGAUCGUGGAUACAAAGAAUAAGUUGUUAUGCUAAACCAAAACAUAGAUGACUUUCCAAGUGUGCAGCCUGCAUAGUAAAAUAAGAAAGAAAAAUCAUAUUUUUGACCAGUUCUCCAUUUUAUUUUGUAUUUUGAAACAUCUUUUCUUUUGAAUAACUUACUGAUAUAUCACGGUAAAUUAGAGAUAUCAUUCCGUAAAAAUCAAUUAAAAGAACUGUAAGCUGAGGAGAAAAGAACUGCACUUCCAGUGUCAUAGCUCGUGCUGCUUGUCCACUGCAUUCACAUCCCUUACCUGAUGAGUAUGGAUGCACGAACGAAUUCGAACGAACCAACCUGCGGGCUAAACAAGGUAAUGAAACAAAAAGAAACACAGGAAUAUAAAUACAGAAGCAAAUGGGAAGGAGAGCUCUUUGAAUUUUAUAAUAUAUUCUACAAUAGGAAUGAACCAUCUACGAAAUAAAUUCAGGACAAGUCAUUCUCAUGCAUGAAGACUUUCUAUUUUAAUUAAAUGAAAUAAAUUUGCACUAUUCAUUUCAGACUUAGUCGACAAUUCAGGCUCCUGCUCAGUAGUUACACACCUGAGAACAAUCCACCAGCCCAACAAGCUGAAACCAUAGCAACUCAGCCAAGAAUAUUUUAGAUGAAAGUAAAUAUUUUUAGUCAAUAAGAAUACAUAUAUCAGACACAAGAGGUAGUCAUAUCCCCUUAUGAUUCCUUGUGCUUUGGCACCAUCCUGAUUCUCCCAAGAGGGCUUGGCUUGUUCAAAUUCCUCAAACUGCAUUUCUCUGAGCUUCGUAUGUAGGCCUUCUUUAUCCAUGUCAAAUAAUUUGAUUUCUCCAGUUCGAACAGCUUUAAUAAAUCUAAGUUUGUUCUAUGCCAUUUUCAAGUCGCGGCCAGCCAUUUCCACUAGCUUUUGCUGCAUAUUGACAAUUACUAAAUCUGAUAUCAAAUAGUCCAAAGAAUAUGUGCCAUUCAAUUAUUAAAUGGAAACGUACCUUUCUUUUCUCAUAAAAAGCAAGCCUGAAGUCAUAGAAUUCCUUAAGUACUAAAAUAAAUGACACAAUUUAGUUACAAUACGACAAAAGAAAUAAAAAAUGAAGGUCUUGUAGCAUAAAGGUAGUACAUACUUUGCUCUGGACUGUCAUACUUUUUAAUUAUGCCAUUUGAAUCCAACAAAUGCAUAUUUGAUGUUCCUAUUGAUGUUCUCAGUUCAAACUUUCUCUGAAGAUCUACUUCAUUGGCUUGCGCCAAAUUCUCAGAAUUCUCAUGCAAGUGUAUCAUAAUUUCAACAUCAUUGCCGCCUCUCUUUUUUUCAUAACUCUGUAAAAUUAUUAUGAUUAAAAACUAAUGGACAACAAUCAUUUCAUGAUUAAAACAUACUAUGUAAUCAAUUACCUUGAUGAAUUUGUCUUCUCUGUCCAUAAAAGUUUUAAGCUUCUUUUCAUAAUUCUCCAUCGAGAUCUUCACUGGGAGCUCACUUAGUUUUAGUGUUGUUUUGUCAACAACCUUUAUGAUACCACUAGCGGUAUAGGUAACACCUGAUUUCUUGGUCUUGGUAGUUUCGUUUUUGACACUCACUUCUCCCUGUUGGUUCAUGUACAGAAAAUGAAACACCAACAUUAGAUUUUUUUAAGACAAAAAUAAAAACAGAAUUGUAAAAAAAAGCAUGUAUUACUAACGUUGAAAUGUCUAAACCACAGUUUCAUUUCUUCCAACGUCUCUGAUCCCUGUAUCAUUAGUUUCAAAUUGUGUACAAUAUCUUUGGGAUUGUAACAAGGAAUCUUUGUGCUCCAUCCGGUACCAAUUCCUUCAGCUCCAUUAACUAAAUCAUUGGAAGGAUUGACAAAUACCUAAAAAGUGACAACCAGGCCUUAGCUACUUAUUAUAAAGGUCAAAUUGCUGAGGAUGGAUGAAGCAAGUGGUGCCUAGUUAUUACCAUGAAGGUUCAAUUGAUUGCCCAUCUUCACGCAAAUAUUCGAGCAAAAUAUCAUCAUUUUCAUUAAAUAUCCUGCGAGUGAUACUGGAUAACUCAGUGAAGAUAUAUCUAGCACUAGCAGCAUCUUUGCCUCCCUAAAAUGAAAAACAAGCAUGAAUAAAAUGUUUAACAACUAGUUUUCUCAUAGUGGCUUGAUAACUCACCUCUAAUCUUGUACCAAAUUGUCCAUUGGGACGCAAAAGAUUGAUAUUGUUGCUUCCAACAAAAUCUUGAGCCAUUCUUACUAUUGUGUUUGAUAGAUUUUCUUCACCGUGAUGAUAAGCAGAACAUUCUGCCACAGACGCGGCGAACUGUGCCACCUGUGAUCAAGUAGUAAAUUAGCAAUAUUAUAAGGCUAAUUUAGAGAGAACAUGACACAUAAAUCAUAAUAUGGCAGCCCAACCAGAGGCUCAACCCUUUUCUACUUAUAAGUUAGGACAGAAGCUUUGGAGUGGAUAUGAUUCUCAUCAUCAUAGACUAUCUGGAACAAGAUUGAGAUUGACCACCCACAAGACAAAAGUUUCAAGCAAGCUAGUCUACCUUUAUAUAUUUAGGUGCCAGUAUACAUAAGGAAACUAAAACUAAAUAUAAAAUGGCAAUACAAUCUAAAGAAACUAUGGAAUACAAAAGAUCGAAGCCUACCAUAUUCUCGGCCAUAGCGUCGACUAAUAUCAAAAUAUGUGGAAAAGAUUCAUAUUAGAAAAAACAAAUGAUAGUUGGGAUGCCAUACCUUUGUUUCCUUGUUCAAAUUUUUCUUAAAUGCGCUGAACAUUAUCUUUCUCUGCCCUUUCUUAAAUCCAUCUACAUUUGCGGCCAUACAAAGCUUCAAAAGGAGCCAUUUGGAUACUUUCUUGAUAACUAUUGUUGUAAGAGAAUUCAGCUAAGGGUAGCCAUUUCUCCCAUGCACCCUUGGAAGAUAUCACACAUGCCCUCAACAUAUCCUCUAAAAUUUGAUUCACACGCUCAGUCUGACCGGAGGAUUGAGGGUGGUAGGCUGAACUGCGAACCAACUUUGUACCAAGGAGUGAAUGCAGAUGCUCCCAAAAGCGAGCAAUAAACUGCGGACCUCUAUCAGAAAUAAUAUUGCAAGGCACUACAUGCAAUCUAACAAUCUGAGAGAAGUAAAACUCAGCAUAGUCGGAAGGUCGGUAUGUAGAACGUACGGGAAUAAAGUGAGUUGACUUGGUUAAACGGUAAACAAUCACCCAUAUGGAAUUGUGUCCCUUUUGGGUAGGGGGAAGGCCAACAAUGAAAUCCAUGCUGAUUUCUUUCCACUUCUAGCCCGGAACCGACAACGGUUCCACUAAACCUGGAGGUUUAAGGUGAACUGCCUUUACCCUGCAGCAACUAUCACACCUAGCAACAUAAGCUGCUAUCUCCUUCUUCAUCUUGGUCCACCAGAAAUGAGGUUUCAAGUCUUGGUACAUUUUGCUACUACCAGGACGAAUGGACAACUUGGAAGAAUGAGCUUCAUCUAAAAUUUUGUUGCGUAGGUCACGGUCUUUAGGUACAACUAGUCGAUCGUCAAACCAUAGUACACCCUUCUCAUCUACCCUAAAUUGCUUGGUGUCUUGCUCUUGCAUUUUUCUUUUGAUAUGGAAAAUACCACGAUCAGACUUUUAGAGCUCUAUGAUUUCACUCUCUAACGAGCAGCUGAGUACGAUGUUGUACAGGACCACAGGAUGCAAUAAAUUGAAGCCUUCCUCUAGGAGAGGUCUAACAUGUUGUUUCCGACUGAGAUCAACAGCUACAACAUUGGCCAUGCCCGGAUGAUAGUGUACUUCUAGAUUGUAGUCCUUUAUCAACUCCAACCAUCUUCUUUGUCUCAUGUUUAGCUCGGGCUGAGUGAAUAUAUAUUUAAGGCUCUUAUGGUCAGUGUAAAUGUGACAUAGAUUACCCAACAGAUAAUGCCUCUAGAGUUUCAACGCAUGUACCACUGCUGCCAACUCUAGAUCAUGAGUCGGGUAGUUGGCUUCAUGUUUCCUCAACUGUCGAGAGGCGUAGGCAAUAACUCAGCCUUCUUGCAUAAGCACACAACUUAGGCCAGUGCCGGAAGCAUCACAAAAGACGUCAAAAGGCUUUUUAAUGUCAGGCUGUGCCAGAACAGGAGCGGUGGUCAGCAAAUGGCAUAAAGUGGUGAAAGCGACUUCACAUUCCUGGGACCACACAAACUUUACAUCUUUUUGCAGUAGCUUGGUCAUAGGCUUAGCUAUUUUGGAGAAAUUCGGAAUAAAGCGACAAUAAUGUCCAGCUAGACCGAGAAAACUCCGAACCUCGUGCACUGAAGUCGGGGCCUUCCAGUCUAGAACCUCCUGCACUUUUGACGGGUCAAUAGAAAUACCCUCUUCGGAUAAAAUAUGGCCUAGGAAAGGCACUUUCUUCAGCCAAAACUCACACUUGCUGAACUUGGCGUAGAGCUGAUGUUCUCGCAAUCUAGUGAGUACAAUCCGAAGGUGCUUCUCAUGUUCUUGGACAUUUUCAUAAUAAACCAAUAUAUCAUCAAUGAACACCACCACAAACUUAUCCAGUUCAGGCAUGAACACCGAAUUCAUUAGGUACAUGAAAUGAGCAGGGGCAUGAGUCAGACCAAAGGACAUGACUAAGUACUCAUACAACCCAUACCUGGUAGAGAAAGUCGUUUUAGGAAUGUCUUUGGGUCGGAUCUUGAUUUGAUGAUACCCAGAUCUCAGAUCAAUCUUGGAGAAUACUUUGGCCUUAGCUAAUUGAUCAAACAGGAUAUCAAUGUGAGGCAAUGGAUACUUGUUUUUAACAGUCACGACAUUAAGGGGACGAUAGUCUACACACAUACGUAGAGACUUGUCCUUCUUCUUAACAAAGUGAGCCGGACAACCCCAUGGAGAAGAACUAGGCCGAAUAAGACCUUUCUCUAGGAGUUCUUGCAAUUGCUUCUUCAACUCCGCCAACUCGUUGGGUGGCAUUCGGUAUGGCCUUCUAGAGAUAGGUGCGAUACCCGGAAUUAGAUCAAUUUUAAACUAUAUGUCCCUGUCCGGUGGCAGACCGGGCAGAUCCUCUGGAAAGACAUCCGGAAACUCACACACUACAGGAAUAUCUGACACAGUGAGUGGCCUAAUAGCAUUGGCAGCGUGACGGAUGUCAUCAUUCUUGGGAAGCUGGACUAAGAAGGCUUCUUUGCUAUCAGGCUCUCGCAACAUGACUACCCUCGUGGACGUGUCUAUUAGCACCCCAUUAUUGCUCAUCCAAUUCAUCCCUAAGAUAACAUCUAUUCCCAAGCCCGGCUCACUUUGUUUGUGGAAAUUUGGUUCCCAGCAGCACUAAUGCAGAACUUGCCACUGUCAAGAUCAACUACAUGCUGUCUAUGCUUAGAUGCGAAUGCUUGACUCAUAAAUGAAUGCGAAGCUCCAGAAUCAAACAAGACAACUGCAGGAUGUUGAUUGACAAGAAACAUACCAGCGGUGACCACUUCACCUUCAGGAAUUUCUUCAACUGUGGUGUAGUGCACUUGACCAGUACGGUUAUUACCUCUUGCUGCAGAAUUCCUCUUGGGAUAAGGGCAAUCUCUCGCCCAGUGACCAACUUGUUUGCAAGUGAAGCAAGGGCGGUUGUCAGGGGAAGUCUUAGGACUUCCUUGACCCGUAGCACGCCUAGGAAGAGCAACUGUGAAGGACUUACGAACUCCUGUCUUCACAUUUGACUUUUUCUGCGGCGGCCUGUACCUAGUCACAGCAUUGGGUGAGCGAUAGGCUGGUUUGUUUGUCACCGGAGCCUUGGACUGCGAAGCACCUGCCUCAUAGGCCCUUUUGCGGUUCUUGGACGCGGCAUACACGACGUUGGAGUUCUCUUGAGUCAACGCAUCACUCACAAACUCAUUAAAGGUGGUACUCUUGUUACCAGCUAUGUUCUUGGACAACUUGGGUCCCAGUCCCCUCUUGAAACUUGCAAGCUUCUUGGCUUCAGUAUCAACCAUUUCAGGAGCAUAGCGAGACAAAUUAUUAAAAGCAUGAAGAUACUCAGUCAAGCUUUUAGUGCCCUGUGUCAGGUUCAUGAACUUGGUAUGCUUGAUAGUCAUUAAGCCUUGGGGAAUAUAAGUGUUCCUGAAAGCAGUUUUGAACUGAUCCCAGGUUACAACAGCAUUGGUAGGCAAGCUAGUCCUGUAAUGACUCCACCAGACACCUGCUUUGCCCUCCAACUGGUGGGCUGCAUAUUCCGCCUUUAACUCUUCAGUCACCCUCAACAAGCGGAACUUCUGCUCGAGAGUGUUGAGCCAUUCAUCAGCUUCUAGAGGUUCAACAGCCUCCUUGAAAACCAGUGGCUUCGUGUCAUGGAAAUCCUUGAAGCUACUAUGCUGAUUUGCCUCUCCGCCUUGACGGGCAUGGCGACCACCCCGGUUCUGCUGCGCCAUCGUCUGCAUAGCUUCAUUGAGCAUUCGCUGGUCCUCAACAAGAGUUGCCAAGAGCUCAGCAGGCGUAGUCGGGGGAGGAGGUGGUGGUGGCGGCACCUCAUUGUGACCGGAGCGAGUAUUGCGAGCCAUCUGCACAAGGCAUACCAAGUGACCGUUUAGGACAACAGAUAUAAUUGCCAUGAACCUCAAUUGCUGCCAUACGGAAUUUAAUGAAGUAAAUUCACAUAAUGCAAGGCACAAUAAUCCAUGUACAACAAGAGAAUAUCAUCCACGACACUUGGUUAUUCUCGCGAUCAUUCACAGUCACAAUCCACAAGGAUUAAAGACAUUACAGAAGAUUAUUUAAGCUCAAUAUAAACAUAGAGCAUCAAAAUAAGUGCAUAGGGUUACAUAAAGUUACUGCCACAACUUAAGUCUUACAGGAGGGGCACCAUGGCCAAAUACAUAGAGUCUCAGCUAAAAUUCAGAUUACAUGCCCAUUACAUAAAGAGAUGGAAACUGAUACAUGAGCAUGAAAAUCAUUGCUAGGCUACAUAUCUUCCUCAGAUUCUCCAUUAGAAAUGAUGCCAUCAUCCUGAUCUUCCUCACUGAGCUUCUUCAUGAUUAAAGGGAACAGGAUGUGGGAUAGGAUUUAUGAUAUUAUUUAGGCGAUGGACAUCUAACUGCAGCUCAGCAAUCAUAGUGAUCAGCUCUUCCUCUCUAAUUUCAGCGUGGAACAAAGCUCUAACUCUAGCAGCUUCUCUAUUCUCAGCCAAGCACAUAGCCUCAUCCCUCUCUCUAGUCAUUUGCAUCAUGCGGGCUUGCACCUCAUUGCGCUCUCUAACUGCGUUUUCAACUUGGUUGCGACGGGCUUGGAAAGCGGUGUGAUAAUUUUGGAUUUCAGCUUGUGCAUCACUAACAGCCUUGCGGUGCUUGCGCACACGCUUGCGUAGUUUGCGCUGCUCAACUUGAGCUUGUUGGAGCGCUAGCAUAGCUUCUAUGUAGGUGUCCUGGCGUACAUAGUACAACUUAAGUACCGCCAGCAUGGCACUCAUGGCAGGGCUAGAGCUAUAUCCUAGCAUGGUUUCUCUCAUUUCUAAAGGCUCAGUUCCUAUCUGAGACACAAAUGUGUCAGUCACACUCACUCUAGGAAAUGAUCCAGCUGGGCCAUUAGUUAACUCAUCCCCAUAGUCUUGGCAUAUUUCUAGCAAUACUUCUAAGGCUGCUACUUGGGCACCCUCCCAAGGAGUUUGACCAUCGGACUCUACUAUCCAGCCUAGCCACUGUGGGUUAUUUGGGCAAGGGGGAACUGUAAUUUGAACAUCUACCCAAGGUAAAGAUCCCGCAUGCUUGGCCUCUGUCCAAGUGUACCGAGGUGGUUCCUCAUAUCCAACUGAACUUAGCACCCUCCACAACAAGGUAGGAGUGCCAAACAUGUCUAGAAAAGUCUCACUUGCGUGUGGGGCUGCCAUCUGUAGGAAGACCACAAUUGAGUAAGGGAGAUUAAUUACAAGGAAAGGUAAAUAGAUAUAUUUUUAGAAUUUAAGACUUAAGUAGUGCAUAAGGAAUGUAUGAAUGAUUCAUGAUGCAUGCACGUUCCAUACGUCCUUUCCAUUUCUAGAAGAAAGUUCUAACGGUAUAGUCGGUGGCAUACAUACGUGCACUCCUUAUACGCAACUACACGGUCUACACGUUUCGUUGUAAGUGUACCUGCAGAAAAUUUCAUUUCAGCCCAACCCCACAAUAGUAUAUGUGCGGAAAUGUAAAUCCAAUCAUCAACAAUCAAGCUAGAUACUUUGAUAUAUAUUCCUGAACAUAUAUCGCAGCACACUACCCUUUUGGGAUACACCCACAUAUACAUCAAAUAUGUAUACAUGGCUGCACCUACUAUCCACAAUUAAGUACCUUCAUAUAUACAUGUGUAAAACAUGUAAAUAUUCCAGUAACCACAGCUAACUCUCCCCUAGACCGACGGUUGGACGGUCAUGCUCUCACAGCUCACACUUACCGUAGCGUAGAGGCGUAUAGAUCCAUACAUUACCACUCAAGCAAGUGGUAUCCAUACAAUUUCACGCUGUAUGGACGACGAAAGAAAACAAUCAUUGUUUACCAUGGCGUAGAGGUAUGUGAUCCAUUCAUUACCACUUAAGUAAGUGGCAUCCAUAUUGUUGCACGCCAUAUGGACGACGAAAGUAAAAACCCCCAUGUUAGUAAUAUUAAGCCACCUAGAAGUCCUUAUAUGGGCAUAAAGGGUAUGACCACUGGCAUGGUAUAAGUUAUUGAAACAUUUUUAAACCACCCUAUGUAUAUCCUAAUUUUCCAAUUAGUUUUAGGAAAAACAAAUUCAUUUGUUUUUAAAUACAUCUAUGAUGGCUAAAUGCUUAAUCUUGCUCUGAUGCCAGCUGUAACAGAACCGUCCAAUUUAUAAGAAUUUAAGUGAAUUAGGGACCACGGAGGCAAUCAAGCCAAUGGACUCGAACCCAUAUAAACCCGGUAGUCUAACGAAAUCUCAAAAGACCUCGAUUCAACCAACAUACAACCAAGAUCAUACAUGAUCAAGCAUCGCCAUCAUAGAUUACAUACAUUUAUCACAGAACAUAGUUUUACAUCACAUCAGAGUUUAAAAGAGGUUAUUACAAACCAGAGUAGUAGCGGAAACAAAGUAGUUUUAAAACAUCGCACACUCAGUUUAAAUUACAUGCCAGAUCCAUGGUCAAACCCAACAAAAGCACAACUGAAGAUAAAGAGGGUGAUCACGCCCAUGAUCUAUUCAUCGUCCGCAGCCGGAUGAUGGCAGUUAGCACAGUAGCCGUGAUAAACGACAUCAUCUGCAACAAGGGUAAAUAAACCUUGAGUACCAGAAUAUACUCAGCAAGACUUACCCGUCAUAAACCAAAAAUAAAGUGACACCAAAGGAGUAUGCAAGGCUGAUCUUUGUGGACUGGUUUGACUCACCUUUUGCAUAAAAAGCUUUAGAUGUAAGUAAUUCAUUUAUAACAUUUUAGCAGCAGGUUCAUCACAUAACAACUAUCCACUAGAUUAGCACCUGUUCUAAGCACACAAACUUGAGUAAUUAAGCAAUUCAAUAAUAACCAUAUCCGGAUUAUCACUUUGCUAUCAACAUUCUCAUCAUAACCAUUAAGUUUAUUUAGUGAAUUCUACGUUGCCGCUGCCCAAGUCAAGUUCUCACUAUCCGGGAGAGACGGUGAUUCAAAUCGAUUCCUAUCCAGCUAGAGGGGUAUUCCUAACACUCACCCAAGCAUACUUCAUGAGGGCAGCUCGGAUCACCUUUAGCACAACUCCGGACCAAUUCGCGGGUCCGUACAGCGCCGCACCCCCAGGGACCGCCAAUCUGCUAGGGUCAGGACUCUAACCAGACACCUCGGUCUUACGCCAUUGACUUCCCGCACAUCCUUGCUACCAACCAGGGUGCGCACUUAAACCGAAUGGGGUAUCCGGCCGGAGAUGCACUCGUAGGCUACGCGGUCGGAACGACUUAUCUGGCCAACUAAGUGAUAGGCAUGCGUUCAACAUGACACGGGGACGUAUAGCGAUUCGGUCCUUAACCGACACAGACGGGGAUAGAUUCACACCCAAGACCUCCAUGCCUUGUUGCUGCAUUAUCAUCUUCCCGCCCGGUCUCAAGUUCAUUAUUAGCACAUGGUUAUUUCCACGAUAGCAAAUAUAGCCAACCGUGAUCAGCAUCCACCUAUCUCUCGCAGGUGAUAGGAAAUCACCCGACUUCUACUGAGCUAGCAUGGCUAAGCAUUAUUUCGAUCCUGGACCUACUUAGGUAAGGUAUAAGGUGGACAAGGUAGUUAAUCAUGCAGCAAGGGUGUCAUAUCAACGCCUAAUACUUAAUGCAACAAUACAUAACCAUAGUCAAUUGAUAGCUGGACAUGAUAACAAAAUAGUAGGAGGCUUAUAAUGCUCCGGGGCUUGCCUUCAACGUAGGUGGACGGGCGAUGGUCGGGACACUCCGGCAAGUCCUCCUCCUCAGCUCCUUGAGGUGGCUCCCUUUGUUGAUCUUCCGGCUCCGGCAGCUCGAACUCCAAAACCGUCACCCCCUUGGGUACACCUAUGUAUGCAUGACAAGGUGAUAAACAUAGGGAAUGCACAUAAGAUGCAAUAUGUCAUGAUGCUGAGCCAAGGAACACACAACAAGGUAUAAACAUUAGCAUAAACUCCUAAAAUUAAGUGAAUCAUAGAAUAACAAGUAAGUGCAUAUUUCUUCUCUGGUAGAGAGGCUAACUAGACAAGUUAAUCAACCUUAGCUACUCCUACUCAGUCACUGGUUUCAUAGACAAACCAACUUGUCACAAGUUUCAGCUAUAACUUAAGCAUCCUUUGGCCAAACUAAGCAAGUAGAUACUCUUUGGAAAGCUUAGCAAAUUGUCUACAAUCGACUUUUAGACAUCCCAGAAUGAUUCCCAACCGAAAUAUGUUAAAACAUACAAAGUUGUCUGGCUAUCCUGGAAAAUCCAGAGAGCAAGCACUUUGCAGCAGCUACUUGUAACAUUCAUAACUUAUAAACUACUCAACCAAAUGUCAUGAAACUUGGACACGAAGUAUAUAAGCAAGUUAGCUACAAGUUUGUUGUAGACAAGUUUCCCAGAAAACAUCAUAUUCAAUUAGUUCUUAAGCAAUUGCUAUCAGCUACACAGAAUUGCUCUAUGAAAGGCAUAAAUAGCAAAAAGAAUAUUUUGCACAUAGCAAGAAUGUAUCACAGGGUCAAUCCAAUUGCACCAGUAGGUAGAACAUGACUAAGAAACACUAGAAAACAUCAUGGCAAGGUCUAAACUCAUUUCUAUCAUCACCUUUUUUAUUUAUUUAAUUAUUAAGGUGAUUUAAUGAACAUGCAUACCAAGUGCUCCAAUAAUUCUAAGACAAUUACAGCAAGCUACUUAUGCUAACACAAGGUUACUGUAAAAUUUUCAGGGCACUUGCGCAUACAGAUUGUGAGAUACAAAAAUAACAAGCUAGCAAAGGCAUGCAAGGCAUAAAUGUGAAACCCUAUCAAAAAGUGUCAAACAACAGAUUUCAGAUUUUUCCUAGCUUUGUUUACACAUGAGUACAACACUCAGCAAAUUUCACCACAAAAAGAGUUAUAACUUAUUUAUUAAAAAUACCACAAGAAACUCUUGUUUGAAAAAGAAAUAUUUAUAACUUCACAAUCGAACCUCCAAAAAUCAUGAUAAAUUUAUGAGAGCCUAUUCAUGUCAUAAGUGACAACACCCUAAAUUUGCAGGGCCACCAGAUCAACAGAUCUCAAGAUAUAAUUGUCUCCUAUAUACUCAAGAUUAAAUCAUAUAUAUUUAUUUCUGCAAAAACAUGGCAAGUUUCAUAUUUUUAAUGAAAACUAGACUUAUACAGGAACCUAACAAAAUUGGAGUCACAUCAUUUGGAUCUAUAAUACUCAAGAUAUGAAUUUUACAAAAUCAACACAGGAUCUGCAAAACAGUGAACCAGGGAUGUGUGAGAGAGAGACUGACAGGUGGGAUCCGCUGACACACGGGACCCACGCGACAGAGAGACAGAGACAGGGGAGAUGCUCGUCGCCGGCGAAACUCGACGACAACGAGGUCUCGGUCGGAUCCAAGGGCAUCUAUGUGUUCAUCUCCUCAAGGCGACUCUGUUGACCUACUUCACUCGCGCUCUACUGGACCCUAGGGUGCUCGCCGUCGUGAAUGGCGGAGCGGCGGUGCUGCGCGGCGUUAUGCCGGCGAACCUAGGCAACGGCGACGCGGUAGAGGUUGCGGACGAGCAAGAGUGAAUCAAGGCGAAGCUAUAGGAAGAAGAAUCACGGCUAGAGGUGAACCAGAGAGGUCUGGCCACGUUGCCGGUGAUCUCUGCGAACUCCGGCGAGGUGGAGCUCGCGGCGGAGUUGGCAAUGCGACCUCACCAGUGCUCGGCGAAGCGAAAGGAGUGGACGUCAAGGUAGAGGACGUCGAGGCAGAGCUCUGGACGAACUGGCUCGGCCAGAGACGGGGAGGAACGGCCGGGAAAGCUCGUCGAAGCGCGGCGGAGCUCGCCGAGGACGAAGGCGGACGCAAUGUGGCGCUCUGAACGAGGGGAGGUCGCGUCUGAGGCGUCCACUCGGUGCGUGGCGACUUGAGGACGCCGUGGGAGCUGACAGGAGGGACCGUCGACGGCGUACGGCCGACACCUGGCUGGACACGCGGCGGCGGACGGCGACUGUCCAAACUGAAUCAUUUUCUAAAUCGCCCGAUUCCGACGACUGAAACCCGAUCUUCAGCAACGUUUUACUCUCAGUUCAAUCAAUGGUUUUGGCUCGGAUUUGAUCCUUUAGAUAGAGCUACACAAGUUCUACAAGUUUGCUUACAAGAUCAAAGUCUAACUCGGUCUGGAUUUCAAUCUACAAAGCUCCCAACAACCCUACCGCGAAACUGUGAGAUUCGAGACUUAGCCAAAUUUGGCUAAGUGUGAAAUCAGCCCUGAUUUUUGCCUUGUGAGCAAUUUUGGAAUGUUUCCCAAGCCUUUUUAUGAAAAGUCAUCAACAUAACUUUUGUAUCUUACAAAAUAUACUACAACUUUGCUUUAGGUGUCAUUUACAUGCAAGGUUUCUAACAUCAGUUUCAUAAACCAUCUUUGAAAAGAGGUCUAGGGGGUCAAAUAGGUCAAUCUAGGGUUAACCAUGACUUAGGGGCAUUUUUGGCCAAAACCUCCAACAUGAACUUUGUUCAAAAUGUUGUUCUAAACAUGACUAAAGUAUUUUGGAAGACAAUGUACACUUGUCUGCAUUGGUCACCCACUAAAGUCACUCAAAUCAAGCCACACAAGUAAUUUAAUCAUACAUGGGACACAUAAGAUGACAUGUGAUCAUGAUGUGUGCUUAUGGAUGAGCAUGAUGAUGCUUAUGUUGAUGCAAUGCUCAUGGUUAACAUGCAAGCUAACACUAGGAGUGUUACACUGUUGAUUCAAGGAUCCAGGAUCAGAGGGAAACGUCCUGGCUCCGGGAUAGCGGCCCAUUGGUCCUUCCUGCUGAAGGAGAUCUCCCUGUGCGACCAGGGAGGAAAAUUCGGAUCGGCGACCAGACCGUCUGUGCUGUCCACGUUGAGGCAGGCUCUCUUCAAGAGCUUUCUUUCUUGCUUAGUCUCGAUGGAAACUUUGCCUCCGAAGAUGGAGUGGACUACGUCGGUGGGACUGACAUACUGGUGUCGUGGGUCCCUAUCCUGGUCGUCGUCCUCGUCUUCAUGGCCACGCCUGUCCUGCUUCCCAUUUUUCUUGGCGGAGUCGUCUUGAGCGGCCCACUGUGUGUAGAUGAUUUUGAGGACACGGCAUUCUUCCACUGUGUGACUGGACUUGGGAUGGAGUUGGCAUGGUCCUUUCAAUGUCUUGUUGUAAUCUUCUUAGUAGUCUCGUCGCCCAUUGGGGCGCUUGACCGUAUUCACCUCGUGGCCAUGGUCACGAGGGCGCUUGCCCCAGAAGUCAUCACGGUUGUCACGCCGCCUGUCCCAACCUUCUCUAUGGUCAUGGUUGUCAGUGCGACGAUGGAUCCUAUUGUCAAAGUGUCCACGACUGUCGUCUCGUCGAGGAGGCUGGUCGGGACCUCUCGCAUCCUCUCGGAUGAGCUUUUCUGCGUCAUCAGCGUCAGCGUAGUUUUUUGCCAUGGCGAGGAGCUCGGCCAUCGUGGUCGGCCUUUUGCGCAGUAGCUUAUUCCUUAGUGCUUCAUGGAAGCAUAGCCCUUUGAUGAAGGCUGAUAUGGCCUCGUCAUGAGAAAUUUUUGGAAUUUUAAGACGCAUAUCCGAGAAUCUUCGGAUGUAAUCACACAGAGGCUUGUUUUUCCUAUCCCUUAUUCUCUCGAGGUCGUACUUGUUCCCAGGCUGCUCGCAGGUAGCGAUGAAAUUGUCAAUAAACGCCUGGCAUAGUUCUUCCCAAGAGUCAAAAGAGUCCUCGAGCAGGCCGAGGAGCCACUGAUGGCCAGCCUGGUCGAGGACGACUGGGAAGUAAUUUGCCAUGACAUGCUCGUCUCCUGCUGCCGACCGAACGGCAAUCUCGUAGAGAGUGAUCGAGUUUUCUGGGUUUUCCUUGCCGUCAUAUUUUUUAAGCUUCUCAAGUUUAAAGUUGCGGGGCCAUACGACUUGGCGAAGGUGUGAAGAAAACUGUCUUAGGCCGGGAGGGCCGUGCGCGGCAUCGUACUCAAUGCGUCGCAAGUUUUCGUGUACCGCUAUUUCCGUGGCGCGCCGGUUGAUGCAGUCGCGGGCGUCCUUGGGAGGGAUGUUGUAUCGUAGAUCCCUGUCCUGGUUUAAUUCCUGACCACACCCACGCUUCUACUCGCGGUAGCAGCCGGUGUCCCGACCACGGUUGUCGCGCCCCAUAUCUUUCCUGUGGUUGUUGGGAGAGCAGCUACGAUGGCGCUCGCUGGGUGAAGUCCGACUGCGAUGGGUCUGGUCGGAAGAGACCUCUGUGUAGGAGAUGGCUUGGACCCUUUUGAGUAAGGUGGCUGUCUGUCCCAUCGCGGCGAUCAGGUGUGCGCGUAUGCUGGACCGAACACCCUGGCACUCAAGGGUAUCAGUGAAUCAGUCCAGGUUUGCCAUAGCAACAGCCACGUUAGCACUCAGUGUCUUGUAGACUGGCUGAUCCCCAACCAUGUCGAAAGCAUCACUGAGGUUAUGCGGCGCAAGUUGUCGUUCUUCAUCCGCGCGCCGCCGAGCGCGGUCGGCAUUGCGCUGUUCGCGGAGCUGCUUCUGCUCGUCUGUUUCUCCAUCGACAACCGGUUCAUUGUUGCUAGCAUUGAAGAUAAGAUCUCCCCGCCGAGGUGGAAAGACUGGGAAGCGAGAGAAGCCUGGAGGAUACGGUGGUAAAUCCAGGUCGUAAUCUUCGUCCUCGGAGUUUAGAACCUCGGUGGGGAUAGACCCUGUGCUGGAGUUAGUACUGGCAGCAUUGUCGUUCGGUAGUACUUGGAUUGAUACUGUUGACGGUUCUUAAGUAUCAAUUUGAAUUAUCAAAUAAACAAGAGAAAGGACCAAUAUGCAACCAACACCAAGAAUUAGGGUUUGAUCUAUCAGAAUUCCACGAGUUUUGUUGUUUAUCUAUUUCUGUAGGGGUUAUUAGGAAACAAGGAAGAAAGGCCCACAUGUCGGGAUUACAUAGAGAUAUCAACGCACCACGCAAUUUUCUACCAUCUAGAAGACUCUAGAAGCCACGGGAACAAAGUGGAGGCCGAAAGGGGCCUGGCCCAGGGCGCCCGCCCCCUCCUGGAGUUGGAUCAGGACUCUUUUCGCGGACGACGCUCCACUGACCUAAAGGAUCAAGGAUAACCGUCCAAUCAAUGUCGGUUUGAUCCAAUGACUCACGUUCACUUGAGGGGACUAUAAAACCAGACCCCCUGGCCCCUAGAGGAGACAAGUUCAUCAUAGAGUUGAGAGGAGCCCUCGAAGGAAAACCUCUCCUCUAAAUAAAAUUUCUUUUUAGGCUUAGCAACCAAUGUGAGUAGAAAUAGAUCUUCUAGUUUCUACUAGAUUGAGAGAGAUAGAGUGGAGGUGUAGAUCGGAGGAUGCUCGGCCUGUCGAUGUCUACUCCAAGCUUGUACCUGCGGGAUCAAGUUCUCCUAACCCAAAGCUUGUUCCUAGGAUUCUUCAGUAUUUCAACUUCUAAAUUCUAGUAAGUUCUUCUUUUAUUGUUCUUUGGUUUAUGAGUUUACUUUAAUCUCUUCGCGUAGAGUUUAGAGUAAUCAUCUCUAGCGUAGACGUGGUGUUUGGGCUAGGAUACUCAUAGAUAUUCCUUGACUAGCUAGACCGUGGUAGUAGCGAGGAACGUGUCAUUUCUGAGUUACCUUUGCAGACUAUAUCUCGUUAGCAGGAAGGAUAGGGUUUAUAGGUGCGGGUUGAACAUCCUCAGUGGUGUCUAGAUUCCAUAAGCUUCCCCAAUAGAACAGUAGAUCAUCCUUACCAAGGUUAGAAGGAGAUUACGGUUGUAGUCUUCUCUAUUUAUCACUCACAUCGAGAAACAUUCUUUGUUGCCUAAAGGGUUAGUAGUAAUAGACCAGGUUAGUCAGAUGCACUCUUUCUCCUAGUGGUAAAAAAAUAAAUACGAUACUCUAGAUAAUCUCCCGGGUGAAGUGCUCACCGAUAUCCGUGCGCUUGCGGAUCAAUUCCUUAUUGCAUUCCCAAAUAUCAACAAGCAUUUCUGGCGCCUUUGCCGGGGAGAAAGGUGGUUUGCUGAGAUAACCUUGAGUCUUACUACUAGCUUGUAUGUAUACUUUUAUCGUUUCUUAUCUUUUAUAUUCUGUAUUUAUUUUCUUUACUCUUACCUUAUGGAAAACCAAGAUUCUAAAUCAAUUUACCAAUUUGCAACACCUUCAGAAACUGACCUUUUACCAUGGGAGUCAUACAGCCUAUCCAAACAUCCCAGUAUAAGUUAAGUUCUAGGUUGAUUGCAAUGAUUCAAAACCUAUCUUUUUUGGGAAAGGAAGACGAAAACCCUUACCUUCAUAUUAUAGAUUUUGAGCAAACAUGUGAUUGUCUUCGCAUUGAAGGCAUUUUCGAUAAAACUUUUACGGUGGAAGCUUUUUCCUUUUUCCUUAAGGGGAGAAGCUAGACAAUGAUACAGUCAGAAGGUAAGUCAACAACGAGGUGAAUGGGGAGUUUUACGAGCCAACUUUUGUCUAGAUUUUUAUUCCCUCGACCGUAUCGGCGACCUUAGACUCGAAGUCCUAUCUUUUAAACAAAAAGAUAAUGAAACUUUGGGAAAAUCCUGGAAACAUUUUUCUAAUCUUUUAGAAUCUGGUCCAAACCUUAAUCUUGAAGACCCUGUUCUUUUAUUUCACAUUUUUCGAGGUCUUCAGAUAGAUCACAAACAAAUGCUACAUACAAUGUCUAGAGGUGCUUUCUUUCGCAUCCCUGCUAAUGAAGCUAGAGUGAUCCUAGAUAGAAUCCUAGAAGCUGAGAUGGAUAAUACCCUUCAUGAUGAAACCCACAAAGCCGAAGUAGACACUCUGCCAAAUUCUUCAUCUACUUUAGCUAUCCCAAGUUCUGAGCCACAAAAGGAAGAAAUUCCACCACCGGACUUCAUGCUGGAUAUAGAAUCUGAUCUUUUUGCCAAUUUUGGAAACAUUGCAAACUACCAUUCUACUAACAGACCCCAAAAUGGCCAUUUUAGCAUUUGUUUACCAAGUGAACAUCAAUUGAGAGAGCUUAUCUCAGUCAUGAGUAGCGAGUGGUUGGAGGAAUCAGAGCUUUCCUCUGAUGUGAUCCGUCUGGACACGCCCUCUAUAACUAUACGAUGUGCUUAUGAUUCUGAUCGAUUUGAUGCUCUUUAUAAUCCUGUUGUGGGGAUCAACAUUAUGUCUGAAUCUUUUGCACUUAAACUAUUUAAAAAUCUUGUCUUAACCCCCACAACAAAGGUCAUAAAGGAAUCUUCAGGACGAUUAGUCCCCAGUCUUAGAAUUAUUAAUGUCCUACCUCUUACGCUAGAAGGCUCCAUGGUUCAUUUGAACUUCUAUAUCUUUGAUACAUGGGACUUCGACCAGUUGAUAGGACAGCCUUUUAGAAGACUUCUUUAUGAGGGUCAUACUGGAAAGCUACACAUUUCUUUUGGAAAAACCUUUAAAUUCCCAAUAACAAUUUCUCACUCCUUAAAUAAUAAGGCUGAGUCAUAUCUUUUGCCUGAUCCUAUGCAGGAGGUAAAGGCUGCAUCUCUAGAGCUAUUAGAUGAACCAGACUUAGAAUACGAAACUCCUUUCUUCAUAGAAGAAGAAGUUGAAUCUUCCGAACCUGAACCCUUAGAUGAGUAUGCAGAAACACCUAGACGUACCAUAGAGCUUAAAACUUUACCACCCGGUCUUAUCUAUUCUUUCCUAAACAAUAAUCCAGAGUUUCCUGUGAUCAUUAGUGAUAGACUCACUCAGGAGCAAACUCUGCGAUUAAUGACCAUUCUUGAGAAACAUCACUCAGUUUUCGGCUACUCACUCCAAGAUCUUACAGGAAUUAGUCCUAUGAUUUGUACCCAUCGUAUUCCGACAGAUCCUUCUGUUUCACCCUCUCAAGAACCUCAACAUAGACUGAACAACACGAUGAGAGAGGUAGUUAAAAAGGAAGUUAUAAAGUUGCUGCAUGCAGGGAUUAUAUAUCCUGUGCCGCAUAGUGAGUGGGUAAGCCCAGUUCAAGUUGUGCUUAAAAAGGGAGGCAUGACUGUUAUAAUGAAUGAAAAGAAUGAGCUAAUUCCGCAACGCACCGUCAUAGGAUGGCGGAUGUGCAUAGACUAUAGAAAACUAAACAAAGCCACAAGAAAGGAUCAUUUUCCUUUACCUUUCAUAGAUGAGAUGCUAGAGCGAUUAGCGAACCAUUCAUUCUUUUGUUUCAUAGAUGGAUAUUCAGGGUAUCACCAAAUCUCGAUCCAACCCGAUGAUCAAAGCAAAACCACUUUUACAUGCCCAUAUGGAACUUAUGCUUACCGUAGAAUGUCUUUUGGGUUAUGUAAUGCACCAGCUUCUUUUCAAAGAUGCAUGAUGUCUAUAUUUUCUGAUAUGAUUGAAGAGAUUAUGGAAGUUUUCAUGGAUGAUUUCUCUGUUUAUGGAAAAACUUUUGAUAGUUGUCUUGAAAAAUUAGACAAGGUUUUGCAGAGAUGUGAAGAAAAGCACUUGGUCCUUAAUUGGGAAAAAUGUCAUUUUAUGGUUAGGGAAGGAAUAGUGCUGGGACACCUAGUGUCUGAAAGAGGUAUUGAGGUAGACAAAGCUAAAAUUGAAGUAAUUGAACAACUACCUCCACCUGUGAAUAUAAAAGGAAUUCGAAGCUUUCUUGGCCAUGCUGGUUUUUAUCGUAGAUUCAUAAAAGAUUUCUCAUUUGUUGCUAGACCACUUACUCUUUUGCUAGCCAAGGAUGCUCCUUUCGAAUUUGAUGAUGCAUGUCUAACAUCUUUCAAUUUAUUAAAGAAAGCACUCAUCUCUGCACCAAUCAUUCAACCCCCUGAUUGGUCGUUGCCUUUUGAAAUUAUGUUUGAUGCUAGUGAUUAUGCUGUGGGGGCAGUUUUGGGACAAACUAAAAAUAAGAAGCAUCAUGCAAUUGCUUAUGCCAGUAAAACUUUGUCAGGAGCUCAACUUAAUUAUGCAACCACUGAAAAAGAGCUUCUGGCUGUUGUCUUUGCCAUUGAUAAAUUUAGAUCUUAUCUAGUUGGAGCUGAAAUAAUUGUUUACACUGAUCAUGCUGCACUAAAAUAUUUGCUCACUAAAAAAGACGCUAAACCUCGCCUAAUUAGAUGGAUCUUAUUACUCUAAGAAUUUGACUUAGAAAUAAAAGAUAAAAAGGGAGUAGAAAAUUCUGUUGCUGAUCACUUGUCUAGAAUGUAUUUUAAGAAUCCACAGGAAACCCCCAUCAAUGAUUCACUCCGGGACGACAUGCUCUACGGGAUUAACAGGUCUGACCCCUGGUAUGCAAAUAUUGUUAAUUUUAUGGUUUCAGGGUAUGUACCACCAGGAGCAAACAAGAAGAAGCUUAUUCAAGAAAGUCAUUCACAUAUAUGGGAUGAGCCAUACCUCUUCCGGGUAUGCUCAGAUGGCUUACUCAGGAGAUGUGUGACCACUGAGGAAGGAUGGAAGAUCAUCGACAGAUGUCAUUCAUCACCAUAUGGACGUCAUUAUGGAGCAUUCUGUACACAUUCAAAGAUCUGGCAGUGUGGAUUCUACUGGCCUACAAUGUAUGAAGCCACGAAGCAAUAUAUGAGAAGAUGUGGGUCAUGUCAAAGGCACGGAAAUAUAAAUACAAGGGAUGCAAUGCCACUCACCAACAACCUUCAGAUUGAGCUCUUUGAUGUCUGGGGAAUAGACUAUAUGAGUCCAUUUCCUCCAUCAAAGAAGUGUGAGUACAUCUUGGUGGCAGUUGACUACGUCUCCAAGUGGGUAGAGGCAUUACCUUGCAAGCAUGCCGACAACAUCAGUUCAAAGAGGAUGUUUGAAGAAAUUAUAAUUCCAAGAUUUGGAGUCCCCAGAGUAGUGAUAAGUGAUGGAGGAGCACACUUCAUCAACAAACGCUUCAAGCAAUAUCUAUCAAAACAUGGAACCCGUCAUAACGUCGCUACCCCCUACCAUCCGCAGACAAGUGGCCAAGCAGAGACUUCCAACAACCAAAUCAAGAAUAUUCUUUAGAAGACAGUUAAUGAAAUGGGAACGGCAUGGAGAGACAAGUUACCCGAUGCACUCUGGGCAUACCGGACAGCAUACAAGUCCCCAAUUGGAAUGUCUCCAUACCAAUUGGUGUACGGGAAGACUUGCCACCUACCUGUUAAACUAGAAUUCAAAGCACACUGGGUCAUAAGGAGAUGGAAUAUGGACCUAGAUGUCGCUGGAGAUCAUAGAAGAAUGCGACUAUCAGAAUUGGAAGAAUGGCAAGAGAAAGCAUAUCACAAUUCGAAGAUCUACAAAGAAAGAGUCAAAAGGUGGCAUGACAAGAGAAUCAAGAAGAAGGAGUUCGCACCCGGAGAUAUGGUGUUGAUGCAAAAGUGGAUCUGCAAACAGAAAGAGCUAAUACCCGAUUUCAAACAUUAAGGCGUGCCAGCCGAUUUGACCUUACUAUCGGCAAAGGUGAUAGCUGUAACAUCCGUGAUGUUACGAACACUAAAACUAGAUCAUGUCAUCAUAAGCAUUGCAAAGCAUAUUCGUUAAGCACAUCAUUAUGCAUCAACUUAAAAUAAGUUUAUUUUUGUUGAUUGUGCUUAGGGAAUUAAAGUGUGUUUAUCUUGUGAAGUGAUGCUUGUGAUGGUUGUUUAAUCCCUAGUUAAGGAGGUUUGUAAGGAGGCAGCUAAGAAAAACCCCUAAUUUCAACCCUAGUUUUUACCCCCGUUUGUGUAACUUAAAAACUAAGCAAAAUUUGGGGAUGAGUUCAAAUGCAAAGUUGUAGAUCUUGUCAAGGUGUACAACUUUGGUGUUUCGAGUUUUUGAAGUUUCAAUACAAAAUUGAAAGUAAUUUUGAAAAUACAGAUUUCCAGAAAUUGUCCCCUUUUCCAAUUUUAAUUCCUAAUUCAAAACCUAUUUGGAAUCUUGAAAAGGGAUCAAAAUAAAAGUUGUAGGGCUCAUCAAAAUGAACAACUUUUAUUUUGGGAGUUUUUCAAGUUGUUGAGAAAAAUCAAAAGUAAUUUUAGAAUUUCUAUUCUGCCCCAAUUAAAACCAGUUUUGCCCCCAAAUUUAAAUUUUUGAAUUUCAAACUGUUUGGCUCAAAUUCGUCCCUCUAUAUUCAAAAUUUGUUUUGGGUCAUUAAAUAUGAUUUGUAGAGUUCAAAAUUCUUAACAAAUGUUGUUUUGGCUGAAAUUUGAGUGGUAUUCGAAUUUUGGGAAUAAUUUUGGAAAUUGAAGAGAGGGGAUAAGCACUGCUUGCUACAGUCACCAAUGGCUGACAGCCAACUCCGGCACCCUAGCGCUGCCGAGCUCGCGCUGGCACUCUGAAUGAGAGCCCAUGCAGCUGCCUGCUUGCUUAUUGUCUCGACCUCAACUGGAGCCAUCCUCAUCCACUGAACCCAAGCCGCCAUUCUUCCUGCUAACUGCCGCCGCCGUGUUUUGCUGUCGUCACCAUAGCACGCCGCCCACACUCUCUAUCGAGAACCAGCAGCUCCGCCAUCCUCUUGCGACGCGAUAGCGUCCACUCAAGCAUGCUCAACCCUCUCCAAUUCCCUGGCCGGCUCUCUUCUUCCCCGGAGUCGGCAGAAACGUCGCCGCAACCUCGCCACCAUGGCCAGCCCUCCUCCGUGCUUCUCCACCAUUUCUGAGCAGCUUGACAAAGUCGUGGUGAGUCCCUGAUGCUCCCCAACUCUUCCCCUCGCCCCCAACGAACGUCAACAGGCCGGAAAUCAGGUUUCGUCCAAUAUCCUCUGCUCUCGAUUCGCGACCAGGGACUUCGCGCAACAAUUUGAAGUUCUCCAGGGGUCUAAUUGCACAGACUGUGACUCAGGUGAAUAGUGCUAUAAGGACUUGUUUGUAGAUGUUUUGUUGAAUCUUUGAAAAUUCAUAUCUGGAGUUUGGUAACUCAAAUUUUCGUGAAACAAAUUUUGUUGUCCUCCUUAAGUUGUCUAGUUUUUAUUAAAAAUAUAUAACUGACCAUGUUUUGUAGUAAAAUAAUUGAUUAUGAUUUAUGCCUUUUAAUUAUGUUUAAAAAGGAGAAAUUCAUAUCUCAUUCUGUGUAGCUCCUAUGGGCCUGAACUUUUUAUUAUGUUCUCAUGAUGUUAUGUGAGUGUUGCAGUAAAAAUUUCAUGUUUAGUAGAUGAUAUAUGGUGAAGUUAUUAUUUUAUCUUGUUUAGUGCUUAUUAAAUAGUUUAUAAUUAAACUAAAAAUUAAUAAAUAUAAAAUAUGGUUCCUGUACCCUUAUAUGAGGUUGUUAUAUCAUAUAGAUACAUAAUUUAGCCAUGUGUUUGUAGAAAAUGUCGAGUUUCUUAUUUAUCUUUUUGUUACAUCCUUCCUUGUAAUGGAAAUUUAUCUUUUUCAUGGAAAUUGCUAUACUUUUCCAAAUGGCAUGAAAUUUAUACAGUAGACUUUGGAGAGCAUAUAUGAGCUUCUGUAGUUUUCUCAGAAUUUACUGUGUACUUUUGAUAUAUGGUUAUUACUUUGUCUAUUUAUCUAAAUAAAUUAAUAAAGACAUGAAAGGUAUUUAUUUAGGGAUGGCCAUGAUGUUUUCUAGUAUCUCUUUGAUGUAUUUCAACUGUUGGUGAGCUGGGUUUUGCCCAGGUUCAAGUUUGGAACAUAAAUGAAAUAUGAUUUCUCUAUAAUUCAAAUGUUAGUGGUUUCUCGACAAUUUCUGGAGCAUUAUGAAUUGCUCUAGGUAAAUAAUGUUGGAUAUGAAACUUGUCUAUAACAAAGUUGUAUAGAAUUCAUGUAUCUAGCUGGUGUUAAAUUUUGGUGGCAUUAGUCCUUGUAGUUUCUGAAUUAUGCCUGUUUAAAUUCAAGUUUCAGAAAUGGUUCCCUCUGUCAAAUCCUGGAUCAGUUUCUGUAGUUGUGCAAUUUCGACCUACUAAACUUAUGAAUCAUGCUUUCAUGAUAAAAGAUGAAUUGUAUUGAUUUUCAUAAGCUUUCCAAAAUGUUAUGGAUCAUGAAUUUUGGUGAUCUAGAACUCUGGUUAUAGAUGUAUGAAGCUUAAUGUCUGAUUCUGUCCAAGGUCUGGACAGAAUUGUUUAUUCAUACUGUUUGGCCAUUUUAUCUAUUAAAUCAGUUCUCGAAGAUGAUAACAAAGUUGCAGAAAAUUAUAUAAGCUUUCCAGAAAGUCUAAUAUCACCUUUAUUGGAUGCUUGGAUCUCUAAUUAUGGUUGAAUGAAGUUGUGUAUAUGCUGCUGUCCUGGUUAUGUGUGCAAAUAGAGUUGAUUGUUUUUAGCUAGCCUUUACUUAAACAAUGAGUAGCUUAAUUUCCAAAUUAGAAUUUGAGUGAUUUUGGAAUUGUGUGAUGACCUGAGGUCAUUAAUCUUAAUGACCUUUGGCAUUUAAUUAUUGUUUGGUAUUAAUACUUAAUUACUGUCACUAAUACUUAAUUAAGAAUUAAUUUAGAUAAAAAGGACUAAUAAUUAGUUAACUAAGACUAAUUGUAAAUUAAGGAAAGUCUUAGCUUACUGAUGCAACCUCUUGGGUAAGAACAUUAAAAUGAUAAAUAACUUUAGUUACUGUUUAGCCUGUUUUUGCACCAAGAAGGAAAGUUGUACUCAACUCGGUCCUUCUUAAAUAUCUGUCAUAUGCAUAUCAUGAGCAUUCAUCAUUUUGCGUAUAGUGCACGUGACCGAAGGAGCGACCGUUAAACCAAGCCCCGAGGUCGGUGCUCCGUUCGAGGAAAUAGGAUCCGAGACUUGGGAAGUCUUCGAGGGUCUCUCUCAGCUCUGCAACCAAGGCAAGCCCCGGAUGCAUUAACCCCUCCUUGAAUGUUUUAAAUCUUUUAUCACUUAUGAAUUGAAAAUGCUGCAUUAGGUAGUCGAGAAUUGGGUUAACCUACUUGCUGCAUUUACUACCUUGAUAUUUGUUAUCUUGUCCUUGGCACCUGUUUUAUUUUAAAACUGGUGAUGCUUAGCGCUGCUACUAGAUAGGAUUUCAAACAAGAAAGUUUGAAGGGUUGUUGUGGAAUACACUUAUGGUCAAUGAUGUUUCAACUUGAGACCGGUCGGUGGACUUGCUUUAAGAAUAGAGUAUUAAAGUAGUGUCUCCAACUGUGUCGGUUAAGGACCGGUCCGUUGAUGGCCCGCUGGGUUGAGAAUUUAUAGUACUAGCCACUUGCCCUCGGUAAGCCCGGUCUUGUGAUCCCUCGACGCGAACAGCUACUCGCGCACUGGGCGUGGAGCGAUGGCGAGAGUAGUGUGUACCCUCCUAGCAAAUGGGCUGGAUGGUGGGGUACUGUGCUCUCGGGUGCCGCGAACCUGGUCAAAUUUGGGGAGAGCUCGAUUUGGGUUGACAUAUGCAAGAUUUGGUUCUACAUAUGUCGGGUGGUUAGGAACUCCAGCUGGAUUGCUAAGUGGUUCGAAUCGUCGUUGCUCCCUGAUUGGGAGACUCAAUCCACUGACCCUCAUCGUAGUUAAAUAUGCAACUAAGUGAUAAAAUGAGAAAGGGGGUAAUGUCCCAUGAGGUUCGGAUCCCAAUUCCCGGACUCAGAGUGACAUGAAGCUAUGGCCGUUGGAUAGAUAAUACUUUGAUUAAGGAAUAGGAACUUACAGACUUGUCUGUGAGAAGCAACUAGACAGAGUGUCCUCGAACUCCUCGACCUCUUAAGGAGAGGAAUUCAUGGGUAAAACUUGAAAGUAAGGAUGCACUAUUAGUAAGCUUUUUGGCAAAACAAUUUGGCUCCUUGCUCAUCCACUCCUUGUCUACCCUAAGCCUGCAUUCCUAAGUUCUCCUCUUUUUCCGCCGGGUAAGUCUUGUUGAGUACUCCCGUACUCAGGGUUUUAUAACCCCCAUUGCAGGUGCUGACUUAGACUGCUAAUGGAGGUCUUGUCGGUGGGCGCGACAUGAUUUAUCCACCUCUUCUACCUUAGAAGCUUCACCUAAGAUGCUUCCGCUACUCUACACACCUUUUGAAAAUUUAGUUGUUUAUAUUCCAUCAUAUGUUGUAAGUUGAGUUAUAGAUCUUCCGCACACUGAUUUAAGUUAUUUUUGUAACAAAUGUUUUAAUAUUGUGGUAACUCCAUGUUGAUCCUGUGUGAGUUAAAAUGUGGAUGAUUCGGGGUCCUCCGAGGGCACCCGACACACUAUCCAAGUUAUAUGACUCUCAUGUACAGUAGUCAGAGGUCUAAAGGACAAUGUCAAGUGCAUGUGGGCCAUAUAAUUCGGGUGGUUCUGCCACAGAGUGGUAUCAGAGCUCAUACAUGGAUCUUCUGCAACAUUACUUGUGAAAAACUUCAAAAGGAAUUUACAAAUUAAAAGUUUUGAGGAUAACAACUUGUAAAUGCUCCUUAACUUUUCUUGUGCUUGCUGUCCGGGUUCUACGAAGACUUUCUGCUGACUCAAAUAGAAGACAUUGAAAGAGGCUUCAAGUCUUUGGCAAGCCAAGUGAAGAAUCAAACCAAGUGAAUAAGUCUUUGGCAGGUUAAUGAUAAUUAACUUGAGGCUAAUAAGAAUGGUUUAUUUAUCCAACUUAAGCUCUUUAUGCAAAAACACGUCAAGCCAGCUCCACUAUUUAAAGUAAGCCUUGCAUGACCCUUGGUGUCCUUGUUUUGGUUAGACGAGUAAGUCUAGCUGAGUACAACCUUGAACUCAGGGUUUAUUCCCACUUAUUGCAGAUGACAUCUUCUAUGACAGUUUCUACAAGACCUGUCUUCACCCUGCUAGGGAUGAUGACUAACCGUUGGGCGUGGUUCUCUAAGACUUCGUACCUAACUUGCUUUUGGUGGAUGAUGAGACACUGGCUGUAUUAAUAAACUUGUGAUGUUGGUUUGAAAACUAUGUUGCUUCCGCCACUAGGAACUUGUUUUGUAAUAACUUAAGUGAACUCUGAUGUGUGUCGCUUCGUCGACCAUGUAUGAAAUGCUAUAACAAUCGAUGUAUUAUGCUGAAUUUAUUACAAUCUUUGUUUGUUGCCAAGUUGGUUGGAAAUCUGUAACACCCUAAAUUUUGCUUCUUUGAAAAUAGAGCUAAAAUAAUUUAUUUUGUAUUUCUGUGCUCAUGAAAAUAUAGUAAAAUGAAAUUUUCCUUAAAUUAAAAUUCAUCAUAGGGUUUAGCAACAUUGUUGUGCAUACAUGCUGGUAAAUAUGUUUUAUGUGAUGUUUGUUUGUUGCUCCUUUGUGUGUUGAGAGUGAACAAAGUUUUUAAAAUGCGUUUAGUAGAUCGAUCUUCCUUAACCGGUACAUCUCUAUCUUUAUCUCCGAUCAAAUUCCUUGUUGCUCAGCUCAAGUUUUUAUUAGGAGCUUCCUAAAAUCUUUUCUUUGUCACCCAAAUCGCAUCUUUUGAUUUCUCAUUCAUCAAGCAGUCUCUACAAACUUUUUUGGAAUUCUUCAGAUUCCGUUCUCACUUCUCUGUAAGUAUCAUCUAAUUUUUAGAUGCUCCAAAAUAAUCUUAUCAUGGACUCUAAAUACUUUAUUUGAGUUCCUCAUGUUCCAUAGUGUCUCUGAGAAUUUUCUCCGAAUUUUCAGAGCUUUCAGAAUAUUUUUCACAGUUUAAAUAAUAAUUCUAGACUUUUCUAGAAUUAUUUUAUCCAUAAAAUUAAAUAAUUCUGAAAAUAAUAAAUCCUUCAUUUUACCACAAUGCUCAGCUCAUGAUCUCAAAGGCCAAUAUAUUUAUUUACUAGUGGACUUAAAUAAUUAAUCAGGCCUAUUAGUAAAGAUGGAGAUUGCAACACAGUUAGUACCAUAUUGCUAAUUGAUGUGGAUGUGAAGAGUUUUUCUUGCUAUAUAUAUGUACGAACUCCUUGGGUUAACACCAAAACUACCAUAUGGGGAGCUUCUAGUUUGAAAAAUCGCUCGUAUAGUAAAAUUAUAUUUUUCUUCUUUUGCCGUCGGGCAGCCAUCGUGGACGCUUCUAUGCCCCGCACAAGCCGGAGCUUCCUGCCGUGACCAUAGUUCUAUCUACGGUAGCUACCUCUCCGGCCAUCGUCCGUCUCCGUUGGUGAGAAAUCCAGCAUACAGCUCCUUCGUCUCUCCUUUACAUGAUGUGCACAGCUCACAGGUCAGGCAAUCCUACAGGUUUUGUUCCGGUUGGACAACUUGCAAGCGUCUCGCUCCGGUAUUUUUUUUAUCUAAAGAACCAUGCAUAUCCACCAAAUCUGAGCACAUGACGUGAUUGAGUUUAAGAUCUGUAUGUGCACCCUUGAAGUCGAGCUGCCUCCACUGUAAUCCUACAAAUCUUUGUCGUUGCCAAUAGCUUGUGUCUUCAAUCUGUUUCCAGAUGGCAAGCUAACUUGGUAAGUGUCUCGAUGUUCGUAGUUUUUUUAUUGAGCUUGUACUGACGUAAUAUACAUCGUAGUAACUAUGUUUUCUAUUAUCAAGUAUCUCUAAAUUUUAUAUUUUAAAUAGUAAUAUGAUUAAUAUGCACACAAGUAGUUUUAUAAUUAACAACCACAUAAGCAUAAUACUUUGAUAUCUUAUACAUAUAUAUCUUAAUAUGUUUAAUCGCUAUCACCAUGUUUUUGAAUUCUAAAUUGUUUAGUUUAAACCCACAUCACAAGCGUUUCGCUUGUCCUUUUAAUUAGCAAAGUUAGUGUUUAAUUUAUUCAAAUAUACAACAAUAUUUAUAUGUAAAAUAUGACUAGAUUUAACUUAGCUUUUAAAUUAAAUUAAGAUUUAUCUGAUCUAAAUUAAAUGUCUCUAUGAUUUUGUUUAACUAACAUAAAAUAAAUCAAACUUGUAGUUGUUUCUUUUAUAAUAAAAAUAUAAACCUUUUAGUAGUCGUUUCUUUUUAUCAUAGCCCUCGGUGUUUCUAGCGUUCUCAUCACCAUAGUAAUUAUUUCUCUCUUAAUACGUUAUUUUCUUUUGUGCAGUGUAUUGUUCUUAGUUUCUUUUAUUUAUUCCUUGUAUGUUUGUCUAUGUGUGGUGUUUGGUAUGAGUAGAGAAUGUGAACCAUUUUAUCGACGUUGAAGAUUAAGAGGGCAUGACUAGAAGAUAAUUGAAGGUUCUAUAAAGGAGUUGCUCUAGAUAUUAAGCAAUUGGAUCAAGGCAAGUAUAGCAUUUGGAUUUUAUUUCUGUGACCAUGAUCCUGUGACUAGAUUAAUGUUAAGUAAUAAAUGAUAAAAAUGAUAUUUUAGCAACUUGAUGAUUUAUCUGUACGUGAUCACCCGAGACAACAGUGCAACCAUGAGGGCUAUAAUGGCUCUGGCUUUAACUCAGUAUGAAAACCUUUUUAGAGGUUACCCGAAAGGGCGCUAGAGGGGCUGAACCGUUUUGGGUAUAGUGUGGCCUCUGUCUGUAUGUGUAUAGGCUGCGCGUCAUUGUGCCAUCGGAAGGGGGGCUCUAUAUCUACGCGCGAAGGAAACCUUGCGGCCCUGUCACACCCAUAUUUUAAGAACAAAAUAGGAUGCAUAAAAGACUCAUAUGGGCCCCAGAAACAGUCGCACACAUAAGUAGACAAAUCUCAAAUGUACCAUUGCAGUGUUUAUUACAUAGCGGAAUAUAAAAUAUCACAUAGUCUCAUACAAAAAUGAUAGCAUAAAGUAAACAACGCUCUCGACGGAAGCUCCACACAGAGACACUGUUGACUGGUUGACUCCAAACCUAGUACUCAUAACGGUAAUCCUCAUUCCAGUCAUCUUCAUUAUCAUAUCGUGAGGUGUUAGAAAAUUGCAAGAGUGAGCACAUAUCGUACUCAACAAGUAUAACCAGGGGUUCAUGAGGCUUAAAUAGCUGACAUAGGUUUGACUGCGUUUAGCUUUUAAUAGUGGGUAGCAUAUUCAUAAUUAAAUGGCAAUUGUCAAGGUAGCAUAAAUAAUCCAUUAACCACAUGAUCAAGUGUAAGCAUAAUUAAUUCUUAGCAUAAACGAUAAUCAAAUGAACAUAACAACUUAAUAAGCUCAUUGUCGGCGCAGCAAGAACCCCCAAGGCCGCUCAUAACUGUGAGCACGGCUAGUAUACCAGUUUUACACUCUGCAGAGGUUGUACAUCUUUACCCAUGAGUCAUGAUUUACCCUUUCGCCCGAGGUAGCUAAUCUCUUAACCCCCUUCCUAGGGAGGUCAGCAGGGAUCACUAUGAAGCCUUUCAAAAGUUCGUCUAACAUGUUAGGGCCACAAGGUUUUCUUUACACGCAGAUAUAGAUACCCCCUUCCGAAUGGCACAAUGACGUGCAGCCUAUACACAAAGGGACAGGGGCUCGCACUAUACCCAAAACGGUUCAGCCCCUCCGCCCUUUCGGGUAACCUCUAACAAGCUAGAAAAGUUCUUCAUACUGAGCUAAAGCCAGAGCCAUUAUAGCCCUCAUGGUUACACUGUUGUCCCGGUGAUCACUUACAGACAAAAUCUCAUAUAGUUAUUUGUCAUCAUUUAACGUUCAUUGCAUAGCUAUUAAUCAUCUUACAAGAUCAUAGAUUAUAUCAAGCACUAGCACAUCUACACCAAAUGCAUAUCAAAUAGGUAGCAAGGAAUCCAGGUAACAAUCAUCUAUGAUUUUGCUAAGGUCGACAAGGUGAUAGCAUGCAUAUGAUAUAUAUGUGUACUUAAGUGAAUAGGUAACAAGGAUGAUCCCAAGUUAUACUUGCCUUGAUCAAAGCUCUCCAGAGCCUGCUGGUCUUCAAAAGCUUGGUCUUGAUCACCAACGUACGGCUCACCGUCUAUUCCCAAACAUCAAUCAACAACACGCAAUCUAAUGGAGACAAUCAUACACAAAGCAAACAAGAUAUAAUUAGAACAUUACACCAAACAGUGGUAAAACAAAGAUAAAAGUUUAUGAAAAUAUUCUACGCAGCGCUACGAUCACACAAACGUAAAGUUCACGAAAAUCAGAAUUAAAACGUGAAAGAUAUGAAUUUUCUAAGAUUUCCUAUAGAGAAAUAAUUAAUUAAAUACUACUGCAGAAUUAAAAAGUUUCAAAACAGUGAAAUAUUACUUCUAACAUGUAGAUCUUGUAAAUACGAAUCUAACAAAAUUUGAAUGGUCAAAAACGUAGUGAAAAUGAGCAUUUUAUAAGCAUUAUAAAUUCAGUGGCAAAACUAUAAAAUGGCUGAAAACGCCUUUGAUCUCAACCAGACACGAGUACGCUUUCGCAAUAGGAAAAUGUAAUCUGGUGCAGGGCGCCAAGGACCGCGGGCAAAAUACAAAACUAACAAGGGACUCUUUAUCAAAAACCGCAGUGAAAGGGUAUGUUUAAAUCGUGGCCGUUGAUCUUCGGUUGGACAGCUGGCAGGCUUCCUGGGCGUGCAGAGCCGUCGUCCGGCCGGAGCUCAGCACCGGCUCGGUGGCGCCAUGGCCACCGCCGCAAAGCUCACUGGCGUUCGCGGGUUCCUCGUUUCCCAACACCAAACUCCAAAAUAAAAAUACCAACGCGUGGAGGAGCUUACCGCGAACUCGCUAGUAUGGUUAGCUCGAGCUGAGAAGGCACCGAGAGGAGCAGCUGCGCGCGGCGGCGGUUAUCUCCCUCGACGAGUGCGAGUUCAAGGCGGCUAGGGCUCUGUUUUGUGACUUAGAUGCAAAAGCACGACGCGGGGCAUCGCGAUUCGCGAUAAGGGCAAGGAAAUCCCGAGAUUUUGGGAUUGAUUCGGUAGGAGGUUUCCUGCUCGGUUACGAACAGGGAAGAGGAUGGGGAAGACGCCACUUCGGAGGGUCCCACUUGGCGGUGAGAGAAGGGGACGGCCCCAACUGUCGGCCAGAGAGGGAAGGGAGGGGAAGGUCAGCGCGUUGCUGAUCGGCAUGGGCCGCGGCUUGCUGGGCCGCGGGGAGGAGGAGGCGCGGGGGGGGGGGGGGGGAAAGAAAGGCAGGCCAGGGAGGGAGUGGGCCUCGGCCAGACGCAGGGGUUGUUUCCCCUUUUUUUCUGUUUUUAUUUUCCAAAACAUUUUCCAAAGCAAAUUUUGAACAAAAAUAAAAGAUAAAAACAGAAACACACAACACAAAAUGAAUGCUAUUCUCAGCAUGAAUGCAAAAAGCAUGUUGCUGCCCUUACGAUAAAUUUUAUUCUCCAUAAAAUUAUUUAUUUGCUUGGUUCAAAUGCUCCCAUAAAUUCUUAAAUAAAUCAAAUAAAGUCCUAUUAAUAUAAAUCCAGAUUUUGGGUGUUACAAACUCUACCCCCUUAAAAGAAUCUCAUCCUCGAGAUUGAACGGUGCUUACUCGAACAGGUAUGAGUAUGAUCUCCUCAGAUCAUNNNNNNNNNNNNNNNNNNNNNNNNNNNNNNNNNNNNNNNNNNNNNNNNNNNNNNNNNNNNNNNNNNNNNNNNNNNNNNNNNNNNNNNNNNNNNNNNNNNNCACAUCAUGCACACCAGAUAAGCUUUCAGGCAAUUCUAACUGGUAUGCUACUUCUCCACGCCUUUCUAAUACUUUAAACGGACCAACAUACCUUGGAGCUAACUUUCUCUUCAUAUUAAACCUCUUCACACUCCUCAUUGGUGAUACUUUCAGGUAGACAUAAUCACUUGCUUGAAAAACCAGCUCUCUCCUACGUGUAUCUGCAUAGCUUUUCUGACGAGAUUGAGCAACUCUCAAGUUAUCCCGAAUAGUCCGCACCUAUUGCUCUGCAUGUCUAAGCACAUCUGUACCAAACAUCUGUGUUUCCCCUGUCUGAUUCCAAACAAAGAUGUCCUACACUUCCGACCAUACAGUGCCUCGAACGGUGCCAUCUUAAGACUUUGCUGAUAGCUAUUGUUGUAGGAGAAUUCUGCAUAUGGCAAACUCUUGUCCCAACUAGUCCUAUACUGCAAAGCACAAGCUCUCAACAUAUCCUCCAAUAUCUGAUUGAUCCUCUCAGUCUGUCUAUCUGUCUGUGGAUGAUACGCUGUACUAAAAUUCAACUUUGUUCCCAAUGAAUCAUGCACUGCUUUCCAAAAGUGAGAUGUGAAUUGAGUACCCCUAUCUGACACAAUCUUCUUAGGUACUCCAUGCAAACAAACAAUUCUUUCCAUGUAUAACUCUGCCACUCGGUCUCCACUAUAUGAAGUUUUGACAGGUAUAAAAUGAGCAACCUUAGUCAAUCGAUCCACUAUCACCCAUAUUGAGUCAUACCCUCUCUGUGUUCGUGGUAAACCCACUAUAAAAUCCAUACCCACUUCUUCCCAUAUCCAUUCCGGAAUCUUCAUUGGUUGUAACAGUCCAGCUGGCCUCUGAUGUUGCGUUCACUCGUUGACAAGUAUCACACAAAGCAACAUACUCAGCUACAUCUCUCUUUAAACCAUACCACCAGUACUUCUGUUUUAGAUCUAGAUACAUCUUAGUGCUACCAGGAUGAAUGGAAUAUGCUGACUCAUGAGCCUCUCUCAGAAUCAUAUCACGAAUAGCCUUUACCAGGAACACAUAUCCUUUUUCCAAACCACAGUACACCAUUGUCAUCUAUUUUGAAUCCUGGUGCUUUGCCUAGUACCACAUUCUGUGCUAUCUCCUUUAGUUUCUCAUCUUCCAACUGUCCUUUCAAUAUCUCUUCCUCUAGUGUAGGAGUGAUCUCAAUUUCCAUAGCAUUCACUACAAUUCCCAAGUUCAAAUAUGCAAAUUCAGCACACAACUCCUCAGAUUCAGGUGUCGCCCGAAGCUCAUUAGCAUAUUUCUUUCUGCUAAGUGCAUCAGCUACGACGUUUGCCUUUCUAGGAUGAUAAUGCACUUCCAAAUCAUAAUCCUUUAUCAGUUCCAACCAUCUUCGUUGCCUCAAGUUCAGGUUGGCUGGGUGAAGAUAUACUUCAAACUCUUAUGAUCAGUGUAUAUGUCACUCUUAUGCCCAAUCAAAUAGUGUCUCCAAAUCUUCAAUGCAUGAACCACAGCUGCUAACUCUAGAUCAUGAGUAGGAUAAUUCAGUUCAUGUUUCCUCAACUAUCUAGAUGCAUAAGCAACAACUCUACCUUCUUGCAUAAGAACACAACCCAAACCCAGACGAGAAGCAUCACAAUAGAUAGAGAAACUCUUGCUCAGAUCUAGCAAUACCAACACAGGUGCAGUAGUCAAUCUCUUCUUAAACUCCUCAAAACUAGCUUGACACUUAUCAGACCAUACAAACUUAGCAUUCUUCUCCAACAGAGCAGUCAUAGGCUUUGCAAGUUUUGAGAACCCUUCAAUGAAUCUACGGUAAUAGCCAGCUAAACCAAGAAAAUUGCGAAUUUCACUUACAUCUGUAGGCGGUUUCCAAUUCAACACAUCUUUCACCUUACUAGGAUCCACUGCAAUACCACCAUUAGAGACAACAUGACCAGGAAAAGAAUCUUCUUCCAACCAAAACUCACAUUUACUACGCUUAGCAUACAGCUUAUGUUCUCUAAGUUUCUGUAAGACCAAUCUCAGGUGUUCAGCAUAUUCUUCCUUGGUUUUGGAGAAUACCAUAAUAUCAUCAAUAAAGACCACCACAAACUUAUCAAGAUACUCCAUAAAUACUUUAUUCAUCAUGUACAUAAAGUAAGCUGGUGCAUUGGUCAAACCAAAAGACAUAACUCUAUACUCAUACAACCCAUACCUUGUUGUGAAAGCUGUCUUUGGUAUAUCUGAAUUCCGAAUCUUCAAUUGAUGAUAACCAGAAUGCAAAUCAAUCUUAAAGAACACACAAGCACCUCUUAGCUGAUCAAAUAAGUCAUCAAUUCUAGGAAAGGGAUAUUUAUUCUUGAUAGUGACCCCAUUAAGUGACCGAUAAUCAACACACAUCCUCUGACUACCAUCCUUCUUAUCAACAAAGAUAACUGGUGCACCCCACGGUGAUGAACUAGGACGAAUGAACCCUUUAUCUUGCAAUUCCUUAAUUUGUUUCUUAAGUUCUUCUCGUUCAUUAACCCCCAUUCUAUAUGGUCUUUUAGCUAUGAGUGCAGUACCAGGUAGUAAUUCAAUAAUAAAUUCAAUGUCUCGGUCAGGUGGCAUACCUGGCAAUUCCUCUGGAAAGACAUCCGGAAGCUCAUCUAGUACCAGAUUCUGAGGAUCAACAUCAUCAUUUAGUUGGUUCACUUUAGCUGUGAGUGGUGCUUGCACAGUCAAAUCAACACUGAUUCGUUCUGCUUUUGGGGUUGUUAGAGCCACUACUCUCUCUUUGCAAUUAAUAUUUGUCUCAUGUUGCUUCAUCCAAUCCAAACCCAAGAUCACAUCUAUGCCUGAAGUUCUCAUAACCAUGGGACUGAUAGGAAAAUCUACCCCCUUAAAGAGACACUUGCUGAGGGGCAACAUAAAGAAACUGGUAUAGUCGCACCCGGUGAAUUAACUAGCAUAGGGGUUUUCAUUGCAACUAGUGGAAUGCUAUGAACCCUAACAAAUGCUUGUGAUAUGAAUGUAUGCGAAGCUCCAGAAUCAAAUAAAACUAUAGCAGGUAUAGAGUUGAUGCUGAACGUACCCAUCAUGAUCUCUGGUCCCUCCUGAACUGUCUCUAUAGCCACAUUAUUCACUGUUGUCGCAUAAGCAGUAGACUUCUGGUUGUUGUUCGGCUUGUUGAGCUUCUCCGGGCAAUCGUAUGACAUAUGUCCCUCCUUCCCACAACGGAAACACCUUGCAGGAGUGUUAGAAGCACUUCUUUUUGUGGACUUGGCAUUUGAGUUCCCUGAGCGAGGUGUCUGCUGACCAUGCUGCUGUUGAUUAUGGUUACGUUGUUGGAAUGGUGGACAUUGGUUCCCACUCUAUGAUUGAUUUUGGAAACGCUGGGGUUGCUGGUUGCGGUUCCACUCACUAACUGGUCCCUGGAACCUCUGCUGAUGGCCUUAAUGGGAACUAAAACGCUGACGGCUGUUGCUCCCAGAACCUUGUGCCAGCAUCCUUCUCUUCUUAUCCUGACUCUUCAGCAUAUUAUCAAGCACAAUAGCACGAUUCACAAGAGCUUGAAAGGUAGGAUAGGUGUUUCCAGCCAACUGCAACCUGAGCUCAUAGUAAAGACCUUUCAUGAAUAGACACUGCUUAUCCGCAUCUUCCCUAACAUCGUUCGGAGCAUAGCGAGCCAACUGUUAAAAGGUGUCAUGAUAUUCUGCCACAGUCAUGGAGCCCAUCCUGAGUGAUCUGAAUUCUUCUUGCUUGAGUUCCAUCAUUCCCUCAUUUAUAUGUCGAGCUCUGAAAUCUCUAUAUAAUUCCAGCCAUGUGACAUUAGGAGCAUUGUUGGGACGAGCAGCUUGAUAUGACUCCCACCAAGUCUGAGCUGCCCCCUGAAGCUGUCUAGAAGCAUACAACACCUUCUCUAAGUCAUUGCACUGUGCUAUAUUCAGUUGCCUCUCCACAGCACGUAACCAAUCAUCUGCCUCCAUGGGAUCAGCUGAGUGUGUAAAUACCGGAGGUCUUCCCUUCAUAAACUCCCCACGCUUAUCCCUCACAUGAACAGGUGGUGGUGUUGAUGGAGGUUGCUGCUGUAAGUGCUGCAUGAAGACGUGCAUCAUCUCAUUUUGGGUUUGCAUGAGUUCCUCCACGGUGAUUGGGGCAUUGCCACCAUUGCCAUUGCCACGGCCUCUGCCUCUACCUCUUCCCCUUGCUGCCAUCUGCAUUCCAAGGUAUAUAAACACAUCUUAGUAAUGCCCAACAUGACAAUUACAAGAGUUAACGGAAUCUGAAAUUUUCUGGGUAACAUCCAACAUCAGCAGAUCAGAAAAUCAGUCAUAUCUCGAGUUCCAGAAUUCAAAAGAUACAUGCUGUACACCGUUGCAAAGAUAAUGAAAUUGUCUACAACUUUCAUUUAGAUGAUAUUACCAGAUUCCAGAGUUAGUUUAAUCAAAAACUGGGUACAACCGAAACUGCUCCAGAAUUCCAGACUGCGCAGAAGCCUCAACUUUAAACAGUCAUAACUCACAGCUCAUAAUAGAUAAUUUGGUCAUUAUUACGGCAUUGGAAAGAUAUGAAAGUCUACUUGUUCCCAGAAAAAUUUGAUGAACAUUGCACGAACAGAAUUUGAUUUAUACCAGAAUCUUUACAGACUGCUCUAGAAAAACAGCAAAAGACAGAAACAGGAUAUGACCCCAAACCACUAUUUAUUCAUGUUCUUACUUAAGGUUCUUAACUAGGGAACUUGUGGACAUGCCCAAAAAGUCUCAGCACUUAUUACAAAAAUCCAAAUCACACAUAUUCAUAAUAACAAAUCAGCAAGCACACCAAGUUCACACCACACUAACAAAAUACUCAAAAUAACUCGCAAACUACUAACGUUCCUAUUACAUAUGGGUUCUUUUCUAUUCCUCGGGAGCAGCAUCCUUCAAGAUAGGUUCAAGACGCAGCCUCUUAUGGAGCUUGGGAUGGCCUAACUUCACCCGAAGGUCAUCUGCUUCCCUUCGCUCUUUCUCCAGCAGCUUCCUCUCACGGUGCAGUUCAUUCUCCAACUCUAUCACCUUGACGGUCAGCUCAUAAGUCAACUCCACUUGUGCUUGAAGCUUUGGUAGUGAAGCAUCUGCAACUUCUAUGGCCCAAGUCAUCUUCUCUGGUACAAAGCGAGGAUAGUGGUAUGUUGCAUUGUACUGGACAUCCUCAAAGCGUCUACCACGGUUAAAGAUCAAGGCCUGGUAAGCUGCAUCUGCCAUGCUUUCCUUCAUCGUGUCCCGACUAAUUCGAGAGAUGUGUUUUGAUUCCACCUUUCGAAUCCCCUUAGUGGCAUCCAGUGUCUUGACUAUCAGCUCUGCAACCCAAAGUGAUCUCCCCAGAGGGUGUUUGUGCUCAGUGCAGUUAUACUUUAGUGUGGCUUGCAAAUCCGGGUAAUGGUGUUCCAAUGUCAACACCAAAUUCUCAUGGAAGAAAGCCUGGGGAUCUGCUUCUGGAAUCCACAGCUCAGUAGUCCAUCCCAUCCCUGCAUUAGCAGACUGUGGUGGAGGUGGAUCUUGCAUCUCCUCAUCUUCAGGCACUUCCUUAUGAGCUUCCACCCUUGAUUCCUCAUCUUCUAGCUCAGGAACUCCAUCCACAUGCUGUCCUCUUGGGUUGAACAUGGCACGGUACUCCUCAGUAGCCAUACGUGCAGCAUUACGGGUACGGGGUGGCUUCUACAAAAAAUUUUUAGACAUAGAUCAGAUGGAUGUAAUAAUUUCACAAUAGAGCAAGAUAGAGAAGCAUAAAACUUUUAGCAAAUAACAAGGCCAUAGUGGGAAGCAUGAAGUAAGCAAAAUAAGGGACCUAAAUUUUUGACCAUUGCUAUCUAGGUUUGCGUCCUACAGUCAACAAAGCUUUAAUACCAAUUUGUCACGCCCAUAUUUUAAGAACAAAAUAGGAUGCAUAAAAGACUCAUAUGUGCCCCAGAAACAGUCGCACACAUAAGUAGACAAAUCUCAAAUGUACCAUUGCAGUGUUUAUUACAUAGCGGAAUAUAAAAUAUCACAUAGUCUCAUACAAAAAUGAUAGCAUAAAGUAAACAACGCUCUCGACAGAAGCUCCACACAGGGACACUGUUGACUGGUUGACUCCAAACCUAGUACUCAUAACGGUAAUCCUCAUUCCAGUCAUCUUCAUUAUCAUAUCCUGAGGUUUUGGGAAAUUGCAAGAGUGAGCACAUAUCGUACACAACAAGUAUAACCAGGGGUUCAUGAUGCUCAAAUAGCUGACACAGGUUUGACUGCGUUUAGCUUUUAAUAGUGGGUAGCAUAUUCAUAAUUAAAUGGCAAUUGUCAAGGUAGCAUAAAUAAUCCAUUAACCACAUGAUCAAGUGUAAGCAUAAUUAAUUCUUAGCAUAAACGAUAAUCAAAUUAACAUAACAACUUAAUAAGCUCAUUGUCGGCGCAGCAAGAACCUCCAAGGCCGCUCAUAACCGUGAGCACGGCUAGUAUACCAGUUUUACACUCUGCAGAGGUUGUACAUCUUUACCCAUGAGUCAUGAUUUACCCUUUCGCCCGAGGUAGCUAAUCUCUUAACCCCCUUCCUAGGGAGGUCGGCAGGGAUCACUAUGAAGCCUUUCAAAAGUUCGUCUAACAUGUUAGGGCCACAAGGUUUCCUUUGCGCGCAGAUAUAGAUACCCCCUUCCGAAUGGCACAAUGACGCGCAGCCUAUACACAUAGGGACAGGGGCUCGCACUAUACCCAAAACGGUUCAGCCCCUCCGCCCUUUCGGGUAACCUCUGACAUGCUAGAAAAGUUCUUCAUACUGAGCUAAAGCCAGAGCCAUUAUAGCCCUCAUGGUUACACUAUUGUCCCGGUGAUCACUUACAGACAAGAUCUCAUAUAGUUAUUUGUCAUCAUUUAACGUUCAUUACAUAGCUAUUAAUCAUCUUACAAGAUCAUGGAUUAUAUCAAGCACUAGCACAUCAACACCAAAUGCAUAUCAAAUAGGUAGCAAGGAAUCCAAGUAACAAUCAUCUAUGAUUUUGCUAAGGUCGACAAGGUGAUAGCAUGCAUAUGAUAUAUAUGUGUACUUAAGUGAAUAGGUAACAAGGAUGAUCCCAAGUUAUACUUGCCUUGAUCAAAGCUCUCCGGAGCCUGCUGGUCUUCAAAAGCUUGGUCUUGAUCACCAACGUACGGCUCACCGUCUAUUCCCAAACGUCAAUCAACAACACGCAAUCCAAUGGAGACAAUCAUACAUAAAGCAAACAAGAUAUAAUUAGAACAUUACAUCAAACAUUGGUAAAACAAAUAUAAAAGUUUAUGAAAAUAUUCUACGCAGCGCUACGAUCACACAAACGUAAAGUUCACGAAAAUCAAAAUUAAAACGUGAAAGAUAUGAAUUUUCUAAGAUUUCAUAUAGAGAAAUAAUUAAUUAAAUGCUACUGCAGAACUAAAAAGUUUCAAAACAGUGAAAUAUUACUUCUAACAUGUAGAGCUCGUAAAUAUGAAUCUAACGAAAUUUGAAUGGACAAAAAAGGAGUUAAAAUGAGCAUUUCAUAAGCAUUAUAAAUUCAGUGGCAAAAUUGUAAAUAGCUGAAAACGCCUUUGAUCUCAACCAGACAGGAGUACGCUUUCGCAAUAGGAAAACGUAAUCUGGUGCAGGGCGCCAAGGACCGCGGGCGAAAUACAAAACUACACAGGGACUCUUUAUUAGAAACCGCAGUGAAAGGGUAUGUUUAAAUCGUGGCCGUUGAUUUUCGGUUGGACGGCUGGCAGGCUUCCUGGGCGCGCAGAGCCGUCAUCCGGCCGGAGCUCAGCACCGGCUCGGUGGCGCCAUGGCCACCGCCGCAAAGCUUGCCGGCGAUCGCGGGUUCCUCGUUUCCCAACACCAAACUCCGAAAUAAAAAUACCAACGAGUGGAGGAGCUUACCCCGAACUCGCUUGGAUGGUUAGCUCGAGGCGGCGGUUAUCUCCCUCGACGAGAGCGAGUUCAAGGCGGCUAGGGCUCGGUUUCGCGACUUAGAUGCAAAAGCAUGACGCGGGGCAUCGCGUGGUACUUUUAUGGGUCUCGAUUCGCGAUAAGGGCAAGGAAAUCCCGAGAUUUCGGGAUUGAUUCGGUAGGAGGAUUCCUGCUCGGUUACGAACAGGGAAGAGGAAGGGGAAGACGCCACUUCGACGGGUCCCACUUGGCGGUGAGAGAAGGGACGGCCCCAGCUGUCGGCUAGAGAGGGAAGGGAGGGGAAGGUCAGCGCGCUGCUGAUCGGCAUGGGCCGCGGCUUGCUGGGCCGCGGGGAGGAGGAGGCGCAGGGGGGAAAGAAAGGCAGGCCAGGGAGGGAGUGGGCCUCGGCCAGAUGUAGGGGUUGUUUCCCCUUUUUUUCUGUUUUUAUUUUCCAAAGCAAAUUUUGAACAAAACAAAAGAUAAAAACAGAAACACACAACACAAAAUGAAUGCUAUUCUCAGCAUGAAUGCAAAAAGCAUGUUGCUACCCUUAUGAUAAAUUUUAUUCUUCAUAAAAUUGUUUAUUUGCUAGGUUCAAAUGCUCCCAUAAAUUCUUAAAUAAAUCAAAUAAAGUCCUAUUAAUAUAAAUCCAGAUUUUGGGUGUUACAGGCCCUAACAUGUUAGACAAACUUUUGAAAGGCUUCAUAGUGAUCCCUGCCGACCUUCCUUGGUAGUGGGUUAAGAGGUCGACGGGCCUCGGGCCAAAGGGUAAAUCAUGAUUCAUGGGUAAAGAUGUACAACCUCUGUAGAGUGUUAAAAACUAGUAUACUAGUCGAGCUCACGAUCAGGAGCGGCCUUGGGGACAUCUAGAUUAACGGUGAUGAAUCUUGUGUGUUAAAUAUGCUCAUUAUUUAUUAUUUAAUGCUUUACAUUAUUUAUGUCAUAUUGAUCAUAAGAUUGUGGGAUCUAUACAAUCUAGUUGCUAUACUUGUUGAGUUCGACAUGGACUCACUCUUGCUAUUUCACCCAAACCUCAGGAGAAGUUUAGGAUUGUGAUCAACCAGUGAGUUAGAUCCUGUUGAGUGAAGUUAAUACACGAAGUUUGGAGUUGUCUAUCCGCUGUUUGUUAUCAAAGGUUAUCUCUUCUAUACUAAGUAUGUUAUAUAUUUAUGCAUUGUCUUUUGAUAUUACCCUUUAUUUGUAGCUAUAUGUGAGAUUUGACUUCUAAAACUCACAUAUGGUGCGUAUCUGAUUUUGUUGUUAAAAUCGGGUAUUACAAAGUGGUAUCAGAGCAAUGCUGACUGUAUGACGUAUGCCUAGUUAGAAAUUGGUGAUCAUAAGGUUUUGAAAUUGCAUAAAUCCUUGUUCUAUAACCCUUGAUACUUUUCUCUACACUAUAUCCUUUCCAUUUCUAUUUGUCUCUACCUUGUUGCUUAUUUUAAAAGUUCUUGUUCUCACCUUCACACCUUGAGUUGGAUGCUUUUAGAACCUUCCCUUAUCAUCUUCUUGCGUCUUUGAAAUAUAAGUUUUAGGAUCUUUACCCUUACUAUGAAGAGAACGAUAGUAUCGCAAGUUGAGUGAAGUGUGAACCUUCAAUGCUUAAUUGGUUGUCAUUAUGCUUAUGCUUGAUUUGGAUAUUUGUAAUGAGUGCAAUGAUCUUGUGGGAUUCCUCCACAAUUUCAUUUAGUUCAUAGGCCCAAGGUAUAAGGAUUAAUUAAAUAAGUAGUUGGGUUUGGCUAUGUCUUGUUUCUAUCCCUUGCUGAUUUCUGGAGCAGUCUACAAUAAUCAUGGUGUAUCUCAAGUUCUGAUUGUGCAAAGUUUGUCAACUUUUUCUGGGAACAACUAGACUUCAAGAUGUUUCUCUCACCGCAGGAAGCACCCUCAUAGCUAUUAUGGUUUGGAAGUUACAAAAAUCACAAAUGAUACAGAUGGGCUGUCAAGAAUCUGGAAGAGUUUCAGUUGAUUACUGUUUUAGACAAAUAUAACUAUAGAAUUUGGAAUAGUGUUCUAUAGAGAAGUUGUAGACAAGUUUCUUAGCCUUUCAACGGUGUAAGCUGGAAGUUAUUCGGAUAAGUAGAACCUGACAUAUGAUAUUUACACUUGGAUGUUUCUGUACUCUUUCAAAAAUUUGGACAGAUCUGGUAAUUUCCUAUUUUCAGCCAAGUUAAAUUCAUAAUCUGGGAAAAAAUUGUAUAUAAAAGUUGUAGAGGCUUUCGUAAGCUUUUCAAAAAUAUAAGGAUCAUCUCCAGAUGAGUUAAGUAGAUCGAGAUAUAACUUCUGGAAGUUACUGCACUUUUGCUGAGACAUUGUCAGGAUGGAUUUUAAGUUUGGCUAUUUUACCUAAGCUUAAAGACAGAACCUAAGGAGGUUUUGUACAUGAAAGUUGCUGGGAAUUUCAUAAGUUUUCUAACGGUAUAAUCUACAACUCCAUUGGAUUAACAGAAUAAGAGUUAUACCUGUUUUACUAUGCUGGUGUUUUCAUAUCAUUAGAAUAUUUCAGCAUACCUGUUUGCUCUCUUGCACAUGAGUUCUUUGGGAUGUCGGAAGUUCCCAAUGUUAGUUCACUUGUCUGGAAAACAUGCAAGCUACCUUCCUUGUAUUCCCUAGUUGACCCUUUUAAGGGGGGUAGCCUAGUGAAAGGAGUUACAAGGAGAAUGAUUGGUAAAAGCUAGAUCAUCUAUAAGUACAUCAAGUGCUUGGUGAAGUUGGUUUUUGGAUUCAAGAUAUCAUCCCAUUAAGAGAGUAUUAAUAGAGAUAUAAAUCUUUACUGAUACUCAUAUCUUGGAAGUGGUGCUUAUGAGGAUCAGAUGACACUAAAGUCCAUAGAGUUAUAUGCGAGAUGUGAGAGUGAAGCAACUCAACUGUGAUAAAAGGUACCAAUAGAUGGAACUUAGUGUUCAAACCAACCUUGGAUUAAGAGACUUGGUACAAGGAAUUUAAAAGACUAUGAUGUGUAGCAUCCAAAAAGGAUAGGAGAACCGGUCCUUGUCCCCCAAUCAAUCUCGUCUUAAGGGGGGUAGUACCUUGAUAUCACUGGGUGAUGCAUUUUUUAAAUCUAUCAUGAAGUGAUAACUGUCUUCUGAGAUAUCUCAUGGUUAUGUGCACAUGAAGGAGUGAUCUAUGCUACUCAGUGGAAAAUUUUCUUAACCGCAUCAUUAGGGAAAAGAAUUGAAUAUCAAGGUGGCCCACUCCUACCUAAGGAGGCAUAUCCAUGCUAAGUUAUUAUGUCUUUGAGUUGUAUGAGUCAAAAGCUGGGAGUCAUGAUGGAUUAGAUAUUCUACGGAAAAAUUUGUCCACAAGAUAUGACUAUAAGACAUAAGUGUUUAUCUUUGGAGUGCAAGUUGUGAAGUUGAAAGAGUUAUCGAGAUCUUUAUCCUGUGUUCCCUCAGAGGAGCCGUGUCUCUUCCGAAUCUCGAGGACGAGAUUCAUCUUAAGGGGGGUAGAAUUAUAACACCCUAAAUUUUGCUUCUUCGAAAAUAGAGCUAAAAUAAUUUAUUUUGUAUUUCUGUGCUCAUGAAAAUAUAGUAAAAUGAAAUUUUCCUUAAAUUAAAUUCAUCAUAGGGUUUAGCAACAUUGUUGUGCAUACAUGCUGGUACAUAUGUUUUAUGUGAUGUUUGUUUGUUGCUCCUUUGUGUGUUGAGAGUGAACAAAGUUUCUAAAAUGUGUUUAGUAGAUCGAUCUUCGUUAACCGGUACAUCUCUAUCUUUAUCUCCGAUCAAAUUCCUUGUUGCUCAGCUCAUGUUUUUAUUAGGAGCUUCCUAAAAUCUUUUCUUUGUCACCCAAAUCGCUUCUUUUGAUUUCUCAUUCAUCAAGCAGCCUCUACAAACUUUUUGGGAAUUUUUUAGCUUCCGUUCUCACUUUUCUCUAUGUAUAAUCUAAAUUUUAGAUGCUCCAAAAUAAUAUUAUCAUGGACUCUAAAUACUUUAUUUGAGUUCCUCAUGUUCCAUAGUGUCUCUGAGAAUUUUCUCUGAAUUUUCAGAGCUUUCAUGAUAUUUUUCACAGUUUAAAUAAUAAUUCUAGACUUUUCUAGAAUUAUUUUAUCCAUAAAAUUAAAUAAUUCCGAAAAUAAUAAAUCCUUCAUUUUACCUCAACGCUCAGCCCAUGAUCUCAAAGGCCAAUAUAUUUAUUUACUAGUGGACUUAAAUAAUUAAUCAUGCCUAUUAGUAAAGAUGGAGAUUGCAACAUCAAUUAGUAUCAUAUUGAUAAUUGAUGUGGAUAUGAAUAGUUUUUCUCCAUAUAUAUGUACCGAGUUAAGUACACCAAAACUACCAUAUGGAGAGCUUCUAGUUUGGAAAAUCCCUCGUAUAGUAAAAUUAUAUUUUUCUUCUUUUGCCGUCGGGCAGCCAUCGUGGACGCUUCUAUGCACUGCACAAGCCGGAGCUCCCUGCCGUGACCAUAGUUCUAUCUACGGUAGCUACCUCUCCGGCCAUCGUCCGUCUCCGUUGGUGAGAAAUCCAGCAUACAGCUCCUUCGUCUCUCCUUUACAUGAUCUGCACAGCUCACUAGGUCAGGCAUCCGUAAUUAAGCUAUAGGUUGGACAACUUGCAAGCGUCUUGCUCCGUUAUUUUUUUAUCUAAAGGACCAUGCAUAUCCACCAAAUCCGAGCACAUGACGUGAUUGAGUUUAAGAUCUGUAUGUGCACCCUUGAAGUCGAGCUGCCUCCACUGUAAUCCUACAAAUCAUUGUCGUUGCCAAUAGCUUGUGUCUUCAAUCUGUUUCCAGAUGGCAAGCUAACUUGGUAAGUGUCUCGAUGUUCGUAGUUUUUUUAUUGAGCUUGUACUGACGUAAUAUACAUCCUAGUAACUAUGAUUUCUAUUAUCAAGUAUCUCUAAAUUUUAUAUUUUAAAUAGUAAUAUGAUUAAUAUGCACGCAACUAGUUUUAUAAUUAAUAACCACAUAAGCAUAAUACUCUGAUAUUUUAUACAUAUAUAUCUUAAUAUGUUUAAUCGCUAUCACCAUGUUUUUGAAUUGUAAAUUGUUUAGUUUAAACCCACAUCACAAGCGGUUUGCGUAGGUGUUUCGCUUAUCCUUUUAAUUGGCAAAGUUAGUGUUUAAUUUAUUCAAAUAUACAACAAUAUUUAUAUGUAAAAUAUGACUAGAUUUAACUUAGCUUUUAAAUUAAAUUAAGAUUUAUCUGAUCUAAAUUAAAUGUCUCUAUGAUUUUGUUUAACUAAUAUAAAAUAAAUCAAAAUUGUAGUUGUUUUUUUUAUAAUAAAAAUAUAUACCUUUCAGUAGUCGUUUCUUUUUAUCAUAGCCCUCGGUGUUUCUAGUGUUCUCGUCACUAUAGUAAUUAGUUCUCUUUUAAAACGUUAUUUUCUUUUGUGUGGUGUAUUGUUUUUAGUUUCAUUUAUUUAUUGCUUGUAUGUUUGUCUAUUUGUGGUGUUUGCUAUGAGUAGAGAACGAGAACCAUUUUAUCGACGUUGAAGAUUAAGAGGGCAUGACUAGAAGAUAAUUGAAGGUUCUAUAAAGGAGUUGCUCUGGAUAUUAAGCAAUUGGAUCAAGGCAAGUAUAGCAUUUGGAUUUUAUUUCUGUGACCAUGAUCCUGUGACUAGAUUAAUGUUAAGUAAUAAAUGAUAAAAAUGACUUUUUAGCAACUUGAUGUUUUAUCUAUACGUGAUCACCCGGGACAACAGUGCAACCAUGAGGGCUAUAAUGGCUCUGGCUUUAGCUCAGUAUGAAGACUUUUUCUACCUUGUUAGAGGUUACCCGAAAGGGCGCUAGAGGGGCUGAACCGUUUUGGGUAUAGUGUGGCCUCUGUCUGUAAGUGUAUAGGUUGCGCGUCAUUGUGCCAUCGGAAGGGGGGCUCUAUAUCUGCGAGCGAAGGAAACCUUACAGCCCUAACAUGUUAGACGAACUUUUGAAAGGCUUCAUAUUGAUCCCUGCUGACCUUCCUUGGUAGUGGGUUAAGAGGUCGAUGGGCCUCGGGUGAAAGGGUAAAUCAUGACUCAUGGGUAAAGAUGUACAGCCUCUGCGGAGUGUUAAAAACUAGUAUACUAGCCGAGCUCACGGUCAGGAGCGGCCUUGGGGACAUCUACAUUAACGGUGAUGAAUCUUGUGUGUUAAAUAUGCUCAUUAUUUAUUAUUUAAUGCUUUACAUUAUUUAUGUCACAUCGAACAUGAGAUUGUGGGAUCUAUACAAUCUAGUUGCUAUACUUGUUGAGUUCGACAUGGACUCACUCUUGCUAUUUCACGCAAACCUUAGGAGAAGUUUAGGCUUGUGAUCAACCAGUCAGUUAGAUCCUGUUGAGUGAAGUUAAUACCCGAAGUUUGGAGUUGUCUAUCCGCUGUUUGUUAUCAAAGGUUAUCUCUUCUAUACUAAGUACGUUAUAUAUUUAUGCAUUGUCUUUUGAUAUUACCCUUUAUUUGUAGCUAUACGUGGGAUUUGACUUCUAAAACUCACAUGUGGUGCGUAUCUGAUUUUGUUCGUAAAAUCGGGUAUUACAAAAUCCUUCAAGAUUUCGGUUGACUAUCGGGAUUAUAUGGGCUCAAGUUUGGAAACUCGAUUGCUCUGGUGAUCAUUUCUACACUUGAACUCUUAUGAUUUGGUCAGUUCUAUGACACCGUAUGGGUUCAUGUACAUGUAGACAUGGGCCAAGUACUCCUACUCGCCCAACAGUUGACAGCGGCCUCUAGCAAGGUGUGACAACUCCUAUACGCAUGCAAGUAUCAUAUCAAACAAACCACUACAUACACAUACAUUUUAUUCCCUUGCCACAUGAUAUUUGGUCCAACUCGUGGGUUAACACUUAACCCAAGCAUGGGCAUGCAUUUAUUGAUCCAAUCACUUGAGUGAUCUAGUGAUAUCUCUCUCACAUAGAGAGGGGCAAGUUUCAUCUUGAUCAUCUAUGUCUCACAACAUGUUCCCCGACAAACCCGAAGACCACCUUUAUAACUACCCUAUUACAGAGCAGCGUUUAAUAGUCCCUAAGUAGGUCGUUUCACAUUUGAUAACAUACGACAAUCUCAGGUCUAAGAACAUAACAUACAUGAUGUAUAAAGAGAUAAUAAGAACAUCUCAUGUUGGGUCAGUCCAGCACCGUGUCAUACAUGUGCCCACAUUAUUAGUUUGACAUCUCUAUGUCUAUGACUUGUGAAACAUAGUCAUCAACUAAUACAUGUGCUAAUCUAAUAUUCAUGUGUGUCCUCACACGAACUCUGAUUAGGGACAACUUUAGAAUAACCAUAUAAGUAAAAGAGUUUCACAAAUAAUUCACAUAAUUAUCAAUCAAUACAAGUUUUUCUAUAAUAGAUAUUCAUCGAACUCAUAAUAGAUGUCAUGGAUACAAUCGUAAUAUCAUCAUCUCUAUGAUUACCUCUAGGGCUUAUUCCCAACAAUGUGUUAAUCCCAAAUUUUGGUGAGACAAGGAAAUGCCAGUGGGCCCGCUUCAUUGGAAGGAGGAAUGGCCGGAUAGUAGAUUGACUAAAUAGAAGCGUGGAGGAAAGUAGUCGAUCAAGGGAUGUCAAAUCAAGGCAAGACAAAAGAAGACGUGUCAGGUUUUAUUACAAAGAAGGAAUUGGAGUCCAAAUUACCUUUUUGAGUAGUCGUGUAAUAUUAGGACACAUGACUAGGUUCUAGGGCUAUAAAUAUUAGAACUCGAUCCUUGUAAUGAUAUAAUCCACCAAAAAAUACAAACACUUUUCAGCUCCGGCCACCAACCUUAGGAGUAGGAGUAAGAGUAGAUCGCAACAAGAUCUUCGAUAAAUCGAGUUGCAUCUGUUGAUUUGACCAUCGGUUUGCUUGUGAGUAUUGUCAUGGUUCAUGUUUAGUUUAUCACGACUGCAUCUUUCGAACUCGUGUUAAGCUCAAUAUGAACUAGUUAUCGACUUAGAUCUUAUUUGUAAGGCUACAAUAUUUUAAUCUCUUACAAAGAUCGAUUUAAGUUAAUUUUUGGCUCUAUUGAAUUGAUAAUUUAAUAGAUUCAGUAAGUUAUCAAUAUUGUUUAAAGUUUAACGUUUUGUUCAUUAUAACAAUAUUCUGCCUAAUCAAGAUUCAGCAGACUGUAACACCCUAGGUGUUAAGCAUGCAUUUAGUCCCCUCACAACAUGCAUAAGCAUCCUCAUCAAUCAUAAGCAUCACGAGCAUGUCAUUCUCUUCAAGUAUGAUUUUAUGUGCAUCAUUUCAUGAGUUUUAAACAUGUUAAAAAUGUGAUGCUUGCUUUAAAAAUUGGGAAAUAUUCAAACUAGGUUGGUUUAUGUGUAAGAAGAAUUGAGAACAUUUUUGUGCAAUUUUUGGAGCCAGGGAAAUUGAGAAAUGGAAUUUAUACAAAAAUAUCCAAAAAGAAUUUAUUUGAAAACCUAGAACUAGUUUUGUUUUGCAAUUCAAAUUCUACUGGGAAUUUGAUUUGGCUUAUUAAAGCAAAGUUGUAGAGUUUUUAUUUUGGAACAAUUUUGUUUUUGGGAGCAAGAUGUGAAAAUGCUUUUUGGCUGGUCCAAAUAAUUUUAGAAAGGAAUUUGGAAAAAAGAAUUUAAAAAAAAAAGAAAGGCGGAGCAGUUCACUGGCGAGCCGGCGCCAACCAACCGGUUCAGUCAACGAAGUCCAUCCCAGGACGAUCGCCCUGCGACCACACCCUUGNNNNNNNNNNNNNNNNNNNNNNNNNNNNNNNNNNNNNNNNNNNNNNNNNNNNNNNNNNNNNNNNNNNNNNNNNNNNNNNNNNNNNNNNNNNNNNNNNNNNNNNNNNNNNNNNNNNNNNNNNNNNNNNNNNNNNNNNNNNNNNNNNNNNNNNNNNNNNNNNNNNGCGUGCUCGGACGUAGUUUCUUCGCGCAGGUAAGCGGUUCUAGCGAGCCGAAUCGCUCGCCGGAGAGUCCGCGGCCUCGCCGGAGCUCUCCGCGGCGUCGGCAUCGCUGGUUUUCCCCCUCCCGAACCUCUCUUGCCUCGCUAGCGCGCGCAUUAUGGUCGUCGUGGCUCCCUGAGUCGCGAGAAGCCGCACUCGAGCGCUCUACCGGAACGUGGUGGCCGGCACCGCUGCGGCAGCACCGCCGGUCCGCCAUUGCCGGUGGCUAACUCGCUGUGCGGGGUUUCAGGGCGAGUAAAGGGGUGGGAUCGAGUCGCAAGAGGGAGGCGAACGUGUUGGUGCCGUUGGUUCCGGCCGAGAGGCAUCACCGGCGGCGAGCCGUCGUCGCGGAUCCUCUCCCCUCUCGGUGUCCUAGCCAGCGGGCCCGGCUGGCAGGCGGGUCCGCUCGUCAGCGGCCGCGGGUGCACUGCACCGGGUGCACCUAGCAGGUCUCGGGGUGGAUUUGAUUUGUUUUCAGAAAAAAAUAAUUUCCAGGAAAUGAUUUAAAUGUUUAAAAAUCCAUAUCUUGAUGAAUAUAGCUCCAAAAAUUGUGAAAUAAAUUUUGGUGUAUUCCUUAUUUCCAGAUCUAUAGCCUAGUAUGUUUGCAUGUCGUGACUAAGUAACUUUUCUGUGUAAGUAUAUUUAAUCCAUGUUUUUGUCAAACUUGGAAAAUGCAUAGUAAACGAAAUAGGGCUCUGAAAAAUGUAAAAUUUGUUUUGCUGGCUCUGCAUGUGUGUUUAAUCACUGAGAAAAUAUUGUUACAUAUUAUUUGGUGUAUAAAUGAAUUUAUGAUAAUUUAAAUGCUUGCAUGGCAGUACUUUAUGAUUUUUAAUAAUUAAAUGGGUCAUGCAAUAAAUCUGGAAAAUUUUGUGGGUGUUUCUUAUGAUAUUAGACAAAUUGUAAAAAUAUGAAAUCUGUUGUUUGACACUUAUAUCAUAGUAGGGUGAUUAUACUUACUUUAUUACUUAAUCUUGUGAUUUUUGUGGCUCAAAAUAAGUAACCAAAAAUUAUGAAAAAUUUUCAGUAAACUUUAUGCUUAGCUGGAAGUCUCCUGUAAUUUUUGUGGAAUUUAUUGAUGAACAGAAUUGCAUGUCAUUUUUAAUGGGCUUAGAAAUGAAUAAAGAAAACUAUGAAUGGUUGUAUAUAUAGGUUGAAUGGAAUAAGUUGGGUUUGGUGUAUCUUUGAAGCAUCAUGGAGGUUGCUGGUUGCAUUUGAAAAAUAAUUAUAGAAGAGAAUGUAAUAGAUGUUUGAUUCAAUUGUUUAUUCUUGGAUGAUGUUGACUACCUUGUAAUAAGCAUGACCAAGUGCAUUACCUAUGCAUCGUAACAUGACUCCUUUGGUACUCUCUCAUAUAAGCAUCCACUCGGGCAUCUCGCACUCCACUCAUGAGCAUAUAUGCAUCAUACAGGCUCGCAGGAGAACGAGGUGGGAACCAAGGAACCCGAGGAGCUUCAGGAGCAGGAACCUCCGGAAGCACAUGAACCCGGAGAGGAACUGCAGGAGUGUCCGGAUCACCGACCCAGCACGUUUGAGAAAGGCAAGCCCCGGAGCAUUCUAAGUCUCCCUAUUCUCGCUAACUUAUGUGAUGCACUAUACUUGUUCUACUACUGCAUUUAAGUGGUAGGAGUUGCCUGAUACCGUUGCUGCAUAUGUACUCCUUGUUAUCCAUACUCGUUUAUCUACCUUGUCCUAUGUAGAUAGGCGCGGAGUCUAUGCUUAGCUUGCUUAGUCCGGUAGAAGUCGGGUGAUGUCCUGUCACCUGCGAGAUAUAGGUGGAUAUCUGCUUGAUUAAGCAGUGGUUGCUUGGGGAAAGAAAUAACCAAGUGUGGAAUGUAAUUGGAGACCGGGCAGGGUCUUAUGGUGGGUUUCCCAUAGUGCCCCUGCCUGUGUCGAUUAAGGACCGAUCGUUGACGGCCCUCUUGUCAUGUUGAACACAUGCCCCACACUUAGCUGGAAGGAUAAGUCGUUCCGACCGCGAAGCCUGAACACUAUCCGGGCCUGGAAUCGAGCCGCCAUGCCCUGUAAUGGUGGUGGUUGAGGAGAACGACGAGGGCGCGGCGCGCAACCUUGGUAUACCUUGGAUACCUCGGUCGCCGGAACGGUCCUCGGGUACUGGCGGUGCCUGCCGAACCCGCGAAUUGGUCCUGGAUAGUGUAAUACGGUGAUCUGUAUCUCACUUGAUCAGUGAGUGUGGUUUGUGUGGGGAAUACCUCGCCAGCUGGUUAGAAAUCGAUUCGAAUCGCCAUCGCUCCUGGAUAGUGAGCACUUGACAUGAGCCCUGUCCUCGUAGUAAGGACUAUGGAACACUUGGGUUAUAAUGAAACGGGUUUAUGACUGCUAUGAUGAGGUACUAUCAUAGUCUCAUACUUGCUUGUAAUAGCACAGGAGCAAACCUAGAUAAUAGGUAAUGAUACUUUCAACUUGAGCAGAUUAAAAGAAGAAAAGAUUUAUGUAGGUUAGGGUAAUAAAACCUUGCGGUCUUUGCAAAAUGGUUGUCAGCUACCCCAAUAAAUAGCCUUCAUGAUCCUUGAUGAGUCUUUAUUUUAAGUUAUGACGGGUAAGUCUAGCUGAGUACCUUCUCGUACUCAGGGUUCUACUCCCAUGUUGUUUUGCAGAUGGUCAAAUGUACUAUGGUUAUUGCAUCCUCUGACUGUACCCAGCUAUGGGUGAUGACUAGACCAAGGGCGAUGGUCACUUCGUCUCUUCUUUUGCUUUUGUGGGAAUGACCGAACUAUGGCACUGUAUCAGACUUAUCGUGUGUGUUGUAUUUUCGAACUAUGAAGCUUCCGCUACUUGAAGAAUUUGGUUUGUAAUAACUUAAGUACUCCGAUGUGUUUCAUGAAUGUUGUAAUCUGGAUGUACUUGUGGAUGGCGGCCGCUAAACUUAUUACGAUCUUGGCUGUUAUGCGAUGUGUGGUUUGAAAUCCUUCGAGAUUUCACGGACUACCGGGAUUAUAUGGGCUUAAGCGUGAUGGUUCGACUAUGCAAAUGGUCACUAUUAGGCUUAAUCUCUUAUAAUUUGGUCGGUUCUGUUACAGCUGGCAUCGGAGCAAGGUUUAGCGAGUUACUGUUCAUAAGUACGUUCUAAACAAAUGUCUAAACCGGUUUAAUGAAAGAUUUUAGUAAUUAAUAAAGAUCAAGGUGUUAAACUAAGUUUUGGAAAACUAUCUAGUGUGCCAUGGUCAUAUCCUUUAUGCCCAGUUAAGGACUCUAAGGUGGCUAGCUAAGUACUGACUUGGGGGUUAAUGCAUCAUAUUUUUAGUUCGUCGCUCAUACGGCGUGCAAUAGUAUGAGUGCCAUUCAUUUGAGUGGUAAUGUAUGGAUCAAUUCUUCCUCUACGCCAUGGUAAGUGGGAGUUGUGAGAGCAUGAUCGGAUACACUGCCGGUCUAGGGAAGUGUUGUCAGGUGCUGUGUCAUGCACACAUGUUGGUGUGUCUUGGGAACAGUACCGCAUGCUGGGAAUUCCGUCCUGAGAGGCGAUGCCGUCAAUAGGGCGAUGAUGUGGGUAGUGGCACGUCACUUGCAUGGACGGGUGUCUGUGUAUGUGAAGUGCAUGGUUUUAAAUUCUUACUCUGCAUGAUCAUAUUAUGGGUGGGCUGAAAUGAGUUUUCUGCAGGUACACUAACCACGUUCUCGCUUAGAACGCUAGUUACGUUAUGAGAGAACGUUGUGUGCCACCGCAUAUACCGCUUAGUGUUAACCCUUGUUUCUAAGUUUGUGAGAUCGUAAGUUCGUGCAUGCAUCAUGUUCAUUUCAUAUCAUUGCUUACUUUCCCCCUUAAUUUAAUCUGUCCCAAUUCUAAAUAAAAUAAUUAAAGGUAAUCCUCGCUCUUACCCACGGUAUUCCAUUUGCAGUAGAUGGCACGCACUAGGCUCACCGCUCGCAAGUCCACUGGUGGGCGGGCCCCUCGCCAUCCGUUGGCAGCUAGGAGCUCGCGACAUAAGAGCAAGUUCCUAGAGGAGUUUGGGAUGCCCACUUUGCUUUGGAGGGUGCUCAGUUCGAUGGGGUAUCCCGAAGGAAGGGAGCCUCGCUACUAUUGGGAUAAGGAGCCGCUUGGUGACGGGACCCUGGUGGGGAUCGAGGCAGUUGUCCCUACCAGUGGAGGAGACCCUGCUUGGGGCGGUUGGGUGUACGAGUCCCGAGGUGUCACACCUUUCCACGGUGCCAGCAGGGCAGCUUUCGCAGUUUUGAGGGACCUCAUGGAGAGGUUUCCACAGGAGCUGGCCCACGCCUUCGCUGGGGUGUUUCCCCGGGGUGACCCUUACACUUCGGUGUGGGAUCAGUCCGAGGUGAAUGCUCUAGAGAGGAGUGCGGAUGAGGACCAGCACAGUGACAGUGCAGCUAUGAGUGCCAUGUACGCGUUGAUGAAGACCUAUGGAGGCCUGGAGCGUUGUUUGGGUCGCCUGUCCGGGUCUCUUCUCACCGUCCAGGAUGAGAAGCGUCAGUUGCAGCGUGAGUUUGACUUUGAGGUUGAGAGGCUACAGGCAGAGUUGGCUCGUGUGACCGGAGAGAGAGACCGGGCAGUCCAGAAGAACAGUGAGCUGAGUCAGGACCUGCUUGCAGUACGGGACCAGAAGGACAGGGUGACUACUGCUCACAGGAACUGCGAGCGCAUGCUAGUCCAUGUGCUUGGACAGAGGAAUGAAGCCUGGCACGAGGAGGACACUUUGAGGGCCCGACAGCUGGAGCUAGAGCAGCAGCUAGCUAAUGCCGAGGAGUACAAUGAGAACUUGCAUGAGGAGAUCCACCAGCUGCAUAACCAGCUCCACCCUCACCACCUGCCUGGAGCAGCUGAGCUAGACUCUGAGGACGAGAUGGACGCGGAUCCCGAGAUAGGAGCAGCUGCUAGUGAGGAUGAGGAUGGCUCCAGCAUGGACAGUGACCAUAGCGAGUAGAUGCUAGGGUUCUAGAGCUAGUCCUUCUUCUUAUGUUGUUGUACGUUGCAUGGCAUGUCGUGUACUUUUGGAUCUGGGCUGUGUAAGACUUUAUGAGUUGGUGCUGAAAGUCCAGUGUAUGUAUGCUGGCAAGUUGGAUGUACGCGAACCUUGUUGCGUGAAUGUUAAGUAAUCUGUUAGUGAUGUUGUGCGUGGAUGAUGAGUUGUUGUGCCUUUGUUUAUUGUGUGAAUUUAUUCCCUCAGUAAAUUCAGUAUGGCACGAUUUUACACAUUUUCUACCGGUUGAUGGCAACUCCUAACGAUUGCUUAUCAUUGGCGUAUGCAGAUGGUGCAAACACGUGGCGGGGGUAACAGCAAUCCGGGUCUUGGAGCAGGUACAUCUGGAGGUGGGGCUCAAUGGAAUGAGGACCGAGCACCAACACCACCACCACCACCACCUCCCCCGUACACUGCGGACGUGUUUUUCGCGCAGUUUCUGGGAAGCCAACGCAACAUGGAACAGAUGCAGCGCAACAUGGAAGAAGCUUUGCGCAACAUAGCUGACAACACCCGUCGUGGAGAUAAUCAGGGUGGCCGGGAGGUCAACCAAUACAGUUCGUUCAAGGACUUCAUGGAUACCAAGCCACCAAUCUUUAAGGAGGCCUUGGAACCGCUCAAAGCAGAUGAGUGGAUCAACACCAUGGAGCAGAAGUUUCGUCUUCUCUGAAUGACAGAAGAACUCAAGGCUGAGUAUGCGGCACAUCAGUUGCAAGGACCCGCUGGGAUUUGGUGGUCCCAUCACCGUACCACCUACCCAGAGGGGACACCAAUCACCUGGAACUGCUUCACCACCGCUUUCCGGGGAAAUUACAUUCCUCCUGGUGUGGUUGAAAUGAAGGUUGGGGAGUUCAUGAGGCUGUCCCAGGGGACGAAAUCUGUGAAAGAGUAUCUACAUGCCUUCAAUAAUCUCGCUCGAUAUGCCCCUGAGUUUGUAAACACGGAGGCCAAGAAGAUUGCCAGUUUCCAGAGGGGCUUGAAUCCAAAGAUGCUGAAGACCAUGGGUACAGGGGCCAGGGCUACCUUCAAUGCUUACAUCAGUGUCUGUCUCACCCAGGAGAAUAACAACAACAACUACAGUGCAUCCAAGUCACGUAAAAGGCCUUUUGAAGCUGGAUCAUCCCAGUCCAGGGCACCAGUGACAGGGCAACAGCAGUAUCGUCCCCCUGCCCCAGGUGCUAGGUUCCGACCGCCGCAGAGAAGGAACACCGGACAUCCAACACAGCAGAAGCCGUACAAGGUGGCGAUAGCCCCUGCCAAGCCAAAGGCAAUUCAAGCUGCCGCACCUGCCGUCAACAAUGCGCCCAAGGGUCCGUGCUAUAACUGCCACAAGAUGGGGCCCUUUGCUAAGGAAUGUCCCUACCCCAAGAGGCAGCAGCCAACCUAUCCAGCUCGUGUGCACCAUACCUCGAUCGAGGAAAUCCCGGAAGGAGAACCGGUGACAGCGGGUAUGUUUUCUGUCAACCAACAUCUUGCAGUUGUUUUGUUUGAUUCUGGAUCGUCGCAUUCAUUCAUGAGCCAAGCAUUUGCACAAAAGCAUAAUCAACUAGUUACAGAUCUGGGCUAUGGCUACCGCAUCAGCUCAGCAGGGGCAGAUGUGUUGACCAAUAGAGUGGUCCGAGGGGCAACCCUAGAUGUAAGUGGCCGAGUUUUUCGGGUAAAUCUAGUGGUCAUGCCUGGGUUAGUUUUGGAUGUUAUCAUGGGCAUGAACUGGAUGAGAGAAUGGGAUGCUGUCAUAGAUACUGGAAAGAGGAUGUUAUCUCUCAGAGAACCACAGGGCAGUAACUCUUUUCAAGUACCUCUGCCCCGUCAUCUUGACUUUGCUAGCAUCUCCUGUGCUACGCACGUGGUUCCUUUACCACAGAUCCCAGUCGUCUGUGAGUUCCCUGAUGUUUUUCCCGAGGAAUUGCCAGGACUUCCCCCAGAUAGGGAGGUAGAGUUUGCAAUCGAGUUGAUACCAGGUACAACACCAAUAUCUAGAAGGCCGUACCGGAUGCCACCAAACGAACUCGCAGAGCUGAAGAAGCAACUGAAUGAGUUACUAGAAAAAGGGUUCAUCCGGCCAAGCUCGUCGGAAUGGGGUUGUCCAGCGUUGUUUGUGAAAAAGAAGGAUCAGUCGUUGCGCAUGUGCGUGGACUAUCGUCCACUCAAUGCAGUGACAAUCAAAAAUAAGUAUCCCUUGCCAAGGAUUGAUAUCCUGUUUGAUCAGUUAUCCAAGGCAAGAGUGUUUUCUAAGAUAGAUUUGAGAUCUGGGUAUCACCAAAUCAAGAUUCGUCCGCGAGAUAUCCUGAAGACUGCUUUUUCCACCAGGUAUGGGUUGUAUGAGUAUCUUGUCAUGUCCUUUGGGUUGACAAAUGCUCCUGCAUACUUUAUGUAUCUGAUGAAUUCAGUCUUUAUGCCGGAAUUGGAUAAGUUUGUUGUGGUGUUUAUCGAUGAUAUCCUGGUGUAUUCAGAAAAUGAGCAAGAUCACGCCGAACAUCUGAGAAUCGUGCUGACACGAUUACGAGAGCAUCAGUUAUAUGCCAAGUUCAGCAAGUGUGAGUUCUGGUUGAAGAAAGUUCCGUUCCUAGGGCACAUUUUGUCUGAAGAAGGGAUUGCCGUGGAUCCAUCAAAAGUGCAGGAAGUCAUGGACUGGAAGGCACCAACUUCUGUCUCGGAAGUUAGAAGUUUUCUUGGUCUGGCCGGGUAUUAUCGUCGUUUCAUACCUGACUUCUCCAAGAUUGCUAAGCCAAUGACAAGUUUGCAACAAAUGGACCAUAAGUUUGUCUGGACGGAAGGGUGUGAGUUAGCCUUCCGCACCUUGCAAAAGUUGCUAACCACUGCUCCCGUUUUGGCACAACCUAAUAUAGAGAAGCCUUUUGAUGUGUUUUGUGACGCAUCGAAGAGUGGCCUGGGGUGUGUGUUGAUGCAAGAUGGCAGGGUGAUAGCUUAUGUUUCCCGACAGUUGAGAAAGCAUGAAGUCAACUAUCCAACGCACGACCUUGAGUUAGCAGCAGUGGUACAUGCUUUGAAGAUCUGGAGACAUUAUCUGCUAGGAAAUAAGUGUCACAUUUACACCGAUCACAAGAGUUUGAAGUACAUCUUCACUCAGUCUGAGCUGAAUAUGAGGCAACGACGGUGGUUAGAGCUAAUCAAGGAUUAUGACCUGGAAGUUCACUAUCAUCCAGGCAAAGCUAAUGUGGUCGCAGAUGCCUUGAGUCGCAAACCGCACUAUCAAAUGGUUCAACCGUUGUUUGAAGAUGGGUUCAAUCUUAUGCAUCCUGAGGUCUUAUGUCAUAUACAACUCAGUUGUUCACUCGAGAGUCAAGUCAUUGAAGGUCAGAAAACAGACAAGGGUAUUUUCCACAUCAAAGAGAAGAUCAAAGAUGACCCAAAGACUCAGUUUCGGGUUGAUGAGAAGGGGGUACUGUGGUUUCAACAGCGGUUAGUGGUCCCGAAAGAUCUGGAGUUGAAGAAUCGCAUCAUGGAUGAAGCCCAUCUCUCUAAGCUUUCUAUUCAUCCUGGCAGCAGCAAAAUGUAUCAAGAUCUAAGGCCCCACUUUUGGUGGACCAAGAUGAAGAAAGAAAUAGCCGCUUAUGUGGCCCGUUGUGACACGUGUUGCAGAGUUAAGGCCAUCCAUAUGAAACCUGCAGGUCUGUUACAACCGUUAUCAGUUCCGGAGUGGAAAUGGGAAGAGGUCAGUAUGGACUUUAUCACAGCUUUACCAACCACAAGGAAGGAGAAUGACUCGAUUUGGGUAAUCAUAGAUCGAUUGACCAAAUCGGCCCAUUUCAUCCCUGUGAAGACUCGUUACCGACCUACUGAGUAUGCCGAUAUAUAUAUGGCUGAGAUUGUCAAAUUGCAUGGUAUUCCCAAAACCAUCAUAUCGGAUAGAGGACCGCAGUUCACUGCUCACUUCUGGGAGCGCAUGCAUAAAAGUUUGGGGACCAGUUUGAUAAGAAGCACGGCCUAUCAUCCCCAGACUUCAGGCCAAACUGAGAGGCUAAAUCAAGUGUUAGAAGAUAUGCUGAGGGCCUGUGUGCUAUCAUCCAGGGGAUCGUGGGAAUCAUGGUUACCUUUGGCUGAGUUCUCAUACAAUAAUAGUUAUCAAGAGAGCAUCAAGAUGGCCCCGUUCGAAGCUUUGUAUGGGCGGAGAUGUCGAACUCCGUUAAACUGGGUUGAACCUCGUGAAAGAAGAUACUAUGGUAUCGACUUCGUGAAUGAAGCAGAGAAAAAGGUGCAGAUCAUACAGCAACAUAUGCAAGCGGCACAGUCACGACAAAAGAGUUAUGCUAAUAAGAGAAGAAGGCCACUUGAAUUCAACAUAGGUGACUAUGUGUACCUCAAGGUUACGCCAAUGAAGAAAGUUCAACGUUUCCGAGUUCGAAGCAAGCUUGCACCCAGAUAUGUGGGACCGUACCAAGUGCUAGAGAGGAAAGGCCCAGUGGCCUAUAAGAUUCAGUUACCUGAAGAGAUGAGCUCGAUCUUUCCGGUCUUCCAUGUGUCGCAACUACGGAAAUGUUUGAAAGUGCCUGAGCAAAGAAUUGAACCUCGAGGGAUCAAAAUAAAAGCAGACUUAGAGUAUAAAGAGCAGCUAGUGGGAAUUGUGGAUACCAAGGAGCGAGUAACCCGAAACAGAGUUGUUCAAACAUACAAAGUGGUGUGGAGUCAUCAUGACGAUAGGGAUGCCACUUGGGAAACAGAGAAUUACUUAAAAACAGUUUAUCCAAAAUUUCACAAGAAAUGGUUAGUAACCCAAAAUCUCGGGACGAGAUUUCCCUAAGGGGGGAAGGGCUGUAACACCCUAGGUGUUAAGCAUGCAUUUAGUCCCCUCACAACAUGCAUAAGCAUCCUCAUCAAUCAUAAGCAUCACGAGCAUGUCAUUCUCUUCAAGUAUGAUUUUAUGUGCAUCAUUUCAUGAGUUUUAAACAUGUUAAAAAUGUGAUGCUUGCUUUAAAAAUUGGGAAAUAUUCAAACUAGGUUGGUUUAUGUGUAAGAAGAAUUGAGAACAUUUUUGUGCAAUUUUUGGAGCCAGGGAAAUUGAGAAAUGGAAUUUAUACAAAAAUAUCCAAAAAGAAUUUAUUUGAAAACCUAGAACUAGUUUUGUUUUGCAAUUCAAAUUCUAUUGGGAAUUUGAUUUGGCUUAUUAAAGCAAAGUUGUAGAGUUUUUAUUUUGGAACAAUUUUGUUUUUGGGAGCAAGAGGUGAAAAUGCUUUUUGGCUGGUCCAAAUAAUUUUAGAAAGGAAUUUGGAAAAAAGAAUUUAACAAAAAGAAAAAAAAAGAAAGGGGGAGCUGUUCACUGGCGGGCCGGCGCCAACCAACCGGCCCAGCCAGCGAAGCCAGCCCAGGCCGACCGCGCCGCGUCCACCCCCUCCCCGCGCGCGCUCGGACACGGCCGCGCCGCGCGCGCCCGAGCGCGUCAGGCCGACGGCGCCGCGUGGACGGCAUGCGCUGCUCGCCGGCGCCACGACCCCCCCCUCCGCUGCGGACAGCGCCACCUCCCUCGCCAUUCUCUCCUCCACCCGGUGCGCGCCCCCUCGCUCUCUCUCGCGCUCUCCUGCCUCCUCUCCGCGCGCACCGUGCCGCCGCUCGCCAUUGGAGCUCCCCGAGCUCCGCUCGCCGUGUUCCCGGCACUCCGUCGCCUCUCAGCGCCUCCUUCCACCUCUCCGAGCUCCGCAUUCGUCUCCGCGUGCUUGGACGUAGUUUCUUCGCGCAGGUAAGCGGUUCUAGCGAGCCGAAUCGCUCGCCGGAGACUCCGCGGCCUCGCCGGAGCUCUCCGCGGCGUCGGCAUCGCUGGUUUUCCCCCUCCCGAACCUCUCUUGCCUCGCUAGCGCGCGCAUUAUGGUCGUCGUGGCUCCCUGAGUCGCGAGAAGCCGCACUCGAGCGCUCUACCGGAGCGUGGUGGCCGGCACCGCUGCGGCAGCGCCGCCGGUCCGCCAUUGCCGGUGGCCAACUCGCUGUGCGGGGUUUCAGGGCGAGUAAAGGGGUGGGAUCGAGUCGCAAGAGGGAGGCGAACGUGUUGGUGCCGUUGGUUCCGGCCGAGAGGCAUCACCGGCGGCGAGCCGUCGUCGGGGAUCCUCUCCCCUCUCGGUGUCCUGGCCAGCGGGCCCGGCUGGCAGGCGGGUCCGCUCGUCAGCGGCCGCGGGUGCACUGCACCGGGUGCACCUAGCCGGUCUCGGGGUGGAUUUGAUUUGUUUUCAGAAAAAAAUAAUUUCCAGGAAAUGAUUUAAAUGUUUAAAAAUCCAUAUCUUGAUGAAUAUAGCUCCAAAAAUUGUGAAAUAAAUUUUUGGUGUAUUCCUUAUUUCCAGAUCUAUAGCCUAGUAUGUUUGCGUGUCGUGACUAAGUAACUUUUCUGUGUAAGUAUAUUUAAUCCAUGUUUUUGUCAAACUUGGAAAAUGCAUAGUAAACGAAAUAGGGCUCUGAAAAAUGUAAAAUUUGUUUUGCUGGCUCUGCAUGUGUGUUUAAUCACUGAGAAAAUAUUGUUACAUAUUAUUUGGUGUAUAAAUGAAUUUAUGAUAAUUUAAAUGCUUGCAUGGCAGUACUUUAUGAUUUUUAAUAAUUAAAUGGGUCAUGCAAUAAAUGUGGAAAAUUUUGUGGGUGUUUCUUAUGAUAUUAGACAAAUUGUAAAAAUAUGAAAUCUGUUGUUUGACACUUAUAUCAUAGUAGGGUGAUUAUACUUACUUUAUUACUUAAUCUUGUGAUUUUUGUGGCUCAAAAUAAGUAACCAAAAAUUAUGAAAAAUUUUCAGUAAACUUUAUGCUUAGCUGGAAGUCUCCUAUAAUUUUUGUGGAAUUUAUUGAUGAACAGAAUUGCAUGUCAUUUUUAAUGGGCUUAGAAAUGAAUAAAGAAAACUAUGAAUGGUUGUAUAUAUAGGUUGAAUGGAAUAAGUUGGGUUUGGUGUAUCUUUGAAGCAUCAUGGAGGUUGCUGGUUGCAUUUGAAAAAUAAUUAUAGAAGAGAAUGUAAUAGAUGUUUGAUUCAAUUGUUUAUUCUUGGAUGAUGUUGACUACCUUGUAAUAAGCAUGACCAAGUGCAUUACCUAUGCAUCAUAACAUGACUCCUUUGGUACUCUCUCAUAUAAGCAUCCACUCGGGCAUCUCGCACUCCACUCCUGAGCAUAUAUGCAUCAUACAGGCUCGCAGGAGAACGAGGUGGGAACCGAGGAACCCGAGGAGCUUCAGGAGCAGGAACCUCCGGAAGCACAGGAACCCGGAGAGGAACUGCAGGAGUGUCCGGAUCACCGACCCAGCACGUUUGAGAAAGGCAAGCCCCGGAGCAUUCUAAGUCUCCCUAUUCUCGCUAACUUAUGUGAUGCACUAUACUUGUUCUACUACUGCAUUUAAGUGGUAGGAGUUGCCUGAUACCGUUGCUGCAUAUGUACUCCUUGUUAUCCCUACUCGUUUAUCUACCUUGUCCUAUGUAGAUAGGCGCGGAGUCUAUGCUUAGCUUGCUUAGUCCGGUAGAAGUCGGGUGAUGUCCUGUCACCUGCGAGAUAUAGGUGGAUAUCUGCUUGAUUAAGCAGUGGUUGCUUGGGGAAAGAAAUAACCAAGUGUGGAAUGUAAUUGGAGACCGGGCAGGGUCUUAUGGUGGGUUUCCCAUAGUGCCCCUGCCUGUGUCGAUUAAGGACCGAUCGUUGACGGCCCUCUUGUCAUGUUGAACACAUGCCCCACACUUAGCUGGAAGGAUAAGUCGUUCCGACCGCGAAGCCUGAACACUAUCCGGGCCGGGAAUCGAGCCGCCAUGCCCUGUAUUGGUGGUGGUUGAGGAGAACGACGAGGGCGCGGCGCGCAACCUUGGUAUACCUUGGAUACCUCGGUCGCCGGAACGGUCCUCGGCUACUGGCGGUGCCUGCCGAACCCGCGAAUUGGUCCUGGAUAGUGUAAUACGGUGAUCUGUAGCUCACUUGAUCAGUGAGUGUGGUUUGUGUGGGGAAUACCUCGCCAGCUGGUUAGAAAUCGAUUCGAAUCGCCAUCGCUCCUGGAUAGUGAGCACUUGACAUGAGCCCUGUCCUCGUAGUAAGGACUAUGGAACACUUGGGUUAUAAUGAAACGGGUUUAUGACUGCUAUGAUGAGGUACUAUCAUAGUCUCAUACUUGCUUGUAAUAGCACAGGAGCAAACCUAGAUAAUAGGUAAUGAUACUUUCAACUUGAGCAGAUUAAAAGAAGAAAAGAUUUAUGUAGGUUAGGGUAAUAAAACCUUGCGGUCUUUGCAAAAUGGUUGUCAGCUACCCCACUAAAUAGCCUUCAUGAUCCUUGAUGAGUCUUUAUUUUAAGUUAUGACGGGUAAGUCUAGCUGAGUACCUUCUCGUACUCAGGGUUCUACUCCCAUGUUGUUUUGCAGAUGGUCAAAUGUACUAUGGUUAUUGCAUCCUCUGUCUGUACCCAGCUAUGGGUGAUGACUAGACCAAGGGCGAUGGUCACUUCGUCUCUUCUUGUGCUUUUGUGGGAAUGACCGAACUAUGGCACUGUAUCAGACUUAUCGUGUGUGUUGUAUUUUCGAACUAUGAAGCUUUCGCUACUUUAAGAAUUUGGUUUGUAAUAACUCAAGUACUCCGAUCUGUUUCAUGAAUGUUGUAAUCUGGAUGUACUUGUGGAUGGCGGCCGCUAAACUUAUUACGAUCUUGGCUGUUAUGCGAUGUGUGGUUUGAAAUCCUUCGAGAUUUCACGGACUACCGGGAUUAUAUGGGCUUAAGCGUGAUGGUUCGACUAUGCAAAUGGUCACUAUUAGGCUUAAUCUCUUAUAAUUUGGUCGGUUCUGUUACAGCAGAUUAGUUCAAGCUUUAAAUAUAAACACUUGUUGCAAAGUUUAAAUAAAUAACGAUUAUCAAGUAAGUUUAAGAUAACUAAUCUGUUGAUCUUGAUUGUUGCAUGUUAUGUGUUCGAGAUAUUUAUUUAAUCAUGAUUAAUUUGGUAACAAAACCGAAUUUACUUAUGGCGAAGUAAAUAGAUCUCGUUCGUGCUUCAUGGAUCCUAUAUCGAUUAAAUAGCCGAUCUAGUUAAGCUUGAAGGAAUAGCGCAUAUGUGUAAACCCGACUAUAGAAUUAAAUAAAUUAGUAAAUUGUGUUAAAUUUAUUGUAGCUUGCUGGACUUUAGAGCAGGUGAAUAUAAAUUUAAUAUGUUUAUGAAUGUAACUUAUUAAGACCUUAGUCCUUCAGACCAGUGUUGACGGUCGAUAACGGCAACUUUUAUUAGAACUUUAAACCCGAAGGAGAACAUGAAUACACACUAGUAUAGGGUUUAAACUAACAAUUUGCAUGAGUUUUGCAUAUUCUAUGUUUUCCAGGGUUGAUUUCACAGAGAGCUGAAAAGAGGGAUUCUAGUGCAUAUUUACCACGAAACUCAUCCGCGGUAGAAAAUAUGGUCAUCAGGCUCAAGAAGGGUCUAGAAAACACCUGAAGAAACGAGAGCCGUGGAAGAGGAAAGGUGGAGCCAGCAGGCCCCACCCUAGGACUAGUCGGCGCCCUGUUUUGCUCGUUGCCCGCCGCCUUCUGGAGCCUUCCUCCUAUGCAUCCUUGGAAGCCAAGCAAAGUAUCCCUCCGUCGGUUUUAAGUCAGUUUGAUCCGACGGUGCACACAAGAUGAAGACGCGGAUCGCUGACGUGGUGGUUCUUUGCCCCCUACUCCACCUCGACCUAUAUAAUGACACCCAAGGCUCCCCUCAAGAGGCAUUCUACACCCCGACGCUUCAUAUUCUCUACAUAAUUAGGGUUAGGGUCCCUCUAGUUGUUCUAGUUCUAGUUCAUCUAGAUGUAGCAAUUAGUUGAGACUAGUUCAUCUAGAUCUAGUCUUGUUUAGAGAUUAGAGAGAUUUAGUAGAGGAGUAGAGAUUCUAGAGAAGUUCUGGCCUAUCAGUGCUUCUUCGUGGUUGUAUUCUUCUAGAUCCAGUUUCUCUCGCCCGGAGCUACGUUCUUAGGUACUUUUGUACUUACCCUUCUGGUUUAAGUAAGCAUCUUGUUCUUACUUGUUCUUUGGUUCACAACUCAUAUUGAGUGCUUUGACAUUGAUCGUAACUUGGUUGAAGUAGUAUUUUAUAGUGUAGGCGUAGUGCCUAGGCUAGGUUUACUUGUGAAUAUCCCCUAAUCAGCCGGAUAGUGGUAGUUCGUCUAGGUGACUUUAUAGCUGCGUUGAUUCCUUCUAUAGUCCACUUCCCGUUGAUAAGAUUGAUAGGCUUAUAGAUGCCUGAUAUGGGCUUACUCUGAUUCUCCCCCUAUUCGGGUUACUUGCCCGAUAAGACGGUAUUAUACAAAGUUUACCGCUGUCGGAACCAGAGUGCAUUAAUAUUUACUUUUUCUUGAUAUGAUCUAGCCUAAUUAUAGGGUUAAGUCCAUAUACUAUGUCAUCAUCACAUCUAUUCCUUGUGGAUUCGAUAUUGAAAACCUCUAGGUAAAAUGUGACGUUGGUAUGAUAUAUGUGCACUUGCGGAUAAUCCUACUUAAAUCUAUUUAAAUGGAGUGUAGUUAAUUUAUACCAACAAGUAUUUUUGGCGUCAUUCCCAAGGAACAAUUUGUUGAUCUUGAUUUAGUCUAGCUUACUCUUGUAUUAUACUUUUAUAUUUUCCUAUUUUAUCCUAGUCUCUUUAUUAUUUUUGUGUUCACCCUUAUAGAUGUUGUUAAUUAUAUUGCUAUUUAUCUUCAUGGCAUGUGCAAAAGCUUAAAGCAUAAACCUUAUCAUAAUAUCUAUAAGCUAUGCCCAUGUCUACAUAAUAUAAUAAACCCUUCUCAAUUAUAUCAUGGGAUCAUUAAUCCUGACCUUGGUUUGUUGGGCCCCAUAUUUAUUCAACAUUUAGGAUCUUACCAAGAGUUACAUGUAACACCCUAAAAAUUUCAUUUUUCCAAAUAGGGCAAUUUGAUUUAAUUAAUUGUUUGUGAGCACUAAGAAAUAGUAAGACAUAAAUUUUUAUUGAAUUAAAAUUCACUAUAAGGCCUAGACACAUGCUGGUGCAUUCAUGCUGCUGCAUAAAUUUUAUUGAGUGGUGUUCUUUUACUUUUAAAUGGUUUUAAAAAUUCUUUUCAAAAGAUUUGAGGAAAAUAUGAAUUUAGCAAAUGGAAAAGGAUUUCCUCUUCCCCUCCCUAUCUCGGGCUCGGCCCAUUUCUCCCUCUCCCCCCGCCCCCGCGGCCUACCUGCCCCCUUCCCCCUUUCUUCCCUGCGCGGCCCAGUGCCCGGCUUCGGCCCAAGCGCCAGCACGGCCCGCGUCCGCGCGCCCCCUUCACCGCAGCCGCUGACAGGCCGACCCCGCGCCCCCGUGUCUCUGCCAGGCGGGGUCCACCUGUCGGACUCGUCUUCCACCUUGAGUCCGAGCCGGACACGACCCGAGCGCAACCACCGCGCGCGAUUCGCGCGAGCUAUCCUCCUUCCGCCCGACUCUAGCCCUUUAAAUACUCGCCCCGCCGCCCGCAAUCCCCCAACUCAUCCCGAGCCUCAGCCGCCGCGUCGAAACACACCAAGUUCGCCACCGAGAUCCACGCCGCAACCAAUCCGCCGCUGCAGCGCCUUCGAGUCCCCGUGAGCAGCUUGCUGGGCUUCGGAAUCGUCUUGCGAAGUCACCGAAACCUUCCUUUCAUGCUCUAGUGCUCUGUGCUCGUCACUAAUCUUCGCCAAACAUUGUUCCAGGGCCGCCGUUCGCCGAUCGCCGUCGCAAGCCCCUAGCCGGCCUCUUUUCGUCGCGGAUUUUUGCUUAGGUGAGUCCGCAUCGAGUUCCCGAGCAAGCCUGUGCUUUUAUCUUGUGCUCUACAGUUCUCUAGCACCGCAUCGUCCAACUCCGGCCAAGGUCGGCCAUGGCGCCGCCGCGGCCUGCUCAACUCCGGCCGGCCGUCCCGUUCACCCCCUCCGAUCUAAUCUGGCCGUUAAUCCGCGAUCCAACGGCUGAUAUCGAAGGAUACCCCUUCGACCGCCAAAUUUGCAGAAAACCCCCCAUGCUUUUUAAUGUAUAAACCCGCGGUCCUUUGCGCUUUCUCCGAAUGCGUUUUCCAAGUUUGAAAGCGUAUUUUCGUCUGCGCAGUUCAAAACCCGUUUUCUCAGAUUUACAGUUUUGCCAUUGAUCCCAUUUUACUCAUAAAAACUCUGUUUUAACUCCGAUUUGAUCCGUUCAAGUUGCGUUAGAUUCAUUUUCGCGUAAUCUAUAGAUUUGUGGUACUGUACUACAAGUUUUCAACUUUUAAAAUCUGAGUUUAGAUUUAAUCUAUUAUUUUAUCAAAGGCAAUCUUAUUUAGAUCAUAACUUCUUCGUCUUAGAUCCGAUUUGUGUGAACUUUACGUCUGUGUGAUCGUAGAGCGAUGUAGAUUCGUUUUAUAAACUUUUUAUCUUUAUUUAUUACUGUUGGUGUACUGUUCUAAUAAUAGGCUUGUUUGCUUUGUAUGAUUGUCUUUGGAUGAUUGCUGUUGAUGUGGUGGUUACGUAUAGACUGUGAGCAGUGCGUGGGUGAUCAAGAGUACUACUACGAGCAGUAUCAGUAGCACCAGUGUGAUGAAGGCAAGUAUAGCAUGGGAUCAUCCUUAUUUCCUAAUAAUUUUAAUCACUUAAUUCAUAUUGCAUGUGUCCCCUUGAUAAGGAUUUCCUAGUAUUGAUCUUAUACCUUGUCACCUAUGGGUAUGCAUUGGGUAGCUUAUGCUAGUGCUCCACUAAACCAUGAUUUUGUAAUUUGACUAAAGGAUUAUGCAAUAAACAUUAAAAGAUGACUUUUUAGCAACUUUGGAUAAGAGGGCUGGAGCAUUGGGCUAUCUUAUGGUGCUCUAGUUUCUCUCCCUAAGGACUUAUUUGUAUCUGACCAUCCGGGACAUACAGUACAACUGUGAGGGCUACAUGGCUCUGGCUUUAGCUCAGUAUGAGGACCUUUUCUAGCUUGUUAGUGGUUACCCUUGUGGCGCAAGUGGGGGAUAGCAGACCGUGGAUUCCUGUGGGUGAGUCACAUGGACUGACUAACGAAACCUAGCGGCCCUAACUUGUUAGACGAACCUUUGAAAGGCUUCAUAGUGAACCCUGCCGGUCUUCUUUGGGAGUGGGCUAAGGGGCUGAUCACCUCGGGCGAAAGGGUAAAUCACGACUCACUGUGAAACUGUACAACCUCCGCAGAGUGUAAAACUGAUAUAUCAGCCGUGCUCACGGUCACGAGCGGCCUUGGACCAAUACAGAAUAAAUGAACACUAAUUGCGAUUCAUUAAUGUUAUUAUUGUUAAUAUGUUGUUUAUGCUAUUCUUUAUUCACUUUACCUGAUCAUAAGUUUAUUAUGGGUCUUGACAACUUGAUGCUACUCAUAUGCUAAAAUUGUGACAACUAAAACCUACAUGCAGUUGAACUAGUGUCUAGCCUUUGAGCCUCAUGAACCCCCUGUUAUACUUGUUAAGUACGAGGUGUACUUACACUUGUUUAUUUUCUUUAUUUGGAUAAAAAUCCCGGAUGGGUAACAGACGACUUGGGUAAUGACUACUACCAGUACUUCCCUGAGGAUUUCUAGUCUUGUGGUCAACCAGUUGACGUGCCGGUGUGAUGGAGCUUCCAUGCAAGAGUUAUCUUUUAUUUUCCGCUAUAUUUGUGUAAAGACUCUGAGUUAUAUCGUUAUGUAAUAAACACUUGUGAUGAUACUCCCUAUAAAUUGUCGGCUUAUGUGUGAUUGAUCUCUGGGCACACAUAAGGUUUUGCAUUCAAUUUUAUCCUUAAAAUUGGGUGUGACAUUACAUGAAAUCCCUUGAUUUAUCUUCUCGAGAGUUCUUUCUUAUCUUUUAAAAAGCAAGAUAUUGUGCUCAAAAGAGUUGCUCUAGCUAUUUCUGAACUCCCCAAAAGAAGAAAAGAAUUUAUUAUCUAAACUAAAAAUAGAAGUCUUGAUAACUAAAAUACAAUCAUAUCAUUCUUAAGAUUUAGCUAUCAAUCCUAAAUCUUUAAAAUUCCACUUUAAUGAUUUAGAUGUCUAGUUAGCUAAGAUGCUCAUAAAUUAAUGCAUAUCAGAUCUUCUUAGAAGAGUAUCUUGGAAAAAGCAUCAUCAAUUUCCUUUCCUUCCUAAAAAGACAUUGGGAAAAAUUCAAGGAUGGCAUGCCAAGUGAUGCCAUAGAAGGAGAGCCAAGCCACUUAGAAAUAGAUUCUAUUUUCUCCCCUUCUAUGGCCAUAAACCCAUCUCUAAACCCAUCCUUGACCACAAUGAAUCUUUUUAUGCUCCUUCUACUAAACUUCAUAAUGGCCCUAGAAAUCCAUCCAGACAUCCUAAGAAUAGGAGUCAUGAAAAUUAUAGGAAUACCCAAGAAGAGCAACAGCAAUAGUAGGAACACAUAGAACAUAUUAGAAAUACAUAUGAUAUUGUCAAAGAAUGGAAGAAGAUGAAGUUUUAACACUAGCAUCUAAACUUGGUCUAAAUUCAAAUGUUAAGCUUAAAUUAAUUUCUUUGAUAAAUAAAACUCACCCAAGUUUAGAGAAAGCUUUAGUUGAGAUAAACCAUAGGGACAUCAAUUCAAGGGAAAUCCUAGAAAAUAAAAUAUCUAAUAAAUGUCAUAGGCAUGAAAUAAUAGAGGCAAACUUAUUGCCUAUAGACAACCAUGAAGAGACACCCUUGGAGUUUGAAAAGGGAGAUCAUAUUGUCGAGCAUAUGAACUAUUUCAUUAAACACCCUAUCAGACCCAUGCUCAUAUGAGAGAUCUCCUGGAUCAAUUAGUCUCUAAUAUUAAGCUCCAUCAUUCCUUCAUUGAUAUGUCAUGCUCUGAAAUCUCUGCUAAAUUCUUGUCAGGUGUCAGGAGGAGCAUUGUUGGGACGAGCAACUUGAUAUGACUCCCAUCAGGUCUGAGCUGCUCCCUGAAGUUAUCCAUAAGCAUAUAACACCGUUUCCAUAUCAUUGCAUUGUGAUAUGUUCAGUUGUCUCUGCACAGCACAUAGCCAUUCAUCUACCUCCAUAGGAUCAGCUGAGUGAGUAAAUACCAGAGGUCUUCCCUUCAUAAAUUCCUCAUGCUUAUCUCUCACAUAAACAGGUGGUGGGGUGGUGGUGGUGCAGGUUCAUGCUGAAGGUGCUGCAUAAAAGCAUGCAUCAUCUCAUUCUUGUGUCUGCAUGACCUCUUCCACAGUAAUUGGGGCAUUGGCACCCCUACCACGGCCCCUGCCUCUGCCUCUUCCCCUUGCUGCCAUCUGAAUUCCACGGUACAGAAACAUAUCUCAAUAAUAUCCAACAUGAUAAAUACAAGAGAUAAUUGAAUCUCAAUUUUUUUGGGCGAUAUCCAACAUUAGCAGUUCAGAAAAUCAGUCAUAUGUCGAGUUCCAUAACUCUAAAGGAGACGUUCUUUACACCGUUGGAAAGAUAAAGAAAUUCUCUACAACUUUAAUUUAGGUCAUAUUAACACAUUCUGUGGUUAAAUUAGCCAAAACAGGGUAUAUCCGAAAACUGUUCCAGAAUUCCAGACUGCACAGAAACCUCAACUUUGAACAGUUGUAUCUCACAGCUCUUAAUAAUUAAUAAUGUCAUUCUAGCGGCAUUGGAAAGAUAAUGAAGUCUAGUUGUUCAAAGAAAAAUUUGAUAAACUUUGCAUGAACAGAAUUUGAGGUAUAUCAGAAUUAUUGCAGACUGCUUCAGAAAUCAGCAAGAGACAGAAACAUAAUUUUAACCAAACCUAACUAUUUAGUUCAUUAAUCCUUAUGCCUUAGGCCUAUUAACUAAAUGAAAUUGUGGAGAAAAUCCACAAGAUCAUUACACUCGUUACAAAGAACCAAAUCAAGCAUAAGCAUAAAAACAACCAAACCAAGCAUUAAAGGUUCACACUUCAAGCAUUGACUUAACUUGCGGUACCAUCGUUCUCUUCCUAUUAAGGGUAAAGAUCCUAAAACUCCUAUUUCAAUGACGUCAGAAAGUGGUUAGAGAAUGUUCUUGUUGACACCGUUUUUGGGCACGUGUCUAGGAUGGCAGGAUAAGGUGGCAGUACGAUGUUUACAAAGCGGGUUGCCGAUGAUGAUGGUUGCCGAUGAGGGAGAAGUUGAAUGUGACUAAGUCCACAGGCAGUAAUAUGGUGCCGAUGGCUAGGUAAGAAAGUCUGCCGAUGACUAUGGCAAAGGGUCUGCCGAUGAUAUGGAAGGAGUCCGGAAGCUGCCGGUUGUCAUGUGGAGGAGUUUAGGUUUGUCACGAGGGAUAGUUUUGUUAUUUCCUUAAUUAUUUGCAUCGUUUUGUAUAUGGAUUCCGUGUAGUUUGGAAUUCGAAUUCUAAUCGUGUCUGGUUGUAGCUCUUUGAGCAGGGUAUAAAUAUAAACCCUAGGGCCUUAUAAUAAUCAAUCAAGAAAUCAAACACACGUUUUUACUCAUAUUCCAGCAUUUACUUUUCGACGACUUCAUCAUACUUUUUCCUUUUGUUACGAGUUCUUAGGAAUUCGUCGACUUAAGCUCGGCGUGUUCUCAAGUUCCGCGUGAGUACCUCUUAGCCGUGACAUCCGGGCGCAUCGCUGUUGUCAGGACUAAAGUAUUCGAGUUAUCACCUUUGCCGAUAGCAAGGUCAAAUCGGCUGGCACGCCUUAACGUUUGAAUCGGGUAUUAGCCCUUUGUGUUUGCAGACUAGUUUUGCAUCAACACAUCUUUUGGCACGCCCGGUGGGACCAGAUUCAAGAUCAAGAUCAACAUGUCGAUCUCUGACCUCGAUCAAGAGAACGUCAUCCCCGUGACGGAGGCCAACCUCAAGGAUGAGCAGAAGCAAGCUAUUGCCCAAGCCAUGGAAGAGUUCAAGCAGCAAUGCCUGAGGUCUUUCAGCAUAAACAGGAGCGGCGAAGUGGUCCAGAAAGAUGCACUGCCGGCACCACGGCAGGUUACCUUUGACGCCAAUCCUGGCAAGCUUCAAGAUAUGGUUGACAAUGCCAUCAAUCGAGCGUUGAUUAACCAAGCUGGUGUACUGUCUAAUACGGUUUUCAAUGUCGUGGCAAGAACUUUCAAGGAAGGACAAAUCCCACCAGAUUAUGUGGGCCCCUCCCAUCAUCAGCCAACGGCACCAGAGGUCACGGCUCCAUCGGCUGCCUUGACGAAUGCAAGUGCACAAUCUGCCGUCCCUCCAAGUACAUCGGGGACUACUGGUGCACUAUCUAUGCCGAUGGCAACCAACCCACAAAUUUCAGUUGGGCAGCAUAAACUGACAACAGAUAUGUUGGCAUCGGCAAUGUCAGGGUUGACUCUUCCUCCCAACUGGUGGGGUUACGGUAUGCCUCCAGAGUUGACGCCGGGAACAUCACAAAUAACUGACAUGAGGGGCAAAACUCCUAUGACAUCGGCACCUCCCAAUGCGCCGGUGAACCAGAGUCCUCGGUAUACCACAACUACUACUGCAAGGCCUCACACUGGAAAUCCUCAAGAUUCAAUGUUCCAGAUGCCCAACGCAUCGGCAGAGUCAAUGCUGAUGCAACAGAGGCCUAUGGCCCAGUCGGGGUAUGUCAAUUCAACGACGGUACCCAAUUACCAAUCAUCGGCAGCACCUAUGCCGAUGAACGCUAAUAAUGGAUGGCUUGGACAGCAAGCCUUUCCACAAUCACCCCAGCAGAGUUACCAGACUACAGGGUUCCUGCAAGGGCAGGUCUAUCCCGGGUUCCAAGGUCAGGGGAUUCCCAACCAGCCAAUGAAUUUUGGACAGCAACUCGGAGGACAGCCAAUCGGUGGACAACAGUUUGGUGGUCCGCAGAUUGGAGGACAGGUGAUCAAUACAAUGUUCCGUGCAGAUCACGUCCCGAACAGACACGUGGAGGUUCGCCACCAAGUGCCAGAUCCGCAGCCGCCUCAUCGGCAAGAUGCCGAUGCAUAUUGGGCCGAUAAGAUUGCUGAAGUAAUGAGGGAACAAUUUGGGAUAAAACCCAAAGUCAACACUUAUUCUUAUCGGACGCCGUAUCCUCCCGCGUAUGAUUUGAUCCCGCUUCCACAUCGGUACAAGGUACCGGAUUUUACAAAGUUUUCCGAACAGGACGACACGUCAACCAUGGAGCAUGUCAACAGGUUCAUUAUUCAAUGUGGAGAGGCUGGUAACAGGGACGAAUUGAGGGUUCGUCUAUUUUCAUCAUCAUUGUCUGGAUCGGCCUUUACUUGGUUCAUAUCAUUACCUCCCAACUCAGUAAUUACUUGGGCCGAUCUAGAGAAGCAGUUCCACAAAUACUUCUUCUCGGGGGUUCAUGAGAAGAAGAUCACCGACUUGGUCAAGUUGAGGCAACGUAAUGAUGAGUCGGUUGAGGGAUUUGUGCAGAGGAUACGAGAGGUCAAGAAUAAAUGCUAUAGCCUGGUUCUGGAUGAUCGGCAGCUAGCCGAUUUGGCUUUCCAGGGUUUGUUGCCACAUAUCAGGGAUAAUUAUGCCUCUCAGGAGUUCGAAAGUUUAAGUCAUUUGGUGCAGAGGAUUUCUGAUCAAGACAUCAAGCCUUUCGAGCCUAAGAGAGCAUGGAAUAAGAAAGUGUCAUUUGUUGAUGAAGCAACAAGCUCAGAUUCUGAUGAAGAACCAGUAAUCGGUUUGGCAGAGUGGGUAAAAAACAAGAAGCCGAUGUCUUGUCCUUUUGGGCAGAAGGAACCAGAGAAGUUUGCUUUUGACACCGCUAAGGCUGAUAGGAUAUUUGACUUUCUACUUCAGGAAGGUCAGAUCAAACUGUCACCUAACCAUGUGAUCCCAUCGGCAGAAGAGUUGAAGAGGAUGAGAUAUUGCAAGUGGCAUAAUGCAACGUCCCAUGACACCAACGAGUGCAAAGUAUUCAGACAGCAGCUGCAAUCGGCUAUAGAGUCAGGGAGAAUCAAGUUUGACAGUUCCAAACCUCAGAAGCCGAUGAAGAUAGACCAACAUCCUUUCCCGACAAACAUGUUGGAUGCUAAGCGGAAGGCUAAGGUCUUAACAUUGGAGACAGCUGAGAAGAGUGCAUCGGUAGAUCCUCAGCAUCAAGUUACUACUGCCGAUGCAAGAAGUAAGGGCUUGGUCCAGGAAGGAACUAGCUUAGGAAGGCUUCCUCGAUCUGGUAUCGUCAUAACUCAUAGAAGGCCUCGAGAAAAAUGGCAACAACGGGAAGAUCAGUAUCGGCGCCAGCAGGAAGAUUAUCGACGGGAAGAAGAAAGACGCCGACAGGAGUGGAAUCGGCACAGGGAUCAUUGGAAUUGUCCAUUCUUCAUCCAUUGUUGGGAGGAAAAUAUCAAGCUUCCUACUGUCAGAGACUGCCCUGAGUGCAACGGUUAUGAUCGGUACGAUAGGAUCGAUCGGCAUUAUCAUGAUGAUGAACGGCGAUUUAAUGGGCCGAUCAGAGGAAGGGUGUCAGUUCAUGACCGGCUGGGGGGCAGAUUUAGUGGGCACGACAGACUUAGUGACCGUGUCCAGUAUUUUCCCAGGAACCAAGAAGAGCUCGAGGGAAUGGCUGAUGCGCGGGUUCCCGAUGAAUUCAUAUUUUGCAGGGAUGCUAACACGCAUCGUAUGGAGUCAAGGGGGAACCGACGCCCGACAGCAAGGCACAGGCCACUUCCUCCAUGGUGCCCUGGAGGAUUAACCAAGACACAGAAAAGGAGAUUGCAACGUGAAAGGCAAGAAGAGCUAAACAAGGGAGAGAACUCUGGAAGUCGGCAGCCGUCAGACACUAAGAGGGAAGGUCCAUCGGCAGGCGUCAACAUGGUCCUCAUGUUGCCAAUGGAGUUUCUUGCACCAGCCAGUGAUGAUGAGUUGGAAUUUUCUGAUCAGAUAGCUCAGUUGGCUCUGGAUCCGAUGACGGCUAUCUUUGAGAAACCUGCCGAUGACGAGAGGCAGCAUCUUAAAGCUCUGUUCCUCAAAUGAAGGGUUGAUGGGCAGCCAAUGACCAAGAUCCUAGUUGAUGGUGGAGCUGCUAUUAAUAUUAUGCCGUAUGCAGUAUAUCGGAAGCUUGGGAAAGGGGAUCAAGAUUUGACCAAGACCGAUAUGAUGCUCAAAGACUUUGAAGGAAACGUGUCUCCAGUCAAGGGGGCGAUAUGUGCAGAGUUGACCAUCGGCAGCAAAACCUUGCCGACAACUUUUUUCGUGAUCAGCGGAAAAGGUGCUUACAACUUAUUAUUGGGAAGAGAUUGGAUUCAUGCCAAUUGUUGUAUCCCAUCUACAAUGCAUCAGUGCUUGGUUCAGUGGGUAGGUGACAAGAUUGAGAUUGUCCCAGGAGAUUCUUCUUAUGUUAUCGCAUCGGCAGAAGCGGAUACCUACGAAAGGACCAGGUGCAUUUCAGGAGAAGUUUGGGAGAAAGAUUUUCUCAAAGUUGCCGAUUAUGAGAUUCCACCGAUCCAAGCAGUCGGUUCUGACGACGGUUUUUAAUGGAUAGAUUCGCCGAUGAUGGAAAAUUAGGCCAGGGAUUCACAUCGGCCGAUGAUUUGGUAGAAGUAGAUAUAGGUAGUGGUGAUAAGCCUAGGCCUACUUUUAUUAGUGCUAAAUUAGAUCCUGAGAGUAAGCGACAAUUGACUAGUUUGUUAAAGGAAUAUAAAGAUUGCUUUGCUUGGGAUUAUACAGAGAUGCCUGGUUUAGACCGAUCAAUUGUUGAACAUCGGUUACCCAUCAAGUCUGGAUUUCGGCCACAUCAGCAACCAGCCCGCCGAUGUAAUCCUAACAUUCUACCUGAUAUUAAGGCCGAAAUCACUAAACUUAUUGAAGCUAAGUUUAUUCGGCAGUGUCGGUAUGCCGAAUGGAUUUCCAAGGUUGUUCCGGUUUACAAGAAGAACGGGAAGCUUCGGGUGUGCAUUGAUUUCAGAAAUCUCAAUAAAGCUACGCCGAUGGAUAGAUACCCAAUGCCUGUCGCCGAUCUACUGGUUGAUGCUGCGGCUGGUCAUCGGGUCAUCAGCUUCAUGGAUGGUAAUGCAGGUUACAAUCAAAUAUUCAUGGCGGAGGAGGAUAUUCCAAAAACCGCAUUCAGGUGUCCCGGUCAUGUUGGGCUAUUUGAAUGGAUAGUCAUGACUUUUGGGUUGAAGAAUGCUGGUGCUACUUAUCAAAGGGCUAUGAAUUUUAUAUUUCAUGAGUUCAUCGGCAAGCUCGUAGAGACUUAUAUUGAUGAUGUGGUGGUUAAGUCUGGAGAUUUCUCAAAGCAUCUUGCCGAUUCACAAAAAGUGUUAGAGUGCACAAGGAAGCAUGGAUUGAAGAUGAAUCCCAACAAGUGUGCAUUUGGUGUAUCGGCAGGGCAGUUUCAUGGUACAUCAGAGGGGUAUUGAAAUUAGUCGAAGAUCUAUUGAUGCCAUCAAUAAAAUAGUGGCCCCUACUAACAAAACCGAGCUCCAAUCAUUGAUCGGCAAAGUAAAUUUUAUCAGGAGAUUUAUAUCGAAUUUGUCUGGUAGGAUUCGUGCUUUCAGUCCUCUUCUUAAAUUGAAAGCCGAUCAAGAGUUUAUUUGGGGAGAAGAACAGCAGUUGGCUCUAGAUGAAAUCAAGAAGUAUCUAGUAAAUCCUCCAGUUCUAGUUCCACCUCAACAAGGGAAGCCCUUCAGAUUGUAUUUAUCUACCGAUGGAUCGGUUAUCGGUUCAGCUUUAGUUCAAGAAUUUGAAGGGAAAGAAAGGGUAAUUUAUUAUUUGAGUAGGAGGUUGAUUGAUGCUGAAACCAGGUAUUCGGCCAUUGAGAAACUAUGCUUAUGCUUAUAUUUUUCAUGUAUCAAGCUGAGACAUUACCUGUUAUCGGCCGAAUGCACUGUUGUUUGCAAAGAUGACGUGGUCCGAUACAUGCUAUCUAUGCCGAUUAUGAGUGGUAGGAUCGAUAAAUGGAUUUUAGCGCUGUCGGAGUUCGAUUUGCGUUACGAAUCGGCUAAGGCAGUCAAAGGGCAGAUUAUGGCCGAUUUUGUGACUCAGCAUUGCGGUCUAGUGGAAACCUUGGAAAUUGUACCCUGGACGCUCUUCUUUGAUGGAUCUACCUGUGACCGUGGGGCAGGAAUCGGCAUUGUAUUAGUUUCCCCUAAGGGGAGGAAGUAUGAGUUUUCCUUGCCGAUUGUUGCCACAUCAACAAAUAAUCAGGCUGAGUAUCAAGCUCUGAUCAAGGGAUUGGAGUUGUUAAGAGAAGUUCGUGCUGAUGCUGUUGAAAUAUUCGGGGAUUCUAUGUUGGUUAUAAAUCAAUUGGCCGGAAGCUAUGAAUGCCGAAGUUAAGUUCUCAUAACUUAUUUCGAGAGAAGUAUGCAACUGUUAAAGGAAUUCAAGGAUUUCCGAUUGGAGCAUGUUCCCCGAUUGCAUAAUGAAGACGCUAAUCGGUUAGCUCAGCAUACCUCGGGAUAUCAGCCAAUGAUUAAUGCGACAUCGGCAGUUGGUCCCGGUGAUUGGAGGAAAGAAAUUAUUGAUUAUCUAAAAGAUCCAUCCAAAAAAGUUGAAAGACGGGUUCGAUUUCAAGCAACCAAGUAUGUGCUCCUUGAAAAUGAAUUGUAUUAUCGAACUAUCGACGGAAUUCUUCUCCGAUGCUUGGGUGAUGAUGAAGCUAGAAGUUUGAUGGGGGAAAUCCAUGAAGGAGUGUGUGGAGCGCAUCAGUCAGCUUUUAAGAUGAAGUGGAUGAUUCGAAGGAAUGGAUAUUUUUGGCCAACCAUACUUGAAGAUUGUUUUAAAUAUUUCAAGGGAUGUCAAGGUUGUCAAAAGUUUGGUAAUAUCCAGAGAGCACCCGCAUCGGCUAUGAAUCCUAUAAUAAAGCCUUGGCCGUUCCGGGGAUGGGCCAUCGAUCUGAUCGGCCAGAUUUAUCCACCAUCUAGCAAAGGGCAUAAGUUCAUUCUAGUUGCCACUGACUAUUUCACUAAGUGGGUUGAAGCUAUUCCUUUGAAGAAAGUCACAUCGGCCAAUAUGAUUGAUUUUGUGAAGGAGCAUAUUAUUUACCGAUUUGGGAUUCCCCAAACGAUUACUACCGAUCAGGGCACCAUGUUCACAUCGGGGGAGUUCGAUGAAUUCGCAAUCGGUAUGAGAAUUAAAGUGUUGAAUUCUUCUCCUUAUUAUGCUCAAGCCAAUGGGCAGGCCGAAGCGUCUAACAAGGGAAUUAUCAAGCUUAUUAAACGAAAGAUUGAAGAAAAUCCUAAGCGGUGGCAUACAUUAUUAAAUGAAGCAUUGUGGUCUUAUCGGAUGGCUUGUCAUGGAUCGACCAGGGUAUCACCCUAUCAAUUGGUGUAUGGACAUGAUGCAGUGUUGCCUUGGGAAAUUAAGGCUAGAUCUAGGCGAUUAUCUUUUCAAGAUCAAUUAACUUCCGAUGGUUAUGCCACUUUGAUGACCGAUGAAUUGGACGAUCUAGCAGGGCAUCGGUUAAAAGCUUUAAUGAGUAUAGAAGAAAAUAAGAAGAGAGUUGCUAGAUGGUAUGAUAAGAAAGUGAAGGCUAAAGAGUUUGCCGAUGGGGAUUUGGUUUGGAAAUUAAUUUUACCAAUUGGGACCAAAAGUUCGAAGUUUGGAAAGUGGUCUCCUUAUUGGGAGGGUCCUUAUCGGAUAAGUCGAUCGGCUCCUGGUAAUGCCUACAUUCUAGAAACCCUCGAAGGAAUUGAAUUUCCCAGAGCAUUAAACGGCAAAUAUUUAAAGAAGUACUACCCCAGUAUAUGGGUCGAUGCAUAGAAGUUUAGGUGCCGAUAACACUCCUAUUGGCUGGAUCCAAAUGCUUGGGGACAAGACUUGGUGUUUCAAAAGUUUAGGCGCCGAUAACAGUCCUAUCGGCUAGACUAAAAGCUGAGGGAGCAGGAAAGCGCAGAUACAAUGUCGAUGGAAACUCUAUGUGUUAAGCAGCAUCUGGAUUGCCGAUAUAGCACGUAGCCGAAUUUGGUUGGCUGCUUCUAUCUCCUUGAUGUCAUCAUCGGCAGAACCUUCUAUCGGCUUCAGCUUCUUCUUCAGUUGGAGUGCUUUGCGACCAUGAGCAUUUCGCUCGCGCUCAAGAAGCCUGAUGGUCUCUGGCAAUUGGCUCUCUUCCUGUUGGGCUUGGGACAGAGCGUUCUCUACUUCCUUGAGCUCCGCCAACAGGGACUCUUUUCUUGCCGAUAGAUCGGAUAUCUUCUGCUUCAGCGCGUCUCCAGAAGAUCUCAGGAUACCAAUGUUCUUGUGCUUCUCAUCGGUCAAAAGCUUCUCUUUCCUCAUUUCAUCGGAGAGUUGAGUCUGAGCGGCUCUAUCGGCAAGCCGCCGAGAAGCUCUUUGGUACUGCAGCUGGCGACUCUCCAGAUGAGCGGCUUGGAACAGGAUUUCUUCAACAUCGGCUGGGAUUUGGCCUCUGAGAGUUCUGAACAGGGUCUUGGUAGGGUCGGAAUCAUCAACCAAGUGCGCUGUGUCCUGGUGAAGGAGAGCUGACAAUUCUUCCAGCCUGACCCUGACCUCUGCCGAUGUGAUGCCGACCGUCUGAGAAGUGCUUGCUUCUUCACCUUUUUCUUCAGAGAAAUCGAUGGCGAAGGAGAACAGGCUAUCGGGAGAAUCUUGUUCCUGGGAGGGAAAGCAAAAUUAGCUCAUACUUAGAGAAUCGGCAAAUAGUGCUAACGGUAAACGGUGACUUACUUGCUUCAAGGCGAUCUCUUGUCUUCGACUGAGAGGUGCUGACGGAGCUGCAGGCUGAUCGGCCAAAGAUGCUGAUGGAGCUACAGGUUGAUCGGCUGAGAUUGCCGAUGGAACGAUAUCAACUGAAAGAAGACAAAAGGAGUUAUGAGACUAAAUAAGAAUAAGUUCAUCGGUAGCGAUAUUGUUAAAGUAUGUUACCUGGAGGAGGGACAACGGUUGUCUGAAUCGGGAGAACUACCGAUGGUAUAACUGGACCCACCGGGCCAGUUGUUUGUUCACCCGUGUCAGCUGAUGUAUCUUCUGUUUGAGAUCCUUCCUAUUGGGGUUCUUCAAUCUGUGGUGCUUCCUGCAUAGGUGGGGGAGAUGGUGCUUGCUGUGGCUGGGCUUCUGGAGAAGAAGGAGAAGACUCCACCGAAAUUGGAGAUACCGGAGGAGGAGGGGGAGUUGCUACCUUCUGGCGCUUUGUUCCAGUCUUAGCACCCGUGGUGCCCUUUCUCUUGGGUUGGCUAGACUGGGGGGCAUCGGUACUCUCACACCUGGCUUUCGCCGAUGCGCCGGUUUGCUGCAAUAAUGAACAAGAGUUUAUAAGCAUAAAUAUAGCCGAUAUAAAGAUAGUCAGCAUAAAGGAAAAGAUUUGUCAAAUUGCCUUGAAAGCCCGCGCAAGAGUGGGAGCAGCAACCGUUGGUGAUGUCUGAGUUCUUCUGGUGGUGACUUUCCUGAGGCAUACACCCCGAUGCACGAUGGAAGCUAGAGUGGGAGCAUUGUGGCCGAUUGAGGAAAUCGGGCCUGAUGAAAACAAGUCGAUCGGCCUGCCACUCCUGCUAACCAAUGGAGGAAUAUUGUCAACCUGCAAAAGGAAUACAAGGGUAAGCUGCCGAUGGGGGUAAUAUUGAGAAAAUGAAACGUUGGUUUGAGUUACUUACAGUGUCAUCGGGAACUUCGUAUUCGGAGUCGAUCAUGUCGCGGUAUGAAAGUGUCGAUCUGCAGAAUAGAUGCUCUUUCCAUUCUGCCCACCAUAACUUGUAUGCCUGAGUGAUAAAAGCAGCCGGAACCCAUUCUGACAGAUUUACAUCUAUAUCGGCGUUUGGUGGUAGUUGGGCUGCUCGAGUCCACUCAAGAAGGUUGUUGAUAGUUUCUCUGGGUUUUAUCACAUCGGCAUAAGGAAGUGCAAUCGGCAACUGGCCGAAAGCUAACUGGCGAGCUAAUGCCGAUGGAUUGUAAAAUUCGUAAGUUUGAGGGGAGGUUUUUGUGCUACCAAAGAAAUUCACUGGAAUGAUUCUGGGAGUCAGAACUGCCAUCAUCACCUCAUUGUCCCUGUCGAGAGCUUCAUCAAACGGAUUGAAGGUCAGAGGGAGCAUGCUAUCUGGGUCAUCAUAAGCCAACCAUGGUCGUUCGUCUCUGGUCAAACCCUCAUACAGAGUCUGGAAGAAUCGGCCGAUCUGAUCUGGAUUACCCCCUGAACCAGGCAGAACUAUGACAGCUUCGCCAAAGUUCAAGGGGGCGCGUGUUGCCGAUUCCUCUCCACCCAAUACAUGGUUUUCAGCUAUAUCUCUUGGGAAACGCUGUGUGAACAGGUUGAAGUUGAGACGCUUGUGCAGAUGCAGAUUGAGCCACAUGUUGACAAACCACCAGGGGCCUCCCAAGUUGCCAAUGGAUUGGCCGAGCAGAAGUUUCUGGGCUACUUGAUGGAGAAGGUGGUAAGCAGCGCCAAGCAAGUAUCGGCCGAGAGGGAAUCGGCCACCGUUAGCCAGUCUUUCUGCUGCCGAUAGGUAGACAGAAGUCGGUCCUGCCGAUCGACCACAGAAUACAAACUUGUCCAGCCACAUGUUCAGAAAGGUGGUUUGUUCCUUUAUGGUGACAGAUCCUUUCCCACGGUACUUCUGAAUGUACCCCGACCAACCGCCGAUAGCGCGAGUCUCCACUUUGGCACUAGGGGCAGUAUCAAAAAAGUGGGUGCUAUCGGCAGAAGAUAUAUCUAGACCAGUAAGCAUGGCUACAUCGGUAAGAGUAGGAGAAGCAGGGCCGUGGCCAAAGGCAAAAGCAUUGAGGGUGUCUGACCAAAAGUAGGAUGCAGCUAUCAGCAGUGAUUCGUUCCUAUGCAUAUCGGUAAUGGACAAUCUAAUGCAUUGGGCUAGAUUCCUUUCACCCCACUGAAUUUCAUUAGAGUUGCUGACCCUCAAGAACCAGUCUUUCCACCCUACAGUUGGGCUGGGCCAAGAGCGGAAGGUGUCCUUCCACAGAUCUAAGGAAAAAUUUUCGGCUCUGAAGGGGAUCCUGUUGGUUUCUGCGUUGAUAAGGUCAGUUGGAUCUGGGUCCCCUAGAGGGCCGAGGCAUUGAAGGUGUGGAUGAUCGGUGGGGAUGACAAUUUUGUUGGACAAUUCCUAGUGAUUUUGGGCGUAAAAAGAAAUACAAAGAGGAAAGAAAAGGAAGAUGUUCAGUAAAAUGAAUUGCGAAUGAACAGGGAUAUGAAGAAAAAUACAGAAGACGGGGUGGAGAUUUGACCUCAGGGACGAUGAACCCGACGGCAAUCUUGCUGCGAAGGAAGCGUGUCAAGGCGCCGGAGUUGAUGAAGAGGGGUACUUGUCGGAGACCUUAGGAGUUUUUGGUGGCGCCGCCGCUGGAAAAGUAAAGUUGGGUAGUAGAAUGGUGUGAUGGGGAAGGAGUACCCAAGAAGGAACUAUUUAUAGGACAAAAUGGGCAAGGGCAAAUCCGACUUAUCUCUUUGCCGCAUCCGAGAAAUCCGAGGGUACUCAGGUGGAUAUGGUAACUGUUCGCACGGUAAUCCAGGGAUUGUGCAGGUGAUUUGACGGGAAGCGGUCAUUAUCUGAAGAUAUUUUACUGUGCGAGAUCUCCUGGUCGGUCCAUCGGGGAUAUUCUAUAACGGUCAUAUUGCCGAUGAGCGGAUAGAGGGGAAGUAACCGUUUGUGCGAAUAUCCUGGUCAGAACAUCGGCAGAUCUUUGUAACGGUAUUGUUGCCGAUGUACGACUGAGAAAAGUGCCCGUUUAGGAAGUUGGGGAUUUCGAGGAAUCUACGGAGUAUUAGGAUCAGAGUUGUCCAGAUUGGGGUUGUCGGUUACCAGAUUAGGAGCAUUAAUUGCGGGAGAAGGCAUCAUUACUGCAGAGAAUUUUGGAGCAUUAAUAGUUUUAUACUCCGAAACUGGGGGGCAUGUGUUGACACCGUUUUUGGGCACGUGUCUAGGAUGGCAGGAUAAGGUGGCAGUACGAUGUUUACAAAGCGGGUUGCCGAUGAUGAUGGUUGCCGAUGAGGGAGAAGUUGAAUGUGACUAAGUCCACAGGCAGUAAUAUGGUGCCGAUGGCUAGGUAAGAAAGUCUGCCGAUGACUAUGGCAAAGGGUCUGCCGAUGAUGCAAAGGAGGAGUCCGGAAGCUGCCGGUUGUCAUGUGGAGGAGUUUAGGUUUGUCACGAGGGAUAGUUUUGUUAUUUCCUUAAUUAUUUGCAUCGUUUUGUAUAUGGAUUCCGUGUAGUUUGGAAUUCGAAUUCUAAUCGUGUCUGGUUGUAGCUCUUUGAGCAGGGUAUAAAUAUAAACCCUAGGGCCUUGUAAUAAUCAAUCAAGAAAUCAAACACACGUUUUUACUCAUAUUCCAGCAUUUACUUUUCGACGACUUCAUCAUACUUUUUCCUUUUGUUACGAGUUCUUAGGAAUUCGUCGACUUAAGCUCGGCGUAUUCUCAAGUUCCGCGUGAGUACCUCUUAGCCGUGACAUCCGGGCGCAUCGCUGUUGUCAGGACUAAAGUAUUCGAGUUAUCACCUUUGCCGAUAGCAAGGUCAAAUCGGCUGGCACGCCUUAACGUUUGAAUCGGGUAUUAGCCCUUUGUGUUUGCAGACCAGUUUUGCAUCAACAGUUCUAAAAGCAUAUAAAGGCAAGGAGUGAAGGUAAGAACAAGUCUUUUAAAAUAAGCAUCAAUGUAAAGAUGAAUAGUAGGGGAAAAGGUAUAGUGUAGGAUAAAAUUUCAAGGUUUAUAGAACUAGGAUUUUAUAGCAAUUUUGAAAACUUAAGAUGGCCAAUUUCUAACUAGGCUUGCAUUCAAUAGUCAAUAAAGCUUUGAUACCAAUUUGUCACACCCAAAUUUCAAGAAUGAAAUAGAGUGCAUAAAAGACUCAUGUGCGCCCCAGAAACGGUCGCACACAAAAGUUGACAAACCUCAAAUAGUGCCAUCACAAUGUUUAUUACAUAGCGGAAUAAUAAUUAUUACAUAGUCUCAAACAAAUAAAGAUACUCUCGAUGGAAGCACCACAUAGGGACACUGUCAACUGGUUGAAUCCAAGCCUAGUACUCAUAACGGUAGUCAUCAUUCCAGUCAUCUUCUUUUACAUAUCCUGAGGUGUUAUGAAAUAGCCAGAGUGAGCACAUAUCGUACACAACAAGUAUAACCAGGGGUUCAUGGGGCUCAAUAAGCCGAUACUAGUUUAAUUGCAUUUACCUUUUAUAUGUAGAUGGCAUGUUUAUAUUUAGAUAGCAAAUGAAAAGGUAGCAUAAUUAAAUCCCACAACCACAUGAUGAAUGUAUACAAGAAUUAAGAAUAACACAUAUAAACAACAUAAUAAACCAUCAUUUAUCAUCAUUAUUCAUGUUUAUCAGUGUCCAUCUAUUCUGUCAGUUUUCUGGGCCGCCCGUAUUGAUGGGCACAGCUAGUAUACUAGAUUUAACACUCUGCAGAGGUUGUACAUCUUUACCCAUGAGUCAUGAUUUACCCUUUCGCCCGAGGUCGCAAGUCUCUUAACCCCCUUCCGAGGGAGGUCGGCAGGGAUCACUAUGAAGCCUUUCAAAAGUUCAUCUAAUAAGUUAGGGCGGCAAGGUUUCUCAUGCGUGCAAAUAUAGAGCCCCCUUCCAAAUGGCACAAUGACGCACAACCUAUACACAUAAGGACAGAGGCCACGCUAUACCCAAAAUUGCAAGCCACUCUAGCGCCCUUUGGGUAACCUCUAGCAAGCAAGAUAAGGUCUUCAUACUUAGCUAAAGCUAGAGCCAUAUAGCCCUCAUGGUUGUAUGAGUUGUCCUAGCUUUUGCUAAGGGAUAAGUCCUUAUGGAGGGUCAAGAUCAAUCUAGCAAAAGCUAGAGUUCUUUCUACCCUUAAUAAUCAAGUUGCUAGGAAGCUUAUUUUAUUUGUUUAUUGUAUAUCCAAAUAUUCAUGUUACAAGAUCAUGGAUUAUAAUCAAGCACUAGCAAGAACUACCCAAAUGUAUAUCCAAAUAGGUAUCAAGGAAUACAAGAUAACAAUCAUCUAUGAUUUCACUAGGGUUGUCAAGGUGGACACAUGCAUACGAUAUAUGUAUUAAAAGUGUGUAGGUAACAAGGAUAGUCUCAAGUUAUACUUGCCUUGAUCAAAGCUUUCUUGGAACUCCUGCUGGUCGUCAAAAGAUUGGCCUUGAUCACCAACGUAUUGCUCACUGUCUAUACCCGAUCAUCAAUCAACAACACGCAUUCCAAUGGGGACAAUCAUACACAAAGUAAACAAGCUAUAAUUAGAACAAUACACCAACCGUGGUAAAACAAAUAUAAAAGUUUAUAAAAAUGUUCUACACAGCGCUAUGAUCACAUAGACAUAAAGAUCAUGAAAAUCAGAAUUAAAACGGAGAAGCUAUUAUUUUUCUAAGAUUUCCUAUAGAAAAAUAAUUAAUUAAAUAGUACCAUGAAAAUAAAAAGUUAGAAAUUGAGAAUACAGUGAUACUAACAUGUAGAGCUCGCAAAGACAAACCUAAUGCAAUUUGAAUGGACCAAAUCGGAGUUAAAAUGAGCAUUUUAUAAGCAUUUUAAAAUCAGUGGCAAACUUGUAAAUACUGAAAAGCGUAUUUUCCUUUAAACCAGCAAGAAUACGUUUUCAGAGCUGAAAAGCGUAAACCCGCCAAGGCGCCAUGGACCGUGGGUUGGUUCUCAAAAAUUCCAGGGGCUCUUUAACAAAAGUUACCCCGAAGGGGUAUCUUCUAAUCCUGAGUGUCGAUAGCAAUUUGGACGGCUGAGAGGGAUAGGGGCGGGUUUCGGUCGGCCGGCGGCGAGCCCCCACGGCGGACGCCAUGGCCGGCGUCCAAGCUUCGCCGGAGUUCAUCGUUUGCACACUUUAGGGGAUCUCUGAGCAAAAGAAUACACCGGGGGAAAGAGAAGAAAGUCGCAAGCUCACUAGUGCCCUUCGUUCGCGCCAAGAAGGAGUAGAGAGGCCGUGCGACGUGGCGGCUCGAUUUUGGGACUCGGCGAGAUCCAGUUUGAGUUCAAACGGCGGCUAGGGCUCGGGUUAAACGGCUUGAGUGCGAAAUGGGACCUGCGGCGUGAGGAAGGAGCUUUAUAGGGUGUCCCAAGCGCGAUAAACCGCAACAAAUCCCGCCUAGGCUGGGAUAGGCACGCCUGGUUGGUUUCGGUGGGAGUCGUGUUUGGCUACGUCUCGAAGAAGAAGGGGAUGGAAGCGCUGACACGCAGGCCCGGUGAGUCAAAGAAGAGGGAGGGAGAGUCAAGGCGCUGUCGUGGGGCCGGGGUGUUAGCGACCGCAGGGGAUAAAAGGGGAGGGCACGUGUAGUAGGCCUGCUGGGCCGGUCUGGACCGAGAGGGGAGCCAGGUGAGCUGGGCUUCGCAUGGAACUGGGCCACCAGGCCGAACAGGAGGAAAGUCUACCUAUUUCAUUUUUUCUAUUUUGUUUUCUAAAGCUUUUUGAAAAGGUAUUUUAAAUCUUUUUGAGAUAAAACAAACACACAGUAAAAUAAGUAAAUAUUCCAGCAUGUAUGCACAAGCAUGUUACUAAACUUAUGAUAAAUUUUAAUUUCAACAAAAUUUAUUUAUUUACUAAAUUAAAUGCUCACAAAUAUACUUAAAUAAAUCAAAUUAAAUCCUAUUAAUUAGAAAUAAAUUUUUGGGUGUCACAGUAGUAAAAGAUGGACAAGAGUCCUAACAAUUAAAACAAUGGGUACGUAGAUGCCCGCCUCCCAGAUAAAAAGAGAGAGAGAGAGAAAGAAAAAUAAGAAAGAAAGAAAGAAUAAAGAUAUAUAGCCUAUGUUUUCCUGCGAGUUCUAAGUUUAAAAGGAGGGAGUAAUUUUCAAAGAUCAAAAGUAGAAUUAGGAUUUGCCACUAAAUACUAUAUAUAUACCUAUCCACCAUAUUCCAUACACACGCACAUCUUGAUUUGAUUGUAUGCCUUGAUUCUCUGUAGAUCCAUUGUUUGACUUUACAAUCUAUGAAUUGCAAGUAUGCUCACUCCUAUAAGCUCCACUAUAUAUAUCCUUAGUUGUAGGAAGGUAUAACCUCAUUAAUGCCUAAGUGAGAUCCAUAAAUACAACAUAAUAAGAGACUUGAGGGUGUCAUACAAUUAAGCUAUGAGUUUUAUUUCGAAAACUUGCAAAACUCCAGAAUAUUGGUACUGUGAAGAAUUUGAGACACAGUGCUUGACAUGAUUGUUAUAUCUUUCGAUUACUCAAGACUUAUGGAAAAGUUGUAAAGAUCCAUGGUUAAAGGUAAAAUGGGUAAGUUUGAAUGUUAGACCAGAGGACAAUUUAUGUUUAAAAGUAAGUGUACUUAAAAGAAAUAAAAGCAUUGUAUUAACUCCUGAUCCAAGUUUAUAAAUUAGGCUUGGAUUGUUUGCUAAGGGACUGGCAAAAGGUAAGCUUGGAAGAAUUGUUGACAGUCGAUAACGUCAACUUUUAUUAGAACUUUAAACCCGAAGGAGAACAUGAAUACACUAGGGUUUAAACUAACAAUUUCCAUAAGAUUUGCAUAUCUGUGUUUUCUAGGGUUUAUUUCACAGAGAGCUGAAAAGAGGGAUUCUAGUGCAUAUUUACCAUGAAACUCAUCCGCGACGGAAAAUAUCGUCAUCAGGCUCAGAAAGGGUCUAGAAGACACCCGAAGGAACGAGAGCCGUGGAAGAGAAAGGUGGGGCCGGCCGGCCCCACCCUGGGGCCGGUCGGCGCCCUGUUUUGCCCGUUGCUCGCCGCCUUCUAGAGUCUUCCUCCUACGCUUCCUUGGAAGCCAAGCAAAGUAUCUCUCCAUCGAUUUUAAGUCGGUUUGAUCUAACUGUGCACACAAGAUGAAGACGCAGAUCGUUGAUGUGGCGGUUCCUUGCCCCCUACUCCACCUCGGCCUAUAUAAUGACACCCAAGGCUCCCCCCAAGAGACAUUCUACACCCCUGCGCUUCAUAUUCUCUACAUAAUUAGGGUUAGGGUCCCUCUAGUUGUUCUAGUUCUAGUUCAUCUAGAUCUAGUUCAUCUAGAUCUAGUUCAUCUAGAUGUAGCAAUUAGGAGAGACUAGUUCUUCUAGAUCUAGUCUUGUUUAGAAAUUAGAGAGAUUUAGUAGAGGAGUAGAGAUUCUAGAGGAGUUCUGGCCUGUCGGUGCCUCUUCGUGGCUAUAUUCUUCUGGAUCCAGUUACUCUCGCCCAGAGUUGCGUUCUGACGUACUUUUGUACUGACCCUUCUGGUUUAAGUAAGCAUCUUGUUCUUAUUUGUUAUUUGGUUCACAACUCAUAUUGAGUGCUUUGAUCUUGAUCGUAACUUGGUUGAAGUAGUAUUUCGUAGUGUAGGCGUGGUGCCUGGGCUAGGUUUACUUGUGCAUGUCCCCUGAUCAGCCGGACAAUGGUAGUUCGCGUAGGUGAGUUUAUAGCUGUGUUGAUUUCUCUGUAGUCCACUUCCCGUUGAUAGGAUUCAUAGGAUUAUAGGUGCCUGAUAGGGGGUUACUCUGAUUCUCCCUCUAUUCGGGUUACUUGCCCGAUAAGACAGUAUUAUUCAAAGUUUACUGGAGUCGGAACUAGAGUGCAUUAGUAUUCCCUUUUUAUUGAUAUGAUCUAGCCUAAUUGUAGGGUUAAGUCUAUAUACUAUGUCAUCAUCACAACUGUUCCCUGUUGAUUCGAUAUUUAAAACCUCCGCGUAAAAUGUGACGCUGGUACGAUAUCUGUGCGCUUACGGAAAAUCCUACUUAAAUCUAUUGAAAUAGAGUGCAGUUAAUUUAUACCAACAACAACCAGUGUUAAUGAGUUAUUGAUUAUUUAAUGAACAAAAGGAUAAACAUGCAUAAACUAUUUCCUGUAUACAAGUAAUGUAUCGGCUCAAUAGUUGAUCCAGCCACUUCCAUUCGUAAGCUUAGUAACCUAAUCAUAUUUAAAAGUAGUUCAAUGACUGGAUAACAAAUGUCAUAAUGCAUCAUCAUUAUAUUAUCUUUAGGAGUUGACUUUCUAGUCAAUUUUCUUUGGUUAACGGCUAUUUCGAGCCAUAUAUUCUGGAACUGUCUGGCAACAACCGACAGAUUCUAUAAUUUGAUAUUUGUCUUUCUUCCUUAUCAAAUUUAGAUCAAAUUGACUCGCACGCCCCGAAUUCAAUUCACCAAGUUAAACUCGUGCAUUGAGGCUCAGGAGGUCCAGAACUCUAGCUCCUACAAACCCUCUGAGAGCCACCAAGAUUGUAGAGCAAGAAACAAAUUUUUGCAACCGUCAACACCAUCCAUGUAUGCAAACAUAAGCGAUUUUAUCAGACGGUGUGCAGAAUGUCAUUGGCACGGCAAUAUUAAUGCUUGAGAUGCUAUGUCUCUCACUAACAAUCUACAAGUAGAAUUGUUUGAUGUUUGGGGUAUAGAUUUAUGGAACCUUUCCCUAAAACCAAUAAUUUCGAGUAUAUCCUAGUAGCCAUAGACUAUGUUUCCAAAUGGGUAGAAGCCAUGACUUAUAAUUCGGCCAAUUCCAAAUGUCCCAUGAAAAUUUUGACGGAAGUCAUCUUUUCCCGUUUUGGAGUUUCUAGACUAGUCAUUAAUGAUGGAGGAUCACACUUCGUAGACACACAGUUUAGAAGCUUUUUGACAAGUCUAGGAAUCCAACACCAUGUAGCCACACCUUAUCACCCUCAAACUAGUGGCCAAGUAGAAACCUCUAAUAAACAAAUAAAGAACAUCCUGCAAAAGACAAUAGAGGAAAUGGGAAAGUCCUGGCAUGUUAAGCUCUAUGAUGCUUUGUGGGCAUAUCGAAUAGCCUUUUCUUUGACCCCCUACUGGUAUUUUAUUAUUAAAAUAUUUACAGAUUACAAAGAGAAUACCAAGACUAAAAGUCACGAAACAAAGAAAGUAACCAUGAAAAUGAAAAAAAAUUACAUAAAGCUCUGCAGCCAUAAAUGAAUCUGUGGAUGAUAUUUUGCAUCUUUGCAUCUUUGCACUGUGUGCGAGAUAUUGCAUCUUUGCACUGUAUGCGAGAUAUUGUGGAAAAUCAGGUCAUUUCUCAUCAUCCCAAUAGACCAACACAUAGUGAUAAUAAUUUCCAUGAAGAAAGGCAAUUGCAACUAAACUUUGAGGUUCUCUACUAUGGCCAGAGGAUCCAAAGCAUUAGGUAUCACGAGAUGAAGAGUGUUCCAGCAAGCCAGCGAGAAGGGACAAUGAAAUAGCAGAUGACUGAUUUCUUCAUCAAUACCACAAGCACAGAGGACACAUCUGUAAUCUUGCAGCUGCAUAUUCUUUCUUCUGAGGAGUGCCCUGGUAUUUAAUCUCCUAUGAAGGACUAACCAAAAAAAGAAUUUCCUUUGUUUUGAUAAGAAGAUUUCCAAAGCCAAUGGAAGGAUGGAUGGAUCUGCCUAUGACCAAUGAGAUGUCUAUAGGCUUUCUUGGAAGAAAAAUCUAGAGAGCCCCAGAUAUAGGACCAAGUGUCCUUAACAUCCUGUAUCUGAAGAUUUUGAAUGAGCAACUCCAAAUCCAAGUAUUGAGCAUAGGCUUCUGGAGGUAGAGGUAAAUGAAACUGAUCAUGAAGGGGAUUAGAAUUGCACGCCAAGAAUCCAGAGAUGUCUGGGUUCUUCACAAAGGAAAAGAGUUCAGGAAAAGCUUGAUUCAGAAUUAUCCCAUUCCAGAGAUCUUGCCAAAAGAAACAAGACUUUCCAUCAUGAACUGUGACCAUGGCAAUCCCUUUAAAAGUAUCCAAAAGUUUUAGGAUGUCUUUCCACCAAAAAGAUCAUCUAAAAUUUGCCCUUAUCGCAAAAAAAAGGAAGUCUAUUUCUUGUGUAAUACUUAUCCCAGACCAUCUGAACCUAGGGAAUUGAAGCUCUAUUAAAGAAUUUGUGCAGAUGCUUUAGCAGUAAACUCUCAUUUUGAGCAUAGAGGUUUAGGACACCGAGUCCUCCUUCAGUUUUGGAGAGGCAAACCAGUGGCCAAGCUGCUUUUGGGGGCUUUUUUCUUGUCAUGUCCGAGCCCCUCCAUAAUCAAUGUUUUCUAUAUUUGUUAAUCUGUUUAAUCUCAGUCUUUGGGAGCAAGAAGGUGCACAUUGCAAAAGUUGGAAGAGCUGUCAAGACUGCAUUAGUGAGUUCUAAUCUUCCUGCCUCAGUCAAGAAGGAAGAGAAGGCUACAAGUCUUCUUUCACAUUUUGAAACCAAAUCAAAUAGCCUAUUAAACCCCAAUAGGUAUGUCCCCAUACCAAUUCGUGUAUGGAAAGACUUGUCACUUACCCGUAGAGCUAGAAUUUAAGGCUCAUUGGGCCAUAAAGAAGUGGAACUUGGACCUCGAGCUAGCCGGACAAAAUAGGAACAUGCAAAUAUUUGAGCUAGAGGAAUGGAGAGAGAGAGAGAGUGAGCUUAUCAUAGUGCCAAGAUUUAUAGAUAGAAUUAAAAGAUGGCAUGAUAAAGGAUUAAACAUAAAGAGUUUCACCCCGAAGAUAAAGUUUUACUUUUUAACUCACGUGUGCAUCUCUUUGGUCAUGGUAAGCUUCGAAGUAAAUGGGAUGGACCAUUCAAGGUCGUUGCGGUAGCACCCCAUGGUGUCGUCACACUAGAAAGUGAUGAUGGUAAGCUAUUUAAGGUGAACGGUGAACGCCUUAAUGUCUACUUUGAAUAUGAGAAAGAAGAAGCAAGAGAAAUAGACGUGGUAGGAUUCAGAGACCCUGAGCAUUGUGCAUGCUUCUUGAAUGCAAGCAACCUUGGGCCUUAACCCCUUUUAAUGGACCAAAGAAACGACUAAAAACAUCUUUUUAGGGCCUCUGAUCAACCACACGUGCACAGAGUUCAAAAAUUUUGGAAUUUCCGGCUCAGGACCCGGCGCCCACCAACCCCCUUCCACGAUUUCACGUUGGUUUGCCACGUGUAGGCCGAUCUACGGCUUUGGGAGUUCAAAAUUCCAAAUAUCAUCGAAAACUCGCAACAGAAAGAAGGAUCGGGAACUUUAAAUCCUGGCUCCAUCACUAGUCUUGAAUUAGUGAGAGAAGCAAUAAUACAUGAAAUAGCUUGUUCCAGAAUAAAUUUUGAAUGCUCUAGUUUACUCGGGCCUUCCAAUUUUGUCUACAUUGGAUAAUCUUCACACCAACAUAUGUUACAAUACCAGCCAUUUCCAUCGAGUACCAUCCUGCACCCUAAACAAAAAAGUAUUCGAGAAUUAAAAGUUGCACCCUAAUCCACUAGCUUGAACCCAUAUUUGAGGGUAUUCGAGGGCAGUGUUCAUUAGCAGGAACAGGAUUUGGAAGCAUGUAGUCACUGAGCUGAGGAUGGCAGCAUAACAGCUCCCAACAUCUGGAGAGUAUAGCCAGCAAAAAGAGCAUUGGUGGACCAAUUGGCAGCAUAUCAGCUCCCAACACCUGGAGAGGAUAGCAAGCAAAAAAGAGCAUUCGACCAAUUGACAGCAUAACAGCUCCCAACACCUAGAGAGGAUAGCCACCAAAAAGAGCAUGCAGAUUGCCUAGGGUAACUUGAGGGUGCAAGGUCGUCUAGUCUCAUUCUUGUACUCCGUGCAUCACUUCUCAGAUAAUUUUGCAACUUAGAUGUCAAAGUAGGUACAACAGGAUAUAAGUUAAUAGAACUUUGCUGGAGAAACCCACAUGCCAAAAGGUUGUUGUUCAUUUUGCAACAAGUUCACAUCAAUCGUGGGAAAUGAAAUGAAAUUAGAGGUUCAACACUAGUAUGCAAAUGCAAAUUUCGUAUGCAAAUGGACAUGUAGCACUUGAGAAUAAAAUGCCCAAAGAAACAUAAAUUCUCAUACAAAUUUAGGGCCAUUCGGACAACACAUAUGAAAUUACCAUCAUAUCGAGAAAAAAUGCUCGACAUUUCUGUUCACAGAACUGCAAUAUGUGAGAUUACACACGUCCUAUCCACUUCAUUAUGAAGUUCCCACACAACACAUAAAGUUUUCAUCACAUCCAAAAGCCGAUGCAUGGAAAUUUCUAUGCUCAGAUAAUUAAGCCAAAAUAGAAAAAAGAAAUAUAUUAACAUCAUUGCAAAGUAACAAAAAAAGAAAAAAUUCCCUUGGCUCGGAGAUUCAGUUGCACUACAAGAAAUCUCUUAAUCCGUGACAGAUUACCGGUGACGGUUUUACCGAUGACGGUUUUAGAGAACGUCACAAAUAAUAUAAAUCUUCAACAAUACAUGAACUACAGUAGUUGAUAUCCAGCCCAAAGCCCAGUAUCCGUUAAACAUAUAUAAAGGAGCACAAAUCCUAACCCGCACACUCUUGCUCCCUCCCUCUUCGCAACAGCCGCCGUCGCUCACUCGAGAGUCCAGACCAUCUCGACUGCCGCCUCCUUUGCCUAGGUUUCGUCCUCCCCUAGCCGAUGCGGAUUUCAUCGUUGGUGUGGAGGAGGCGGAGGACUGCGCGCAGAGGAGACCCAGGGCACCACCCCACCUAGCUACUGCCCCAAUCCUAACCCUUGGCAGAUCAGAUCCUCGAUGUGGAGGAUACUGAGGGUGGCGCCCCCACCUAGCCCUUGCGGGAUCUAGAUCCUGGAGCUAAGGAGCACAACGCGGCCACCAAGCUCGGAGUGUAAUACCCGAUUUUAAGGACAAAACCAGAUAUACACUAUAUAUGAGUUUUAGAAGUCAAAUCUCACAUAUAGCUACAAGUAAGGGGUAAUAUCAAAAGACAAUGCAUAAAUAUAUAGCGUACUUAGUAUAAAAGAGAUAACCGUCAAGCAAACAGCGGAUAGACAACUCCAAACUUCGGGUAUUAACUUCACUCUACAGGAUCCAACUGACUGGUUGAUCACAAGCCUAAACUUCUCCUGAGGUUUGAGGGAAAUAGCAAGAGUGAGUCCAUGUCGAACUCCACAAGUAUAGCAACUAGAUUGUAUAGAUCCCACAAUCUCAUGAUCAAUGUGACAUAAAUAAUGUAAAGCAUUAAAUAAUAAAUAAUGAGCAUAUUUAACACACAGGAAUCAUCAUCGUCGCAACAAGAAUCCCCAAGGCCGCUCCUGACCGUGAGCUCGGCUAGUAUACUAGUUUUUAACCCUCUGCAGAGAUUGCACAUCUUUACCCAUGAGUCAUGAUUUACCCUUUCGCCCGAGGUGAUCAGCCUCUUAACCCACUUCCAAGGAAGGUCGGCAGGGAUCACUAUGAAGCCUUUCAAAAGUUCGUCUAACAUGUUAGGGCCGCAAGGUUUCCUUUGCGCGCAGAUAUAGAUACCCCCCUUCCAAAUGGCACAAUGACGCGCAGCCUAUACACAUAGGGACAGGGGCUCGCACUAUACCCAAAACGGUUCAGCCCCUCCGCCCUUUCGGGUAACCUCUAACAAGCUAGAAAAGGUCUUCAUACUGAGCUAAAGCCAGAGCCAUUAUAGCCCUCAUGGUUGCACUGUUGUCCCGGUUAUCACUUACAGAUAAAUCAUCAAGUUGCUAAAAAGUUAUUUUUAUCAUUUAUUACUUAACAUUAAUCUAGUCACAGGAUCAUGGUCACAGAAUAUAAAAUCCAAAUGCUAUACUUGCCUUAAUCCAAAUGCUCUUGUUGAUCCUGCUGGUCUUACUAGUUGCCAAGGCUCUGAUCUUGAUCACUGAAGCACUCUUGUUCAUUACGAAUUACUCACCGACUAAUUCCGAUCAUCGAUCACAAACAUAUGGCAACAAACAUACACGAAGCAAACAAGGCUACAAUUAGAACAGUACACCUAUCAUAUAAAAACAGUAUGAAAAGUUUAUAAAAAUGUUCUACGCAGCGCUACGAUCACAUAAACGUAAAGUUCACGAAAAUCGGAAUUAGGACGAAGAAGUUAUGAAUUUUCCAAAAUUUCCUAUAGAUAAAUAAUUAAUUAAAUGCUACUGCAGAAUUAAAAAGUUUUCAAAACAGUAAACUAACACUUCUAACAUGUAGAGCUCGUGAUUAUGAACCUAAGAAUGGACAAAAACGGAGUUAAAACAGAGAAAAUAUGACCUAAACAUGCUAUCGUAUUUCCAUUGUAUUCAUAGAUUUAUUUUUCUAAAGGAAAACGGCAAUAAAAUUCACCUGCGUCAUCACGAUGUCACGAUGAGGUCAUCAAGCUAACAAUUGACCUCUGCUACGUAUGGCAGCGUUUCUGCUCUUGCACGUCUCGACUGAUCGGAUCGCUAGCAGGUGCAAGGAGCAGUUGGUAGCGCUCGUCUCUGUUGUGAGAUAGACACGGUGCUGUUGAAGUAUGGAGCAGAAGGACCGGCGCGCCACGGUGGCUGCCAUGGCGAGCGACAAGGAACUCGUCGGAGUUACACUGAAUCAACGUAGGGAUCUUGAAUUUCAAUGAAAAAAAAUACCAGGAAUACGAGGAGCGAACAGCAAGCUCACCUAGGGCUUUAUCAGUGGCGAAGAAGGCACGGCGAGGUCAUGGAACUUGGCGAGACAGACACCUCUCCUCCUUAGUUGUGAGUUGGGUAGCAGGCCAGCUCGAUGCGAAAAGCUGCUUGGAGUUCUGGCUUCUCUGCAGCAGUGGGUCGGAGGGGUCGAAGAGGCGGCAAGCUUCGGCAACAACAAAAGCUCUCGGCGACAUCCACAAGCGGGACGUGAGGCAACGCUAAAGCGGCGGCACGAAGUUGAGGCGAGGCUGCAACGUAGUUAGGGCUUGGAUGGCGGCUGCUGCACUAUUGGGGAAGAAGAACUUGGGUUUUAUAUGGAGGCGUAGAUGUGGGGAGCACGUAGAAUUGAACGAGCAUCAGGAUCGGAGCGUCGGGAUUUCGCCCUGGUGGAGUCCGGUUCCUCUACGACUUGGGAGAGGAGAAGACAAUGACAAGUGGGACCAUAGCGUCUGAGGGAGAGGAAAAUGAGCAAGCUAGCGUGCGUCCAUGGGGCUCAGUUAGGCCGUUGCGUCAGAAGCCCAUCACGUCCGAACAGAGAGAGAGGAGAAGAAUUUUUUUUUUUUCCUUCUAAAUUUUCAAAGUCAUUUUCUAAUUGAACUUCAAAUCGAUUUAAUUUUAGUUCAGAACCACUCAUCACAGUAAAUCAAAUGCAAAGGCAUGCAUGCUCAAACAUGUUGCUAACCACUAUGGUAAAUUUUAAUUUUUUUUUUAAAAAAAAAAUAUUAUUUCUAUGUAUUAUGAGCACAAAAAAAAAUACAUUUUUAAAUCAAAUUUCUCCUAUUUUGAAGACUUGCAAAAUUUAGGGUGUUACACGGAGCAGCCCCACCCCCACGUCAAGGGCAACAGCGAAGUGGUUCCUCAGGUGAUCCAUGUGUUCCCUCAACUUGUCCUAUAUCCACCUUUAUUUUUCUCACCAAUUCAUCCACCAGUGAUGGUGCCGCUCAAGCAGAGAUGACACUAGCAUGCCGGCGUUGGGGAUCUGUGUGCCAGGGUUGAGGGUUGAGGGAACCUGACUGAAUUCUAAUUUUCAGGUCAAUACACGUUAUAGAACAUGGAGAUGUGGCAAUUGUGUGGUAAGUAUUUGUGCCUAGUGCUAGUUGCUCAGAGAGGAUAGAAAAUAAGAUUAAGAUAAGAAAUUUAGUGUAUUUGCUAUGAGGGCAAUGCACUGCUUAUAUAUUAUUCUAAUCUCUGUAUAACUUUUGUGUUUCUUUUUUAGAUUAAAAGAAACCUUGUUAAUUAGAAAUGCAACUGGGCUGCAACUAUCAAACUUGAUUGAGAUAUGCUCGUAAUGCUUAUUAUUCAGUACUUGCCUAAUGGAAAAAUUCUGAGUUUAUGUAAUCGAUAUAACCUGUUGUGCAAACUGUUAAUUGGAUCCUAUUAAAUUAGUGAACUUUGCUUCUUGCUCAAUAGCUUAGGUCUAAAUUAUUUGAUCCUAUUUUGUACAUGUAUUGUAUAAGAACAAUUAUUGUGUUCAGCUGCCGUUAAAAAAUUAUUGUGUUCAGCUCUGUUUUAUGCAUGAGCAGGAGCGCACCUAGAGUUUCUAUAACAGCAUCAGUUCAGCUGUAUCAUUUUCUUCAGAGCAUCAGUUUAUUAUGACUAGAAAAUCAUAAUUUUCUUCAGAGCAUAGUGUGACUAGCACCAGUUCAGUUGUAUCAUUUUCUUGUUCAUUUCUUUUGUUUUUGUUGGAUUGCAUGCUCUGUAGUCUGCUUUUCUUCCAGAGCCUUUUAAUCUUUUGUCACUCUGCAGUCUUCGAUGUGUCUUCAGUUUUUGGCGAUGAAUCAAGGGUCCUAGAUGGGGACUCUGUUGAGUUCAAAGUGGAGGAAAACAUGAAUGGUAAUGGGAAUAAAGAAAAGAAAAUAUCUCAAAAGAUCAGUACAGGUGAUGGCUCCCCGUCUUGUUACUGCUCUCAAUAAUAAUUGCUCUUCAGUGGUAAUCUAGAAUAUUUAUUUGAAAUUUCUGUUUAUUUCUAUAUUUCACGGUUUUUUUGCUUUGGGUUAGCUAGACACUGCAUUCUAUGGUUGUGCAGUUUUAGUUCUCUGCAUUCCUUAACUAAAAUAUAUUAUUUACUAGCAGUAUCAGUUUUCCUUUGUGCUCUGUAUCAUGUCAGUACACUUGUAGAUCACUCAAGAAUCAGCUUAGCUAUCAGUUUAGUUUAAAAGCUUUAACUAUAGCUUAAACUGUUUGCUUGCCUUGGUUCAGUACAUAGAAAAAAUGGUGAUGCUGCCAUUUGAUUGUGCUGUGUAUAUGCAAUUUUGCUGCUUGCUUUAAAUUAAUUAUAAGCCAUACCUGAACAAUCAUUUAGAAUUUCAGUUUAGUAAAUAAUUGCAGUGUCCAGCUAAUCGACUUAAUGAUGCUUCUGCCACUUUGUGCCACUAGUGAUAUAAAUUUUACAAACUAGCCGUGCUGGCUUUGCAUCUGUUAACCGACAGCAGCAACUUUGUGAGUGCAACCAUUUCAACUGGAUAUGUUUAAAUUGAUAGUUGUACCUAAUACAUUUUAGCUUAGGCAGCAGCUAUCUAUUAAGUUAUCUAAAUCACUAUUUGAUUGAAUGUUUCUUUUUUUAUAGUUUUCAGGAAGGGAAUCGGUGGAUAAACAAUAUUAGAGAAAUGUUUGACGAAGGAGCAUCAUUCCACUGAGGCGGCUGCAUUGCUUAUUGGCGGCAUGGAGAGACAAUUGUUGGCUGUAUAAAUUAGUCUUGUUUUUAAAUUGCUUCAUCAUCAAUGUGUAAAUAUUUAUAUAUGUAAACAUAUUUGACCAAAUGGUUGUAAAUUUAUAAUUAGAAAUGCAAUAAAGAAAUGUCACCAUAUUUGUCAUUCAAUAAAUAUCUCAAAUUUCUUACAACAAAAAUAGAUGGGCUAGAUGUUGAUAUAAGCAUCCAUGUCAUGAUCCACAUAAGCAGUCUAGAUGAUGUGGCAAUUCAUCUAUGACGGUUUAGAACCGUCACAGGUAAUGGGUUUGGGCUGGGCUAACUAGGCCUUGGGCUCAGUUGUGACGGUUUGAGAUCGUCAUGAAUUCUGUUAAUCUGUGACGGUUUUAUGAAAAUCGUCACGAAGGUUAAUCCUUGACGCUCAAUAGGUGACGUUCCCUAAAACCGUCACAAAUGUUGCAUAGUGACAGUUUUUUUAUGAUCCGUGACGGAAAUUUUUCGUCGUGGAUUAGCAGGUUUCUUGUAGUGUUGGACAUUGGAAAUGCAAAGUUAUAGAAAAGGAAAUGCAUUCCCAUGAAAACUUGAGAUAAGAAUAAUGGGUUCAAAUAGUGUGCAUAGGAUAAGAUUCUCACGAUAUUAUGAUAGUUUAACCUUCGUUCAAAAAUAAAAUAUUCACUAACCUGGGCCUGGGAAUUCUUUAGCUCAUCUUUAUACUUUAGUAUCAUCUGGUAAUAUUUCAUCCUCAGAUCUUUACCCUUCUGUUUUACCCUAUUCGUCACAAAGGCAUUGUAUUCCAUUUUAUCAAAUGCAGAUUCCUCAUUUUUCUUAAACCAUUCGCAGAUCGCUUCUGUAAUAGCCAUCACAUAUACACCACAGUUAUAUGAGUCCUCCUGCUGUGGCACAGGGGCAUCACAGACAUCUUUGGCAAAAGCAGGGUUCAAUUCUUUUAUUCUUCCAGAAAUAAAUUUCGCCACUUCCUGGUUAGCUGGCCUUGGAGUGUCAUAAUGAUGGAGCAUGUGCCUUGUGUUGUCCAAAACUAACAAGCUAUAAUGGACCCUAGCAUCAGAAUCAUAGGCAUUCAACUGGUGACUAUUCAGAGGAAUAAAUACUAAUUUAUAUUGAAGCAUUCUUGUGAUACCAUUCUUGUCGUGCAUUAACAUUGUUGAUUCAGCUUGACUUAACAGUAGGAUCUUAUCAUUUCUGUAGGUGGUAGAGAGGAAGGCAAAUAUUCUCUGAAUUACACCAUCAGUUAUCCACCGUGUACCAGUAAGACUUUCUAGGUCUAUUUGCAGUGCUUUAAGCUGCGCAUCACUUAGUCCAUCUGUACGCUGAGAUGGUACAUUAAGAUUUUUUAGGUUUGUAAGCAGUGCUUGACGCCGUUCACUUAGUCCAUCCGUACGCUCAGAUGGUAGAUUUUCCUGCAAGAAAAAGAAAACCAUAGCACAUUUAAAGCUAUAAGACGCACUACAUGGCCUUGCUGGGAAACAAAACUAAAUCUGCAGCUUGAUCUUAUGGAUCAAGAAUCUACUUUCCAAAAGUGAGUGAGAUUAAGUAAUAUUUCUAAAACUCUAAGAAGCAAAACAGAAGUGGUAUUGCAUGCACUGAGUUCUUCAAAAGUGGCAUUGCUUACACUGAGUUAGCGUGAAUAUCCCUCAAACAAAGCUUUUCUGCAGAAGUAUUCUCUAGUUCAGUGGUAUUCAUGAUAGCUGGGUCACAGACAGCUUCAUGGUUUAGUAUCAUCUGGUGAUAUUUCGUCCUCAUAUUGUGAACUUCACCCAACUCUUUUACCAUGUCUCUCAAUUCAUGUGUUAAUUCCUCAUUUUUCAUAAACCAUUCACUGAUCACUUCUGUAAUGGCCAGCACAUAUACACCACAAUUAUAUGGGUCCUGCUGCUGUGGCAUAGGGGGCUCAUAUAUAACCACUUUGGCAAAAGCAGGGAUCACUUUUCUUAUACUUUCAGCAAGAGAUUCUGCAACUGCCCGGUUAGCUGACCCUAUAAUGUCAUAAUGAAGGAACUUGUGUGUGCCUUUCUUUCUGUUGUGCAAAACUAACAAGCUUAAAUGGACCCCAGCAUCAGAAUAGGGAUGCAUCUCUGCAAUUUUCAGAGGAAUAAAUACUAAUGAAAAAUCAAGCAGUGGUAAUCUUGCAGUAGCAUCCAUAUUGGACAUUGACGUCACUGACUCGCGUAACAAUAGGAUCUCCUCAUUUCUGAAGGUGGUAGUAGAGAAGAUGGCAAAUAUUCUCUGAAUUACACCAUCAGUUAUCUGCUUUGUACCAUUAAGACUUUCUAGGUCUGCAAGCAGUGUUGUAUGUUGUGCAUCACUUAGUCCAUCAUCUUUAUGCUCAGAUGGUACAUUUUCCUGCAAGAAAAGCGCAAUAAUGGCCUUGCUAGGAAACAAAAUUAAAUCUGCAGCUUGAUCUUAUGGAUCAAGAAUCUACUUUCCAAAAGUGAGUGAGAUUAAGUAAUAUUUCUAAAACUUUAAGAAGCAAAACAAAAGUGGUAUUGCAUGCACUGAGUUCUUCAGAAGUGACAUUGCUUACACUGAGUUCUUCAGAAGUGGCAUUGCUUACACUGAGUUCUUCAGAAGCCUGAAUAUCCCUCAAACAAAGCUUUUCUGUAGAAGGAUUCUCUAGUUCAGUGGUAUUCAUGAAAGCUGCGUCACGGACAGCUUCACGCACAGCAUCACUCAGUCCAUCAUCUUUAUGCUCAGAUGGUACAUUUGCCUGCAAGAAAAAGAAACCCAUAGCACAUUUAAAGCAUUAUGCGCAAUCUUCUGGAUCGAAUCUACAUUCCAAAACUGAGGAGUGAGAUUAAGUAAUAUUUCUAAAAACUUUAAGCAAAACACAAGUGGCAUUGCUUACAUCUAGUUCUUCUUCAAAAGCAUUCAGAUCCUUCAACCAAAGCUCUUUUGGUUUAGUCUUCUUUAGUUCAGAGAUAUUCUUCUUUUGGUGUUCACAUUCAGCUUCCAGCUCCUCUACCAUCACAAUAAAGUUAACAGUUGCCAUGAACAAGAGGUAGUCAUAUCCCCUUAUGAUUCCUUGUGCUUUGGCACCAUCCUGAUUCUCCCAAGAGGGCUUGGCUUGUUCAAAUUCCUCAAACUGCAUUUCUCUGAGCUUCGUAUGUAGGCCUUCUUUAUCCAUGUCAAAUAAUUUGAUUUCUCCAGUUCGAACAGCUUUAAUAAAUCUAACUUUGUUCUGUGCCAUUUUCAAGUCACGGCCAGCCAUUUCCACUAGCUUUUGCUGCAUAUUGACAAUUACUAAAUGUGAUAUCAAAUAGUCCAAAGAAUAUGUGCCAUUCAAUUAUUAAAUGGAAACGUACCUUUCUUUUCUCAUAAAAAGCAAGCCUCAAGGCAUAGAAUUCCUUAAGUACUGAAAUAAAUGACACAAUUUAGUUACAAUGCGACAAAAGAAAUAAAAAAUGGAGGGCUUGUAGCAAAAAGGUAGUACAUACUUUGCUCUGGACUGUCAUACUUUUAAUUAUGCCAUUUGAAUCCAACAAAUGCAUAUUUGAUGUUCCCAUUGAUGUUCUCAGUUCAAACUUUCUCUGAAGAUCUACUUCAUUGGCUCGUGCCAAAUUCUCAGAAUUCUCAUGCAAGUGUAUCAUAAUUUUAACAUCAUUGCCGCCUCUCUUUUUUUCAUAACUCUGUAAAAUUAUUAUGAUUAAAAACUAGUGGACAACAAUCAUUUCAUGAUUAAAACAUACUAUGUAAUCAAUUACCUUGAUGAAUUUGUCUUCUCCGUCCAUAAAAGUUUUAAGCUUCUUUUCAUAAUUCUCCAUCGAGAUCUUCACUGGGAGCUCACUUAUUUUUAGUGUAGUUUUGUCAACAACCUUUAUGAUACCACUAGCGGUAUAGGUAACACCUGAUUUCUUGGUCUUGGUAGUUUCGUUUUUGACACUCACUUCUCCCUGUUGGUUCAUGUUUAAAAAAUAAAACACCAACAUUAGACUUUUUAAGACAAAAAUAAAAACAGAAUUGUAAAAAAACAUGUAUUACUAACGUGGAAAUGUCUGAACCACGGUUUCAUUUCUUCCAACGUUUCUGAUCCCUGUAUCAUUAGUUUCAAAUUGUGUACAAUAUCUUUGGGAUUGUAACAAGGAAUCUUUGUGCUCCAUCCAGUACCAAUUCCUUCAGCUCCAUUGACUAAAAUCAUUGGAAGGAUUGGCAAAUACCUAAAAAGUGACAACUAGGCCUUAACUACUUAUUAUAAAGGUCAAAUUGUUGAGGAUGGAUGGAGCAAGUGGUGCCUAGUUAUUACCAUGAAGGUUCAAUUUAUUGCCCAUCUUCACACAAAUAAUCGAGCAGAAUAUCAUCAUUUUCAUUAAAUAUCCUGCGAGUGAUACUUGAUAACUCUGUGAAGAUAUAUCUAGCACUAUUAGCAUCUUUGCCUCCCUAAAAUGAAAAAACUAGCAUGAAUAAAAUGUUUAACAACAAGUUUUCUCAUAGUGGCUUGUUAACUCGCCUCUAAUCUUGUAUCAAAUUGCCCAUUGGGACGCUAAAGAUUGAUAUUGUUGCUUCCAACAAAAUCUUGAGCCAUUCUUACUAUUGUGUUUUAUAGAUUUUCUUCACCGUGAUGAUAAGCAGAACAUUCUGCCACAGACGCGGUGAACUGUGCCACCUGUGAUCAAGUAUUAAAUUAGCAAUAUUAUAAGGCUAAUAUAGAGAGAACAUGACACAUAAAUCAUAAUAUGGCAGCCCGACCAGAGGCUCAACCCUUUUCUACUUAUAAGCUAGGACUGAAGCUUUGGAGUGGAUAUGAUUCUCAUCAUCAUAGACUAUAUGGAACAAGCUUGAGAUUGACAACCCACAAGACAAGAGUUUCAAGCAAGCUAGUCUACCUUAAUAUAUUCAGGUGCCAGUAUACAUAAGGAAACUAAAACUAAAUAUAUAAUGGCGAUACAAUCUAAAGAAACUAUGGAAUACAAAAGAUCGAAGCCUACCAUAUUCUCGGCCAUAUGAAAGUGCAUCUAGCCCUUUGUGGGUUUUGGUGAAUUGAAUGACAACAUGAUUAAAGGUCUAAUAAGUUUGCUAAGUGUUGAACAGGAUAUUGAGUCUAUUGCACAUACUUGUGGAUUGUGUAUCAACAAGUAUGUUCAAGGCUCAACAAGCAGGCAAACUUGAUGAUAUGCCACAUAGUGUUGAAAUGAAGGCCAAAUUAUGUAUUGUUGUAUUAGAGGAUUAUGGAAACAAUCUAGGUCAAGCAAAAGACAACAAUGCAAAUAAAAUCUAUGGAAUGGCUUAUAUGCUGUGGGAUAUCAUAACAUCAUGAGAAAGCAAGCAUAUUUGGAAAAUGGCAAAUGGUAAAAGAGGCAUGAGUUGAUGUUCUUGGAUUGGUCUCUAUAAUGGCUUGCUUUUCAUGAACAAGAAAAGCUUGAUAGUGAACUAGGUUUGAUCAAGCUAGAAGUAUGAAGAUCAAGAUUGAAGUGAGUAUUGAGUGUCAAGCCAAAAUAGAGAGGAUAUAAGGAACUGUGAAUUGGCUUGACCAUAUUGAUGCUGAUCCAUAUAUGUCUCUAUGUGAGUCAAACUAAAGCUUGAUUGAUCUCAAUAUUUAUAUCUAGAAGAUAUUCAAGCAAGGAUCACAAUAUUGAAGAAAUGAUUAUUCAAUGGAUACUUAAUGUGAUAUGACUUGAGUAUGGCUUGAUAAGGUGAAGAUAGCAAGGAAAGGGCUUCGAGGGACUAAGCGGAGGUGAAGGGAUAAGCGACGGCUUAAGGACCGAGGUACCAUGGCUAAGGUGAAGAAGAGAGUACUUGCAUUGAGUCGAGGAACUAAUCAAGCUAUGAGAAGUCAUAUUGUGUUGAGGAUCAAAUCUUUAGUAGAAGUGACUUGAAGCCAUGGAGGUGAACUCAUAUGUGUUGAAAUGGGUCAAGUCACAUGCUCAAGGUGUGUUUGCUCAAGAAAAGGAGACAAAGUUGAUUGCCACCCUUUAUGGAGUAAUAUUGAGAAGAAAUGGCAUUUGAAGACAUUGAAGACUCAAGUGGUUAAAUUGGUUAUAUUCUUUUGUUCUUGAGUAUAGGUAUGCCGUACUAUCAAGGGGGAUGCAAUACGAAUGAUAGACAAGUCUCAAGUGCUCAAACUAACCGAACCCAAGUGCUAACUUGAGAGAAAACACUUAGCACUGCACCUGCACAAGUUGAUCUUGGAGCUUUUUCUCUGCAGGGUUGGAUAGCCCUUGAAACAAGCUUUCCGAAAAGUCCAAGAUCACUGCAAACGGAGUUCGGAGUAAAAAGUUAUGGCUUUUUCCGUAAGGUGACCUGUGCCUUGUACAGUCACAACGGCUAGUUUUCGAAUCCUAACGGCUAGUUUGAGUGGGAUGAGUAUAUAUACCCAUCCCACUGCUUCUGGUCGUGCUGCUGAUGCUCCAGACCUUCCCAACCUUUGCAAAGCCUCUCCCCAACCCUCUCUUUGUGAGAGUAUUGUGCUUAGUGCACAAUUUAGUGUUGGGGCUGUGUGAUUAAGUGUUAGAGAGCAUAUUAGAGCAAUCCUAACCUUGAGCACUUGCUGGGCUUCGUCGAUCUUCGUUGUGCAUUUGUUACUCUUGGAGGUGAAGCCUCCUAGACGGCUAGGCGUUGCCCGACGAGCUCCCGUGCUUGUGGUGAGCAGCGGGACAGUUUGUAAGACUCUCUUGCAGCUAGUGAAAUCACCCCUCACCUCAAGAGUUCAUUCUCUUGAUUUGAGAACGAGGGCAAGGCAAGCCUUGGUGGCGAGCCAAUCCUUUUGUGGAUACCUCAACAACGUGGACUUAGGCAAGCCUUGGUGGCGAGCUGAACCACGGGAUAAACACCGUGUCAUAUUGUGCUUGUUUUACAUUCUUGCAAGUUCAUAUUGUUGUUGAGGUGCUUGUAAGGUUUGUGGCCAAUCUACUUGGUGGUACUUGUUCUGCUGUGUAUAACUACUAUUUAGUGACUAACAUACUUGCAGGAAGCUGGGAAAUUUACCUGAUCUAAAUUUCCUUGGUUGGAUUUUGAAUUGUACUAAGUUCCUCCUGCGCAGGCCGGCAGUGCCGCCCUCCAAGGCCGGCAGUGCCGCCCUCUAAUCUGAUAGAGUUUUGAGUUGAAACUUUGCAGAUUUGUCAUUGGAUACCUCUAGUACUUCUUCACCAAGUUUGAGCUCAUUUGGACACUCGGUUGCAGGAAGGCAGUGCCGCCCUCAAAGGGAGGCAGUGCCGCCCUGAGUGUUAAUUUUAGUUUGAGCUAAAUUUUUACAGGCCUAUUCACCCCCCCUCUAGGCCUCCUCGACGACAUCAAGGUCCUUUCACCAUAGCGCCGACUAAUGUCAAAAUAUGUGGAAAAGAUUCAUAUUAGAAAAAACAAAUGAUAGUUGGGAUGCCAUACCUUUGUUUUCUUGUUCAAUUUUUUCUUAAAUGCGCUGAACAUUAUCUUUCUCUGCCCUUUUUUAAAUCCAUCUACCAUUGAUGGUAUAGACCGGUGCAUGUCUAAUACCAUGUAUAAUGUGAGCCCUUUCUUAAUGAAGUCAAGGAUUCUUAUCGUUUUCCCAGUUUGAGGAAGUACACUUUCUUCAGGAUGAAAUUUUUUUAAUCACAUUAAUGUUGGUCCUUAAAUUAACCUGAAUGAAUCUUUAAAAAGUAAUAUCAAGACCGACCUUGCAGUUAUGAAGAAAGUUAUAAAUCCAUUUCUUCCUUUCCUCCACAUUAUGUUUACUGAAUGCUGUCUUGAUAGCCUUAUCAUCUUCUUCAUUCACCCACACAAAACAUUUCAGAUGGAUGUCAAUAUCUUUGAAAUAUUGCAUCCCUUCCUUAGGUGUGCUCGUGCCUAACCCCUGUAUAUAUGAAAAAUGUCCAAUUUGAAGACCACAUAGAAAAAUUGAAAUGAUUAAAAUUUGUGCAAAAAAAACACACCUUAUUGUACUUUAUAGACCAUUUACUUAAUUCUGUCCCAUGUUUACUUUUCUCCCAUGCCGUAUACUCGUUUAGUGUAUAAAAACCUCACUUGGACAUUCCACUAUAUAAUCCGUAACCUAAACAAGUUUUAAUCCAUGACAUGGUAAGUUUUAUGAGUCUUAAUAACUGAAACCUUAACAAAAAAUGUUAAAGCAAGUAACAAGUGGCAUACCUUUACAAUUGGGGUUACUAAUUCACACAAAAAGGAUUUGGAUUUAAUCUUCAGAAGGGAAGGCCAAAAAACAUGAAAUAAGUUAAUGAUCAAUCCUUUAAUAUGAAAUCCAUCUGGAUCCUGGUCGGUUAUGACCAUAACUUUACCAUAUCUCAAAUCCUUCGAAUCCUUUUCAUCAUUAUAGUGUUUUUGUAGUCUAAACCAAUAAUCUUUCUCAUAUUGUUAAUUUCCUCAUUGUCCAAGAUGACGCAUCUCUCAUAUUCAGUAGCUUACCCUUCAAUGCAAGAACUCCAAAGUAGUCCCUAUGAACAGAACCUAGCGGCAGAGGAGAACAAAACUUACUCGAUACUCUUGUCAAUAUAAAAGGAACAUAUGUGCAAUGAAAUGUGCAAUCAACAGUUACUAAUUGCAGGGGAACUUCAAUAUAAGAAUAAGAACUACAUGGAAAAUAAUUUUUCUAACAUCUUCAUCUAAUCAUUAACACAUGUGUGCACAUAUGAAACUUGGGAUUCCCAAAUACAAGUCCGAUUAUAACCUUUUAUCCUAAAGACUCAAGUCCGAUCAUAACCUUUAAUCCUAAAGACUCAGCUAACUAAAAAAAAUCUGAAUCAAAACCUUUUUGCCUUGAUUAAACUCUUGGCUGAAAUUUGAGUUUUUCAUAAAAAUCAAGGAAAUUUGGGACAAACCACACUAAAUCACUAAAUCUGCCAUUGAUACUUGGUGUAUCAAAAUGGACUUAAUUAAUAAAGGGUUGGGGUCAAAGUCUAAAAGGUCAUACUAAAAAAUACAAGAAUUUGCUAAAAACGAGUUGGAGGAGUUAGAAAAACAGGAGGAGCUUGAUGUGCUCAAGCUGGAUAUAAAGUCUUCCAUUCAAUCUAAGUUUCAAGGAAGAGAAGGAUAUGGCAUAAGGGAUCUAAUUCUAUGUGGUUGUUGAAAGAUCAUAACAACUCUGAGUACUUUCAUAGAAUAGCUCAUGGUAGAAAGAGAAAGAACACCAUUUCUUUGCCUAAACCAUAAUGAGAUCAUUAUUGAGGGGGAUGCUGCCAUCGUGGAGCAUGCUUCUUAAUAUUAUAAUUUCUGCUAAAAUGUCUUGGGCACAAGGGGUUUGACAAGAGAUAGUGUGAACGGACUACUUCUAGCACUAAUAAGAUUGAUGUGGCUAAAAAGAGAUUCUUUUGGCAAGGUCAUUUGAAGAGGAAAUACCACUUGAUCAAAUGGAAUGAGAUCACUAAACCCAAAAACAAAGGAGGGUUUGGGGGUCACAGACCUAAGGAAAAUGAACAUCAGUCUCCUAUGUAAAUGGUGGUGGAUGGUGGUGGCUGAGAAUGGAUGUGGAAUAUGAAAAGAUAAUAUUAGGAAGAAAUAAGAAUACCAGUUUCUGACAUGAUACGUGGUGUGAUUAAGUCUCCUUAAAAGACAAGUUCCUCAAUUAUAUGAUAUCAGUGUUGAACAAAACAUUCUGUUUCUUUUAUGAAACAAAGAAGUCAACGUCAAGCAGCACGUGCCGAUCGUCCUUAGCCUGGAGUGCCCCAACUUCAACAAGUGGAAGGCGUUCUUCACCGCCCCCUGCGCUAAGUACGGGCUCCUUGGCCACAUCGACGGCACGCUGCCCGCACGUCCGGCUGAUCCUACAUGGUCUCAGCCCGAUGCCUGCAUUCGUGGCUAGAUGAAUUGGCUCAGUCGAUGAUCCUGUCCUUGACCUUGCCAUGGACGACGCCGACCACGACGCCCGCGCCCUCUACGUCUCCAUCGAGGCUUUGUUCCAAGCUAACAAGGAACCGCGCACCGUCAUCCUCGGCCAAGAAUUCCACAGCAUGUUCUAGGGCGACCUCUUUGUCGACGCCUACGCCCAGAAGAUGAAGCACACUGCGGAUGCCCUAUGGGAGGUCGGGCAUCCUGUCUCCAACCCGCAGCUUGUGCUCAACCUCCUGCGUGGUCUCAACCUCCGCUUCACCAACAUCGCCGACAUCAUCACCAACACGUCGCCGCUCCCCGACUUCCGGUCCGUCACCAACAUGCUUCGUGUCAAGGAGCUACGCCUUGGCAACGAGGGCAAGGAGGCUUCCACCUCAGCCCUUGCAGCCAGCAGCAUCUCCUCUUGCAUGUCGCCCUCCUGCCUAUCCACCUCCUCUGCCUCCAAUCGUGGCGGCGGUGGCAAGGGCAAGGGUAGUAAAGGCAAAGGAGGGCGCAGCGGUAACAGCAGCGGCGGGCAACGCAACCAGUAGGGAGGAGGCGGCCAACAUCACCAACAGCAGCAGCAGGUCCAGCCGGCCGGUUCCUGGGUUUGGUAACCCUUGGGCCGGCGCCUGGGCUCCCCCCGACCGCGCAGAAGCAGUGGGCUGCGCCCCUUGCCUAGCAGGGGCGCGUGCCGCCUGCACCUCCUCCACAGGCGCACACGGCCUUUGCGCCACCCUAGUACUCCUCUGGGCCUCCGGCGUACGCGCCUCCUAGCACCUGGGAUCCAACCGCCCUCAUCGUAGCCCUCAAUCAGAUGGUAGUUCAGGGGUUUGAUUCCUGGGUGAUAAACAGUGGAGUGACAUCCGACAUGUCCUCCAAUGACGGUAUACUUCUCUCCCUUCUCCCGUCACCACCGUCUUCUAUCACGGUCGGUAACGGACAAUCCAUUCCAGUUUAUAGUCAUGGCACAUCUCUUUUACAAUUAGCUGAUCGUUCUUUUCGUCUUGAUAAUGUUCCUGUCGCUCCACAACUCACUUGUAAUCUGUUAUCUAUUCAACAACUUACUCGCGACAAUAAUGUUUCUAUUGAGUUUGACGCCUUAGGUUUUUCUAUUAAGGAUCUCCAGAACAAAAUGGUCCUUCUUCGGUGCAAUAGCCACAAGGAUCUCUACACCAUUCCACACAUGCCUCCUCGCUGCCAUGUUGCUGUUGUCUCCCCGGAGCUGUGGCAUUCUCGUCUUGGUCAUCCUGCACCUGCCGCCAUCAACACUUUGCAUAAACUUUCAGCUAUUCAAUGUAAUAAAGCCGCCCAGCGCCUUUGCCAUGCCUGCCAGCUCGGCAAACACGCUAGGUUGCCUUUUGCUAGUUCACUUUCUAGUACAUCAGCACCUUUUGAACUCGUUCAUUGUGAUGUUUGGACCUCUCCAAUUUUGAGUAUUUCUGGCUAUAAAAUUUAUCUUGUGAUAGUUGAUGAUUUUACAUUUUAUUGUUGGAUAUUUCCUCUUCGUCAUAAAUCUGAAGUUCAUGCUCAUAUUGUUCAAUUUGUCGCUUACGCUCACACACAAUUCAGUCUUCCUGUACGCUGUUUUCAGGCAGAUAAUGGGACUGAAUUCAUCAACAAUGCCCCCGCUGCCUUCUUGGCCAGUCGUGGCAUUCUUCUCCGUACCUCGUGCCCCUACACAUCUGCUCAGAACGGCAAAGCUGAGCGCAUGCUGCGCACCUUGAACAACACCGUUCGCACACUUCUGAUUCAUGCAGCCAUGCCCCCAUCUUAUUGGGUGGAGGCUCUCUCCGCCGCUGUGUUUCUGCUCAACCGGCGGCCAUCCUCGUCCAUCAACAACGGUAUACUCUAUCAUCUUCUCCAUCACAAGAUGCCCGACUACUCCAUCCUUUGAGUUUUUGGUUGCUUGUGCUAUCCAAACCUUAGUGCCACGACUCCUCAUAAAUUAUCUCAUCGCUCUAUGGUGUGUGUCUUUCUCGGUUACUCUCCUUCCCAGAAGGUCUAUCGGUGUCUUGACAUUUCCACUCGCAAGAUCAUAAUCUCGCGACACGUCAUUUUUGAUGAGACUCACUUUCCGUUUGCGGCUUCCAAGCCCCACUCGGACUCUUUUGACUUUUUGUUACAGGACAUACUGCCCGCGCCUCCUCUGUCCACCUCAGACACCGAGGCCAUGACGCCCCUGGAGGAUGCCACUGAUGCCGGUGUGUUGGACUGGACCUGGCCAUUCUGUGGCAUGGCGCUGCCCGCCGGGUGCCCUUGGGUGCCUCGGCCCCACCGCUAGCCCCCUCCGCAGGCAGCAUGGCUGCUCCUGCAGCCGCUGCAUCACGGACAGCAGCACCGCCUCUUCUCCGUGUCUACACUUGGCGUCCUCGUCCGACUCCACCAGCGGCCACCGGUCCUACAGCUGCUGCAGCAGCACCGGUGGCGGCAUCGCCGGUCCCAGCUCCUCCCUCCCGGGAGACGCGAUCCCAGACGGGAUCAUUACCACCGCCCAUCCAGUGGUAUGGUUUCACUGUAGGUUCCAGGACGCUGGCUUCCCCGCUGCCCGCCAACUCACGUGCUGCUAUGGCGGAUCCUAAUUGGCGGGCGGCCAUGACCGAUGAGUACAAGGCGCUCAUCGACAAUGGCACCUGACAUCUUGUACUUCGACCACCACGUGCUAAUGUGAUCACCGGCAAGUGGGUCUUCAAGCACAAGUACCAUGUUGAUGGCUCUCUCGCACGUCACAAAGCACGGUGGGUCGUUUGUGGAUUUUCAGAGCAGUACGGCAUCGAUUACGAUGCAACGUUCAGCUCGGUUGUCAAACCGGCCACCAUCCAUGUCGUCCUCAGCAUCGCUGCUUCUUCAUCUUGACCGAUUCAUCAGCUGGAUGUGAAGAACACGUUUCUCCAUGGUCAUCUGGAUGAGACUGUCUACUGCCAAUAGCCACCUGGCUUCGCCGACCCGGCCGCCCCCGACCACAUCUGCCUCCUGCAAAAGUCCCUGUAUGGACUUAACCAGGCGCCCAGGGCUUGGUACCAGCGGUUUGCCGCCUUCGUUCAGCGCUCCGGCUUCACUGCUUCGGUCUUCGACACGUCCCUCUUUGUUUACAAGGAGGGCCCCGACGUCGACGACAUCAUUUUGACUGCUUCGUCGCCUGUUCUACUUCGGCGCAUCAUCCGGCUUCUUCACUCUGAGUUCGCCAUGACAGAUCUCAGGGAGCUCCAUCACUUCCUCAGGAUCUCUGUCACGUGGACCUCCGACGGCCUCUUCCUCUCCCAGCGACAGUAUGCUACAGACCUGCUCCAGCGUGCCGGCAUGGCCGAGUGUCACUCUAUAGUGACUCCUGUGGACACUCAGGCCAAGCUCUCAGCUACGGAUGGUGCUCCGGUGGCGGAUGCUACCAGUACUGCAGUCUGGCUGGCGCUCUGCAGUACCACACGCUGACUCGUCCGAACCUCGCCUAUGCCCUCCAGCAGGUGUGCCUCUUCAUGCAUGACCCGCAUGAGCCUCAUCUGGCGUUGCUCAAGCGUGUCCUCCGGUAUGUGAAGGGCACUCUAUCCACCGGGCUUCACCUUGGUGUUGGCGGCAUCGACAGUUUGACCGCUUACUCCGAUGCUGAUUGGGAUGGAUGUCUGGACUCUCGGCGCUCCACUUCAGGCUAGUGUGUCUUCCUCGGUGACAACUUAGUCUCUUGGUCCUCUAAACGACAAACUAUGGUUUCUCAUUCGAGUGCGAAGGUUGAGUAUCGUGUCGUUGCUCACGUUGUGGCUGAGACUUGUUGGCUCCGAUAGUUGCUUCAGGAGCUCCAUGCGCCCAUUGCUUCAGCACCGAUCGUCUACUGUAACAACGUCAGCGCCGUCUAUAUGACUACCAACCCAGUACAUCAUCGUCGCACGAAGCACGUUGAGAUAGACAUCUACUUUGUUUGUGACAAAGUGGCCUUGGGAUAGGUUCAAGUGCUCCAUGUCCCAUCGUCUCAUCAGUUCGCAGACAUCAUGACUAAAGGGUUACCUGUACAGUUGUUUACUGAUUUUAGGUCCAGUCUUUGUGUUCGUGACACUCCCGCUUAGACUGAAGGAGGGUGUUCGAAUAUAAUUAUAACAGCCCGUGUUGGGCUUACGGCCCAUUGGCCUUGUACUCCUAGACUGACUUGUAUUAGUACCACAUUGUAACUUGUAGAUGUACUGCAAGCCUUCUAGGCUAUAUAAUGAAGGUCGCCCCCCAUGGUUAGGGUGUGCGGUGUUUCUACAGCUACAUGAUAUCUUGUACCACAAUACUAAUGAUGAUUGUGAUAGAGCAAGAUGCAAGUUCCCUCAAUUAUAUGAUAUCAAUGUGGAACAAAACUGUUCUAUUUCUUUUAUGUAACAAAGAAGUGAGCAUCUCUCUUUUAGAAGAUGGCUCAAUUGAGAAGGUUACAUGUUAUCUUAUACCACAAUACUAAUGAUGAUUGUGAUAGAGCAAGAUGGGAGUGGGAAAAAUCUGGGAACUUCUCUAUCAAAUCUACUUAUAUGAAGCUAUGUAGGCAUGACUGUGGGCCUAACUUCAAACAAGUUUAGAAGGCUAAGAUACCUCUGAAAUAUAAACUUUAAAACAAAAAUGGAAAGGUGAUGAAUCAGGCACGGAGAAGGAAACUGCAAGUUUGGUGCUAUUUGUAGACCCAGCAGUUUGGAGCAAUUCUGGAAUUAGUUUAAUUGGAUUAAGUUUGGUGCUAAUUGUAGACCCAGCAGUUUUGCCCAAUUCUGGACUUGAAUUCAUUGGAUUAUACCAAAGGGUAAAUCUGUCUACAUUUUGGGCUUAGGCAACUGUUUGCUGGGUGCUGUGGUUAACUCCAAAUGCCACAUGUUUUGAUAACAAGAGGAUUAGACCUCCUAGUCAGAUCAUGUCUUAUGUGUUUUGACAACCAGACGUUGGAUAGUUUGGCACGCUUGGACAGGUGUUUUUGCUAGUUCUGCUGGUUGGUGAUCCCUUAGUGAUUAGCCUAGUGGCCAGGAUUAACUUUUUUUAUGUUUCUUAGAGCACUAAUAAAAUUUAGUUUUUAAACUUAUGUUACUCACAUGUUGUCAAUAAAAAAAGAACAUAAGUGCAAUCAAAUGUGCAACCAACAAUACUCUUGUUAAUAAAAAAGGAAUAUAUGUGACAAACUUAUAAUUGUAAUACUCACAGCUAGAGCUUUUGCUGAGUCUCCUUCGGUAAUAAUCAAAGUGCAUUUGUGGGAGUCCACUCCACCAACACGAGUUGCAUCCUCAAACUUCAUUGGAUUUGCUUCAAUGCUUUCAUCCUCUUCUUUAAGUGCCUAUGCAAGUGUCUCCUUUAAAGCACAUCUAAAUAUUUCUUUAAAGAUAAAAGAAUGUGCCACUGAAAUUUUUUUACUUCAUAUUCGCAAUACACAGGCAUCAAAGCAACAUACAACCUACAUUAUUAAGAAAACAAAACCACAUACCUUGAGCGAGAAACUACUCGAACUUAGCAUUUCUGAGAGCAGGAUCAAUUUAAACUUUUGCAUUAUCUGUUUACUUUAUAUUAGCAAUAUGGAGGCUUAUAAGAAACACAACUUACAUUUUAAAAAAACACACACACACACACAAUCACAUACCUUGCAACUGUGGUUCACCAUAAAAAAGGGAUAGUCCGCAUUUAUGAAGACACAUAAGUGGCUCUUCACAUCACUUGUCUGUAUCUCAAUGUUCUGAACAUUCUUCAUUUUCCUUUUGAUUGAACUUUUCAGAUGUUCUUCAACAUGUCUUGUGAUAGUAUCAAAUUGAAAUCCUCCCUCUAUUACAACACCAUUAACAAAGUUGAACUGAAACAAAUACAAAGAUAGUGAGUUGCAAAACAAACGCAGCCGAUAGAGAAUAUAGCCUACAUAACUUUGGCUGGGAACACAAACCUGUUGGUAUUGGCCAUUUAUGCUUAAAGUAAUACACACCUCCCCAACAAAGGCUAACUUUUGUUAUAAACUGAAAUGAAAUACAAUAGUAAAUAAUUAAAAAACAAACAUAUGGUUUUGUUUAUCCUAAAUGAAACUUCUAUUUUUAUAAAAAUUUUAAACCUUUUUGAUGUCUUCUUGGAAGGAGAUGGCAGGUACCAAUCCACAUAACUUGAAAAUUUUUUAGUGAGCAAAUGGCCAUCUAGAUGAACCUUUAGUUUCUGGUUGUUUCUUCUUUUGUAAAGUGCAGCCAGAUCUACCACCCUUUUUCUCAUAAGGGCUGUCAUAUCAUCUUGAAGGUCAUUACAGUGAAAACUCAAUGUGGUCCAAUGACACCCAUUAGAGCAUUCUGUGAUUUUAGCAUUUCUUUUCUUCCCAGGUUUGCCAUAAAAAACCUAAAUUUGUGUUGAAUAAGAUAUGAAAUUAGUGUUUAGUUAAGUCAUUUUUUUAAAAAAAUAAACUUACACCUUUUAUGCUACUACUAAUUUCUAAACUAAGUAGAGGUUAAAAUAAACAAUACACAUUAGGUGAGAACAAAAGUAGUAAACACAGGCUAUCAUAAAUCAAACAAUAUGACACAAAUAGAAAUUUAUACUUGUAUUAAAGUACUCCCUCCGUAUCGGAUUUAGAAGUCGUUUUGGACAAGGUUUGAGUCAAAUAUCGGGAAUAUAAAUCAUCAGUAACUUUUAAAUUGUUGAGUUUGCACAUGUGAAAAUUAUAUGAAUAGAUUUGUCUUGAAAAAUACUAUCAUAAAUGUAUAUCUAUAUCAUUUUGUCCUAAAUAUUUUAUAAAAAAUAAGAGGUCAAAGUUGUGUUUUGGAGACCAUGUCACUAUUCUAAACGACUGCUAAAUUCGAUACGGAAAGAGUAUAGAUUUAUCUACCUUUUAUCUAAAAAAACACUCUAGAAUAGACCCUAACAACAAAAUCAUACUCAAUCCAUCCAUCCCAAAAUAUAGCAACCUAGGAGGGGAUUGGACAAAACCUAGUAUUUUGGGAGUAAUUAACAAGGUCAUUUAAUGCAAAAUAUAAUUUGAAUAAGCCUUUAGUAUGAAGCACUGUACCUUCUUGCAUUUCCGGUCACGUGCAUUAAAUGUUGUGAUCACAAAUCUUAAAAAGAUGGAUGAGCCUUGAGGAUCCAUAUACUUUCUAAUGGAGGAGUUUCUGAGCAAGAGAGUAUCCCAGGGGUCGAAGUUAUGAUUUUCAAUUGGAAAGAAAACUCCAAAGCAAUGUUUGGAGAUAUAGCGCUUGUCCACUUUAAUGUUAACAUCCAGGUCAAUCUUUUCGUUUGUAAGGAUCUCUGUAUGCAGUUCUUGUUCAAGUUCAAAAGACAUUAAUAUCUCAUCAAAUAUAGUUUGUAGAAUUGGGAUGUAGUUGACAUUUCGAUGCAUCAUGGCAUGGCCAUUGUAAACCCAUUGCAUUUUUGUUUGCAUCUUUAAUAAAUUGUGCUUGUCAAGCACCUGCCAAUGAGAAAUUUUACUACAUUUGUGAGGGCUACGGAAAAGAAAUAACAAUAUGUGCCAAUGAGAAAUAUUACUACAUUUGUGAGGGCUAUAGAAAAGAAAAAAUGAUAUGUGCCAAUGAGAAAUAUUACUACAUUUAUCUGGAGGGGGGAGCUGCCGGCUCGUUGAUUGCUUGGAGAGGGGGUGCCAGCUCGUUGAUGGCUUCCCGCUGGCUCUGGGUUGCAUCGCCGCUCGCUAGGGGACGCUUGCGAGGGUGCAAGCCACUAGCGGUUGCGUCGUCGCUCGCCAUGGGACGCUUCAUCUUGUCAGCUUGGACAAAUGCACCGAGAGGGAAAAAUUUCCAAAACAGUAAGUGAGCAUUGUGUGGUCUAAUAGAACUUAAGCAAUCUGCAAAAAAACAACAAAACCACUUGAAAAGGGUUAAGUAUGGCCACGUGCUCGUAACAACGUUGAAAAUAUCUCAUGGUAGACAAUGUUCGUUUCAUGUGUCCACUCACCAUUCAUAUGCUCUAUCAAUAUCUAUAGAUCUCUUUGAGGUGACAUGUGAAACAGCAACAUACAAGCAUCGGUAAAUACAGGCUUUUUUGGGUAGUUAUCAGCAUUGGACAAUGCCUGCCCUUGGCUCCUAUUGAUAGUCAUUGCAUAUCAUACCUUAACUUUAAAUUGGCGCCUCUCUAGAACAAAGGGCAGAUUUGUAUUUGUAAUUGUUAGACAAAUCCUUGGAAUCAGAACAACAUGCCCCAUGUGUGUGACGGUCAUUAUCUAUAUAUGCUUCUAUUAAAAUAUUGAAGGGCUAUGAAUGCAGGUGCAAAGAAGAAAUGUGCUGUAACUGUCCACAUCUGGUUCCUAUGUCACGCUCCACUAUCAAAGAGAAAUGUAAAAAGUCUACAAACCCCUCUCAACUAUCUGGGUCUACUUCACCCCCCGAACUAUAAAACUAGAUAUAAGAGAAGUUUAAAGGGCCAAAGCACAAAACAGCGUCCUGUUUAUUUUAAGUGUCUUUAAUUCUAUGAUUUUGCCUACAUGAAUGCAACAGAUGAGGCAUUAGAGCAACCUCAAAAGCAUUGGAAAGUCAAUAUAUAUGCUCAAGGCGGAAAAUAAUUUAAUUUUUUAGGAAAAAAGAACGUCGGUGUUAUUUUUGUCAGCAAAAUGAAUAGGUAAGAAGUAAUUAAUCCUCAGAUUUGUUUAUGCAAAUGGUACUUUAUGAGCAUCACAUGUAGCAAACUGCAGCAAUCAGAACCAAUACUGGGACACAUCAGGUGAGCUCACUGAGACAACAACAAGCAACUUUGUUCAGAAUAGAUGGAAAACUGCAUUUUUUGAUAUAGUGUGAUGUGAUAGUGUGAUCAAAACUACGCUUUUCAAAAUUAAAGAAGCAUUAUGCAGCACUCACAUGGAGCACCAAACAAGAACUCAACAACUCGGUGUUAUAAGAGAACAUUCUACACUUAACCAUGCGCCUAAUCCUAAAAGGCCAGAAUACUGUUGCAUGGAGUUUUAAAAUAACAACUACUAUUACUUUAAAGUGGCACUACAGUAAUUGUAUUUGCAACUUGAGAUGCAAGUACUAACACCUGUAGCAGAAAACUAAAGUGAAACUUAUUAGAAAUUACCACCUAUAAUUCAGUGGACAAGGGUACCUGACCUAUUGAAACUUUGGAGGUUCAGUUGAGAUUCUCAGGUAAUCUUGUCAGUGUCAUUUUAAGUUCUGCUGGACCUGCACCAAGCAGCAAAAGUGCUUCGAGUAGAAAAAAGGCAAAAACUUUAGUAAGUUGACCGGCCACCUCCAUGUUUGUUUCAGUGCAGCUCUUUCUUUUUCCAUGCACCAAAGGACUAAAUGCUCUAAAUAUAUGUUUCAUGGAAACAUUGCAAGGGCAGCAUAUAGAUGUGUAGCUAUCACUAUUCAUCAGUUAUCCAUGAAGGCUAGAAUACAUCUGACUAUAUGACAUAAGUAUUUGAGGGGCAGGGGUAUUCACUAAGAUAAUUCUGUAGUACUGAUAUGAAGUAAUUAAGUAUGGAAAAAAAUUAAGUGUAAUACCUGAUUUUAAGGACAAAACCAGAUAUGCAGCAUAUGUGAGUCUUAAAAGUCAAUUCUCACAUAUAGCUACAAAUAAGAGGUAAUAUCAAUAGACAAUGCAUAAAUAUAUAACAUACUUAGUAUAAAAGAGAUAACCUUUGAUAACAAACAGCGGAUAGACAACUCCAAACUUUGGGUAUUAACUUCUCUCUACAGGAUCCAACUGACUGGUUGAUCACAAGCCAAACACUCCUCCUGAUGUAUGGGGGAAAUAGCAAGAGUGAGUCCAUGUCGAACUCCACAAGUAUAGCAACUAGAUUGUUUAGCUCCCACAAUCUCAUGAUCAAUGUGACAUAAAUAAUGUAAAUCAUUAAACAAUAAAUAAUGAACAUAUUAACACACAAGAAUCUUCACCCUUAAUGUAGAUGUCCCCAAGGCCACUCCUGACCGUGAGCUCGGCUAGUAUACUAGUUUUUAACACUCUGCAGAGGUUGUACAUCUUUACCCAUGAGUAAUGAUUUACCCUUUCGCCCGAGGUGAUCAGCCUCUUAACCCACUACCAAGGAAGGUCGGCAGGGAUCACUAUGAAGCCUUUCAAAAGUUCGUCUAACAUGUUAGGGCCACAAGGUUUCCCGGGAGCGCAGAUAUAGAUGCCCCCUUCCAAAUGGCACAAUGACGCACAACCUAUACACAUAAGGACAGAGGCUCGCACUAUACCCAAAACGGUUAGGCCCCUCUAACGCCCUUUCGGGUAACCGCUAACAAGCUAGAAAAGGUCUUCAUACUGAGCUAAAGCCAGAGUCAUUAUAGCCCUCAUGGUUGCACUGUUGUCCCAGGUGAUCACGUACAGAUAAAUCAUCAAGUUGCUAAAAAGUCAUUUUUAUCAUUUAUUACUUAACAUUAAUCUAGUCACAGGAUCAUGGUCACAAAAAUAAAAUCCAAAUGCUAUACUUGCCUUAAACUUAGAUCCUUCUUCUAGUCCAAACCAACUUCUUCUUGAUUGCCAACUCCUUAUGAUCACCAACGUACUUUCUCAUUGACUGGACAAGAUCAUAGAGCACCACACAAACAUCCAAGCAAUCAUACAUGAGUAAACAAUAGAAAUAAAUUAGAACAGUACACCAAUCAAUAAAAAGGUUUGAAAACUAAUCUACGUAUUACUAUGAACGAACACACAGGUGAGAAAAGCAUGCUAAUUAGAGCGCGAUGAAAAAGAAACGAUUACUGAGACUUUUAUAUUGUAUAAAAGAAUAUGUUUGUUGUUUUAUUUUGGUGAAACCUUACAAAUAAAUUAUUAAGACCAUAUUAAUUAAAACAUAAUUUAAUUCAAAAGCUGGGCUGAAGCUACUCAUGUUUAGUUUAUAAACAUUAUCAUAUAAUUUAAUCAUGUUUAGUACAUCCUAGGAGAUAAAUUAAAUUAUAAAUAUGGGAUCUAGCAAGAUUGCCACACCUUUAGUCCGCAGGUGCCUACAGCUUCUGUGGACACCGGACGUCAUGGCACCUGGGCCCUGUGUGUUUGCAUCUGUUCCGCUCGUAUGGCCACCCGUCAUGCGCGCAGUUGGCGAGUACGGAUGCGUGAGUGCUCUCAUUGAUCGCGCUUAGACAUACGUGCGUGAGUGCUCUCAUUCAUGUCGUGAUGCUUCUCAGGAGCUGACAACAUCUCCAUUAUCUAGCUGUUGUUCCCAACACUUCAGAAUUAUGACACCGGCCAACGUGCAUACUAUCCUGCAAUACCGAAGGAGAUAAUGAUCAGAUUAGUUUUCUCACCAAUCAUAGAGAGUGACGUGAAGCCAUCAACCAUUCUUGAUUCUUUGCUCCUAGUCCAGGUCGUCCUUGAUCCUAGCCCCCCAUCCCGAUGUAGAUGAGCUGUGAUCGAGGCCGCCGCUCAUCUCGAAGGAACAAUGCCGAUGGUGCCUUCUGUUUCGGUGGUGAAGACUGAAGACGAAGCCAGCACCGUCGGUGCGGGAUCAGGGAAGUUGACCAAGUGAACUUGAUUUGUAGGCCCAUGGUGAUAGCCAAUUGCUGUCAUACUUGAUCGAUCCUUCAUGGCUGGCUUGCAUAGAUGCAGGGCGGGGUUAGUCCUAGAGGAGGUGCGGCCAGUGCAGCUUGGAGGAUGAAGCUGGGCUAGGGCUGUGCUACGUGAGGUGUUUAGCCAAAAAAAAUCGUGUCGACGACGGUCUGCCACACAGAAAGCUCGUGAUGAUGGCGCCCUAAGAGAUUCGUAUGUAUAUAUAGGAAGAAAAACUCCCCACAUCAACCUCAAUUAGCAAUAUGGUACUAAUUGAUGUUGCAUCCUCCAUCUUUACUAAUAGGCCUAAAAAUAUUAAAGCCCAUUAGUAAAUAAAGGCAUGGGCUUGAGAGAGUCGUUGGAAAAUUAUGCUUAAAUUCUUUUUCUUCUAGUUUCGAAAUCAUUUAAUUUCAUAGAUAAAAUAAUUCUAGAAAAGUGUAGAAUUAUUAUUUAAGCUAUGAAAAAUAUUCCGAAAGCUCCUAAAAUUCGGUGAAAAUUCUACGAGACAAUAUGGAACAUGAGGAAUCCAAAUAAAGUAUUUGGAGCACACGAUAAGAUAAUAUGGAGCAUCUAAAAAUUAGAUUAUGCUCACAGAAAAGACCUGAAAAUUUUCUGAGAAGUUUGUAGAGAUUGCUUGAUGGACAAGAAACUGAAAGGAGAGACAUAGGUUUGAAAGAAAAGAUUCUGACAGCUGAACAAAAUCUUGAGUUGAGAGACAAGGAAUUUGAUUGUAGAAAAAGAUAAAUAUGUGCUAAAUAAGGAAGAUCGAUCUACUAAACGAAUUUUAAAUAUAUUGCUAUGAAUGUCCAUGACAUGUGGAACUUAGCAGAGGAUGAACCAUUCCAAUUGUCAAGUUGCUAGAACCUUGGGCACAAAAAGAUUUUUCACUCACCUAUGCAGGGAAGACUUGUUUUCAUUGUUCUCUAGGAUGAUGUGCUCGAGUAUAUUGCUAUGAAUGUCCAUGACAUGUGUGACUUAGCAGAGGAGGAACCAUUCCAAUUGUCAUGUUGCCAAUGUUGUAGAGUCUUCUCAAAUCAAGAGCACCAGUCAUACUGAACAACGCCAACCAACAGGCCAGCUAUAUUCACCUAAAAAUUUAUUAUGAAUUGCAUACGAGGCAAAAGAAACUAACCUAACAUUCAUAACAGAAUACCAAACGAGGAAAGGAUCCUUACUCAGAAUUCAGAAAAACAAUAAAAUGGGACAAUCUCUGGUUGUUGAAUGGCUAGAUAGACCUGUUUUUAAUUCGAGUGUUCCAUCCUAGCUCUCAUUGCCAUAACCAUAUAUAUAGUAUCUAUUGCAGCACCUAGGUCUAUCCCUGUUAUCUAAAAAUCGAAACCGUUACUCCAAAAGGGAAGAUCAAUUUUUAUCGAAUUCCUAUACUGAGUAUAUGGUUAGUAGGUCAGAUUAGAUCCUACUGGGAUAAGUAGGAGCUGCUGACAUAUUUGUAGGUCAUCUGUUGUGCAUACCCUGCUUCAAGGCAACAAACGGGAAAAACAUGAGUGAGCCUAGCAGCAGACAUAAUACGUAAUCAGAAUCAGAAAGCACUUCACAUGUGAAAAAAGGAAAGAUAGAAAAAGGGUCAUUUGGAUGCCUAUGGAUAAUAUGUAUUGAUUACUUAUCAUUGAUCGGACCAAAAAGAUUUCUAAUCAAUUGAAAUUUAUUUUGCACAAGAGGCUAAUGCUAUCCUGAUCCACACCAUUCUGUGCAUCUAGAAAAGAUAUGAAGGAAAGACACAACAGCCAAAAUGAAAGAAACUCACCAACACACCUUCCAAUCUUAUUAGUCUACGCAGAUCCUCUUGGUUGAGAUCCUACAUCACAUAGCAUAGAGGAAAGGAGCAUCAGCAAGCAUGAAGCAGAAGGAAGAUGUGCUCCAAAUUCCCAAGAACACAAUAUUGAAGAAUAGAGAGAAAGAAGUGUGUGGGUAAGAUCAUGUAACCUUGUUGUUUCCAUCAGGUAGAAAUAGUGUAUAUAGUAUUUUAAAGUUGGAAAUGCAGAUGUUUAAUUAUUGUACUGUGAAAUAUGUAAAUUUAAGUGUAAGGAAAAGCUGAAGUUUAUUACCUGACCGAAGAUGUGUAAGCAUGUCUAGAUACAUGUGUUGGUUGUCUAACACUGAAAAAUAGAAAUAAUCUAGGAAAUAAAAUACGAUAAUGCUUUUAGAUUUGCAGCUGUUUAAUGAAGAUGUGUAAGCAUGUGUACAUACAUGUGUUGGUUGGCUGACACUGACAAAUAGAAAUAAUCUAAGAAAUAAAAUAGGAUAAUGCUUUUAGAUUUGCAACUGUUUAAUCAGCAUUAGACUGCAAAUAUUACCCAGGUGAGAAAUUCUGCAGGAGUCAUGUUUAGACUAUUUGAGCAGAACCUCUAAAGAACCCUACAUCCUCAAGCACAAGUGUCGUGUAUCAGUGAAAGGAAUUUCCAAAACGUCAUGAAGGUACAAAUGAAGCCAAAAAUGUUACAGGGCAGCAUCACCUAGAGAGCACGGACCGAGCAGAGGGGCAUAGAAGGCAAGCAAACCACAGUGCACUAUGUUACAUCAGGCUGGACUAUGGGCAACCACCCGUGCUGGCGUGUCAGCCGAUUCAGAGGUCGGAACUAUGCCGGUAUGUUACCCACACCAGGGUCGCUGCCACCAACGGUGGGGCAAAACCCUAGGUCACCUCAUCACCACCGCCACCGCCGCCACGUUGGGCCCCGCUGUCGCUCCGUACGUCACGCGUGGGGGUGUGGAGGAGAACAAGGGCUGCGGUCAUCGUUCCGAGUGGCAGCCAUUGUGGAGGUCCACUUGUGCCACCACCCUGUCUGCAUUGGAAGGGAUGGGGAGAGAGAGAGAGAGAGAGAGAGCGGAAGGGAAGAGACUGUCGAGACUUAUACGCACCGUGGACGGAGAAGGAGGGGGCUAGCGUUGCGCUGGCUUGGGGCGUUGUCGUGCCGUCGCCCCUGCCUCGGCCGCACCGCCUGUGGGGCACUGUCGUCGUCGCCUCCACCUCGGGCUAGAGAGAGAGGAUGGGGAGGUCGUGCUAUUUUUUUAUGAGAGGUGGGAAGAGCGCUUGAUGUUUUUGUGGAGGCCGACGUGGGCUGCUCCUGGCCACACAAAGGGAAUCAGCCAAUCAGGCUAAGAUGGACCUUGGGAGGGGGAGGAGGUGAGGUGGCAUUGAGGUGCACCAAUGGCAGAUUUGAGGAGACGUGGCUGGGGUGGCGACACCGGGAGCAACUUAGAAUUGUUAGGGUAAAUUAAUCCAAAGAUUUUAGAAAUAAAAAUAAGAAAUUCGCAAGAUAAUAGAAGUGUAGUAGUUUCGAAAUUUAUACUAUACAAUCUGCAGUAACUGAAAACUACGUGGAAUUAUUUGCAAGCUAGUAGCAUGGAAAAACUAACCAUUUCAUGAAGUCCACAAUAUUAGCAAGGCAAAAUUGUAUCCAAAUCAAGUUGGAUGGUCAAAGUUGCAGAACAAGAUUCAGGGCCAAAUGAACACCCUCCUUAGAAUUUGCAACAUCUGAGUUGUCUGCUACUUGGCUAAAUCAAAUUGAACAAACAUUGACGAUGUUGCUUAUCUCCUUGCAGUGACAAGAAUGAGGGGACAAAGGGGAAGCAAAAACAAUCCUCAGAGGAACUCAUAGCGGUGCUUAUCUCGUCCUAGGGUUUAUUGGCAAACCAGUAGCAUGAAAAAGUUAACCCUCAAGACCCCACAACAUUAGCAAGGCAAAUUGAUAUUCAGAGCAAGUUGAAUGGUUGAAGCUACAACAAUUAGGUAUAAGUAUAAAUUGCUUUGUGCCUCUAUUUACCUUACAUAGGGAGAACGUAUAGUAUGCACAAAAGAAAUUGAUGGCAUCUCUUGGAUGAAGAUAGAAACUGAAGGUUUUACAUGGUACUGAAAUUAUGAACAUAUCCAUUUUAUUGUGAUUGCUGCAGAAACCAAUGUACCACAGACCAGCGACUUUCAGCUGUCUCCAAACACUCAAAAUUAAUCUCAUGCAUACCGAAGGAAAAUAUGGCAAUAGGCUGGUCCAAAUUACAUACCAAAUAAAUAUACAGCCUACUGGUCUGAAGAGAACACUGUGAUUAUUGAUGCAACCACAAGACUGGAUAGAAAAGGAUGAACAAUGUUUAUUCUUAUGAAGCAACAGGCAAGCAUCAUCGAUGGUGCUAAAAAUGUGAACGGAAACAUUAAUUGUGCCAAAAUAAAAGCAAGUACUGCAAAAGAAAGCACAAAAUUGAUGCCCAAAAAGUCAAAGAAAUAGGAGAGGCAAAAGUGACCGUACACAACCAAAGUGUAUGGCAAUGUAAUCCUUAGAAAUAGGGCAUGUGCUCAGAAAUGAUAGUAUAUAAUUUGGCGUCACAUGCAAUGAUCAUAGAUAAUGAACACGCAAAGGGCAAAUCAUUAUAUGUAAUUGCCUGAAAACCACGGAUCUCAUAAGUAAGAGUGAAUCCAGCGGUAUAGUAUGUGACUAAAUACACAAUAAGCAGUAGCUCUCAUUGGUGCAUUAAAACUGCACAAAAUAGAACAGCCCGGAAUGAAUACAAGGAAACAGAAUCAUCCAAUUGACCAUUGCCUUUUGUAUUAUGGGACAAGCACAUGAAACAAAAACAUAAUUUCAGGUCCAAUCAUCAUAGCAGUUGCCUUAAUUUUGAACGCAACAACAAUACAAAACUGUACUCAUCACUGCACAUGACUGGAAUGCAAACAAUAAACAUAAGAACAUCAGUGCUAUAGUGGUGUCACACAAAUGUCACUGAUACGCUCAUGUGCUCAGAUCUCGGUCAUAAUACCUCUCUGCUCUCAUAUCCAGUGAAAUUGAGCAGCUCACGAACUACAGAACAAGAAUCUGAGAACACCAUAUCUACGACAAAAUGGAGCUCUCGUUCAUGCAUAUGGCACAUCAGGAGAGAGGGGAGGGAAAGAGAGGGGAGGGGAGUAAACCAGUGAGCGGACAGAUCGAGGGAGAGCAGAGCCGCGCCGACUGUCUGCAAAGAGCUCGCACGGACGGGGUAGGCGGCCAUGGCGCCGGCCAUGGCCGCCCGUGCCACGCUGCCGCACAGGGCCAUUGUUGGGUAUUUUAAACGCAAAUAGAAAAAUCCGCAAGCGCACGGAUACCGAUGUAGCUUUCACCCGGGAGUAUUCCAGAGUAUCGAUUUUCCACAGGGAACGUGAGUGUACUAAUUAAGAUUCAAGAUCGCCCAAGGAUAACUAUAUAAUUAUUUUUGGUGGGAAGAGAGGAAGUUUCCUAAGAGUUCUCUAGUUCAUCUAAGAAUCAAGAAUUACUUCAAGAUUAUUUAUUUCGGGACAUCAGAGCACUAACCACAGAAAGAGAUGAGAAGGGGGCUAGGAAGGUCUGACUACGAUCCUACAAACACCGAUCCGAACGAGGUGGAAUACGUCGACCGUUAGGGCUGUCACUACCCUAAGGCUACCACAACAAUCCGCAGGAUUGGGUGCAAUUCUAGGUAAUUGCAAGACUAAACACCACGUCUAAUCUAUUAAUUACUACUCUAAUGUUGCAAAGAUUAGAGCACAUGAUGCAAGCAGGAAUCCAAUAAAUAACUUGAAUGUAAAUAAAAGUAAUUAAAGAACUCAGGAAUUAUGAAUUGAAGAACCUGGAGAACGAUGAAGAACGAACCAGUUGCUGCAAAAGUACAAUGUUGAGGAAGAUCCGAUAGAUCCGGCUCCUCCUCCGCUCUCCUCUUCUCUCUACCUAUUUUCUAGAUUACAACUAGAACUAACUAGAACUAGAACUAGAGGAACUAGAACUAGAACUAGAUGAACUAGAACUAGAUCUAGAUGAACUAGAGGUAGAACUAGAAGAACUAGAGGGAUCCUCUCUACUUGGAUGAAGAAUUGAAACCCUAGCUUUGAUUCUGUAGAAGAGGUAUGAUCUCCAGGGGCCAGGGGGCCUUGCUUAUAUAGUCUUUUCAGAUGAAUCUGGGCCGUCAGAUCAAACCGACAUUGAUUGAAUGGUUAUCCUUGAUCCUUUAGGUUGGUGGAGCAAUAUCCCGAAAGAGAGCCCUGAUUGGACUCUAAGUGAGGGCAGGCGCCCAGGAGAGUAGGGCGGGCGCCCUGUCCCUGAGUCCUCUCGGCUUCCCGUUCGUUCCCAUGGCUUCUCGAGUCUUCUAGAUGAUAGAAAAUUGUGCGGCAUGUUAAUAUCUCUAUGUAAACCCGACGUGUGGGCCUUUCCUCUGUAUUUCCUCAUAACCCCCUGCAGAAAUAGACAAACACCAAAACUUGUGGAAUUCUGUCAGAUAAAACCCUAAGUCUAUGUGUUAGUUGCAUUUGGAUCCUUUUCCAUGAUUAGUUGAUGGUUAAAUGUGAGCAUUAAGGACCGUCAACAGUCGUGCGUGUCGGUCGCGCCACACCGUGCCGCGGGGCUCGCCCGCGCAGGGGUGGGGGGAAGAGAGGGACGCUGUCGCCUCGUGCACGUCGCCGCGACUGCCUGCAAGGAGCUCGCACAAAGGGGGAGGGCAGCCGCGCCCGCCAGCAAUGGCCGCCCGCGCCACGCCGCCGCAUAGGGCCACGUGCGUUGGCCACGACACGCCGUGCCACGGGGCCCACCCGUGUGGGAGUAGUGGAAGGGAGGGACACCGCUGGCCUCCUCCUACGCCAUCGGGUCGCGCACGUCGCAGCGGCAGCCUGUAAGGAGCUCGCAUGGAAGGGGAGGGCGGCCGCGGCCGCCGGCGACGGCUGCCCGCGCCACGGCACCGCGCAGGGCCACAUGCGUCGGCCGCGCGACGCCAUGCCGUGGGGCCCGCCCGUGCGGGAGUGGAGGCAGGGGAGGGAGGCUGCCGAGCUCCGCCUACGUCGCCGCCUCACGCACGUCGCCGCCUCGGGAGGGAACGAGAGAUGGAGAGGGAGAGAGAGAGGAAGGAGAAAUAGGAUAAGAUGGGAGGGCAGGGGAGGAGAUAUUUCUCUAUUGAAUCAGGGAUGCAGCGUGGACUGCUACAGUGACCCUUUUUUUCCUCAUGAGAAGCCGUACGAAGUAUAAGCAUCGGAGUGAAAUGUACCACGCCAAGCCGACAGCGCUUCUCCUCCAGAGCCGGUGUCCCUCUCCCAGGCGCACUCCAGCAAACCCCUCCACUAAGCAAAACCAUAAGGCAAAUGUGAGUACGAAGAACAAAAAAGGAGCAAGCAAGAACAAAAUUAGUAAGUAAAAAUAAAUUCUCCAACAUAGGUAGCAAACCCCAGCUGCUCCGAUGUAACCCACUGUUGCGAUAGAUGAACACCCGAGAAAAGCCCCAAUGUGGCAACCAAAUCCCAAUGCACCCCGUGGCCGAGGCAGUGGGCCAUCCAGGGCGCCCCAGCGCCGCGUCCGCUUGCUGGCUCAGCCCCAAAGCCCGCACGCCCACCCAAUAAAGCGCAGGGAGGAGAAGACAGCCCACGCCCACCCAAACAAGCGCAGGGGAGAAGAACAUAGAGCCCUUGCACCCGGUACAUACGCAACGCGGAAUGAAAAAGCUGCCGGGUUGGGCCGGGGCAUGGAAGACGGAAGCGGUACCUGAGCUCGAUGUGGCACGGAGAUGGAGCUGGCGGAGGGUUGAGGCCGGCCGCCGGCGAGACAACGGAGGCACCCGCAACGGUGGAAGGCGGGCAGCAGCUGCGGCGAGUUAGCGCGCGGCCGAUCGAUCGAUUGGGGUAAUCGGGGUUUUGCCGCAGUGAUGACAGGAGGCAGUGAGCAGCGAGGUAGGCAGUAGGCACGCGUGUCGCAUAAGCAGUGGGCUAGUGGGUGUACAAUAAAUGUCAUUUUUUCCCUUUGUGUUGGUUGCUCUUUGGUACGGUACCGCUCCCGCAACGGGGGAAGGCGGGCAGCACCUGCGGCGAGGCAGCGCGCGGCCGAUCGAUCGAGUGGGAUAAUCGGAGUUUUGCCGCAGUGACGACAGGAGGCAGUGAGCAACGAGGUAGGCAGUAGGCACGCGUGUCGCGUAAGCAGUGGGCUAAUGGGUGUAUAGUAAAUGUCAUUUUUGCCCUUUGUUGGUUGCUUUUUGGUACGGUACCGUGAUCAUCAGCGGUGGGAUACAUAUUUUUUAUAGCAUAGUGUCCGUACGUUGUUAUAGUUUUAUUUAGAUAUUGGGCCUGUUUUUGAUUCCCCUUGCUAAAGUUUAGCUAACUAAAAUUAUUUUAGCUAUUCUUGGGUGACUAAUGGAACUAAAUUAUGUUAACUCUUUUUAGUCAAUGUGUUUGGAACUUUAGCUACUAAAAUGACUAUAGUUUAGCUAGCUAUAAUUUAGCGAGAGAAACCAAACAGAGCCAUAUUUAGGCCUUGUUUCCUUGUAAAAAAUUUUGCAAAAUAUGAAUAGUAGCGUUUUCGUUUGUAUUUGGUAAAUAUUGUCUAAUUAUGGACUAACUAGACUCAAAAGAUUCAUCUCGCAAAUUAUAGAUAAACUGUGUAAUUAUUUAUUUCUUUUAUCUAUAUUUAGUGCUCCAUGCAUGUGCCGUAAAAUUCAAUGUGAUGGAGAAUGUGAAAAAUUUUACAAAAUAUUUUGGGAACUAAACAAGGCCUUAAUAAAACAAUUAUUUUAAACAAAAUAACAAUAUAUUUUCUUAUUUUAUAGUCUCAGAUAAUUACAUAUGAUAAUUAAUAUAAUCAUGACUAAGAAAAAGAACAAUAAAGACAUGUCUCAUAUAUUUAUACUAUAAAUGAGUUCUUAAUUGCUUAGUAGAUCUCAAAGCUCUUCAGGGAUAAUGUUUGCACAUUUUGAUUACUUUGUAGAAUGUCCACCAAGCAUUCCGUCCUCAGCGAACGUCCACUCUGUGAAUGCCAGAUAGUAAGUUAACUUAUUAAUUUGCUAUACACUAUACAAAAUUUACAUAGAGGAUAUAUAGUUUAUAUGCUUACAGGGUGGAUAGACAAUCUUUUUCCAUCCUACUAUUUUAAAUAACUAUAUACAAAGAAGCGUGGCAUUUCCCUAGAGAAGAGCAAGUGUUUAUUUGUGUUAGCUAAAUGACAUAGAAUAAUAUUACUAUAUAAUUUAAUUAAUAAUUGAGAACAUAAAUUAAGAAGAUAUUACUACUACAUAUUAUUUGGCCAAGUAAAACAUUUGUAUCAUGGUGUCUAAUUUAACCCAUUCGGAUGCACAAACAAAGAAUAUUGCUCCAUUAUUACCUUAAUCAAGUGUCUUUGAUAUUGCUCUAGCUUUUUUCAUUGCACAAUAUUCACAUUGCUUCCUAUUUCUUUCAUCUCUUUAUUCAGUGGUUUCCUCGGCCCUUUUACGGGCGCGGUAUUCAAGUUAUUUUCUAUUCCCUCUUCCCUCUUUAUUCUCUCUUCAUCUGCCAGUGAAAUAUAGUGUGUGUUAUUAGUUUCAGAUUUUGUUUGGGAAACUAACCAAUAUAGAUGGUCGCGAACAUACCAUGUCCGAUAGUGUUUGAUAUAUCGUAAAGUGUAGGGUGGGUUUGUCGUCGAUCCCCCUUUAUAGACCUGUAGCAGGCCCAUCGAUGAUGGCGUUCAUGUUAAUAUACAAUAGAAAACACAAAGCAAGUAUACUUAUUGCGUUCAUCAUGGCGUUCGUCGUCUGGCCUAGUGCGUCAGCGUUUCCCCCUACGUGGCGCCCCUAUCCGCGUUCGACGUCGUGCCCUGGCCGCGAUCCGGUGUCGCGUCCUGGCCGCGCGCCCGUUUGUGAGCCCCUGGCCGCGCGUGUAGUCAGGCGGCCAGGGCGUGGAGUCUUGGCGGUGCCCCAGCGACCCUCUGGCCGCAAGCCCCUGGUCACACGCCCCGUCUGCCCUGGCAAGCCCCGGCCGCGAGCCCUCGUCGUGGACAGGAGAAUGCGAACAGAGGGAAGAUACAUGGUCGUGCGUGAGAGGGAGGUGGGUGCGUACUGAGGGAUGAAUGAGGUGAGUGAUGAGUUUGAUCCAAGCAUUUAUGACCGUUGGAUGUGAUUGAGUUAGGGGAAUGAGAGAUUAGAGUUAAUAUUGUCCCUUGAUUAUGGGAGAUAGAUCUUCCUUGGUGGAAUUUUUCAUGUGUACUUAGUGUAGCUUAUAACUGUAGUAGUAGUUUAUAGGGUGCAUUUAGUUAUGUUCAUGACUGAUGGAUUAUAUAGUAGUGGAGAUUUGUGGUAAAUCUCAGUAACUACACCCGUGCUUUUUUACCUUAUACAAAUUAGAACUGAGGCUUGAUCCCUAUGAUUUCGUGCUAAAUUAUGUUUUUAUGAUUUUUUUGUAUACAUAUAUGAUGGCAAUCCAACUUGAAUACCUCUCACCGAAUUUGGUAUAUGUUGUUGACAACAACGAUCCCAUGUGGUCAGGAUGUUCGAAAACGAGAAAUCAAGUUCUUAGUUUUCUAGGAAGAGAAGAACUGAACUUGGACAAUGGAUUGGAAUUGGGCGGAAAUGGUGAUAUUUAAUAGUAAAAAACCCCUCUCCAAUCAUAAAUACAUACAUGUCACUUUGGGCCUUGUUUAGUUCCGAAAACUUUAACACUUUCUUUUUUGUUUGACAAAUAUUGUUCAAUUAUGGAUUAACUAGAUUCAAAAGAUUCAUCUCACGAUUUACAAAUAAACUGUGCAAUUAAUUUUUGUUUUCAUUUAUAUUUAGUGCUUCAUACACAUGCUGCAAGAUUUGGUGUGACAGGAAAUCUUAAAAAGUUUUUGGUUUUUAGAAUGAACUAAACAAGGUCUUGGUCAGUGGGGCGAAAUGCCUACUUGUAGUGACGCAAUUGUAGAAUGACUAGUAGGAAGCGCGCCUCCUGGGCGCGAGUUGUCAUGUAUUUCUAAGAUUAUACAGGUAAGCUACACAUGUUGCAUACAAUGGCCAUGUAUAUGAUUGAGGUCUAUUGAUGCAUACAAAGUUAUUAGAGGAUGAAUACCAUGUCCAUCGAGGGCAGAAAUAAUAGACAAAUUUUGGGGCAAAAGAUGCAUGUUUAGUUUUAGCACGGUAAUAGGAAUAUAGGAUCAGAGAACGGAAGCGAACACGGUCAUAUUGCCUAUGGUGUUAUAUGUACCAUACAGAGCCAUUACACAAGCUUAUCAGUAUUUUAUACAUUGCUUCGUCAGUGGCAAUUUACAAAAGUUUAGGGGCAUUGAAGGUCCACUUUCUAAUGACAUGGACAUAUAUAGCUGGUUUUCUUGUUGGCUGCGCUGCCAAUUGUGACAAGAAAUUGCUGCAUCUACAUCCUGAGUACCUGCACAGGGAGCAAAUAGACUGUUUAGUCUCAUAAAGAAACAAUUAUUGUCUGGAAUACCAGUAAGUAGGGGAGUAUAUUUUUUUGGUCUACUAUGUAUACACAAUACACACAACAGUGAUGCAUCACCAGACACAAUAGAAGCAAAUACUUCUUUAUAGAUGACCUUUUUUUUAUUUAUACAACGGCCAUCCUCGGCUUCUAUGAAAUGGCUGUCACUACCUAAAACAUCCAAGUAUCAAUGAGAAAGAUGUAGUUGGUAGACUCGGUAAUCACCGGCCUAACUUGCCAGCCAAUGAAUGUAGAGACAAGAACAUCUUGAUGCAAAAAAAAUUAUAAUUUAACAAUGAAUGGACAUACAUAUCAAAAAUAUAUCUGUAAAUUCUUUUUUUUCACACAUGCAUACAAGAUUGAACUUAGAUAUAUAACAUAGACUGUAUUGGAAAGAUUAACUAGAUAUAUCUAAAAUAUAUUCAAUUUUGCUCAUGCUCUAUGCACCAGACAUCUUGGUAUGGACAAAUGGAUCUGCUGCGUGAGCAGGACUCUGAAAUCCAAAAGAAGGUAUGCAAGGCUGAAAACUAACAAAGGAAGCUGAACUAAACACAACAGGAGAAGGUAAUAUUUAUGUGGCAACUACUGAGCAUCCGGAACAUCAAGUUCUAUUUUUCAAAGCAUCAAGUCCUAUAUUUAAGGGAAAGUUGUCAAACAAAAAUGUGGCCUGCACGAAUAUUAUCACCUGCAAGGGAGGCAUGAAGCCUAUCCCAUCUCAUAAUUGAAGUGCAUGAGUCCACCCAAUAUCCCCAGUGAUUGUGGAUACGAAGAAUAAGUUGUGAUGCUAAACCAAAACAUAGAUGACUUUCCAAGUGUGCAGCCUGCAUAGUAAAAUAAGAAAGAAAAAUCAUAUUUUUGACAUGAAUGCAGGUAGUAGCAAGUUGCUGGAUUGUUGACCAGUUCUCCAUUUUAUUUUGUAUUUUGAAACAUCUUUUCUUUUGAAUAACUUACUGAUAUAUCACGGUAAAUUAGAGAUAUCAUUCCGUAAAAAUCAAUUAAAAGAACUGUAAGCUGAGGAGAAAAAGAACUGCACUUCCAGUGUCAUAGCUCGUGCUGCUUGUCCACUGCAUUCACAUCCCUUACCUGAUGAGUAUGGGCGCACGAACGAAUUCGAAUGAACCAACCUGCGGGGUAAACAAGGUAAUAAAACAAAAAGAAACAUAUGAAUAUAAAUACAGAAGCAAAUGGGAAGGAGAGCUCUUUGAAUUUUAUAAUAUAUUCUACAAUAUGAAGGAACCAUCUACGAAAGAAAUUCAGAACAAGUCAUUCUCAUGCAUGAAGACUUAGUCGACAAUUCAGGCUCUAGCUCAGUAGUUACACACCUGAGAACAAUCCACCAGCCGAACAAGCUGAAACCAUAGCAACUCAGCCAAGAAUAUUUUAGAUGAAAGUAAAUAUUUUUAGUCAAUAAGAAUACAUAUAUCAGACACAAGAGGUAGCCAUAUCCCCUUAUCCUUUGGCACCAUCCUGAUUCUCCCAAGAGGGCUUGGCUUGUUCAAAUUCCUCAAACUGCAUUUCUCUGAGCUUCGUAUGUAGGCCUUCUUUGUCCAUGUCAAAUAAUUUGAUUUUUCCAGUUCGAACAGCUUUAAUAAAUCUAACUUUGUUCUGUGCCAUUUUCAAGUCGCGGCCAGCCAUUUCCACUAGCUUUUGCUGCAUAUUGACAAUUACUAAAUGUGAUAUCAAAUAGUCCAAAGAAUAUGUGCCAUUCAAUUAUUAAAUGGAAACGUACCUUUCUUUUCUCAUAAAAAGCAAGCCUGAAGUCAUAGAAUUCCUUAAGUAGUGAAAUAAAUGACACAAUUUAGUUUCAAUACGACAAAAGAAAUAAAAAAUGGAGGUCUUGUAGCAUAAAGGUAGUACAUACUUUGCUCUGGACUGUCAUACUUUUUAAUUAUGCCAUUUGAAUCCAACAAAUGCAUAUUUGAUGUUCCUAUUGAUGUUCCUUCUCUGAAGAUCUACUUCAUUGGCUUGCGCCAAAUUCUCAGAAUUCUCAUGCAAAUGCAUCAUAAUUUCAACAUCAUUGCCGCCUCUCUUUUUUUCAUAACUCUGUAAAAUUAUUAUGAUUAAAAACUAGUGGGCAACAAUCAUUUCAUGAUUAAAACAUACUAUGUAAUCAAUUACCUUGAUGAAUUUGUCUUCUCCGUCCAUAAAAGUUUUAAGCUUCUUUUCAUAAUUCUCCAUCGAGAUCUUCACUGGGUGAUCUUGCCGCUGUUGAGUGCGCACCGAGCUCCUGAUCAAUCCCGUGCGACUACUUUGCGCUCUACUGAUCUGAGUCGCUAGCUUGACGAGUUCCAGCCAUGAUCGGCCAUGGCGCCGCCGCGGGUUGCCCACCUCCGGCCGACCGGCGUUAACCCCCCUGCGAUCCAAUCUCGGCCUUUGAUUCGAGAUCCAACGGCCAUGGUGGAAGGAUACCCCUUCGGCCGUCAAUUUUGCAGAAACCCCCCCGAACUUUUUAAUGUAUAAACCCGCCGUCCUUUGCGCUUUCUCCGAUUACGUUUUGCAAGUUCGAAAGCGUAUUUUCGACUGCGCAGUUCAAAAACCAUUUUCUCAGAUUUACAGUUUUGCCAUUGAUCUUAUUUGACUCAUAAAAACUCCGUUUUAACUCUGAUUUGAUCCGUUCAAGUUGCGUUAGAUUUGUUUUCGCGUAAUCUAUAGAUUAGUGCUACUGUUAUACAAGUUUUCAACUUUUAAAAUCUGAGUUUAGAUUUAAUUUAUUAUUUUAUUAAAGGCAAUCUUAUUUAGAUCAUUACUUCUUCGUUUUAGAUCCGAUUUUUGUGAACUUUACGUCUGUGUGAUCGUAGAGCGAUGUAGAUUUGUUUUAUAAACUUUUUAUCUUUAUUUAUUACUGUUGGUGUACUGUUCUAAUAAUAGACUUGUUUGCUUUGUAUGAUUGUCCUUGGAUGAUUGCUGUUGAUGUGGUGAUUACGUAUAGACGGUGAGCAGUUCGUGGGUGAUCAAGAGUACUACUACGAGCAGGAUCAACAGGACUAGUGUGAUCAAGGCAAGUAUAGCAUAGGAUCAUCCUUGUUUCCUAAUAAGUUUAAUCACACAAUUCAUAUUGCAUGUGUCUCCUUGAUAAGGAUUACCUAGUAUUGAUCUUAUACCUUGUCACCUAUGGUUAUGCAUUGGGUAGCUUAUGCUAGUGCUCCACUAAACCAUGAUCUUGUAAUUUGAUUAAAGGAUUAUGCAAUAAACAUUAAAAGAUGACUUUUUAGCAACUUUGGAAAAGAGGACUGGAGCAUUGGGCUAUCUUAUGGUACUCUAGUUUCUCUCCAUAAGGACUUAUCUAUAUCUGACCAUCCGGGACAUACAGUAGAACUGUGAGGGCUACAUGGCUCUGGCUUUAGCUCAGUAUGAGGACCUUUUCUAGCUUGUUAGUGGUUACCCUUGUGGCGCAUGUGGGGGAUAGCAGACCAUGGAUUCCUGCGGGCGAGUCACAAGGACUGACUAACGAAACCUAGCGACCCUAAUUUGUUAGACGAACCUUUGAAAGGCUUCAUAGUGAACCCUGCUGGUCUUCCUUGGGAGUGGGCUAAGGGGCUGAUCACCUCGGACGAAAGGGUAAAUCACGACUCACAGUGAAAGUGUACAACCUGUGCAGAGUGUAAAAAUGAUAUAUCAGCCGUGCUCACGGUCACGAGCGCCCUUGGACCAAUAUAGAAUAAAUAAUCACUAAUGACAAAUCAUUAAAUGUUGUUAUUGUGAGUUUAUUAUGGGUUUUGACAACUUGAUGCUACUCCUAUGCUAAAAUUGUGACAACUAAAAGCUACAUGCAGUUGAACCAGUGUCUAACCUUUGAGCCUCAUGAACCCCCUGUUAUACUUGUUAAGUACGAGGUGUACUUACACUUGUUUAUUUUCUUUAUUUGGAUAAAAAUCCCGGAAGGGUAACAGAUGGCAUGGGUAAUCACUACUACCAGUACUUCCCUAAGGAUUUGUAGUCUUGUGGUCAACCAGUUGACGUGCCUAUGUGAUAGAGCUUCCAUGCAAGAGUUAUCUUUUAUUUUCCGCUUUAUUUGUGUAAAGACUCUGAGUUAUAUCGUUAUGUAAUAAGCACUUGUGAUGAUACUCCCUAUAAUUUGUCGGCUUAUGUGUGAUUGAUCUCUGGGCACACAUAAGGUUUUGCAUUCAAUUUUAUCCUUAAAAUUGGGUGUGACAAAUUGGUAUCAAAGCCGUGUUGACUGUAGGACGCAAGCCUAGAUAGAAAUGGUCGUUUUAGUUGUCUUUUCUUCUCUAUUUUCAUGCUUACCAUCUUGCUCUUGUUAUUUGCUAAAAUUUUUAUGCUUCUACCAUCUCACUCUAUUAUGAAAUUAUUGCUUCUAAUCUAACUUCUCUCCGGUCUAUUCUAUAGAUGGUUCGUGCCAAGACCGCUCGUAUCUCCACUGGAGGGUACCACCCACCUCGUUACCAAUACGAGCCUAUGGAGCCACAAGAGGAGAGUUCACCGGAACAUGAAGAGACCUCACCACCUUCACAUGAAGCAUCUGAGCCAGAGCUAUCACAAGUGGAGUCUGAACUAGAGGAGGAGCCCCAGGAGGUCAUACUAAUUUCUGAUGAUGAAGAAGAAGGUGCUCCCAGAGGAGGUCAACCCCCAUCACCGCCGCAAGAUGGACAUGCUGAAGAUGAUGAGUUCCCUCCCAUAAGGUGGACUAGAAAGGUGUACCACAAGGCAUCGUGCAAUGCUCCGUCGCAACACCGGAUGGUGGGAAUGAUGGAGACUUACUUCUCUGACCGGGAUGCAGUUGUGGAGUAUUCAUGCAUAGAGUACACGCACCCCCUGGAGAACACCUACUGGAAGUCCAAGGUGCUGAUCUUUCCCAAGGAUGUGGAGAAAGAUGCAUACUUGAAGCACAGGGGCUACCGUCAUGAUGGACAUAGAGCUACUAUGGAAGAGAGCAUGGAGGAAGCAGCUUUCACGGCAUGUUUGUUCCUCCGUGAGCAACGUUUCUGUAACAUGCGGUGGGAUAUACACCGUUAUCUACCCUGCCUAGACCCGGAACAUGGAUGGGGAAUGCUGGAGCCAACAGAUUUGGACCCAGUCUCCCGAGUGAUGGUGUACUUUGCUCAUGAGAUGGUGGAAAAGCAUCUGAAAUUGCAAGACAUGGUGAUAGCACAAGGAAAGGCUCUCAAGAGGUGCUACAAGAUGAUUGACGACCAUCGCGAGAGGGAAGGACAGCCCAAGAUCUAUGGGAUGCUUGACUAUGAACCACACCCUUAGUGUCGGAAGUCCCUAGUUUGUAAUAAGCCGCUAGAAGCGCAAGUGAGUCGAGUCAAGUUAGUGUGGUGUGCUUUUUGUUAUGCUUAGUUGCUUUGUUAUUAUGUUUAUGAGUGAGUUGGAUCUUUGUAAUGAGUGCUGGGACUUUGUAGGCAUGUCUACAAGUUCCAUAGUUUAGGUUAUUAAGGAUUAAAGUUUAAUGAAUAAAUAGUUAGGUUGGUAUAUCUGUCUUUCCUGUUUCGUUUCUUUAAACCAAUCUGUCUUAAUAAUUUUACCCAGAAAAAUCAGUUCGACCAAAAAUCUUGAAAAUUUUAUGAGAAUAACUAGACUUAAGCAUCUUUCCUAUGCCGCUGGAAUUACCUUUUUAUCUGAUCUGGGCCGAGAGAUAUGAAUGUUGAAAACAGAGGUUCCUGUGCAGUUUGAGUUCGGGGACAGUUUAGAUUGGAGACAGUUUAUGGCUAAUUUAAUGACUGAAUCUGAAUUUGUGCUCUAAAUAAAAGUUGUAGACAAUUUCUUAAGCUUUCCAACCAUCAAAGUUCCGCCUCUGUUGGACUUUUAUAUCUCAAGUUAUGAUCGUUUUACUGAACUGCUGGCACUGGACUCACUCACGAAACUUACAGAAUUUCAAACUUGUUCAUGAAUGUCUAUAAUUUUGGGAGAUUCUAAAGUUCUGCAUGUUAUGACAGAUGUAGAUGACGUGGAAGGGGUGUUCCACUCAACCCACCUGCCACCAUUGAAUAGCUAGUAGCAGUCCAGACGCAGCUCAUGGAAGCCCUGGUGAACAACCAACAGAAUCAUCCAAUCGGAGGGGCACCACCGCGUGAUAAGUAGGGUGAAUUUUUAAAAGGUCAUCCCCCUGUGUUUACACACGCCACUGAUCCACUGGAGGCAGAUGAUUGGCUUCGUGUAGUGGAGAAGCAACUCAACAUAGCACAGUGUGAUGAUAGGCAGAAGGUGUUGUUCGCAUCUGGACAACUUCAAGGAGAAGCUCAGACAUGGUGGGAGUCGUUUGAGUAUGGACGACCUCCCAAUGCCCCUGCUAUCACAUGGCUGGAGUUCAAGGAGAACAUUAGGUCUUACCACAUACCAGAAGGGUUAAUAGAACUGAAGACGGAGGAGUUCUGGAAUUUGAAGCAGGGAUCUUUGAUAGUUCCAGAGUACCCGGACAAGUUUGCUCAGUUGUCGCGCUAUGCUCCCAAUGAGGUGGCUAAUGAUGCUGAUAAACAGCGCCUCUUUCUGAAGGGAUUGUAUGAUGGGCUCCAGCUCCAACUGAUGUCCAGUGAAUACCCCAAUUAUCAGACGCUUGUGAACCGUGCUAUCGUAGUGGAUAACAAGAAUAAGGAGAUGGAUGCUAAAAGGAAGAGGAUGCAGGGACAGGCCUCUGGAAGUAAUACUCGUCCACGCACCAACCAGCAGCAAGGUUCUCAGCAAAGGUACCAGGGACCACCUUCACAGUGGAAUCGUGGUCAGUACCCCCAGCGCAAUCAGUUCCAGCAGCGCCCGCAGAACCAGCAGAAUCAACCAGCAGACGUCAUGCUAGGGUACGCCUAGCAACACUCCAAUGAAGACUAGUGCCCAUAACACCCCCAACAAGUGUUUCCACUGUGGUAAAGAGGGUCACCUGUCAUAUCACUGCCCUAAAAAACAAAAUCAGCAGACCCCCCAGAAGCAGAAUAGCCACCAGAAGUCAGCUCCUAAUACUGGAAGGGUGAACCAUAUGUCCUGUGAGACAACACAGCAGAAACCGGAAGUUAUGCUCGGUACGUUCGAAGUCAACUCUAUCCCUGCAUCUAUUCUUUUUGAUUCUGGAGCUUCGCAUACUUUCAUAUCACAAGCAUUUGUUAGAAUACAUAGCUUACCCUUAUGUGCUAUGAAGAAUCCCAUACUAGUAAAUUCACCGAGGGGAAGUAUGCAAGCUGCUUAUAGUUGCCUCCCACUUACAUUAACUCUAAGGGGGGUAGAGUUCAAGAUAUGCCCGAUUGUGUUGGGAGCAUCCGGUAUAGAUGUAAUUCUGGGAAUGGAUUGGAUUAAACAACAAGAUGCUUCGAUUCAGUGCAAAGGAAAGGCAGUUGCACUAACAACACCAAAAGGGGACAGGAUCUAUGUGGAAGUUGCAGUUCAGCAUCAGCCAACAGCUACAGUGAACCAGCUUGAUAACAGUGUCAAUCAGGAGGACUUGGUUGUUGAUGAGUUCCCAGACGUGUUCCCCGAUGAUUUGCCAGGUAUGCCACCUGACCGUGACAUUGAGUUUAUUAUUGAAUUAUUACCUGGCACUGCACCUAUAGCUAAACGUCCAUAUAGAAUGGGGGUUAAAGAAUUAGAAGAAAUUAAGAAACAAAUAAAGGAGUUGCAGGAGAAAGGUUUCAUUCAUCCUAGCUCUUCACCUUGGGGAGCACCAGUGAUUUUUGUCGAUAAGAAAGAUGGCACGCAAAGGAUGUGUGUAAACUACCAGUCACUCAAUGAGGUCACAAUCAAGAAUAAAUAUCCAUUGCCUAGAAUUGAUGAUUUGUUUGAUCAAUUGAGAGGUGCUUGUGUGUUUUCCAAAAUUGAUCUUCGUUCUGGGUACCACCAGCUGAAGAUUCGUGCCACUGAUAUACCAAAGACAGCAUUUACGACCCGGUAUGGUUUGUAUGAGUACAUAGUGAUGUCUUUCGGUCUGACCAAUGCUCCUGCCUACUUUAUGUAUCUGAUGAAUAAGGUGUUCAUGGAAUUUCUUGAUAAGUUUGUGUUGGUGUUUAUUGAUGACAUAUUGGUAUUCUCCAAGACUGAGCGAGAGCAUGCUGAGCAUUUGAGGUUAGUCCUGCAGAAGCUUCGGGAACACAAGUUACAUGCCAAGCGGAGUAAGUGCGAGUUUUGGUUGAAAGAAGUUUCCUUUCAAGGCCAUGUUGUCUCUAAUGGAGGAAUAGCGGUGGACCCAAGCAAGGUGAAGGAUGUGCUCGAUUGGAAACCACCUACUGAUGUGAGUGGAAUCCGCAGUUUCUUGGGAUUAUCUGGUUAUUACCGAAGGUUUAUUGAGGGAUUUUCUAAGCUUGCCAAACCGAUGACAGCCCUGUUUGAGAAAAAUGCCAAGUUUGUGUCGUGUGAUAAGUGUCAAGAAAAUUUCGAGGAAUUAAAGAAGAGACUGACUACAGCCCCAGUGCUAGUGUUGCCAGAUCUAAGCAAGAAUUUCUCCAUAUAUUGUGAUGCAUCCCGUCUAGGACAUGGGUGUGUUCUUAUGCAAGAGGGGAGAGUAGUGGCAUAUGCAUCCCGACAGUUGAGGAAGUAUGAGUUGAAUUAUCCUACUCAAGACUUGGAGUUAGCCGUAGUGGUUCAUGCCUUGAAGAUAUCGAGGCAUUAUCUUAUCGGUCAUAAGAGUGACAUAUACACGGACCAUAAGAGUUUGAAGUAUAUAUUCACACAGUCAGAUCUGAAUUUGAGGCAAUGUCGGUGGUUAGAGCUGAUCAAGGACUAUGAUUUGGAAGUACACUACCACCCUGGGAAAGCAAAUGUGGUUGCAGACGCCUUAAGCAGGAAGAGCUAUGCCAACGAGGUGCAAAUAGCCUCUAUGGCUGAAGAGUUGUGUGCUGAAAUUUCACAUCUGAAUUUGGGUUUUGGUAUUAAUGCAGUUGAGUUAGUAAUAGAACCUACCUUGGAGCAAGAAAUACAAAAAGGUCAGUUGCAGGAUGAAAAGCUGAAGGAGAUAGCUGAAAACAUAGUGAUCGGAAAAGCACCAGGAUUCCGGAUGGAUGAUAAUGGAACACUAUGGUUUGGGAAAAGGCUAUGUGUGCCUGAAGAUCGAUCUAUUAGAGAGGCAAUUCUACGAGAGGCACACGAGUCCGCUUAUUCUAUACACCCUGGCAACACUAAGAUGUACCUAGACCUAAAAGAGAAGUAUUGGUGGUAUGGCUUGAAGAGAGAUGUUGCUGAGUAUGUCGCUUUAUGUGAUACUUGCCAGAGAGUCAAAGCAGAACAUCAGAGACCGGCAGGAUUGUUGCAACCAAUGAAGAUCCCUGAGUGGCAAUGGGAGGAAGUUGGUAUGCACUUCAUAGUGGGACUACCCCGCACUCAGAAAGGUUAUGACUCUAUAUGGGUAAUAGUAGAUCGAUUGACUAAGGUCGCUCAUUUUAUUCCGGUUAAGACCAAAUAUAGUGGACCAAAAUUGGCUGAGUUGUACAUGGAAAGAAUAGUGUGCUUGCAUGAGGUCCCCAAAAAGAUAGUUUCUGAUCGAGGUACCCAGUUUACGUCUCACUUUUGGUAGAAAGUGCAUGAGUCCCUGGGGACUAAGCUGAAUUUUAGUACAGUAUACCAUCCCCAGACCGAUGGGCAGACUGAGAGGACUAAUCAAAUUUUGGAAAAUAUGUUGAGGGCAUGUGCUUUGCAGUAUGGAACGAGUUGGGAUAAGAGUUUGCCAUAUGCAGAGUUUUCAUACAACAACAGCUACCAGAAAAGUCUCUAGAUGGCACCAUUUGAAGCCUUGUAUGGGCAGAAGUGUAGGACCCCGUUGUUUUGGAAUCAAGCGGGAGAAACACAAGUGUUUGGACCAGAUGUGUUACGGGAUGAAGAACAACAAGUGAGAGUAAUUAGGGAAAACUUGAGAGCAGCACAGUCCCGGCAGAAGAGUUAUGCUGAUACACGGAGAAGAGAAUUGGCUUUUGAGGUAGGAGACUAUGUGUAUUUGAAGGUGUCUCCCAUGCGAAGUGUGAGAAUGUUUAACAUGAAAGGGAAGUUAGCACCAAGGUACAUUGGGCCUUUCAGAGUGUUGGAAAGACGAGGGCAAGUGGCUUACCAGUUGGAACUGCCCGAAAGUUUAAAAGGAGUGCAUGAUGUCUUCCAUGUGUCACAGCUUAAGAAAUGCUUGCAGGUGCCAGAAGAGCAGAUACCGAUAGAGGAAUUAACCGUUAAAGAGGUUCUUACUUAUGAAGAGUAUCCGGUACGAAUUUUGGAAACAGCAGAAAGAGUCACUAGGAGUCGGGUCAUCAGAAUGUGCAGAGUACAGCGGAAUAGAUAUACCAAGGAAGAGGCUACCUGGGAAAGGGAAGAAGAUUGAAGAAAAUCAUAUCCUCAGUUGUUUGAGUAAGCACCAACCGAAUCUCGAGGACGAGAUUCAUCUUAAGGGAGGUAGAAUGUGUAACACCCUAAAAAUUCCAUUUUUCCAAAUAGGACAAUUUGAUUUAAUUAAUUGUUGUGAGCAAUGAGAAUUAGUGAGAAAUGAAUCUUUAUUGAAUUAAAAUUCACUAUAAGGCCUAGACACAUGCUUGUGCAUCCAUGCUGCUGCAUAGAUUUUAUUGAAUGAUGUUCCUUUUAAUUUAAAAUGAUUUUUCAAAAAAACCUUUCAAAAGAAUUGAGCAAAGGAUAAAAAAAUAAAAAGAAAAAGGUUUUCUCCCUCCCUCCCCAUUGUCGGGCUUGGCCCAUUCCUCCUUCCCCCCCCCUCGCGGCCUGCUUACCUUUCCCAUCCCCCUUUUAUUUCUCGCAGCGGCCCAGCACCAGCAUCCGGCCCGCUCAGCGCAGCCAGCAAGCCGCGCGCGCCUUCCUUCCUCGCCGCAGUGGCUGACAGCGUAGCCCCGCUCUCCGCGUCACUGCCAGGUGGGGCCCAGAGGUCAGAACCGUCUCCCACCUCGAGUCCGAGCCGGACACGAACCGAGCGCAACCACCGCGCGCGUUUCGCGCGAGCAAUCCCCCCUCCGCCCGACUCUGCCCCUUUAUAUACUCGCCCGAUGCCCCGCAACUCCCUACGUCAACCCGAGCAUCAGCCGCCGCGCAGCUUCCGCCGUUUCGCGUAGCCGAGAUCCAAGCUGCAGCCAAUCCGCCGCCGCAGCGCAUCCAAGCCCCCGUGAGCAGCUUGCCAGGCUUCUUCGUCGUGCGAAGUCGCAGAGACCUUCCUUUCGCACUCUACUGUUUUGUACGCAUCGCUAACGCUCGCCGGACUUCUCUCCAGGGUCGCCGUCUGCUGUUCGCCGUCGGUAGCUUUAGUCGGCUUCUCCUCGUCCCGCUUCUUGCCGCUGGUGAGUGCGCAGCGAGCUCCUGAUCAAUCCCGUGCGACUACUUUGCGCUCUACUGAUCUAAGUCGCUAGCUUGACGAGUUCCGACCAUGAUCGGCCAUGGCGCCGCCGCGGGUUGCCCACCUCCGGCCGGCCGGCGUUAACCCCCCAUGCAAUCUAAUCUCGACCUUUGAUUCGAGAUCCAACGGCCACGGUGGAUGGAUACCCCUUCGGCCGUCAAUUUUGCAGAAAACCCCCCAAACUUUUUAAUGUAUAAACCCGCCGUCCUUUGCGCUUUCUCCGAUUACGUUUUCCAAGUUUGAAAGCAUAUUUUUGACUGCGCAGUUCAAAAACCGUUUUCUCAUAUUUGCAGUUUUGCCAUUGAUCUUAUUUAACUCAUAAAAACUCCGUUUUAACUCCGAUUUGUUCCGUUCAAGUUGCGUUAGAUUCGUUUUCGCGUAAUCUAUAGAUUAGUGCUACUGUUAUACAAGUUUUCAACUUUUAAAAUCUGAGUUUAGAUUUAAUUUAUUAUUUUAUUAAAGGCAAUCUUAUUUAGAUCAUAACUUCUUUGUUUUAGAUCCGAUUUUUGUGAACUUUAUGUCUGUGUGAUCGUAGAGCGAUGUAGAUUUCUUUUAUAAACUUUUUAUCUUUAUUUAUUACUUUUGGUGUACUGUUCUAAUAAUAGGCUUGUUUGCUUUGUAUGAUUGUCCUUGGAUGAUUGCUGUUGAUGUGGUGAUUACGUAUAGACUGUGAGCAGUUCGUGGGUGAUCAAGAGUACUACUACGAGCAGGAUCAGCAGGACCAGUGUGAUUAAGGCAAGGAUAGCAUGGGAUCAUCCUUGUUUCCUAAUAACUUUAAUCACACAAUUCAUAUUGCAUGUGUCUCCUUGAUAAGGAUUACCUAGUAUUGAUCUUAUACCUUGUCACCUAUGGUUAUGCAUUGGGUAGCUUAUGCUAGUGCUCCACUAAACCAUGAUCUUGUAAUUUGAUUAAAGGAUUAUGCAAUAAAAAUUAAAAGAUUACUUUUUAGCAACUUUGGAAAAGAGGGCUGGAGCAUUGGGCUAUCUUAUGGUGCUCUAGUUUCUCUCUAUAAGGACUUAUCUGUAUCUGACCAUCCGGGACAUACAAUACAACUGUGAGGGCUACAUGGCUCUGGCUUUAGCUCAGUAUGAGGACCUUUUCUAGCUUGUUAGUAGUUACCCUUGUGGCGCAAGUGGGGGAUAGCAGACCGUGGAUUCCUGCGGGUGAGUCACACGGACUGACUAACGAACCCUAGCGGCCCUAACUUGUUAGACGAACCUUUGAAAGGCUUCAUAGUGAACCCUGCCGGUCUUCCUUGGGAGUGGGCCAAGGGGCUGAUCACCUCGGGCGAAAGGGUAAAUCACGACUCACAGUGAAAGUGUACAACCUCUGCAGAGUGUAAAACUGAUAUAUCAGCCAUGCUCACGGUCACAAGCGGCCUUGGACCAAUACAGAAUAAAUAAUCACUAAUGGCAAAUCAUUAAAUGUUGUUAUUGUUAAUAUGUUGUUUAUGCUAUUCUUUACUCACUUUACCUGAUCAUGAAUUUAUUAUGGGUUUUGACAACUUGAUGCUACUCCUAUGCUAAAAUUAUGACAACUAAAAGCUACAUGCAGUUGAACCAGUGUCUAACCUUUGAGCCUCAUGAACCCCCUGUUAUACUUGUUAAGUACGAGGUGUACUUACACUUGUUUAUUUUCUUUAUUUAGAUAAAAAUCCCGGAUGGGUAACAGAUGGCAUGGGUAAUGACUACUACCAGUACUUUCCUGAGGAUUUUUAGUCUUGUGGUCAACCAGUUGACGUGCCUGUGUGAUGGAGCUUCCAUGCAAGAGUUAUCUUUUAUUUUCCGCUUUAUUUGUGUAAAGACUCUGAGUUAUAUCGUUAUGUAAUAAGCACUUGUGAUGAUACUCCCUAUAAUUUGUCGGCUUAUGUGUGAUUGAUCUCUGGGCACACAUAAGGUUUGGUAUUCAAUUUUAUCCUUAAAAUUGGGUGUGACAAUUACCAUGAAGGUUCAAUUGAUUGCCCAUCUUAACGCAAAUAAUCGAGCAGAAUAUCAUCAUUUUCAUUAAAUAUCCUACGAGUGAUACUUGAUAACUCUGUGAAGAUGUAUCUAGCACUAGCAGCAUCUUUGCCUCAAUAAAAUGAAAAACAAGCAAGAAUAAAAUGUUUAACAACUAGUUUUCUCAUAGUGGCUUGUUAUCUCACCUCUAAUCUUGUACCAAAUUGCCCAUUGGGAUGCAAAAGAAUGAUAUUGUUGCUUCCAAAAAAAUCUUGAGCCAUUCUUACUAUUGUGUUUGAUAGAUUUUCUUCACCGUGAUGAUAAGCAGAACAUUCUGCCACAGACACGGCGAACUGUGCCACCUGUGAUCAAGUAGUAAAUUAGCAAUAUUAUAAGGCUAAUUUAGAGAGAACAUGACACAUAAAUCAUAAUAUGGCAGCCCAACCAGAGGCUCAACCCUUUUCUACUUAUAAGCUAGGACUGAAGCUUUGGAGUGGAUAUGAUUCUCAUCAUCAUAGACUAUAUGGAACAAGCUUGAGAUUGACCACCCACAAGACAAAACUUUCAAGCAAGCUAGUCUGCCUUUAUAUAUUCAGGUGCCAGUAUACAUAAGGAAACUAAAACUAAAUAUAAAAUGGGGAUCCAAUCUAAAGAAACUAUGGAAUACGAAAGAUCGAAGCCUACCAUAUUCUCGGCCAUAGCGCCGACUGAUAUCAAAAUAUGUGGAAAAGAUUCAUAUUAGAAAAAAACAAAUGAUAGUUGGGAUGCCAUACCUUUGUUUCCUUGUUCAAAUUUUUCUUAAAUGCGCUGAACAUUAUCUUUCUCUGCCGUUUUUUAAAUCCAUCUACCAUUGAUGGUAUAGACCGAUGCAUGUCUAAUACCAUGUAUAAUGUGAGCCCUUUCUUAAUGAAGUCAAGGAUUCUUAUCAUUUUCCCAGUUUGAAGAAGUACACUUUCUUCAGGAUAAAAUUUUUGUUAUCACAUUAAUGUUGGUCCUUAAAUUAACCUGAAUGAAUCUUUAAAAAUAACAUCAAGACCGACCUUGCAGUUAUGAAGAAAGUUAUAGAUCCAUUUCUUCCUUUCCUCCACUUUUUGUUUACUGAAUGUUGUCUUGAUGGCCUUAUCAUCUUCUUCAUUCACCCACACAAAAUAUUUCUGAUGGAUGUCAAUAUGUUUGAAAUAUUGCAUCCCUUCCUUAAGUGUGCUCGUGCCUAACCCCUGUAUAUAUGAAAAAUGUCCAAGUUGAAGACCACAUAGAAAAAUUGAAAUGAUUAAAAUUCGAGCAAAAAACACACCUUAUAGUAUUUUAUAGACCAUUUACUUAAUUCUGUCCCAUGUUUACUUUUCUCCCAUGCCGUAUACUCAUUUAGUGUAUAGAAAACCUGACUUGGACAUUCACCUGUAUAAUCCGUAACCUAAACAAGUUUUAAUCCGUGACAUGGUAAGUUUUAUGAGUCUUAAUAACUAAAACCUUAAAAAAAAUGUUAAAGCAAGUAACAAGUGGCAUACCUUUACAAGUGGGGUAACUAAUUCACACAAAAACGAUUUGGAUUUAUUCUUCAGAAGGGAAGGCCAAAAAUCAUGAAAUAAGUUAAUGAUCAAUCCUUUAAUAUGAAAUCCAUCUGGAUCCUGGUCGGUCAUGACCAUAACUUUACCAUAUCUCAAAUCCUUCAAAUCCUUUUCAUCAUUAUAGUAUUUUUUGUAGUCUAAACCCAAUAAUCUUUCUCAUAUUGUUAAUUUCCUCAUUGUCCAAGAUCUUUUUCAAAGACGCAUCUCUCACAUUCAGUAGCUUACCUUUCAAUGCAACAACUCCAAAGUAGUCCCUACGAACAGAACCUAGCUGCAGAGGAGCACAAAACUUACUCAAUACUCUUGUCAAUAUAAAAGGAACAUAUGUGCAAUGAAAUGUGCAAUCAACAGUUACUAAUUGUAGGGGAACUUCAAUAUAAGAAUAAGAACUACGUGGAAAAUAAUUUUUCUAACAUCUUCAUCUAAUCAUUAACACAUAUGUGCACAUAUGAAACUUGGGAUUCCCAAAUACAAGUCCGAUUAUAACAUUUUAUUCUAAAGACUCAAGUUCGAUCAUAACCUUUAAUCCUAAAGACUCAGCUGACUAAAAAAAUCUGAAUCAAAACCUUUUUGCCUCGAUUAAACUCUUGGCUGAAAUUUGAGUUUUUCAUAAAAAUCUAGGAAAUUUGGGACAGACCACACUAAAUCACUAAAUCUGCCAGUGAUACUUGGUGUAUCAAAAUGGACUUAAUUAAUAAAGGGUUGGGGUCAAAGUCUAAAAGGUCAUACUAGAAAAUAUAAAAAUUUGCUAAAAACGAGUUGGAGGUGUUAGAAAAACAGGAGGAGCUUGAUGUGCUCAAGCUGGAUAUAAAGUCUUCCAUUCAAUCUAAGUUUCAUGGAAGAGAAGGAUAUGGCAUAAGGGAUCUAAUUCUAUGUGGUUGUUGAAAGAUCAUAACAACUCUGAGUACUUUCAUAGAAUAGCUCAUGGUAGAAAGAGAAAGAACACCAUUUCUUUGCCUAAACCAUAAUGAGAUCAUUAUUGAGGGGGAUGCUGCCAUCGUGGAGCAUGCUUCUUAAUAUUAUAAUUUCUGCUAAAAUGUCUUGGGCACAAGGGGUUUGACAAGAGAUAGUGUGAACGGACUACUUCUAGCACUAAUAAGAUUGAUGUGGCUAAAAAGAGAUUCUUUUGGCAAGGUCAUUUGAAGAGGAAAUACCACUUGAUCAAAUGGAAUGAGAUCACUAAACCCAAAAACAAAGAAGGGUUGGGGGUCACAGACCUAAGGAAAAUGAACAUCAGUCUCCUAUGUAAAUGGUGGUGGAUGGUGGUGGCUGAGAGUGGAUGUGGAAUAUGAAAAGAUAAUAUUAGGAAGAAAUAAGAAUACCAGUUUCUCACAUGAUAAGUGGUGUGACCAAGUCUCCUUAAAAGACAAGUUCCUCAAUUAUAUGAUAUCAAUGUUGAACAAAACGUUCUGUUUCUUUUAUGAAACAAAGAAGUUAGCAUCUCUCUUAUAGAAGAUGGCUCAAUUGAGAAGGUUACUGUUAGAAUAUAAUUAUAACAGCCCAUAUUGGGCUUACGGCUCAUUGGCCUUGUACUCCUAGCCAGACUUGGAUUAAUACCACAUUGUAACUUGUAGAUGUACUGCAAGCCUUCCAGGCUUUAUAAUGAAGGUCACCCCCUGGUUAGGGUGUGCGGUCUUUCUACACGGUAUCAACCUAAUUAUGACUUUUUCCUUCGGCUCACGCGUUCCCACCCCCUGCCCGUGCGACCUCUCUGAGGCCGUGCGCCACCGCACCAGGCCGCGCCGCCCCAGGCCAAGCUCAGGUCGCGCCGCCACCAGGCCGUGCUGCCCAGCCACGUCGCCUCCCUCAGGCUGCGCCACUGCCAGGCCACGCCGCCUUCUGAGGCCGCGUCGCCGAUCCAGAUCGUGCUGCCGCCGAUCCAGCCACGAGAUCAUCUUCUUCACGUUGCGUCGUCAUGACGACUCCGGCCACCGUCUCUAGCACGUCCAGCUCGACCUCCUUUGCGACCUCUGGUGACGCCAUGGCGGACGCCCUCGCUCCUCCGUUCUUCACCGCCGUCAACGUCAAGCAGCACGUGUCGAUCGUCCUCUGCCUCGAGCGCCCCAACUUCAACAACUGGAGGGCAUUCUUCACCGCCCUCUGUGCCAAGUACGGGCUCCUUGGCCACAUCGACGGCAUGCUGCCCGCACGUCCGGCAGAUCCUACAUGGUCUCAGCCCAAUGCCUGCAUUCGUGGCUGGAUGCAUGGCUCUGUCGAUGAUCCUAUCCUUGACCUCGCCAUUGACGACGCCGACCACGACGCCCGCGCCCUCUACGUCUCCAUCGAGGCCUUGUUCCAAGCUAACAAGGAACCGCGCACCGUCGUCCUCAGCCAAGAAUUCCAUAGCAUGUUCUAGGGCGACCUCUCUGUCGACGCCUACGCCCAAAAGCUGAGCGCAUGCUGCGCACCUUGAACAACACCAUUCGCACACUUUUGGUUCAUGCAGCCAUGCCCCCAUCUUAUUGGGUGGAGGCUCUCUCCGCCGCUGUGUUUCUGCUCAACCGGCGGCCAUCCUUGUCCAUCAACAACGGUAUACCCUAUCAUCUUCUCCAUCACAAGAUGCCCGACUACUCCAUGCUUCGAGUUUUUGGUUGCUUGUGCUAUCCAAACCUUAGUGCCACGACUCCACAUAAAUUAUCUCCUCGCUCUACGGCGUGUGUCUUUCUCGGUUACUCUCCUUCCGAGAAGGUCUAUUUGUGUCUUGACAUUUCCACUCGCAAGAUCAUAAUCUCGCGACACGUCAUUUUUUAUGAGACUCACUUUCCGUUUGUGGCUUCCAAGCCCCACUCGGACUCUUUUGACUUUUUGUUACAGGACAUACUGCCCGCGCCUCCUCUGUCCACCUCGGACACUGAGGCCAUGACACCGCUAGAGGAUGCCACUGAUGCCGGUGACCCCGUUGGACUGGACCUGGCCAUUCUGUGGCAAGGCGCUGCCCGCCGGGUGCCCUUGGGUGCCUCGCCCCGACCGCCAGCCCCCUCCACAGGCAGCGUGGCUGCUCCUGCAGCCGCUGCAUCACGGACAGUAGCACCGCCUCCUCUCCGUGUCUACACUCGGCGUCCUCGUCCGACUCCACCAGCGGCCGCUGCUCCUACAGCUGCAGCGGCAGCACCGGUGGCGGCACCGCCGGUCCCAGCUCCUCCCUCCCGGGAGACGCGAUCCGAGACGGGAUCGUUACCACCGCCCAUCCAGUAGUACAGUUUCACUGCAGGUUCCACGACGCUGGCAUCCCCGCUGCCCGCCAACUCACGUGCUGCUAUGGCGGAUCCUAAUUGGCAGGCGGCCAUGACCGACGAGUACAAGGCGCUCAUCGACAAUGGCACCUGGCAUCUUGUACCUCGACCACCACAUGCUAAUGUGAUCACUAGCAAGUGGGUCUUCAAACACAAGUACCAUGUUGAUGGCUCUCUUGCCCAUCACAAAGCACGGUGGGUCGUUCGUGGUUUUUCGCAGCAGUACAACAUCGAUUACGACGAGACGUUCAGCCCGGUUGUCAAACCCGCCACCAUCCGUGUCGUCCUCAGCAUCGCUGCUUCUUCAUCCUGGCCGAUUCAUCAGCUGGAUGUGAAGAACGCGUUUCUCCACGAUCAUCUGGAUGAGAUUGUCUACUGCCAACAGCCACCUGGCUUCGCCGACCCGGCCACCCCCGACCACGUCUGCCUCCUACAGAAGUCCCUGUACGGACUUAAGCAGGUGCCCAGGGCUUGGUACCAGCGGUUUGCCAGCUUCGUUCAGUGCUCCGGCUUCACUGCUUCGGUCUCCGACACGUCCCUCUUUGUUUACAAGGAGGGCGCCGACGUCACCUACCUGCUGCUCUAUGUCGACGACAUCAUUUUGACUGCUUCGUCGCCAUGACAGAUCUCAGGGAGCUCCAUCACUUCCUCGAGAUCUCUGUCACGCGGACCUCCGACGGCCUCUUCCUCUCCGAGCGACAGUAUGCCAUGGACCUGCUCCAGCGUGCCGGCAUGGCCGAGUGUCACUCUACAGCGACUCCCGUGGACACUCAGGCCAAGCUCUCAGCUACAGAUGGUGCUCCGAUGGCGUCCAGCAGGUGUGCCUCUUCAUGCAUGACCCGCGUGAGCCUCAUCUGGCGUUGCUCAAGCGUGUCCUCCGGUAUGUGAAGGGCACUCUGUCCACCGGGCUUCACCUUGGUGUUGGUGGCAUCGACAGUUUGAUCGCUUACUCCGUUGCUGAUUGGGCUGGAUGUCCGAACUCCCGGUGCUCCACUUCAGGCUACUGUGUCUUCCUCGGUGACAACUUAGUCUCUUGGUCCUCUAAACGACAAACUAUGGUUUCUGAUUCGAGUGCGGAGGCUGAGUAUCGUGCCAUUGCUCACGUUGUGGCUAACACUUGUUGGCUUCGACAGCUGCUUCAGGAGCUCCAUGCGCCCAUUGCUUCAGCAACGAUCGUCUACUGUGACAACGUUAGCGCCGUCUAUAUGACUGCCAACCCAGUACAUCAUCAUUGCACGAAGGACAUUGAGAUAGGCAUCCACUUUGUUUGUGACAAAGUGGCCUUGGGACAGGUUCGGGUGCUCCAUGUCCCAUCGUCUCAUCAGUUCGCGGACAUCAUGACUAAAGGGUUACUUGUACAGUUGUUUCUUGAUUUUAGGUCUAGUCUUUGUGUUCGUGACACUCCCGCUUAGACUGAGGGAGGGUGUUAGAAUAUUAUUAUAACAGCCCGUAUUGGGCUUACGGCCCAUUGGCCUUGUACUCCUUGUCUGAAUUGUAUAAGUACCACAUUGUAACUUGUAUAUGUACUGCAAGCCUUCUAGGCUAUAUAAUGAAGGUCACCGCCCUAGUUAGGGUGUGCGGUGUUUCUACUGUUACAUGAUAUCUUAUACCACAAUACUAAUGAUGAUUGUUAUAGAGCGAGAUGCAAGUUCCCUCAAUUAUAUGAUAUCAAUGUGGAACAAAACUGUUCUAUUUCUUUUAUGAAACAAAGAAGUGAGCAUCUCUCUUUUAGAAGAUGGCUCAAUUGAGAAGGUUACAUGUUAUCUUAUACCACAAUAAUAAUGAUGAUUGUGAUAGAGCAAGAUGGGAGUGGGAAAAAUCUGGGAACUUCUCUAUCAAAUCUACUUAUAAGAUGCUAUGUAGGCAUGACUGUGGGCCUAACUUCAAACAAGUUUAGAAGGCUAGGAUACCUCUGAAAUAUAAACUUUAAAACAACAAUGGAAAGGUGAUGAAUCAGGCACGGAGAAGGAAACUGUAAGUUUGGUGCUAAUUGUAGACCCAGCAGUUUGGAGCAAUUCUGGAAUUAGUUUCAUUGGAUUAAGUUUGGUGCUAAUUGUAGACACAGCUGUCACGACCAAUUCAGGACUUGAAUUCAUUGGAUUAUACCAAAGGGUAAACUGUCUACAUUUUGGGCUUAGGCAACUGUUUGCUGGGUGCUGUGGUUGACUCCAAAUGCCACAUGUUUUGAUAACAAGAGGAUUAGACCUCCUAGUCAGAUCAUGUCUGAUGUGUUUUGACAACCAGACAUUGGAUUGCUUGGCACGCUUGGACAGGUGUUUUUGCUAGUUCUGCUGGUUGGUGAUCCCUUAGUGAUUAGCCUAGUGGUCAGGAUUAACUUUUUUUCAUGUUUCUUAGAGCACUAAUAAAAUUUGGUUUUUAAACUUAUGUUACUCACAUGUUGUCAAUAAAAAAAGAACAUAUGUGCAACCAACAAUACUCUUGUUAAUAAAAAAGGAAUAUAUGUGCAAUAAAAUAUGCAAUCGACAAACUUAUAAUUGUAGUACUCACAGCUAGAGCUUUCGCUCAGUCUCCUUCGAUAAUAAUCAAAGUGCAUUUGUGAGAGCCCACUCCACCAGCACGAGUUGCAUCCUCAAACUUCGUUGGAUUUGCUUCAAUUUUUUCAUCCUCUUCUUUAAGUACCCAUGCAAGUGUCUCCUUUAAAGCACAUCUAAAUAUUUCUUUAAAGAUAAAAGAAUGUGCCACUGAAAUUUUUUUACUUCAUAUUAGCAAUACACGGGCAUCAAAGCAACAUACAACCUACAUUAUUAAGAAAACAAAACCACAUACCUUGAGUGAGAAACUCCUCGAACAUAGCAAUUGUGAGAGCAGAUCAAUGUAAACUUCUGCAUUAUCAGUUUACUUUAUAUUAGCUAUAUGGAGGCUUAUAAGCAACACAACUUACAUUUAAAAAAAACACACACACACACAAUCACAUACCUUGCAAAUGUGGUUCACCAUAAAAAAGGGAUAGUCCGCAUUUAUGAAGACCCAUAAAUGGCUCUUCACGUCACCUGUCUCUAUCUCAAUGUUCUGAACAUUCUUCAUUUUCCUUUUGAUUGAACUUUUCAGAUAUUCUUCAACAUGUCUUGUCAUAGUAUCAAAUUGAACUCCUCCGUCUAUUACAACACCAUUAACAAAGUUGAACUGAAAACAAUACAAAGAUAGUGAGUUGCAAAACAAACGCAGCCAAUAGAGAAUAUAGCCUACAUAAAUUUGGCUGGGAACACAAACCUGUUGGUAUUGGCCAUUUCUGCUUAAAGUAAUACACACCUCCCCAGCAAAGGCUAACUUUUAUUAUACAAUGAAAUAAAAUACAAGAGUAAAUAAUUAAAAAACAAACAUAUGGUUUUGUUUAUCCUAAAUAAAACUUAAGUUUUUAUGAAAAUUUUAAACCUUUUUGAUGUCUUCUUGGAAGGAGAUGGCAGGUACAAAUCCACAUAACUUGAAAAAAUAUUAGUGAGCAAAUGGCUAUCUAGAUGAACCUUUAGUUUCUGGUUGUUUCUUCUUUUGUAAAGUGCAGCCAGAUCUACCACCCUUUUUCUCAUAAGGGCUGCCAUAUCAUCUUGAAGCUCAUUACAGUAAAAACUCAAUGUGGUCCAAUGACACCCAUUGGAGCAUUUUGUGAUUUUAGCAUUUCUUUUCUUCCCAGGUUUGCCAUAAAAAACCUAAAUUUGUGUUGAAUAAAAUAUGAAAUUAGUGUUUAGUUUAGUCAUUUCUUAAAAAAAUUAAACUUACAUAUUUUAUGCUACUACUAAUUUCUAAACUAAGUAGAGGUUAAAAUAAACAAUACACAUUAGGUGACAACAAAAGUAGUAAACACAGGCUAUCAUAAAUCAAACAUUAUGACACAAAUAAAAAUUUAUACUUGUAUUAAAGUACUCCCUCCGUAUCAGAUUUAGAAGUCGUUUUGGACAAGGUUUGAGUCAAAUAUUGGGAAUAUAAAUCAUCAAUAACUUUGAAAUUGUUGAGUUUGCAAAUGUGAAAAUUAUAUGAAUAGAUUUGUCUUGAAAAAUACUUUCAUAAAUGUAACAGAACCACCCAAUUUACAAGAGAUCAACUACGAAAAACUCCCGCCAAAGUAGUUGCUUUAAUGUAAUCGAACUCUCAUAAACCCGGUAGUCCGUGAAAUCAUGAGGGAUUUCAAACCAACCAUCUUACAAGCCAAGAUUGUAGUGAUUCAACAUAACAAGUCACAUGUUACAUCCAUUUCACAAGUAGUUUGACAUACAUCGGAGUUCAAUAGAGUUAUUACAACUUGAGUUGAAAAGUAGCGAAAGCAAAGUACUUUAAAACUAAUAUUGCCCUCAUUUCAAAUACAUGCCAGUAUCCAGGUCAACUCCAACAAAAGCAUCAUAGAUGAGGUAACUAAGAAGGAUCAUGCCCAUGAUCUUACUCUAUUAUGGUAGGAGUCAUCCAACUCUUGCAGUAGCAAUGAUAUAUCGUAACCUGUAACAAGUGGGAAUAAACCCUGAGUACGAGAAGGUACUCACCUAGACUUACCCGUCAUAAACUAGAAAUAAUAUGACACCAAGGAGUAUGCAAGGCUUUAUUGGUGGAGCUAGCUUGACAACACUUUUUGCAUAAAAAGCCUAAGUUGCAACUAAGUAACCUUUCAGGUAUUUAGCCCAAGUUAAUAAUCAUUAACCUGUCAUCUAUAUUAGCACCUGUACUAAAGCAAUCACUUGAUUAAGAUACAACCAUAGUACCCAUAUUUGAUGUGGCAUUACCAACAUCAUCAUACCAUAACCAUCCAAGUGUUCCAUAAACAUUACUACGAGGACGAAGCUCAAGUCAAGUGCUCACUGUCUAGGAGCGACGGCGAUUCGAAUCGAUUUCUGACCAGCUGGUGAGUUAUUCCCCACACAAACCACACUCACUGAUCAAGUGAGCUACAGAUCACCGCAUUGCACUAUCCAGGACCAAUUCGCGGGUUCGACAGGCAUGGCCCGUACCCGAGGACCGUUCCGGCGACCGAGGUAUGCAAGGUAUACCAAGGUUGCGUGCCGCGCCCUCGUCGUUCUCCUCAACCAUCAACAAUACAGCGCGUACAUCGGGCCGAUUCCCGGCCUGAAUAGUGCUCAGGCUUCGCGGUCAGAACGACUUAUCCUUCCAGUUAAGUGUGGGGCAUGCGUUCAACAUGACAAGAGGGCCAUCAACGAUCGGUCCGUAAGUGACCCAGGCGGGGAUAGAUAGGCACCCAAGACCUCCAUGUCUUGUUACUUCUCUAUCAUCGUCCCGCCCGGUCUCCAAUUAUUCAUCCUCAUCACUUGGUUAUUUCCAUGAUAGCAUAUAUAGCCAACCCUUUUCGGGAAUUCACCUAUCUCGCUCAGGUGACAAAACAUCACCUGGCUUCUACUAGUCUAAGCAUGACUAAGCAUUUAGAUUCGAUCCUGAAUCUACAUAGGGUAAUAGGUAUAUUUGCUGGACAAGGAGUGUUAUAUGCAGCUAGGGUUUCACCCAACUCCUAUACUUAAUGCAACAAUACAUAUAUAUAACAUAUAUUCUCAAUUGCAUUCAAAAGUAGUGGGAGACUUAUAAUGCUCCUGUGCUUGCCUAGGAUCAACACUGAGUCAGUUCAGUUAGUUGCUCCAUCUUGAUGACAUCUUAGGUCGCAACACUUGCUUAGUUCUUCCACCUUCGGGAUGGGUCCACCCAACACCGUCUUCGGGUUUGUUCCCACACCAAGACCUUCACGUUAUACACCUACCGCACCUAGAUGAGAUGCAAGAUGCAAGUGCAUGAAUAUGCGGAAUAGUGACACAACAUGCAUUACAUAAAAGUAUGCAAGACACAUGCCUCUAAGUUAUUUAACUAACAUCACACAACCAAAUAUUUAGAAAACAUAUCAAUCACAACACAAGUUUAACAAGUUUACAAGUGUAUUACUUAAUCACCGCUAAAGACAUGUAUCAUAGUUAGCACACAAAGUAAAGCAAUCAAGCAUUCAUGUAUUUCAGCAGUUCUGGACAUACAUGCAACAACUCAGUAAAUAAAUCAUAACUGGAGUUACAGAACUCAAAAAACUAUGCAAUAGGACAUUCUGGAAAGAAUAUAAAAUUAUCUACAAUUCAUCUUUAAUCAUCUCAGUAUGAUUAACAAGUUAACCAAGUCAAACAUGCAUGACCAUAUAAUCUGGUCCAGGAACUUCCAGAGAACAAGCAUUUCAAAGGAUGAACUUCAUACUACUGUAACUCAUAAACGACUUAGCUGAAUGCUAUGAAACUUUACCACAAGAUAUAUUUGUAAGUUAUCUACAUCUUUUCUAUAUACAAGUUCAACAGCAAAUUUCAUUUAUAUCAUGGAAUUAAUUGCAUAAAUAAAACUGUUCAUGCUGCCAAACAGUAGAAGUAUAAUUACAAACAGAAAACUAACAGGUGAUUCAAAGCAGCAUAACUGGAGUUGUAGACCUCCAGCAAACAUAAUUCUUAUAUUUGUGGAAAGCUUAUAAAGUUAGCUACAACUUUCUUAUUAUCAUCUAAAUAUGAUUCCACAGUUAACAAGGUCAAUUGACCCCAUGAAGACAUCUCUGUCCAAAACAUGGACAGAAUCUGUCAUGCCAUAUUAAACAGCUAUAACUUGAGGUUCACAUGUCCAUAAUUUAUGUUUGUGUACUUUAUAGAUAGCUUACUAAAUGGUGAACAACUUUGUUAUAAACAUCUAUAGAUAAAUCUACCAUUAAUAAGGUCGUACAUUACAAACAAUGCAACCCUGUCUGGGUUUAGACAGAAACUUGAACAGUAAUUUAAACCACUAUAAAUAAACAUAUACUUAACCAAAAAUUGUGGUACUUAGAUUUCUGGAAGGCUUAUGAAAAGUACUACAACUCAUAUAUUCUCAUCAAGGCAUGAUUCACAACUUAACUGAGCCAAAUAAUACAAACAUGCAGACCUACUCAGAAUAGGAGCAAAGCAACAAAGGUCAUUUGUUAUUUUUAUAACUCUUAAUCUCUCAAUCCUAAAAUUAUGAAACUUUUACCAGACAUCAAGCAUCAUAUUAGAAGCAUGUCGCAAUAUUUUCACAUUUAUUUGGGCAAUAACACAGCAGUUAUGAAAAAGACAAAUAUAACAAGCAAUUAAAACCUAACUGCAUAAAUCUAUUUUUACGACUAAAACUUCAAAUUAAACUAUGCCAUAUUAUAGAUCUACUGCAUAGAAAAUUUUAUAAGGAUUCCAAAAAGUCCACAUUUAAUAUUUUACGACUUUUCUAUGAAUUACUUAUGCAUUUCCAAACUUUAUACAAGAAAUCUGCAAAAACAAAAGAUAAAGGAAAAACGACUUUGCAUCGGGAACCCUCAACUUUCUCCAAAUUAACCCGCCGUCCAGAGCACUAUGAAGUCGGUAGUUCGCAUCUGGAACCCUGAGUUGUUUCUUAUUCCAACAGAGACAUGACCAACAGCUUCUGGGGGCAAGUGGCCAGCCGCAGCAGGAGGCAGCCGGCGACCUGGCCUCGGCUAGCCAUGGCCACGCCCGGCCCUAGUAUUGGCCGGCUGCAGCCAGCAGCAGCAGGAGCUCAAGCUCUGCUCGAGGUCGAUGGUGGCCAUGGCAGCUCUGUUGCACAAGAGCGACGAGAGAGAGUUAGAGACGGGCGAGAGCUAGUGGGGAACGAUUGAGGAGCGCAAGGUGAGCUCGACCCGCACUCAGCUCUCCCCAUCGAGCAGCAGGCGACGGCAGAGAGGCGCAGAGCAGCUCGUGCAUGGAGGAGACGCACCAGACGUGCGUCGCCCAUUGACGCAUUUCGCCGAGCACGUGGCGCGCGUCGGAGUAGGCAAGGUGGGAGGCGAUUUUGGGCUUGUUUCGGGCCGAAUUUGAAGAUGGGCCAAAAACAAAGUUUGCUCACCUCGACCUGCUCUCCAACUUUGUUUAAGGGUGCUCAGUCAUUAGACCAACAGAUUAGGAGAUAACUUAAUGCCAUGUCACGAGUGUCAACGUAUUGACGGUGAUUAACAAACCAAGAAUUCAUGGUCCAAACCAUGUCAAACUUGAUGCAACUUUUUGCAUGCUCUUCUCCAAACAAUUAUCCACAACUUUUAUUCUUGGACCAACUUGAGUUGCUUAACAAAAACACGAGAACGCGGCAUGCCAACGGGUACACGUCCGUUUAGCAAUAAAAUAACCUUUUGCUGUUUUGGGAGCUACUUUUAGAUAUCCAAAUGAACUCCAAAUUUGAUGACACUUGGUCCAUUGCUUUAAUCAGGAAGGGUACUCCAACUCAUAUUAAGGAAUCUAAUUGAGUUACUAUAUGAAUUUGGAUAAUAAAACGUGACGAAGGAUCUAACUCACUGCUGUACUUCCAGGGACUUAGAAUUAUUUCUCAGGGCUAAAAAGCAGCAGCUGAUUCGAAAUUUUAGCCUCUGUUUGAGCUAUUUGCAUGCUGAUUUGGUUCUUGACUCUUGAAUGAAGUUUCUUAUACAGAAGCAAAACUACAACUUUUAUUUAGGGUCAAACCUCAUAACUCCAACAGAAGUCAAACUUUCACUUUGGUCAAAGCAGUAUCGUGAUAAAGCUCCAAAUAGGGUUUUAGGCCAAUUGAAGCAUUUUCUUGACAUAAGCUCAACAUGAACCCUUCAUGACUUUUGUUGUAUAAUUCAUCUAGAGUCAUAUGAGCAAGUUUGGAAGGUUUGGUUCAUGACCCAUGAUUCUAUUUCCUUAAUAGAGCCAUUCCAACAAGGAUAUAACUCAUCAUUUCAUGUGACUUCUUGAUUUCAAACUUCACAAAAAUUUUCCAGAGACCAAUAUAGAUUGGGAUAGAUAUGAGACACAUGAAAAAUGUUCCACUAACACCAUCCAAGCAUACCUUUCAAAAAGGGCAUAUAUGUAAGUAAAGGUGCAUCAUCCAAGUCCAAGAUAGGGCUUACUUUCAUAGAUUGACUUUGACCUUUUUAUUACCAUUGAACUUGUCAUGUUUGAGCUCAAAUCUAGUACUUAGCAAGUGACAACACCUGGGGUGUUACAGCCUUCCCCCCUUAAAAGAAUCUGGUCUCGAGAUUCGGUGCAAAAUACUUUCCAGGGAAGAAAACAAUGUCCUCCAUCUCUCAACAUCAGCAAUAACAGUGGGCUACUUUGCUUGGAACAUCAGAGAAGCUAACUUGGUCCAAUCAUUUUCUAAUUCUUGCCCUUCAUAGUAAACCUUUAUCUGAGGAAUCUCCCUUUUUGUUUGACUUUAGUGAAGCAUUGUUACUUUGGGAGGAAUCAAGACAAACUAUUCCAUGUACUUUGUUCCUGGUGUAUAAACAAUGGUUUAGAGCAUAAGGAGCUACUUGUACCAUUAGCUUCUUUAGUGAAACUAAUGCAAUCCAUAUGAACUUUGCACUAUGUCACAAGCUUCUAAGGGUUGCUCAUUAUAGUGACUCCAGACUCAUUCACAAGAUUUUAAAAGCAGUCCUCUACCAACAUGGUUGGAUUACAACUUUCCACGCAUGCAGUUCUCUUUCUAUGAUGACAACAUUGUACUUACCACCUGGUUAAGAGAACGGUGAAUGCGAUAGCUGACUCUGCUGGUUUCACGCCUUCCAUGAUCAUUUACUUUAAGGGGAUUCUUGUAUCCAAACAACAACAGUUACUUGGGUCGGAUCAGAUGUAACUUCUUGGGCAAUACAUAGAAGGUAACCAAGGCAUGUAAGAAUUGGAUAACCACUACUGACGAAGGAUGAUAGUGGGGCUAUAUGUCUCCAAUAGUUGCAAGUGUUCAACCAACUAAAGAAAUAGCGUACCACCAGUAGGUUAAGCAUGAUCUUUCUUCAUGAUGCAGUUGCAUAAGAGUUAGGUUGACUUGUGCCAUAGCAAAACCAAUCUAGUGAAACUACUUUUGUUUUUGAGGUUUCCUUUUUAAGAUCAGUCGGUAGCUCUAACAUUGGAAAUCUAUUGACUGACACCUUUCAAAACAUUUUUAAUUUGCACUGGCACAAAUAGGUACAAAGAAUCUUAUUUCAGCACAUAAGCAUUAUCUAUGCAGCAAGACAUUGCCCAUACUGUAAUCCAUGGCACCAAAAUCAACACCACUUUAUAUACGAAGGAUGAUCGAUAUCCAAAGCAAGAUUGCAAAGUUCUAACCCUUUUGGGUUUUAGUUCAUAUUUCACCAAUUACCACUCACAUUUCCAUUAACUUUGGUAGAAACACAGAUCCAUGAGUCUUCCAACCUCAGACCAACCAUUUAGCUCCAAUAGGCACCCUUUGCAUAAGCAGAACAUAUACAUACUAAACUUGUUCUAUGCUGAAACUGUAGCAUUCUGGACUGACAAGACAUCUCUCACUCCAAAGUUUGAUUCACUAGUUGAUGAAAUAUAUCCUUCAUGGCUAUCAACCCAUCGUUUCCUUGCUUGAGAUUAGCUUUGUUACUAGCAACCAAUCAAUUGGCUCUCAGUACUAAAAUUCCAAAGCUCCACUCUUAACUACAACAAUUGUGGCUGACGCUUAACAAUUGGUCACCUUCAAAGCCAGGAGAUAAGGAUUCAUGAUAAAGAUGGUUGACUUUAGUCGUAUCACCACGAUGCACAUAAAGAUCAAGACUUAGGAAAACUAGAUCAUAAGCACAAUUUUGGUUCGGUGUGGAUGACCAAUGUUGCUCAUUAAAUGGCCAUCAUCAAUGUAGGGAUAGUUAAAUAGUGUCACUUGUCUACCACCUCUUGCAGUCUGUCAAUGUUUAUGUCAGUGACCCAUUCUUCAAAGGUAAUCCUCUUUGUAACUUCAUAGGAAGUUCUCUUACUCGCACAUGAAGUAAUGAUCUUCUGAUCAAAUCUGGAUAGAUAAUUAAGGACAAACUCAUGAUGAGAUGACACAUUGGUGUAGUUCUAUAAUGGAUCAUGGCUAGCAACAACGAUACCAGCGCGUGCCGAGCAGCACAACCAUGUGUCGGCCGCCACAAGCGGCUCUCGGUUUUGUCACGGCACCAUCAAUCAUUAACCAAGACACCAUUACCGAACAUACAAUCCAAAAGAAAUAUCCCAUGGUAAAAGUUGGGUUGCAUAGCAGCGAGCACUUUGCAAAAGAGGGGCAUCAAACUGAGAUAGUCAUGAGAUUAGAAGUCCACAAGGAGGUGAUUUAAAACAUAGUACUAGAGAACAUAGAUCACAUGAGAUUAAGACGGAUAAACACCUAGAGACUCAAGAGAGUUGGAGAUAAAAUGAUUAAGAUUUGAAAGAUUGUCAAUACACAGAUUAGGGGAUGGAUACACAACAUUCAAGAGCUAACAACCAUACACAAACUCAAGCUCUUUAUCAUUGGAAUCUACUUGGAGAUAACCAUGAGAUUAAAGUGACAUGAGUGUUAUUCUAAGAUAAGGCUCUUCAACACUCGCAUGCUUACUAAGGACAAAAAGGUAACAACUAUGACACUACCUAGUUAACAACACAUCCACUCAUGCAUCAAGGUUUUAAGCAAACAUUUGAGAACAUGAAUCACACUAUCUCCAACAAUCAUUACUAAGCACAAAGUUUUGCAGAUAACAAGCAGUCAUCUAAACCAACACUAGUACACCUAAACAAACAAAACAUGAUGGUAAGGUGUUUUUAUCUUUCACUUUCUUUUACUAGAAAGGUGUAUGUCUCUUCUCUAGUUGUGAAAACAAACUUUUAACUUAUGCUUAGAAGACUAGUCAUCUUAGAGAUGUGCAUCAUACUGACAGGGUGCACAGAUCAACCACAACACUGGCAAAACAAAGCUAAUCACACCCUACCUUCAAUUAUAGCUAUUCAAGCAACAUGGAGCAAAGCAUUAUAUCUAACUGCACACUAGCCAGGUGAUACACAUUGAUUUACAAGUUACUUAUUGUUAGAACAAAGGUGAGAGAAGCAUAGCUAUACAUAAGGCAACAAUCAUGAUGAUGCAUGCUUCGUCCUAUUCGUCCUUGUUGACGGUAUUUAUACCAUGUUUUCUACUAUCAUAACCGUCAACAUAAGACUCAUUUUGGGAGAAAACAACCAAACAAAGUAGUAAUAUAGGUACAUAUAACCUAGUUCCACAUGUACAUGCUACUAUUUGGUUGCAGGAGUAAGAACAGGUACUUUUCAAGGGUCCAAACACUAAGAAGGGGUGAAUAACUAAAGAUCAGUGACACCAGUAACCAAGACAACAUUAUAGUCAUGAAGAGGAAGACAUGUAGGACAGGGCUGACACCCUAACCCCAUAGAAUUGGGGUCGGGCGACCCCACUUUGGUGGGUCCCACAGGUCAGCUCAACUCCACCGACAUCAGAGAGCCUCCAGGACACUGCAGGUGGGCCCAACCAGCCAGAUAGGGGGUCGGCCGACCCCACUUCAUGGCGGUUCCAGGGUCGGUUGGCCUCCCACCGACCUUGCCCACAUGUUGCACAUGUUAGUUUGCCUCUACCGUUGAUCAGAUGGCGGUUGUGAAGUCGGUUUGAUCCAAUGGUGCAUGAUGAAGAUGACGCGGAUCGCUGACGUGGCACCGGAGUAGCCCCUACUCCAUCUCCCACUAUAAAUACCCCCCUAUUCCUUCACUUAAGAGUCAUGUAUCUUAGGAGUAAACUACUUUAGUAGCUUAGUGAUAUCAUAGUGAGUAGAGAGUGAGGAGUUCCAAGGAGGAGUCCCGGCCUGUCGGGAGUCUUCUUCGCGGAGCACCUCAGCGGAAGCAGGUCUUCUUGUAAGUCUUACUUCUGAGUCUUUUCUAGUAUUUAAUAUUUGGUCUGGUACUUUAAGUAUAAGAAUCCUUUACUGGCACAUUGCUUGAUCUUGAGUGCUCUUAGCUUUAGCUAAGCUUAGGGUAGCAAGAGCUAGUUUAGACGUGGUGUCUAGACUACUUCUUGCCAGUGUGGACUCCUUGUCGCAGUUGUGUAGACACCUAGUGUGAGAGUGACAGUCCUCGCUAGGCGGAAAGUUCCUCGCAUCUGUUGUAGGCAAGUUGCAAAUAAUAGUUGGGCUGAGCAGGGUAGUCGCUUAGGAGACGAGGAGGUGAAAAACUUCGUUAACUCAAUCCUCCUUUUCGGGUAUCGCCCUCAGUAAAGAGUUAGGUGAAAAACCUUGACUAUACUUAAUUACCAAGACCAGGCAUUAAUACUAGUUAGACCUCUCUACCCCAUUAUCCUAGACCCUUUGAUCAUCACCUAACGAUCUAAAGCCUAGUUAAUUCACUUCGCGUUCCCCGUGGAAAUCACGAUACCUGGAAUACUCCCGGUGAAGGCUACAUUGACUACCGUACGCUUGCGGUAUAACCGUUUGCCACUUCUGGUGUCAACAAGCUUUCUGGCGCCGUUGCCGGGGAACAGUAGCUGUUUUAACUAGGAAAAAAAAAUCGUUAAGUUAUCUUUGUUUGAUUUAAAACUUUAUACACAUAUCCAAAUGGAUCAAACAACCCUCUUCGAUUACGCUGCUCCAACGGGCGCUGAGUUGGAGCCAGCGAGUUCAUCAAAAGCCAUUUUGGCCUGUCACUAUGAGCUUCGCCCGAGUCUCAUAGCGAUGGUUCAGGAGAAUCCCUUUUCGGGAGAAGGAGAUGAAAAUCCUUACACACACCUACGAGAUUUCGAACAACUUUGUUCAUGCAUCCACAUCCAAGGGAUGAGGCGAGUUACCCUCAAGUGGAAGCUCUUUCCGUUCUCUUUGACGGGAAAGGCCAGACGGUGGUACACUCGCUAUGUAGGUAGUGUAGGAGGAGAAUGGGAAAAGCUGCAAGCCAAAUUCUGCCUCACCUACUUUCCCAUCUCUAGAAUAGCUCGUCUCCGUAGAGAAGUCCUAGACUUCAAGCAAGAAGGGAAGGAGUCUCUAGGUACGGCCUGGGCGCGUCUCACCGACUUAACAUCAUCUGGCCCAGACUUAGGUAUAACCGAGCCAAUUCUUAUGCAACAUUUUUACCUCGGACUUAGCCAACAAUCCGCACAAUUCCUUGAUUUAGCCUCAAAGGGAGCAUUCCUUCAUUUACCUAUCAGUGAAGGUAAGGCCAUUCUUGGGACUAUUCUCGAGAAUACCCCUUACACUGAUGAUCAUAUUGAAGCUCCUGAGGAAGAUCGAACUCCUAGGGAUGAACCUUCGACAGCCAAAACUCCUUUAGCCGCAACCCAAGCUGUCGAACCUGAACCAAUACCACAAGCACCUCCAAGGGAAGAAGUAAUUCAUCCCUUGGAUUACCCACUUAACAUCGAGACUGAUCUAUUUGCCGAUUUUGGCAAUGUCUCGAAUCAACCUGUGCAAAGGAGAUCUACAGCACGCAGAGCUCCGAAUAGCCAUAUCCCAGCUCAUCUUGAGGCUGGUUACCUCAGGGCAACUGCCCAAGAACUCACGGCUAUUAUGAGUAAUGAAUGGGUUAGAGAAGCUGAGACAUCAUCUGAUGUCAUCAAACUUCUUUCGAGUUUUACACCCAUUCCCUGUGUCAUAAACUCCACUCCUAUAGAAUCCCUUUAUGACCCUGCUGUAGGAGUAAGCCUAAUGUCCAAAUCAUUAGUACUGACACUCCUAGGCGAGGAACCAUUAACCCCGACCAGCAAAUUUCUUAAAUUACGCUCUGGGGAAAUGUUCGAGAGUUGUGGGAUUGCGCAGAAUAUUCCUGUCUCCAUUAACAAAGUCAACAUUCUGCUAAACUUCUUUAUCUUUGAUAUGAAAGAAGUUGACUUGUUAAUCGGGCACCCCAUCAUGUGGUUCCUAAAUGGAUUUCAUGAAGGGCGUCUCAAGGGUAACCUCGGGAAGGGCUUAGACCUUUCUAUGCCUUUUGCCGGCUCUAUUAAUUCUAAAGCCGAGACCCCGCCCGAGCCUGACCCAAUAAAGGAGGUGAUGUCGGCAUCUCUUCUGGACUCUUCUCAGCCUGACUUAGAAGAAGACGCCGAAAACUUCAUCCAAGAAGAAGAGAACAAAUUAGAAGAACCAUUAGACUUGGAUGAAUCUAAACCACCACCAAAACCCUCUAUAGAACUUAAGCCACUUCCCUCUGGACUUAAGUACGCCUUCCUUAAUGGUGAUAGAGAGACUCCGGUAAUCAUUAGUGAUCAACUGACAGAAGAAGAAGUCACCAAACUCAUCAUCGUCUUAGAAGAACGCCGCUCUGUCUUAGGAUACUCGUUAGAAGACCUUAAGGGAAUUAGUCCUGCACUCUGCACUCAUCGCAUCCCUAUCGAACCCGAUGCUAUACCUUCCAGGGAGCCUCAGAGAAGGCUAAAUAAUGCGAUGAGAGAAGUUGUGAAGAAAGAGGUCUUAAAACUAUUGCAUGCGGGCAUAAUCUACCCUGUUCCGAACAGUGAAUGGGUCAGCCCCGUUCAAGUAGUUCCUAAGAAAGGAGGAAUGACGGUCGUUAAAAAUGACAACAAUGAACUCAUUCCUCAACGGACUGUCACGGGAUGGAGAAUGUGCAUAGACUACCGAAAACUUAACAAGGCCACUAAGAAAGACCACUUUCCGUUGCCAUUCAUCGAUGAGAUGCUGGAACGGUUAGCCAAACACUCUUUCUUCUGCUUCCUUGAUGGGUAUUCGGGUUACCAUCAAAUCCCAAUCCAUCCCGACGACCAAAGUAAGACUACAUUCACAUGCCCCUACGGAACAUAUGCAUAUAGGCGCAUGUCUUUUGGCCUAUGCAAUGCUCCUGCCUCUUUUCAAAGGUGCAUGAUGUCCAUCUUCUCCGAUAUGAUCGAGGAAAUCAUGGAAGUUUUCAUGGACGACUUCUCCGUCUAUGGGAAAACUUUUGAUGAUUGCCUAAAGAACCUGGACCGAGUCUUACAAAGGUGCCAGGAGAAGCACUUGAUCUUGAACUGGGAAAAGUGCCAUUUUAUGGUUCGAGAAGGGAUAGUGUUAGGACAUAGAGUGUCCGAACGUGGGAUAGAGGUAGAUAGAGCUAAAAUUGAAGUUAUAGAACAGCUCCCUCCUCCCACAAAUGUUAGGGGCGUCCGUAGCUUUCUUGGCCAUGCAGGCUUUUAUAGAAGGUUCAUACAAGAUUUCUCUCAAAUUGCUAGACCUUUAACAAACCUGUUAGCUAAGGAUGCACCCUUUGAUUUUAAUGAUGAGUGCUUGGAUUCCUUUUACUAUCUUAAGAAAGCACUUAUCUCUGCACCAAUCAUUCAACCCCCUGAUUGGUCGCUACCUUUUGAGAUAAUGUGUGAUGCUAGUGAUUACGCUGUAGGUGCUGUCUUAGGACAGACUAAAGAUAAGAAGCAUCACGCAAUAUCUUAUGCUAGCAAAACACUAACAGGACCACAGCUGAAUUAUGCAACAACUGAAAAAGAACUAUUGGCUGUAGUGUUUGCUAUAGACAAGUUUAGAUCUUAUUUAGUUGGAGCAAAGGUGAUUGUUUACUCCGAUCACGCAGCUCUAAAAUACUUGCUCACUAAAAAAGAUGCUAAACCAAGAUUAAUAAGAUGGAUCCUACUACUCCAAGAAUUUGACUUAGAAAUUAGAGAUAAAAAGGGAGUAGAAAACUCGGUAGCCGAUCACUUGUCUAGGAUGCAAAUCGAGGAUAAACAGGAUCCACCUAUCAACGACUACCUUCGAGACGACACACUCCUCCGAGUUUCAGAAGCCUACCCAUGGUAUGCAAACAUAGUCAACUACCUGGCGUCCGGAUACAUACCAUCUAGGGUAGACAAGAAGAAACUUGUUAAAGAGAGUAGGGUGCACCUAUGGGACGAUCCUUACCUCUACAGAGUCUGUCAAGAUGGCAUACUGUAACAUCCCUGAUGUUACGGUUACUAAAAACGGAUCAUGUCAUCAUAAGCAUUGUAAAGCAUAAUUGUUAAAGCACAUUAGUAUGCAUCAACUUAAAAUAAGUUUACUUUGUUUGCUUGAGCUUAGGGAAGUAGAGUGUGCUUUUGUGGUGUGGUGUUGCUUGUGUGGUUGCUAAACCCUAGGGUGGAAGUUUUCCGAAGAGCUAAGGGGGGGAAAACCCUGAUUUUGAACCCUAGAACUGCCCCCUUUUGUGUAAUUCAAAAACUAAGCCAAAUUUGAGGUUGAGUUCAAAAGCAAAGUUGUAGCUCUUGGCAAGAUGUACAACUUUGGUGUUUUGAGUUUUUGAAGUUUCAAUACAAAAUUCAAAGUAAUUUUGAAAAUACAGAUUUCCGAAAAGUGUCCCCUUUUCCAAAUUAAACCCCCAAUUCAAAAUCCAUUUGGAAUUUGGAAAAGUGGUCAACAUGAAAGUUGUAGAGCACAAAAAGUUGAGCAACUUUCAUGUUGGGAGUUUUUCAAGUUGUUUAGGAAAAACAAAAGUAAUUUUGGAAACUCUGUUUUGUCCCCAAAUCAAAAAUUUGAAUUUCUUUUGAAUUGAGUUUGAUUUUCAAACUGUCCGGCAAAAUUAACCUAUUUCCAUUGGGAAUCAGCUUGGAACACCUAAAUAUGAUUUGUAGCUUACAAAAUUUGGCACAACUUUUGUUUUGGUGGAAAUUUGACUUCAGUUCAAAUUUUGUUUGAAUUUCGCAAAAUCCAGAAAAGAGGGGAUAAGGGUUGCUACAGUGAUCCGAUAGGGAUCACCGGCUCCCUGUCCAGCGCGGCCGCCGUGCGCGCAGCGCCGCGUGCGCGCGCGCAGGCACGCAGCUGCUUGCUGCCAGGGUCGCCAGGCGACGUGGACGCCUCGGGCUUGCCUUCCCCUCCACUUGAGCACCGACGUGGACGACGCCGUCCAUUUCCACUGUCCACGGCCGGAGAAAACUCGACGUCCCUCUCCCUGAAAUUCACCGUACCCAGUUUCCCUCGCGCCAAAUUGAGCACGCUGCCGUAUUCGCCACCUCCUUGCGGACCCAGAGCACCCCCGAGCUCACGCUCUAACCCCCUUAAGCGCCAGAGCUCCUCCUUCUUCUCUAAGUCCGGCCGGCGUCACCGCCGUGGAAACCUUCACGUGAGCACGCUGCUCCAGUCGAUACCACGCCUUGAAGGCGGCCGUUUCGAGUUCUUCUUGUUUCCCCGAUACUCAUGCGCUCGCUAUUUCUCACUGGACGCCAACAGGAUCGCCGGAGCAACCUCGCCGGAGCCGGAGCAUCAGCCCGACCGCACGGCCACCGUCGCCAAGCCUCUCUACUGCUUCUCCCGCCGUGGUGAUGUGAGCACCAUGAUCCCCACUCCUUCCCGGACCUCCCGGACCUACUGGUUCACGCUCUACCGAACCGUCGUGCCCGGUCCUCGGCGACCGACGCGGCCGUCCGCCAUUUGCGUGGUUGAGGUGGAGAGAGAGCGGGAGAGCGUCCGUGGGUGGUAGCUUUGGAGUCGCAGGGUUGGCGCGGUGCUGGUGCGCGCGCGCGCGGGAGCCGUGGAACCCGUUAGCGGUCGCCGGAGCGGCGGCAGCACCGCCGUGAGCGAGGGAGGCGAAACUGACGAGCGGGACCCGCUCGUCAGUGACCGUGCGGAGAGGGGAGCGCGCGCGCGACGCCCGCAUGGGCCGAGCCAGUGGGCCGCCUGCGCAGCGCGGUUGUGGGCCGCAACGCGCGUAGUCCGCGCGGGAGAUCGCUCCCAGGCCGACUUGGGCCGUGCCCCAGUGGGCCGCCUGCGCAGCAGUGUCGCUUUUCUUUUUCCUUUUUGAUUAAAAUUUGCUUGAUGUUUGAAAUUAUAUGUUUAAUUGUGUGCUAAUCCAAAAAUGAUGAAAGUUUUUGUAUAGGUUCCAUAAAGUGGGUAGAACACAAGAAAAAUGGUGGAUUCUGUUUUCUGGUAGUUUGCAUGUCUGUAAAAAUUUGCUCUUUUAAUUAAUGAAUAAAACUUCUAGGAAUUUUAAUAAUUUAUUUGUAUGUCCAAAAAUCACCAAAAAUUGUGGGGAGCCUCUGAAUAUUAUUCCCUGGCUCCACACAAAAUUUGGUGGCAUGUGGAUAAUGUUUGAUUAGAAUACUAAUAAACCCUUAUUUAACACUUAAGUAAUAAUUCCAAAAUAGUUAAAUAGUGGUUAUUUAGGUUCUCAUGAUUAGGGUUGAGUGAUUUUGGGAUUGUGUGAUGACCUGAGGUCAUUAACUCUAAUGACCUCUGGCAGUUAAUUAUUGUUUAGCCUUAAUGCUUAAUUACUGUCAUUAGUAAUUAAUUAAGAAUUAAUUGAGGUAAAUAGGUUUAAUAAUUACUUAAUGUAAGAUAAUUAUGAAUUAAGUAAAGUCUUAGUUUACAAAUGAAACCUCUUGGGUAAAAAUAUUAAGUUGUUAAACAACUUUAUUUAGUGACAAUUCUGUAUUACAUUAAAAAGGCAAAUUGUACUUAAUUCGGUCCAUCUUGCAUAAUUGCCAUACGCAUAUCAUAAGCAUUCAUCAUUUUGCGUAUAGUGUCCGUGACCGAAGGAGCGCCCGUUGAACCGAACCCCGAGGUCGGUGCUCCGUUCGAGGAAGUCGGAUCCGAGACUUGGGAAGUCUCCGAGGGUCCCUCUCUGCCCUGCAACCAAGGCAAGCCCCGGAUGCAUUAACCCCUCCUUGGAUGUUUUAAAUCUUUUAUCACUUAUGAAUUGAAAAUGCUGCAUUAGGUAGUUGAGAAUUGGGUUAACCUACUUGCUGCAUUUACUACCUUGAUAUCUAUAUCCUGUCCUUGACACCUGUUUUAUUUUAAAACUGCGUAGCGAUGCUUAGCCCUGCUACUAGAUAGGUUUUCAAACAAGAAAGUUUGAAGGGUUGUUGUGGGAUACACUUAUGGCCAAUGAUGUUUCAACUUGAGACCGGUCGGUGGACUUGCUUUAAGAAUGGAGUCUUAAAGUAGUGUCUCCAACUGUGUCGGUUAAGGACCGGUCCGUUGAUGGCCUGCUGGGUUGAGAAUUUAUAGUACUAGCCACUUGCCUACGGUAAGCCCAGUCUUGUGAUCCCUCGACGCGAACAGCUACUCGCGCACUGGGAGUGGAAAGAUGGCGAGAGUAGUGUGUACCCACCUUACGGAUCUGAGAUGACCGGAAAACAUCUAGAUCGGCUGUAGGAUGGUGGAGUACUGUGCUCUCGGGUGCCGCGAACCUGGUCAAAUUUGGGGAGAGCUUGAUUUGGGUUGAUAUAUGCAAGAUUUGGUUCUACAUAUGUCGGGUGGUUAGGAACUCCAGCUGGAUUGCUAAGCGAUUCGAAUCGUCGUUGCUCCCCGAUUGGGAGACUCAAUUCCUUCGACCCUCAUCGUAGUUAAAUAUGCAACUAAGUGAUAAAAUGAGAAAAGGGAAAAUGUCUCAUGAGGUUCGGAUCCCAAUUCCCGGACUCAUAGCGACAUGAAGCUAUGACCAUCGAUAAAUAACACUUAAUGAUAGGGUUAGGAACUCACGGAUUCGUCUGUGGGGAACAACUAGUUAGACUAUCCUCGAAUUCUUCUGCCCUGCGAGGGAGGAAUUCAGGGUAAAACUUGAAAAUAAGGAUGCACUACUAGUAAGCUUUCCGCAAAACACUUUGGCUCCUUGCUCAGCCACCCCUUGUCUACCCUAAGCCUGCAUCCCUAAAUUCUCCUCUUUUCCCCGUCGGAUAAGUCUUGUUGAGUACUCCCGUACUCAGGGUUUCAAUACCCCUGUUGCAGGUGAAGCUCAGGAGCCGACUUGUUUCGGAUCCUGUUGUGUGACCGUCGUCGAGGUUGACGACGAAGAAGAGUGAGCGUGACCCAUGGGCUGGGUCUGUAAAUUUGUUCUGUCUGUACUAAAGUUUCAGUUGCUCCGCUGGACUAGGCUUGUAAUAACACUCUACUAUUUGGAAGAACUCCUUUUGUAAAUUAUGUUAUGUAAUACUUCCGCUGUUUCACUCUGAAAUACUAUUUUGGUCUUGUGUCGUUGAGUUACUGCUUUAUCUUCGCAACGAAUGAUCCUGGUGUUACGGUGGCCACUUGCUAUCCUGUAAGGGCGAGAAGAAACAGUUCUCGUUGUUUGACCAUUAUCAGUGGUCAGGACGAGUCAGCUUGGUACGCCACAGGUAGCAGUGGAAUGAGCGCACAGUAAGGCUCAUCGGACUUCUAAAGUGGGAGGACUCCCGGCAUCACCGUCAGAGGUCCUUAGGACAAUGGCAGGUGCCGGUGGGCCCAAACACUUAGGGGGUUCUGCCACACAUACUCAGGAGAUGUGUUCCCAUGGACGAAGUAGUAAAAAUAAUGGAAAAAUGCCAUGGGGCAGAGUACGGAGGCCACUAUGGAGCAUUCAGGACCCAUGCCAAGAUAUGGCAGAGUGGAUUCUACUGGCCUACCAUGUACGAAGAUACAAAGAACUUCGUAAGGAGAUGUGCAAGGUGUCAGAAGCAUGGGAACAUCAAUACUCGUGAUGCAAUGCCACUCACAAACAACUUACAAGUCGAGAUAUUCGAUGCUUGGGGCAUAGACUACAUGGGGCCAUUCCCUUUGAAACAAGAGUGUGAGUACAUCCUAGUGGCAGUAGACUAUGUGUCCAAGUGGGUCGAAGCAAUGCCCUGCAGAGCAGCCGACUCUACACAUUCGAUAAAGAUGUUCAAGGAAGUCAUAUUUCCACGCUUCGGCACCCCCAGACUAGUUAUCAGUGAUGGAGGGAGCCACUUCAUUGACAGAAGAUUCCGACGGUUCUUAGCUGAAGUGGGGAUAAGGCACAACAUUGGAACACCCUAUCACCCUCAAACGAGCGGACAAGCAGAAACAUCUAACAAACAAAUCAAGAACAUUCUGCAGAAGACUGUCACUAAGAUGGGAACCGGCUGGAAAAGCCAUCUACCAGAUGCACUUUGGGCAUACAGGACCGCAUACAAGACCCCAAUUGGUAUGACACCAUACCAACUUGUAUACGGUAAGACAUGCCAUCUACCGGUAGAGCUAGAGCAUAGAGCUCACUGGGCAAUCAAGAAAUGGAACAUGGAUUUGCCCUCGGCCGGAAGAAAUAGAAAGCUCCAAAUCUCCGAACUAGAAGAAUGAAGAGAUAAAGCCUAUCACAAUGCCAGGAUCUACAAAGAGAGAACAAAAAGAUGGCAUGAUAAAAUGAUCAAGCAAAAGGAAUUUCAUCCUGGGGAUAAGGUUCUCAUGUUCAACUCAAGGGUCAAGUUAUUUGGCCAUGGAAAGCUAAGGAGCAAAUGGGAAGGACCAUUCUUCGUUGUUGACGCUGCGACUCAUGGAGCGGUAACGCUGCGGGACGACGACGGCAACAUCUUUAAGGUAAAUGGUCAUCGUCUUAAAGUUUUCCAUGAACAUGAACCUUUAGAAGAAGAAGUUGAUAUGAUAGAAUUUGAAUCUGACACAAAGUCUUAAAAUCCACAUGUCCUUCUUUUUACCCCCUUUUUGUUUAAAUAAUUGCUAAAUCAAUAUAUUUAGUUCCUUUUUGUUUUGAAAUAGGUUUGUAAAGGGUUUUAGAUGACGUAGGAUCAAAGUUGGGCCGCCGAACACCCCAAAUGGGGGUCGGCCGACCCCUCUUCUAGGGGUUUUGGCCCAAGGGGGGAUAGGUUUAGAAAGAGGGGAAUGAAUAGAGUUCGGUGCUGAAAUUCAAAAUUCAAAAUCCUGAAAUAUAGGGGUCGCCCGACCCCAAUAUUUUGAGUUUUGAAAUCCCCUGGAGUCUCGGAUCGUCCCUCAAACGUUCCACGACGCUCCUUUUCAAAAUUCAAACUCUCAGGCUCCAAACACAUCUAUUUAUCCCCCCUCUUCUUCUUCUUCCUCCUCUCAAUUCAUUCCUUCUCAUCUUCACCUCGAACCAGACUCUCCUAGCCUCCAUUCCUUGCCAAGAGAUUCAUCUCCAUGGCUCCUCCAACUAAAUCUUCCAACCAAACCAUUCGCUCCAACUCCCCACGUCCGCAAAGGUCUCUAACUGAGAGCCUGGAGCUUGCCCUAGCCGUCAACGUGCUGGAGCCUGAACCACUAGCCAUGGUGCCGCCGGCUGGAGGGCCGACGGGCCCCAUGUGGGGGUCGCCCGACCCCAAGAGGGGUCGCCCGACCUCGCCCCGAGCGACGCAGCGCUCCGUGUCGGCCUCUCGUUCGCUCACACCGCGCAGGGGCAUCGGCAAGUCCCCUACUCGAGCCGUAACGCCGGUUCGACCUACCACGGGCCAACUUGCGCUGCGGGAGAAGGCGCCGAUGGCCACCAAGCAGGCCAUCACCAUCUCCUCCGACACGAUCCACACCUCUUCCUACUCGCCGUCCACCCCAACCUUUUGGAGGAACCACCAAGUGGUGGGCAGUGGGCCGGGAAAGGGGAAGGUGCUGAUCCCGCCGCUGAACUCUAAGGAAAAGAUGGAGUUGCGGGAGUCCUUUGACUCGUCAGCAAGUCCAUCCAUCCGGCGGAAGAUGGAUCCACCUCCGAUCAACGGUGCGCCUGGCAAAUACGAAGAAGAUCCAGAAAAAGGCGACAUCGAGAAGCUCCUGGAGGUCACAGCUAGCCUUAGAAAGAAAAAUAGGAUCUUAGAGGAGACAGUGUCGGAGCUCAGGAUGGAGAAUCUUGAGUUAGAAGAUCACUUCCGCCACCUGCGCAUUAGCACCAGCGCUAAAAUCAAGCGUUUGGCGCAAGCAAUUGGGCGGGAGGAUCUCCUCAAACCUCCAUCUCCCUAAAUAAAUUAGUUAGUUUAGGUUAUAGGCACUAUUUGAUUAUUUAGGUUUGAUUACUCAAUUUUAUUUUUCAAUUUGUCACUUUGAAUUUCGCAAUGUAAAAGUGCCUAUACAAUUGAAUUUUGAUUUAAUGGAGUCGUUUUUGGUCCUGCUGGUGUGUUGCCACCAGCAGGACAUCUGCAUUUGAUCGUCUCUCUCUGUUUUAAGUUCAGCUGCACGAAAACUGCAAGUGUGGGGGGGUCGCCCGACCCCCCAACUUCAUCUCUGAACUGCCGUGAGCAUGGAACAACACUGCAUACACCUUGGCACGUCAUGGCACCAAAAACAGGCGCGAUGAGGGGGUCGCCCGACCCCCUUUCUAUGGCAAAAGGAAAUGACACAAGUGCAGAAAGACUUCCCGAGGGACGUAGAAUCGAGUGGCAGGGCCAGGAACCUCCAGGUGGGGUCGGCCGACCCCUCCAUAGAGCCCUGGGCCCACCAGGAAGCUUCUAUACGACGAAACACAUCUUUCCUGCCCGGUUUGCUAACUCUUCCCCCUCUCAGUCUGUCCAAUUCUUUACCUUUGUGUCACAAUUAAAAUAAAAUUUGAUAGUUUAAACUUGUUUGCAAAAUAAAAAGUGAACUGGUUCAUGAUUUAAGAGAAAUUGUGACAUAAAGUAUAGUUCUUACAAUUGUUCAUCCUCAUGGGUAAAAAUCUAUAGGAACCAUAUUGACUAAGUUGUUGAUGAAAGUGAUAUAACUCUUGGCUAAGAAUUCAUAACAUUUCUAUUCAAGGUACUUAGAGAUUUGUUUCAAAAAUAUCACAAAACCAUAGUAUCAUUUACUCCUCAUUAGCAAGAAAUUCCCACCAAAAGCCAUACACUUAGAUAUUCAAGUAACCAUUUUAUGAAAUGCAACCUGCUUUUGUAAUGAGUUUUGUCAAAACCUUGUUGACCCUAGUGAGAAUUGUAUCAUAGUCACAAGAUCAAGAUCACGUACACACCACAUAUAUAUAUGCUGCUUCUACACUGGAAGUACGCAACCACAUGUAUUGUGCAUCCACUAAAUAGGUUGCUCCAUACUCUAAGUGUUAGAACACCUCUCUAAAUAUUGUUUAGAAAAUGAGACAUAAAAGGCUUGGCAAAAUAAAAGAAAAAGAAAAGAUGGACAUGUGCAAGUCCAUGAAGUAUAAAAAAAAAAAUUGAGCACAUAAAGCUCGAAGAAAAAGAAAAUCUAGCCAUGUCUCAAUAUACAAGUAGAGAGAGUGUAGCAAAUAAAGGAGCAACCUAGUCCACCAUAUAACACACUUGCACAUCUUGAUCUAUGACUAUGACACUCCUCUCUUUGGAUCCUUGUUUUUGACUUAACAAUAUUUGCAAAGUAGAGUAUGCUACCUUGUUUAUCCCUACCAAGCCCCAUAUAAGCCUAUAGUUAUAGGAUGAAACAAGUUGGCAUUCAUGCCUUGGUGAGGACUACUAAAAAAAAAACUUUGAGUGAUCUAGAGCGCUAAAUGAGGAGUAGGAUUGAACUAUGUGACUUAUUUUAAAAAGUGUCAUAAAAACUCUAAGUACCAAGAAUAUGAAAUUGGAAUUUGAUCUUGUUCUGAGAGUUGUUCCUUUUCUCAACCUCUGAAGGAUAUAUGCUAGACACUUACACAAAAACCCAUUUGGAUGAACUAUGUUCGAACUAGCAUUUUAUGCUCACUACUAUCUUAAGUUAGAAACCAUUGAUCACUCAUUUUUAACCUUUACUCGAGGACGAGCAAAGACUCAAGUGUGGGGGGUCUUGUUGACGGUAUUUAUACCGUGUUUUCUACUAUCAUAACCGUCAACAUAAGACUCAUUUUGGGAGAAAACAACCAAACAAAGUAGUAAUAUAGGUACAUAUAACCUAGUUCCACAUGUACAUGCUACUAUUUGGUUGCAGGAGUAAGAACAGGUACUUUUCAAGGGUCCAAACACUAAGAAGGGGUGAAUAACUAAAGAUCAGUGACACCAGUAACCAAGACAACAUUAUAGUCAUGAAGAGGAAGACAUGUAGGACAGGGCUGACACCCUAACCCCAUAGAAUUGGGGUCGGGCGACCCCACUUUGGUGGGUCCCACAGGUCAGCUCAACUCCACCGACAUCAGAGAGCCUCCAGGACACUACAGGUGGGCCCAACCAGCCAGAUAGGGGGUCGGCCGACCCCACUUCAUGGCGGUUCCAGGGUCGGUUGGCCUCCCACCGACCUUGCCCACAUGUUGCACAUGUUAGUUUGCCUCUACCGUUGAUCAGAUGGCGGUUGUGAAGUCGGUUUGAUCCAAUGGUGCAUGAUGAAGAUGACGCGGAUCGCUGACGUGGCACCGGAGUAGCCCCUACUCCAUCUCCCACUAUAAAUACCCCCCUAUUCCUUCACUUAAGAGUCAUGUAUCUUAGGAGUAAACUACUUUAGUAGCUUAGUGAUAUCAUAGUGAGUAGAGAGUGAGGAGUUCCAAGGAGGAGUCCCGGCCUGUCGGGAGUCUUCUUCGCGGAGCACCUCAGCGGAAGCAGGUCUUCUUGUAAGUCUUACUUCUGAGUCUUUUCUAGUAUUUAAUAUUUGGUCUGGUACUUUAAGUAUAAGAAUCCUUUACUGGCACAUUGCUUGAUCUUGAGUGCUCUUAGCUUUAGCUAAGCUUAGGGUAGCAAGAGCUAGUUUAGACGUGGUGUCUAGACUACUUCUUGCCAGUGUGGACUCCUUGUCGCAGUUGUGUAGACACCUAGUGUGAGAGUGACAGUCCUCGCUAGGCAGAAAGUUCCUCGCAUCUGUUGUAGGCAAGUUGCAAAUAAUAGUUGGGCUGAGCAGGGUAGUCGCUUAGGAGACGAGGAGGUGAAAAACUUCGUUAACUCAAUCCUCCUUUUCGGGUAUCGCCCUCAGUAAAGAGUUAGGUGAAAAACCUUGACUAUACUUAAUUACCAAGACCAGGCAUUAAUACUAGUUAGACCUCUCUACCCCAUUAUCCUAGACCCUUUGAUCAUCACCUAACGAUCUAAAGCCUAGUUAAUUCACUUCGCGUUCCCCGUGGAAAUCACGAUACCUGGAAUACUCCCGGUGAAGGCUACAUUGACUACCGUACGCUUGCGGUAUAACCGUUUGCCACUUCUGGUGUCAACAGUCCUCACAAAAUUGCCAGCCUAAGGUGGCGAUCGCGUUCUAUAUCGGUGGCAUAACACGUACACUCUCGACAUAUACCUAAUCGUAAUAUUCAAUUUACGCAUUCGUGGUUAGUGUACCUGCAGAAAAUUCAUUUCAGCCCACCCACAAUAUGAAGCAUGCAAUACAAGAUUUAAAAGCUAUGCGCUCCACACACGUGUAUCCCCAUACCCGUAUGUGUAGUGCUACUACCCACAUCAUCGUCCUAGUGACGACAUCGCCUCUAAGGACGGAAUCGCCCAUCAUGUGGUACCUUUUCAUAGGCACAUGUAAAAUGUGCACAUGAUUGAGUACCAAAAGCACUUCCCUAGAUCGGCGGUGUAUCCGAUCAUGCUCUCACAGCUCACACUUACCGAGGCGUAGAGGAAAAAUGAUCCAUACAUUACCAUUCAAAUGAAUGGCACUCAUACUAUUGCACGCCGUAUGAGCAACAAAAUAGAAAUUGUUGACGAUCCUUAAGUAUCAAAUUUAAUUAUCAAAUAAAUAAAGAAAAGGAUCCAAAUGAAAUCAAGAUCUAGACUUAGGGUUUUAUCUGAUAGAAUUCCACGAGUUUUGGUGUUUGUCUAUUUCUGCAGGGGGUUAUCAGGAAAUACGGAAGAAAGGCCCACACGUCGGGAUUACAUAGAGAUAUUAACGUGCCGUGCAAUUAUAUUACAUCUAGAAGACUCCAGAAGCCACGAGACCGAAGCGGAGGCGAAACGGGGCCUGACCCUGGGCGCCCGCCCACCUCCUGAGUCCAAUUAGGACUCUGCUUUGCGGGAGAUUUCCACCGACCUAAAGGAUGAAUCUAAACCAUACAAUCUAUGUCGGUAUGAUCCAAUGACCCAUAUUCACUUGAAGGGACUAUAAAACCAGACCCCCUGGCCCCUGGAGGAGAGAGCCUCUCAACCCUAAUUCAUUGUUCCUCAAGGGAGAAGAAGCCUCUGAUCAAGAUUAGAGCCACCACAUCAAUUAGAUAUCUAGAUUAGCAUAGCUACAUAGGAUUAGAACUAGAAGGAGUCAAUCUUCGAUUGGUUUCCGGAUCUGUCAGGAGGAUUCUUGGUAAUUCUCUAAUUGUGCUUCUAAUUGCUUUCUAAUUAUCUUUGUUCUUCAAUAUUAUGAAUAUGACUUUGUUCUACUUCAAUAUAUUGCUUAUGACUUUGCUCUACUUGCUUAUAUUCAAGAUUAUAUUGUUCUUAGUUUAUCAUAGUUAUGUACUUGGCUUAGUUAGAUUGGAUCUAUAUACAUGCUUAGGAUCGUAUAGCGUUUAUCCAUCGGAUCCAUGGGUAAAUGAUAGAUAUUGUGUAGGCGUGGUGCUUAGACCGUAUUUAUCUGCGAUUGUACCCAAUAUGCCAGAUCGUGGGGUGGUUUGUGAUAGUGACAGCUUCAUUGAUUCUUGUAUAGUCCCCCUCUCGUGUAUUGGGCUGGCAGAGCAACAUUAUUACAGGGGAGUGAUUGCUAUGUUUCUCAUAUUCCUUGCUAAUAUAACUAUGCAUGGGCGUAGUCUUGUCUCACAAUGAUUGCUAAGUAUGCUUGCACUAAUUAUGAUAAUGCUUCUCUAUAUAGUUAAGAAUAAUUUAGGGAAUAUUCUUGUAGUUCGUUCUAAUACCAUGCUAAUGACUUUCUAGAGUAUCUAAUUGAGGUGCUUAUCAUAUUUAUUAUGUGGCUAGAUCAGAUUAGUUAUCCUUGUCACUAUUAUUAUUUCAUAUAUCUUUUAAGUGACACUUAUCCCUGUAUGAAGAGUUAGAUAUAAUGUUCUCAAUUAUACAUGCAGUGAUAGAUACUCAAUCUCAUAUUCUAUUCUGUAAUCAAUAUUGAUGAUUGCUAAUCCCUUCCCAGUGGUAAAAAUAUAAAUAACGAUACCUGGAAUACUUCCCGGUUAAAAUGCUGCAUCGGUAUUAAUCUGUGCGCUUGUAGAUCCCAUUCAUUAUUUAUUUAGAAGAGCAAUUGCAUAUUUCAAUACCGCGUCUCUCAUGUCAUGCUGGGGAUGACAACUUGGCUUAAGUGGUGUGAGGGAUAGGUUUGACAUUUUUGGCACCGUUACUAGAUUUAGAGAACUUAGUCUACUUUUGGAAAUGAUGUUAAGAAUACCCAACACGCAUUUUUGGCGCCGUUGCCGGGGAAGGUUGAUUACCAAUCAGGAAUAGAAUAAAAGAUUUUGAGUUAUCAUUCGCAUCACUAAUAUGAUUGAGCUUAUCUAUUCUCCCAUACAGUUUUACCCCGAUAUUUUCCUAUUUUAUCUUAUGCAGGGGAAUGUAUGAAUAGAAGACAUCUUCAAGGAAAUUUUGUUGACAAUCCCGAAGCAUUAUUCAAGAAGACGAGAGCCAAGCUUAAGAAGAGAUCAUCAACACUUCAGCAAGAAGCUUCAUCCAAUCAAGAAGAUCACCGGAACUUGUCUUCGGAGUUCGAAGCCAUGGCGAACAAAUCAAUCCGCGAGUUCUCAGCUCCCACUACGGACAACAUCCGCACUGGACCUGCUGCAGAGAUCGAUGGCAACUUUGAGCUCAAGCCUGGACUUAUCAACAUGGUGCAAUCCAACCAGUUCUGUGGGAAGGCACACGAAGACGCUAGUGCUCAUUUACAACACUUCCUGGAGAUUUGCAACACAUUGACCAUAGCAGGAGUUUCCAAAGACGCUAUACUACUUCGCCUCUUCCCAUUCUCACUGUUAGGAAGAGCGAAGCAGUGGUUCUACGCUACAAAGGAGAAGAAUACUACGUGGGCACUCUGCUCAACAAACUUCCUGGCUAAGUUCUUUCCCAUGGGCAAGACCAAUGCUCUCCGUGGGAAGAUUACAAGUUUUCAGCAACAAAAUGAUGAAUCUGUUCCAGAAGCAUGGGAGCGCUUUCAAGACUACAUCCUAUAAUGUCCCCAUCAAGGAAUGGAGAGUUGGCUACUGAUGCAGACAUUCUAUCAUGGGCUCAGCAACAUUGCCCGAGAGACCAUGGAUGCUGCAGCUGGAGGAGCAUUCUUAUCACUUACUAUACCACAAGCCACAGCUCUUGUGGAGAAGAUGGCGUCCAACCAAAGCUGGAAUGAAGAGAGGACCCAGACACGCAAGAGAGGUUUAGGUAUGCAUCAGCUGAAGGAGGUAGACAUGCUGUCUGCAAAGCUAGACCUGCUCAUGAAGAAGCUCGACGAUAGAGCUGGAGACAAGAAAGAAGUUAUGCACAUCUACGACUCUCACAUGACUUGUGAGGAGUGUGGAGACACUGGACACUCAGGCAACCACUGCCCUGAGAUGCUUGAGGAUGUGAACUACAUCAACAACAACUACUACUACUACUACAACCGUCCUCAGCAAAAUCAAGGUUGGAAUCAACAGAGGCCUAACUACUCAGGUAAUUAUCAAGGUAACAAUUCUUACAACAAUAAUAAUAAUUUUCCACCUUUGAGAGAGUUAGUGUCUAAUCAAGGAAAGCUAAUGGAUAACCUGUCUAAGAAAUUGGCAUCAAAUGAUAAAAUGCUAGAAAAUAUAAAUAAUAGAAUGGAUAAUUUCUCUACUGCCAUCAAGAAUCAAAUUAGCUUUAAUAAAAUGAUUGAAUCCCAGUUAAAUCAAAUAGCUGCUGCUGUUCCUACUACUAACCCCGGUAUACCAUCACAACCGGAAGGAUUAGAAUCUGCAAAUCUUGUAGACAUGUUCGAUGCAGGUAAUUGGAGUAACCCCGUCACUGAAUUCUCUACUGACCUUCUGCCGGUCAAGAGAGGCGAUCCAGGACACCCCGUCAUCCCGAUCUCCAUCGGCAUGGUGGACGUUCCAGAAGCACUCUGUGACUUUGGCUCUAGCGUCAACAUUAUACCCAGGGUACUCUAUGAAAAAUUCUUUACAUAUCCUUUAUUAGAAAUAACCAUGUGUUUGCAGUUUGCAGAUCAGACGAUAACUUUUCCAAAAGGAAUAGUGAGGAACCUUUGUGUCCGAGUUGGUACUAUAUAUGCCCCAGCAGACUUCAUAGUGGUUGAGACCGGAAAUGAUGAGAGAGCACCUAUCAUCCUAGGAAGGCCAUUUUUGAACACCACGGGAGCUAUCAUCUACGCUAGUGCUGCCAAGAUCAGUUUCUACGUCAAAGGGAAGAAGGAGACAUUUUUCUUCAAGAACAAGACUACACAAAUUCCAGAUCAAUCCAGACGUGAAUCAGGGAAGAGGACCAACAGGAGGAACAGGAACAAGCAAGUGUGGACCGAGUCAGCUAAGAUGGUCACUGUAGUCCAUGGAGGCCAAGAUCACCAACUUAAGUCACCGUUUUUGACCAAGAAGGACGACCCAGGAAUGCCAAGCAUCUACUGCUCCAUAAAUGGAUAUAACUUCUACAAGACGAUUUGCGACACCGGAUCGGGCGUCAACAUAAUGGCCGCAGUCACUUAUCGGCUCUUGUUCGGGACCAUGCCACUAAGACCAACAUACAUUUAGCUCCAGAUGGCAGAUUAGACAUUUCGAGAAGUUCAAGGAAUAGUAUCUGAUGUCCCAGUCAAAAUAGACGAUCACUUUGUCUACACAGACUUUCAAGUUAUUGACAUGGGAGAAGACGAGUAUGAUCCACCCAUCAUCCUUGGAAGACCGUUCCUCAACACCGUUAAAGCAAUUAUCUACAUUGGAACCAGAGAAGUCCAUAUGCACUUCCCCUCAGAGAAGGUACGCCGUUAUUUUAGUGACCCUAACUAUAUCAUUGAAGAAUCUAAGCAGGUCAGAAAGAGACGCAACCGCAACCAGAGGAGGCAGAUCAUCAAGGACGGAUGGGCAGACUAUGAAGGAGAAGUUGUAAGGUCAGAAGACGUAGAGUUUAAACCGAAUUAUCCAGAGGAGAUUGAAGCACCGAGUCAGGUAUGGAAAAUGAAGAUAACUAUACAUGAAGAGGAGGCGCUACCGGAAGUACCGACUUCGCCACCCAACGAACCUCAGGACGAUUAAGAAGUUGGAGAGUCCCGUUCGGAGGACUUAAAAACACCGAACGCCCUGCCAAGUGGUAAACUUGGUAGUUACCCUUUCCCUUUCAAUUAUUUCAAUUAUUUCAAAUAGUUUACUUAGUUAAUUAUGUUCGUGCUAUCCUAAAAAGAAAAUAAAAAUGUAAAAAAUAGUAAGCCCCAUAUGAGUAGACGAGUGGCGAUAAAACCCAUAAGUACAUUCACUGUGGUGGCAUAAAAAUAAAAUAAAUAUUUUUUCUGCUUUAUAAAAUAAAAAUAUAAAAACAGGGAGUAACAAUUAUUAAGGAGUCUCAACAUGAUAAAGGCUAGAUAUUUAUGCUAACACUUAAUCAGUUCCACAAGCUAUGUUGUCUAUUUGAGCUCCACAGAAUUUAAGAAUCAAGAAGACUGGCAGACGGAGGACAUUCUAAUCGCUGUCAGAAUGCUGCUAACUUUCAAAUACACCUCUGCCACCUGCUAGCUACAUCAAGAGAAAUUACGUCAAAAUUCAGCUUGGGGGAGAGCACCCCCAUUUACCUCGAUAAGUAUUUCUAUCUAUUUUUAUACUUAUAUUAUUUUAGAAUAUUAAAAUACACAUAAACUAUGAGAAAACCAAAUAAAGAUUUUAUGCUUAUAUAUGUCUUUUGCUUAGUGUGUUUAAUAAAUAAAUAAAGUGGCUAUGCUAAUCUGUAUCUAAACAAAAACUUAAGCAUGGAUAUGAUGAAUAGUUGCUCUGCCUAACUUGCACAUUCUAAGUUCUCUCUCAAGUUUAGAUAUAACUGUUAUAAUUUAAAGCUUGCCCUAGACCUAAACUUGUGGGAUGAAAACUUGAUCUGAAGUCUAAGUUGUUAACGGAUACGAUAUGGGAAGGUUGAGCUGCUGUUUAUCUGUUCCUAGAGAUGCUAGAAUUCUGGAGAAUUUUAUCUUUGAAAAUCUUUAAAAUGUUGCAUGAUGAGUUCCUGUAUGAUGAGAGCUUAAAUUCCUACCACAGCCAUAUAUACAUGCUUGCUAGACUUUGAGCCACACAUUUAUUAUUUACUGCUUAUGAGCAUUGAGUGUGGUCAAGCUGUGUAGACCCUUAGGAGCUUGUCAUGUGGUUAAAUCAAGAUUUCACUUGCACGUUCACUCAUAUAUGCUACUUCUACUCCGGAAGUACCAUCCACAUAUAUCCAUCCAUUUCCAUCUCCAGAACCACCUAAAAAUAUUCUACUCCUAAUCCGGGAGAGAAUAACCAAAAAUAUUUCUGUUUCCCCUUGUGAAAUAAAUGCUCAUGUUAUCUUGUUACUACCACUUGCUAUAUUAUCUCAAGAGAUGAGUGCUCUAAAAAAAAGAGAAGAAAAUAAAAAAAAUAAUACGAGGAAAUAAAAAAGAGCAAGUGCUCGGAACCUCGAAAGAAAAGAAAGAGUGAGACGAGAGGUAAAAAUGGACAAGUGUCCGACAGUAGAAUUAGGGGUGCAAGAUACCCACCUGAGAGACAAGAAAAAGAAGAGCAUCUCAUUCUCCUCAUAAAGUUUCAAAAGCAAGGAAGGUAUGUAUCCCCUCAAAAGAGCAAAGUAGAAUUAGACUUCCACCACCAUUGUUUUCACCAUUGUUAUCACCAUCAUCACCAUACACCAUUCAUUCGCCACACAUGCACAUCUUGAUUUGGCUUAUUGAUUUGUUUCUUUGGAUCCAUGGUUUGACUAUGCAAUAAAUGUCUUGUGAGUAUGUAUACUUUAUCUCCCACCUAUGAGCUCCAGAUAUUAAAGCCUUAUUAGAGUAGGGUGAGAGAGAAGGCAAUGUCACUAUGCCUUAUACUACAAAUACUACAUAUCUUGAGAGAAGGCAUAUACCAUCAAUGCCUUGGUAAGGAUCCAAAAAUACCACAAAAGAGAGAUCUGAGAGAAUCAUACAAGGAAUCUCUAAGUUUUAUUUGAAAAUCUGCAAAAACCCCAGAGCUAUAGCUGAUCAAGAAUAAGAGACAUGGCACUUGGCUAGACUGUUCUAUCUUUUAACCACUCAAGACAGAAGUGACAGUUACAAGUCCCAUGGUGGAGGUAAAGUAAGUAAGUUUUAAGUCUUGAUAGUUUACUCUAACUCAGAGAUGAGAUCUUAUUUAAAAGCAUGUGUACCGUCAAAUUUUUAAAAUAUUGCAACAACUUAUGAUCCAUAGCUGAGUCUAUCCUUGCUCAGGGACGAGCAAGAGGUAAGCUUGGGGGAGUUUGUUGACGGUCCUUAAGUAUCAAAUUUAAUUAUCAAAUAAAUAAAGAAAAGGAUCCAAAUGAAAUUUAGAUCUAGACUUAGGGUUUUAUCUGACAGAAUUCCACGAGUUUUGGUGUUUGUCUAUUUCUGCAGGGGGUUAUCAGGAAAUACGGAAGAAAGGCCCACAUGACGGGAUUACGUAAAGAUAUUAACAUGCUGCGCAAUUAUCUUACAUCUAGAAGACUCGAGAAGCCACGAGACCGAAGCGGAGGCGAAACGGGGCCAGACCCUGGGCGGCCGCCCAGUUGGUCAGGGCGCCCGCCCACCUCCUGAGUCCAAUCAGGACUCUGCUUUGCGGGAGAUCUCCACCGACCUAAAGGAUGAAUCUAAACCAUACAAUCUAUGUCGGUUUGAUCCAAGGGCCCAUAUUCACUUGAAGGGACUAUAAAACCAGACCCCCUGGCCCCUGGAGGAGAGAGCCUCUCAACCCAAAUUCAUUGUUCCAUCAAGGGAGAAGAAGCCUUUGAUCAAGAUUAGAGCCACCACAUCAAUUAGAUAUCUAGAUUAGCAUAGCUACAUAGGACUAGAACUAGAAGGAGUCAAUCUUCGAUUGGUUUCCGGAUCUGUCAAGAGGAUUCUUGGUAAUUCUCUAAUUGUGCUUCUAAUUGCUUUCUAAUUAUCUUUGUUCUUCAAUAUUAUGAAUAUGACUUUGUUCUACUUCAAUAUAUUGCUUAUGACUUUGCUCUACUUGCUUAUAUUCAAGAUUAUAUUGUUCUUAGUUUAUCAUAGUUAUGUACUUGGCUUAGUUAGAUUGGAUCUAUAUACAUGCUUAGGAUCGUAUAGUGUUUAUCCAUCGGAUCCAUGGGUAAAUGAUAGAUAUUGUGUAGGCGUGGUGCUUAUACCGUAUUUAUCUGCGAUUGUACCCAAUAUGCCAGUACGUGGGGUGGUUCUUGAUAGUGACAGCUUCAUUGAUUCUUAUAUAGUCCCCCUCUCGUAUAUUGGUCUGGCAGAGCAACAUUAUUACAGGGGAGUGAUUGCUAUGUUUCUCAUAUUCCUUGCUAAUAUCACUAUGCAUGAGCGUAGUCUUGUCUCGCAAUGAUUGCUAAGUAUGCUUGCACUAACUAUGAUAUGCUAGACUAUAUAGUUGAGAAUAACUUAGGGAAUAUUCUUGUAGUUCGUUCUAAUACCAUGUAUCUAAUUGAGGUGCUCAUCAUAUUUAUUAUGUGGCUAGAUCAGAUUAGUUAUCCUUGUCACUAUUAUUAUUUCAUAUAUCUUUUAUGUGACACUUAUCCCUGUAUGAAGAGUUAGAUAUAAUGUUCUCAAUUAUACAUGCAAUGAUAGAUGCUCAAUCUCAUAUUCUAUUCUGUAAUCAUUAGUGAUGAUUGCUAAUCCCUUCCCAGUGGUAAAAAUAUUAAUAACGAUACCUGGAAUACUUCCCGGUUAAAAUGCUGCAUCGGUAUUAAUCUGUGCGCUUGCAGAUCCAAUUCAUUAUUUAUUUAGAAGAGCAAUUGCAUAUUUCAAUACCGCGUCUCUUAUAUCAUGCUGGGGAUGACAACUUGGCUUAAGUGGUGCGAGGGAUAGGUUUGGCAUUUUUGGCACCGUUACUAGAUUUAGAGAACUUAGUCUACUUUUGGUAAUGAUGUUAAGAAUACCCAACAGAAAUAUGAUGCAGAAAUCCCCAAGUUAGUACUUAAAUAAGCCACCUAAAGGUCUUUAUUUGGGCAUAAAGGAAAUGACCACUGGCAUACUUAGAUAAAACCAUUUCAGAUUUGAACACACCUAUAUCUACAAUAGCUAUAAGUUAUCAAAAACUAAUUUUAGAAAAAAAAUCUUUGGUUUUAAAUACACAUAUAACAAGUUUAAUGUUGAACCUUGCUUUGAUACCAACUGUAACAGAACCGCCCAAUUUACAAGAGAUCAACUGCGAAAAACUCCCGCCAAAGCAGUUGCUUUAACGUAAUCGAACUCUCAUAAACCUGGUAGUCCGUGAAAUCAUGAGGGAUUUCAAACCAACCAUCUUAUAAGCCAAUAUCGUAGUGAUUCAACAUAACAAGUCACAUGUUACAUCCAUUUCACAAGUAGUUUGACAUACAUCGGAGUUCAAUAGAGUUAUUACAACUUGAGUUGAAAAGUAGCGAAAGCAAAGUAAUUUAAAACUAAUAUUGCCCUCAUUUCAAAUACAUGCCAGUAUCUAGGUCAACUCCAACAAAAGCAUCCUAGAUGUGGUAACUAAGAAGGAUCAUGCCCAUGAUCUUACUCCUCUAUUAUGGUAGGAGUCAUCCAACUCUUGCAGUAGCAAUGAUAUAUCAUAACCUGCAACAAGUGGGAAUAAACUCGGAGUACGAGAAGGUACUCACCUAGACUUACCCGUCAUAAACCAGAAAUAAUAUGACACCGAGGAGUAUGCAAGGCUUUAUUGGUGGAGCUAGCUUGACAACACUUUUUGCAUAAAAAGCUUAAGUUGCAACUAAGUAACCUUUCAGGUAUUUAGCCCAAGUUAAUAAUCAUUAACCUGUCAUCUAGAUUAGCACCUGUACUAAAGCAAUCACUUGAUUAAGAUACAACCAUAGUACCCAUAUUUGAUGUGGCAUUACCAACAUCAUCAUACCAUAACCAUCCAAGUGUUCCAUAAACAUUACUACGAGGACGAAGCUCAAGUCAAGUGCUCACUGUCCAGGAGCGAUGGCGAUUCGAAUCGAUUUCUAACCAGCUGGCGAGUUAUUCCCCACACAAACUGCACUCACUGAUCAAGUGAGCUACAAAUCACCGUAUUGCACUAUCCAGGACCAAUUCGCGGGUUCGACAGGCACCGCCCGUACCCGAGGACCGUUCCGGCGACUGAGGUAUCCAAGGUAUACCAAGGUUGCGCGUCGCGCCCUCGUCGUUCUCCUCAACCAUCACCAAUACAGCGCGUACAUCGGGCCGAUUCCCGGCCCAGAUAGUGCUCAGGCUUCGCGGUCGGAACGACUUAUCCUUCCAGCUAAGUGUGGGGCAUGCGUUCAACAUGACAAGAGGGCCGUCAACGAUCGGUCCUUAAGCGACAUAGGCGGGGAUAGAUAGGCACCCAAGACCUCCAUGUCUUGUUACUUCUCUAUCAUCGUCCCGCCCGGUCCCCAAUUAUUCAUCCUCAUCACUUGGUUAUUUCCAUGAUAGCAUAUAUAGCCAACCCUUUUCGGGAAUCCACCUAUCUCGCUCAGGUGACAGAACAUCACCUGGCUUCUACCGGUCUAAGCAUGACUAAGCAUUUAGAUUCGAUCCUGAAUCUACAUACGGUUAUAGGUAUAUUUGCUGGACAAGGAGUGUUAUAUGUAGCAAGGGUUUCACCCAACUCCUAUACUUAAUGCAACAAUACAUAUAUAACAUAUAUUCUCAAUUGCAUUCAAAAGUAGUGGGAGACUUAUAAUGCUCCUGUGCUUGCCUGGGAUCAACACUGAGUCAGUUCAGUUAGUUGCUCCAUCUUGAUGACAUCUUAGGUCGCAACACUUGCUUAGUCCUUCCACCUUCGGGAUGGGUCCACCCAACACCGUCUUCGGGUUUGUUCCCACACCAAGACCUUCACGUUAUACACCUACCGCACCUAGAUGAGAUGCAAGAUGCAAGUGCAUGAAUAUGCGGAAUAGUGACACAACAUGCAUUACAUAAAAGUAUGCAAGACACAUGCCUCUAAGUUAUUUAACUAACAUCACACAACCAAAUAUUUAAAAAACAUAUCAAUCUAAACACAAGUUUAACAAGUUUACAAGUGUAUUACUUAAUCACCGCUAAAGACAUGUAUCAUAGUUAGCACACAAAGUAAAGCAAUCAAGCAUUCAUGUAUUUCAGCAGUUCUGGACAUACAUGCAACAACUCAGUAAAUAAAUCAUAACUGGAGUUACACAACUCAAAAAACUAUGCAAUAGGACAUUCUGGAAAGAAUAUAAAAUUAUCUACAAUUCAUAUUUAAUCAUCUCAGUAUAAUUAACAAGUUAACCAAGUCAAACAUGCAUGACCAUAUAAUCUGGUCCAGGAACUUCCAGAGAACAAGCAUUUCAAAGGAUGAACUUCAUACUACUGUAACUCAUAAACGACUUAGCUGAAUGCUAUGAAACUUUACCACAAGAUAUAUUUGUAAGUUAUCUACAUCUUUUCUAUAUACAAGUUCAACAGCAAAUAUCAUUUAUAUCAUGGAAUUAAUUGCAUAAAUAAAACUGUUCAUGCUGCCAAACAGUAGAAGUAUAAUUACAAACAGAAAACUAACAGGUAAUUCAAAGCAGCAUAACUGGAGUUGUAGACCUCCAGCAAACAUAAUUCUUAUAUUUGUGGAAAGCUUAUAAAGUUAGCUACAACUUUCUUAUUAUCAUCUAAAUAUGAUUCCACAGUUAACAAGGUCAAUUGACCCCAUGAAGACAUCUCUGUCCAAAACAUGGACAGAAUCUGUCAUGCCAUAUUAAACAGCUAUAACUUCAGGUUCACUUGUCCAUAAUUUAUGUUUGUGUACUUUAUAGAAAGCUUACUAAAUGGUGAACAACUUUGUUAUAAACAUCUACAGAUAAAUCUACCAUUAAUAAGGUCGUACAUUACAAACAAUGCAACCCUGUCUGGGUUUAGACAGAAACUGAAACAGUAAUUUAAACCACUAUAACUAAACAUAUACUUAACCAAAAAUUGUGCUACUUAGAUUUCUGGAAGGCUUAUGAAAAGUACUACAACUCAUAUAUUCUCAUCAAGUCAUGAUUCACAACUUAACUGAUCCAAAUAAUACAAACAUGCAGACCUACUCAGAAUAGGAGCAAAGCAACAAAGGGCAUUUGUUAUUUUUAUAACUCUUAAUCUAUCAAUCCUAAAAUCAUGAAACUUUUACCAGACAUCAAGCAUCAUAUUAGAAGCAUGUGCCCUUAUUUUCACAUUUAUUUGGGCAAUAACACAGCAGUUAUGAAAAAGACAAAUGUAACAAGCAAUUAAAAUUAACUGCAUAAAUCUAUUUUUACGACUAAAACUUCAAAUUUAAACUAUGCUAUAUUAUAGAUCUACUGCAUAGAGAAUUUUAUAAGGAUUCAUACAAAAAGCUCAUACAAGAAAUCUGAUAUUUUACGACUUUUAUAUGAAUUACUUAUGCAUUUCCAAAGUUCAUACAAGAAAUCUGCAAAAAACAAAAGAUAAAGGAAAAACGACUUUGCAUCGGGAACCCUCAACAUUCUCCAAAUUAACCAGCCGUCCAGAGAACUAUUCAUUUGAGUCGGUAGUUCGCAUCUGGAACCCUGACAUGGCUAACAGCUUCUGGGGGCAAGUGGCCAGCAGCAGCAGGGAGGCAGCCGGUGGCCUGGCCUCGGCUAGCCAUGGCCACGCCCGGCCCUGGCAUUGGCCGGCUGCAGCCAGCAGUAGCAGGAGCUCGAGCUCUGCUCGAGGUCCAUGGUGGCCAUGGCGGCUCUGCUGCACAAGAGCGACGAGAGAGAGUUAGAGAGGGGCGAGAGCGAGUGGGGAACGACUGAGGGAGCGCAAGGUGAGCUCGACCCAGACUCAGCUCUCCCCAUCGAGCAGCAGGCGAUGGCAGAGAGGCACAGCGCAGCUCGUGCAUGGAGGACACGCACCAGACGCGCGUCGCCCAUUGACGCAUUUCGCCGAGCACGUGGCACGCGUCGGAGUAGGCAAGGUGGGAGGCGAUUUUGGGCUUGUUCCAGGCCGAAUUUGAAGAUGGGCCAAAAACGAAGUUUGCUCACCUCGACCUGUUCUCCAACUUUGAUUAAGGGUGCUCAGUCAUUAGACCAACAGAUUAGGAGAUCACUUAAUGCCAAGUCACGAGUGUCAACGUAUUGACGGUGAUUAGCAAACCAAGAAUUCAUGGUCCAAACCAUGUCAAACUUGAUGCAACUUUUUGCAUGCUCUUCUCCAAACAAUUAUCCACAACUUUUAUUCUUGGACCAACUUGAGUUGCUCAACAAAAAUACGAGAACGCGGCAUGCCAACGGGUACACGUCCGUUUAGCGAUAAAAUAACCUUUUGCUGUUUUGGGAGCUACUUUUAGAUAUUCAAAUGAACUCCAAAUUUGAUGACACUUGGUCCAUAUCUUUAAUCAGGAAGGGUACUCCAACUCAUAUUAAGGAAUCUAAUUAAGUUACUAUAUGAAUUUGGAUAAUAAAACGUCACGAAGGAUCUAACUCACUGCUUUACUUCCAGGGACUUAGAAUUAUUUCUCAGGGCUAAAAAGCAGCAGCUGAUUCAAAGUUUUAGCCUCUGUUUGAACUAUUUGCAAGCUGAUUUGGUUCUUGACUCUUGAUUGAAGUUUCUUUUACAGAAGCAAAACUACAACUUUUAUUUAGGGUCAAACCUCAUAACUCCAACAGGAGUCAAACUUUCACUUUGGUCAAAGCAGUAUCGUGAUAAAGCUCCAAAUAGGGUUUUAGGCCAAUUGAAGCAUUUUCUUGACAUAAGCUCAAUAUGAACCCUUCAUGACUUUUGUUGUAUAAUUCAUCUAGAGUCAUAUGAGCAAGUUUGGAAGGUUUGGUUCAUGACCCAUGAUUCUAUUUCCUUAAUAGAGCCACUCCAACAUGGAUAUAACUCAUCAUUUCAUGUGACUUCUUGAUUCCAAACUUCACCAAACUUUUCCAGAGACCAAUAUAGAUUGGGAUAGAUAUGAGACACAUGAAAAAUGUUCCACUAACACCAUCAAAGCAUACCUUUCAAAAAGGGCAUAUAUGUAAGUAAAGGUGCAUCAUCCAAGUCCAAGAUAGGGCUUACUUUCAUAGAUUGACUUUGACCUUUUUAUUACCAUUGAACUUGUCAUGUUUGAGCUCAAAUCUAGUACUUAGCAAGUGACAAACACCUGGGGUGUUACAAUAAAAGUAUAUCUAUAUCAUUUUUCCUAAAUAUUUUAUAAAAAUAAGUGGUCAAAGUUGUGUUUUGGAGACCAUGUCACUAUUCUAAACGACUUCUAAAUUCGAUACGGAAAGAGUAUAGAUUUAUCUACCUUUUAUCUAAAAAAACACUCUAGAAUAGACCCUAACAACAAAAUCAUACUCAAUCCAUCCAUCCCAAAAUAUAGCAACCUAGGAGGGGAUUGGACACAACCUAGUAUUUUGGGAGUAAUUAACAUGGUCAUUUAAUGCAAAAUAUAAUUUGAAUAAGCCUUUAGUACGAAGCACUAUACCUUCUUUCAUUUUCGGUCACUUGCAUUAAAUGUUGUGAUCACAAAUCGUGAAAAGAUGGAUGAGCCUUGAGGAUCCAUAUACUUUCUAAUGGAGGAGUUUCAGAGCAAGAGAGUAUCCCAGGGGUCGAAGUUAUCAUUUUCAAUCGGAAAGAAAACUCCAAAGCAACGUAUGGAGAUAUAGCGCUUGUCCACAUUAAUGUUAACAUCCAGGUCAAUCUUGUCGUUUGUAAGGAUCUCUGUAUGGAGUUCUUGUUCAAGUUCAAAAGACAUUAAUAUCUCAUCAAAUAUAGUUUGUAGAAUUGGGAUGUAGUUGACAUUUCGAUGCACCAUGGCAUGGCCAUUGUAAACCCAUUGCAUUUUUGUUUGCAUCUUUAAUAAAUUGUGCUUGUCAAGCACCUGCCAAUGAGAAAUUUUAAGGAAUCUUUAAUAAAUUGUGCUUGUCAAGCACCUGCCAAUAGAACUUAAGGAAUCUGCAAAAAAAAACAACAAAACCACUUGAAAAGGGGUAAGUAUGGCCACGUGCUCGUAACAACGUUGAAAAUAUCUCAUGGUAGACAAUGUUUGUUUCAUGUGUGGAGUCACCAUUCAUAUGCUCUAUCAAUAUCUCUAGAUCUCUUUGAGGUGACAUGUGAAACAGCAACAUGCAAGCAUCGGUAAAUACAGGCUUUUUUGGGUAGUUACCAGCAUUGGACAAUGUCUGCCCUUGGCUCCUAUUGAUAGUCAUUGCAUAGCAUACCUUAACUUUAAAUUGGUGCAUCUCUAGAACAAAGGGCAGCUUUGUAUUUGUAAGUGUUAGACAAAUCCUUGGAAUCAGAACAACAUGCCCCAUGUGUGUGACGGUCAUUAUCUAUAUAUGCUUCUAUUAAAAUAUUGAAGGGCUAUGAAUGCAGGUGCAAAGAAGAAAUGUGCUGUAACUGUCCACAUCUGGUUCGUAUGUCACGCUCCACUAUCCAGAGAGAAAUGGAAAAAGUCUACAAACCCCUCUCAACUAUCCGGUGUAGUAUACUUCACCACCCGAUCUAUAAAACCGGAUAUUCUAUCCUAUGAACUUUUCAAAACCGGUCAAAUAACACCCUUGAGCAGUUUUGAAGGAUGGUUUUUUCUUUUUCUUUUUAAUUUAUUUCCACCGAAUCUUUGAAUAUCAUAAUAAAUCACAAAAAAAAUAUAAAAUGAAAAGUCUAGUUUUGUUGAACUUUUGAUGAGUAGAUCUACACAGUGCAUAUAUAUUAUGGUAUACUUUAGUACAAUGUUUUUGCUGUAGUACACAGUGAAUAUAUGCAGUUUCGAUGGUCUAGUUAUGGUAAACUUUUUAUGGUGGGCUCAAUAUUAUAUGCUUGAACUAUGGUAAAAAUUUUAUACUUAUUGAAUCACGUAUAACUUAGUUAUAGAUAAAGCAUAGAUUUAACACAAAUAAGGCUAAAUAAAUCUAUAACUAAGUUAUACAUAAUCUAAUGUGUACCAAAUAAUUACUAUACUUGAACCAGACAAUAAUUAGCUCCUCAAACAAAUACACCAUAACUGGAUGAUAAAAACUGCAUAUAUAAAUUAUUCUAAUUAAUUAUAUAAAAACAUAGUUCUAAAGCUAUAGCAAAAACUUUAUACUAAGCAUACCAUAUUAUAUAUUCACUGUGUAGAUCUACUUAUGUGGAGUCCAACAAGAUUAGAUUUUAUAUUUUAUGAAUUUUCUUUAAUUUAUUAUGAUUUUUCAAAGAUUCAACAAAAAUAAAUAAAAAAUAAAAAGACAAAAGCACCCUACUUGAGGGGGUUAUUUGACCGGUUUUAAAAAGUUCAAAGCGUAGAAUAUUCGAUUUUAUAGUUUAGGAGGUAAAGUAGUCCACUCUAGAUAAUUUGUGAUGAUGUAAACUUUUUUCUAAAGAGAAAUCACGGCCAGCAGAAGAAAACAGUGCCCUUAGAAGGCACAGUCGCAGCAAAGGGCACAACAAUCUCAAGCGAACAAGCAUCUAAGGCAAGCCACACCUAGUUGCCCCCCCCCCUCUCUCUAGGGCAAUCAUAAAACAAACUAGUACAAACCGCGCGCCCUUGCGCGCGAGGAAAAGUGAGCAUCCAGUGAUGUCUAAUAAUUAGAGUACAUUGAUCAAUACACACUUGUGGGAUGUCUAUAUUACAUAUGGCUGCAUAGAGUAUAUUGAUAUAUAAGUAUCUAAGUACAUAUUACAUAUGGUAAGUUCGUGAUACAUAUUACACAUAUUAGCAUGCAUCAGCUGAUAAAAGGAUAGAUAUAUAAGUAUUUUGUGAUGUAUAUUUCACAUAUUGGAUAGAGUAAUCUUAAGUAGAACUGGUGCCGAACAUUCAAAGUUUGGUCUGGAUGUUACAUUUCCGUGUCAUGCUCCCAGAUUAACAUUCUAUAAAUCUCCUUUCCCUCUUGAUGAAACACUGCUCCUGAAUCUAUCUGAUGACACACUCCAGCCAGUAACUGUAGAUGAGCAAAUCUGGAUGACAAAGAUGGAACAAUAUCCAAAACAGCUGAAUUGCUAAUUCAUGAACAAUUUCUAUUUAGACUGAGGUAAUGUAAGCCAUAGCAAGAAUAAGAUAAAGCAGAUAAAUAAUAGCAUCAUGUGUAUUUUGCGGGGCACAAGGAUAUGAAUUUGUGUGCAGUCAUACCUUCACGGCUACAUCACCACACAACAAGGUGGCAGGUUGAACAAAGCGUCAAUUUUCGGGAGUAACAACGUGUCCAUGAACAACCAAGUAGUUAUGAUAAAUUCAUCAAUUAUGGGAAAACAAAGGAUUGGAAAGAAGUUGCAUCUGCCCUAUAAUCAACAGUUGUAUAUUAUGCUCUAUUGAACCUGAAGACACAGGCAUGACGUGGGCUACCAAAUCCUUGUACAUUUACCUCCAAUAAAUGGAAGAGCAUUAUAGCUUCUAUGUAAGCCUGUGGAAACAAAUAAAGUGGUUCUCAUUGGAUGUAUAAAGGCAUGUCUUAAGUUGCACAAAUGAAGGACAUCAGGAAAAUUUCUAAAAAUUUACAUGCCAACCCAAUCUUAUGUUGUAAUGCAACAUAUUUUCUUCUUUUGAAAGGAAACAACAAAGCAAAGUGGCAAGUAACAAUACUCAGGACAUAAGGCAUCCCAAUAUACUGAGGUUGUGAUAUCCAACUUCACCAUCCUGAAAAGAGCACACAUGAAGGGAGCAAAGGGAACCAGGUUGAGGCGGACCAAUGGGGGAUUUUGGGGACGAUGUGGCCCGGUUGGCUGGAUGGGGUGAACCUUUGGUUUGUAUGGGUAAAUUUGAAAUACAUAUAAGAGAAGUGUAAAGGGCCAAAGCACAAAACAGCGUCCUGUUUAUUUUAAGUGUCUUUAAUACUAUGAUUUUGCCUACAUGAAUGCAACAGAUGAGGCAUGAGAGCAACCUCAAAAGCAUUGGAAAGUCAAUAUAUAUGCUCAAGGUGGAAAAUAAUUUCAUUUUUUAGGAAAAAAGAACAUAAAUGGAGAAGUCGGUGUUAUUUUUGUCAGCAAAAUGAAUAGGUAAGAAGUAAUUAAUCCUCAGAUUUGUUUAUGCAAAUGGUACUUUAUGAGCAUCAGAUGUAGGAAACUGCAGCAAUCAGAACCAAUACUGGGACACAUCAGGUGAGCUCACUGAGACAACAACAAGCAACGUUGUUCAGAAUAGAUGAAAAACUGCAUUUUUUGAUAUAGUUUGAUGUGAUAGUGUGAUCAAAACUACGCUUCUCAAAAUUAAAGAAGCAUUAUGCAGCACUCACAUGGAGCACCAAACAAGAACUCAACAACUCGGUGUUAUAACAAAACAUUCUACACUUAACCAUGCGCCUAAUCCUGAAAGGCCAUAAUACAAAUACUGUUGCAUGGAGUUUUAAAAUACCAACUACUAUUACUUUAAAGUGGCACUACAGUAAUUGUAUUUGCAACUUGAGAUGCAAGUACUAACACCUGUAGCAGAAAACUAAAGUGAAACUUAUUACAAAUUACCACCUAUAAUUCAGUGGACAAGGGUACCUGACCUAUUGAAACUUUGGGGGUUCAGUUGAGCUUCUCAGGUAAUCUUGUCAGUGUCAUUUUAAGUUCUGCUUAACCUGCACCAAGCAGCAAAAGUGCUUUGAGUAGAAAAAAGGCAAAAACUUUAGUAAGUUGACCGGCCACUUCCUUGUUUGUUUCACUGUAGCUCUUUCUUUUUCCAUGCACCAAAGGACUAAAUGCUCUAAAUAUAUGUUUCAUGGAAACAAUGCAAGGGCAGCAUAUAGAUGUGUAGCUAUCACUAAUCAUCAGUUAUCCAUGAAGGCUAGAAUACAUCUGACAAUAUGACAUAAGUAUUUGAGGGGUAGGGGUAUUCACUAAGAUAAUUCUGUAGUAUUGAUAUGAAGUAGUUAAGUAUGGAAAAAAUUAAGAACUAAGAAUGGACCUUUGGUUUUAAUAAACCUAAAUGCUUAUACCAAAAUAUGGGUUGAAUAUAAUAGUCAAGUGGUCGUAAACCAAGCAAAGAAUAUUUAACUUAGAAGCCUAUAUCCAUUGCACUCACCACAUCGAGAUGGAUUAUUUUCUUAGCACUAUAAGUUGCUAGCACCUUGGGCACAAAAAGAUUUUUCACUCACCUAUGCAGGGAAGGCUUGUUUUCAUUGUUCUCAAAGAUGAUGCGCUCGAGUAUAUUGCUAUUAAUGUCCAUGACAUAUGGAACUUAGCAGAGGAGGAACCAUUCCAAUUGUCUUGUUGCCAAUGUUAUAGAGUCUUCUCAAAUCAAGAGCACCAGUCGUACUGAACAACGCCAACCAACAGGCCAGCUAUAUUCACCUAAAAAUUUAUUAUGAAUUGCAUACGAGGCAAAGAAAACUAACCUAACAUUCAUAACAGAAUACCAAACGAGGAAAGGAUCCUUACUCAGAAUUCAGAAAAACAAGAAAAUGGGACAAUCUCUGGUUGUUGAAUGGCCAGAUAGACCUAUUUUUAAUUCGAGUGUUCCAUCCUGGCUCUCAUUUCCAUAACCAUAUAUAUAGUAUCUAUUGCGGCACCUAGGUCUGUCCCUAUUGUCUAAAAAUCAAAACCGUUAAUCCGAAAGGGAAGAUCAAUUUUUAUCGAAUUCCUAUACUUAGUAUAUGGUUAGUAGGUCAGAUUAGAUCCUACUGGGAUAAGUAGGAGCUGCUGACAUAUUUGUAGGUCCUCUGUUGUGCAUACCCUGCUUCAAGGCAACAAAGGGGAAAAACAUGAGUGAGCCUAGCAGCAGACAUAAUACAUAAUCAGAAUGAGAAAGCACUUCACAUGUGAAAAAAGGAAAGAUAGAAAAAGGGUCAUGUGGAUGCCUAUGGAUAAUAUGUAUUGAUUACUUAUCAUUGAUGGGACCAAACAGAUUUCUAAUCAAUUGAAAUUUAUUUUGCACAAGAGGCUAACGCUAUCUGAUCCACACCAUUCUGUGCAUCUAGAAAAGACAUGAAAGAAAGACACAACCGCCAAAAGGAAAGAAACUCACCAACACAUCUUCCAAUCUUAUUAGUCUACGCAGAUCCUCUUGGUUGAGGUCCUACAUCACAUAGCAUAGAGGAAAGGAGCAUCAGCAAGCAUGAAGCAGAAGGAAGAUGUGCUCCAAAUCCCCAAGAACACAAUAUUGAAGAAUAGACAGAAAGAAGUGUGUGGGUAAGAUCAUGUAACCCUGUUGUUUCCAUCAGGUAGAAAUAGUGUACAUAGUAUUUUAGAGUUGGAAAUGCAGACGUUCAAUUAUUGUACUGUGAAAUAUGUAAAUUUAAGAGUAAGGAAAAGCUGAAGUUUAUUACCUGACCAAAGAUGUGUAAGCAUGUCUAGAUACAUGUGUUGGUUGUCUAACACUGAAAAAUAGAAAUAAUCUAUGAAAUAAAAUACGAUAAUGCUUUUAGAUUUGCAGCUGUUUAAUGAAGAUGUGUAAGCAUGUGUACAUACAUGUGUUGGUUGGCUGACACUGAUAAAUAGAAAUAAUCUAAGAAAUAAAAUAUGAUAAUGCUUCUAGAUUUGCAACUGUUUAAUCAGCAUUAGACUGCAAAUAUUACCCAGGUGAGAAAUUCUGCAUGAGUCAUGUUUAGACUAUUUGAGCAGAACCUCUAAAGAACCCUACAUCCUCAAGCACAAGCGUCGUGUAUCAGUGAAAGGAAAUUCCAAAACAUCAUGAAGGUACAAAUGAAGCCAAAAAUGUUACAGGGCAGCAUCACCUAGAGAGCACGGACCUAGCAGAGGGGCAUAGAAGGCAAGCAAACCACAGUGCACUGUGUUACAUCGGGCUGGACUAUGGGCAACCCGUGCUGGCGUGUCGGCUGAUUCGGAGCUGAGGUCGGAACUAUGCCGGUAUGUUACCCACACCAGGGUCGCUGCCACCAACGGUAGGGCAAAACCCUAGGUCACCUCAUUGCCACCGCCACCGCCGCCACGUUGGGCGCUCGCUGUUGCUCCGUACGUCACGUGUGGAGGUGUGGAGGAGAACAAGGGCCGCGGUAAUCGUGCCGAGUGGCAGCCAUUGUGGAGGUCCACUUGUGCCACCGCCCUAUCUGCAUUGGAAGGGAUGUGGGGAGAGAGAGAGAAUGGAAGGGAAGAGACUGUCGAGACUUAUACGCACGGUGGAUGGAGGAGGGGGCUAGCGCUACGCUGGCUUGGGGCGUCGUCGUGCCAUCGCCCCUGCCUCAGCCGCACCGCCCGUGGGGCGCUGUCGUCUCGUCGCCUCCACCUCAGGCUCGAGAGAGAGGAUGGGGAGGUCAUGCUAUUUUUUUAUGAGGAGUGGGGAGAGCGCUAGAUGUUUUUGUGGAGGCCGACGUGGGCUGCUCGUGGACACACAAAGGGAAUCAGCCAAUCAGGCUAAGAUGGACCAAUGGGAGGGGGAGGAGGUGAUGUGGCAUUGAGGUGCACCAAUGGCAGAUUUGAGGAGGCGUGGCUGGGGUGGCGACACGGGGAGCAACGUAGAAUUGUUAGGGUAAAUUAGUCCAAAAAUUUUAGAUAUAAAAAUAAGAAAUUCACAAGAUAAUAGAAGUGUAGUAGUUUCGAAAUUUAUACUAUACAAUCUGCAGUAAUUGAAAACUAUCUGGAAUUAUUUGCAAGCUAGUCGCAUGGAAAAACUAACCCUUUCAUGAAGUCCACAGUAUUAGCAAGGCAAAACUGUAUCCAAAUCAAGCUGGAUGGUCAAAGUUGCAGAACAAGAUUCAGGGCCAAAUGAACACCUUCCUUAGAAUUUGCAACAUCUGAGUUGUCUGCUACUUGGCUAAAUCAAAUUGAACAAACAUUGAGGAUGUUGCUUAUCUCCUUGCUGUGACAAGAAAGAGGGGACAAAGGGGAAGCAAAAACAAACCUCAAAGGAACUCAUAGCGGUGCUUAUCUCGUCCUAGGGUUUAUUCUUUUGAGUUUUAAAGUGUCUGCAACAUAAUUUAAGGAAAGGUCCAAUAGCAUUAGUUUGUUUCCAAUCAGAGAAUUGGGAACAUAAAUUGAAGAUGAUGCAAUAAAGUUCAACAGAUCUUUAAGAAUAUCUUGUAUUGUGUGUUUAAAUUUUGUUUUAUAGGAAAAAGAAAGUUGUUCAUGUACCUCAAGAGCACUAAAAUUUGCAUACAUAGGUAUUGAAAGGGAAUAAAGAAUUAAAGAAAACCCAGAUUACCUUGGUCCAGUAGUGGUUACACAAGAGGAAUCUGCAAGUCACCAAACCACAUCUAGAAAAAGAUAAGGAUACACUGACAUAGUUCAAUUUGAAGCAUGGAUCAUUGCAAAGAUCUAACAAAUAAAAUUAAGAUCUUUUGUAGACAAUGGAAGCAUAAUAGCUGGCAAAGUUAGACUGUAAACCUACAGUAAAUGGAAAAUAAAUAUAAUCUCCAAUUAAAACUAUUGGCAAGCCGGUAGCAUGGAAAAGUUAACCCUCAUGACCCCACAACAUUAGCAAGGCAAAUUCAUAUUCAGAGCAAGUUCAAUGGUUAAAGCUACAACAAUUAGGUACAAGUAUAAAUUGCUUUGUACCUCUAUUUACCUUACAUAGGGAGAACGUAUAGUAUGCACAAAAUAAAUUGUUGGCAUCUCUUGGAUGAAGAUAGAAACUGAAGGUUUUACAUGGUACUGAAAUUAUGAACAUAUCCAUUUUAUUGUGAUUGCUGCACAAACCAAUGUAGCACAGACCAGCGACUUUCAGCUGUCUCCAUAGCACCCAAAAUUAAUCUCAUGCAUACCGAAGGAAAAUAA